AAAUGAGGAGACCCCCGAGGGCAAAAGACAACCCUAUAGUUGGUCCCGCCAGGGCAUGUAAAUGUGCUCGAAGGGUCAUCCUGGGGAUAGCUGUAAGAAGUAGGGCACCUAUCCUUAAAAAACCUUGAGAAAUAGGUAGGGCCACAGCUCCCCUGCCCAUUAGUGCAGCAAUAUUCGUUAGUUUUGAACACAGUGCAUGGGUUAUUACACCCCCCAGGAGCCCUCAAAAUUGUGAAUGAUGUUUUUUCUAGUUUUGUUUAUUGAUGAAGUCUUAGAUAAGGUAUGAAGCAUCUUUAAAUAUAACCAAUUUUGAAGCAUAUGCAUCAUGUUUUCUCUUGCCAAUCCCAUUCAUUCAUAUUUACACAGAAUCAUGUUUUUUUUUUCAUAGUAUGGUCACCUGAGAACAGCAUUUAUCAUGUCUUCUUUACCUUACGUACUGAUUUCCUCCUUGGCCUUUCUCUCUUUUUAUUCAUUUCGAAGGAUACGCAUCAUGUUUUCUCUUACCAGCUCCGUUCAUGCAGCAAUUGAUGUCUGAUGAAAUGUCCUCAUAAAGAAUUUACCAUGUCUUCUUUAGCGUCUGUACUGAUUUUCUCUUUGGCUCUUUUACACUCUUCAUUCUUGAAAUAAGUCUUACUAACUUAAUGUUUUUCUUCUUGUUCUCUCCUUUAUGGUAUUCCUCUAAUGACCUAAAUUUAUCUACUAUCUUGCCCUUCUCUGUUUUGCAGUCUGCAAAUUAGCUGUAUAUACAUCCGAACUGGGCUUACAGGCAUUGGAAGUGUAGAAAGUACAUUCCAAACCUUUUGACAUCUUUCAUCCAAUGAUUUAAUUUGCUUGGUUAUCUCACUUUGUUACAUUUUGGGUUUCUAUGGAACCAGACAGAAGUCAUUGUCUUCAAUGAAGUUGACAUAGUAAUUGCAACCUUACAUAUAUUUAUGCUAUAUUGCCAAAUUGCUCCAAGAGAUAACUCAGUGGGAACCUGCAGUAGCUUUAAAGCUCACUGUUAAGAGGUCGGAAGCUAAAACCAUUCGCAUCUGGGAAGCUGGGAGGAUGAUAAUCAGUGAAUGAGUGUGAUUUUAUUAUCAAAUCAUGAAUAAAUAGGUAGGUCUGUGGUUCUGUGGAUAAAAAAUGUAUAAUCAGUGAAUAAGCUCCAACUUCACUGCUUUGCUUACUAUUUCCAGAUACUUCGAGUUAAUAGAAUGUGUAAAACCGGUCGCACACCCAUAGGUACACACAUACACAAACGUCUUACAUUUUUUUUUUUUUUGUCAUAGGAGGUCUCUGUAGUACCUUUCCUGCUUCCUUUUUAUGAUAGGAAAUGUUCUUGGCACCCAUCAAGAGUCUCAAAUUCUGACUGAUAAGGAUAUCGAAUUUUCCUCACUUCCUGAGAUCAACCAGGCUCUGCAGCCCCCUAAUGUUAGACACCUCAAACGAGACCUAAGAGUCUAACGAUUGGGAAGGAAUGAAAGCCAGGACUAUCUGGCAUAAGACUCGGAUCGAGGAUCUAAUCUGUCUGUGGCCCCAAUGCACCAUUUCUAUCCAUGAUCCCAAGCCAUCACCAGCUUGGGUGGCUUGUUAUUUCAAGCAGGGAUGGGAAUAUGGGAUGCGUGUCUAUAUACAUAUAAGUGAAGUUUUCCCCUCGUUUUCUGAAUUGUGAUAAGCUCUAACAUGAAUUAAAUUAUCUAUGCGCUUGGAACACGUAUUUCCUCUUCAUGCAAAAGCACUAGAUUUUCUGUCAUCCAUUUUCAUCAUGGCAUGUCACGUCCCGCUAAAUGUUAUUCUGGAGAUUCUUUGCUUGCUUUAAAAUGUCUAACCCCUGGGAAUGUCAACAAGAAAUAUUUGUGUUUCUUCAUCCAACCAAAUCAAAACCUCAUAAAUUUUAUUGGAACAAAAGCAGGCCUCACUGCAAAACAAGCUAGAUAGCUUAGGAUUAGGAAUGAUCUCUACUUCGAACAUAAAUAUAAUGGAGAUGCAGAGAGAGAGAGAGAGAUGCAAUAUGUUUGUGUAUUUGUGUGUAUCUGUGAAAGAGAGAUCAUAUUGGAAGGCAGGUAAAGUUAUAGCAGACACCAGGGCCAAAGAGUUACUGUUAAAACCUGCAAACUAUGCCAACCAUGUCUAAAUGCUCCUUUUGUUUUGCAUUCCUAUCAAGCACAAUAUCACAUUAAUUACCAAAACAACAUGGCAAAUAAAAGAAUUCCUUGAGAAUUUUAAAAUAAAGCCUUAACUUAUUCAACACUCCCUUAAAAUUUGUAAUUGUUUCACAGCUAUCCUGUUUCAUAUGUUUUUUCUUCAUAGCAGUAUAAUUCUCUGGGAGUUUUAAAAUAAUGCCAUAACUUUCUCUACCCUUGAAAUUUGUAAUUGUUUCACAAUUAUCCUCCAUAGAUUUAAUAUCUCAAUUAAAAUAAAUAUAAGGUGUUUUUUCAGAAAGGAAAGUGUUUUUUAGUAAGAAAAUGGUAACUUCAUUAUACUAAAUAAAGUAUAAAUACAUCACUAUUACAUCAUUAUUUUCAUACUACGUUCAGAGAAAAUAUAAUUUAUUGUUUGUGUCAUAACCUGUUUUUGACUUCUAAUUUCUAAAUACAUUUUCAAAAUAUAAAAUUCUUUCAAGAAUAUGCUUGCAACAAAGUUCAAUUAGUGUCGCUUUACCGAAAGCCAUCAUACUUGCACGGGACAGGGAGAGGUAAUGCCUAGCCACGCACCUAAAAGAUCAGAGAAAAGUACUAAAAGCUCAGCAUAAAAUGGCACCUGGCCAAGGAUAUUCCCUUUCUUUUAUUUUUUUUUAUUUUUAAUAUUUAGGGAUAGAAAAUCAUUUUUUUUAUAUAUAUUUUUAUAAUAUUAAGUGAUGGAUAAUUUUAAAUAUAUUGACAGCACUUGGAGAUCAUGUUUUUACAUUACAACAAAUUCAGCGCAGUAAAGCGCGGGACACGUGUAUAGAUUGAGACCGUUUGAAAUGGAGGAAUAGCGCGUGGAAUAUUAUUUGCCUUAUCCAUUCCUUCACUUCGCAUGCAUUGCAUCUGCCUUAUAAUUUUGUUGGAGAAAACUUGAAUUGAUGUGACAACAUGGGAAAUUAGUGCAUGCAACAGUAAAUAAGAUGGUGAUCUUAUCAGAGCCAGCGACGAAAUUAAAAUAAUAAUAAUAAUAAUAAUAAUAAUUAAUUAAUACGGGAACCAACUGCAAAGAAAAUCUUGGUUUAUGUAAUUACUUGUCAAUGGGAACGGAUUUGGUCACUGAAAAACAUGUGGCAACUAGGUCAUGUCAUCAAAUUAAAAUAAACUCAACGUAGUAGGGAUGGAAUUUGCUGAUUAAAUUUUAAAUUUAUAUUUUAAAAAUUAUUAAUUUGAAUUUUAUAAUUUUUAGGGUCAUUGAAGAUUUACACGGUCUUUCUUUUUCAGCAUCAACAAGGAAAAACCAAUUUUCAUGUGGUGCUGAAUAUUGAACUGAAGGUUCACUUGCAAAUAUUUCCACACAAGAGUGAGCGUUGAAAACACGGCAAUACUAAUUUCUAAAAUUGAUAUUUUUUCAACAGUCUGAUGAGAACUGUUCUCGGGGACCGAUACAGUUCGUCCGAUGGCAACUGUUCUCAGAAACAUCUACUCCUCUAUUAUUACUUGAAGGGUUAAGCAAUUUAUCAUCACCCCAACUUUUAUAUAAUAUAAAAAAAAUCUCAUCAAUUUAUUUUCUCUUCUAGCAUCAACAAGGGAGAACCAAUCUUCAUUUGUUCUGUCCUUACCUCCAAGUCUUCGGAACUUGGAUGUUUAGAUAUUGUCCACUCUUCAUGUGGUGCUGAAUAUAGAACUGAAGGUUGAAUUAUAUAUUUAAUUGCGAAUAAAAAAAGCUCUCUUAAUUAUUUUAUAUUGUUUUUAACUUUGUGUAAUAUCCUCAUACCCUUUUUAAAGGAUAAGACUUGUCCCGUUCGGGAUUUGUAGCUACCCCUUUCAAUAAGUGUGUUUUUUAAAGAUCAAAUUUGUAUACAGAGUUUUAGCUUAAUUAGACCACGCCUCAUUCCAAUCAAAGUAUUUGAUCAAAAUUGGAUGGAUCUCUAAAUUACUUUUUUGAGAAUUUGCAAAUUUUUCAGAUCACACAGAAACAAUACACUAUGUUCUUUUUAAAAAAAAUUAUAAUCACACAGAAACAAUAUACAAUAUGCUUCUCUUAAUAUAUUAAAGAAAGAAUGAUUUGUUGUAUUGGUUUUUUUUUAUAUAGGAUUCAAAGUCUUUAAGAAAAGAAAAAAAUACACAACAAUAGGGGAAAAUCAUAGCCAUGUGAUUAAACAUUUCUUUAUUUCACUGGAAUUUUUAUUACAUCCCAGCAUGGAAACAGGCAAGAACAAAACACACAGACUCGUUUUUUGUUCUUUUAGGAGGAAAAAGAAAAGAAAAAGAUACACACAGCCAUACGUACAUAAUACACGGACCUCAAUUCACCAGAUUUUCAAGGCAGCACAUAAUAUUUAUUAUAAAUCAAGUCGUCAGCUAUGUUCUUAGCUUCUUGCUUACUCUGCACGCUGUUCUUCAACCAUCUCCAAGGGGAAAUGAGGAGACCCCCGAGGGCAAAAGACAACCCUAUAGUUGGUCCCGCCAGGGCAUGUAAAUGUGCUCGAAGGGUCAUCCUGGGGAUAGCUGUAAGAAGUAGGGCACCUAUCCUUAAAAAACCUUGAGAAAUAGGUAGGGCCACAGCUCCCCUGCCCAUUAGUGCAGCAAUAUUCGUUAGUUUUGAACACAGUGCAUGGGUUAUUACACCCACCAGGAGCCCUCAAUUCAUUAGGACAUUGCCCAUUAAUAUCUGCUGUGCACAGAAGCGCUUGACACUUCCCUGAGCCACCGCCUGAUGUUGGACUAAAUUCUAUAGGGAUAUUAAAUCCAUCAACAAGCGAUAUAUCAUAAAAAUCCAAGUUACCAAACUGAUUUAACGCAUAUUCUGCUAGAGUGUUGGGAGGGACACCCCAGCCCUUGCACUGUAGGCCACCGGUGCAAUCCCCGGUUUGGCAACGACCCUGACCGCUACCAUCGAAGUUACAAUUUGUCCUGCCCCAUAUACGAGCCAUGGACGUGCUAGCCGGCACGUUAAGAUUCCAAGUUUGGCCACGGUCUAGACGGCGCCCACCGCCAGGUGAGGCUGCGGCCCACACAGUGUAAGGGCAAUUGUUUCGGAUUUCAAAGGUGGCUGCAUUGGUAGAGAUGAAGAGAAGGCUAAAGAGGAGGGAGGAGGUGAGAAAUUUGGUUAAGUGAGUCAUAGCUGAUUACUGGAUACCAGCUUAUGUCAAUCUGUGGUUUGAUUCAUGGUGUCAUUUAUGGUCUUUAUAUAGGGGAGGGGCGGCUUUUGGAUUCCUAUACAUUAUGGCAAGUGCACAGUAUUAAAUUUUGAAAUAGAGGCGGCUGCGUGCCUGCCUGCCUUCGUAGCUAUAAGCUUUAUUGAUAAAAAGAAAAAGAAAAAAAAAUCAAAAGUUAGUUUGGUGGUUGAAAAAAUAUGAUUGAUGCUUUGAAUUUUUUUUAUAUCUAAAGUAUAAAACUAAUAUCAAAACAAAUUUAAGUAAAUGAAUGAGUGUUUCUUAGUGUGUUAGUGAUUAUUUUUUAAAGUAUUUUUUAUUUAUAAAUAUAUUAAAAUAAUAUAUAUUUUUUAUUUUAAAAAAAUUAUUUUUGAUAUCAGUGUAUUAAAAUUAUUUAAAAAUAUAAAAAAUUAAUUUUAAACAAAAUAAAAUUUAAAUUUUACUUAAUCUUUAUUUUGAAAAGCAAAGGGCUAAAUUUAUCUGAAUGCAAUAAACCAACGUGCAGGUGUAUUCUUAAAAUCAUUCUAAAAAAGAUUUUUUUUGUUACAGAUUCUAUAUAAAAAAAAAGAUUUAAUAUCAUAAAUAUGCAAGUUGAAUGGAUAAUAUUUCUUGUAUAAAAAAGAGAAGCUAGGAAAUCAUUAGGGGAGCGUGCCUUGUAGAUUUCAGAAAAGUUGCCUCUUCUUUUCUCAACUGUUAACCCAAAUACAUUGUAUCGAUAGAAUGUGGUUGGUAUCAUCAUGUAGACUUUUCUCAUGUGAAUACGUGUCUUAAAAUGUGUCCUACACGCUAGUUCUUCAACUCUCCUUGUUUGUUUUUUUUUUUUUUUUAAAGUAUUUUUAAAAAUUAUUAUUAUUAUUUAUUUGUUUUAAAUUAUUUUGAUGUUUUAAUGAUAAAAAUAAUUUUUUAAAAAUAAAAAAUAACAGGUAUUAUAAUAACAAAAUAGAUAUAAGAAAAUGUUCAUGAAAUAUAUCAAUAAAUAUAAAUUUUCAUUUCGAGUUAUUAAGAUAACAGACUUAACAGUAAUAUGUUCUCUCUACUUAAAAUUCCGGGACAAAUGAAGAUUUAAGAAAAAAAAAGAGCUUAGAAUUGAAGAAAGGAGCCGAAGAAAUGAAAGAAUGGAGGUGAAGAGAGGAAAAAUGAGGUUGAAAAAACCAAAAGUCUGCAAUUUUUUUUUUCAAGAUAAUUACAUUUUUUUAUAUAUAUAUUUUGACUCGUUUAAUGUUUUCAAUAUAAAUUUUAAGAAAUUAUUGUUGGAUUCGGUGGUCAACGAAAACAUAUUUUAAUUUUUAUAUUUAAUGAAUAUAAAUCCGCACUAUUUUCUUAUAAACUCAUUUUAUCUCUCUUCCAAAUACAAUAUCUCUCUGCAUUGUCUAUCUCUCUCUAAACAUACAAAACAGCAAUAUUUUUGUUUUUUUUCUACUUAAUCUCUUCGUAUAAAUAUGGGGAGCUGAAAACUUCUUGCCGGUGUUAUUUUAUUCAAUUUUUUUAAAAUCAUAAAAACCCCGUGUUUUGAUAAAUUAGACUGCGUUUGGUUUGCAACCAGUUUUACGCCAAGUUUGCGGCGCAAUAAACAUAUACAGUAAAGUAAUUGAUAAGAAAUUAAAUUAUAUUUUGCACUGGUUUGAAAUAUAGUUUUUAUAAAAUAGUUUUUAUAUAUUUUUUAAAUUAAAUUUUUUAAAUUUAUAUUUAUUUUUGUAUUUCAAAAGUAUUUUUAAAAAAAUUAUUUUUUUUUAUUUUAAAUUAAUAUUUUAUUUUGUUGGGUUGAUAUAAAAAAAAAAUUUAAUAAAAUUUUUUUUAUUUUAAUAUAUUUAUAGAUAAAAAUAUUUUAUAUAUUUUUUUACUAUACAUAAAUUUAAAUAACAAUUUUUAUCAAACACACUCACUAUAAUUUUUUAAAAUUUACUUUUUUUAAAUUACAAUCACGAAAACUACCUUAAAAACAAUCACAAACUCUGAAGAUUACUACGGAUGAGCAGCUAUGAUGAGCUUCGCAGGGAACUUGCUAUGAUGAGUAGCUAUGAUCAGCUUGCUAUAUUUUAUUCAAUUUUUAUUCACUAGAUACUUUCGAGUUGAGCAGCUAUGAUGAGCUUCGCAGGGAGCUUGCCUGCUUGUUUCGCCUAGAAGGGUAUAUUCUUCUUUUGAUUUGUAUCUUGCCAGGGAAAUUUGUUUCCUCGGCGUUUCAUAAAUUGCCACAGCUUGCUCUGAGAGGCAGUGAUUGUUUACUUUUAUGAUGAUUAGGAAGCAAAUUCAACAAGUUUCGGCAUUCUUACCCAUGGGUUCAAUUGGGGGAUGCUUUGAUAUAAACCUAUCUUUCAUAACUAAGCGGCAUUGUAGCAAGUAGAGAAGAUAGCUUUGGUAAAGGAAGGAAGGCUAUGGCUAAAGCACUAGUAGUAGAUCUGAUAGCUAUGUCCCUAGUAACAGAUUGUUUUCUUCUUGUUCUUUGCCAUAACGCCCAUUCUGGGACGAGUUGGAAAAAGAAUUCCUAACCUAAACCUAGUCCCAUUCCAAGACUACACUUUCUUUUCUUGGUCUGGAUCUAUCUCUUUUGUUUUGAAUCCCCUGCCUACUAGGAUACCUGGCUUGCCCCCUGUUGCUAUGUUUCGCCAAGGUUCAAUCUCAACUUUUCUGACCUUUUCGAAUAGAGCUUGUGAAGAAAAGAAAAGAAAAGCUAUUUUAAUUCCUUGACCUUUUCGAAUAGAACAAGGAAGAGUUGAAACGGUGAAAGUUGAUUUUGGAUAUACUAUUAUGAAUCCUUUGGUUCUUUUCUUCCCUAAUACAGUAGAAAAAAAGAACACCGAUGAUGCCCCAAAUUGUUCGAUGAAAUGUCUAAAAGGAAUUUGUGUUGAUGAAAUCAUAGAUGACAUUAUAAAUUAUAGAUGGCAUUUUUAUUAUUUUGAUAAAUAUAAUGAUAAAUUUAUAAAUAAUUAGAUGUUUUUUGCUGAUUUUUUUAGGAUAUUAAGUGUUAACGUUUACAUAAAUUUCAGAAAGAUAAUUGUUAUUUCUCAGGCCUUGGAUGGAUAUGAGUCACUCUUUUGUUGUUGGAUUUUCAUUCACUUAUGACGCUCAUACCCUGUUUGUCAAAAUGCCUCAACCAAUUGGACUUUUAUAACUUUUAAGAAACCAAAACUAAAACGUUUACGACUUAUUUGAAGGUCAAGUUUAUUUUCAUCAUUCUGAUUUUGAUUUUGUUGCUGUCUACUUAAAAUGCAGCUUGAAGGAAAGGGCUUCUCUCUCUUCGAAGACUCUGACAGUAUUUGCUUAAGAUGUCACCUGUGGUAGACGUUAUCGAUUGUUCAAAUAUUAAUCUCUGCUUGGUUCAACUCUAGCAAAGAUGCCAUCAUCAGUAUCACCGCGGUUGCUCUUUCUUGUUGGGGAGUCAUGAAGUUAUCUUUUGGUUCCAUCUCGGCUUUUUGUCAACGAAGUGUGUCGUAUUGACAGGGACAAACACGCACCUCUCACUCUUGCAAAUCUUGGAUUUAAUACCGAGUUUGGAACAACUACCAAAAAUAAAAGAAAUAAACCUGAGAAUCUGAAAGUGAAUUAUCCGAAUGAAGCACCGAAAAGUAGAACGAAGGCGGUUGGAAGCAACAAAACUAGAGUCGGUUCCAUUUGCUCCGAAGUCAUUUCUGAGCUUGGCCUUCCUUCGCCGUUGAUAGAAAGGUUAGAGAGUGGACGAUUUAAUGUUCCAACUAAUGUUCAAUCUGCAGCAAUCUCGACUAUUCUCAAGAACCAUGAUGUUGUCAUACAAAUAUACUGGGCUAGGGAAGACACUUGCAUAUGUACUUCCUAUACCGUGUGAAGUUGGACCUCUGAAGAAUAAAUCUUCAAGUGGCGAUAAAGAAACUCGGAAAAAAAACAGGCAUAGAAGCAGUGAUUGUGGCGCCGUCUAGAGAGCUAGGUAUGCAAAUAGUGAGAGGGGUUUAGAAGCUGUUAGGACCUGAUAACAUGAGUGGUUCAGCAACUUGUACUGGUCAAGACAGAAAGAAGAUUUAAAGAAAAACAAGCCAUUGAUUGUUUAGGGUACACCUGGCAGGAUUGCAGAGAUUAGUGCAGCUGAUAAACUUCAUACCCGUGGUUGUCAUUUUUUGGUCUUAAAUGGAAUUGAUGAGCUUCUUUCAUUUAACUUCCUGAAACUGUUAAUCUGUCCAGGCCUAUUUCUAAUUCAAGCUCAGACUCAAAUCUCCAGCCUCGGGCAACAGUACAGAGCCUUCCUGCAGCAUCCAAACGCUAUUUUGCACCGCAAGGUUGGUACUCUGAGAAGAUGUGUUCAUGCAAUGGAUGCGCAGUAUGUGAUAGCCUUCAUGAACCAUACAAGGCAGCUAAAAGAUGGUGUCUUCAAACUAGAGGCUCGUGCGAUGAAAAAUGCAGAGCUCCAUGGAGAUCUUGGCAAGCUUGGUAGGUCGACAAUUUUAAAGAAAUUUAAAAGUGGGCUGGAGAGAGUUCUCAUAACGAAUGAACUUGCAGCAAGGGGUCCGGGUGUUCCAGAGUGUGAUCUUGUUGUCAAUCUUGACUUGCCUACGGACUCAAUUCAUUAUGCACAUCAAGCUGGCAGGACUGGCCGGCUUGGUAGGAAGGGCACUGUGGUGACAAUUUGCGAGGAGCCAGGAAUGUUUGCUGUGAAGAAACUGCAGAAGCAGCUUGGGGUCUGUAUCCCUGCAUGCGAGUUUACAAAGGGCAAGCUUGUUGUCACUGAAGAAGAGAAGAAACACGCGGAGGCCUUGAGGUGAUGGACAGAUUAUUAUAUCUUUUGGUUUUGCUUAUUUCCAUCAAGAUAACGGGUAUGUUUUAUGGCAUAGUCAAUCCCUGCUGUUUUCUUAAGCAGCUUUUUGCGGCUAGAUUAUGUUGAAUUUGAAGUUUAUUAUGACAUAUUCAGUUCUUAGAGCUUAAAGUAAUAGUAAACACUUAUAAAGCCUAUGAUUAUGACCUUCAUGUAAAAUAGCUAAAAAUCAACUCAUCUAUUAAUCCAGUAGUAACAACCUAGCACCCAAUCAUGUUUAACCUGGGAAAAAAGAGGAAGGAAAAUGAUUGUACUUCAUAUGAUUGAAGAAGCAGCAGAGCAUGAUUUUACACCAGGCAUGCCCAUAAAGGGGAUUCCUUUUCUUUUACAUGCGAAAUCAGAGAGGAUUUGUUGUGGUUCAGAGAGAAAGCUAGGAUUUUAAGCAGGCACGAGAUGCGUCACCAGAUGAUUCUCUUGCAUAGCUUGUAGCCUGAUAACAGAGUGCAUAUCACAAUGACAAGGAAAGUCACAAACGACACGAUUGCGGAAAUGAUGACCGCCUUCAAGAUCGAUGCAGUUUUAUCAAUCUGUUGGAUGGACACUAUUGCUACCGAACUAGAAGAGAUCAGAAGAUAGCCUGCCACCUUUAUAUGCUUACAAAAAGAUUAGUAAUCGGGGAACUGUAUUUUCCUCAUAGAGACUGAAGGCCAAAAACAUUGAGAGAGGAAUUAAAGGGAUUGUUUUAAGCUUCUAUGAAACUGCACUUACUUGAUCAAGAAUGAAGCUCAUGUAGUCCGAGAACAUGUCUGAGAUGAGGAUGCCUCUUUGUGCAAUGUCCCAAAUACCUUUGAAGAGUUGGAAAGCAGAAUAAACGAACACCAAAACAGAUGCAAUGAAGCAGUACCUACAUAAGGAAGUAGAGUGAUCAGAUUAUUAUUUUUGACACAUAAUUCGUAAUAUGAAAAUAAAAUACCAUAGAGUGAUCAGAUUUAUUUCUUGCUUUUGAUUUGUGGGUUGCUGAAUUAAUUUUUUUUUUUAGAGCUCCUCGUUAGUGAAAAUAUGGAAACUAAAAUUUCAGAACUUUUGGUAUAGGGCUACACUUACAGCAAUUCUGAGUAGUCAGCGAAGCUAGAAGGACGUGGGCUACCCUUCUUGGAUGAUGAAGCAGCCAGGGAAAGUGCAGAGACGAAGGACAACACAAGUGCCAAGAAUCGAAGGAUGAGAUUGGAAAGGUAAACGGGAGGUCUGGUGCUCAAUCGUGCGGAGGCAUCUGAGAAAGAGAAUGGUGAAGGUGUUGGGAAUGGUUGUUGCGAUUGAGAAUUGGCUGAUACAGGCGACACAGCAGCCAUGGGUCUGCAAGCAACAACAAACAUCUCUCCUUCCUGCUUCAUUUUUUUAGUUUGCUGUCCAAGUCCAACUGCUCCUUCCUUUAAAGAAAUGGUUCCUCAAACUGCUUCCAGUGGUUUUUUCUAUGGUUUUUAGGAGAAGGUGGGGGGAGGCUUCAACAUCAACUUUGUUUUUAAGUUUGGUUCUUACAACACUCUGCAUCUUCAGUGUGUUUUUGUUAUAUUAUUCAUGGAAUUUCCAGGAAGAGUUAGGUAUUGAUGGCAAAGUUAAAAACGGACUGUAUACUAUAUAGUUGACCAUUAAGAAUAAAGAAUAACAAAUAAAUGAGCUAGCAAUGUACUGCAGCCUGUGAAAUAAAAUACAGUGGAUUCGUUUAAUAUUUUUUUUUUGGUUUUUUUUCUUCUGAUUUUCUGCCUUUUUUUCAAAGAAUUUUAUUUUUUGAUGUUGUGUUGAUUAAGAUUGAUAAUUUAUUUUGAUUUUUUAUAUAGUUUUCAUGGUUUUAAAAAAAACCAUUAUAAUAUUGAGGGGUGCUUGUCUUCGUGAAAAAGAAUUUAAUUUUAUUAUUUGUAAGAGGUUGAAAAUGAAAGUAUCAAAAUUAAAAUAAAGAAAAAAUAGCAACUCUUUUCUUUUUAAGAAAAUUGUGGUGUAACUCUAGUCCUUUUUCUUUUUUAGGCUUUGUUUAUUGAUUUUUUUUAAUAUUUUCAAUUGUAUCCUUUAAUAUUGUGUUUAGUGAUAUUUUCAAAAAAAAAUCUGAUCCCUUUAAUUUGAAAAUUAAAUGGUUUAGUUUAUUUUUUUUAUUUACAUUUUAGUCACUAAGUUUGAAAAAAAAAAAAGGAGCCUUGUUAGAAAACAACAAAGAAGAAAGAAAGAGUUAAGUUGGUUAGAUUCCAAUGACAAAAAUAAUCAAAUUUGGUGUUAAUAUUUUUUGUUGAGAGGAGUGUCAAUGAGGUUUUUUUGGAUUUUCAUGUUGCUAGAAAAGGUAGGUUCGUGUUGGGGGAGGUUUUUUUUUUAUUAUUCGAUUUUGUAUUUUUGAACUGUUUUUUUUUUAAAAAUAUAUUGUUUUUUUUAUGAGGUUCAAAUAGAGUUUAUUAGAUUUUUUAAGUAAAAAUGAGUUAAAAAUAUAGUUUUAGAUAAAAAAAAAAAAAACACUGUAAUUUCCCACAGUCUCAUGAUGGGUAGAAUUUGGAAAAGGUGACAAUGCAUCGUCUAUCAUAAUAGAAGACAUUUUAUUUUGAUUCUUUUGUUGCUUUCUCAAUACGAGAAAAAGAAGAAGCCCAAAAGCUGACAAGUCCCUGUGAAUGAGCUUGUUUUUAAAAGCCCCACACACUUGUUUUUUUUUAUAUAUAUAUAUAUAUAUAUAAAUUAUUAAACAAUUAAUAUUUAAUUUUUUAAAAUCUAAAUAAUUUAAUAUAUAUAUAUUUUUUUGUUUUAAAUUCUAAGAUUAAUUAAUGAUUUUUUUAGAUAUUAUUUUACUAAAUUUAAUUUAAUUUUUAAUUUGUUCUCAAACAAUCAUUUUUUUAUACAACCAAUCAUAUUCUUUUUUUUUUAAUUUUAUUUGGUUGCUUUACUAUGAUUGCUAAAUUUUGUUAUCAUAUAAUUAAAAAAAAAAAGUUUCAGAAAGUAAACAUAUUAAACUCAAUCAGGCCUAUGAUCAAAGUCGUGGGUUUGAUAUAUAAUAUGUCAUCGUCUCAAUAUUAAAAAACAUACAUCAUCUUAAAAAAAAAAAGUCGAGGUAUAUUUUUAUCUAUCUUCUGAGUUACUUUUAAACCUUCCAAACCAACCAAGUCAUAUUAGAUUAACUUUUAUAUGAUUUAAUUUAAAAUUCAUGCUAGGCAAAGAAUCGGGUCAAAAAGUUUCAAAGAUGACUAACUAAGCCAGGUUUAGUGACACUUUCAAAGAGUUCACCACGAUAAUGAAUGGGCAUUAUGUUAUUAUUGUGUUUUUUAACUAAGAAAAAAAAAAUUCUAGUGAAUGUUUUUUAAAAAGCUCAUUAAUGAGACAAAUGAGUUGUAGUUAUAGAUGUAUCCUUGUCCUAAUUAGUUUUUGAUAUGUCUUCUAAAUGCUUUUAGCUUUUAUUCAAUAAAUAACAUAGAAAAAACUAGUUGUUUUUUUUUUUAAAAUCAAAGAUAUUAAUAAGAAAAGGAAGUCAUUUAUUAGCAAAUUAUUUUUUCUUCAAUGAAAUUUAAAUCAUUACUCUUCUUAUAAAAACAUUAAUGAUGUAUAAUUAAAUUAAAAAUUUAAUGAUCUUCUUGUGACCCAUGAUCAAAUAUCUUUAAUUGCGCUUGUUUUUAACUUUAUAACUUAGUCUUUAGAUAGUGUUAGAAUUUCAUUUUAGUAUUUAUUAACACAUAUGAUCUUUAAUUUAUUUUAUUAAAUGCAUACAUCAUGGUUUGAGUUAAUAAUUAAGAUUUUUUAACUACUAGAAAAUACAUUUAAAAUUCCUUUUUUGUUAAAAAAAAUAUUAUGAUCCAUGAGAUAUCACGUGAAACUUAUCUAAAAAAACAAAUAACUAAAAAAACUCAAAUUUUUACUGUAAAUAAAAACACAGAUUACUAUGAAUUUGAACAAUAAUAUAACUAUUUUUUCCUUUCAAGAAAAAUCAUUGAACUUUAUAUUGAGGGUAAUAUGGUUUUUUUUCAUGGCUCAUUAAUUAUUUUUUAGCUAAUCAGGGUACAUUCUUUUUAUAUUUUUAAGCACAACAAAAUAACUUAAUAACUCUUAAAAACAAAACAAAAAAAAAAGAAUUCAAGGGCUUUUUGAAAUUUUACUUUUAAAAUUAUGAUAAAAUGAUUCAAUUACUCUUAAAAUGAUUUUUUUUUAAUUGGUGUUUAGGGGCUUUAUUACAUUUUUAUUUUAGAUUUUUUGUUAUAAUUAGGUUUAAUAAAGGAAAAUGUAGUAUUUAAAUAAAUAUAGAAUAUUGUUUAACAACUAAAAGAGGAUGGCGCGUGUAAUGCAAGUGUUAGUGUGUUAGAUAUACCUGAGCCCUACAAGUGACAUAUGAGGGGGUGUACGACGAUCAAAAGGUCACUUUUAGGGCAACAUUCAAAUUAUUUUGACUACCACUCCAGCUCUGAAUGGCCAACAUACAUCUGGUUAGGUUAGAAAAUCAAGACUAUGAGUAUAUAACCCAACAAACUAAUUUUUCAACUUGUUUAAAGCCAAAAACACCUUAAAACCAGUCGUAGAACAUGUAAAAACCAAUCUAGCAACCCAAUAAACAACUAAAAUCACAAAAUCAAUCCAAAAAAGUUUUCUCAGCCUCUAUUUAUAUAUGUUUUUAGACAAUAUCAAAGCUUAAAAAAACUAUCAUAAAACUUCUCUCACCAAGUAUAAUCUAUUGACACCAAUUUCAAUUAUUUUAGUAGUCAGAAUAGAUGUAAAUAAUGAUUUUCUCUCUAAUAAGCUAGAAUCCAAGGUGCUCUUCUCUCAUGAAAAAGGAUUGAAAAAUAAACUUUGUCAAUAAAAUUAAAAUUUUAAAACUGAAGGGACUAAUUAUCUAUAAACUAAAAAAUAUAAGGGACUAAAAUAAACUCUUUUAUAUGAAAUUCAAAUCCACUAUUUAUUUUACCUGUUAUUUUCACUUUAGUUCUAUGAUUUUUAAUCCAACUUUUUUUAAAAAAAAUAUGUAUUUGGGUGCAAAUUUGAGCUCAAAAGAACUCAAUUUAUGCAAGGAAAAAUCAAGAACCAAAUUAAAAAAAAAAUUAACCAUUCUAAACUACAAUGUGAGAAGAUGCACAGUACAAUUUGCUAUGUCAAAACAUCAUUUGUUUUAGUGUAUUAUUAAUUAAUAAUGAUGGUGGUGAUGAGGAAAAGAGGGAAAGGCACACGUCAAUUCUUGCGUGGUCAACUUUAAUUGCUGUAUUAAAGAAUCCUAAACUUGUUGCAAGUAACAAUAAUGAAACAUUAAGAAACUGGGAUGGGAAAGGAAGAGUGACAGACAGGUUAUACUAGUUCUGCCCAAAAUGAGAAGGAGAUAACGGUGACAGGUUAUUCAGCGCAACUUCCUUUCGGUUUUUAUUUUAUUUUUGACAGUGAAGUUUGGAUUUUGAUGAGAGAGAGAGAGAGAGAGAGAGAGAGAUUUCCAAGAACUAGAUAGGAGGUCGCUGUGAGGGUGUGUGGCAAAUAGUCCAACAAUCCCACGNNNNNNNNNNNNNNNNNNNNNNNNNNNNNNNNNNNNNNNNNNNNNNNNNNNNNNNNNNNNNNNNNNNNNNNNNNNNNNNNNNNNNNNNNNNNNNNNNNNNNNNNNNNNNNNNNNNNNNNNNNNNNNNNNNNNNNNNNNNNNNNNNNNNNNNNNNNNNNNNNNNNNNNNNNNNNNNNNNNNNNNNNNNNNNNNNNNNNNNNNNNNNNNNNNNNNNNNNNNNNNNNNNNNNNNNNNNNNNNNNNNNNNNNNNNNNNNNNNNNNNNNNNNNNNNNNNNNNNNNNNNNNNNNNNNNNNNNNNNNNNNNNNNNNNNNNNNNNNNNNNNNNNNNNNNNNNNNNNNNNNNNNNNNNNNNNNNNNNNNNNNNNNNNNNNNNNNNNNNNNNNNNNNNNNNNNNNNNNNNNNNNNNNNNNNNNNNNNNNNNNNNNNNNNNNNNNNNNNNNNNNNNNNNNNNNNNNNNNNNNNNNNNNNNNNNNNNNNNNNNNNNNNNNNNNNNNNNNNNUUGGAUUUUCAUUCACUUAUGACGCUCAUACCCUGUUUGUCAAAAUGCCUCAACCAAUUGGACUUUUAUAACUUUUAAGAAACCAAAACUAAAACGUUUACGACUUAUUUGAAGGUCAAGUUUAUUUUCAUCAUUCUGAUUUUGAUUUUGUUGCUGUCUACUUAAAAUGCAGCUUGAAGGAAAGGGCUUCUCUCUCUUCGAAGACUCUGACAGUAUUUGCUUAAGAUGUCACCUGUGGUAGACGUUAUCGAUUGUUCAAAUAUUAAUCUCUGCUUGGUUCAACUCUAGCAAAGAUGCCAUCAUCAGUAUCACCGCGGUUGCUCUUUCUUGUUGGGGAGUCAUGAAGUUAUCUUUUGGUUCCAUCUCGGCUUUUUGUCAACGAAGUGUGUCGUAUUGACAGGGACAAACACGCACCUCUCACUCUUGCAAAUCUUGGAUUUAAUACCGAGUUUGGAACAACUACCAAAAAUAAAAGAAAUAAACCUGAGAAUCUGAAAGUGAAUUAUCCGAAUGAAGCACCGAAAAGUAGAACGAAGGCGGUUGGAAGCAACAAAACUAGAGUCGGUUCCAUUUGCUCCGAAGUCAUUUUCUGAGCUUGGCCUUCCUUCGCCGUUGAUAGAAAGGUUAGAGAGUGGACGAUUUAAUGUUCCAACUAAUGUUCAAUCUGCAGCAAUCUCGACUAUUCUCAAGAACCAUGAUGUUGUCAUACAAUUAUAUACUGGGCUAGGGAAGACACUUGCAUAUGUACUUCCUAUACCGUGUGAAGUUGGACCUCUGAAGAAUAAAUCUUCAAGUGGCGAUAAAGAAACUCGGAAAAAAACAGGCAUAGAAGCAGUGAUUGUGGCGCCGUCUAGAGAGCUAGGUAUGCAAAUAGUGAGAGGGGUUUAGAAGCUGUUAGGACCUGAUAACAUGAGUGGUUCAGCAACUUGUACUGGUCAAGACAGAAAGAAGAUUUAAAGAAAAACAAGCCAUUGAUUGUUUAGGGUACACCUGGCAGGAUUGCAGAGAUUAGUGCAGCUGAUAAACUUCAUACCCGUGGUUGUCAUUUUUUGGUCUUAAAUGGAAUUGAUGAGCUUCUUUCAUUUAACUUCCUGAAACUGUUAAUCUGUCCAGGCCUAUUUCUAAUUCAAGCUCAGACUCAAAUCUCCAGCCUCGGGCAACAGUACAGAGCCUUCCUGCAGCAUCCAAACGCUAUUUUGCACCGCAAGGUUGGUACUCUGAGAAGAUGUGUUCAUGCAAUGGAUGCGCAGUAUGUGAUAGCCUUCAUGAACCAUACAAGGCAGCUAAAAGAUGGUGUCUUCAAACUAGAGGCUCGUGCGAUGAAAAAUGCAGAGCUCCAUGGAGAUCUUGGCAAGCUUGGUAGGUCGACAAUUUUAAAGAAAUUUAAAAGUGGGCUGGAGAGAGUUCUCAUAACGAAUGAACUUGCAGCAAGGGGUCCGGGUGUUCCAGAGUGUGAUCUUGUUGUCAAUCUUGACUUGCCUACGGACUCAAUUCAUUAUGCACAUCAAGCUGGCAGGACUGGCCGGCUUGGUAGGAAGGGCACUGUGGUGACAAUUUGCGAGGAGCCAGGAAUGUUUGCUGUGAAGAAACUGCAGAAGCAGCUUGGGGUCUGUAUCCCUGCAUGCGAGUUUACAAAGGGCAAGCUUGUUGUCACUGAAGAAGAGAAGAAACACGCGGAGGCCUUGAGGUGAUGGACAGAUUAUUAUAUCUUUUGGUUUUGCUUAUUUCCAUCAAGAUAACGGGUAUGUUUUAUGGCAUAGUCAAUCCCUGCUGUUUUCUUAAGCAGCUUUUUGCGGCUAGAUUAUGUUGAAUUUGAAGUUUAUUAUGACAUAUUCAGUUCUUAGAGCUUAAAGUAAUAGUAAACACUUAUAAAGCCUAUGAUUAUGACCUUCAUGUAAAAUAGCUAAAAAUCAACUCAUCUAUUAAUCCAGUAGUAACAACCUAGCACCCAAUCAUGUUUAACCUGGGAAAAAAGAGGAAGGAAAAUGAUUGUACUUCAUAUGAUUGAAGAAGCAGCAGAGCAUGAUUUUACACCAGGCAUGCCCAUAAAGGGGAUUCCUUUUCUUUUACAUGCGAAAUCAGAGAGGAUUUGUUGUGGUUCAGAGAGAAAGCUAGGAUUUUAAGCAGGCACGAGAUGCGUCACCAGAUGAUUCUCUUGCAUAGCUUGUAGCCUGAUAACAGAGUGCAUAUCACAAUGACAAGGAAAGUCACAAACGACACGAUUGCGGAAAUGAUGACCGCCUUCAAGAUCGAUGCAGUUUUAUCAAUCUGUUGGAUGGACACUAUUGCUACCGAACUAGAAGAGAUCAGAAGAUAGCCUGCCACCUUUAUAUGCUUACAAAAAGAUUAGUAAUCGGGGAACUGUAUUUUCCUCAUAGAGACUGAAGGCCAAAAACAUUGAGAGAGGAAUUAAAGGGAUUGUUUUAAGCUUCUAUGAAACUGCACUUACUUGAUCAAGAAUGAAGCUCAUGUAGUCCGAGAACAUGUCUGAGAUGAGGAUGCCUCUUUGUGCAAUGUCCCAAAUACCUUUGAAGAGUUGGAAAGCAGAAUAAACGAACACCAAAACAGAUGCAAUGAAGCAGUACCUACAUAAGGAAGUAGAGUGAUCAGAUUAUUAUUUGUUGACACAUAAUUCGUAAUAUGAAAAUAAAAUACCAUAGAGUGAUCAGAUUUAUUUCUUGCUUUUGAUUUGUGGGUUGCUGAAUUAAUUUUUUUUUUUAGAGCUCCUCGUUAGUGAAAAUAUGGAAACUAAAAUUUCAGAACUUUUGGUAUAGGGCUACACUUACAGCAAUUCUGAGUAGUCAGCGAAGCUAGAAGGACGUGGGCUACCCUUCUUGGAUGAUGAAGCAGCCAGGGAAAGUGCAGAGACGAAGGACAACACAAGUGCCAAGAAUCGAAGGAUGAGAUUGGAAAGGUAAACGGGAGGUCUGGUGCUCAAUCGUGCGGAGGCAUCUGAGAAAGAGAAUGGUGAAGGUGUUGGGAAUGGUUGUUGCGAUUGAGAAUUGGCUGAUACAGGCGACACAGCAGCCAUGGGUCUGCAAGCAACAACAAACAUCUCUCCUUCCUGCUUCAUUUUUUUAGUUUGCUGUCCAAGUCCAACUGCUCCUUCCUUUAAAGAAAUGGUUCCUCAAACUGCUUCCAGUGGUUUUUUCUAUGGUUUUUAGGAGAAGGUGGGGGGAGGCUUCAACAUCAACUUUGUUUUUAAGUUUGGUUCUUACAACACUCUGCAUCUUCAGUGUGUUUUUGUUAUAUUAUUCAUGGAAUUUCCAGGAAGAGUUAGGUAUUGAUGGCAAAGUUAAAAACGGACUGUAUACUAUAUAGUUGACCAUUAAGAAUAAAGAAUAACAAAUAAAUGAGCUAGCAAUGUACUGCAGCCUGUGAAAUAAAAUACAGUGGAUUCGUUUAAUAUUUUUUUUUUGGUUUUUUUUCUUCUGAUUUUCUGCCUUUUUUUCAAAGAAUUUUAUUUUUUGAUGUUGUGUUGAUUAAGAUUGAUAAUUUAUUUUGAUUUUUUAUAUAGUUUUCAUGGUUUUAAAAAAAAACCAUUAUAAUAUUGAGGGGUGCUUGUCUUCGUGAAAAAGAAUUUAAUUUUAUUAUUUGUAAGAGGUUGAAAAUGAAAGUAUCAAAAUUAAAAUAAAGAAAAAAUAGCAACUCUUUUCUUUUUAAGAAAAUUGUGGUGUAACUCUAGUCCUUUUUCUUUUUUAGGCUUUGUUUAUUGAUUUUUUUUAAUAUUUUCAAUUGUAUCCUUUAAUAUUGUGUUUAGUGAUAUUUUCAAAAAAAAAUCUGAUCCCUUUAAUUUGAAAAUUAAAUGGUUUAGUUUAUUUUUUUUAUUUACAUUUUAGUCACUAAGUUUGAAAAAAAAAAAAGGAGCCUUGUUAGAAAACAACAAAGAAGAAAGAAAGAGUUAAGUUGGUUAGAUUCCAAUGACAAAAAUAAUCAAAUUUGGUGUUAAUAUUUUUUGUUGAGAGGAGUGUCAAUGAGGUUUUUUUGGAUUUUCAUGUUGCUAGAAAAGGUAGGUUCGUGUUGGGGGAGGUUUUUUUUUUAAUUAUUCGAUUUUGUAUUUUUGAACUGUUUUUUUUUUAAAAUUAUAUAUUGUUUUUUUUAUGAGGUUCAAAUAGAGUUUAUUAGAUUUUUUAAGUAAAAAUGAGUUAAAAAUAUAGUUUUAGAUAAAAAAAAAAAAAAACACUGUAAUUUCCCACAGUCUCAUGAUGGGUAGAAUUUGGAAAAGGUGACAAUGCAUCGUCUAUCAUAAUAGAAGACAUUUUAUUUUGAUUCUUUUGUUGCUUUCUCAAUACGAGAAAAAGAAGAAGCCCAAAAGCUGACAAGUCCCUGUGAAUGAGCUUGUUUUUAAAAGCCCCACACACUUGUUUUUUUUUUAUAUAUAUAUAUAUAUAUAUAUAUAAAUUAUUAAACAAUUAAUAUUUAAUUUUUUAAAAUCUAAAUAAUUUAAUAUAUAUAUAUUUUUUUGUUUUAAAUUCUAAGAUUAAUUAAUGAUUUUUUUAGAUAUUAUUUUACUAAAUUUAAUUUAAUUUUUAAUUUGUUCUCAAACAAUCAUUUUUUUUAUACAACCAAUCAUAUUCUUUUUUUUUUUAAUUUUAUUUGGUUGCUUUACUAUGAUUGCUAAAUUUUGUUAUCAUAUAAUUAAAUAAAAAAAUAGUUUCAGAAAGUAAACAUAUUAAACUCAAUCAGGCCUAUGAUCAAAGUCGUGGGUUUGAUAUAUAAUAUGUCAUCGUCUCAAUAUUAAAAAACAUACAUCAUCUUAAAAAAAAAAAGUCGAGGUAUAUUUUUAUCUAUCUUCUGAGUUACUUUUAAACCUUCCAAACCAACCAAGUCAUAUUAGAUUAACUUUUAUAUGAUUUAAUUUAAAAUUCAUGCUAGGCAAAGAAUCGGGUCAAAAAGUUUCAAAGAUGACUAACUAAGCCAGGUUUAGUGACACUUUCAAAGAGUUCACCACGAUAAUGAAUGGGCAUUAUGUUAUUAUUGUGUUUUUUAACUAAGAAAAAAAAAAAUUCUAGUGAAUGUUUUUUAAAAAGCUCAUUAAUGAGACAAAUGAGUUGUAGUUAUAGAUGUAUCCUUGUCCUAAUUAGUUUUUGAUAUGUCUUCUAAAUGCUUUUAGCUUUUAUUCAAUAAAUAACAUAGAAAAAACUAGUUGUUUUUUUUUUAAAAUCAAAGAUAUUAAUAAGAAAAGGAAGUCAUUUAUUAGCAAAUUAUUUUUUCUUCAAUGAAAUUUAAAUCAUUACUCUUCUUAUAAAAACAUUAAUGAUGUAUAAUUAAAUUAAAAAUUUAAUGAUCUUCUUGUGACCCAUGAUCAAAUAUCUUUAAUUGCGCUUGUUUUUAACUUUAUAACUUAGUCUUUAGAUAGUGUUAGAAUUUCAUUUUAGUAUUUAUUAACACAUAUGAUCUUUAAUUUAUUUUAUUAAAUGCAUACAUCAUGGUUUGAGUUAAUAAUUAAGAUUUUUUAACUACUAGAAAAUACAUUUAAAAUUCCUUUUUUGUUAAAAAAAAUAUUAUGAUCCAUGAGAUAUCACGUGAAACUUAUCUAAAAAAACAAAUAACUAAAAAAACUCAAAUUUUUACUGUAAAUAAAAACACAGAUUACUAUGAAUUUGAACAAUAAUAUAACUAUUUUUUCCUUUCAAGAAAAAUCAUUGAACUUUAUAUUGAGGGUAAUAUGGUUUUUUUUUCAUGGCUCAUUAAUUAUUUUUUAGCUAAUCAGGGUACAUUCUUUUUAUAUUUUUAAGCACAACAAAAUAACUUAAUAACUCUUAAAAACAAAACAAAAAAAAAGAAUUCAAGGGCUUUUUGAAAUUUUACUUUUAAAAUUAUGAUAAAAUGAUUCAAUUACUCUUAAAAUGAUUUUUUUUUAAUUGGUGUUUAGGGGCUUUAUUACAUUUUUAUUUUAGAUUUUUUGUUAUAAUUAGGUUUAAUAAAGGAAAAUGUAGUAUUUAAAUAAAUAUAGAAUAUUGUUUAACAACUAAAAGAGGAUGGCGCGUGUAAUGCAAGUGUUAGUGUGUUAGAUAUACCUGAGCCCUACAAGUGACAUAUGAGGGGGUGUACGACGAUCAAAAGGUCACUUUUAGGGCAACAUUCAAAUUAUUUUGACUACCACUCCAGCUCUGAAUGGCCAACAUACAUCUGGUUAGGUUAGAAAAUCAAGACUAUGAGUAUAUAACCCAACAAACUAAUUUUUCAACUUGUUUAAAGCCAAAAACACCUUAAAACCAGUCGUAGAACAUGUAAAAACCAAUCUAGCAACCCAAUAAACAACUAAAAUCACAAAAUCAAUCCAAAAAAGUUUUCUCAGCCUCUAUUUAUAUAUGUUUUUAGACAAUAUCAAAGCUUAAAAAAACUAUCAUAAAACUUCUCUCACCAAGUAUAAUCUAUUGACACCAAUUUCAAUUAUUUUAGUAGUCAGAAUAGAUGUAAAUAAUGAUUUUCUCUCUAAUAAGCUAGAAUCCAAGGUGCUCUUCUCUCAUGAAAAAGGAUUGAAAAAUAAACUUUGUCAAUAAAAUUAAAAUUUUAAAACUGAAGGGACUAAUUAUCUAUAAACUAAAAAAUAUAAGGGACUAAAAUAAACUCUUUUAUAUGAAAUUCAAAUCCACUAUUUAUUUUACCUGUUAUUUUCACUUUAGUUCUAUGAUUUUUAAUCCAACUUUUUUUAAAAAAAAUAUGUAUUUGGGUGCAAAUUUGAGCUCAAAAGAACUCAAUUUAUGCAAGGAAAAAUCAAGAACCAAAUUAAAAAAAAAAUUAACCAUUCUAAACUACAAUGUGAGAAGAUGCACAGUACAAUUUGCUAUGUCAAAACAUCAUUUGUUUUAGUGUAUUAUUAAUUAAUAAUGAUGGUGGUGAUGAGGAAAAGAGGGAAAGGCACACGUCAAUUCUUGCGUGGUCAACUUUAAUUGCUGUAUUAAAGAAUCCUAAACUUGUUGCAAGUAACAAUAAUGAAACAUUAAGAAACUGGGAUGGGAAAGGAAGAGUGACAGACAGGUUAUACUAGUUCUGCCCAAAAUGAGAAGGAGAUAACGGUGACAGGUUAUUCAGCGCAACUUCCUUUCGGUUUUUAUUUUAUUUUUGACAGUGAAGUUUGGAUUUUGAUGAGAGAGAGAGAGAGAGAGAGAGAGAGAUUUCCAAGAACUAGAUAGGAGGUCGCUGUGAGGGUGUGUGGCAAAUAGUCCAACAAUCCCACCGAUCAGGUCAAAGUCGAAGUCAUGUAAGACAAGCUCCCCGUAGUUACUGUGGUCCAUGCGCCGUGGAUUGACCUGGAUGAAGAAAUAGCUUGUGCAGUGAACCCAUCAGCAUUGUUCUCUGCACAUCUCCUUCACGCCCGUAUUUUGCCCUGAGAAUCCUAUCACCGUAAUUAUAACAAAGGACCGACAGAUUGGACUGAAACUGAUGCUACAAUUAGCUUGUGAAAUUCAACAAGAACCAAAAUGAUCGAUUCAGAUUUAUAGCAGUCCAUGGGCUACAGGUAUUUUAUUAAGCCUGGCAUUGUUAUUAGGAAUGCAAAAGAGAAGAACCUUGUAAAAUGCCAAAAUGUCAGGAAAAACGAUGGGUUGAGAACAUACUUCCAGCCAAGUUCUUCCUCAGCUUUCUCCGUAGGAGCAUAACUUGACAGGGAUUUUCUGAAAACAGAAUUUAUAGUGAACACUCUGACUAGCUGCAUUUCUUUAAGAGAAGGAAUGACAGGUGAGGAGAAGGAACAGUCACCUGGUCAGAAGCUUUUUCAAAUGCGCCAUUACCAUCCUUUGUGGGAUAGUCAUCACUGCAUACAUUAAGCUCAGGAAAUCUGCCACCAGGUACUUGUUGUAUGUAGGGCAGGUGAUUGUUUGGGAUACCCUUGGAAUAUUCUUCACCAAGUUUACCACUCUCAUGAGCUCCCCAGCAGGGUUGAAGUAUCUGAGUAAAAUGAUACUCCAUUCUGGUUCUGCCUUUUGAACACCUUAAGCAAAUUCUUCAAGGAAAAGCUAGCAAGGAAAAUACAAAAAUGUACAAAAGGCAAAGAAACAGGACCACUUUGACAUGAAGAAGGCCACCCCAACUCCAGCAUGUUAAUCCAACUUCAAACAUUAAUCAUAAGACUAGUGCAAAUACAGGGGAAAAAGGGGAAUACAAGCAAAAGAAGAUUUAUACCUUGGUCCGUCCAUAAGGAUACAUUGCCAUUAGCUUGAAGUCCUCAACACAUGGAGUGUCUUUUAGUUGGCCACAAAAAGUUGCAGAUGAUGACCUUUUUUUGGAAGUACUCAACACAUAAACUCUAAUGUAUUUUUAGCUUUGAACCGAACUCGGUCCAACUAGAACAAUGAAUGCAUAUUUUACUGUUUAUGGGUUUUUUUCAUAUAAAAAGCAGUAAAGAGCUGUUUCAUGUAAACAUGUGGCACAUCCAUAGUUGAUGAUGGGUUCUACUAGCAAGAAAUUAUUUUUGUUGCAAUACCAAUCAACAAUAAUUGUGGCUGCGGGUGAACCUCAUCCGUAACCAACAAUACCAAAUAGCAUCUAAGUACCGGCUAGAAAUAAACCAAAUAUAAAAUAUCAAAACAUCAAAAUCUUUGUUUAUGUGACGGGAAAGCUUGAGUUCUCUUUUUUUGGAAGUCCUCAACACAUGAACUCUAAUGUAUGUUUAGCUUUGAACCAAACUCGGUCCAACUAGAACAAUGAAUGCAUGCUCUACUGUUUAUGGGUUUUUUUUCACAUAAGAAGCAGUAAAGAGCUGUUUCAUGUAAACAUGUGGCACAUCCAUAGUUGAUGAUGGGUUCUACUAGCAAGAAAUUACUUUUGUUGCAAUACCAAUCAACAAUAAUUGUAGCUGCGAGUGAACCUCAUCCGUAACCAACAAUACCAAAUAGCAUUUAAGUAUCGUCUAGAAACAAACCAAAUAUAAAAUAUCAAAACAUCAAAAUCUUUGUUUAUGCGACGAAAAAGCUUGAGUUCUCUUUUUUUGGAAGUCCUCAACACAUGAACUCUAAUGUAUUUUUAGCUUUGAACCGAACUCGGUCCAACUAGAACAAUGAAUGCAUGCUCUACUGUUUAUUGGUGUUUUCACAUAAAAAGCAGUAAAGAGCUGUUUCAUGUAAACAUGUGGCACAUCCAUAGUUGAUGAUGAGUUCUACUAGCAAGAAAUUAUUUUUGUUGCAAUACCAAUCAACAAUAAUUGUGGUUGCGGGUGAACCUCAUCCGUACCCACAAUACCAAAUAGUAUUUAAGUACCGUCUAGAAACAAACCAAAUAUAAAAUAUCAAAACAUCAAAAUCUUUGUUUAUGCGACGGGAAAGGUUAAGCUCUCUUUUAAAUCAUUAAACAAAAAAUGAAAGUUAUAGUUUCUUUACAAUCAUAAAAAGUAUUAAUAAUUAAUGUCUGACCUUUAGGGCUAAAAACAAGCAAAAUUCCUCUAUUUUAAGAGGGAAAGUGAUAGGAUCAAACCUCUACAAUACUAAUUUAAAAAUACAAAUAAUAGUAUAUGAUUUAAGGUUUUUUCUUUGAUUUUUUUCUAGGACCUAUCAAAUUAACAAGAUCAUGUUGGAGUAAAUUUUAUACAAUUUAAUUUAAAAAAUUAGGCUAAUUAAAGAGAGUAGAGACAAAAAUUUUCAAAUUUGAAUUGUUAUUUGAAGUUUAAUGAUAAUGCUAAAAGUUUCGAACGAUUUAGAUAUAUUUUUUUAUAUGUAAAAAAAUUAGGUUCAAACCCACAAUAAAAAUACGAGCAAUAAACUAGUUAUGUGUGAAAUUAUCAAAUCAAGUUUAAUAUUUUUUAUUGACCGAAAUUCGUUGUCCAUGGUUGUUAUUGGGUAAGACCUUCAAAAGAGUUCUACCCGAUCAAGUGGAAAUGAGUUUGUACACACACCUAAUGUAGUAAUUGUGAUUGGAGGUGAGUAACUUUUUAUUGUGAAGCUCAAAGUUGUUUAGGCAUCCCAGUAAGAAUUAUGGGGAAAAAAAGAAAGAUAAAUUCCUCCCACACACUUCAGUACUCUACUUGGAUAUAAAAGGUUUGUAAGGUAGAAUGCGAAAAGGUUUAAUUUGAUACCUGCAACACUUUCUUCUACUAUAACUUCAUCCACACAUACAAUAGCUGAACUUCUUGUGAACCAGUACAAGAACUUGAGACCCAUCAAUGGAGGAUCAAGGAAUUAUAUAGAGUUCACUCGAGCUAGGGCUGAAUCUUUUUGUAUACGGGAUUUCAGGGACAAUCCUGAAGAGUUUCUGGUUGUAUAUAAAGGGACUCUUGCCUUUGAAGACCAUAGUGGAGAACCAGUUGGUGGAUUUGAUGAGCGAUCUCCACUUCUAUAAUUUAUCAAAAGAUUUUAAUGCAUGUUUUACACAGUUCUUAUCACCUUGCUGCCAUUCCUGACUUUCAUAGGAUUUCCCUGAGACGUGCCUAAGCUGUCGCACAAGUAUCUAAUGUUUUCGGAUUGUUUAGAUAUAAUAAUUUUUAAAAAUUAAAAAAUAUUAUUUUAAUAUAUUUUUAAAUAAAAAAUAUUUAAAAAGACAAUCACAAUCUCCACAAUAUUCCGCUCUUCUCCUUUGAUGCUAUCUGGUUGGGCUUUAUGGGGUUGUUCGGUUUUGACAGUUAUUGGGCCUGUAUGGGCCUUCUUCUCUUCUCCAUUUGCCGCUCCUUGAUUCAUGAAUUCCUUUUACCCCCAUAGAUAACAAUUCAGGGAAAGCAACUGAAAAGCGACCCGUGAAUCUUCUUGGGUUUUUGUUCUUCAUAUUGUUUCAAAUUUCACGGGUAGAAGCCCCUGCCUGGUUCAAGAUCAUGGUAAUAAUGGUAUAGUUCAUUCCAGCUAGAAUGCUUGCCCUAUACUGCGGUCUGAUUAUAGAGCAAAUUAGCAGAUAAGGUCAGAUUGAGCAGCUUGUCUGUUAUGUUUAAUAAAUUUAGGUGUGGGUGUGGUGGAUCUACUAGUAACCUCUGGUGAUUAUUACACUUGAAAGUGUUGUUGGCUUGGUGGACUGCAUAUAAAGCCUUGAAAUCCCUUCACCUUUUUCUCCCCCUGUAUUUUAUCAUUAGACUCCACUCCUACUUUUUAUUUGGGAAAUAUCCUGUGAAUGCUAACGUUAUUGCUCAUAAAUAUUCAUGUUUUUGCAUCCUAGCUUCAUGCAUCCAAAUUAAAAAUCAAACCAGCCAUAGCUAGAGAGUGCCUGCACCUUCUUUUUUGAACUGAUUUUAAUCUAAUAGAUACUAAUUUUAUAAAAAAUACAGUUCCAUCGCAUUCCAAACCCCGACUAGGGAAUAGCUAAAAGUGAAAUUAAGUUAAAAUUGUUAAUCGAAAUAUGAAUGACAUAAAUUUAAGAGGAUUGGAGACGUGGAAGCAAUCAAUUUCAACGAGUGAAAACUAUUCCGAAGAUAUAUAUACAGUGUUUCAAGAGAAGAGAGUUGUUAACACUAUUCCUUACCACUAGAAGACAUAAUCAUACACAAAAAUAAAUAAAGUUAAAAAAAAAUACCCCAAAAAAGCAAAAGAUAAGGAAUCUUCCAUGAAAACUCAAUUGCGUAAAGCAUGGCUAUGGAAUAAAUGAAGCAAGUCGUUAAAGAUAGCGUAUAAGAAAAUAAAAUGAAAAUCACAUGCAUCUCAUACCAGAGAUAUUCUAUGCUCCCUCGCACCAAAAUUGACCUAAUCAACACCAAAUUACAUCAUCAUAUCAAUGGAAAUCUACCACGGUCAUGAUUUCAAGCACCAAGUUACUAUCAUGCAUCACGAGUCUACUGCGGUCUUCCUUUUUCCAAUAAUUAAUCCCCCCCCCCCCUCUCUCUAAAAUAAGCUUUUGUUUGUAUUUUGAUCUCUGUCCACCUUUCUUUUUGUUUGUGACUUUUCAGCUUCUCUUCUCUUCUUUCUUUUAUUCUGUCCGAAGCAAACUGACACUGUAAGUUUAUAUAUUUUCACGUACACUGUAAGUACAAAGACUAAAGCUUCUGCCUUCCAAUUUCGAGCUUGAAUUUAUUUCUUUCUUUUUUUGAGCUUAAAAGGACUGUCUCUUAGGUGAAUUUUGAUGUUUCAAGAGUUUCUAUGUUUCUUUCAAGUGAAUUUGGAGAUGGGUUUUUAAUUUUAAGCAUGGUUGUUUCGUAUAUUUUGCUCUUUAUUUAUUUUUUUAGUUUUUGGUUAGUUUGUGAUGUUCAAAAGGUUAGGACAUUUAGAUCUGGUGUUGAUAGAUUAUGUUUUGGGUUGCUAAGGUUGAGGAGGCUAUGUUAGUCUGUUUUGAAAACUGGGGCAUUGAAGACCGGAUCUAAUUCAAUAACAGUUGUUGAGUGCAUGCCAAGGUCUUUGUGGUAGUGUGAAAAUGGUGUCUUUGUCUUCUUGAAUUUUGUUGAAUUGACCUGGAGUGGACUAUAACUGUAUUAGAAUUCAAGAUUUUCGCUUCCAGUGUGGAUUAGACAUUAGUUAGGGGAUAAAAUGAGGGGCCAAGGUGAUAAUUUCCUCUUGUAAAAGAAGCGCACAAGAAACUAAGAGUUGCAAAUCAUACACGUGGUAUGACCACGGUGAUCAGAGGAAUUUAUUCAUGAAUUUGGAAUCAACUCAUCAAGGAUUGAUGUCAAGAUAAGAGUUAAAUCGUUAAAAUUUGUCAUAACAGUCGAUGUAUACAGGUACUUUAAAGUCAUCAUGCCCACAUUUUAAUCAUGGAGUUUGGUACCACAAACAAACGGGGAAUUUUCCGCCAUGCUGUUUUCACUGAUUAUGGAAUACUGUGCCUUGUUUUUUUCUUUUCCUUUUCCUUUUUGAAUGUGAUUUUAAUUCUGGAUUUUAUGCUUGGGCAGGUAUCUUUGCAUAGCUGCUGAUAACGAAACGCCAAUACAAGUUUCUAUUCCAACUCAUCAGAUUGACAUUCCCAAGCUGUGUCAUUUUCUGUGCUCCUUUUAUGGGGUUUUUUUGCUGGCAAAGCAAUUAUGUUAAGUAUAUUUGUUGCAUUCAUGGCAACUAAAUUGGUGCAAUUGUGAGAGUUCGUGUGGAUCUUUAGUUAGAAUUUGCUGUCAUUUCGUCAGUUGUUGAAAUAAAUAUGCGCUCGUGGUGGGGAAAGUCUUCAUCCAUAGAGGAAAAUAAGAAAGCAAACAAGGAAAGUUUCAUUGAUACAAUAAAUAGGAAAUUGAAGAUUACAUCAGAAGAAAAGAGCAAUGGUAAAUCAGGAGGAUCUUGGAGAAGUUGUAAAGAUACUCUUUCAGAAAGGGGCUCUUUAUCCCGUGUCCCAUCAAGAUCACCAUCACUUUCCUCACAUGUAUCACGUUGUCAAAGUUUUGCUGAAAGGCCUCAGGCUCAACCACUUCCUCUUCCACUUCCGGGGGUGUGCCAUCCUAGCAUUGGGCACAGUGAUUCUGGAAUUGGUGCUUCAGUGAAACCAGGAUUGAAAGGAGGUGCCAAGCCGUUGCAUCUUUUGCCCCUUCCACGACCUGGACAUGUCCCUAAUAGACUGGACCAAGCAGACACAGUGGGGGAUAUAGCCACUGCUUCCGUGUCCAGUGAUAGCUCCAUAGAUAGUGAUGACUUGUCUGAAUCACGAGCCCUUAGCCCACUCACAUCUGACUAUGAAAAUGGGAACAUAACUGCUGUGAACAGCCCUCCAAGGUUAGCUUCCAUACGUGCCAUUGAAAGUUUUAAAGUGUCUUUCCAGGUUUUGUUUUUAUCUCUGACAAAAUUUGUUCUUAUGCCUGCUGAAGCAUUAUGCAACAGGAUCAAUCCCCAAUUGUAAAUAAAAAGAACUCAAUAGAAACUUUGAAACCUGCUAAUUUACCUGUAAAUAAUCAGAUUCUGCCUACACCACCAAAACGGGCAAUUUUUAGCUCUCAAGUGCAGAAUUUACAGAUUCCUCACCGAGGAGCAUUCUUUAGUGCUCCAGACAGCUCAUUGUCGAGUCCUAGAAGCCCAAUGAGAGCAUUUGGCACUGAGCAAGUUAUCAACAAUGGUUUCUGGGCAGGAAAGACCUACUCAGAUAUUGGUUUACUAGGAUCUGGACAGUGCUCGAGUCCAGGUUCAGGCUAUAAUUCUGGGCAGAACUCGAUAGGUGGAGAUAUGUCAGGACAGCUUCUUUGGCCAAACAGUAGAUGCAGUCCUGAGUGUUCUCCAUUACCUAGCCCCAGAAUGACCAGCCCAGGUCCCAGCUCCAGAAUACACAGUGGUGCUGUCACACCUCUGCACCAUCGAGCUGUAGGGGUUACCAUAGAGUCGCCUACAAGCCGUCCUGAUGAUGGAAAGCAACAAAGCCACCGCUUGCCUCUUCCCCCGAUAACAACCUCUCCCUUUUCUCCUACCUAUUCAACUACAACAUCUCCUUCAGUGCUUCGAAGUCCUAAUAGGAUGGAGAAUCCAACAAGUCCUGGUUCACGCUGGAAGAAAGGUCGUUUACUUGGGAGAGGCAGUUUUGGAGAUGUAUAUCUUGGGUUUAACAGGUCUGUACAAAGGUUAUUGCUAAAUUCUUUAUUGUACAGACAUGAGUGAUUUAGCAUCAUAAAAACAUAAAGAAAAUUUAUUCCAUAAAUGACAGGGUGGGGGAAGCAGAUCCAUUUAGUUUCACUGCUUGUUUGAGAUUGAGACUAAAUUGAGUUGAGUUGACAUUGUUUCAGAUUAGUUAUGACCUGUGCAAUUACAAAAUAUUUGUUUUACUCUUCUAUGACAUUUCACCUCUGUAAAGCAACUGUCGAUCUGUCAUGGUUCUUUCACCAUCUUCAUCAUUGUCAUGUGUCAAGUGAUAUUUUAAUCCUUCGUUUACUUCACAGUUGAACUAAAGAUAUGUCUCCUCCUCCUCCUCCUCCUCCUCCCUCCACAGCUCACACACACCCUCUUUAACUCUUUCUGCAUCCUCCUGGGGUGACUUGUUUGCAACAGUAUCUCGUAGAGUUCCCAUCUGCAAUUGUCAUCACUAUCACCAUCCUUGUCAUUGUUAUCAUGCAUUCAAAUCUUAUGUUUUUUAUCAUUUCAUUUCAUGAUUAAACCGGAUAUUCAAUGAUAUUCUUGAACACGUAUCUGUCUCCAUACUGCAUUGAGUUAUCAACCAUUUACCAUACACAUUAUUUUAUACAUUUUGCAUGUCUUGUUUAAUUUAUUUUUUUGUUUGGACCUUAGUGAAAGUGGUGAGAUGUGUACAAUGAAGGAGGUAACUCUAUUUUCAGAUGAUGCAAAAUCAAAGGAAAGUGCACAGCAGCUGGGACAGGUAACGUUUUUUUUUUCUUGUGUUAUUUCAUAAGUGGUUUAAGAUAUCUUGUUGUUUGUCCUCUUCUCAGAACUUUUGAGGAAGAUUUUCUAGUUAUUGAUAACGUGUGCAGGAAAUUAUGCUUCUGAGUCGCUUAAGACAUCCUAAUAUAGUGCAGUAUUAUGGAUCUGAAACGGUAACAUUUUUCAUACCAGCUUUAUGUUACCUCCUUAAAGAUUCUUACAUUCUGAAUAAUUUCAUUUUACAUGUUAUUAAUAAACUAUUGAUUUCUUAUGUUCAUCAUUCCAAAUUAUUGAGACUCCAGAUAUGUUACAGACUUGCAGUAAUUUUAAGUAGACUAUUUGUGAUAUUUUCUGGGAUUUUUAUAAUUCCAUUGUAUCAAUAUUUUUUCAUUUAUGCCUUAUGGCAGUGUGUUGUCUUUAGAUACUUUAUCAGAUUAAUGAAUAAGAUUUUGCUAACUGAAUUGGUUUAUUAUUUCAUAACAGGUGGAGGACAAAUUGUAUAUAUACUUGGAGUAUGUGUCUGGUGGCUCCAUCUAUAAACUUCUUCAAGAAUAUGGCCAAUUUGGUGAAAAAGCUAUUUGUAGUUACACCCAACAAAUCUUGAGUGGGCUUGCUUAUUUACAUGCUAAAAAAACUGUCCAUAGGUGAGCCUUAUAAUUGCUAUCUCAUGGCUUUAAUAUCGAACCAUAAUUUACUCUAAUCUCUUAUAAACAUGACCAUGUUAAUGCCAUAAGUUUCUAUUGUGUUCAGAGACAUUAAAGGAGCUAAUAUUCUGGUUGAUCCCACUGGCCGUGUGAAACUGGCAGAUUUUGGGAUGGCAAAGCAUGUAAGGAUUUUAUCUGGAAUUUUAUUUUCUCUAGUUACGCAAACCUGGAAAAACACGUUGACUGCCUUUGCCAUUUGUUUAAACAAUGCUAAAAUAUGUUGGUUAUGUAACCGAAGGAAAUUAAUUCUCUAUAACUGCUAUCUGUUUGGUUUAGUUGCAAAGCAAGAGCGAAAUUUACUCUUAUGCAUAUUAACCUAUAGGCAAUGUGCUGUACCCAUUUUAACUCGGUUGAUCUCCAGAUAUCUGGGCAGUCUUGUCCAUUGUCAUUCAGAGGAAGCCCUUACUGGAUGGCUCCUGAGGUCAGCCUUGGUCAAUUGUCACUUUCUGAAUUGACAUUUCUUUGUGAUGCUUUUAAGUAACACAUUUCUUAAAUUCAUUAAUUGUUUUCAGGUUAUAAAGAAUUCAAAUGGUUGUAAUCUUGCUGUUGAUAUAUGGAGCCUUGGGUGCACUGUCUUGGAGAUGGCAACAACAAAACCACCUUGGAGCCAGUAUGAAGGGGUUAGUAAAAUCGAAAGACAACAGCUUGAAUUUUCUAGCCAUACAACUUGUUUUGCAAUUUGAAUGGCACUGCUUGCACAUCUAAAUAUGUUUCUUGGUCAGAUUGCUGUUGUGCUAGAAUUGAUCUUAUUUCUUACCCGCAUUUUUCUUCACUUCUUGAAAGGUUCCUGCUAUGUUUAAGAUUGGAAACAGCAAGGAACUUCCAGAAAUCCCUGAUCAUCUGUCAGAUGAUGGAAAGGAUUUUGUGCGGCAAUGUUUGCAACGGAACCCAGCACAUCGCCCUACAGCUGCUCAACUUUUGGAUCACCCUUUUGUGAAAAAUGUUGCUUCCAUGGAGAGGCCAUUUGUUUCCAUUGAGCCUUCAGAAGAACUGCCUCCAUUUAUGAAUUCAGGAAGAUCAAUGGUAUUCAGAUUUUUUCUUAGUGCCUGUUAUGAUAUUAAGUAUUGCAUUUUUUUUCCUCACGGAUUAUAUGAGAUAAGUGGAAGUUCUAUUGCUACUGUUUAUGGAACUUAAAUAUUUUUUUUAAAAAAACAAAAGAUUUCAUCUCAUAAAAAGAAGAAAAUAUACAGAGGAAGUCAGGAGAAUAAGCCAUCUUCCAAACUAAGAAACAGAGCAUAACUAAACUAUGAUAAUAAGCAUCCCAAACUCAUGGUACUUCAAUAUUGGCUGGCAGUUAAGUAAAUGAAUGGAUGAAUGUGUUAAGUGGGAGUUACUAGCUAUAUGGUUAGUUUUAUCUUAUGCACAGAAACUUAGACGGCUAGUAUAUGUGAUCUUGUCUUAUCUUGUUCAUGUUUUGCUUGCUAAUGCUACCAUUAUGUAUUUUGUUUUCUUCGUGAUGCACUAUAUGGAAUAAUUCCUUUCACUUCGCCUGACUUAUCUGUUGUGGCCUUGAUGAUGUUUCUUGAAUUGACUGAUGGGUUGAAAUUUUGGAACUUCCAAUAGGGAACUGGACCUGCAAGACAUGUUUCAGGCUUCGACUCAGACGAGAUUGCUAUCCAUCAAUCUAGAGGGUCAAAAUUUGGUUUGGGGUUUAGGUCCCUCUUCUCUCUCUCACUCCCUCCCUCCCUCCCUCCCCCACCUUUCCACCCACACACUCACACACACACAUGUGUGCACUUGCCCUUUUUUUUUCUUUGCACCAUUGCAUAUGAAAGAUUGUCUGAUGAAGUUUGUCUAAUGUGUUGGUAGGAUUACUGGCAUGUCUAGUUCUGUCUUAUCUGAAGACUGACUAAUACUGCACAAUGCAUUUCAGCUAGAGAUUUUUCAACAAGGCACAGAAAAAAAUAUUAUGUCAGUUUGUGUUUGAAAUUCAAUGACUUGCUAUGGGAGCAGUGUUGAAGGAAGUCAGUGUUCAAAGACCUCUUUUUUCUAGUCAUCUUCUCCCCCAACUUGCAUGAAAUGAGUUGGAAGCAUUAUUACAAUUUUUUUACAUUGGAUGUUAUUAUCACCUUGUACAACUGCCAGCAAUAAAUCAUCCUGCGUUCUUUGUUCUGUCAAUAACUUUUAAUGUGAAGACAUCUUUCAUUGGUUUUGCUCUGUCCCUGUAACAUUUUGUCCUCAUUGCCCUGAGGUGCAUUUGAAAUUUGAAGCUGCAUGUUAGCAUUUGCUGUAUUGAGGGGAGAAAUCCUUGUUCUUUAGCUAGUUUUCUUCUUAUUAUUAUUAAUUCGAUCUUUUUUCCUAUUUCAGUAAUGUCUAUACAAUGAAGAACUCGUCAUGUCCAUUGUCUCCUGUUGGAAGCCCUCUUCUCCAUUCAAGGUCACCACUGAAUUUGAGUGGAAGGAUGUCUCCAUCUCCUAUAUCUAGCCCUCAUACUGCAUCUGGUUCAUCCACACCUCUCACUGGUGGUUGUGGCGCCAUUCCAUUUCAUCACGCAAAGCAGCCCAUUACUUGCUUGCAAGAAAGCACAGGAAUGAUCCCUAGGUCCCAAAGUAGUUUCUAUCCCAAUAGCAGUAGCCCUUAUCAGGAGCCAAAGCCUGAUCUAUUUCGAGGUGUGUCACAAGCCUCUUGUGUUUUCCAGGAAAUAAUUUCUUCAGAAAACAGUGCUCUUGGAAAUCAGUUGGGACAGGCUGAACUCUAUGAUAGGCACCCUGUUUUAGCUGAUCGCGUGUCCCAGCAGCUCCUAAGGGAUCAUAUGAAAUUGAAGCCCUCCCUGGACCUAAAUCCUAACUCAUCAAUUAUUGGCCACUACAACGGAAUCUAAAGUCUAAACUAUGCAUGAAUCCAUCCAUUAUCAGAAAAGGUUUUCUUGGCACUGUUAACUCCUGAUGCCUCCUCUAUCUUUUUCAUUCUAAUCAAGGGGAGACAAAUCCUAUCCGUGUGCUAAAAAUAAAGACUGGACAAGUGAUCCUAGUUGGUCAGAUCUUUUGGAAGCUUCAAGGGCUGGAGAGAUUUCUUGGAAAUUGCCUUGGAGCUUUGUUUCAUAGUUCUUAUGGCAAGCAAUCAGUUAGCUUAGAUAUGGGAGGACUCAAGUGUGGAAAUUUGGUAGCACUUGCAAACUAUUCCACUUGUGUUGGUGAUUGAAGCUCUUUACCUGGCAGCUAUAUACUUUACUGAAGCCACUAACUCUUUUUUUUUCUCACAACUUUGUUGACCAACAGUCGUUUGCAAACUCUUUAGUGUAUGAAGAUUUUGAUUAUGCCGAGAAAAUUGCCUUCUGAGCUCCCAUAUUCAUCAGCUCCUCACAAUCAAGUGUAUAACUGCUAGUAUAUAGAACCGAGAUUUAUUAUACUUGGAAUGCAGAGAUAGAAAGGGCUACUACCAUUUGUGGAUUUCAUAGCUUUUAUCUCCCCUAUAAUAAUUUUUGGGUGGAAGGGUGUGGUGGGAGUUGAAAACAAAUAUUGCACAGAAAGACGAUACCAAGUUGGAAAUCCAGAUUUUUGUGAAGAUGACAGUUGAGAAUUUGCCAGGCUUGGCCUGUAUUUCCUUAAUCAGUUUAUAACAGCUCAGUGCAAAACUUGUUGUGGGCUGCACUGCUGAUAUUCUUGUAUCUAAUGUAUACAGUUAUACCUAGCAUCAAAUGAAGAAAUCUGAUUCAACCUGUGCACUAGAGCAAAACAACCUGCAUUUGUAAAUUUUGGGGACAGUAAUGAGCCAGGUUUGUCUUUAAAUCUAGUUCUGCCGCAUCAUGACUUGAACCGGAAUGUGUUUUUGAGCCAGUUUUGUAUAUCUUUUAUAGCAUCAAACCAAGCAAAUUCUUUCAUUUACUUUUUUUAAAAAAUUGUUCAAUGGACAUAGAAUGUCCACAAGAGUACAAACAACUUUAUUUACUGCCAAAAAAACUAUGAAAGAAUCCUGACUAUUUUUUGUCAGUGAUGAUCAAGCUGAAAUCCCAGAGCUUUUUGGCCAAUUCUGCAUCUUUGGCCUGAGAGCUUGGUUCUGCUAUGUCACGGUCCAUAAAAUAGUUUCCACUCAUCCCUUUAACUUGAACUUGUGGGUGCAAUGCAAUGUGGCAUGUAGUUGCUGCUCCCUGUAACCAGAGUCAAAUGAAAUGAUUAAGCAACCAGGCCUCAUGGAGUUAAUAAUGGAUUGUAAGUAGCAAACAGAUUGAUUGUUCAGACAACAAUUUCAUCAUUGUUUUCCAAUUUGCGCACUCAGUUUACCCUAUUGAGAUAAAUUUCUGCGAUGUGUUUCUCAGGACUUUGAAAGCCAUACCUGCUGAACAUUUUUUGUCAUGUAUUUGCCGAACAAGCUGAAAAUAGCUGCAUCGAGACCAAUGGAUGGGAAAGAUAUUAAUAAAACCAGGCAAUUUUCGGUACUGUGAGUGAAAAAGAAGAAAUACACAAAGCUGAUUAUAGUCGAAAGGUCCAUGGCAUAAGCAACAAAUACAAGUCAUUAAAGAUUUUUCAAAUGUUCUGUAAAAUAUGCAAGAAGACCAACAGUUCCGUAAUCCAACAUCAGAUUAAUCAAAUCCUGUAAAACAGUAAAGGUAUGUUGUCAAAGCACAGAAUAUCAGAAUGAUCAAAUGAAAAGGCUUGAGAAAAGUCUACCAUUAACAAAACCCCGGUGACGCAGAAGAUUGGUAUGGAUUGCUCCGGGAUGUAGUGAAUUAGCAGUUAUCUCUUCCCCUUCUUCCUGUAAAUUCAGGCGAUAAUGGACCGACAAUUUUGUAUUAGAGUCUUCCUAUCAGUAUAAUGUGAUUACCACUCACAUUUCAACCUAAGACAUUUAAUUUGUUCAUAUUUUGUGGUGGUAAUCUUCAAUACCAAACUGCUUAAAUUGGUGACUCAUGGUGUCUGAUAAAGAAAGUAACUUGAGUACAGCCAAAAAAAGAAACCUUUAUUGUGAUACUAGGUAAACAAAAUUAAGAUAAUUUUAGGACAUUAUGCUUUAAUUACCUUCAGGCGCCUUGCAAGCUCAUUGGCGUGCAAUAUGUUAGCAAGCUUUGAUUGUCCAUAAGAAAACCAACUAAUAGAAUAGGAAAUUAUCAGCCAUCAGAAAGAGCAAGGAAGACAGAAACUGCUGAUGCUCGAUGAAGACAUUGAACAUUAUAUGUAGGAACUUCAAACCAUGGGCACGAAUAUUCCUGCCAUCAAGCUGUUUCCUACCUCGCCUCGUUACAGAUUUUAUCGAAACAAAUCCCUUCACGUCUCAUAAUUAUGUUUGGGAUUUUGGAACUAUAGCGGUGGCACAAUUAUAAAUUUCAACUUUAUUUACAAAACUAGAUUUUUUUAUAUUUUUUUUCUCUUUAUACUUGAUAUUUUUUUAUUUUUUUAUACUUGAUAAUUAUCAUUAUAUAUGAUAAUAUGCAUGCUAAGGUCUGUAAUUUUAAAUAUUUAAUUUUAUGUUUAGAAUGCACAAGUUUUGUUUUAAAUCCUUUUACAAGAUUUGGUUUUUUACCUUGUUUUAUAAAAUAAUAUUUGAUAUUAUAAUUGCUCAAAAAUACAUAAAAAUAAUAUAUUUUUUUAAAAAAAUAUUUUUAGCAUUAAUACAUCAAAACAAUAUAAAAACAUUAAAAAAUUUAAUAAAAUACAGUUAUCCAUCCUGGUAAGACCAGGAUGGAGAGACAAGAUCAUUAUAGGAGCUAAAUUGUCUUUGUACAAACCACUCCUCUCUGUCAAGAAGAAUAACGCACACUCUUCACUCUUGUCAACUGAUAAUAAGCUCUAGGUUAAUCUGAAGGGCCUGCAGUCUUGAUAAAGUAUUUCCAUGUUAAGCUUGACCGGCUGCUUUCUCACCAGCUUUCCAGGUGGAUGAGCAAUAAACUACGAAAUACUACAAACAUAAUUACACAGGAAAUCUUCUUUUUCCUAGUCCAAUUCUUGACUACGUUGGAGAAGGACAUGGGGGCAUGGUCUUUGUAGUUCUCCUUGUGUCCAUAAGACUCUGAGAUCCCCUCUUUUCUUCCCCAACGCCAGGAAAGUUCCUGCAUCAACGCAUGAAUUUUAUUUAUAGGGUUAAACACUAAACCAUUUUGCUUUUUCAGAUUGUUUUCCACUCUUUCUGUGAAAAAGAAUUUACCAAGGGUGAAUGGGACGAUAUAUAGCAGCGCUGGCUGCCCAUGGCCAUCCAUCAAGUUCAGUGCAACAUAAGUAAUGAGAAGACCUGCCGCGUUUCAUGAUUAAAAAGGGAACAUGUAAGAGAAAAGUGCUAUUUCAAAAUUCCAAAGUAUAUGAACAGCACAACAGUCCUCUUUAUCCUUUCAUUUUGAAAUGCAAUUUAGUGGUUCCAAUAGAGAAAGGAGAAUAGUUUGAUAAUUCCAUACCUAAUCCGUAAGCAAGCAUUGCCCAUGGGAAGUACCCAGCACGUAGGCUCUUAUUUGCUGACCAAUCAUACCUGCAAGAACAAUUGAUUUGUUUAUUUUUUUAGUAUAGAAAAUCUUGAUGAAAUUAAGAACUUGCAAGCUGAAAAAGAAGCCCAGGACCAAAGGUGGAGCAGCAUGCCUCAUCGUUUUUCUACUUCAAAAAUGCCAAGAGUGUUUAUUGAAGCUCAAUCAAAGGAGAGCUGUUCUUUAGCUGCUGUUAUCUUUCUGUUGUAACAAACUGUAUUCAAAUAAUUGUUUUGAUUGUACCAUAUUUUGUGGGAUAUUCUUUGUAAACCGUUUGGGAUGUUUAUGAUCUAUAUAAAUCCCAUUCAAUGUGUUAAAUAAUAAGAUCAUUUUUAUUCAGCAAUUACUUCUCUUAAGGUCUCACGGUGCUAUUCUGUUUAUUUGGAGAAAAAAGACAUGGCAGAUUUGGAUUCUUAUAACUUGGAGAGCUAGAACUACGGUUGCAAAUAUUCUUACAACAACUUAGAAAGCUAGCAGCUAAAGCAAGCAUCAGAGCUUUGAAAUAGAACGGAAGAAGAAAAGAUACUGCUAGAAGGUGAAAGCCCCAAUUUCGUGAUCCAAAUUGCUGUAACUGCAUUUUUCCCUGUCUUUUUAUCUAUUUUUUAUUUUAGAAAAGAACAGUUUGCAAAAAAGAAUUCGUUGAUCACAGAAAUAUAAAAAAAUUAGCUUAACCUGGAGGGAAAUAUGAGGAAUAAACACCAGAGAAUGCUAGCAAAUAUCAAGUUUACAAGUAUACAAAUAGGCUAAGGGUAUACUUCUUGCAAAGGCAUGCCAGAGAAUCAUGGAGUGGAGUGUAAACCUGAGGGAAAAUGCUAUCAGCAACCCAGGUAAAAGGAUGUCGCCAAACCCUAUGAUGCUGUAACCACCCCAAGGAUCAAACAAGCGUGGAAUCUUUAACAGCAUUGGGAUACCAUCCUCUCCACUUCUAUCACCACGAGCCACCUAAGAAAAAAGGUGUGGCCAAUCUUUAUACUUCAGCAAGCAAACAAAUUGAUUAUCGAAAGUCAACCAAAAGAUAAACGUGAUAGAUAGUAAAAGUACCAGGGGAUUACUUACCACAAUCAUGACGCUUUCAUGGAACAACUUCUUGGAAACAAACACCCAAAAGAUGUCAUACAAGAACGCACAACUGAGAAGAACAGUACCCACCUGAUUUACAAACAUUUUCACUCAUUUCAGAAGAACCACUGAGUCACCAGAAAUAGUAUCUGUCCUAAAAAUUUGCUCUAUCUAAAUCGACGCUGAGUGAUACUAAACCUGGUAAAACUAGAAUGAGUACAGUUGAAAGAAUAAAAAGGCAAAAAAAGGCAAUUAAGAAAAGAUAAAAAUGAUGGGAAAUAAAAAAUCUAAGGGGCAGCCUAUGCAGGCCCAUUACUUGGUGCAACAGAAAAAGUUUUAAGCUCACAACCACAAGGAACGAUUCUUCCUCACACCCUGCCUUGGUGGGGGCCAAAACUAUCGCAAUAACUUGUACUUAUUAGCUUACUAGAUUUUUUAAGAACAUUACCUUGAGAUUAGGUACUUGGACAAUUUGCAGAACAGUGAUUAUCAGUGCAAUUCCCUGGUUUACAAACAAAUAAAGGACAAAGGAUUAUUAGCUGAAUUGCUCCACUUGACAACUUCACCCAAAAUGAGAUAUACGAGAUAGAUUGCAAAAGGCCAUAAUGUAUGCCACUUAUUAUCCAUUUCAUUUUGGAGUCAUUAAUUAUUAGUGGGAUUGGAAUGGAAAGUACAGUAGAUGGCACUACUAAAGCAGCAACCAGAGAGAGAAUUCUUUAUAAUCUUGAUAAUUGGAAACUUGAAAAUUGCAGAAAGCAUUAACCGAUUUGGAAAGAAGGUGUCCUUACAAGUAUAUCUUGACCUAUCCAGGCAAAGGAGAGAUUGCGAUGCAUAGCCCAACCAACUGCAAAUGCUAUGCAGAAUGGAGAAACAGCUAACGUUAGGUACGAGAGAGCUCCAAAGAUUGGUACUUUUAUGUAUGAUUCUCCAGCAUGCUUGAACCACCUGCACAAUUAUUGUAACUUUAGCUCCCGACCACUGAACUGGUAGAAAAUACUUAGGUAAUCUGACAGCAAGCAUCCAUGGAUAACCAGCUCUAUAAAAACUCCCAGCCAGUAACUUCAAAUACUUAAUAACUUUUCAUAUAAUCCCUCCCUCAACAGCUGCAUUUUAUACAAUAACAUUUAUAGCACUGGAUUGUAAUCACAAAAUGAGCAAACGAAACUUCCUUAGGAGGGGGUGUGCAAUUUUCACUGUUACACUACUUUUCUGGAAACCUACCAACAAAUAGGAACUUUUAACCAAGUUCCCCAAAUCAAAGAUUAAAGAAUAGUUAUGAGCAACUGAAAUAUGGAACGUGGCUAGCAAGGAGUUUAAAAAGUGAAAAAAAUUCAGUAACACAGUAAGUCAUUUAUAAAUAAGAGACUGAUUAUAUACCUUGACAAUAAAGCAACCAGGCAAGUUUGCAAGCCCUGCAGAUGCAUGAAACUACAUGCUUAAAAUUGAUUCCAGCAAAAGAAAAGGGAAAAAAAAAAGGAAAACAUGAACAAACCUGUAACAUUAGGAUGUUCAGAUGUCAAAAAUUUUGAUCACAGUUUGCAUAACAAUUACCACUUGUAAGCAUGGUAAUAAUGCAAGUAGACAUGUACAUAAAUGGUAAGUAUUUGCUACUGGCACCACAUUCCAAUCACGAUUUCAGUGUCAAAAGGGAAAAGUCAUACCUCCACACCACCUAUGCAGAACAGGACCACCAAAAGCUCAAUGAACCAAUAUGACAUGAGUUCGUAAAGUAGGACCAGGAAGCAUGAAGCAAAGACAAUAAACAGGACAGCUGAUGCUGUAUUGAUGUCUAGAACACUACUAACACCCACAGCUUUAUCAUUUGGAACUUCAUCCACAGCAUCCUACAUGAAGAAGACAGAAUCAUAAAUCAGUAAGAAAGUAGAAGUUGUAAGGAAAAAAAUAACUCUUCAAGAAGAAAGUGCUAAGAUGAUGCUAUUUUGCAAAUAUUGUCCAAAAAACCACCUUCAAUAGCUUGUCCUGUUCGGCAGCUGCUUCUCUGGCAGUCCACGCAGACCAAUAAGAAGCGCACAAGAUGGUACCAACAGCCAUUAACCACAAAAAGACUUCGGCGACAUCAACUAAUGGUCGCUUUGGAGAGUAAAGCUGCACAGACACUGCAAACAGGCAAUUAUUUUUAGACAACUCUUCCACAAGAAGGAAACUGCCAAUAUAUGUACGCAGCACAUCAAAGCAGAAAAGUAGUCACCACCUAAACAAAUGGACAAACAUCUUCAGAAAAAUGAAAUAUCCAAAAGCAGGUAAGAUCAAGUUAACAGAUGAAUUUGCAUGUUACCCUGAAACCAUGUGGACUAUGGAAGAGAACUUACCUGAUAUAUUAGUCAACAGCAUUUUUUCCAAGCUUGCACCAGCAUCUUGUGGGAGUAUAAUAGCAGGUAUGUGUAUAUCUACAUCAGUUUCAUCUGGCUCACAGACCAUCUUGUAAAGUUCUGUAGAGAAGGGAAACAAAUUCCAGGCAAAAUAAGCCGCAAAAUAAGCCAUAGCGAUAGAAAUUGACAGUAAAGGACUUUAUAUUGCUUGUCAUGACCAAGCAAGCAUUGGUGUAAGCAAAUUGUGGGUAAAUUCAAGAGAAGUUCCUCUUCCAUGUCCAUGAAGAUUAAAAGGAUGAUGUGUUUAAAAGAGUUCAAAGAAGAAUUUCACAUGCAAGUUCGUGGAUGGAGUUCAAGCAGCUGUAAAUGUAAUCCUAACAUACCUAUUAAGUUAAAAAUGGCAGAUUUAUUGGGCUUUGGGAAUUAACAAAACAACGUCCAUAAAAUGAGUGUAGCUAAAAUGAAAAAGUUCAGACGGAAAAGGGAUUGGACAGGAUGGUGGAAAAAGAUUCAUAUUCCCAAUAGCUUUAAGAAUUAGCGUGUUUGAUUGAGUUGACAUCAGGGCUAUUAUCAUUGUUUGCUGAGAGCUUCCAUUAAGAUCCCUACCGAUAAGAAAUGCAUCAAAUAUAGCAGCAAAUACGCCAAUUACCUUUUUGGUUAUUUAUAAUGAGCACAGCUGAAGCACCAGCAGCUUCUGCAUUAUUUGCUUUGGUUGUGAACUUGCAGUGACCUCGGUGAACCAAGAUGACAUCUCUAUCAAGCUAACAAAUUGAAGAACAUCGACUUUAGUAAAUGUCCACAGCAUAUCGAUGAAUUAUACAACUACGUUCAAAUAUCUUGGGCAUAUAUAAUAUUACUAAGUAUAAACCUUGUGCUUAGGUGCACUACAACAAUCUGGAGGAUCUGAAAGUGUAAGGCGAAUUUGGUUUGCAUUUUUCUCUUUUGACACAAUGGUAGUGCCAAAUCUAGCACCCACGCCAACAAAUUCAGCAUCCUCUUCUCCACCGACCCAAGUUUGAACUUUUACCUAACAAAACCAGCCACUAAGUUAACAGAUAAAUAAUAUGAAUUCAAUCAGACUCUAGAGCUAACUAAAGUACAAUUGCAGACCCCGUAAAAUCUUAUGAAGGCAACUUUCCGACAAAACCAGAUAACAAACAGUUGGCUCCAAUGGAAUGACCUAAAUCAAAAGAAAGGUUGACAUUUCUAUCACUAAAUGUUUUUCCCAAUUAUAGCUCAUAAUAUAAGUACAUUUGAUGUAACCUAAAGAACCCAAAAGAGAGCCGAAAAGGGAGACAAGGACCAGUACUAAAUUAUGGUCAUAAAAAGGAAAGAAACCAUCUUCAAAACUGUACUUUAAAACUUUUCUAAAACAUGCAAAACGAAGUCAACCCUAGAGGGCAAAUCAGGCACCAAAUCCAAAUACACAGAAUCAAAACCUCAACAAGAUCACAAAUUUACAAACUCCAACUUUUGAGGGAUCACAUUACUAGCUCCAGAUCACACAAAAUUGUAAAACAGAAACAAAAAAAAAUCAAAAACAUGUAAUCAUGUUAAAACAAAUAUAGUUAACAAUAACCAAUUAAACAUUUAUACAAUUUUAAGCUACAACUAAACCAUAAAAAUACAAACAAAAUACACAAAAUCCAAGCAAUGAAAAGAGAAAAUAAUCAAAACCCGGUUGAGAAACCAUCAAAGCAAGAACUGGGUCGAUAUAAAUAAUCAGCAUUUUAAAUGUUACCAAAACGAAGUCAUUUUCACAGCCAGGCUUUUUGGGAGCUAAGUUAUCAUCAUUGACUAUAUCUCCUGCUGUCACAGAAGAUGGAUGACACGCCAGUGAAAUCACACCUGUUAUAGUGAUUAUAGAGCACAGUUUUCUAAAAUCCAUGGAUUGAUUUUAAGCUAUCUUUCUUGGCGUUCUCUUCUUUCCCUACUAACAUAAAUGAAAAUUUAGAGCAAGAGAGAGAAACAGAAUCUUGUCUUGUCUUGUCUUGUUCUGUUCUGUGUUCUGUAGCCGUGGCAGGUAUGCUAUUCGGACAGGGUCAAUUAUAAUGGGUGAAAAUAUUUUUAUUUAGAAAUAUAUUAAAAUAAAAGUUUUUUAAUUUUUAAAAAUUAUUUUGGUAUUAAUAUAUGAAAAUAAUUUAAAAAUAUAAAAAAAUUCUUUUAAAUUGAAAAAAAAUUAAAAAUUUUAAUAACACAAUUUACAUUUUACACCAUGUUUCCAAACACUAUAUUUUUAAAAUUAAUUAUUUUUUUAAAUAUAUUAAAAUAAUAUUUUUUAUUUUAAAAUUUAUUUUUAAUAUUAACAAUUAAAAACGAUUUAAAAAUAAAAUAAUAAUAAUUUAAAAUAAAUUUUUUUACCAUGAAAAUAAACACAAUCAUAGUAAAUAGUAAAAUAAAUAAAAAAGUGAGAUCACAGACAAAGAUCAAAACUGCAAUUAGUAUUCAACAAUCAUGAUUAAAAAGAUAAUAUUAUUCUGAUUUUUUUUAUACAAUUAGUAAUCAUGAUAUGAAAUGCGUUUCAUAUACAGCCUCUUUGGAAUUUUUUGCUGAGUAGUAAGCCUAAUUUUCCCCUUUUUUUAUUUUCCACUUCGGUUUUAAGUUUUUUGAAAAGAAAAAAGAAGAAGAUUUCAUUAAUAUAUUAAUAAUAUCCAGCCGGGGAAAAAAAUUUAAUUAUCAUAUAAAAACUUCAAUACAUAUUUGAUUAAUACAAGAUUCAAAAUUUUCAGAGAAACAUUAUUAUCAUAUUUCGAAUCAUAAUUAAUUUUAAGUUUAAUAACUUAAAUGAGGUGAGAAAAAAAAUAUUAUUUCUAUUUAUUUGUUUUUAAAAAAAUAUUUAAGAAAAUAACAGCUACCAUAUUACCCAGUAACUUAAGUAAUUAUCAAUAUUGAUGUUAAACCUUUUACUUUCCGGGCCUAAGUGAAGGCAGAUUUGAUCCAUCUUGUCACAUAACUUAAGGUUUGGCGGAGGAGAAUAAAGUAUUUGCAGGUUUUUCAAGCUUCGAAAGAAACAGGACACCUCCCUGGACUUUAUUCCCUUCACCUUCAACAGGCUAGAGGAAGGUGUAGUAUUUUGCUGAAUAAAGUUGGCACUAAUUGAUCAAAUCCAAAUGAAAAGGAGAUAAACUAUUCCUAUUGACCGACCAUCCAUGGUUGCAGCAUCCAUGCAGCCUGUUUUUGAGAGGAUGACAUUAAAGAAGAAAUCAAUCUCAAAUAUUCCGUUUUCAUGCCUAGUUAUUUUACUUGAUGCAUUGAAACUUCAGAUACCCCCCAUCAUGGGAAACACAGAUACAAAGUUAAUUGAAAGAGCAUCCCUCAUCUCACUUGUGCCCAUGUUGAAAACAAUAUAAAUCAAGUAUCGAAACUAGGAUCUUUGAAAAUGUCAAAAUAGUUCUCUCCUACAUCUGGUAAGGAUUGAAACCAGGCAAAAACAAUAUAGAGAUGUUAGGAAUCUUGUGAUCCAUAGUUGAGUUUCACCUCGAAUGAAAACUAUUUUGGGAAUUGAUAACCAUCUUGAUAUGACGUUAGUCUACCAUCAACUUUGUAACUAGAAUGGUUGAGGAAGUUGCUGGCCAUCAACUGUUCUGAGAAAGAGUAGCUUCCCCCCGGAAGCCUGGUGGCUCCUCCAUUCAUGUUCAGACCUGGGGUGCUGCUUUCACGAGCUAGAUUUUCCAAGCUGACUUGGGUCGGGAUGUUAAAACUACUAUUUGCAGCCUGAAGAAAUGGAAGUGGGAGUCCAUUUCCAACCAUUGAUGACAUGGUGCUGUUUUGGUUGAAGUAACUGACGUCUCUGGAACUCAUUUGAGCAAAGCUUCUACUUCUUUCUUCUGGCUGCAUGCCCUGAAAGUAUCCAUGAUGACUGCUUGAACCUAGUAUCAGAUUCGAUCUUUCUGAACUCAUGCCUAUUCGAUUCCCAGCAAAUCUUGGUUGAAUAGAGUUCAAUGAAUAUGUGUCCAACCUAUGGUUUGCUUCAAGAGGCUUUGUUAACACAGUAGGCAGUGUUAAGUACAUUGAAGAAGCUACCUGAUUGGAGGAGCCAGUUGGAAACAUUGGCUCGACAGUUAAUGCCAGCCUUUCUCCUUUGUUCUUCUUGCCUGACGUCAUGGAUCCAAUCGCUUGGGCAUAAUCAGAUUGAUGUUCAGGUGCUUGAUGGUGAUUAUUAGAAUCAGUGAUUUUUCUGCCUUUUGCAGACCUCUCUAAAGAUCCACCAUUGCAUUGAGCUCUUAUGCCCAACACAAUACUCUUUGGCUUCUGCACUUGCACAUUCUUAUCUGAAGGACUAGGUUUAGAAUUCAUCUUGGCAGAUAAUGCCAUUCUUUCUUCUCUUUCCUUCUCGGUUGUUGUCAUGGGUACAAUUGCUCGGCUAAUAUGACUAUCCAAUGUUAGACUGCAAUUACUAGAAUCAGUUGAUUUGUUGGUUUUGCCAAACCCUUCUGUAGACCCACCAUUGCAAUCUUGAGAUCCUUUGCACAAACUGAAGGCAUUUCUAUGUUGCAGGAAAAUGUUCUCCUGAAAAUUCUUCUGAUGAUGCACUUCGGUGUUCUCCUGAAAGUUGAUUAGGUUCUGCCUGUGGACAUUCUCCGCAAACUUAUCAUGGGGCUGCGCUUGGCCAUAGCCCUGAAUGUUGUUUUGAUUCUGGACUGGUAUGUUCCCGAAAGUGUUUUGGUUCUGAACUUGUGCAUUCUCCUCAAAGCUGGUUUGAAGCUGCAAUUGAACUUUCUCUCCUCUAAAGCUGCCUUCUCUUGUUUCCAGCUCAGAAACAGUCUCCUCUUCCACCAAUUUCUGCAUUUCUUCCCUCAUCCACUUCAACAAAUUCUCUCUUGAAACUUUAAGAUCCUCUAAUAAAAAGUUCAUGUACUUCUUAAAAUCAUCAAAUACAGCUUGUUCAUCAGUACUGGGUUUACUCUUCUUACGGCGGACUUCUCUGUGAGGGCCCUUCUUCUUUUCAUUAGGAGUUGAAUCAUUCUUUUUACUCCUCCUUCUUCGGCCAUUUUCAGCUUUCCCAGAUUUCAUUUGGUCUGAAAUACCAGGAUCACAGUUGCCAAUCGGGUGCAAUUUACUAGCAUCACUAGUUUCAUCAUUAUCAACUGAAAUGAAGCUCGAGAUCAGUUUGUGUUUUUUUAGAGCUGGUUCGCCACUUGGUUUUGAAUCAUUGCUUGAAGAAUCAGAGUCGUCGUCUUUCCUCCUAAACUCCCAGCAUUGCUGCAGUUUCAGUUGCUCUGCCAUUUUAGAAAUGGGGGACAUCAUGAAAAACCAGAAUUUCACUAACUCUGGACCAUCAAAUAACUUGGAAGAUGUUGAAUUAUCAAUGUUAUUUUUUCAUCCCCUGGAGGAUCACAGCACCAAUUCCUGCCCACGUAUCAUCAAGACUCCAUGAUUUUCUGAAGUGCAAAAGCUGCUAGACAAUCAAACAGCCCACCAAACUUCGACUUCAACUCAUUAAGCAGGAACCUGACUACAUUGAAACUACUUCAAAGUGAAAACAAGUUUAUCAAACAAAGAGCAACCAAUAAUCAAAGAGUAAUGAAUUCAAUGACUUCAUGGAUUCUAUGUACUUUCGAGAUUGUGUAACGACAGGCUCAAUAUCUACAGAAACACAAACCCAUGUGUAAAAGAAAGAGCACAAUCUUGAUCUUAAAGGAACAAGUGUAUAGUUUCAAAACCCCACCUCACUAAGGCCUGAGAUGAAAACCAGCAGAAAACAAAUCCAAUUCCUGAACCUCAAAUACCUUUCAAUGAGGCAAUAAAGUUCAAAUAAAGGCACAAACUUGCAUAGCAAACUGCUAUUUUAUAAAAUCCAUAAUCAGAAACAAAAUGCAGAAUAAUGCUUCAAUCAGAGUUUCAAAAGAGAGAAUAACAUAGCAUAACAAAACUAGUGAACAGAUACUAAUCAACUUAUAGGAUAUAUCUACCAUCUUGUAUGUUGGUCUCAUAAACCCAAAACACCAGAACAAUACAGAAAAGAGCUUCAAACAAUUCCAAAAUACAAAUAUAAUGUACAUAAAAUCCACAAAAAAGAAAACUGGAUUCAAAGUCAUUCUCUUUUUCAUGAUAUUGCAUACAGAAAGAAAAGAACAGAAAGCAAAAAAGAGCAUUAACAAAUAAAAAAGAUUCGGAAUAAAAUCAUAAGAGCACAAAGUAAUGAGUUUUUCAUAGAUGGACAUAAACUCACCAUGUAACAAGACAAGAAGAUGCUUCUCUCUCCCCCUCUCUCUCUCUCUGUCAAACAUCAACCUCUAAGUCCCAUUUCUUUCAGUAGAGCUGUUUUCACUGUGGCAUUUAUAUCUCCACUCUCUCUCUCUUUAAAAGGCAAGAAAAGAUAUGUUUUCGUCUGUCUGUGUAGUGUUUCCAUCUGUGCAGUGUGAGUGUGUUUUGCUGUUUAUGGAAGUGAGUCAGUGAGUUGGGUGGUAAGUAGCAGAGAGAGUUAUGGGUGGCAUUUUUAACCCUUUUUGUUACUUGUGGCUGGCCAUUGUAAACUGUCUUGUUGAGAAAGAGAUAAAUUUGUCUUUCCAUGUAAACUGGCUUCGUAUCUCCAAGCCUUGUAACUUCCCUGCCGUAGGACUUACUUCCAUCUUAUGUUCAUGUAACAGCUGUAAAGAUUAAUGGGAUUUAUGUAUUUAUUGAUUAUUUAAGUAAUUUGGCAAUUAUAGAGAAACCCAUUUAAUGUUUUUACUAUAUGGUGCGAUCAUGUUAUAAAUGGUUUCUGUGGACAAAUUUAGAAACGGUGUUCUUUGGAUAGCAUGUUGAAUCAAACAUGGCUAUGGAAUGUUGUUUUUCCUCUUACUUCUCUUCAAUCUGGAACUUACAAGAGCUGUAAUUUGCGUAUACUUACAGUUUCAGUAUAUAUAAAUAGAAUAACAUGGCGUAAAUAGAGAAUCACCAAACGCAUUUGCACCAAGGCAUUAACUUUACAUUAAUAUUAUUAGAAGCUGUGAGAAAUAUCGAAGAAAGAAAACUGAAAUUUACCAAUAUAUUUCUAUAUAGGGAUAUUUUUAUUAAUUUUUAUAGAUCAUGGAUUUUAUUCUCUUUAUUUCUUGUAUCUGUUUUUUUUUUAAAUUCAAGUAAACUAUAAAAAAUAACUAGUAAAAUAUCAUUAAUUACUCUUUAAAUAUCAUAAAAUUUCUCGUAAAAGAGAUGAAUCGAGCUAGAAACUAUCAUUAGUAGGCAAGUUGAUGAUGAAAAACAAAUAUAUUUUUUAUCCACAGGGAUAAUUCAGCCAAUUAAACAUUGAAUUUCAAAACUUACAUGAGGGAUUAUCAGUUCCGGAAUUAGAGGGUAAUUCUCAUGACCCCUUUCCUUUUCCCUUCUAUUCUUCUUGACUUAGCAUUGCUUGAAUAACAGGUUAUCGAAACCUAUUAGCAAAAUGAAAUAAUUUGAAUUUCCAUGGAGACAACGAUGAUUGAUGAGUACUAAAUACAUUUCUUGAUACUACUUUAGCAAAUAGUCCAGUAUAAAAGAGACGUCUAAAAUUAACAACAAUCAAAUCAUCAAGGACACUUCAAAAGUGCAAGGCCUUGUUCUGUCAGGAUCAUCAUGGUGGGAAGACAGAUCACAUGCACUCUACGUCUAUCAACCUUCGGGCAUAUAUUCUGAUUAUUAAUCAUGAAUAUAACUUGAGCAUUUGUUAAUUUUCUGACAGUCACCGUAUGAUUGAUGAGAAAAAAAGCUUAUUGUCGGGAUUAAGGAGUCGUUUUUUUUUUUUCCAGCAAAUACUAUGACUCGUUACGGUUCUACCAUUAAAUCUAGUAGCUUCUCAACUUCCCGUACUGGCUCAACAAGAAGAGGAAACGGGCCAUUGAAAUGCACCACAAUAUCAUCAUACAGGAUUCGAAACGCAGACAAAAUCAAUUUGGUAUUCAGUCCAAGAACUGCUCUCUUAAGUAGCAUGGACCGACAUUCAGAUUCUUGAGGACAAGAAUCUCUUGAAGAGGGGAGUAUGUUACGAACUAGGAGACAUGAUGAAGGCUGGAAGGAGAGCAACAACAGCACUGAAAGAAUAACGGUUAGUUUGGUGGAAUUCUGUUAGCUGGAAGUUACUGUUAGUAGUUAAUUAGUUAGAAAAGCAGUUGAGUUAGUCAAGGAAGUAGUGGUUAGAGUCAGUAGGCUUGAAUAUAGUAAGAAUAAAAGCUUGUAUAUAAACUGGUGUAUGGAAAGGUGUUGAGAUAGGAAAAUACAGAAUAUUAUUCUCGAUCUCUGCUCACCCCUCUGUUCUCCUUUCUCUUCUCAAUUCUUUACUCCUUCUCCUCUGCUCUCUCUUCUUUCGGUUCUUUCUCAAUUUCUAUUCUCUUUUCUUUACACUCUUUCUCAUUCAUGUUAAGCUGAGCUUAACACACGCAGUCCUGCAAUAUGCUUACAAAAUUGUGCUGAUACUUCAGAUUCCUAUCCAACAUGUUUACACCGCAGAUUUUAGAUUGCACAAAGAUCCGAAAAACCAGCAGGACAAAAAAAUUAUAGCUUUUACAAACUCAUUUAAGGGAUUGCACAGUGAAGAUCUUACCAAUUACCUAAUCCUCUCUGAAGGUUUCAUCAAGAAUUGCACCGUGGAGAUCUUACCAGCCACAAAGCACUCUCUUCCUUUAGACAAUUAUCGUUAGGAAUUGAAGAGAUAUGCUCUUAUACAAGAAGGGAAAAAAAAACAAACAAAACCAAAACUACUGUUCCCUUCGUCGCUUUGGAUGGGCUCGAUAAUACCAAUUCUCCUCUCUGAAACUAAAUCAAUGGCUUUCUGGUAACCUGUGGCAGCAGAGGCAAGUUCAAAAAAGAAAAAGCAUGAGAUAUAUAAAAAUGUUAUUUUCUUUUUCAUAUUCUUCAAGUUCUGACCAAUCACAUGUGACAAUCAAUCAACAAGAGACCAAGAAAUUUUUCUUCUUCUGUUUUGGUUGUUACUCUGCACAUGUCGCACAAUCACAUUGAGUGUUUGAGAUCCUAAAUGUUUGAAUAAUCUGUCUGAUGACAAGCAUUGAAAUCAGAAAAGAUUUUAAAAGAUGCAAGUUGGAAUGAGACUCCCAAAUGAACGCUUCCACAUAGGCAUGAAAGGAGGAAGAAAUGUUGAACCAUGAAUCUAAAUUUCUUUACACAAUAGAAUGGUACUUCCAUGUCCCAGUAAUCCAUACCGUAUCAGCAGCUUAUUAUAGACAGGUUAGACAAAUUUCACAAUUGGUCCUUGACAAUAUGAGAACAAUCAAGACCAAGCUGCAUUCUUAUUAGUAUGUCAAAAUAACAGGGAAUUAACUUACCGCCAUGGGAAUUCACUUGUGUCUAUCCCAGCUUGGUGAAGCUCGUCAACAUACUGCAAUGCUUCCCUGCACUCUUCCCGGUCAUCAAAGAAUUCUUUUUUGUCACCUUCAAUCUCAUAUGUUUCAUGGCCUUUACCAGCAACAACCUGCAGUUUAGAGAAUAUUCAAGAGACAAAAUACAAAUAAAAUUACGGUGAGAAUAAUUUCAAGGAGACAAUUCAGUUUUUCAUUGAAAAAUACGGAACCAUCUGUCCAUAAAUCUUCAAAAAGAGUAGUAGUGAAAUGAGCAUAAACACUUACAACCAUAUCGCCUUCUUCACCCAUGGCAACAGCACAACGGACAGCUACUCGUCUAAUGUCAUGCAAAAACAGACGAUGGCCAUUUGGAAGAGGAGGGUAGUAAUCAUUUUCCCCAUGUUUCAAAUAUUCCUGCAUUGACCAUCCUACGCCAGCCAACAUGUCAUCCAAUAUGUCCACUGAUGAAGAUGAAACGGGUUAGUAAUAACUUUUGCAAAGAUGGCAUUUUAGUUACGCAGUACAGUUCAACAUGCAUACAUGGAUCUUCACCCCUUGGAUUGUCAGAUGUCAGAAUUGUCACGUCACUUUUAUCUGUUGCAAUUUUUGUCAUUAUUGGUCUCUUGCCUCUGUCUCUCUCUCCGCCACAACCAAUAACUUCACAAAAAGCAAGAAGAUGGUCAGGUUAACAAUACUUACAUUUCUUCAUGAAACUCAUCACUUCCCAGCUAUCCCAACUGACAUGGCAACUUUAUUGAAGUGAAUUGGCAAUUUUCUCUUCCAACAACAAUCAGAACCUAAUUCUAACUUGUCGAAUGUUGGAGAAAAUAAGAAGAUAACUAUGAACAGAUCAGGACUAAUGUCAAUAAAUUGGAGCUUGCAAAUCCCAAUUACAUAUGGAAUUCUCAGGAUUAUGAUUAUCUUCAGCAGUUUUGGACCUAAACAAAGGAUAACUACUAAAUCACUGUAUUUGCACUGCCAGACUUGGGAUAAUUAUCCACGAAUGGAAGAGAACAUUUAGCUAUGGCAAGAUCAAUGGUUGACAAAAACUUAAAUCAAUAUAUCAUCAUUAAAGAAUUAAGAGAAUCAAUACGACAAAGCAUAUUUCUAGCUUGAGAAUUUCCUGUGCAUAUAAUACUCAGCCUAGCUUUUAUCACUUCCUUAUAGCAAAUGUUCCAAGACUUUGUACAAGGAAAAAGACUUAAAAACGCCUUAUCCAAGCAUAAAGCUAGAAUUAUCACAAACUUAGAGAAGUAGCACUGAAUGCAUGAUGAAGGUUAGGAGAAAGCAAUAGAAACGCACCUGUGAUAACUCUUUUAGGCCUAAGCUCCCUUACGGAAUCAAGUAGUCUAGAUAGGGCAUCAGGUGUAUGAGCAUAGUCCACAAUCACCCCAAAUGCCUGCUCCUCGUCAAUUAACUCACACCUACCAGGUACUGCAUCUAUCUCUUCAAUCCCUCUAACAAUGUCUUCCAAUGGUGCACCAACUGCAAUCCCAACAGCCACAGCCGCAAGAAUAUUGUAGAUAUUGUGCUUCCCAAGCAAUCCUGAUGAAAUCUCUAAAAUACCAUGGGGUGUAUUAACCAAAACUUGUGUCUCAAACAGGGAGAGCUCAAACUUCAAGGGAUGAACAUCUGCAUUUUUAUUUUCCAUAGCAAAGGUCACAACUGGCACCUCUUGGUUUCCUUGAGCAAUAAAGAAAGGUGCAUUUGGGUCAUCAAUGUUAACUACUUUCCUAUGCCUUUCUGGAUCCACCAUCCGAGCAAACAACUUAGCCUUGGCAUUCUUAUACUCCUCUUCUGUCCCAUGAAAAUCUAAAUGAUCCCUCGUCAAAUUGGUAAAAACAGCAAUAUCAAAAUCAACCUCAUCACACCUCCCUAGAGCCAGUCCCUGGGAAGUAGCCUCCAUCACAACAGCUUCAGUUCCAUUAUGCAGCAUCUUAGCCAUCAAAUUCUGAACCAAAAUGGCACCUGGGGUUGUGUUAGGUGCCUCCAGUUUAUGAUCCCCGUGUAUAUAGUAUGCCACCGUACUCAACAUUCCAGUCCUCAACCCCAUUGCCUCAUACAUCCCUUUAACCAAAUUCGCUGUCGUAGUUUUCCCAUUCGUCCCAGUUAUCCCAAUCACAGCCAUAUUCUUUGAAGGGAACUUAUAAAAUGCUGCAGCCAAUGCAGGCAAAACUGCAUUAGUAUCCUCCACAAUCACCAAAGCCUUACACCCCAAAGUCUCUUCAAUAUCAACCUCCUUGCUAGCCACAACCGCUACAGCACCUCUCUUAUCAGCCUCGCUCAAAUACAAAUGUCCAUCCGUCUUCAUCCCCACACGACAAACAAACAAAUCACCAGCACUCACCACUCUCGAAUCAUCCUGUAUACCAGUAAUCUCCACCUCCAAAUCCCCCAAAACCGAAACCGGCACUACUUUGCUCUCAUCCAAAAGCUCAGCUAAACUCAUCCUAAACUUUGGUUCCACAAUAUUCACCUUCACUUUCCCGAUACUAUCAAAAUCCAAAUCAAAACUCUUUUCAUCCAAAGACGCCCCAGCAUUGCUUUUUCCACUCUUUUCACCCACACCCACAUCAAACCCACUUGAACCAUCUUCAUCACUGUCAGUAUCAAUCACAGUCAACCCUGUUAGUUCAUCAAUCUCCUCCAAGUCCACCACCUCUUCAGGCUCUAACUCUUCAACACCUUCCAUAACAUCACUACUUCCUUUAAUGUCUUUUGGUUUUAACAGUCCUUGUUUAACAAGUUCUUGUCUUUCCAUUACGAUAGCCUUAUCAAUCUCACCAAACAAAUCAUCACCGUCACUAUUUAAGGAAUUGGGAUUUACCUCGGUAUCUGCAAUGGCUUUGAGAAACGUUGAUUGGUUCUUUUUGAAGUCUUCUUCUUGAGCUUUUCUUGCUCUUGAAGCUUGGAUAUGAACUUGUUCCCAUUUUGAUACUCCAUGUGCUGUAUCUUCUGGUGCUUCAGGUGGGUCAUUAUCUGCUGUGUUUGGGUAGAAUUUUCCAUCUGGCCCAAUAGCAAAUAGCGAGUGUUUUGUGCCGUGGAGAGAAAGAAAUAAAGGGGUUUUAGGGAGAGAAGGAAAUAAAUUGCGGGGUUUGAAGAAGGUUGGUUUUGGAGAGAGCAAGUUUGGGUUUUGAGAGAGAAAUGUGUGCGAUUGGAGAGUGAAUGUGAAGGCCAUUGACAUGAUGAGAGAUGAAAUGAUAGUGGAAGGGGAUAAGGGAGGUUUAGUGCUGAAGGGAAAAACGGUGCGCUUUCAGGUGAGAGCGAACAGGACAGUCUUUUUCUUCUUCCACUUUUUCUUUUUUGUUAAAUUAUUUUUCCUUUAUCUUAUCUGAUUCUUUUCUUUUCUUUUUUGAAUUAGGCGAAAUUGGGAUAUGGCUGCCAGGGUUGCUAUUACAUUCCAAUUACAAAUUUUUUUAAAAAAAACCCUUGAAUUAAAACCCAUAGAAAAUUCAUUGUGCAUCUAUAUAUAAUUCCCUAUUCACCACAAUGAUAUAAUUACUAUUUUACCCUUUAAAAAAUCAACAUUAGUCCAUUAGAUGGUCUUUUUCAAACAAUUCACAUUAUAAAAUUAAUUGGGGAUAAUUUGGUCUUUUUACUUUUAAAAUACACAUUGUAGUGACUACUACAUUGCCCUCACAAGUAAAAUAUUUUAAAAAAUUAUGCCAAAACAAUUAUUUUACAUUUUAAAAGUAUAAUAUAAAGAUUAUAUUACUCUUACAUGCAAGAAUUGUUAAAAUUAUGUAAAUGAGUUUUUUUUAUUUUUUCAUGUUGGUUCUUUUGUAAUUAAUAAGUUGACAUGAGGUGAUUUGAUCUUUUAAAUAAAAUAAAUAUUGUUAAAAAAAAAAGUUAUUAGCAUAUGUGGAAAUAGACGACGUGUUGUGUCUCCUCACCUCUAAACAUCGCUUUACAAUGCAACAUUCAAAGCAUCUCCCCAUUUUCUUUUCAUAGCGCCGCACAUGUCAAUUAUGGCUAGAUGCAUAAGUUCUAAUAGACUUUUUCUUUUUUCUUUUUUCCUGGUCAAAAUAUAAAUUUGUUAUUUAAUUUAUUUUUAAUUUAAUCAUCAUUCUUUUUUAUUACUAUUUAUUUUAUUUUUAUUAAUUUUUUCUUCAAUUUUACCUCUCAUUAUUUAGUUAUAUUUAAUUUUUAAAUCAAAUUUGAUUUUUAUUUUUUUAUUCUUGUUCUUUUUAUGUUGGAAAAAUUAUACGUACCCCACAGCAUUGCUCGGGUUUCUUGUCUAGGAUACAACUAUUAAUUUGUCGGCAUUGGGAUAUGUUUUUCUUUUCCUUUUUCUUUUCAAGUACAGUUUAGAGAUACAAGUUUAGGUGUGUAUAGACAUAACUUAGGGUGGGAUUGGGUGUUAGUAACCGAUGUAUUUAACUAAAAAAAAACAUAUGUUUAAGUUGAUAGAUGGCUUGGAAUGUUGAGAAAGCUAGAGGUGCAUUCCAUAAAUAUUUAUAAAAAUAAGUCUUAUCUUCAGUUUAGAAGAACCUCUGAUACUUAAAUUAACACUAAUAUAAAAAGAAAUAAAGCCUUAAAUACUUCCUUUGCUCCAACUCCAAGUGUGUUCGACCGGUCUAGACUUGAGCAUUCCGGGCAGUGGGAACUAUAGAUAGCCUUAUACUCAGAGAUGUUGUCUUGUCGGAUCUAAAGAAGGCCCAUCGGACUGCAAAAGAAGGCCCAGGACUGCAAAAGAGGGCCCAAUGCUCACCAAGGCAAGUGACUGCAAAAGAAGGCCCAUAGGAUCAACAUUUUCGCAAGCAUUACAGGGAGGGAUGUGGAGGGAAGGUUCUUCUAGGGUUGCUAAUCCGUGGAGGCUUUAAACACUGCAAAUUUCAUGGUCAUAGAAGACUAAAAGCAUACGCGUGGAUAAAUCAUCACCCCAUUCCAAUCUCUUCACACAGGCCACAAGCUCAGAGGAGUAGUUAAUAUAUUAUUAAUUUCCGGUCAAACUUCGAAGCAUUUCCCCGUCAACCCGGCUAUUAUUUUCAUUAUCAUUUUCGUUUUCUGUAUUUUGCUACUUGGCAAGUAUGGAGUGGAAUCUACACUCGUUAUCACCCUCUCCUUCUGGUGAUUAAAAACUGAACGUGGAGACAGAUAAUACCCACAAAGAACACUACGAGAAGAGAUUUGCUUAAUAGGAUCCAUGCCUAAUUAACUGCUCCAGAUGUGGACGGCUAACCCUCUCCUAUUUGAUCAACUCUGCCAUCGUAUUAUUCAUUUUCCUUGUUCGUCAGGUUGUGAUGAAGUCCUUCACACGCACAGGCUGUGGGACCGCGCUAGAUUAUUUUUUUAAAAAAAAAUUAAUAUUCACAUGUCACGAACACGUUAUGAUGGCGAUAGGCAAGAUUGCAUGAUCACUUAAUUAUCCAUCAUAAAAAAUCUUUGAAUUGGACCUUCGAGAUCUAUAUAAGAUCAUUAAAGUGAUUUUUUUAUUAUUAAUUGUUAUAUUAGUGUAUCUGUUUUGACGUACCCAGAUUAAAUCUUAAAUAAAUUAUUUAUAUUUAUAGAGCAAUGCUGAUUUUAUUUGAUAGUUUUAUAAGGUUCACUUACGUACGAAAGACACUGACAAUUGGAUACACGAGAGUGAUUAUCAGAAUUCAUUUUUAUUUAAUGCUAAGUGAAUUCUGUAAAAUAACCAUAUAAAUUACGUAAGACUAACGUUACUUGUGCUUGAAUCAAUGCAUUUCAUAAGAAACUAUCACCGUGAAGAUCUCGUCUUGUAUUAAAAGUUAAAACUAGAAUUAGGGCAAACCAACGGUCCUAAACGGCGCUACGGUUGCGCGAUGUCUCGUUAAAGAACGCAGCACCACCGCGAAAGGUGGCACAAAACAAGACCCUAGGUAUUUGCGUACGAUACCAUAGAAGAUAGGGCACAGGCGGGUUCUUUUAGGAAGAGCAUACGAGGCGGGAGAGAGAUUUGCGUUGUGGACAGGGAAUUCAGGAGGGAUUUAGGGAGGGUAGAUUGAGUGUCAAGGAUCCCAUACGUUGACCAGAUGACCCCAUGGAUGACGAAUACUCUAGCCAGUGUGACAGGUGGCUGUAUCGGAUGCAAUGACUUUUCCAAUUUCUUUAAAACUUUGAAGAAAAUAAAAUCCAAUGAUGGCUUGAGCCGUUAACUUGAUGUUUCAAACAAACAUCGAGUUCAGCGUACACGUGUUAUUGUGUUUUCCAGGGAUGAAAAUACCUCAAGUAGUUGAAAGUCUGGAAAAAAAACAAAACCUUACCUUCUUGAAAUUAUAAUUUUGGUAUAGGAUUUAAAGAUUAAAGAUGGUUGAAGAUAACCUUUAAGUUAUAGCUUCUUCUUCUUCUUUUUUUGUAAUUAAAGUUCCUAUAGAGAAUUUUCGGUGGAAUUUAUGCAGAAUUGUAAUGUAAUGUAUUGAUUAAAAAGAUAUUUUAAAAAUUAUGAUUUUAGUGGAGAGCUUUCCGGAGGAAAAUACCAUGAGUCGGAAGAAAAAAAACCACACUUUCUUGCAAUUAAAAUUUCAGUAAAGAAAAUAAAUUUAAGAAAAAAUAUAAAUUAUAUCUUUUUUAUUAUAAAAAUUUGUAUAGUAGAAUUUUCAAUAAAACACAUGUAAAAUUGUUACGUGUUAAAUACUAUAAUGGUGUUAUAAAAUAAUAUAAAUUAUAUCAUGUGACCUUACCUAACAACUAAAUUAUUAGGUUGAGAUUUUUUAUGACAUAGUAUCAAAGUUUUGAUGAUUAAGCGAUCACGAGUUAGUAUCUUAUCAUCCUCUCUUUUGUUUGAUAAAAAAAAAAAUCAAGCACAAGAUAGUGUGAACCUAUAUAAAUUUUAAGUCUAAAGAACUUUCACUUGAGGAGUGUAUUAGAGAAUGGUAUAAAUUAUAUCAUAAAAUCUCACUUACCAAUUUAAACUAUUAAAUUAAAAUAAUUAUUUGAUAAAUCAAUAUAAAUAUAUUUCAACCAAUCGCAGCCACCAUGUUGACAAACCAGCCCUUACAAUAAUUCACACGUCUUGAUUUUGAUUUUCAGCGGUGCCAAGAGUAAAUAAUUUCAUGAUCCAAUCGUAUGUGAAAAUCUUGAUUCAAAUUUCACUCGGCAGCCGGCGCAUGAGAUCACGAGUGGCAUUUUACGUGUCUUCAAGAACAAUCCAUUUGUUUCACUAUCAAAACAAAUUUUAAAUUUGAAGCAAUCGAGAGUCUACCAUGUAAAUGUGCAUUCCAUGAAUCCAAAGAAACUACAGGCAACGUAUCGCAACACUUGUUGACAGAGUAUUUCCUUGGACCUUUAUGUGCUCUGUUUUAUUCACCGAUGCUCUGUUUUGGAAGCUCACCGGAGGUAAAGUGACCCAUGGCAGUCAAAAAUUCAAACCCUAAGAAUAUGAAAGGUCUAUGCUCUAUCUUUUCUAGGGAUUGAAAGGUCUAGAUUGAAUAAGGACAUCCAUUUUCAAAUUUUUUAACCCAUGACUAGAAAACAACACCUCCUACAACAGGGGCCCUUCCUUCGAAAUCCUGACAUUAAACUGACAAAAUAUAGCAGCCAGAGAGACAACAACCUUUCUCCAGUAUCCCAACGCACACCAUUUCCCAUGUAAAAAGAAACUUCACAAUCAACAAAAUUAUUUAAUAGAUCUCAUAUUUUUAUUAGAGGGCAGAAUAACGCCUCAUAAACACACACUGAAAUAUAUGAUAAUCUUCUCAAUUAUCAUAAGAUAAUAACAUGUAAACUAUAACCCGGUUCACAUUUUCUUAAAAAAUAAUGAACUAGUCACUCUAGUCCAAAAAUCCCAUAUUCAGCCCUCCUUUAAUAUUGCCUUUCAACCAGAAAAUGCAUUUUCAAAUAAAAAAACAUUUUUAAAAAAAAUCACUACUACACUUUUAAAAACCCCUAAAUCUUUAUUAUUUCACACCCGUUUAUAAAAUCCUUUUUUUUUUUCAAUCUUUUUGUUAUCCUCUGCCGAGAUAUUACUUUAGCUAUCAAUUGAAAAGGCAACGGAAUUGGCAAAUGUUUAAGAAGUUGACGGUCGGGGACUAAAAUAUAACUCAUAAAAAAGAGGGACUAAGCUAUUACUUUCUUAAGAAAACAAGGAGUAAGCUAUAGUUUACUUAAUAACAGAUUCACCUAAACGACCCCUCUUCUAUCACCAACCAAAACAUUAAAGCGGCUUACAUUUUUAACCUUAUAAGACAUUAUCAACAGACAAGAGUGGGUGUAUGUCUAUGUGUACAUGUGUUGUGGUCUGUAUGUUGAAUACUACUAGUUAUUGAAAGACAGAGGGAAAAUGGGAAAGCAAGACAAGUUUAGCUGCUACAUUUGAAAAGGCUUGUAAUUCCCUUGUUGGCACGUAUCUGCCUGCCAAUUGCCACAUGAUGGUCAGUGACUCAGCAUCAUUGAUUAACUGCUUUGGCUCACAGGCCAUUGUCACCCGUUCUUUGUUUUUCAAGUCCUUUUCUAACUCCCAAAAAACUCUCUUUAAUGGCAGUAACAUUAAAGGGCAAUGAGUAAUGACUACUCCCAUAAUUUGACCAAAGGAAACUUUUUAUUAUUAGUAGACGAGGGGACUAGGGUUGUGUUCGUUUGUUCCUUUGUUAUUAGUAAAUGAAAGGACAGACAGAGGUUACUGUUUCUCAUUUACCCAUUUGAGUUCUUCAGCUUGUGGUGGGAGGAAGACUCGGUUCAUGUGCUUCUGUUUUCAAUUUUCAAGAACUACCCCAGGUACUUAUAUUUCUGCUGCUACUACUGCUACCGUGGUUUUUUUUUUUCCUUGCUUGUGUCAGUGCAAUUUUUGUGAAGGUUGGUAGUAAUCCGUGGAAAAUUGCGUUUGGUGGGGGCAUUUGGUGAUUUUCCAUGGAUAUUCAACAAGUGUGAGUUUGUAUGAACUCAGCUUCUAAUUUUGUUCUGUAUUCAGUGAAAAUGAUGAUGAAAAAGAAGUUGUUUUAAGUAUUGGAUUGGUAGUUGAUGAAAGUUUUUUGAAAUUAUGUUUCCUGGUUUCAAGUUCGCUGUGAAAUGUGUAAAACAAUGAUUCAGUUUUCUCUCUUUAGAUUUCUUUUCUAGAAUCUGGACGGGAGUUUGAAAUUAUAAGAAUUUGUAGAAGAUUCAACAUCCAGAUAUGAUUUCUGAAACUGGAUGGAGAGAAUUAUAAGGACUCAUUAACAAUUCUUGAGACAAUUUAUCAUUUUCAAUUUGUUUUUUUGAAUGUUUGAGAACUAUAUUCUAAGGCAAUUAGAAUGCUUGCAAUCUGUCUAUAAAGUUUUGUUUUUUCUGUACUUUACACAUAUUUCUUUCCUUGCUCAGAUUCAAUGCUGGCAUAUCGGUGAUGCUGUGAUUGGAUGCAUAUUACACACCAUGUCUACUAGCACUAAUUCUCAUAUCAUGGAAAGGAGGUCGCCGAGGAGCCCUUUGCCGAGGAGCCCUUUUCCGAAGAGCCCAAUGCCACAGAGUCCUGAAUUCUAUGAAAAAUACAAGUCUAAAUGUGCAUAUGGCUUAAUUAACAUCUUUCUUUUCCGCCAACGUCAAUCAAAGAAGCUGAUUUCUGAUAAGGCAGUUUUGAAGAGACAUGCUGUUGGUAAGAAUUCUUUGAUUUAUGUUGUAUUAUAAUAACCUGACAUGAUUUAAUGGGUUCAGUCCUGCGACUACAGAAAUGCAGAAAAUUGCAGAGGAAGAUAUGCCCAUCAAGCAGCAGAUAAAGAAGACCACUGCAAAAGUGGAACAUGUACAAUCUGAUACUGAACUUGCUGGUGACUCAUCAACAAGCCAUAGAAAAGCAAUCAAGGCUGCUCGGAAACCUCGUCGUUUACCUAUUUAUGGUUGUUAUGAUGUAGCAACCAUGGGGCAUGCAAAAUCUGUUCAUGAAAAUUCAGCGGAUGAUUCUUCAAAAAAGUUGGAAUCUGCAGUGACCAAAGAAUCACUUUCCAAUCAAGUGCAACCUAGAAACGAAACCGAUUGUAACUGUAGAAGUAUCCAACAUGGAAAGCAUGGCCAAUCUAAGGAGAUCAAUCUUCAGGUUCGCGUGAAUGAAGCUGCUGAAGCUUUUAUAAAUCAGAAGUUGAUUGAUGGAAAACACCUCAGCACAGAUGGGGCAGAUGACCAGUCUAAACAUUUCAUGGAUGCACUAGAGAUACUGAAUUCCAACAAGGACCUGUUCAUAAAACUCCUACAAGACCCCAAUUCUCUACUGGUGAAACAUAUUGAAGACUUGCGAGACUCUCAGGAAAAAGUGCAGCAGAUUAAAUCUUACCCCGAAGAUAAAUUGCCAGAACAACACAAAAAUGAUUCAAGGGAAUGUGAAAGGACUGACUGUACCCGAAACUUCAACUCCAUUGAUAGAUACCUGUCCAAGGGAACUGGUGAUCCUCAACCCUUGGAGACAAUAGUAGUUUUGAAGCCUGGCUCUGCGAGCUUGCAAAACUGUGCGGAUGGAAUCAGUCAUGACUCUCCACCAGUUCAUUAUAGGUUAAAAAAUGUGCAGCAGAGUGUUAAACCUUCAUUUUUUCCCCUUGUCAAAAUGAAAAGAAAGUUGAUGCAUGCUAUGCGGGUGAGCAGGAAAGAGCAGCAGUUGAUGUUGACUGAUGGUGCAGUGCAGAAGUCCAAAUAUAUUUUCCAAGAGAGUGAAAAAUGUGGUGGCGGAGGUGUGGAUAUUAAUGAAAGAAACUCACCAGGUGAAACCUCUUGUUAUUUAGGAAGAACAACCAUGGAUGUCAGGAGUGAAGACCAGAUGGACAAAGUGGAAAUAAUUGAAUCUAGUGUUAGAGAGGAAGCUGCUACAGCCAGUAAAAAAGGUCAUGAAAGCUCAAGAUUUUCAAAUCUCAGGCAUUCCAAGGAAACUAACAAUGACAAAUAUGUUGAGACAAGGGUACAUCUAUCUGACUUUUUAAUGAAUGAAAAUGUGAAUCUUUCGAGAAAGCAGAGACCAAAAACCUGGGAUGGGAUGAGUUCUCUUCCUGAAAUUGAAUUCUUUCCUAUGGCCGGUCCUAGAUGUCAAGCGGAGCAUGCCCGUGUCACUCCACAAAUGAGAUUUUCUCCCUAUAGCAGUUAUCAACCGGUGAACAAGAACAAGUGGAAUCAGAGUGAACAGAGAAACAACUCAAGUCCAACCCGGAAGAAUUUAGAGGCUCCACCAUGGGCCAAUAAUAAAAAAUGUGAGGAUCAAUUACAUAUCUUCGAGACAGAGAAAACUAUUUCAGACAAACUUGUCCCUGAUGUCAAAGAGGAUGAAAACAUCUCUUCUCUUGAAAAUGAUUCUAGCCCUAGAGGUGAGCUUUUGUCAAUUUAAUCUUCAUCAUGCUUGUAAUUCUGUUUGGUAUAAGCAGUACAUAAUUUUCUACAGUUUUCACCAAAAUAAUAGGAAAAAGGGACAGUAAAAUUUCAGAAGAAUGUAGUCCCUCCGGCGUGCCCUCCAGACUAGAUGGCUCGCACAAUAGCGAUGCUAAUGAAAGCACCUGUACUGCAAAUACAACUGACGAACAUGAAUCCUCAAAAUUCUUUAGACUGGUAAAUGACUGUUUCCCCUGUCUAUUGAAUUGUUGCUGUCUUUCAAUUUGUUUUGAUAGCUCUUUCAGUUUGCUGGUUUCCUGCUAUUUGAUGUGCCCAUUUGCAUCAUUUCCCUGCCAAUUUUCUCUUUCAGGAUUCAUCUGCAGAUAAUCAGAUGUCACCAUCUUCAACAAGUGAUUAUUUAUCAAGCCCUUCAACCAUCCAGAGGGUUGAAGACUUGGAAAAGGCCAAAGAGAGAGCAGAGCAGCCAAGUCCAGUAUCUGUCCUUGAGCAUUUUUUCAUGGAAGAUAUGAUUACUAGACCUUCAAGCCACGCAUCGCGGCCUGGUAAGCUCUUAUGUUAGGGAAUUAUUACAUGUACUUUUUCCUGAUUUUGCAAUCUUGUUGACACAAUUAAAGUUAUGCAGCUGAACUAUCAGCCCUGCCACUAAGAAUAGGUAAUGAGGAAGACUAUUUGGCUGCUCUUGUUCACUCCCCUUUGGAUCUGAAGAUUAAUUCAAGCACUUCUUUGGAAGAGCUAGGAUCCGUGUUUGAGUGUAUAGGUGCAGUUUUGAGAGCUUCUGGCUUUAAUUUGGAUGAUCUCUCAUCAAAGUGCCAUGGUGAGUCCUGUGGUGGUCGUAAGCUCGUUUGUGAUUAUUUUGUCGAAGUCCUUCUAGAGGUAUACCAGAACUACACGAGAAGCUCCCCUUGGUUGUCAUUUGUCGAACCAAAAGUUCGACCUGUUACAAUCGCAGAAAACAUGGCUCAACAAGUGAUGAAACAUGUUGAACGGAACAUACUCUUACAGCCACCUUCACAAACAUUAGAUCAUCUUGUUGAAAAGGACUUGACCAGCUCUGUGACAUGGUUGGAUGCCCGGAUUGAUGCUGAAUAUGUUGUUAGUAUGAUAGUAGAAAGUGUUCUAGAAGAAGUGAUAAUGGAGACUGCAAUUGAGUAGGUAGAUAGUAGUAGAAUUCUCCGUUGCUUGUGUGUUUUGGUCAAAAUUGCACAACAGAAUUCUGCCAGGCAGCUUGAGCAGGUUAACAUAAUCGGCUUUCUACAUUCUAGAUCGCGCAAGUAAAUGUUUGCACAUCUUCAAAAGGAUUUUUUUAAGAAUUGCAAAGCCGGGAUUGGACAAGAAUGGAGGGAGUUGUGUUAACUGACUGGCAGUUGGUCAGAGGCACUGGCGAAACCAUGGCAUGCAGCUCCAACUUCCUGCAUAUAGUAGAGUUUAAACUGAACCUUCGACAGCCAUCAAUUAUAGGACUUUCCUUCGGUUAAUUGUAAAGAUAAUCAUACUGGACAUAUACCUUCGUCGUACACUUCCGAAUGCUUCGUGGAACAUCAUAACCAGUCAGAUAAGCUGUUUUGAAUACUCUUAUGACAAGUCUGUUCCUUUUUCUCGCAUGCCAAGACAUGCGUGGUGCUUAUAGAAGUUGUUCAGUGCGAUUGGUUUGCUCGUGUAAGGCUAUUUAUUAGCGUACUUUUCUUGGUAUUUUGAAUUAGCAAAAUUUUCCAGUCAUAGGGGUCUCAAGUUUGUACCAGCUCAUUUCAUUUCAUUUGCUUCGCCUACUUCAAGAAGGUUUCACCACUGUUUGAAACCACUACGUCCAUGUCUAGUUCUUCUGUCCAUGUACAAUUAAGCAGUUUAGAAUGCUAUAAUGUUAUGAUAAAUUAUCAUUGUCUACUAUGCCUAUAAAGCACAAUGAUUUGCAAUAAUCCUCUAAAAGCACAGCACAGGUAGUUUGCUUGCGAUAGAUAAAAGUGCGAAUCUUCUAAUUGAUAAGUCGACUAUCAGUAUUGAUGGCAAGUUCAAGGAAGAUAACACAGAUGUUAACUGAAAACAAAAGCAUUUUGCUGCAUAAAGAGACCAAAACUGAACAGGAAAAAAAGUGAAGAGAGCAUUGUCUUGUGUUCCAUUUAUAAUCUAAAGGAAUGAAUCAGCAAGCAAAUAUUUGUUUGAACAAACAUCCAUUGCAUUUGUAGCACUGUCUUGUAUUCGAUUUAUAACCUAAAGGAAUGCCAUGCAAAAACAGACGAUGGCCAUUUGGAAGAGGAGGGCAGUGCUUAUUUUCCCCAUGUCAUGAAAUCACAUCACACUACCGACUAAUGGAGUCGCUUGUGGAAGAAUGAAGCUAUACAUGUAUCUUAGCAAGCUCUUGACAAAUAAUAAAUUAAAUCAAUAAAGUCUUGAAAUAAAUUAUCUUCCGGAAGACAUAUGCCUAUAAGAAACACCGAAGAUAGAAACCAAUUCCAGAAAAGAGGGGGGGAAAGCCAAGCCAAAAGACAAAAGCAUCCAAGAAACUAUUAGCAGAGGGAGGAAGAUUAAAAAGAUUAUAACAGUCCCGCCAUUGCUUGCAAUUUUUUUCUCAGUCGUGAGAUGUAAUCCUUCCAAAGGAGGUAAGUGUAAAUAGUAAAUACAAUUUCAUGAUAAAGCAAGCAAUACCACACUUUUCAUAAACAUCAACAAGGGAUCUGACCAAUCGUUAAAGCUAUUCUAAUCGUCGAUCCAUUUGUCUUUACGAAGCAGUCUGGAGCUUUUGGUAAUGUUGAGCUCAUUCAAGAACCCUUUCAAUCGAGCGCUCGUAGGUUCAUUUACCAUUGCAGCAUCAUAUCGUCUUUGCAAGUGACGAACCCCUUCCAUCAGUCCUCCUUUGGAGGCAUGGUAGAUAAAACAAUGCUCACCAAAUAACAUGUGCUACUUUGAGGCAUUGGAUCAUUUGCUAUAUGGGAUGUUUUCCCAGUUGGUUCAUCAAACUCCUAUAGCAAAUUGUUUGGUGGGAAAUAAGUUUUAUUAGGAGGUCAUUUUGACAAAUUCUGUUCUUCGUCAUGAGCAGCACCAAAGAAGAGAUUAUUCACGCUUCUGUAAGCAACUCAUCACUCUAGUCGUAUUUUAGGGUCUGUACACUUCAAGAGAGAGUAUGCGUAUUUCAUUAAAUGGUCUCCGCGAUUACCAAAGGCAUGAACUUCGCAAAUUCGCUGGAUAGAUUGGUUAGAUUGGUGACAGAAAGAUCUGUGACUCACCAGCAUCAGAUGAUUGUGAUUAUACUUUUAUUAAGAUGCUCAUGAUCUAUUAAUUGACGUUGGAUAUGGUUCGAUCUUAUUUGCAAUUAUCGCGGCUGUUUAUCCCGAUAUAGAGUGUGUUUGGUAUUACGGUAGCUGUUGUGGUUAUGGUUUGAAAAAAGUUGUUUUAUAAAAAGUAUUUUUAAUUGAGGUUGGUUUGAAAAAAUAGGUGUUUGGUUAAAACUGUGGUUGAAAUUGAGGUUGAAUAAAAAGUAGUUUAAUGUGUUUGGUUAAGAAUGCUUUUGAAAUUAAAAUUAUAAAAUAAUAAUUUUAAAAUAUAUAUAUAUAUUAAUAUUGAUGGUUUUUAAUUUAAAUGUUGUAGAUUUAACUAUUGUUAUUAUUUCAUGAAAUAAAUAAUACUUUAUAUGAAAUAUUUUUUAUUAUUCCAUUAAACCAUCUACAAUUACAUUACGUACAAAAUUCAUCCGACAAGAACUAUAAUUUCUAUAAUUUUUUAAGCAUGCAAUAAAAUUAGAUAAAAUAUUAUCAGGAAUAAAAUUGAUUUGAUAUUACAGUGCGAGUGAAUUUAAUUCACUCUACACUAGUUUUUCAGGAAAAAAAAUAUUGUUUACAUGGCAAUACAAGUAAAUUUAAUUUACUUUAAACUAGUUUUUUUUUUUUUUUAAUGUACAAAAAAUAAAAAAAAAUCACGCGAGCAGUGCAAGUGAAUUGUACUGUGCACAUAAUUAGCCACUAAUCGUUCCAACCACAGGUUGAAACUAGUGAAAAAAGCAGGAUUUUAUUGCUUCGCCAAAAUCGUGUUCCUGCCGCUAUAAAUGAUAGGGCCCACGUUUUUUUAUUUCUUAAAAAUCAGUAACCAAACGUUUUAUAAAUGCGUUUUUAAAAAAACACAACCGUUAACGCGUUGCCAAACCGAUUCAUAGCAACUUCAAGUCUUGAUCAUAUGUGCUUCAAAGAACGAGCCAUUAUAACGUCGAAGAAUGUUGCAGUCAAUGUGAUCAUUGCAAUUGAUUUGACACUCGGAGAUAUACAUGUCUGCUCGUGGGUUUACGAGUUUCGUUAAAAGUUAUUUUUAAAGUUUUUUAUUAUUUAAAAAUAUAUUAAAAAAAUAUUAUUUAAAAAAAUGUUUUUUUUAUAUUAAUACGUUUUAAUGAUUUAAAAAUAUUAAAAAAUAAUAAUUUAAAAUUAAAAAAAUUAAAUGUUUUUAAAAAAAUGAUUAGCAUAUCAUUCAAUAAAGCCAUGAUAUUUGUAUUUGAUUGAGUUUACAAAUCAAUUGGCUUUUAGGGGUGUGCUUCCCCAUAAAAUUUCAUUAAAAACAGGAAUGUCAAUCAUGAUGCUUUAAAUAAUAAUAAUUAUUAUUAUUAUUAUCAUUUUAAUGUAAAAAUAUUAAAAAUAAAUAUUAAAAAAUAAAAAAUAUAUUAUUUUAAUAUAUUUUAAAAUAAAAAAAUAUAUACUAUAAUAUUAAACAUACAUUAAAAACUUUUAUUACCUCAUAAUUCAUUGAGUCGAGUAUAAGUUUAAUGACAAACUUAUUCUAAUUUAUGAUAUGUCGCUUUCUUUUGAUUUUGUGAACUCAAGACACAUCAAAUCAAUAACUUAUUAUAUUUUAAUAUUUAUUUAAUUUUUUAAUUUCAUUUGUAGGGUGAAACUUGAAAAAAUUUGAUUUUUUAUAAGUUCUUUUAAUUGAAAGAAAAAGAAAAUAUUUCCAUUGAGGUAAUUAUUAUGAUUUCAUCUAUAACACUUAUUUUUGUUACUAUAAAAAAUACCAUCAUUAAAAAAAAAUACCCUCGUUGUUAAUUUUAAUUAAAAUGGAAGUUUAAAAAACAUCAUUGUUUCAUGAAAAACAAUAAUAUAUUUUAUUCAUGUAUUUAAAUAAACAUUUAUUACUUUAUUAGUGUAUGAAAACCUGCACAUUCAUAGGAACCCGACUUUAAAUUGUGCUCUUUUAAUAAUAAAAAAAAAAUGCAAGAUUUUAUUGCUUAUAUGGCUAAGCAUCUUAUCUCCACUUCUCUUUCAUAUCAUCACCUUUUUUUCUUUUUCUUUUUGCUCUUGUGGCCUUUCUCACUGUUAUUUCAAGUGUUCAUGGGCCACAAAAUUUUCAGGAAGUUAAUUCUCAAUAUGUAUGAAAAUGAGUUAUGAAUGAUAAAUUUCAAGCUCUGGGUUGGAAUCAAACUUAAAGUAUUGUCAAACUUCCCAGAAAAAAAAACAAGUAUGCAGUUGACAAACAUAAGGUAUUUCUUGUGGUCCAGGAACUUAACAAACUUUUGAAGUGGACUACAAGGAAAUUGUUGCUCUUAUUGGUAAGAUGAACAUUAUAUGUGUUCUAUUAUCAGUUGCUAUAAAUAAUGGAUGGUCAAUAUGUUAAAUGGACAUCAAGGAUGCUUUCUUGCACGGGAAUCUUGACGUUGAGGACUACAUGAAAUUAGCACCUGGUCAUCUUCAAAGUCAAGAUCCUACCUUGGUGUGUUAACUUCACAAAUUAAUUUACAAACUGAAACAAUCUAUGCGUGCUUGGUUUCAUGAGGAGUAAUCCCGGCUCAUUUUUCUUUGUCCAUCUUGGACCUAAAGAGACAUUGGUGUUCUUAUCUAUGUUCAUGAUCUUAUUAUUAUAUGAAAUAAUACUGUGGCUAUUUAUCAUCUCAUGUCCACACUUCAACAUCAAUUUCCUAAUAAAAAUCUCCACAACUUGAAGUAUUUUUUCAGAAUUGAAAUGACAGUUUCCCAUUAAAUUGUUAUUGCUUAACCAACAUAAAUAUAUUUUUUACUUGUUUAAAUAUGCUAAAAUGAUGGAUGCCUAGCUUGAUUCUACCCCAUUAGGUAAUAAAUUGAUGCUUGAAACAGUCAGUAAGCCUCUUCAGUCUAUUAAAUCAUUACCAGCAUCUUGUGGGUAAGCUUAUUUACCUUAUUAUUACUCAACCUGACAUAACAUAUAUAGUUAGUCUUGUUAGUCAACUCAUGCAUGUGCCUAUUGUCUUUCAUUUGAGUAUUGUCAAGUGCAUCUUGCGCUAUCUUGAAGGUUUUAUUAGAAGUGGAAUCGUCAUGAUUAAUAAUAAUCAUACUCAAAUAACUGAAUAUAGUGAUUAAAAUUGGACUAGAAAUGCUAUUGAUCAAAAUCAGCCAUAAGUUAUUAUAUGUUUGUUGGUGGUAAUCUUGUCCACUGACAUAGAAAAAAACAUGGUGCACAAUAUAGUGUUGAAGCUAAACAAUGACAUCUUAUGCUUGUAAAUUAAUUUGGCUUAAAGUCUUCUUACUGAACUACAAUCCUCAAUUAUUUUUUUUGACAACAAGUCAUCAUGUAUAUUGUUGUUAAUUCAGUAUUUCAUGAAAAAACAAAAUACAUUAAGAUUAAUUAUUAUUUUAUUCAUCUACAAGUUUAGUCCUAAAUUAUCAAACACAUUACCCCCGCAGUCAUUAUAGAUAGGCUUGUUGAUGUGUUCAUCAAGGUCUUGUCCUCUACUCACUUUCAUCAUUUAUUGUCCAAGCAUGGAUCAAUUAAUCCCGUUGAUCCAACUUCAGGGGGGAUAUGAAAGGAAAGCCUAAAUUGUUCCCGUUAUUAUUGGCAUUUGUUAUGUAAAUUAGGUGUUAUGGAUUAGCAUAUUUGUAGAUAACGAUAAGACCUAGUUGUUCCAAAUUGUUGUCUAAAUUGCAGGAGUAACAUGUGGUUGUUAGUAUAUUUUCAAUUUAAUUUGUAUUCUGCACACGUAAAGAUUGAUGAUUGUUCAAAUAAAGUAGACUCUAAUAUUUCAAAUUUCUUCAGAAGACUUCAGCAAAUCCAUCAGCUUUCUCAAUGAGCUCAUCGAUCAACUGGAAUGGAAGCAAUUGACUCAUCUUUGCUAUCACCAAGGAGGGAUACAUGUUGGUACCCACGCCAGGCCCGGGCCCAGUCUCUUUGCCAAUUGCAAGUUGAUCAGCAGUGAUCAUUUUAACAUUGACACCAAGGUCAAGUGCUCGCCAGAUAGUCUCAGCGCUACCAUGCCUUGGAGGGUCAAAAAGUAGCAAGUAACUUUGGUGAUGCAGACUGGUAUAAGCUUUUUUGUCGAUCCCUCGUAAAUAAUAUGUUCUAUAAUGUUUGUGCGUGUACUAUGGCUCUCGAGAACAUCUUCAUACAGUACUCAAAACUCGUACUAAAGCUAGAACACUUUCUUUUCUUGGCCGCUUAUAAUGAUUGACAGCAAUAUUUUCGGGGUGUCUCCGAUGCUAGCUGGUCUUACAUGCUCUCUUUUUUCUUUUAAUGGAAAAACUUGUCCGGGCUUGAACUACCUAAGCUAGCUGAUCUUACACGUGUUUUACAUGUCCCCCCCCCCCCUCUUAUAAUGGAAAAACUAGUCUGGACUUCAACUACCUAUGCCAGUGUUAUACACUUGCUGUGUGGGUGAUGGAGAAACUAACUCUGACCUUAACCAUCUACAAUAUACAUUGUUUCUUCAUGUUCUUCUUUUAUAAUGAGAAAUCAGAUCGAUAAACACAGUUUGGCCCUUGAAUUUGCAGGUGUACAACCCCCCACGCGCUAAAACAAUCCAACUUUAAUGGAAUUUAUCUGCAUGCCUUUACUUUUCUUGUCAUCUAUUUAUCUUUCCGAAGUCGACUGCCAAGUGCCAUGAGCAGCAGCCCACGUAACCUAUCUGAAUUUUCUCUUAGCCAAUGAUGUACUACUAUGUUCUACUAUAAUAUAUGAUUGGCUUCUACAUGUGCUCUCACCACUUAUCACUUUAUCAGCAGUGCAGUGGACGAACUGGUGUUGGUUUUAAAUCUUAACUUCAUUCUAUCACCGGGCCAGCUUUUCAGACACUGGUAUCGGGUUUUAGGCAAGCCGUUAUUGGUGAAUUCACAUACUGCAUUCUAGCAUCAAUUAAUCUCCACUAAAAUUGACAAUCAAGAAGGGGAAGUUUUAGUCAAAUGGAUUUUGGGAAUUUAAUAGACUGUUAAAAAUACGUUGGUCAAAUACUCAUUCUAGUGCAGAGUCCACGCUAAAUCAUUGAAGAAAAUACAGAUGUUCAGAACAAGAGCAUUUUCUGUUUAUUAGACUGCUCUACGUGGAGGAAAUUCUAUGUUCUAUAGCUGUGAUCUACAAAGCCUUCCACGACACGGAAUUUUACAAAUGAAGCAGUGAAUUCUAACCACACUGUCAUCGAUUUGAGAAUAAGUUUCAACAUUUCCCAGCAACUCUUCGAAGGGCUUGUUUGAUUGUGCCAAUGGAUGCAGCAUUCAAUCCCUUGUGCUGUAAUAAACAUUAUGACAUUACUUAAGGAAUCAUGGUUAAUAAUAAUCAACAAGUUAACCUCGAUGAUAUAAAUAGAUGGUCACUUCCAUUGUGCAAUCUUGAGUUCAUACCUUUGAUUUGAUAGUCAGAGAAAGGAUCCCGUCCAUGGUAGAUGAUUGAACCGAGUGAGAAUCUAAAUGGAGAUGACUAGCUACAUCCAUUAUCUCCAGCAAUAUUCCCUCCCUCCAAAGACACUUGAUCUCGAUUAGAACAUCCUCUUUAUUCACGCUGACAGUUAUACUUUCAGCUGAACCAUCUUUUAAUACAUUAUGGUUGAUAUCUGGCUCCAUUUCAUCAAUGUCUGGAGCCUUCCUCUUAUUUGUCAACGAAUGUUUUCCAUUUCCAAUCUUAUUGCUGCCAUAGUUAUCAGAUGUCCUCUCCGCAGUAUCUUGGGGUUUUCUUUUGGUAAGAACCUCCAAUAGCUCCCUAUUAGAUCCCAACUCUUCAACCUUUCUUUCAAGCUCUUGAAGGUAUUCGAUGGUCUCAUCUAGUAUAGAUACUUUAUCAACCUGCACAAACAAUGAAAAAAUUAACCUAUGGCUCCCAGUUCAAGACCAAUUAACUCUUGGGAACUAAUUCUUAACUACCUUGCUGAUUGAAGGGACAAUUGAUUUCAGAAUCAUAAACCUUUUAUUCAGCUUUUCUCUUUGCUUCCUCUCAGAUAAUGCAUGGCUUGCACCAUUUUCAUCAGCCUCUGGCCUCCCUACUACAACUUUAUUGCUAUUAUAUUCUGGAGAGUCAAGCAAGCCAUCAACAUGCAUCCGAGGAACUUCAAGUAGUAUCUUCUUUAGUACUUUUUGUCGAGUUCCACUUUUCAAUUUGUGAGGAUGCACUGAUCCUGCUUUCCUCCAACUGACAAAGCUCGAUUCCUGGUGACAAUUCUGGACAUCGGGUCCUAAAAUCAAUGGAUUGGAGGUCUUUAAGAGACAUGAGAGAACACUUUGAUAAUGAAAAUCUUCGCUUUGAAGGUCCAAUGAAGUCAGCUUCGUGUGAUUGCAGCCUUGAACAUCCAGAAGAUUCUGGUUAUUUACCUUCACAUUCUUCAAAAUCGGAACAACCUUCACAGGAUCUACAAUGGUUUGAGAAAUGCAGUCACUAGAAUUCAAGGAAUGAUGGACACUGUGGUCAUCAUCCAUGAACUGCAAACUUUGCAUUUGGGAAGCUCCUCCAUUUAGCCCUUCAACCAUAAUCGAAUCUGCAGCCGGCUGAUCAUUUGAAUUGCGGUUAGGGGAAGAUAUGUCUAGUUCUCCACAUCCUAUAACUGGAAUCGGUUUGGUGUCAAGUGUUUCACGAUUGAAGGUGGCACAUGCAAGCUCUUUGUCACUUCUUGCACUAGAAUUCUUGGCAGCUACUGCGUAUGGGAUCUCCAAGAAUGAUGUUUUUAUGUGAUUAAUGAGACUUGGGUCCUCCAAAACCUUUAGAAAACAAAUUACAAUGAAGCAACAUGACUAGAAUUGGCGAAUGUAGUGGUGUACAGACAACUAAUCUGUAGUUGGUUAUACUCUAAAUUGAGAUCUGACAGAAGUAUUUACCUGCUCAGUCACACCCAGCUCAAUCACACCUCUCAUAAAUUGAAAGCAAACCACGGUCUGAAAGUUUAAACAGGAAAGUUUGCUCAGAUUUUGGUAUAAUCCAUUUAUGCUGGUUCUUAAAUAUUCUUUCAUAGAGGAUGUAAUGCAUUCAGUAAAAAGUGCAGUGUUGUGUGCCUGAGCCUAUAAUAUACUGGAAUUCUACUAGGAAAUAGGUAGAAUUGGCACCUGAAUUGAUGCACUCUGAGGGUUAUGUCGCCACAAUUCCCAUCAUAGAACAAGAGACAAAAGGAUUAAAAGGAAAAAAGGUAAGUUUCUUUUAUCAUUUUGAGUAUGUCUAACGGGCACAACUUUUAUUCAGAAAUGAAAUAAGAUCUCAGAAAGGAAACAGAAUCCUGACCUUAGCUAGCAGAGAGCGACUGAAUACUUUACUAUCUGCAGAAUGAGCAUUGCAUAGCCAAGUAGGAUGACCAUUUGCUAAUGUUGUUCCUGGCAAGCUAUGAACACAAUUCAAAGGAAGAAUUAACGACAUUUGAACUCUAAAAACGAGUAAAUUGAAAGGCCUGGUUCAGAAAAAUGGUAAAGAAAAUGAAGUUACCCUUGGCCGAUGUCGAAUAUGAAGGACAUGCAAACCAAAUAAUACCACUCUGUAUCAGUGAGAUCUUCUGGAGAUAAUGCAGCUGAAGGUCUUCUAGCUUGUGGACUGGCUUCACCAACUGAAAGUGACUCGUAGAGUUCUCUUAAUUGCUCACUUCUCUGUAAACCCAAUUCAUCUUCAUCAAGCUCUAUGGAUUGAAUUGUCUUCCUUGUUUUAAUAUCUCCGUUGUAGUACCCAUCACCCCACUCCAACAAUCUACAAAAUUCACAUUUACCAGUGAUAAGAACAUGAACAAAUAAUGCAUGAGAGCUAUAAGCAUGAGCAGCUCAUAUAUGAUCAUAGUGUUCAUGGCUAUAAUCAACACACAAACAAAUAGACUGCCCUUUCUCUCAGGGCGGGCAAAAAAAGAAAUGCUUAUCAUAAAUGCUAUGUUCUUUUGUUGGGGAAAGGUAAAUACAUCUUCAAAGAAAGGAACCAUGAGCCAUCUUGAUAGAUGUUCUGUAAAAUGUGGACAAUGAAGUUUUAGAAAGGGGUCGAUUCCUUUAAAGCUAAGCCUAAAGUUUAAUUCAUGAAGCUAAAAAUGCCAAUUACAUGUCAAAAUCAUUACCAUUUACACAAUUCUUUACACAAAAACCAGAUUUCACUCUAACCAUAGAAGAUCAAACAUAUUACACUCUUUCUGAAAACUGAACUCCCUGCACCCAGUUCCAACAUGUAAAUGAACUCCCAGAAACUCAGCUGACCCACUUUCACAAAUACUACAAACAAAACACAGAAAAUUUUCUUUCACGAGAUUCUUAAAAUAUAUUUUAUUUCACUAAAAAAAGAACAAUCUCUAAAAAUAAAGUAAAAUAUUAGCACCGAUACACACAACAAAAAUUGAGGAGAUAUGGAAAGGUUUAGUUAGUACCCUGGUUGUCUUGCUGAAAUGGACCAGAAGAUUGCGUAGCUCCACUGAAUGCUCCUGACAGCAAGAGCAAGCUGUUUCUUGAGGUUCCCUGGUAGUCUCUCUUGGUUGUGGAGCUUAGUAGCCAUAUUUUAAGAUCAAGAGGAUAAAACUAACCACUUCUAUCAGAUCAGUCACAAAACAAGAAUCUUGCUUUGAACUUUAUUCUGUAUUUCUAAGCACCGGAAACUUCGACGAUGGAAUAUUCAGUAUCUUAAGAACCACAUGCUUAAAAUCUUGAUUCUUCAAUACCAAAAGUAGGUUUGUUCAAGAAAACAACAGAGACUAGAAACUCAGGGUUGGAACUUGUGAGAUUAGUAGUGAAGCCUGGAGGAUUAACCAAAGAGGAAGUUCAGCUCCUCGUUUUAUCAGAAGUGAAAAACAUACUAUUUUGGAGACUAACUAGACAAGUGUAGUAAUUAAGUUAUCUCCUGUUAUGAAACAAGAAACAAAACACAAACUUUGAUAAGGAAAGGGACAGUAAAUGGAAGUAGAAUCUUUCUUGGUUUCUACUUUCAAUCUUGUAAAUGGUAUCUUAAUUUAUUGCUCAGAAAAACAUUCUAGUGUAGCUACUAGCCUAAACAGAGUAAGCCCAGAAAGACAAAGCUCAUGAAUGUUGGAAAACAUACCCCUGCUUAUUUCCCUUCCUUUUUAAGCCCCAGAAAGACAAAGCUCGUGAAUGGUUGGAAAACACAAACCCACUUAUUUCCCUUCCUUUUUUCUUCUUUUUCAAGCUCUAAAAAACACAACAGAAUCGGUUUAAGAGCCUAUUAAAAGAUCUGGGUAUUCACUGACCCAGAAAACUGAGACACUUGGACCUACAAUACUGUCCACGCAAAACAACUUUCUUCUUUAUUGAACUCAACGAAAGUUAUUUUCACCAAAAAAACAGCUCAAAAAUACUUCUUAUGGUCGGCAAAUACUGAGAGGGAGAGAGAUAUACUAUAGUUUACUUUUAAGACAAAACGGCUCCAAGACAAGCAGUAUUCCAUGUGCAAAAUUUAAGUGCUUGAUUUUUGCUUCAUUUCUUCUUCAAGUGGAGAUCUUAAAACCACCCAAAGAAAUUUGCAGAGAACGAAUGAUGUAUUAUGAGAAGAAAGAUUUUCAUCCUUUGAAUUCAAAGUUCAUGCAAGUAAGGGAACAGAGAGAGAGAGAGAGAGAGAGCAGAUGGAGAGAUGGUGGGGCCCUGAGCAUUUAAGCAAUGGAGAGAUCAUCUUGUACUAACUAGUAACAAUAUGCUUUGAUAGUGGAAUUUCGUGAAAAAUGGAGUCUUAAGUAAGAAAAAACCAAGAAUAUUUAUUAUCUUCUUGUAAUAUAUGACUUUAGUGCUUUUUUUUUUCAUAAAAAAACAAAUAACCAAAACUUUAAUUAAUCGAAUGAUGAAAUUAAAAAUUAAAAGAACUUUAACAAAAGAUUUAAGGAAAAAAUUAAAAAUUAAAAAAAUAAACAUCAAAAUGAAAAAAAAAAUAUAUAUAUAUAUGAAAAUUUUGUAAUUGAAGGACUAAAUUGAAAAAAAAAUAUAAAAGAAAUAAAAAUAAAAUAAAAGAUAAAAAAAAGAGGACUGGAAUUGAAAAAUAAAAAAUAAAAAAAGAUAAUUAUGCACUUUAUUUAGUAUGAAAGAGAAAAUAAAAAGAAAAAAAAACGAUUAUUAAUGAUAAUCCGGUCACCAUACAUUGUCACAAACCACACCAUGUGGAAAAAGACAUAGUGGUGCAUGCAUAGAGAUGACGGAAGGCAAAGUUUGGUUAUCGGAUGGCGUCUAACACGCUGCUUCAAUUAUACAAACGUCAUCCACUUAUUGGCUCUCGCUGAGCAUACCAUAACAACUUUUUUAUUAAAAAAUUAAAAAAAUCAAUUUGAAAAUACCAAAACACUCUCAUGAAUCUGAUAAUUACUAAAAACAUCGUGUGAAAGUACAAAAACAUCCCAGAUGAAAACUUUAUUUUGUCUUUUCUAAAAUCAAUUUCAUGUUUUAGUUGUACAUGAAAAUUUAAAAAAUAAAAAAUAAAAAACUCUUAUCCAACAAUACAAUGUUUUUUUUUUAUAUUAGGGAUAAAUAAAUAUUUUUACUAAUUAAAAGUUUAUAAAAAGUUAAAAACAAUCUUUGGUCAACAACUUUAAAUCUUGUUCAUUUCAGGAUAAAAAUAUAUUUUUAUAAUAAAUAAAUAAAACCUUGGACAUCCCCCUAACAAUCUUAUAAUCACCAAGACACCUCCACUCAGGGGGGAAAAAAUAAUUUUACCAUAAUAACUGUGUCUAAUGCUACAGUAGAACACUCACACCCUUCCCACACAGUCACACACAUAUAAAUAUAUACACCCAUCAACCAACUUUUCUACGCUGCAUUGCGAGAGUAGGAUUAAAAGUUCAUUUUUAAUGUUAAAAAAAUGAAUUGACAUUGCUAUCAUUUGUUAUCAUUAUAAAAAAAUUAAUUAUAAAUUUAAAAGUUAAUGCGUGUACCGAAUAAAAUAAAUAAAAUAUUAUAUAUGAAAAGCGAGCUCCAAUGAAAAAAAAACAAACACAUUGAAAAUUGUACUUCAUUGCUUGUAUGCAGUCAAAGAAAAAAAAGAGUUAUCGCCAUAAAAUAAAAUUAAAAAAAAAAAACUAUUUAUUUUAAUAACAACAUUCAAGUCGGUGGAGUGUAAAACUGCAAAUCUUUUUCACCCACUCAAGAAUAUAUAAUUACCAAAAAGUGGCGUGCAUGAAGUAAGCAAGCGGUGUGGGGACCCAAGGCAAGAGGUCCUGGUUGUCGUGAAGGUCUUGAGUUGAAAAGGUAAAAAACUGAGUGGGCGGGUUCGUUCUUGUUCUUGAUUUUUAUUUCCUUUUAAGUUUUAAUUGAGCAUGUGUGUGAAAUACUUUAGUGUGAAAAUUUAAAUCAGGCCAACGAGAACAGGACGGCGUGAAUCCCUCUCCGUCAACAACAUCACGGCAUUGACCAGGGCUCAGCUUCACAAAUUAUUGGCCUGGAUCGCAAUUGCAUGUGUAUUAUCAGAACGAUGACGUCAUUGCCGCUUUUAUAUAUAUAAAUGACGUCCUCGAUACCCACUCCACACACAUACUGACACAUGCAAUAAUAUAUUAUCAUGCAUUAUUUAUUCUUUAUACAAUACAACAAGACAUGGGGUUUUUACUGCAGUGAAAACCCCACUUUGAACUUAUUUGUAUAAGUUUUUUAUUUUUUUAUGUAAUUAAUGUGUUUUAUUAAUUUUAUUUUUUAAUAAUAUAUUUGUUUUUAAAUGGUUAUUUCUCUCUUAUUACAUUAAUUAAUCCAAUUAACUCGGAUUUUUUUUUCUUAACAAUUCACUAAAACAUACAAAUUUUUCUAUUUAGCAAUUUAUAAUAAAAACCCAACUUUGACCUUAUUUGCACAUGUGCUUUGCUCUUGUUUUUUUUUCUUUAAAUAUUUUUUCAAUCAAUGUUUUUUUUAAAAAAAAUUAUCAUUUAAUAUCACUUUUUUUUUUAUUGGACUAUCUCACUCUCAUAAUACAAAUCGCGAGUUUAGUGGGUUAAUCUAUUUGACUCGGAUUUUUUUUUAAUUAAUUGUUUUUUUCAAUUUCAUCAUUUAAUAUUGAGUUGAAUGGAAAUUAUGCUUCAUAAUUUGUUUAGUUUGCUUUCUAUUAGGCUAUUCCAGCCUCGUGACCCAGGAAUAAUGCUUAAUAAAUUAACAUGAGUUUACUCUAGUUAUUUUUUAUAUUUUUUUUAAUUGAUUUUUUUUCAACUUUAUUAUUCAUUUUUGGGUCGGUUGGAAAUUGAUCUUCUUGAUCUCUUUUUAUUUGUUUUUUAUAGGGAUGUCAUGGUUUCAUAAAUGUGUGCACGAGUUUUGGCUUUUUAACCUAGUUAAAUCAAGUUGUUUUUUUAUUAUUAUUUUUUUCUUAGAGGUUAUCUCAUUUUCAUGACUCGGGUCAUGGGUCCUUCAACAUAUGAUUUAUUUUAUUGGGUUAUCCUCGUCUCUUGAUCUAGGUCCCGGGUUAAUCCAAUUAACUCAGUUUUUUUUUUCAAUUUCAUCAUUUAAUAUUGUGUUUCAUUAGGAAUUAAUCUUUGUAAUUUGUUUUGAUUUGCUUUUUAUUAGGUUAUCCUGACCUUAUAACUCAAGAAAAAUGCUUAACAGGUUGACAAUGUCGAUUGAGAAUUGAACUUCAUAAUAUAUUUUAAUGUAAUUUUUAUGAGAUUAUCUUAAUUUCAUGAUCAGAGCCGUGAAUUUGGUAGGUUAAAUUAGGUUUUUUUUUUCAUUUUCUUUCUAUGAUGUUUUCUUUAUAUCAUGACUCGGGUCAUGAGCUUGUCGGAUUAACUUGAGUUAUUGUUUUUAUUUUUUUAAUCUCAUCCUUCAAUAUUAUGUUGAUUGAAAAUGAAACUUUAUAAUUUAUUUUAAUUUUCUUUCUAAGAGGUUAUCUCGAUUUUCUAACAUGGAUCACAGGUUUGAUAGGUUAACUCGGUUCGUUUUUAUAGGUCAUUUUUUUAAUUGAUUUUUUUUUAAUUUUAUCUUUUAAUACUUGAUUAAUUGAGAAUUAGGCUUUAGAAUUUAUUUUGAAUUGUUUCUAUAGGGUUAUCAUAGUCUCAUAACCUGCAUCGUGGAUUCGACAUGUUAACUUGGGUUGAUCCAAGUCAAUCGAAUAUUUUAUUAUUUUGAUAUUAAAAAAAUACUUUUUUAAAAUAAUUUUAAAUUUGAAGGAAGAAUAAAUCGAAGACUAAUUUAAAAACUUGAAGGGUUAGUAAAAAAAUCAUGGAAGAAUGAGAAAAUUGUUUUUUUUUCAAAGUCACUAACAUCAAACUAGACUCCCGGUGAAUGAGAAUUUUUUUAUUUAAAAAAAUAAGUCUCUAACAUCGAACUAGACUCCCAAUGACCACAUGCAUGGCUCAAACAUGGAGGGGCCCACUUGCAUGCCACUUCUCAAGAGGUUUUUUUAAGAAGGAUAAAAUUAUAAAAAUAAAAUUAUUAUUCCAAUGCGUCUUGGGCUCCGAUGCUUCACUUAUCUCUCUUUAGUUUUAGUUUUUAUUUUUUUUUAAUGAAUGAAUUGGCAAAGAUAUCAAAAAUAAAAUAAAAAGAAGAAGCAAAAGGUACGAGGAUACUGUUACUAUUGUCUUAUUAGACUAAACAGAACUCAACAACUUGUCCAGCAAUUACAGAGAACGUUUUGUCCAACAGAAAUAUGAAAUGGAUGCAUGAUUUUCAAUAUUUUAGGCAUACGUUGAAUAUUCGAUGAAUCUUUCUACAAUAUGGAAAAAAGUUAUCUUGCCCUCUUAUCUAAUCAAUAAUUCGAGUAAUCUUUCUUUUCACGUUAAUUUCUUUCUUCUUCUGCUUUUUUUUGUGCUCCAGAAGAAAAGAAGCAUGACAUAGACGUGAAAUAAUUUAUUUUAAUUUGUUUUUUUAUGAUUAUUCUGCUCUUAUAAUUUAUGCUUGACAUAUUAAUUUGAGCAAUUAUUUUAGUUGAAUUUUGUUUUUAAUUUUACCCUUUAAUAUUAGGUUGAUUGGGAACUAAAUUUAAUAAUUUUUUAUUUUAUUUUAUUUUUAUUUUUAUUUUUAUUUUUUCUUUGCCCUGGAGGAAAAGAACCGUGACAUGGACAUGGAAUAUUCGCAACCUUUUUAUCCACCCCUUUUUAACUAAUAAGUGAUAAACAUGCAAGUUGUGAUACGUAACUAAAAUGGGGUUACCACCUUUCCUGAUACCAUCAUGAUUUUUUUGAAAAACUAAAGUGUUGAAGAGGGGAAUGCUGAAAUCUUCUGUUCAAAUAUAAUAUUUCUUAUUGGGGAAAUAUAUUUUUAAAUUUAAUAAAUGAAUUUGUUUUUUAUUAUUUCUUAUUGAAAAAUAAAAGGUUAAAAAAAUAAUAAUUUUACGGGUCAACUGUGUUGGCUCGAUUAUUUUUUUAAUUAAUUUUUUCUCAACUUUAUUCUUCGAGUUGUUUGAGAAUUAAAAUUUAUAAUUGUUUUUUUACUUGGUUUCGACGGGGUUAUCAUGGUUUCAUGAUUCAGGUCACGAGUUUUAUGCGUUAGUUGUGUUGACUUGGAUCAUUUUUUAUUUUAUUUUUAGUUAUUUUUUCCCUAAACUUCAUCAUUAAAAAUUGAGUUUACAUGAAAUUGGGUUUUAAAUUAUUAAUCAUGGUUUCAUAAACCCGGUUGCGAGUUUUACAAGUUAUUUAGGAUGACUUAGGUUUUUUAUGGUAUUUUUUAAUUGAAUAUUAAUUUUUCAAUUUAAUCCUUCAAUAUUUGGUUGUUCAUAAUUUAGGUAGCGGAUUUGAGAUGUUAACUAGAGUUAAUUCGAAUCGAUCUAAUUUGUUGUUUUUUCAAUAUUUUUUUAAAAUAUUAUCUUGAUUUUUUUAAAACCAAACUUUAUUUUUAUUGAUUGUUUAAGUUGUUUUUAGAUAUAGCAAGCCAUCUAAAUUAUAUUAAAUUAAAUUAAUCUUUACAUAGUUAAUUUUUUUUUAUAAAAGAAAAACAUAUUAAAAACAUCCGGAUAUCUUCUUUACUUUAAAAAACUCGAUCCUCGCCGGCAAUAAUCUAGGAUGUAUUAAAUAGUAGCUGACAUGUAUCCACAGCGUAGCUAGCAGCCUCGCACCACCGAUCUGCAAAUCAUUUUUGCCCUUCAUAUAUAAUCAUCGCGAUAAUUCCAAGAAACACACUCAUAUUGGAUAAUCCUAGAUUCCUCCGACAUCAUUCCAACCUUUCUCCGACUAGGGUUAAUAUUAUAUUCCUUGUGCGUGCUCAUCUGCCUGUUAUUUGACAAAACAUACGUGUAAAAGAACAGAUUCUGAACUGGAUUUUCAGAUUUCAUGUGAUCGCUUUCAAUGAUUUUUCCAGGCUAAAUUAUAAAAUACUCGACUUUAGUGAAGAAAAUAUAGUCUUCUGAACUAAAAUAUAGGCUAAAUUAUUAGGGUUUUGUUAAAAAGAUUGAUGGAAAAACCCCUAAAAGCCCUCACUAUUCCUCGUGAUCUCUCUGCAAUAAUAAAAUAAUAAUACUAAUUAAAAAAAAAGAAAACACUCUCUCUUUCUCCUUUCUCGUGCUUUUCUUUUUAUUUUGUAAGAGUGCCUUUUGGUUUCAUUAGCUCAGAGCAAGGGUUGAGGAUUAAGGAGGGUUUUUUCAUCAAAAUUCUAAACAAUUGUCAAAAUAAAAGGAAGUCAUAUUAAUUAAGGGGGAUAUUAUAGAUUUUUUAUUUUUUUAUUAAGAGGGUAUUUGUUUUUCGUUUAAGUUGAGAGAAAUAUUAUGUAUGCAUGUGUCUUUUGUCAUUAUCCUGCCAAUAAUUCAAACACCAAAAUGCAAGCAUACCUAUCACUACAUCUACGAGGGUGUUUGGUUUAGAGGUAUGAUGAUUUGUUUCAAAAAUAUAAUUCUUUUGAAACAUAAAUUAUACAUUUAAAAAUUAAAAAUACAUAUUUUUUAUAUAAACCACAUAAACAAAAACCAAAACCACCUCCGAACCAACUACCUUCCUGAUUAUCUUUCCUAAUUAACGUGGCUUGGUAAGGGGCAAGCUAAUACAUGGAUCUCAUAGCAUAUAUAUAAAUGUUUUAUUUAUUUGAAUUUGAGUUUUUUUUAUUUAAAAAAGCUUUAACAUCUUAUCGUUCAUUCUCCAAUUUAUUUAUAUAUUAAUAUUCUAUUUUUUUAUACACACUAUUAUUACAUGAAAUGAUCUUUGAUUAAUAUUUGAGUGCUUGAGAUGGUCAGCAGCGAGGAAAAAAUAAAACAAAUUAUUUUUUAAAAUAUUUUUUAUUUUAAAAUAACCACAAUAAAUUUAAUUUCAAUUCCAAACAUUCACGAAUUGACUUUUGAAUUCUGAAUAGAAAUUAUUUGAGAGGAAGAAAAUUUUUACCCGGGAUUUCUUAUUUUCUGAAGCAACGUUCGUGAUUGGUCCACCGUGGCUUGUUCCUUUUGGUCCAGCUUGACCUUGAGCCACUUUAUUAAUUUCAUCUUGUUGACGCCAUGUCCCGGUUCAUUUUCAUCUAUACGCAUGUCUGCUGUUGUUUAAUCACGAUGUGGUUAAAUUGGAUUUUCAAUCAUUUUCAGUUGCUGUCACUCAUAUUCUAAUUUCCAACUUAAUUAUUAUACAUUCAUGCUAAGAAACGUGUAUAACUACGGUUAUGUCAUCAUGUCUUGCUUGCAUUGCAGUUCAAUCAUAUUUUAAAAUUUUGUUAGUUUUAAAUUAAUCAUUUAAUUUGUUUAUUGAUGUUUUUAAAAGUAGGAUUAUAGUAUGAAACUCAAGUUUAUUAAUUAUUUUGAUGUUUUGAUAUUAAAAAUAAAUUUUAAAAUAAUAUAUUUAUUAAUAAUAUUUUUUUUAAAUAAUCUCUACCACGCUUAAAAUCACUUAGAAAAUAAAAUAAAAGGCGAUCCCAUCAAGUAGAGUCGUCCCACCUCGCUUCCUACAAGCUGAGAGGUUAGAAUUAUUCACGCAUGAAUUUGCAAUCAAUAAUGCAAUCCAAAGUCACCAAAAUGUAUGAUAAAUCAAAAUUAAACUCUUGACCUUUUGGGUUCUUCGUUCAAGUUAGCGACUUUUCUGGGACGCGUGAACAAGACAGAUGAUCAAAUUCUCCAUGACCAUUGUUGCUGUAAAUGGAAAAGAUGAUGGGUUCAUUAAUCAAUUCAUAUAAACCUCUGGUUGGAAAUCGACAGCAUGGAUUUGCUUUUGCUUUUCAAGGGGGGUUAUUUCUUUCUCCUUUUUAUUGUUUCGUGUUUUAUAUAAUAAUAGUUUUUAUGGUUAUAGUUUUAAAAUAUAUGUUUUAAAAAAUAAAUUAUAGUUUUUUUUCUUAAUUAAGUUUUAAAAAAGAAUUUUUAAUGAGAUUCAUGUAAAAUUAUAAUAUGUAUUAAUUAAUCAAACAAAUAUUUUCAGUAUUAACCAGUAAAACACAAUCUUAAUGAGAUCGCAUCUCACUCUGGAUAUACUCUAAAUUAACCAUAGUGAUUUUUAUAUAUAUUAUUACAUAACAUCAUGUUAAUUCAAUAGUUUUUGAUAGGGGGGGUCGUAGAGAAAAUCCAGUGAUGGGCAUCCAAUAGAAUAAAGAACAAAAGGUCAAUCCACGUGCUCGGAGGUAAAAACAUAUUAUCAACAAGUGGGGUCUAUCUACGUCAUAUUAUGAUGCUAGAUGGGGUUUAAAUUGAAUUGCAUUGAUGUGUUUCUUUUUGUCGUCAAAUAAUAUUUUUAAAAAUUUUUGAUUUUUUUUUCAAACUAUAUUUUUCAAAAAAUUUAGGAUGUUUUGAUAUGCUAAUAUUAAAAAUAAAUUUUAAAAAAUAUAAAAUAUAUUAUUUUAAUAUAUUUUUAAGAAAAAAAUACUUUAAAAAACAACUGUCUUCAUGAUCCCAAACACUAAAGAAAAAAAAAUUGAAAGUUCAUUUCAUGGGUUAAGAGUCUAUUUGAUAUUGUGGUUUCAGUUGCUUUUCAAAGUGUUUUUCGCUCGAAAAUACAUCAAAAUAAUAUUUUUAAAAUUUUAUUUUUGACAUUAACACAUCAAAACAAUAUAAAAACAUAAAAAAUAAUAAUUUAAAAAAUCAAUUUUUUGGCAAACAUGCCGCUAGCUGUAUUACCAAACAAGUUUUAAAUAGUCUCCCCACUCACUCCAUCUCAUUAAUUUUGGUUAAAAUUCACAAUCAAACUAUGAGAAUAUAUCUUCUCACAAGUAUUAGAGAUAAAAAUAAUUUGCCUCGAUGAAAACAAAACCUAAAUUGUUGAGAACAAGUAUAAGGUGUGAUUUCCUCUUUAUAAUUAAAUGAGAAUGGGGUGAGGAAAAUGAUUCCCACCUAAUAAGGUCUGAUUUUAUUUCAUGGGCUUAAAGGCCAUAACGAUGCUUGAGAUAAGAUUAUUAAUCUUUUAAUUCUUAUAAUUUGGUCCAUCUUUUCUUGGCGAAAUAACAGUCCCUCGUUAAAGCUAUGAGAGAUAAAAGUCAUUUUAUUUCAGAAAAAAACCCUAAAAAUAGAUAUAUGUAAUUUGUAGACUAGAAAAAUUGAACCUGCCUCGUGGAGGUUAUCAUGGUCCCUUUUUAUAGCUCUUGAGGUCCCCCUCAUUUCAUGAAUGUGGAAAAUGUUUACAUAUCAGCCUAAUAUCUCUGUCUUGUCAAGAUAAAAUAUUUUUAACUCAUCAGAGUAAAAUAUCUAUGAUUGAUCAGAGUAAAAUAUCUAUGACUAUGGGUCCGGCAGUUCACCAAACCCAUACACGUCAAGGAUUUGCGUUUGGCUAAGUCCAGAGAUGAUGGAUUAUCACCUUAAACUUUGUUCACCUUAAACCAGUAGAUAAGAGCUAUUUGACCUUUUUCAAAAAAUUUACAGGUCCCUAAAGAACUAUUAGAAUCUUCAUGCCUUGGUGUCUUGUCUUUACUAGGAGAAUGUGUCAAUUGGGAAAUAAAAUAGUGGUUUGCAUUAAAUAAAAUAAUUGAGUGAAUUUCUGAAAAUCUGUGAUUAUAUCAAAAAUCAUUUAUAUGAUGGUGGGAGUAAAUAGAUUCUUUUUUAACCCUAUUCAUUUUUUCCUAUGACUUUUUUUUUUACUUUUUUUUUGUGCUUUUUUAUAACCUUCUCUCAUAGAAAGACCCUAAAUUAUCUUUGCCACCUUUAUUCUUGAUCCAAAAUAGGAAAAACUAUUUCAGACAUCUCUUUCCUCGAAUACUUUUUCCUAUCUUUCUUUUACUCAAAGCAAAAAUGGACCCUAAGAACAUCAAGUCUGUCUCUAAAAGGAGAAGCGCUCCUUUAAUUGUUUUUUAUAAGCAAUCUAGUAUCAUCUAUUUGCUUCUUAUGUUGAUCAUUAUUCUUACUAACAAUAACUGAUCUCAAAUUUACUUGUAAGCUCAAUUUUGAGUUCACCAUUAAGGAUUUGGGUAAUAAUCUCAGUUACUUUCUUUGCCUUGAAGCUUCACUAACUACAAAUGAUCUUUUUAUUAGUAAGUCAAAAUAUGCUUGAGAUAUUCUUAUUCAAGAUCAAUAAUUACUUGACAAAAAACAUAACCAUACUCUUAUGAUUUUUUCCCAACACUUAUUUGCUAGUGGUCCUUUAUUUUUAUUUUGAAUAGGUAUAGUUGAAUAUGUCAAAGAAUUAAUUCAAUCUAAAAAUUUAAGUUGUUAGGCGAGGUUCCAUGUAUUAAUUUAUAUUAUUGUCUAACACAUCUUCUCAAGUAAAAGUUUAUUGGGCUUGAAAUUUGCAUAGAUUCAUAUUACAUUGUGCUUAAUUUUUAUUAAAUAAAUCGAGAUGGUGGAAUUCGAACUCGUAAUCACCUAGUUAUCAAGACUCUGAUAACAUAUUAAAAAACUAAUUCAACCUAAAAAUUUAAAUUAUUAGGUGAGAUCUCAUAUAUUAAUUUAUAUUAAUUUCUACAACAGAACCAUUAGCCUAAAAUGAUUGAACCCAUAGUAGCAAACAUUAAUGCAGGAGUACUAAAUUGAUGAUUGAUUAAUUUAUUAAUUAUUCAAAAACUGAAAGACAUCUACAAUAUUUAUGGUGACCAUGUGUACUCUCUCUCUCUCUCUCUCACACACACACUAUAUAUAUAUAUAUAUAUAUAUAUAUAUAUAUAUAUAUAUAUAUAUAUAUAUUCUUUUUAUGUUAUUAUUUUUAAAAUUUCAUACUUUAGAAUUAUGUCGAUUCGAAUUUCAGAUUGAUAAUUUAUUUUUACUUUUGUUUUAUAUGGUUAUUAAGAUUUCGAAAAAACAACCCGUCGUUAGGAAUUGGUGCCCAACUUCACAUAAAAAUAUUUGAUUUAGUUGUUUACAAUGAAUUUAAAUAAAAAAUUAAAUUAAUGGGCUCAGACACUCAAGUUGUUGUAGGCCUGCAUGCUUGGGCUUUUUUUUUUUUUCCAUUUGAUGUUUUCUAAUUUUAUUUUUAUUUUCUUGUUGAUUUGUUUUUUCAUUUUCAUGAUAGUAUUAUUUAAAAAAUUUUAUUGUUUUAUAGGCUCAGGCUCACAUGUUAUAAAAAACAUAAAAAAAAACCAAAUACAAUGUAAUUCAUAACCUAAAUAAUGAGUUUAGAGAGUUAGACUACAAAAUCUAGAUCAAUUCAAUAUAUUAUUUUUUUAUAGUUUAAAAAAGAGUUCUAUCAUCUUGGAUUUUUUUUUUCAGUUUUAAAAAACAUUUGGGAGUGAAAUCCUUUGCACUGAUUUUUAUAUAUAAGUUAGUGUAGAAAACUAGGAUAAAUAUAUAUUUUUUUCUUGGAGUUCAAAAAAGUAUGGAGAGUCUUGAUGUCCUAUUUUAGAACUUGUUUGGAGUUGUGUUUGCACCGGAGUUUUAAUAAAAAUAUGAUUAUUUUUUGCUUAAAUUGUUUUGUAUUAUUUUAAUGUGUUGAUAUUAAAAAUAUAUUUUUAUAAAAACAUUUUGAAAAACAAUCACUAUCACACUCUUAAACACCCCUUUAUACUAGAGGAAGAAGAAAAUAAACAAGAGAAUUGUUUUUUUUUUUUGUCAAAUUAGCACAAUAAACAUAAAUAAUUAGCGAAAUAACACAAUUUGAAAAAGAUUUUAUGAAAUAACACUUUUUCACAUUCUAACGCUUCAGAAGUGCGACAAGGUAAAAGUAUAAUUAUCUAGCUCAAUUUAGUCAGCUGGAUGGAUCUGAUUGUAUUGAUCGGUAAACUAUUUUACAUAAAAACCAUAAUUUUAUAAAUAUUUUCUUCUAAAUAUAUUUUAUGAAUUAAAAUAUAAUUCUUUGUCCAACUUAUAAACUAAAAAAUAGAUUUUAGUUAAAAUCUCAAAAAAUUAUUACUCAUAUAAUAGUGAUGUUGAGAUUUUCAAUAUCAAUGAUAUAGUUGAGCUUAUAAUAUCAAAUAAUUCCGGGCAUUAAAAUACAAAUCUACUAUAACUAAAUAAAAAUUUACUCCAAAUAAAUUAUAAAAAUAAUAUAGCAAAUAUGGAAUUUCACCGAAUUUUUUCAAUGGAUGGUAUUCCGGUUUCUUAUAAUGUGCUAGUUUUUGUUUUAAAAAGGGUGGGCCCAUACGCCAGACUGCUGCAAAAUACGCCAUCAUUUUUCUUGAAAUGAGAAAUUAAUAUGAAUAAAUACCACUGACUGUAGGAGUCCAAUCUCCAGACCCUUCGACUAUCCCCACACUACCUACUAGUCAAAGACCAUAUCCAGGCGGCGGUUUUGCCAGUCAUAAUCAUAGAAAGAGUAACGGUGGCCCUACUCAAACGUGGACAGCCAUCAGCCGUUGGAUCUAUUGACUUCGGGUGCUCUCCUUUACAGAAUUGUUCCAAAACAACUCCCAAGGACUUUAGUAGUAAUCAUAGAAAGAGUAACGCUCACAUUAACCUCUUAAUUUCCGGUAAAACUAUAUGGUGGCGAGCCAUCAUUAACAUAAUAACAGCAGUAAUAAUAAAAAAAAUAAAUCUUGAAGAAAUUAUUGAACAUUUAUGAAGGGGUGAGCACAAACUCAUUGUGUUUUGAAAUUUGUCUUGACAGGGACCAAAGCCUGUGUUAGGUUCAACGCGGGAUAAUGUAUUUUUAAGAGACAAUUAUUUUGUUUUGUGAUGAUGUGGUUGGUGGGCCAAUUAAAUUGAUUGCUUUUUGUCAUUUAACCUGUCACCCUUCCUUUCAUCUGUUAAAUGAAUUCAGGAGAAAAUAACGUCUGUAUUAGCAUUGUUUUCCUCCAUGAAUUACUUUAAUUUCACCUCCCACUCCAUCCAUGGGAGGUUAGGCAGAGUAGUGGGGCAGCCAUUGAAGCCAGGCUACAUGACAGGGUCGGUCCAUUGCAUGAAGUACAUACUGCUCGGAAGGAGAAGUAUAUUUAAUUCAUAUAUAUAUUAUUAUUACACUUGCAAUAUAAAUACAUUAUUCUAAAGAAAGAAUUCCCAUCAGUAAUGGAGGCUGACAGUAUCAGUUGGGUGGUGGACUGUGGAGAGAAGAAUAAUUGGCCUCUACUGUUUAGUUCCCCCUACGGAUGAAUUAUAUCACUAUCCUCUUGCUUCAAAUCAUCCUAUGAAAUUAAAAAAAAAAAAAAACAAUUUAUUAAUUGGGAUAAAGUUUAAGAAAAAAAACUUAAAAUUAUAUUUAAACCGUGUUCUUUUCUUCAUGAUAAAUUAACAGUCUCGAUUUCCCAACCUUAUCCUCUGUUUAAUUUGAAUUUACGUAUUACUGUUAUUAUUAUUUUGGUUCAGGUUGAUGCCCACAGACCGUGUUCAAUGUAUGUUUGUAAUUGUAUUUUCUAGAGUGUUUUUUAAUUAUAAAUAUAGUAAAAUAAUAAUUUUUUAAUUUUAAAAAAUUAUUGUUGAUACCAAGACAUUAAAAUAAUAUAAAAAUAUUAAAAAAUUAAUUAUUCAUUUUAUUAGUGGUUAAUUAUCACAGGUCACUUUUAAGAACAGAGCUCGCCAUCAUCUUCUCUCGUGACUGUGACACUGAGACAUGUGCGCGCCCUAUAGCCUGUAAUUAAUGAGGUGGUCCAAGAAUGCAUCAAUCACAUUGAUGUUGCGACGGCUUAUCGUCUGUCUCUGUGCUCAAUUGUAUAUAUUUUAACACCAAGUGUUGUUUUCCCAAUCCAUACAGUGCCCAGUGUGACCCCUCUCCUCUGUUUUCUAUAUAUAUAUAUAUUUCUGGGUCGUGAGUUACGAGUUUUGCAACUACUUGUGAUUUAUUAUACUCCUUUUUCUUUUCCUUUUCUUUUUUUAAUCAAAUUCAAGAGUGUGUGUGUUAGGGCAGACUGCUACAACUAGUCCACUAACUCUGCUUCUUUCUUGUUUCGCCCACUAUCAAACAUAAUUAACGCCAAAAACAUCCUUGAGUUCAUACACACAUGACAGGGGAAAGAAUUCAAGAAAAGGUGCUUGCUUGAUCAACUUGAAUAAGGAAGAAGAGCUAGCAUGCUGGCACUGGUUCUGUUAUUACCAAACUAUCCCUGUCGACGGCUAAGGCUGUGGUUGUUUAUUUGGAGCUAUUGCGUUUGCGAUGCAAAAAACACAGUAAUAUGUUUGUUUACACACUAAAUUGUGUUUUUUACUGUGAAGUCCACUAAAAUUUUUUGCGUUUUAAAGGUGUUUUUAAAAAAUUUUAUUUUUUUUACUUCAUAUCAUUUUUUUUGUUUUCAUAUCAUUUUAAUGCAAUGAUAUCAAAAAUAAUUUUUUAAAAAUAUAAAAAUUAUUUUGAUUCAUUUCCUAGUAAAAAGAUCUUUGAAAAGUAACCGCAACCACAUAAUUACUUUGAUUCAAAAAUAAUUUUUAAAAAAUAAAAAAAAUUAUUUAGAUUUAUUUCCUAGUAAAAGGAUCUUUGAAAAGUAACCGCAACUACACAAUUACCAAACAUUUUAUACAUAAAUUUUACCAAAUUCGUAUUUAAAUCCAACCACACCUAACCAUAUUUUUUAAAAUUUAUAUUUUUCAAACUAAAACUAGGAAUCCAUUUGGUUACGUAGUUGAUUCUGCGUUUGAAGCAACCACAACAACUCAAUUGUUUGGUUAUGCUCCCACAGCAUAUUUAUAGCAGUGGGGCCUACCAUUAAUUGUGACGCAGGUUCCAAGAAGCAGCAAAGAGCUGCUUCUUGGAUUGGAAAACUCAUGAAUAGUAUUAUUUAUGGUUUUCUUUCCCGAACAGUGGAGGUUCAUGGGUUUUUUUUUCGACCGGACCAGUCUAGUUUAAAGCUAAAAAUACAUUGAACUGGAUCUGACCUAAUAAAAAAAAAUAUUUUUUAUUUUUAAUUGUUUUUUAUUCGAAAAACUAGCCUUAAAAAAUAUUUUAUAUAAAUUAUUAUUUAUUUCAUGAUAUAAUAGUAAUAGUUAAAUCUAUAAUAUUUAAAUUAAAAACCAUUAAUAUUAAUAUAUAUUUUUAAAAAUUAUUUUAUAACCUCAAUUUCAAAAGCAGUCUUAACCAAACAUAUUAAACUACUUUUUAUUCAACUUCAAUUUUAACCACAGUUUUAAUCAAAUAUAUAUUUUUUCAAAUCAAUUAUAACUAAAAAUAUUUUUUUUCAAAUCACAACUACAAUAAUUACCGCAAGUCACACUCUAAGUAAAAAAAAAUUAAACGCACUCUAAUUCCAGGACAAACACGUUGGGAAAUCAUUGCAUGUCUGGUCUAUGCGUGCAUCUUCCAUGGUUUAUUUAGGGCGAGUCAAACAACGUUAGGUAGCCCACUCACACGCAAGAGUCUUUUAUCUUCAAGCAUCCGUGAUCAAGAAUGUCUAGAGAUUUGGGACUCUGAAUUGGUCUCUGUGCUAACAGUUCCUAAACUGCAAUUUGUGCAAAAGAGAGGGGACCUAAUUAAGUUUCCCAGUAAUCAAGGUGCAUUAAUUAGUGGUUGAUUACCUUUAUUACAGUCACGACAAUCUACUUAAUGAGUGCAUGGAAACGUGCUCUUGGAGCCUAUUCCCUCUUUCCUAAUGUUGCCGAGUGUUGAUUGACCGAAUUGUUUGGUUUAUUAUGACUUUUCUUUUUUCUUUUUCACGGGUUGAUUAGAUACGCAACCAAAUCGUUGAAAAUAGACUAUAGUAUAGGUGGUAAACCAUACUUUAACCCAUAUGAGAUUUUAAGAAAAAGCUUAAAUCUCCAGACUUCCUAGGGAAGAUUACAAAUUAAGAAAAAAGGAGCAGGUUCCUUGGGUUUUGUUAUCUACUAUUUCACCUCCAACUUCCAAGGGAAGUAUUAUUUACUCUAAACAUUUGAGAUUAAUGUGAACCCUCUUCAUAUAAAACCUAACCCUUGCGAUGAACGUGUUCCUCGUUUAUCUAAAUGAUGCUCGAACAGGACAAAAGCCGGAACAAGUUUCAAUAAGGCGUGAUUAUUACUUUAGGACAAUCAUUUGCUAACCUAAAAAUCAAACUCCAUGAAAAAACCUUUUCCUCCUCCCGGUUUCACACUCCAUAAUUUAAGCCCAUUCCAUCUUUUUCAGGAAAGAACCUCGUUGUUCAAGAUCCCAUCACCAAUAGUCACGCACUAUUGGAGACAGCAUGAUAUCACCACUGCCCCGGGCAUAGCGUGGCCACAAUCUUUCUUCUACACUAUGAUUGGAGAGGGGCAGGGGUUGAUGAUUCUUUUUCGGGCCUUCAUGGGCUUUUCUUUUACUUGGGCCUGUUGUCUAUCCUGAAGUCCAGAAACGCGGUUGCCAGGGUUUCCAGCUUCUCCAAUAAUUGGCUCGUGUCUCCUUCCAUGCAUUCGGAAUUGGAAUCCAGAAAUGAACCAUGCUUGAUGUCACAAUGGUGACAGAGCAGCAACGUCCUCGGUUGCUGAAAAGGAGCAAUGGUCAUUACAGAGCAUCACUUAGGGCUAUCACAGCAUUGUCAAGAAAAGGCCAGAUCCUUUUCAAUAAAAGUCAGCUAGCCAAGCCAAGAAUAUCAAUUCACCUACCAGGGGAAAAUAGUGUGCAAUUGAACUAAUGUUAUUAAUCGUGCUUAACAGCUGUUCAUGCUUUCAGAUAUCAAUAGCCCACCAAUGAUCUCAUGCACAGUUGUGCUCCCCGGAGCAGCCAGAUGUGGAAUUCACAGAAAACGAGUAAAUCAAAUAGAAUUUUAAAACGAGUUACCCUUUCACCAAAUAAUACAAACCUUCCCAAGUAAAAUCAGCUUGGGAAGCAGAUGAAGUUGUAUAUAAAAAGCUCCCGUGAGUGAUAAACACCAUUCAGGCGAGUAACUCCAUGUUAGUGGUUCAUGGAAAGCGGAGGAGUUUGGUCACAGCCGAGUCCAGCACAUCGACAUUUCUCCUCAGGUUUUUUCUAAUCAAGCAUUAAGAAACCCAAGAAUACCGAAGAAGACAACCAAGAGAAAUGCACUACAAGAAUUUUUUUUAUAGUAGAAAGAGUCGCUUUCUUGAAUGCAAAGGCCUGUGGUUCCCAGAGAAGAAGGAACCACCUGGCAAUUUGGUUACCUCCGUGCUAGAAGGAGAAACCAAAUAGGUAAGAUGAGCCUGUCGGUUCAUCAUAAGCAGCUUAAAGCAGCAAGUGGGGUAAGUGACAUUUACACAAGUAUGCUAAGAAAACAAACACAAAAGGAUACAGUUGAGUCGCUAGAGUGUCAAUGCCCUUCAUUUCCUCGUUCAAUCUGCACCAUAAUUCCAGAAAUGGGUUGGUAAAGGCAUAUCUAAAAUAUCAUCAACUAUUCGCAAAUAAGGACUGUACACAGGUUUUCAAGACUCCAAGUUGGGUUGCUUGAGUAAGUAGUUAGCCAACAAAAGGAGCUAUCUCCAGCCACGUUUUUCAGCGCCCUAACCAGUUAUCUCUAGUAGACAUGAAAAUUAUUUAACACUGUUUUUAAAUUCUGGUUUAUACUCAGAAGAGGGUGGCAAAACAAUAUGGUGACAGAUAGUUCUGGCAAACAAAAACUCGCACAAAUUGGAGGUUCAAUUCUCAACGCAUAGGUAACGAAAUACUUGUCCAGAUAUAUUAAGCUGCAAAACUUUGAUUCUAUUUUCUAAUCACAAAGACACUAUCCCAGGAGCAAUUGAGGGAAACAACAAGGUGGUGAAAAAUUAAGCAGAACAAUCUCAUCCAGAUUCAGCUACCAACCAUGUUGCACUCCAAAAAUCUUUCACACAUGCAGAUUAUCCAACAUUCUUCAUUAAAUCCCAGUAAGUAAGAAAGAAAUAUAACCAUCAGCAUUUUUUUUCUGCACUUAACAUUUUGAAAACCAUGUAAAAAUUAUGCUUCACAGAACCAGAAAACUAUCUGCAAAUAUAUAUAUAUAUAUAUAAAAGCACAAGGCAUCUUAUAGAAGUUGUGACUAUACUUAACAUUUAUUACUCUAAACUUUCAGCUUGUUUGGGAAUGCGGCUGGCAGCGCGUUACCAAAAUUUUUUUAUUUUUUUUCUGGCUUAAAAUUAAGUUUUUUUUAUGUUUUGAUAUGCUAAUAUCAAAAAUAAAUUUUAAAAAGUAAAAAAAUAUCAUUUAGAUGUAUUUCCAGCAAAAAAGUAAAAUGUAAUCAUCAUCCGAGUAAAAUUUAAACUUUACCAGUUAAUCAAGCAUGAGCACAAGAACUUGCUCUCUAUACUGUUAAUAUUUCUCCUAAUUAAAAAUACAAUAAAAGCAAUUUUACAACCCUUCUCUUUUGAUUAAUUAAACCUUUCAAAUUUAAGAAUUACAAAUUAAUUAAAUUAUACCUCAUACACGAAUUUAUGUACCGAUUUCCCUUCGUUGCUGCAUCAAGCACUGCAAGAUUAGAUACAAUGAUCAAAGAUUUACAAAAAAAAUAAAAAAUAUUCACAAUUAAUAUCAACAAUAAUCAAAUUCUUAAAAAUAAAGAUCUAAUUAUUUUUACCAGAUUCUUGAAGACGAGCAGUAGCAUCACCAAAACAUUGCAUAUGAUCAACUGAUGUACUAGUAGCCUACAAUUAUCACACACAAAAAAAACUUCAUUUCCUUUUCUCAAGAACCAAACAGAAAGUUAGAAGAGUCAAAGCUGACCUCGGAGAGAGCGAAACGAAGUGAAGCGAAGAGAGAAGUGAAGCUACCGGCGAUGGCUAGAGAGUCUCUCUCGAUGAUUUCUAAUGCCUUGAAGAUCUCGCCCUGGUUCAAAUUGGUUUUCGGUUCACGGCGGUCGGGUUCAUCGGGACACAUGGCCGGUGGAUCCAGGUCUGGUUGUAUGAUUACUGAUUCUGUAUCCGUUGAUUGAUCUCUCUGAAUUGCUGCCGCUUCUUCCAUUUCCCGCGAUUUAAAGAAAGACAGAGAUUUGUAUUUGCUAUUUUUAAUUAGUUAUAGAUGAGGAAUUCAGUGAUCUUUGUAAAAAAUUUACCACCAUCUAUUUUCGUUUGGGCUUUGUGCAUAUUGGAUAUAGUUUUCGUUUUUUACUUUUUAAAUUAUCCAUUUACGGGAAGCCCAAGCACAAAUUCAAAAUAACUUUAUUAAACUCGUUUAGCCUAACAGAUUAACUUAAUAAACCAUCAAUUUUAAAGUUUAAUUUAGGCUAAAUUUCCUUUUUUUUUUUUUUUUGAUGAAGACCCUGGGUGUCCGGACCAGUUUACGCGCACCACAACUAAUCCCAGGACCUACUGAACAUCCUGCAAGCCCAGUAGGCAGGUAAGGCACCGCGGGGGUGACAGACUGGUACUCUUGAGGAUCGAACCCAGGACGUUCGCAAAGGCAAGCCUUGCAGUUGAUCAAUGGGCUAGACCCUCAAGUGUUAGGCUAAAUUUCCUUGCAAACUAGGGUGGAUGUAGACUGGAUAAGACCUAACCUGGUCAAUUCAAAUAAUAUUUUAUAAAAAAAAUUCCAAAACAAUGCAUUUUUCAUUUUUUUAAAUUUUUAUCUAAAACAAUUGGUGUAGUCCAAUUUUUAACCCUAUUUUUAUAUAUUUUAAAAAAUAAAAAAAAUAAAAUCUUUUAUUAAUGUUAACAUGUGACCCUUUGAAAAAAAAUAAAAGAAUAGGGAAAUAAAAGUAGAAAAGAUGAUUGGGUAAUGAAAACAAGAGAUUCAUAUAAAUCGAAGAAUAUAAGUUCUGUUUUUAGUAGGAAACUUUUUAUUUCUAUCAUUUUCAAUAAAUUAUUCUAUAUGAAUUAAUAUAAACAGUUCAUAUAAAUCACAAUUCAUGUAUUUAUUUUAAAUUUAUAAAUAAUUUUGGUGUGAUAAUAUGUCUUUACGUUAAUAACAUAAUCAUUAUUGGUACUAACAUGAAUGAUGUUAAUAAUAUGAAGAAAUGUAUAAUCUUAAAACUUAAAAUGAAGGAUUUAAACAAGGUAGAUAUAAUUAGGGGUGUUUAAAAAAAUCGAUCAACUGAUUAAACUGUAAAAAGAAAAACAUUAAAUGAAAACACUGAAUCGAGAGAAAAAAUUGAUUAGGCCGGUUUAAAAAUUAGAAAACUUACUCGGUCCGGUUCGGUUUUGAUUUUAAAAACAAAAUUAUGUAACCAAACUGGACCCAAUGUGUCUUAAAGGCUUAAAUAAAAAAACCAAUCAACCGAUUAAACCGUAAAAAGAAAAACAUUAUAUGAAAACACCGAAUCGAGAGAAAAAAUUGAUCAGGCCAGUUUGAAAAUUAGAAAACUCACUUAGUUUAAUUCGGUUUUAAAAACAAAAAUUAGGUAACCAAAUUGGGCUCGAUGUGUCUUAAAAGCUUAAACCCACUUUAAAAAAGAAAGGGGUAUAAAUAGAAAAGUAACCUAACCUACGUUUACAAAUUUCCCCACUUUUCAAAUAAAAACAGCAGCCACCUCAUUCCAUCUCUCUUUGGCUGCCAUCCCCCCUUCUAGUUUAUGUGUUUAGAUUUCGUUUUGAUUCUUAAAUGCCUUUGGGUUUUGUUUUACAAUUUUCACUUCCAUUAUUGUACCUCAUCAUUUAAAAUGUAUAUUCUACACAUAAAAACCAUGGUGAGCCGGUGUAUAAUCCACUCCACUUUUCUAGUACAGUUGUUGGAAGUGGAUAAUGCUUUCUAUAUUAAGAUUAGAAGUGUUCUUCCUCGUUCAUCCACACUAAUCACAAUUGUACUUUUAAAAAGGGUGAUGCCUUCACUGCACAACUUGCAUAAUUUUCUUCUCUGAUAAAUUUGUUUUUGCAUACUCUGGCAGGGACCUUGAGAGAGUAUAAUAAAUAAUUUGUUCACAAAUUUUCUUCUUUUCACCUUUCUUUUUUGUGUGUGUUGGCCAAGGUGAUUAGAUUUUUCGGUUUUAACCCUAAACAACUAAUCUUAACCGAACCAGUUCGAUUUGAACUAGUUUUCAGUUCAAUUUGGUCCAUUUUCUUAGGAAAUUUCAUUUUCUGGUUUAGUUGGGAUUUUCAGCCUAAAAUGAAUCGAACCAUGAACCACCCCUAUGUAUAAUUUUAGGUAUAAAAGUAAGAAAAUAUGGUGGGGGGUUUUGCCCUUUGCCAAUCUCAUUAUAUUGAUAAAGUCUUAAAUAAAUUUAAUCAAUUGAAUAUCAAAGAAGCAAAUACUCUCUAUGAUGUUUCUUUUAAGUUGACUAAAUAUGCUAGUGCAAUUAGUAGCUUAAUGUAUGUCAUGUAUUGUACUAGACUAAAUAUUGCUUUCAUAAUAUGUAAAUUGUCUAGAUACACAAGUAAUCCUAGUAAGGAUCAUUGGAAAGAAAUUACAAGAUUACAUCACUUAAAAAAGACUAUGAAUUUUAGAUUGUUUUAUAAUAAUUUUCCAGUUGUACUUUAAAUUUAUAUCAGUGCUAGUUGGAUAACUAAUGCAGGUGACAAUAAGGCAACCUCUGGAUAAGUAUUUAAUUUAGGAGGUGGUGUUAUUUCUUAGGUUUUAAAGAAACAAACAUUUAUAACUCAUUUUACAAUGAAAUUCGAGUUCAUAGCUCUAAUAGUCACAGGUAAAAAGACAAAAUAGUUGAGAAAUAUGUUAUUGAUAUUAAGUUGUCCACAACCGAUGUCAUCUAUCUCUUUACAUUGUUAUAGUCAAGCAACUAUGUCCAAAGCAUUUAGUAAAAUUUAUAGUGAAAAAUCUAGACAUAUCAACUUGAAACAUAAAUAUACUAAGCAAUUAAUUUCUGAUAGGAUAAUUAUCAUUGUGUAUGUUAGAUCUUGCAAUAAUCUAGCAGAUCUUUCACUAAAUAUCUCUAAAGAGAUUUAGUUAGAAAAAUUUAUGCUAGUAUGAGAUUAAGACCAUUUAAUUAAACUUACUAAUAAAAAGAACCCAACUUGUAUUAGUACUUUUGCUAGUUAUGAGUUUCACGUGUAAUAACAAAUUAUUAGUAAGAAUUGUGUAUACUAAUUUGUGUAUGAAAUCAAUAUUUACAAAAUUAGUAUUCCAAAUAAUAGGAGGAUGAAUAACUAACAUUGUUAAUGAAAUCUCAAUGUAAAAUGGAAAUUUCACUAAUAUGAACAUAUAAAGUGGUGCCGUUUCAAUAAAAAUUUAGAAAACUCCAUAAAUGUUCAUGAAUUCAUAAAGUAGCAUAAAACUAUAUUAGUGCUGAAAUAAUGGUGAACUUCUAUUUUGGAUUAAUUGGAUAAGGUGUAUAGUAUUUUGAAUUUUAUUGAAUAAAAUCUUGAUUUAAGCUUUUUUAGAAUCAUGAUUUCUUUAGAGUUUUGAAAUGCUUAGACUAAGAAGAGGUUUAAAUCUAAAGAUACAUUUUUUUAUGCAUUAUACAUGAUACCGUCUAAUAUUACAAGAUAAGUAGGGGAUUGUUAUUAAAAUAUUACUUGUAUAUUAGGUAAUUAAAAAGAACUUUAUCCUACAUUAGAAAUGUAAGAUGUUUUAUUAGUUAGUUGGAGAGUUGUUCAUUUUUUCUCAAGUAAUUAGAUGUAAGUACUUUUUUCAAAAAAAAUUAAUAAUUUAUAUCUUAUAAAAAAAAUAUGUCAGUAUAAUCUCUCUUUUAUUUAAUAAAAAUAAAAAACAACAAGAACAAAUAUAAAAAAACAUUUGGACAAUCUGAAAUCAGAAUAAAAAAUGUAUCCUUCUUUAUAUAUAUAUAUAUAUUUAGAAAACAUCUUACCAUAAUCAUAGUUUAAAUUAAACAAAAAAUAAUGUUAUAAUAAUUCCAAUGCAAAUGUAUUAAAAGAAUAUGAGAAUAAGAUAUCACCAUGCAUUGUCUUGAAAAAUAUUUUUUAAAAGCAUUAUUUAACUCAGUUAUGCUGGUAGGUCAAUGUAGAGACACUUUAUCCCAAUUGUUUGCUUGGCACAAUUUUCAAUUUAAACUUGGUAUAAAUUAAUAUUUUAUGACUCGAUUGACUAAUCAGAUCCAAACGUGACUUGGUUGACAAAUUUAAAACCUAGUUUGACAAAACAAAAUGAAAACGGUGUCAUUCUAGCAUUUUUAAAAUAUUGAAUCGAUGAUGUUUUGGAUUGACUCGAGUUAAUCUGAGCUAAACCGUUACUCCCACAACCUAGGUCAUUGACUUGGUCAUCUACUAACUUUAUUUAUUGGAAUUAAUUUUUUAUUUAGUCAUAUGAUAAUAAUAAAAAAAACAAAAAUAUGUAUGAAACAAAUUAAAUAAAAUUUAAGGAAAAAAACACAAAAAAAAAGUCAUCAUGGAGGGUUGUAAAAAAGUGUGCUUGCUUCAAUAAAAUAAUAUCUGGAGACUUGUUGGGUUGGGCCCUCAGCUAUCAUAGGAUUCAAAUUAAACUAGAUGAAAGUUCAUCUUAUGUAACCCAAUUGACCAAGUGAGUCUAAGCGUGAUAUUGUCAAACUAGCAAAAACUUGGUUUAACUUAAUAAAAAACAAAUCAAGGCGACACUAUUUUAAUAUAUUUUUUUAAAAAAAUAUUUAGACAAUGAUAUUUUAGAUUGAUCCUAGUCAAUUUAUGUUAAACAUGUCGAACACAUGAGUUGGAUCAUGUACUCAAGUAUGUCUAUCAAACGACACGUCAUUUAUUGUGAUAAAUGACUUAUCACUAUUGGUUGGCUUUUAGCCCACUGCCAUCCAUCUUUGGUGGCUAGAAAAUCAAGGCAAACUUGAAGGACAAAAAAAAUAUAUUCCAACCCCUUUUCAUUUGAAAACAUAUGAGAAACAUAAUAAACACCUCAAUAAAUCCAUUUUAAUUCUUAAAUUAACAUUUAAUUCUUUUAAAAAAUGAAAAGUAACCUAAAUUCAAAACUAUCCACGAGCCUUGAUCUAUUUUUCCUGGCAAGAUGAAAGAUCAAAAACUUCUAAAUAGGUCUUUUCUCAUUGAACGAAACUUGUUGAUAUCAAGAUUGAUUAUUUUUGUUGACAGAAUAUGGUCAAUCAAUAACUUUAUCUUUGUUUUGUUAUUUUUCAAUAACUUUCUCUCUUCUCUUUCUCUCGCAAAUCCAAUGAAUGAAAAACAAAUAAAAUGAACUUCUGGUUCAAAAUUAAAACCUCAUAACUAAAGGAACUAUAAAAGAAGAAAAAGGAAAUAUAUGUACUAAAAAUAAUUUUUUUUUGAGUGAAUUUGAUAGUGACCAUGCAUUUUUUCUUGUCUUGCAUUCCUUCCUCUUUCUUUUACUUGUAUAUUUAACUACUAAUUAAACCAUAGUCCAUUAAAUUAUGUUUCAAUGAAGUUUAAAAAUCUAGAAAAAUCCUUCAAAUCCAUAGCGCUAGAAAAUUUAGUUUUCUUUUGAUAUUUAGUUCCUUAGUUGUAAUAAAAGGAUGAACCUAAAAAAAUAAUCCCAAGUACACUCAAUUUUCCUUCAAAUACAUUUUUUUUUUUAUCAAUUUUAUCUCUCAAGUUUUUAAAAUUCUCAAUUAAGUUUAUCCAUCCAUAUUUCAUCACGGAUCCAAUUCAAAAGAUACUUUCUUUAUAAGAAACACUAUCAUUUUGUAGAAAAUUUAACGUUUUAUAUUUAGAAUUAUAAUAAAGGACCCUAUUGAAAUAUCCAAGUAAUCAGGGAAUAAAAUUGAUACAAAAAUUAUUUGGGAGUAAAAUUUAUUAUAUCCCAAUAGUUAGGGGUAUAUUUGAGGUUUGUCUAAAAGGAAAAAGGUAUACAAUGUAUGUAUUUUUGUCUCUUUUCACCCUCUUUGGUGAUUACAUCAUCUUCCCUUUCUUUUCUUGAUCCUGUCCACCGCUUCUUGUUCACAGUUUUUCCUUUGGGUUUUAUUCUCUCUUAUUUUGAAGAUGUCUAGUGAAAUACCCUUUAUUAGUAGCCACGAAAACAACAAUGGAUGGGAUCAAGAUAUUUCAAGAUUGAUCCUUUUUGAUGAAUCAGCACGCAUACUCUUGGAAUUCGAAGUGUCCACGUCUGUAUUGGAUGAUUUGAGUGAAGAUGACUAUUUUGAUUUUGAAGAUGAUAGUACUGAUGGUCAGGAAGAUAUGGGUUUUGAGGAUAACAUGUCUUCUGUUUCUUCAGAAUCAUACACUAGUCAUGUUCUUGAUGAUAAUGAUCUUUCAAUGCAGCUGCGGACAGAACUUUCCCUGGGUGAAGUUUCGCCCUUUCCUCCGCCGUAUACUUUCACUCUUUAUUCUGCUGGUUUUUAUCUUGAAGAUCCAUCUUUGAGGUUAGCAAAAACAUUGAGUGAUAAUGAAGGUCCAAAGGUGCCGUCCGCGAGUAAAGAAUCCAUUGAAAACUUGGAGGAGGUGAAGAUUGAUAGGGGAUCAUCAAAUUUGGAGUGUCCCGUUUGCUUAGAAACGAUCUCAACGGGGUCCGAAGCUAAAUGCAUGCCAUGCUUUCAUAUCUACCAUGGGAAGUGCAUUGUUGAGUGGUUAAUGAAUAGCAAUACAUGCCCUGUUUGUCGCUACCAGAUGCCUACGGAGUCUUGAUUGAUUUUGUUUCAAAUUGGUUCUUGAACAUGUCUUGAAAUUCUUUGAUUUUGUUGUCUUCCGUACUUUCAUCUUUUUUCUUAGUUUAGGGAGUAGUAGCACUAUUACUUUGUCCUCGGAAGCCAGGGACUGUGAGAACGCAGGUCCACUGGUUUUCCUUUGUUUGAUGGUACAAUCCUGUUUGUCAACAUGCAUGUAGGCAUUUAUUUUCUAGCUUUCCUUGACCAAAAUCCUAGAAAAGUUAUCUUUUAGACGAAGCAUGAUGAUCAGCUUAUGGUUUGUUUCAAUGGAAGAUCUACUUCUUCUUUUUCCAUUUUUUUUUCGGGGCCUGUUUAUAACCAGAAGCCAGCAAGUUCUGAGUUAAUUUUCGUUGCAAGGAAGCAUCAUGCCAUAUUGGCAUGCGUGUAUGAUAACUAAGCAGGCGAAAUCAAUCAAGACUAGAAAAUGAUUUCGUUGCAGUGCUAAUUUCCCGAUGAAAUAUUUAUCCAAAUUUGUCUUGAAAAUUUAUGUAUGCUAUAGAAAACAAAAGGUAUCGGGUGCACGGAGCCAGAGUUUUUUAAAUAGAAGGACAAAUUAUUAAUAAAUACUAUAUUACGUAGAUAUGUAUUAAAAAUUAAUUCAAAACAUAUAUACUAAUUCAUAUCAAGUAAAAUUAAUUUAAAAAUACUUUUAAAAUGAAAAAACUUACAUUAUAAUUGUUUUUUUCGAGUUUUUAUAUUUUGAAACCGCUUCAUAAUAGCUUCAUUAUCAAUCUUAUCGAAGAUAUCUUUCUUAAUAUAUACAACCAAACUAUCAUUCAUCCACUUAUCUCCCAUCCUUUUCCGCAAUCUACUUUAACAGUAUGCAUAGCAGAAAAAACUCUAUCAACUGUAGCAGUUUCAACUGGUAGAAGUAAUGACAAUUUGAUAAGCAUAUAUACUAAUGGAAAUAUCAAAUUCUUCUUUGUUUUUACCAUUUUCUCUACAAUACUAGCAAUACAUUCAAUACCAAAGAACUCAUCAUCACCAUGUAGAUCAAUAAUACACGUAUCAAGUUGAUCAUCAAGUACUAUAAGAUCCGCUAUAGAGAAUUCACUGCGAUAAAAAGAGCAAGGCAAGGCAAUUAAGCUUUUCUUUGUUGAAAAUAGAUAAAGAGUCACUUGGGUUUAAACAUGCCACACAAAGAAGUAACUCUGUAUUCAUCUCAGUAGAAUGAUCAUCCAACUCAGUGAGUUGCAUGUCAAUGAUAUUGUUAAACAAUUCAUAACAGAAAUGGUAUAGGUUUGUAAUCCUUUGAGAUUUUUGCCUUGUGAACACCCACGAAGCUUGUACUCAUUAUCCAUGUUUAGAAUAUUAAUAUCAUGUUUGAUGCAAAAACAUGGCACUUCUUCUAGUAAAGAUUCCCAAUCAUUCUUUCUCAUAAUUUUGAAUUGUUCCUUUGAUGCUUUCAAUAAAUUCAUAGCAUUUUUUAUGUCUUGAUCUUUUCUUUGUAAUGCUUGUGAGAACUCAUUAGUAACUGCUAGUAUCCUUUUCAAACAAUGAAGCAUAAACACAAAAUUAAAUGAUUCCAUAAUACCUAUUAAAACAACAACUUUUUUUUCUUUUCUGUUCUGAGUUCUUCCCAUCCUCCCUUAUAAUCUAAAGCACAUCAAGAACUGAUGAAAACAUUAUAAGUAGAGGAACAAUUGUAACAUAGUGGGAGCCCCAACGGGUAUCACCAUACCUUUUAAGAGAAGUUUCUUGAUUCAGGCCUCGUCCACUAGAAAUUUCUUCAUUUUCAAGUCCUUCAAUAAUUCUAGCAUAUUGUUUUUCUCUAAUCACCUCCAUCCUUUUACAUAAUGCUCCAACUAUGUUUAUAAUGCUAGAAAUGAAAUUGAAGACAUCUCUAACUUCAUUACGCUUCUUUGUAACAACUACAAGAGUCAAUUGAAGUCUGUGAGCAAAACAAUAUACAUAAUAUGCACUUAGAUUAUUAUUUAGAAUAAGUGCUUUCAAUCCAUUGAAUUCACCUUGCAUGUUAUUAGCUCCAUCAUAUUCCUGACCAUGCAAUCUUAAUAUACUUAGCCCAUGUUUAGAAAACAAAGCUUCAAUAGCUGCCUUGAGUGAAUUAGCAGUUGUAUCUGACAUAUGUUGAAUGCCAAGAAAACAUUCAAUUAUAUGUCUAUUGUUGUCUACAUAUUGUAGAACAACUGUCAUUUAUUCUUUGAUUGAUAUGUCACGUAACUCAUCAAUUAAAAUUAAAAAUAAUGAGUCACCUAGAUCUUUGAUAAUCACAUUGUAAUCUCUUCUACAACAGUUUGAGUAAUGUCUUUUUGAAUAUUUGAAGAAGUCAAUUUGUUAUGUCUCGGAGUUUCACUGAAAGUAACUCUUUUAAUAAGUUUAUUAUUUCGAGAAAGGAAAUGCAAGAGCUUUAGAUAAUUUCCUUGAUUGCUUGAACAUUCACAUUCAUCAUGGCCACGAAAUGGAAGUCCUGGUGCAACAAAAAAAGAGCACACUCUACUGAAGCAUUCAAUCGAGUUUGAUGAUCACUUUGACUUUUUACUAUCUGCUCAGAUAACAAAGUCAUGAUACUUUAUUUUUCAUUCAUCAAAUUCUCAUAUUUUAUUCGAGCUGCAUUGCGACUACCAUUAAACUUUCCAAUGUGAAGUUCGAAUCUUUUCUCUUUUUUUUUUUUUUAAUUUGAAAACCCAUCACCCAUAAACGAAUCAACACCCCCCUUUGACUUGAAGAGGUAACAAUACAAGCAAAAGGCAACAUCUUUGGCUAUGCUGUACUCUAACCAUAUUGGGUAUAUACCAAACCAAGCCGAAUUAAAGUGUCGUAGUGUUGAUAUAUUUCCAAAUUGUUUUUGAGGAAAAUCAUAGUGUGAAGGUUGACGAGGACCUUUUUGUAGAUAAGCUCUUCGAAUUGCAUCCCUAUCAUUUAUAUGGUAUUCAUAAAUUGGUCUUCUUAAGCCAGGGUCAAAGGAUAGUGUCAGGGAGGAUUUCAAUGUGACUUUUGUUUGAACUUGAUUGAGUUACAUGACUUGAAGCUUUGAUUGACUCAUUAUUCUCAAGGGAUUUACGCUUGAAAUACUUGUCUAGUGACAUGUUAAUUUAAUAUGAACCUGCUGGAUUUUUUUUAUCAUCAUUAGUGUCUACAUAAUAAUUAACAUAACUACAUAAUAAUUCAUUGUUAAACAAAAGUCAGUUGAGUUAUACAAUAAUUCUAAAUCUUCCAUAUGAAAUUUAUAGCAAAAUAAACAUCAGUUCAUCAAAAUCAAAACCUAUUUCAAUUCAUAUCUAUAUGCAUAUAAUAAGUAUGUUGAUUAAAUUAUACUUAAUCAUUUCUAGACAUUUAAUUAAAGAACAAUGCCUAUUGUAUGUAUAAGAGGAACAAUGUUUGAAAAAAAUGUUUUUUACUUGAUAUUUUACUUACAAACAAAUCAUGUGAAAAUAUUAAAUUUCAAUAAACUACUCUGUGAUUGCAAGAGAUUCCAAGAAUAGUGGUUUUGCAUAAAUAUUAAUUUAUUCCUUUAUAAUAAGAAAAGAAACACUUAAUUGAUUAAAUUAACAUAUUUAAACAUUUAUUUUGAACAUAUUAUUAAAACCCCUAAAUUAUCAUAAACCCUAAUAUUUUUAAUAACUAAAUAUAAAAGAAUAAAACUAAAAUUAGACAAUGAAAUAAAUAGAAUAGAUGAAGAAAAUUUACCUAAAGCAUAAAACAAAAUACAAAGAAGAUUAAUUGCUUAACUAUACUUGAUGAGAAAUUUGCAUAUGGGACAGGCAGGGAAUGACAACUCAUGAAAAAAAAAGAAAAAACUCUUUGUUAGUCAGGGGAAGAUAAAGAAAGAAAAGGGAAAAAUGAAAAAAAUUAGGGCAAUGAGUGUACUUUAUAUCUAUAUAUAUAUAUACAUAUAAGUAAUCAAUAAUAAACAAUAAUAAAUUUCCUUCUUCCAUGUAGCAAUAAUUCACUAAACUAAUAUAUUAAUAUAAAAAAAUUAAAAAAAAUUAAAGGGGCAUUUGUCCCUAUGUCUUCACUGGUGUUAAUUUAAUCCAAAAAUGAUCAAUAAUGACUCAUCCUGAAUCAUUUAUAUAUUUAUACAAAUAUAUUAUAUAAAUAUAUUUGUAGAACAUUUAGAUUUUUUUUAAUAUAAUAUUAUAUAUACAUAUCUUAAUAUUGACAUGAAAUACAUGAUUACAUACAUACAUACGUACAUAUAAAUAAAUGAUACAUAUUAUACAUAUUAUUUUUUAUUGAAUAAUAAAUAAUAAUAAAUAUAUGUAUGGAUACUUGAAAUUUAAUUGAUAGUUUAUGAAUAUCUAAAUUUGUUAUCCAAUAAAAAAUAAAUAUAAUAUAAAUAUCAAGAAAUCCAACCUACAAUUACUCAUUGCUAUCCCUAGCAAAAUAAAAAAGAACAAAAUGGGAACAUUGAAGGGUAUAGCUCAACUGAUCAUGUCCUAAGUUUGUUCUCUAGAGAUCACUAGUUUAAGUCUCACAAACCUCAUAACCAUUAGAGGCUUAUAUGAUCGUUAACUUCAGGGUUCGUGGAAUUAGUCGAAGUGCACGCAAGCUGACCCAAACACCCGUUAAUAAUAAUAAAAAAAGGACAAAUGGAUGAUGCGUGUGAAGCCAUUCAUUAAAGUUGAACCAAUCGAUGCCUGCUAAGAUAGGAGAGACAAUUGGAAAACUUUAUGACUUGAGCAAUGUCAAUGAAAUAAUUGGAUGCAAUCUUCUUGCUUAAAAAUUAAAAAAGUAAUUCUUAUAUUUACUUAGGAUAGGUUAUGUUUAAUAAUUGGUAAAAUUUAUAUAAAAAAAAUUUUAGGCUAGGCCCAGGCAACUAGCCACCCUGGUUGCCCAUUUUAGAUAACCAAGUGUGGUUGUCUGGGCUUGACCCAACGACCAAUCUAAUUUUAUUUCUUUCUCUUUAAGAUUUUUUUUUUUCUGUCUAUGCAUUUUCCUUUCAUAUUUAUACAUUUAUUUUCUAGGGUACUAACAAUUAUAACAUGUAGCCACAUAAUUUUUGUUGUCUUGUAUGUGUAUGCUUUUUACAAAUAAACAUUGUUUUCUAACACCAAUAGCUAUAUUACUGCUACGCCUACCAACUCACAUGAACACCAAUAAAAAUAAAUAUAUCGUAUCACAAAGACAUGGCACAUCAAUUUCUACUACAUUCACAUACCAAGCACAAAACCCAUGAAACAACAUCAUACUAACCGGUGAACCACCUAGUUGGUCAGUGACACAAUUCCUCCUUCAUGAAGAAAUGUUCAAGCUAGGUGUUUAAAUACACUCGAUCUAACAAGUAAAACAAGAUCAAAUUUGGAGACAAAGACUCUCCACAAUAAAGAGUCACAAAGUCUCUAUUUAGGUAAACUCUCAAAGUUCAUAGACUUUUCAAAGUCACACAAAGCCAACCACAUCCAAAUAUACACACAAUGUACUUUCAUUUUUCUUUUCUAUAUAUUUUCUUCUCCCUCACAUACAAUUACCAACUUAAGCAUGAGAAAGUCUCUCGAUCUAUUAGGGAUAUACUUUUUCAAGAACUCUCAAAUACAAGCUUAGUCCAGAUUACAUUUCUUGGCCUAGUCUCGCAGUAGACCAUAGAAAGCUAAUUUUUAUUUGAGGGUUUUUUUAAAUGAUUUCAUCAGUUAUAUCGUUUAUAAGGAUUGGAAAAAAAAUCAAUUUAUUAUUGUUUAACACAUUUCACCAAGAACAUUUUCUAUAUCUAACAUAACUCAUAACCAUAUCCUUACUAAAUGGACUCUAGCUCCCUCAAGAUUUUAUCAAUUCUGUAACCAAGUGUAAAUGCUCAAUGAUGCUAUUGCAACAAUGCAACUAUAUUAGCACACUUUUUGUUAUGAACAACUAUAAGCUAAUAUGCAUACACUCUCUAAUUCUAUGCAAAAACAAAGUAUAUCAUAUAAUGAUAUGCAAGCGAAAUAUAGAUGUAAAAACACAAUGUUAUAUGUAGAUACAAAGCCUGAUUAUUUAUAAACCCAUUUUAUUAAAUUUAAAUCCUUCUCCGUUUCAAAGAUAAUGCGAUCAUUCAUGUUACAUAUAUUUUAAUUUUUAAACUUGAUGAUUUGAAUUAGGUGAAAAAAAAGAUAACAAGCAAUUAAAUUAAUUACUAUUUUUAUUAAAUAUUAAAUCGUGUUUAUUCUAUUUAAAUUUUAUAGCUUAGAUUAAAAAAAACCAUGAAGAAAAUUACUGGAUCCCAUUUUAUUCCCAAAAAAAAAAUCAGUUGCAUUAGACAUCAAAUCAUGUUAGUUAGUAAAAGUCAGCAGUUCCGCACGUUUAUGAAAUCCAACAAAAAGUCUUGCAUUACCACACCUUCUACACUUCUAUAUAGCAAUGCAAUUUUGAUAGCAUUCGUCUGCUUUUCAAUAAAACGUCGUAGUUUCACUUUUCAAUACCUUGUUUUGUUAUGGUUUCAAUUUCAAAUCCCAAUAAAAUAAAGUUAAGAGAGAAAAACCAAAACGAUAAAAGCUACAAGGCGGGAAUUCCACUCCAAAUUUAGUGGGGCUGGGGUCACCACGGACCCCACCUUCCAGAAUUUUUUUUUUUUUAGCUAUUUCAAAAAAUAAAAAAAACCCAAAAUUGAAAAAACGCGUUACAUUUCCCAGCUAAGAUAGGCAAACGAAGCUGUUUUCCUUUCUCGAUCUUUAGACCCCAAUAGAAGGAAAAACCGAAAUCAGUUCCGAUUUCGUUCAGAACGUUGUCGAUCUAUACAUUUCUUCCUCGACGAUUUCUCUCUUACGGCUUCUUCUAUAGCAAUGGCUGUUGAUUCUUCGCGAUCUCGCGUUCGCUUCUGCCUCUAACAAUCUCUCUCAAGUUCGAGCUUUCAUUACUCACAUUUUGACCGUAGCACUCCUUUUUCUUCUAAUUAGGGUCAAAUGUCGAUCUGGUGGCGAAUUCGCGUAUUUUUGGUCAUAUAUGGAAGUGCAUUUGUGAUUAAUGUGUUUGAAAUGAAGAAUUUUUUUUGCUCUUGUUAGGGUUUUUGCAUUUUUUUUUUAAAUUAUUGAAUUCAUAAGGUAGCUAACGAUGUAGAGGUAAAUUGUAGUUAACGAAUUUUCGUUGCAUCUGUUUUUCUGGCUGAGGUUAAUUAGAAUAGGCUAUUAAAUUUGAUGAAGCUAAAUAAUACUGUUUAGUUGAUUUUGUAGUGAUUUUUUUUAUUCCUUUUUUCUUUUCUCUUUGUUUUUGGUAAAGUGUAGGGAAAGAAAAGAAUCUAAAGCCAGCGUUUUUAGCCUUUUGUGACAAACUCUCUCUCAUUUUUCUUAACCUGAGUUUAAAGUAGAUAAAAUAUUUACAAUUAGAGUUGCUAAGGUGUGGAAAUUAAUAUUUUGAACAUUUAUUUUGUGCAGUUCCAUAAUUAACACGUAGAAGCAAAUAAUUCUAGAUCAUUGAAACAUGGAUAUUUCGCCAGAACGCAGCUUGAGCGAAAAUGGGGGAUAUGACAGCUCUAAUGAAGCUCAUGAUGAUGAUGGUAAGGAACGCGCAAAAUCCCGUGCUGCUUUUUUUUAUCCUUUCUUGAUUAUGUGUCUUAGUUGAGAAUUUUGAUUUGGUUGCAGUCAAUAUUCAAUCAUUGGUUGAUUGGUUAAACCAUGCCCUACCGCAUUUAAAUAUGCCAUUGGAUGCUUCAGAGGAGGAACUGAGAGCAUACUUGAUUGAUGGCUCUGUCUUGUGUAGUAUUUUGAACAAGUUCUGUCCUGGUUUAGUUGAAAUGGUUGGAUUUCUUUCUUAUCAACGUUUCUGCUGUAUGGUUCUGUUUAUCUCGUACAUUUUUCUUUUUAUGGUUUUGUAUUUUUCUAACAGGAAUUUGGAUUUGUUUUUUGGGCUUUUAGAGAGGCAGUUCUGAACCUGGACCAGAAAAUAUCCGAAAGUUUCUAGCAGCUAUGGAUGAAUUGGCCUUGCCUAGGUUUGUACUUGCAGACAUACAGGAGGUAAGCAAAUUGUUUUUUUGUAAUAAAAGCAAUUGUAGUUUGAAUUUCAGUCUAAUAUUGAUUCAGCUAGGUAUCAUUCAUUUGAUUUUGGGAUUCAAACUCAAAUGAAAGUGGAACCGACUUGACAUUAGAUCUGUUCUCUAAAGACAAUAUGAUUAAAAUAGUCAUGUGUUGACACACUAGGUCUAUUAAUAAGUCAUCUCCUAGUUAGAUUUCAGUGAAGUGGGUCUUGGAAGGGAGUGUUAAACCUAGUUGAUACAUUGUUGUGACAAAUUAACCUUUUAUAUCAUUGUGCUUCAUCAUUGAUCUAGUUUGACGUCUAGCAGGGUUGGCUCUUGUUGGUAGUUAUAUGAAAUAUAAGGUUUAAGGUGAUGAGCACAUCAUUUGGUUUGGGGCUUAUUGUGAAAUUUCCCAAUACCACUUGCCUUUGCAUUUGGCAUAAAAAAACUGGAUAUUCUGUUACUAGCUUUCAUGUCCUUGUCUCUUGUAAAAAUUUACUGAAACAGAUAAUAUGAGAUGCUUUGCAGGGAUACAUGGAGCCAGUUCUGCAGUGUCUUGUGACCCUUAAAACACACAUUGAAUUUAAUGGUGGGAAAGAGAGCAUCCGUGAGCAUCUAAGAAGAAGAUGGAAUCUACCAAAGAUGGAGUUUUCAGAGGGAAUCGAUAACUCGCAAGUGGACACAAUGACAUAUGGUGAAAACUCUUCCAUAUAUGGAGAAGAGAGGCAAAGAGAUUCUUUUGACAACAAAUAUGGAAGCGGUAUGGAUGGUUCUAUCUCAUUAAAAUUGUAUGAAACAGAAGUUGUACUUGUAUGCAUUAAAAUUGCAACUUUCUAAUUACAUGCGCGAUUAGAUUUGCUUGGCAAGGUCCAAACAGAUCUUUCUGCAUUUGAUUGGGGUUAUUGUGAUCCUGUAUGGGGCAGCUAUGAAGGGAAUAAUACUAAACCUGAUCUUGGUUCUAUCUUAUUCUUGUUCUUCUGGUUGCAAAUAUGGAAGCGGUAUGGGUGGUUCUAUCUCAUUAAAAUUGUAUGAAACAGAAGUUGUACUUGUAUGCAUUAAAAUUGCAACUUUCUAAUUACAUGCGCGAUAGAUUUGCUUGGCAAGGUCCAAACAGAUCUUUCUGCAUUUGAUUGGGGUUAUUGUGAUCCUGUAAGGGGCAGCUAUGAAGGGAAUAAUACUAAACCUGAUCUUGGUUUUAUCUUAUUCUUGUUCUUCUGGUUGUUUCCUAUUCAGCGUCUGCUGCUUUGGUGCAUGAUGUUGUACACAAUUUAUCUGAGAUGUUCCAACAAAAGCAAGGGUCUUAUGCUGAUCUUUCAGAUUCCAAUAUUUUGGAAUUGAUGAAAUCAAAUGGGUUGGACGUAAGUUUCUGGCAUCUUGUGUGUUUGUGUGAUGAUCAAUUAAGAAAGCUAACUUCAAGAGCGAUGCUGCUCUAAUGCAUUUUUUUUCAUUCCUUUGAGCAGAAUACCUCUACUCGAACAUUGUUCAGCUUAGUGAACAGAAUUCUGGAAGAAAGCAUUGAAAGAAAGAAUGGGCAUGUCCAUCAUGUAUGCCAAUCAGAUGAUGCAAAGACACUACAUGUCUAAUGCAUGUUUCAAUUGAUAUAUUGUUUGAUCAAUAAUUUCUUGAUUUCUCUCUCUUUUGUCUCUAAGUGAUGUCCUUUGUAUGUUUUGAAUAGCAGAUGGCUCAUAUUGUGAAGAAAGUUGUGCAAGUUAUUGAACAACGGGUUUCAACUCUAGCAGUGAACUUGAAAGAUGUAAUGUUGAGUUGUCUUCUAGAUUACAUUCAUUUGUAAUAUUUUGUAUAUUGCUCACGCAUAUUGAUGACCAUUUUGUUGCCUACUUGUAGCAAAACAAUCUUUACAAGGUUCGCUUGGGAAAGUGCCAAUCACGAAUAAAAGUCUUAGAGACCCUUGCAGCUGGAACCACAGAAGAAAUUCGGGUACCUUGAAUAAAACUUUUAAUUGUCUUGCCUAUCUUAUUUGAAUUUUGUUCAAAUAAUUGAUAUUUAUCCUUUUCUUAUUUAUUUAAUAUUUAAAUGCAGGUUUUGCUGUCACAGCUACAACAAAUCAAGGUGUGACUUUGUUAUUCCAUAUUUCGGUAGCAUGCUAUUUCUGUUCAUUCCUAGUUUCCAAUGUCAGGCUGUUCUUAGCCUUUAGGCAAAUGCAACACAAUCAGGAUGCAUCUUUUGGUAUUGACAUUAUGUAUACACCAAAGAAGGGAAAAGAAAAGAAAGAAAAGAAAAUAAUUGAACUCACAUUGGUGUUGAACAUUGCAUAGCCUAGUGCAUAUGACCAGGAACUGCAGAUUUGCUCAAUUCCUCAACUACUGCAUUAUAUAGUGGUACCGUUUAUGCUGGGUGUUGCCUGCAACCUAAGUUGAAAUAUUUAGCCCCUGAUUUUGCAGGUUUGAAGGAACUGUGAUUUGAUUAAGUUGUAUAUAUAUUUUGAUUAGCAGCUGAUGUGCACAAUAGUGUCUUUAAUUUGUUGUGUAUAGUCUUCUUAUUUGUCUUAUAUUUGUAACUGUUACAUGCUGCAUAAUUGAGGAGGUUAUCCAUGUGCUUUAUUGAUGAAUGAUUCUUUUUGCGAGUGGAAGGUGGCAAGCUUUUAAAAUUAAGUAGAAAGGCAUCUAAUAUAGUCAUUUUUCAUAACUGAUAAGCAAGAACACCCACAAAGAUGUAAUAGUGUUUGUCUGUGUUAUAUUGCUUGUUCUGUAACUCUCUUUUUUUUCCAUCAUUUUUUUUUGUUGCAGAUUGAGAAAACUAAAAUAGAGGAAAAGAAAAAACUUGAAGAGCAGGAGCUACUUAGAACAAAGCAAGAGAAAAUCCACAGUGAUAUUGAGAACUCAACGCUGAAACAUGAACUAGAGAUAGCCAAGACAACACAUGAAGAGCAUUACUUGCUAUUGCAAGUGCAGGCUGAGGAAACUAAAGUUGAAUUGGAGAAGAAAUUAAAGGAACUUGAAUGCUUCUUAGCAGAAUCAAAGAAGAGGGUGAAAGAACUCGAGUCAUUUUCUGAAUCUAAAUCACAGAGAUGGAAAAGUAAAGAGGGCUCAUAUAGAAGCUUUAUAGAUUAUCAAUCUAGAGCUUUGAAGGUUUGCCUCACUCUCUUGUUCUUAAGUGAGCUUCUGUUGAUGUUAAGUCAGUAAAUUAAUAAUACUUUUACUGUUAGGAAUUGAGGGCAGCUGCUGACUCUGUAAAACAUGAGAUCUUGAAGGCCAAAAGGAGUUACGCUGAGGAAUUUAAUUUCUUGGGUAGGAUUGACUGUCUGCUAUAGUUUAGUUUAGUAUUGUUUUUCAAUUUUGUUUAUUAAUUUGAUGUCAACAAGUGCGUUCUGUGAUUUGAGGGGCUUUCUCUCAUGCUGUGCAUGUUUUUUUUUUUUUUUUUUUAAAUCUUGAGCAGGUGUGAAGCUUAAAGGACUAGCAGAUGCUGCUGCAAAUUAUCAUUCAGUUCUUGCAGAAAAUCGAAGGCUAUACAACGAGGUUCAGGAUUUGAAAGGUACACUGCUCCAUAUGUUUUGCUUGGUAUGCUCAUGUUGCUUGUGCUGAUUGCUGCACUUGUUUUAGGAAAUGUUAUAGUGCAUUUUCUUUGUAGCUUAUGCUUAUCUAUCAUCUGAUCAUAGGCAAUAUUAGAGUGUAUUGUCGGAUAAGACCAUUCCUUCCUGGACAAUCUAAGAAGCGAACAACAGUAGAAUAUAUUGGCGAGAAUGGUGAAUUGGUUAUAUCAAAUCCUUCAAAACAAGGAAAAGACAGUCAUAGGCUUUUCAAAUUAAACAAGGUUUUUGGUCCAGCAGCUACUCAAGGUUAGAGUUUUCCUUUUCUUUCAUUUCUUUUUUCAAAAAUCAAAGAUUGAUUUUACUUCACAUUUUUCCUUUGAAUUCCUUUUUUUUUGUUUUUUUUUUUUACAAAUAACCAAAGUUGUUGGAAGGCUUGCAUUCAGUUGCACAUAUUUGUAUUCUAGAGAUUGUAUAUGACUCCUAGCUUUAUGUUCUUGUUAACAUAUGUUGGCAGAGGAGGUAUUUUUAGACACCCAACCACUUAUUCGGUCUGUCCUUGAUGGAUACAAUGUAUGUAUAUUUGCAUAUGGUCAAACAGGCUCAGGAAAGACCUAUACAAUGGUAUGAUAAUCUAUUUUUUCUCACCUAAACAUUUUCAUUAUUAUAAACCUUUUGCUUACAAAUUGUACUUUGUGCUCGUGUCUUUCCUCUAGAGUGGGCCUACUAUGACAUCACAAGAAGAUUGGGGGGUCAAUUACCGAGCGCUGCAUGAUCUUUUUCAGAUCUCCCAAAACAGGAAAAGCUCCAUUACAUAUGAAGUUGGUGUUCAAAUGGUAGAAAUUUACAAUGAGCAAGUUCGUGAUUUACUCUCAAGUGAUGGUCCUCACAGAAGAUAUCCUUCAUGUUCAUUAUCUUCAAUUUUGUUAUUAUUUUUCGUGGUUGGCAAUUUCAACUCUAUAGCUUUAACUGGGUUGAUCCUGUUAUCCUUUCUGGUUCUUUAUUGAUUUAUGAACGCAAAUUCUUGCUUUCUGGUUGAUUUCUUGUUGGUUAAUUCAGAGUUUGCUCCUACUAAUCUUGAUUUUAGUGGUAAAAUAUUUGUAUUUCCCCUAACUUGCACACACUUGGGAUUUGGAGUACAACCCAACCAAAUGGAUUGGCUGUCCCUGAUGCCAGCAUGCAUGCUGUUACAUCAACUGCAGAUGUGUUGGAAUUAAUGCGCAUUGGGUUAAUGAACCGUGCAGUGGGCGCUACAGCUCUAAAUGAAAGAAGUAGUAGAUCCCACAGGUUGUCUCUUUUAUGGUGAUUGUUGGCACAGUAGGUUUUAACAAACUGUUUUUGUUUUAACUGAACUCUUAUUUUGCAGUGUUCUCACCAUUCAUGUCUAUGGCAUGGACUUGGAAACUGGUGCUGUUUUACGUGGUAACCUACACUUGGUUGACCUUGCUGGUAGUGAAAGAGUGGAUCGAUCUGAAGCUACUGGAGAAAGGUUGAGGGAAGCACAACAUAUAAAUAAAUCAUUAUCUGCACUCGGGGAUGUUAUAUUUUCUUUAGCGCAAAAGAGUCAGCAUGUGCCAUACAGAAAUAGCAAACUAACUCAAGUACUUCAAAGUUCAUUAGGUGCUUUUUUAUCUAAAGUGCUUUGUCAUAAUUUACGACUCAUAAUGUCUGAUAAAGUAAAUUUGAUUCUCUAAGUCUUAUUAGAAUGCACUAAUGGCUUCCCUAUAUUUUUUCCACAUUCUAGGUGGUCAAGCGAAGACCCUCAUGUUUGUGCAGCUUAAUCCUGAUGUAGAUUCCUAUUCAGAAACUAUAAGUACUUUGAAGUUUGCUGAGAGGGUUUCAGGGGUUGAGUUAGGUGCUGCAAAGAGCAACAAAGAGGGAAGAAAUAUUAGAGAACUCAUGGAGCAGGUUGAAGACUUAUUCAUUCAUCAAUACUUAUAAAAGUUGUGCGUGAUUACUUUGAAUUGUCUCCUGGAAUAGAGAUAACCCGUGAUUGGUGAAUGUUCAGCCAUAUCAACAGGCACAUGUGAAAGUGAAUGGGAAACCCCAUUAACCAGUGUCCCUUGACCAGCAUUUAUCUCUUUGACUUUGACCUUUAUUAGCAUUACCUUUGCCUGACCUCAUGGAGUGACUGGCUUCUUCACCUUCGUAGGAUAUAGAUAUUCGAAGUUGAUAGGGGUGAGAAUGAGGAUAUUAUUGUUCUGUUGCCCAUGUUAUUCGAGUCAUAAAGCUCAGUUGCUUAACAGAAUUUGAGUUUCCUUGAGCAUUCAAUAGACUUUACCUGUUUUCAAUUUUUUUAUAAUCUGCAUUGAAUAAUUUGAGUCCAUUUGAUUCAAUAUAUUCAAAGUCAACCUUGCAGGUUGGAUUGCUCAAAGAGACAAUUUCAAGGAAAGAUGAUGAGAUUGAGCGGCUGCAGCAUCUCCAGGCGAGUGGCAAUGGUGUGAAGUGUGAUAUGAAUUCACGUAGGUAUGAUUCUUCUUCUCCAAGAAGACAUUCAAUUGGGACUGCACUACAUAACCAAAGGCUAUCAGGAGGGAAAGGUUCAGGGCUUUUUGAGAAAGCAUCUUCUGAGACGGACAACUGUUCUGGGAACAGUGAAAGACACUCUGAAGCUGGUUCUGUAAAGUCAAUGGAUGACUUUAAGGAUCUCAAAACUUUGCUUCCACAGUCAAAGUCAAUGGAUGACUUAUCAGUCAAAAAGGAAUUUGUCUCUCAGCCUAAGUUUGUUGGACCAGGUGUUGAUCAGAAUGAUAAAGAAGACCUUGAUCUCUUGGGCUUUGGAGAUGCAGAUUCUGAUGAGCGAUUAAGUGACAUAUCUGAUGGUUGUCUUUCAAGGGCUGAAACUGAAGGCUCUCUGGGUAGUGCUGUAGAGUUCACUCUUUUCCCUGAAUCUAAACCUUCUGAAGUUGCAAAACCAGCCGGAAAGGCUGAGAACAAGAGGUGCGUAUGCUUCAAUUUCUUGAUAAAUUUGAAUGUUCUGCAAUCUUUUUUUGCGGGUUUAGACAGCUACUUUCUGGUGUUUUCUGAUACUUUCUUCUCAUUUCAAUUCAUGAGUCUGCUGUAAUACUACACUCUGACUGCCACUCACAGUUUUAUCACUAAAGUAAAUCCAGUGUAAAAGUUCUGAUAUUCACAAUAUAAAUUGUUUCACUUUCCCCAACUUUUUCAAUCGCACAUAAACUAAGUUUAUAUUUAAAAGUUAUUGCUCAAUUUUUACAGGACCUGCUAUUGUAUCAUAUGCAUACUUUCAGUGCUGUUAUACCUGCACUUUUACUGUAGUUAAACUAAAACUUUUCCCUGAAGGUAUUGGCAGUUUAAUUUUCUAGACUCCAUGUGAAAUGGGCAUUUCUCUUUGUUCUUCAGUUUGAUAGUUUCUGGUCAAUUGUCCUCAUCUCUUUCCUCAUUUUGUAUAUGGGAAGCCACCAUUGAUUUUGUAUCUCCAGCAUAAAAAAAGAAAGAAAAAAAAAGAAUGUAUUUGCUUUAUGAUGCCAUACGGCUUUCCAGUGCAUAGUGACAUUGUCACAUCUCUUUAUUCGUAGAUUUCAUAUCACUUACUAUGUUCUGUCGCUUCUUCCUAUUUAAAGGUGUUUUUGUGUUGCAGUUCUUGACGACAAUGAUUUUAAUCUGAUUUAUAUACCGCAGUGUUGAAAUGAAUCCCUAGCCUGACAAAUUUUGCUGUUUUCAGCAGACUGGCUUAUUCAUCUGGGCUUCCUAAGCCUUCGCAAAGACCGGCGCAAACAAGAUUACCACGCUUGUCUCUGGCUAAGAGCUCUGCCUCCAAGGCUUCAUCGAGUACGAAUAUUUCAUGCUUUAACCAUUUAUCCCCUCUUAUGAUUAUAAUGCAGGACAAGUUCUUAUAGCUAUUAUAGCUUCGUGUACAUCGAUGCCCUACACUAUAAGGAUCCCUGACAUCUCUAUCUUCCUCUUGUUUUUUCCUUGUAAGGUAUGUCAGAAUCUAGGAAACCUCCUGCAAGCGCUUUCUCUGCAACCAAGACAGUGAAACGAUGGCACUGAAAGUGGAGGGAGUUUUAAGAUGGUAGAAGAAUUGACACUUAACCUUAGCAGCUGGUGUCUCUAACUGAAAAUGAUUAUCUUUACCUCUAGUUGCUUCCAUUUGUCUCGUGGAAGUGUUUGUAUUUGUAUAUGCUCAAGGAUGGGCAAAAUGGUAACUCACGUUGGUUUUACCAUUCUGUCACUAUUUAUAUCACGUUCUGUUUUUUGUUUUUAUUUGACGGUACUAACUCUCCUGUUUUUCACUUUUGUUUUUUGUUUUAAAAAAAAAAAUACUCCGAAGGCCAAAAGAACAGAGAUUAAUAUUAAUUAACAAUAACAAUACAAUUAACAAUUAACAUUAAUUAGCAUUAACAAUUAAGGAUUAAGAAAAGAAGCUAAAUUAGGAUGGUGUUUCGCUGUACUGAACUGUGGACGUUCACUUGCUUUGUGGAUUGAGUGGCAAAACUAAUUUAAUAAAGCGUUUAACUUUAUUUAGGUAAAACUAUCCUAUGCUGAUAAGUAAACUAAAAAAAUUUUAGAAGCCUCGAAUCCUUCAAUGCAAAUUUUAUGUGAAGUUUAUCAAUUAAAUAGAAAAUAUAAGAAUCACGAUUAAUAUAUCAUCAACAUAAACGUAAACUAAAAAUAAAUGAGAGCACUACUAUGUUGAUAAGUAAAAAGUGAAUGAUCCACUUGAGAUCCAAUAAGGCCAAGCUCCAUAAAAAACUGAGAUAUGCGUUUUAACCAAGCUUGAGGAGCUUGUUUGAGUCUAUAAAAAGCCUUGUUGAGUUUACACAUAUAGUCAGGAAAAUCAAGAUCAACACAGCCACAGGUUUGUUAAUCUUUUGAAUUAUUGUUAUGUAGUCUCAUGUGAUCCUUGACUCACAAAGUUAGGUAGUAGAAGUAUCGCAUUUGUCAAGCUCUCCCAUUGAAACACACACGCACACCUCCAUCCAUAUUUGAACUGAUGCACCAAAACCCAUUUUGUACUUCUGUUCUAGAAUAGCUUUAUAUGGAUGUAUCUUGAAUCCGUCUGUACAAUUUAAUUGCAAGGAUAUGUUAGGAACUUUAUCAUUCAAGAUCUUUAUGACAAAGGAAAGACAGAUAUUAUUCAUUGUCAUGACAUUAAUAGAUUUUCAACUGAUGAGAAGUUUCUGUAGUCUGGUUUUUCCUAUUCCAAAGCCUGAGUGUGCAUUUGGGUGACUUCACAAGAAUUAGGUGCGAAGAUCCUUUCAGUUAGUUGCGUAAUCUGAAACUUAUGAUAUUUCUCCAUAUGCUGCCUGCUAUCAUCAUAACCUUUUGCACGUUUCUGAAAAAGUGGCAUUUUGCAGAUUCCUGGAUCCAUGAGCCCAUAUGGAAGCGUAUUUCAUGCACUUCAAGAAACAGGCAAGAAUGAAGGUUUGAAGGGCCUCUAUAGGUACAGUUGAUUUGGAUCUGCACAUUUUCAUCAAAGCAUGAUAAUUUUUUUCACAAUCUGUUUACAUGCUUAAAAUGGUGGAACAUUUCAAGUUCUCAAGUCAUCUUUGAUGAGUCUUACCUUCUAAGAACAGAUAACUCUGCUUUGGUUUUUGAGUUGAAGAAUGUCGAGUGUUCAAAAUCUGAAGUUUUCUAGAACGAACUAUGGUAUGUAAAAGCGUGACAUAUUUGGCAAAGCUGUUAGAAGUUUGAGGCAUAUGUGUGAGCUUGUAGUGAUUAACAUGGCCUUUCAAAAUCUUUUCAAAGUAAUUUUAGCUUUUUGAAUUAUCGUUUUAGAAUUAUAUUCCCAGCAUUGAAAUCUGCAGAUGCUAGCAGCUAUGCUUAACCACUUUUCUUUUUGUUUCCAAUUUCAGGUGAUUAACUCCAAGAUUGGUUAUGUACAUAUCUCAAGUUGCUGGAGAACAUUGACCAGCUUAUAUUCUAUCGCAUUCAUGGUGUUUGUAUGGUCAACCAAUUAAUAAAAUGUCCACGUUUUCCCUUUUCCCUUUUCUAACUAAAAAAAAUUCUCGAAAUAAUAAUUAAAAUCAUCGGUAGGUCAUCAGCUUUCCCUGGCUAUUCGAUGAUUAAAGCCAUAUUGAAACUUUUUGAAAAUAACAGGAGUCAUGUUGAGAAAUCUCAAUUAUAGGGGCUAGAGUGAAAGCAUUGUUGAAUAUAUAGGAGCUAAAAUUUAAUCUAUAUCUUCUUACUGUUUCAUUUUUCCCAAGGGAACAUACGAUGCCCAGGUAGAGUUGAUGUGUGUACUUGAUAGCCUCUUCUUUCCACGCUUCAGCUCGAGGGUACGAGGAGCUGCAUUGAUGCUUUCUACCAAGAUGGGUAACUUUUAUUUUCGAUUGCAAAAAAGGCCUGUUAGUAUGAAGGCAGCUACUACUGUUAGUAUUAGAUUAGCAAUUCAUGACAGCAAGAGGAAGAUGACAUGAGGGCCACAAACAAAUGGGAGAAUUUUCAAAAUUGUAAUAAGAAUUUGUUUGGUACAGGCCAACUGUUAUGGGAGCAUGCUCGAUGGGACAAAACAUGUCAAGAUUUUCUUAUGUAAGCAAGGACAUGUCCUUCAAAAGGUAACCACAGCAUGGCUCUGUCAUGAUUGUAAUCGAGGACAGAAAAAAUCUGGAAAGCAAUGUAUCAUUGUUUUCGGAAUCCCAAGUCCCAAGUGUGAAAAAUUAUUGAGCUAUCAGGUAGUGAAUAAAAAGAGGUAACUGCAUCUGCAUGAAGUAUUUAACCAGGAUAAAGGAAUCCAUUAUUCAUUAUUUUGAAGUGACAACAAUUUUGAACUUCACAGCUCCAAAUAUAUUAAUAAAAAAAGAAAAAGAAAAAAAAAGUAUAAGACCCCUUCUUUCUUUCCACUCAGCACUUUCUCCCUCCCUAUCAAGUUACAAUUAUGGACAGCAAUGUGUUUCUAUUCUAUUUCUAGCUAGUUGAAAAAUGGAAAAACAAAAUAGAAUCAAAUUAUACAUUGAAAAAAUCCUGACGAGCACAGCUGUUUAAAGGUUGCUAGUUAGCCUUGGCAAAGAUUACUGCAACCGGCCACUUCCUGCCGCCUCCUUUUAGAUCAUGAAAAACUCUUUCUUCGUUGGAUUUUUUUUGUUCCAGUUACUUGCAAGCCUGAUCAGCGUUUCUCUACAGGAAGCAUUCAGCGUUACAAAGCAAACUGUCGAGUCUAUACCCGAGAAAUUGGAGAAAAGGGAGGGUUAAGCACGUAAGACUGCCUGAUCCCUUCCACUUUCUUGGAUGCUUUUCUUUUCUCCUCCUCUGUGACUGUUUCAAUUAAGAACUUCACUUCCUCCUCAAUAAGCAUUUUCAGUGAAUUGCAAUGUGAUAACUGAUUGCCUCUUUCCUCUCUAGUCACACCAGUGGCUUCUGUACCAUGCAAUAUAGCAACACAUAUGGAAAAUGCUUGCAAUGUGGAUAAUUGUGCAUGGAAAUCAACAGCAUAUUGACCCUCUUCAAGAACUGUCAUGGUCAAUGCUGGUAUAUUCUCUUUUGUUCCCUUCACAAAAAUUGAUUCUGGUUACAGCUAGGAAGAAACUAAUUACAUGAUUCAUAUCAACAAUAAAGCAAAGUUAACCAUAUUCAGUUCCUGGGAUUUAUUGUUUUUUAUCCAAGUGUAAGAAUUCCAUUUUAACAGUGUUAGCAAUGCAAAAUAUCCUCGAGUACCAAUCAAGAAGCUUACCAUAAGAAAAAGUUCCAGAGGCCGCUGAUUAUCCAAGAGUGGCUCAUCUUCAGCACAUUGGAUGCCAGGAUUGCCAAAAACGGUAAGGGGGCAGGCCAUAUCCCAGCCACCACAGUCACAGCCUCCACCAGAUCUCCAUCUAUCAAGCAAUGAAGAAGGACCCCGACUAUCACCGUUUGGCAAACUAUGAUUGCCAGUUGGAAUCACCACCUUCACGUUCUCUGGAUUUUCUUUAUCUGGUAUAGUUUUCCUCCUUUGCUCACCAACAGAAAGGUUGAGCAGAUUUGAAUGCAUUUCAUCACUACCCUUGUCCCCCCUUUUGUAUUUCAGGCUCUCUCUCUUUGCAAAUGGGAGUUGAAUAACAACGGCUGCUAUUUCAAGGUCUGGAUGCAAAACUGCAGAUGCCCGUGGAUAAGGAUUGGAAGAAUCAAAGUGGCCUCUAUCAAAAGCAUAGUUUGGUUGAUGCUUCACUGCAUCAGAGUUACCACCCAUCUCAUGACUUCCACCAACCAAGCCUGGAUUGGCACUGCUGUCAGGUCUAAAAUCAGGGGAGUCUUCAGUAGAAACUCUGUGUCUUGCAUGCGCAAUAUCGUACAUCACAAACUCUGUCACCAUAGAGUUGUCAAAGUCCCCACCAUCUUUUAAUUUUGAACAUAAAUAACACGAAACUUGCAUCUGCCCCACUACCAACGAUUCCUUAUUGCCAUCAGUCAACCCCCAUCCUGUGGCAUUGCUCUUUUUUCUACUGGAAAUGGAGUGAAAUGUAUAGACCCAAUUAAAUGCGUUAUUUGUUUUCCAUGUCUUAGCCACCAGAACUUCUUCAGGGAAAUCUAAUGAGAACUCGAAAAAUGGCAUCCCGUGUUUAUUUUCCAACUUCAGUCGACCAUGUAGGUGAACUGGUGAACACGCUACAGCUGAAUGAUGGUGAUCUUUCUGGGCAGUCUGAGAAUCAAAAUCUACCUUUUGAUCUGUAUGUGAGAAGUCAUGGAACAAAUAUUUCCGAAAUGUCUGAUUCCUUCUCAUGUUUGACAUCCCAGUAGUUUUGGCAUCACCUGGUUCAGGGACAUGACCUAACGGACUCCGGAGAGACUUGGACUUUGUGAAUGGAUCGAACAUCAUCCGCAUGGGACUAAAUCGGGACUUUGAGCUGGCUCCAUUAGAUAAAUAACUUCCUGAAGAAGAAGGUGAACAGGGAAUUUCUACCUUAGCAGAGAGUGAUUUCUGGAAUGUCAGGGCUGUAUCUCUUUCCAGAAGCUCAUUACCAUCAUUUAGUGGACCAACAACUUGCUCACAUUUGAAGUUUGGAUUCCCAAUCGAGUCACUUCCAACUACUCCAGCAGAAUGUUUAUCUCUCUUAUCCAAAUUUGGACAAAUUUCAGUGAAGUCAUCUGAUGAGCAUGGCUCUAUGCAAGGUCUUCGAACAGACAUUGGAUUCAAGUUUGAGCUCACAGAGCUUGCAGGAGAUCUCUUCUGCGUGGUCUCUUCAUCUAAGCAAUGCAGAGAGUCAACAAUUCUGAAAGAAAACGAAGUGUCACUAGCACGCGACGGUUCAAUUUUUCUCCUUCCCUCAUUACAGCCCAUUUCCUUCAUUCUCCUUACUUCUCUGGAGCUUUGAUACAUGGAGCCUCGCUUUGGCUCUAUGUGACCUUCUGAACCAACAGGUCUAGACAGAGCAUUCUUGCAAGAGGAACUACGGUAACGACGGAAACUAAUCUCAGUGAAGCUCUCCUUUACCCUCAAAAUAUCAUCUUUGCGUGUGAGUUUGCCAUUCACACUUCUCUUUUCAACUUCUGAACAACGUCGAUGAGGAAGAACAGUAUUAGGACUCAGAUCUGAGAUGCUACUCUUCUCAGAAUCCAACUCCAUCUCCAGUUCCAUUUAAAGAUCCAAAAUUCUACAAAAGAACAAAUCCAAAAUAAGAAGACAAAUAUGGUAAUAUCUGAAGAAGAAGAAGAAGAAGAAGAAGCAAAAGACCCAGAAAUGGGAAAGUAGCAAUAUCUAUGAAAUCUGAUUAUAAAACUCUCAGAAUCCCAAUUCAGAUAUGCAAGGAUUGAUUAGAAUUCCUACAAUAAUAGCAGCUAACUUAACUGGCAACUAUACGUCACCAGAGACCAGUAGUCUUGUAAUCAAUAAAAAAAAAUCAUCUGCAUUUAAAAGGAUUAUUCAAUUGCCAUCAUAUGCAUUUGUUUUGACAUCCAGCUAUAAACAACAAAUAGAUAUCUGCUUUUAAGCAAAGUAACUAUACAAAUCACACAGGAAACGGAAAAACAAACAAUAAAAAACAGCUGCCUACUAAGAACUUGAAAAGCCAGCACAUUAUUGUUUACAAAGACCAAUCUGCGCAUAUGAAGAGCUGUCUCUAAUAUUCUAAUUUUGAAGAGCUAAUAUAAAGGUUGAAGUAGUAGUGUAAUGACCUUCACAAAAAAUUAUUGUUUCAAAAAGCAUGCUCCCCAUUUGAUGAUUCCAAAGUUUGAGAUCAAAAAAACCUCAAAAGAAACUAACUUUGAUGAUCCAUAAAACUGAAAAACUUGAACUAACAAGGAAUCCUACGAUCUAUGAAAAUUUAACUCCCAGAAAAAAGAGUAAAGUGCCAGACAUAAAGGCUAUAUACAAUUAUUAGCAACAACUUUAUAUUCACUUGCAUUCUAAGCCAAAAAAAAGAACAACUUGAGGAAAUGGUCAUACCCCACUAGAUCUCUCAGUAGUGAAUUCAAAGAAAACCCCAACAAACUGCAAGUAGCUACAAUCAUAUCCAUCCAAUCUCUUCCAGCUAAAGUCUUUUAUCAAUAUAAAAAAAAAAAAAAAAAAAAACCCAUCUUUAAGAACAGUCAGCCAUGACCCCAAAGAGUGUUUACACCCUCAAAGAAUCAACACACAGUACAAAGUGAAAGCAAGAAAAAAAAAACAAGUAGACCAAUGACAGUGAAGCAUAAUAACCAAAAAAGGUGAGUUUUAGAGAGAGAGAGAGUGUGUGUGCAUGCCUUGGAUAGUGUAUGUGUCUUCGUUUCUUCUAUAGAGUGAAGUCUCACUCCUCUCUCCUCUCUCUCUCGCACUCACUCACAUGAGAAAGAGUUGCAAUGAGAGACAGAGAGCUGCUAAGUUUCUGUUCAUGUCAACUAAAAAGCCAUCGUGUGUUCAAGUCAUGAUUUGCAGCUAGCUAUGCUGCUGAUGCUGCUGCUUGUGUUUUCUUUUUGGGUUUUGCUUUAUUUAUUUGUUUUAAUUUUCUUUUCCAAUACCUUUUGGCUUUUUAGAUGGGGGGACAGUCAUGUAUGGAAAGACAUCUAUGCCCUUCUAAUAAGGAUGAGCUCCAUUCUCUGGGUGAGGGUGAUUCUGGCUAUUUGCAUGUGUUUUAAAUUAAGAGGGACAGAUUCACUGCUACAUCUCAUUAUCUUAUUGUUUUGGGAAUAGCAGGAGGUAUCAAGACAAGAUGAUGCCUACAUUUAAUUUAGCUGUUUCCAAUAAUUAAUCUAGCAAUUGAUAUUGGUGUACUAAAAUGCAGAUCCCAUUUAACUGUAAUUACUAUAAAGUCCUCAGUGUUUGAAGCUGUGAAAUUGUUUGCUGGCAGGUAUGACCCUAGAGUAGCAAGCAAAAUUCCAUUUCCAGCGUACCUGUUGAGAGAAAACAUAAUUCCAAGGCAUUUAUCACAAGUGAGAUAUUCUAUACCAUCUGUACCUCUGAUAGCUGCUUAAAGGGUUUCUGGUACUGGUUCUUCGCCUCCCUCUUUUAUUUCCAUACCUACAUCACAUGGUUGAACUAAAGUUUAGGCGUGAGUGGUCCUUAAAGUAAAUAAAAGUGGUUCGGAUUGAUUUAAGAACUAGUUGGAUUGAAUGAAAAACUUUACUUGUUUGUUCGUAACAUACUCCAUGAAAUUUGUUGAUUUGUCCACCAGGUUGUCGAGUCCCCAGCAGCCUGUGACUAGGCUUUGUGGCAGCCACAUAAAAGUGCUGAAAGGGCAGUAGUGUCAUAUGGAAUCUGUGGGCACCCCUUUCUGCUUCAUGGUCAAAGGGGAAUAUGGUAAAAACAAGUGCACGAUGGCUGGUUUAGGCGGGAGGAAGCAAAACUGAGGGGAGGCAGUCUGUCUCAGCGACACGCAAUCUGCCACAUAAAAUUAAGCUUCCUUUUUCUUUUCUUUUUUCAAUCAGGGUUAAAUAUGAAUCAAAGAACAUGUAGCCGGUGGGGAAUCCUCUGUCUAUCAAAAGCACUUGAACAACAGAGAGCUUAAAAAAGCCUCGAGAGCGGGUCAUGAGGAUGCUAUUUUUCUUUCUUGCGGCCCAUGCGUACUAGCAGCGAGCUAGAUAUUUGCACGCUUCCCAAAAAGGUUUAUCCAUUUCGGUUGAGAUCCAAAUAACUACAGCAAUUUCAGUUAAUUUAGAUUUUGAUGCAUGGACGAGGAGGACAUGCCAUGAUUAGGUUUACAAUGAAAUUCCAUCCAGCAAUGAUUAGGUAAAAAGAACUCUUUUAAGCUUUUGACAGUAUUGCUAACAUAAACCUACUCCUGUACACCAACUCUUUGCUAAUUAUCUGAUAAAUAAACCUAACCUUCAGAAACGGGCAUAGCCCACUUGGAACAACUGUACAAGCAAAAGCAGAUUCCUGGCUGUAUUUACUACUCAACAUUCUUUCAAAUUUCAAAUUUCGGGAUUCUCUUCAAUCUUGACCUUGUUAAAUGAUCUCUGGUUUUCCAAGACGGGCAUGUAUGGUUCGCUUGUUUUCUUGAGGAAUUCAGCUGCCUUGUCAGAUUCACGGGGACUCACUAGCUUCUUCUCAACCUCGUCAAACUUGGCAGUUGCCCAUGGUGCAGUGCCUACACUUCUGGCAGAACUUGGUGUAUCUAUUGAUAGCAUAGAUACCUCAUCCCUGGAUGCAUACCAGGAAUUGCCACAGGCAAUACACUCCAACUGUAAACCGGAGAAACUAAAGUAACUGCAGGGCUUAGAUAUGGCAGUUAUGCACAUAGAUAAUAACCAGUACACAUCGGAGCUUGCAAUUCAGAGUUGCACUAUGUAGUCCAAUCAUUCAAAAUAACUUCAUUUGAAAGUCACAUUUAUAUUAUAGAUAAAACAUUCAAGACUUCAAAUUCAGGAGGAAAAAAAAAAACUUGCUAUUCCAUAAACAUUUCUUAGAUUUCAUGCUUCCAUGAAAAAUGUCUCAUGGAAUACAGGUUAACAGGAGAAUUUGGCAGAGCCAAGCCCUCCAGAACAGAUGCCCACUGCCAUUACAUGCUGCUAAUGCAAAGUACAUGACCUCUUUAGGUCAGGACCUAUCAUUAAAUGCAAUGAGUUGAAGAAGAGAUAGCUAUCAAACAGGAAUAUCUGCAAGAUUAGCAACUGAAAGAAUAACUCUUUAUGAUGUCAACUUAGUUAAGGUCCAAAGACAAGUCAAACCCAAGGAACUUCCAGAUGAUACAAUCAAAACAUGCAAAUUGGUUUUGAAUUCCAUGUUUGGUCCCAAUACUUGUGCAAUAUGACAAGACGAGAAUCCGGAGAUAGAAAAUAAAGGGUUUUAAUCUCCAAUCAGAAUUGCUGUUGCUUCAACAUAUAAGAAAACAAUUCAUGGUUUAUAUUUUCUUAUCUAUGAGCAACAGCAGUGGACAUUUUGUUCGUUGAACUAUCAUAGGUUUUUAUCUCCAAUCACAAUGCCUUACGGAAGUUGUUCACUAUCAUGGAUGGCCUAUGGAAUCUGAAAUGCAAUCUGAGUUACCGUGGUCAGUAAAAUUUUGACUUGUAAGCCAAUAUUUCAUAUAGGGAUUUAAUACAUGCACAAGAGGACUGAACCACAACUAUCAAUAAUUUAGCAGACAUGGAAAUGCAGACCUGUUGUCUACAGCUUGAUUGUAUGAACAUAUCAUGCUACUGUGCACGAAACAAUAGCACAUCUAUCAACUCACUUUAUGCAUUGUGCGUUUGCACCCUAGCUCAUUAAAUGUAGUGCAGUCAGUACGGCAACACAACUUGCUAAAUAUUUGAAAUUAUUGUUAUGUCAAAAAUAAUAGUGGGGUAGAGAACAAGGUUCUGGUGUGAAGAAAACCUGGUAGCGGGCUCCAUGUCCUGCUUGGAUGAUGUCCCUUAGUCCCACUUUAAACUCACUGCAUCUUGAGCAACGAGCAUCCGUCAUCUGAUACACAUGCAAACAGGUCAGCCAAGCAGUGAGAGCACAAGCACACAUCCAAGUGUAUGUCCAAAAAAAAUUCUAAUAUCUCAAAGUUAAAACCAAAGUGUGGUCAAAUGAAAUAACCUGCAUACGCUCUGACUCCUCAGGCUCCUUCUUUGCAGUUUCCUCUGCUGUUAAACCCUCCUGAAGAUAAGUUUGUUAAUUCAUACACUUCAUGAAUGUUGUACACAUUCCAGAUGCAAAUCACAACAGCAGAAAUGAACAAAAUAAUGGCGAGCAGGAAGAGAACUUGUACCUUUAACUCAUUCGGUGACAUGUUCAAUAUUUUUGAGGGCUCCAACUCUCUGUUUAGCAGACGGCAGGCUAGGAAUGCAUUAUUCUGAAAAAAAUUUAAAGAAGAAAAAUUGAUGUCAAUAUCCUCAGCAAAAGAAGGUAAGAUGUUCAGUCAAAAGUUGGAAACUCAACACCAUUAGUUCAAGAUGCAUCCUGUUCCACCACAAAGUAUUAAGCAUAUGAAUUUGGACCAUACUCCACACAAUAAGAUCAAUACUGCUUCAGGCAAACCUACUUGAAUGCUUAGUUUUUCCUUUAAAAGCAUUCCGUUCAAAAGCUUUUGAUAAAAUUUCAAUCUUUCAUUUCAAUAUGCAACUAAAUACAUAUGUAUUAGCAUCAUUGAUUUUAAGAACAUACCUGUUUUCUCUUUUAAAAGAAUUUCGUUAAAAUGCAGACAGAAAACACUUAAAUAUUUUAUUUUGGUAAACCAGCUAAACACGUACAUGUGUGAAUCACUAGUAUCCAAAUGUAAAGUAACAGUAACUGCAGUCCCACUAAAUGACUGCACAUCAUUUAUGAAGACUGAACUCAGCUCCGUUGCAGUAUUGCACCUUUAUCCCUGAGCAGAAAGGAGGAAGAGUAUCCAUGCAGAGUGAACCCCCAGAGCACAGCAACCUCGAAAGAAAGGGAAAGCAAUACUAACCUUGAGGUUGAACACUAGCUGACGCAACUUUUGAUUAUACUUCUGAAAAUCAGAGGAAAGUGCAUCAUGCGAUGCCUUCUCAAGAGCACUUACUGCAGGAACAGCAGCUUCUGGCCAGGGAAAAGACUUGCCUCCCUGUCAUGUACAACAAAUUAGAGUGCUGGAGUCGUAAAAUCUUCAAAAUUGUAAAAUUUCCAUCCCUAAUCUGCUCAUAAUCAGGAUACCAAAAAUGGAAUUCACUAUAUCAUAUGCCAAAGCUAAGUACACAACAAAUUAUACACCUUCACACUAUUUUCUUCAGAUCCAUUUGCAGCUCCCUGGGACUUCUGCUCUUUUUUAUGGUCCACGCCAUCAGAACCACCUUUUAUCUUAUCAUCAUCAAGGGUGCUGUUAGAGGAAAUGCACAUAUACUGAAUACACUGAAGAAGCCGCUCCAGCCAUUUGUCUCGAUGGGUAUCACCAGUCAAUGCAUCAAACUUUACUAAGAUGGCAUAAUACUCCGAGCCAUUGCCUGUACAGCUUCCUGGUGUUUCAGCUUUAAAAUUAUCAGAUCUGGUAGUUGCUUCUUCCUCCCUUGUCACAUCAAGAGGUGAAACAGUCUUCCUCCUCAGAGUUCUUUUUGCCUUUGUUGGAUCUUCCAGUUCAGGAGGAGCUGCAGCAGGAGCAUCUUCAACUUCAAUGUCAGGAAGGUCUCCCAUCCGUGAUAGAGUUUUCUGAACAAGAAGAUCAAUUUCAUGCUGCUUGUUAUCUUCAUAAUCCUUAUCAGUAAGCUUCCAAAGCUUCCUCUCCACAGUGUCAUACACUUUCCGGACAAUGAAACCAGGAUACUGUUUGCGAUUUGGGAGCUGUUUGUGAACUGGGACAAAAUGCACCACACACUUGUGCAUGACAGACUCUGCUGGAACCUCGUCACGAUGAAAACUAUAAAAGAGCUCCCUGGUAUCACGUGACUGCCAGCUUCCACCACCUUUUCUCUCAGCCUCCUCUGGGCGAUAAAACCACUGCCCAGUGACCAUCAUGCUGCCAUCCUUAGUCUGAGAAAUAUCCUAUCAACAGAAUAACACUUCCAUUGGACACGAUGGAAAGUGAUGACAGAAAUCUUACAUAAUAAAUACAAAAUGAAAGCAAAAACAAUCUAAACAAAUUUACUUGUUGAGUAUUAAUUAUGAUUACUGAUAAGGAAGCAUAAAAUUGGCCCAGCAGUGUGUACUUAGAAACUUUUACUAGAAAGACCUAUGACAUAAUAAAAUGUGAGAAAACGGUUACAAAAUGAAAUUUUCAUUCAGUGUGAAGAGAAGUUUAGUUGCAUCCCCAGAAGUGCAAAAAAAAAAAAGGAAUCUAAAUGAUUAAAUUGCAGAGGUAUGCAACCCCAGUCCAUUUUCCUACUAGUGGUCGGGGGUCUUCUCAUAAUCUUGAAUGUAAAUUUAUUCCCAUUCGAAAAAUGACUGAACCCAAUUCCCAAGUUAAUUGAGAUUCAUAAUUUACCACCGUUUCAUGUUAGGAAAUAUUUUAAUAUAUCAUUCAUUUAAACCCAUCACCCAUUAUUUAGUUAAGGGCUGUCCAUCGUUAGAAUCAAACAUUACUAAAGAUGAUUAAUUUCAAACCAGAACAAAACCUGCACAGAAACUCCAAGAAAUUUGCACGGCAUUAACCACAAAAGAAUCUGAUUAUCAAGGUGAACAGAAAAAUCAAUUUUUCGCUUAACCACCAAAUCAUCCACCGUCAAAGAGACAAUACUGAAUAAAAAGUGGAGGCAAAACCAUAUGAAAUUCAAAUUAGAGCAUCUAAGCAUGAGAUGCAUAUCCAGCAAAUAGGACACAGAACACACAAGGAACUAAAAUAAUAUUAGUUACCUUGAUAAUUGCCACAUAAGGUUUUUGCUCUUUAUCUUCGGGAACUAGAAGGACAGGAUCCUCCUGCAGAACAAUCAGAGAAGAAACAAACAAAUAUCCACAGUAAUGAUCAUAUGAACAAUUAGGGAUGAGCAGUAAAAGCAACAAUGAUUCCACGAAAUCCCUCAAAACCACUGCUGCAUUUACAGGCUAAGUAUGGAUAAUAAAACAGCGGACAGCUUAAGAAUGCGACGAUUCAUUCAACGAACAAAAUCAAUUGACAAAAUUAAAGCGCAAAACCUAAUAUUUCUCCCAAAAAAAUGUAGCUAAAUAGCAAAAAGAAUCCUAAUUGUACGAAUUAAAUUAAAUGAAAAAACUCACAAGCUCAUAUCUAUUCCCGUCAAACUCAAAAGCAUCAUAAUGGGUUCUCCUCCCUCUCCCUUUCCCAGAAACCCUAGUCAAAUCCCCAACGGGCUUGGCAUCCUCCUGCGGCACCUCUUCCUCUUCCUCUGGAUCCUCCUCUGGAUCCUCCUCUACUUCAUCCUCCGAUUUUUCUUCUCUUAAUUUCUUCCUGGGUCUUCCUCUCCCUCUCCUUGUCGUCACUACUUCUUCUUCCUCUUCUUCUUCUUCAAGCUUCAUUUUCUUCCUCUUCCUCUCGCUGAUGUCUCCAGGCCUUGUGGUCGUUGAUGAUGAUCGUGCCUUAGGUGGCGCCUCGUCCUCUUCAUCGCUAGUGGAGACCUGAGCGAAUCUUCGGUUUCCCAUUUGGGUUUUGGUUUCUUCACUGUCAACAGCAGUGGUGAAGAUAAGUUACCAAGGAGGAAGCCGUUGGAUUCCUUAUAUAGGACACUGGUAGAAUACAGAAAUGGCCUUAUAAAUUGAACUAAACUGCAUCUAUGCCAUUUAAUUGAAUUCUGUAGUGUUAUUAUUAUAAUUAUUAUUAUUAUUAUCACCAAUGCGUGUGAUUUUUAUUAUAUAUGAAUGUAUUGUGAAGCAAUAGAUAAUUAACUGUGAAUUUAUUGUAUAUGCAUGCAUUGUUAAUGAAGAGAUAAUUAAUUGUGGACUUGUAUAUUUGCUUUGCUAUACAUUAAAAUGUAUGAGGAUUUUUAUUGUACAUGUACUGUAAAUCAAUAUAUAAUUAACUAUGGAUAGCACUGUAGCACCUUGAGGUCAUUCCACUCCUGUGUUUUUAGUCAAGAAUUGCAGCUGGGGGUGUAAACUCUACCAAAAGCCGUUGGGUCUAGCUUUAGUAGUUGGACCCAACGUUGUUAGGUUUGGUUGACAAGCCAGACCCAAAACACUUUCAAAAAUACUAAUAGUGUUGGGUCCUAUCUCAUUGUAGACGUCACUAUAGCGUCUGGGGGCGUUGUUUUUUGUUUGUAAAUCAGAAAGGAUUGUUGCGUCGUUGCAACAAAACCCAAUAGCUUUGGGUCCAGCUUCCACCAGGACUCAAUGGCAUUGGGUCUUGUUUGACCCAUUAGAGUUGGUCCUACCCCCAACAGGACCAAGACUUUAAUUUCUUUUUUCUCUUUCAUACGGUAGAUAGGAAAUAAAUAGAUGAUAAUUUUUUUCUAUUUAAGGUUCGGUUGGAUUUCCUUAUUUAAUCAUGUUUGUUUUUGCCUUUCAAAAAUAUUUUAGAAAUAAAAUUUUAUUUUUUUCUUUUACUUCAAAUUAAGAUUUUUAUUUUUUUUUCAAAAUAAAAACAUUCAUAAAAAUUAUAAUUUUAAUAUUGUCAUAUUAAAGUUGAUGGGGCUCUAAAUAAUUUUUUUGUUCACAUGGUAUACUUUAUAUUUUUGUAUUAUAUAAGAGAAUUUUUUAACAAUAAAAUCCAACAUGUAAUUGCAUUUGCUUUCUGCUGGGCUCUUUCAAAAUGCGUGAGGGUUGACAUAGACAAUUUGCAUUGUAGACGACAUUGUAGGCAUAUACUGCUUUCACCGUCGAUAAUACUGUAGUGCCCUAGGGGGCAUUCCUUAGCUAUGUUUUUGAAAUAUGACUGGGGCACUGUCUUUUCUGUCAAAAGCUGUUGGGUCUAACUUGACAGUUAGGUCCAAUUUUGUUGGGUUUGGCUACCACGUCAGGCUCAAAACAUUUCUAAAAAGUGUAAAAAAAGAAAGGGUUAGGUAUGGCUUAGGUUUGCCAAAGUAGUUGUACCCAAUAUCCUUUUUUUAUAUUCUAAAAAAAUUAGGUGAUGAUUUAGUUUUUCUUUCAACAAUGCUUUAAAAAAAUUAAUAAUUUUUUAUUUUUUUCUUUACUUCAAAUUAUUUAUUUUUUUAGUUCAUAUUAAGAUGUUUUUGUAUUAUCUUGAUGUGAUUAUAUAAGAAAUAGAUUUGAACAAAUAAAAAAUAUUAUCUUAAUAUGUUUUUUUUAAAAAAUUUUAAGAUAUUUCCAAUUUUUUUUCACUUGAAUUUUUUUUCUUUUCACUUAUUCAUUUUUUCAUAUUGUAAAGAGAAAAUAAAUUAACGUGACUUUUUUUAUAUUAUACAAAAGUUAGGUGAUAAUAAUUUUUUUUUCAGGUUGAGUUAAAUAUCCUUAUUAAAGCAUGCUUGUUUUUGUAUUUCAAAAAUACUUUGAAAAAAUUUUGAAAUUUUUUUAUUGUUUUAUUUACUUCAAAUUAAUAUUUUUUAUGUUUUUUUUUUAUUAUUUUUUAACUAUUGAGAUUAGAUGUAGCUAGGCUGCCAGAUCCAAAGAUAAUAUAUUAAGUUGGGUCUUGCCCCAGAAAACCCAAAAUAGCUUUAGGUCUUCUUGUGGCUAGACCCAUCAGCCUUGGCUCUUGCUGUGAGCAGGACCUAUCAGCUUUGGGUCCUACCCCUAGCAGAACCUAAUGUUCUUAAUUUUUUUUCUUUGCUCUUAUGUAACUUUUUCCCCUAUAUUUAAGACAAAAUAAAUUGAUGAAUUUUUUUUAUAUUGUUUAAAAGUUUGGUGAUCAUAAUUUUUUUUUCAUUCGAGGUUGUGUUAAAUUUUCUUAUUAAAGUAUAUUUGUUUUUGUGUUUCAAAAAUUCUUUGAAAAAAAUUUGAUAAUUUUUUAAUCUUUUAUUUACUUCAAAUUAAUAUAUUUUCCUUAAUUCAUAUUAAGAUGUUUUUGUAUUAUUUUUAUGUGAUUAUAUAAAAAUAGAUUUUAAAAAAAAUAUUUUGGAUAAUAUUAUAAGGAUAUUGGGUCUAGAUAAUAUUAUAAAGUUAUAUAAAUGUUUGAUUUUUUUUAUCCAAUAGUUUUGAAUUAUAUAUACUAUUGAAUAUAUAAAUAAAUUGUGCGUUUGGUUCUGCCCUGUAAGACCAAUAAUUUUGGGUUCGGCUCUCCAACAAGACUUAAUAGCAAUGGGUCCUCCUAGUACCUAGACCCAUCAGCUUUGGUUCUACCUCUAGUAGCACCUAUCAACGUUGGGUUCUGCCCCUACCAGGACCUAAAAGUUUUGGAUACAGUUGCCUAAUAGAACUUAAUAGCUUUGGGUUUGGUCAUUACUAAACCCAUCAAUAUUGGAUCUAACUUCCCAGCAUGACCUAACAGCUUUGAAUUUUGGUUUAGUUAUCAGACUCAAGACACUUAAAAGAUUAUUUAUAAUCUUUAUUUUUUACAUUUGAAAUAAAAAUAUUAUAACCCACUGCAGAGCACAAAUUAAUAUACUAGUUGUUUUUUUAUAUGUUGCAUGAAGAAACACAUUUGAUAAAGUUUUAGAUGAUAAAUUUGAAAAAAAAAAUUGAAAUUUAUAGUAAGGGAAAUGGUGCUUUCUUAUGAGUAUAUAUAUUUUUUCAUUGCUAAAGAAUGUUAUGAUAAAGUAUGGUAUGUUUUUUCUUAAGGUGCAAUUACCUUACUAUAUUAAAAAUUUGGGAAAGCUUAUCAAGUUUAUAUGAAUAUUGAUGGUUCUUUUUUUCAAUUUAUCCCUUUUUUUUUUAAUUUUUUUUAAAUUUCAUCAUAAUAUUUUUUUAAUAAAUGUUUGGAUUGUUUAUGAAUUAGUUAAAUCAACCGAAUUAUAACAUAGCAACUUUUAUAUUAUUUAAUUUUAAAUUUAGGUUAUAUAAAGAGUUAGAUCAAGAAGUUUUUUCUUGUUAAUUUCAUUAUUAUUUUUUUAUCCUUAUAUCUAUUGACCAAUCGGGCGGAUGACCUUUGAAUUGACGAAGUCAAUUGUAUUGUAUUGGAGUCACUCUCAUAUAGUUUAAUUUUAAACCCGAAUUGGACAAGGAGUCGGAUUAAGAGAUUUCAAGAUUGACAUGUUGAGCCUGGUUUAAUAACAAUAAUAAAUAGUUCUUUAUGUUCUUGAUAUUUUUUAAAAUUAAAAAAAAAAAUUGACCCACGACAUAAAUUUAACCUGUAAACUAUACUUUAGUUUAAAUUAUAAAAUAUUUCUGGGACUAAAAAUCUUUUCAUUCUCUAUCAUAACAAUAAGAGUUUUUUAAUUUAACCAUUGUUUUAAUGAGAAAUUGAUUUUUAACAAAAAGAAAAUCCCUUCGUAUUCCUCUUGCAACAUACAAGAAAAAAGUAAAAUAUAGAAAGAAAUAUUCAAUGACAACUUAAAUCAUAGCACUGCAAAGCCUUCACCCUGCUUUUCCCACAGGUCAUCUAAACCUUGAACGCGCUCACUUGAUGCCAAUUAACAAUAAAACUAAUAAGCCUUAUAAAGCAUGAAAUGCUUUCUGUCUAAUUUAUGAAAGAAGACAGUAUUUUAAUGCAAGACAUGUGCUUCUCUUCAUUCUCUGUGUACAGAUUCUCGCUGCCUACUCAAAAUUAAUAAUAAUAAUAAUAAUAAUAAUAAAGACAGGAAUCAAGAGUGCCAGAGGCUUCAUAUGACUAGAGGAUAGCAUCACUCGGUCAAGGGUUGAAGUUCCUGUCCAUCCAUGUCAAGAAAGCCAGUGUCUGUUGUUUAUAGAGAAAUGUAAAUGGAGCAUCACCAGUUAUGAUCAUUAUUAAGUGGAGGUUGUCUUUCUAACUAUGAACAUGACUUGAAGAAGCGAGUCUUGCAUAUCAGAACUUCACGUUUUCAGCAACACCAUUUGCUAAUGAUGUAGUCAUUGAUCAGUGUGAACUUUGUGAGACACGUUCGAGUUCUGUUUCAUGUGCAAAACGUAGUGAAAACUCUUUGAUUCAGAUGCUUCAUUAGAAACCUAGGCAGCACGUAAAAGGAAUGGUAAAAAAACCUCAGAACCGAAUUGAAAAUGAUCAUUUAAAAAGAAAAGGUGGUUAUAAUUUAUACCGUUCAUGUUUAUAAAUAACGAUCUACCUAAAUGUCCACAGGACAUGACCAGAUUCAUUUAACUCUACAACGCACCAUGACGCAGCCAGGAAAAAGCUGUAAGAUCAUGUUAGACCUGUGUAGACAGCAUGAUUUUGGAGCAUAAAAUGAAGUCGGGCAGCAAAAGUGGCAGAGACAAAGAUAACAAAAAGAUGAAAGCAAAACGAAUAAAGGAAGUUUCAGAGUCAGAUGAUUCAGACAACCCCUUGUGAUCUUCGCAUCUUAAACACGAGAAUGCUUAUCCUACCUGUACAAACAUUGAAUUAGUCAAAUCAAUAAUGUUUUGACAGCUUCAUGCACAUUGAUGUCAAUCAUUUCCUUCAUGCUAGUCCAAGAUUCUGUUUCUUUUACUUGCUGUUCCAAGUUUUUGAGCAACUAUUGCAGCAAACUCCCCUCUGGCUACUUGCAUCCUAAUCUAUUCUUUCACCUCUCUGCAUCCAAAGAAUUGUUAGAACAUUAGGUUGAUCAGAAAUGCUAGUUACGGUCCUUGUCGGUCCAGAGCUUUUGCUGGACGGAUGUUUUCUGCAAUCUGGAAGCUGCUUGUUGACAGGGACAAAAUGCACCUCACACUUGUGCAUUACACAUUUUGCUGGGACCUCAACAUGAUAGGUACUGUAGAAUAGCUCCCUAGUGUCACGUAUCUGCCAGCUUCCACCACCAUUUUUCUCAGCCUCUUCAGGGCGAUAUAACCAUUGUCCAGUGACCAUCACCAUCACCAUACCAUCAAUGGUCUGAGUAAUGUCCUGUCAAUAGAAUGACAUGUCCGUUGGUCUCAAAGGAAAGAGAUGACAUGGAAGUUUUUAGUUUGCAUUUGGUUAGUGUCCUGGUACAGAAGGCACAAACACAGAAGAGAUAGAAACGUAUUUGGUUGGAUGGACGGAGACGGAGAUACAAAAUAAAUCUAUCUCUAUAACAAUUUUUAGAGUGAAUUUCUUUUCUUCCCAAACAGGAAGUAAAGAGGGACAUGUCCCUUCUAUUUUCACUGUCCUCAUCUCUUCUGUCUUGAAACAGGAAUCAAAUGUUAAUGCUAUGAAAGCAAUCUCAAUUAAUUCAAUAGUUGAGAUUGAAUGGAAGUAAAGAGCUCUUGAAACAGGAACCUUGAUAGUUGCAAUGCCCGGCUUUUGCUCUUUAGUUUCAGGAGCUAGAAGCACAGGAUCCUCCUGUCGGACAAGGAAACCAGAAACAGAAAGAUAUAACCUGACGAUGACAUGAACAAUUAGGAAAAAAAGAAAGCAAAUGCAACCAUGAUUCCACACAAAGGUCCUCAAAACAAGUGAUGCAUCUCCACAUCAAAUUGAAACACACAAACAGUUUACAGCUUAAAUUUCAAAAUUGUCCAGUUAGCUAACCUAACUUGACCACAACACCCUAUAACAAGGAAUUACUCAAACAUGAAAACCCUAGCUCGAAGCAAUCAAAGAAUGAAAACAAUUGAAAGAAGAAAAACAAGAACUCUGAAUUCCAUCAAUCAUUUCAGUUCCUUUCCCUGUAAAUGUGCAUUUUCCCAGAAGCCGCUUCAAGCUCAGGAGAGUUUGCUCCUCAUUUUCACUCCCCAAAUCUGUUACCCCACACAAACUCCAAAUCCUCAACAAAAUAGGUCCAGAAUAAAAACCGCGUCUGAUCAAUAAAACAAACCAGACAAUAGCUAUUUUUAUUAUUUUUUUAAGGGGUAAUUGCCGUGAGUUAUUAAAUUAAUCGUGCAAGGAUCCCACUAAAAACGUCAAGUUUUGGUAGAAGAGGCUUGAGGUGGUGGGGUAUAUACAUUUGUUAUUUUCCAAAACUGGAUCACCAUUUUGUGACCUUCUUCUUUCUGGAAUAAAGCUUGAAACUCUUCUUUUUUCCCCUUCAGAAUUGUUUACACAGCAAUGCAAAAGGAUUGGCCAUGAAAAUAUCAGCAGCAGUCUAAAAUGCUUAAAUGAUUUUCCUUUUUUAAAUAAACAUUGGCUUUUUCAAACUUAUAAUGUUUCGACUCCUAUCGUGUUCUUUUCUCCACAAUUUCCUUCAGGGUUGUCCAAGAUUUUCUCUUUCUUCUACUUAACGUGCUACUGACAGUUUUUCCCGCAUCCAUUGCAGCAGAACUGCUUUCAGACUGCUCUUUUUUGUUUGCUGAUCUAUUUCUCUUUCUCUUCUUUGCAUCCAACAGAGACGAUUUGUUGCUUGGUUGUGGAGUUGCUGGACUGUUUGUGAUGUAAGUGCUUGCCGAUAUUUACCGAUUAAAGCAGUCUCGUCAUUCUUAAUCAUCUCGAUUGUCUUAACUCUCGCAAAUGGAGUUGCUAGACUGUUCAUGAUGGAAGUAUCCACACAUAUUAAUUGCAGGCAAAGUGUUCUCGUGUAUCUUGAUUAUCUUAUCUUUGCUACUCGUGCCUUCCUCCGAGUUGGCAGACUUUUGAUUUAGCAGCCGGCGUGGGCUUGGGUGGGCAUAUUUCCUUCAGGCCUUUAGGAGUUCCUCUUUUUUGUUUAAAAUAUGAACAGUUGUGGCAUUUGUACACCACAUUAUUCUUCAUCAAAGUAUAAAACUUCUUGUCCCGGUGCCUUGCCUUUGCUCGAUUCUUUCAAUUCGUAUUGUGCAGAUUAAGCCAGCCUGAAGAAUUGUCUCGCACCUGCAAAACAAGGGAUUCCCGAUUAGGCGGAAAAUCCCUACUGACCAUGACAAGAUUGAAUUUCAACAGCAAAAACAUAAAGAAUCAAGAUAAGAAUGGGGUUGCGACUGUGAUCUCCCAGUCAGCAAAUGACUUCCUGUUCAUACAAGCUCAUCUUCACCAGUAAUUAACAACACAUGCAAGAUUACGCAUUCAAGUAGAGUGCCAUUUCCACACAAGUAGAAAUAUCAUAGGUUUGAAUUACAUGAAAGAAGCAAUCAGUUACAUGCGGCUAGCCUUGUUGCCCAACAUUGCCGAAAAAGGAAUCUAGAGCUUAAUUUUGAAUUGAGGCGUGGGAAUGAAUUCUAAAUUAUCUACGUGUCGUCAUCAUGGCAGCCAAGAAAAGGGAUUGUUCUAGUUGGUCGAGAUUGUGACUUCAAAAAAGACUUAGAUAGAUGUUGUUGUGUUUUUUUUGUCAUGGUGUGAGGUUUAGAGUUCAAAACUAAUUUGAGUUGGGGUGAUUCGUACAGUCGGAGAAUUUGACCGACGUUGCUGGUUCAAUGUUUUCUCAGAUACCCUUUGGAAGUAGGGGAGAGGAGGCCAUGAAGACGUGUCCAGGGAAACCAAUCAAGUAGCCAGUCAUCCUUGUCCAAAACUAUAAUUCCACCUUUCAAUCUUCGUAGUAUAGAAAAUGACUUCAAUUCACGACUUUCGUCGUUUUUACUUGUAAAACUUUAUAGAAUAAUUCUUCCAUUCUCCGGAGAAUAAAUUCACUAAACUAGAAAAAAACAAAAUGUAUUUCAGUGUUUAUUCUUUGUACCUAGAGUCCUUAAUUUCCACUCAUUAAAUGAAAUGGUAUUUACUCACUAGUAUCAAAUUACAUAGUUGGCUUGCACUCUAUGUUAUGUUGGGGGUAAGAUAAAAAUAAAUGAUUGUAAGAAAAAUAUAUAUAUACAAGUGUUGUUAACAUUUUCUAGCAUGGGGAUUGAACCAAUAUGAUUUAUUUAACUUGAUAUAUUCGAAAAUAACUAGAAUUACAUGUAAAAAGUAAUUUGACUCACAAAAAUUCACAAAAAAGAUUCUUUAAAAAAAAAUUAUUAAAACAACUACAUAUUUAAUCGACCCUAACGAACCUAAAUUAACAUGUUAAAUUCAUGACAUGGAUUAUGAGACUAUAAUAACACUAUAUAAAACAAAUAUAAACAAAUUAUAAAACUCAUUUCUCAAUCAAUCCAAUGAUGAUUAAUAAAUUUAAUAAAAAAAAUAAAAAUAAAAAUAAAAUGACUCAGGUCAUGAGAUCAUGAUAACUUCAUAGAAAGUAAAUCAAAAUAAAUUAUAAAGCAUAAUUUUCAAUCAACUCAAAGUUGAAUGAUGAAAUUGAAAAAAACAUUCAAUUAAAAAGAAACACGAAAAAUGACCUUAGUAAACUUUGGUUAGUCCGCCAAACUCAUGAUCUAGGGUCAUGAGAUUGGGAUAGCCUCGUAAAAAGUAAACUAAAAAAAUAACCCUAGUUAGCCCUAGUUAACUUGUCAAAUUCGCGACCUAGAUCAUGAGAUUAGGAUAGCAUUAAAAAAGAAAAUUAAAACAAAUUAUGAAGUUUAAUUCCAAAUAAAUCCAUUAUUGAAUGAUGAAAAUUAAAAAUAAAUCAAUCUAAAAAUAUGACACAAUAAAACAACUUAAGUCUAUCCAAGUAAACCCAUAAAACUCGUGACUCGGGUCAUAAGAUCAAGAUAAUCUCAUAGAAAGCAAACCAAAAUAAAUCAUGAAGCUUAAUUUUUAAUAAACUCAAUGUUGAAUGAUAAAAUUAAAAAAAUACUAAUUAAAAAAAAAAACCUCUAGUCAAUCGGGUUAACCUUUCAAACUCGUGAUACGUGUCAUAAGACUGAAUUAACCAUAUAGAAAAAAAAAAUCGUAAAGCUUAAUCUUCAAUAAACCAAAUUGUAAAUGAUAAAAUUAAAUAAAAAAAAACUUAAAUUUUUUAUUAAAAAACAAAACAAAAACAAAAAAAAUUAUUGUAAUGAAUAUUAUUUUAAUACACGGUAAAAACAUCACAUCUCUUAAAUUAAUAAUUAUAAUUAAAUAAUGUUUUUUAUUCAGUCCCGACUUAUUAAAUGACAUGUUGAUUAAUUAAUAAAUUUCUUUAGUUAAAAAGAUAUUAUUUUAUAGAAGUUUGUGUGUGUGUGUGUGUGUGUUAACGAUUAAGAUGUUUUCAAGCUACUAUCUGUGUAAACAGGCUAACAUUCACAUUAACGCAUUCACAAAUUUAGUCAUUACUUUAAUCAAAUCUCCAGAUAAAAUAUUGUUUUUUAAUUAUAACUCAAAACAAUAACAUGAGAAAUAAAUAUACUUAUCACCAUAAUCAAACAUCAAGACCACGCUGAUAAAAAUCAACAUCCAGAUGGAAAUGUGGGCAGGGAAGCCAGGAUUUUUGUGAACUGGUGCCGAUAUGAAAUGUUAUUAUGAUAUAUCAAUAGAUUAUUUAGGUUAAAAAUUGUUACACAAUAAGUGCUAAUUUUGGGGUGCAAAAUGUAUGUUUUUGUAAUUUAAGAAUCCUAGAUUUAAGAGUACAUUUAUAAAAAUCAAAAUUUUUAAAUUUUAAAGGUGUCAUGCUCCCAGACUUUUAAAUUCCACUCGCAUGAGAAUUUAUUUAUUUUUAUGUUUCAAGAGUAUUUUUGAAAAAAAUUAAAUUUUUUAUUUUUUUUAUUUACUUCAUAUUAAAUUUUUUAUGUUACAAUAUUUUUUUGAUAUAUUGAUAUCAAAAAUAAUUUUUAAAAUUUAUAAUAAUAUUAUUUUGGUAUAUUUUCAAGCAUGCAUUCACGUAAACAAAGUUUUUAUCUUUUAAGACAAUUUAAAAAAUACAUCCUCUAUAUGAAUAUAAUACAACGGUUAAAAUUUAAAAAGAUAUUUCCUCAAAUAUAUAUUGUAUUUGUUAUUUUUUUAAAAAAAUAUUUUUUUUAAUUAUGGUAUAAUUAAUUAAAAAAUAAAUUCGAAAUAUUUUUUAUCUUUUAUUACAUUUGCUCAAUCAUACUGCAAGUCCUUGGAUGACAACCAUCUCAUUCAUCACCGAUCAACCCUCGCCAGCAUAGAACCACCGCUAGUAUCUUGGCAAAAAACCACUACGAUCUACAAACAAUUGUUAGCCCUUUUUGGUCUGAAUUUCACGUUUUUUAGUUUUUGUUGAACUAUAUAUAUAUAUAUAUAUAUAUAUAUAUAUAUAUAGUUUGCAAGUUGGGAAAAGGAUUAUGGACUUGUGUCUUGAUAGGAUUACGAAGCCAUCGGAAUAUCGGAUAGCUGUAUUGGGCUUCGAGUGUUUUUGGGGUAUUGGUUUUGGAUUAGAAUCCUUUGUGUUUUAGAAAUGCUUUCUGUUGAUAAUGAAAUGAAAUCAAAGCCGGGGAAAGGAUUUUUGAUGAGUUGUUAGAUCGUCUUUGUAGAGAAAAAAUCAUAAUAUAUAUAUAUGUAUAUUUUUUUUAUCAUGAAUUCUUUUUAUAUAUAAACAAAAAUCUUGUUUAGAUGUCAAAUGAAUCCUGUUUCGUUAUGUGACUCCACUAUUUAGAAAUGCGGUACAAAUCAUCUUUCUCAAAAUUUUAAUUUUUUUUACUAAAAAUUAUUAUUAUUUAUAUAUUUUAGAUCGUUUUGAUAUAUUAAUCUUAAAAAUAAUUUUUAAAAAUAAAAAAAAUAUUUUAAUGUAUUUUAAUAUAAAAAAUACUUUGAAAAGUAAUCACAACUACAAUUCCAAACAACAAAAAUGUCACUAAUAUAUUUCAAGCACAAGUUUUCAUUCUAUAAACUCAAGUAUAGAAAGCAUCUUGUUGCAUAUUUGUUGUUUAAAGAUCUUGAUAGUAUUUGGAGUUAUAACAGUAGAGUAUAUUUUAUUUAAAAAUUUAACUAAAUAAUAUUUUUUUAAAAAAAUAUUUUAUUAUCAAUAUACCAAAAUAAUAAUUUAAAACAUUUUAAAAAAAUUAAACACAAAAACAAAUAAAAUACAAAAAGUUUCCAUUUUCAAUGGUAGCUAAAGCAAUAUAAAAUAAUGAUGUGGCCCACCACCCUCCUUGGCCACGUGGUUGGAAUGACUAAAUGAUCCUUCACUUGGAAUUUAAUUGAAAAAUAGGCUAAGAAGUCAACUCAAUCUGGAGUACCAGUGUAAUAAUGCAACUAGACAUGGUAGGUGACCAGAUACAAUUCAUGCUGAAAAAUAUCAGAGAAUUAAAGUAAACGGUUUGAAUUUAAUUUUGGAUUUUUUUUUAAUAAAAUAUAUCAUCCAAUAAAAGGUUGUGCUUUUUAUUAGGUGAAGUUAUAGGCACAUCCUGACAUCAAAAUUAUACAUUUUAAAAAGAUUUUCAAAUCAAGACUUCCCUUCCAUUAUUAAAAUAACCUACACCCCGCGGGAAAAAAAAAACUGUAAAUUUAUCUUAAUUCACUCUAUAUUAUAACAGUGAGAUUUUAUUUUUACCUUUUUUAUAAAAAAAAUCAAUGCUUUCUUACAGAGGGAAGAUGGUAUUUUCACCAUGCUGUCAUUUUAUAUUUAUUUGAAGGUAUUUCAGUUUUUUUUUAAUUUUUUACACAAUUAAAUUAUUUGGUUAUUCUUAAAAAUAAAACAAAAAUAAAUAAGGUUUAAAGAUUUUUUUGGAAUGUUUUUUUGACAUGGAUGUGCAACUACUCUAUUGCCCUUGAAAUUAAAAGGUCUUAAGCCCUUUUUUAGAGGCAUGUUGGUAUUUUCAUAUUGAUUUUCUUUGUAAUUAUUGGGUUGUCUCAUGGGUGAUUUAGUAAUUUACUUAAUAAACAAAUAAAAAAAAGACAAAGUUGAUGACAUGUUUAUGAAACUUGCUAGUGCGUGUGUCACUCUAUCGUUUUCAAGUAACACAUGUGGUGACUCACAUCGAGUAAAAUUCAACUUCCUUGGUGUUUUUGAUUUGCAACAGAAGAGUUAACUCUUUGUGCUACUUAUGCGGCUUAAUUCCUAAUGAUUUGAUAACAAUUAAUUUUUUUUAUAUUAAUUUUUUUUCUUAAUUUUUAUAUUGCAAUAUUUCAUAACAAUCCUUCAAGUUUUUUUCUUGUAAUUUUGAUCUUUAUUCUUUUAAUUGUUAUUUUUUUUAUUUGAAUUAGUUUAAUGAAUUAAUUUUUUUUUUCUCGAUUUCAUCUUUUAUUAAUUUUUUUUUAUUUUUAAAUUGAUUCUCGUUCUUUUAAAAAAAAUCAUUCACUGUAUAUUAAAUUUUUAAUUUUCUAAUAUUUUUAUAUUUUUUUAUAAGAUUAUAAAAAAAAUAAUCCAACUCACGUGGUAUCACGGGAAAAAAACUAUUCAUACACUACAUGAACAUAGGGCACGUAAAUGCCUUACAUUGAUCAUUAAUUAAAGGAAACUUGUACGUUGGAGCAUUUACUUUUGAAGUUGCUUUCAAUCAUGUAUUUGCCAAAUUCCGAUACUUCAGCAUCGUGAUCAUAAGUUUUUCUUUGCUCUCUCGAUUAGUAUGCUUUUUGACACUCAUUUCUCUUCCAAAACCGGCAUCUCUAGGCUUUAAGUUACUGUUUAAUAUUUUCAUAAUUUCUUGAGUUGUGAUUGCGAUUUAUAAAUUAUGUUAAAAAAAUAGUGAGAUUUAUAUAAAAAUAUUGAUAUUUGAUUUUUGGAUUUAAAAAAGAAUUUCAAUUCACAUAAUAUUAAUUAAUUAGUACUGAAAAUGAUGGUGGAUACAAGUAAUACAAAUUAUUUAGAUAUUAUAGUUUACCAUGUUUGUUUCUAUCUUUAAAAAUACUUUUAAAAAAUUUAAAAAGUUUUUAUUUUUUAUUUAUUUUAAAUUAAUAUAUUUUUUAUGUUUUCAAAUCAUUUUAAUGUGCUAAUAUCAAAAAUAAUUAUUUUUUUUUAAAAAAAUUAUUUUAAUAUAUUUUUAAAUAAAAAAUAUUUUUAAAAAUAACCACAAUCACAUUUAAAAAAACAACAUCUGUAUCAAGGGCUUCACUUACCAUUUGCAAUCAUGUUCUAUCCUAAACAUAUAACAAAUGAAGCAUAUGCUUUUAUAUUUUUAUUUAACAGAAUUUUCGUUUUUAGUUAUAGAAAAUCCUAAUAAGAGAAGGUAAGGGAAAUAAAAAGGUGGGAGUAAUUUAUUUUUGGGACAUAAAACUGACACGUGCACAGCAAACCGGCCCCUUUUGCCGGCUUGACCGGUCUCCGUAAACAAGCCUGGAUGUAAUUAUAAGCCACAGAAAACCACCACCUUUCCUUCAUCAACAAACAACACACACACAUAUUCACAUAUCCCUUCCUUCCUCGAAGAAUCUAGCCUCUCCCCUCUCCUUCGCCAUUCUCAUCCACCAAAUCUUUAAUCAGCGGUCACUUCUCCCCAGGUUCUCCAUUCCCUUUUUUUCCCCACUCUAAAAUUGAUAGAAGUCUUCUUAAAUUAGAGGCCUUUUUUAUUUGUUGUAUAUUUGCGUUGUUUUAGCUUUCUGGGGUUCAGUUUUUAUAGGUUUUAUAGCUCUUUUUUUUUUUGAGGUUUUAGAUUGUUGGGGUUAAUGGGUUAUGCUUCGUUUGGCUUUUAAGGAAGCAAGUUGGGUUCUUUUUAGAGUAAGAAAGCCUUGCUUUAUCCUUGUCUCUUUUACGGUUUUUAGAGAAUAUUAUUAGAAGACUCUGUAUAGCUUUCUAUCAAAAAGCCUAGGUAUUGAAUUGAUGUGUGUAAUUAUAAUUACUGCUGUUUAAAUUUUAAAUUGUGUACGGUUCCAUAGGAAUUGAUUUAGGGGAAGUUAGGUUAGAUUCGUGUUGGAAUUUGUUGGCGGGUUUGGCUAUUCUGAGAACCGGUAAACAUGGCGGAUUCAAUUGCUGCAGCAUCUCUUAUUGGGUAUAGGCCACUCAGUGGAGGAUUGUCUGUUAAGGAUGGUUCUUACAGGAGGAAAUCUUUGAGUAGUUGUUGGCGUCCUGUAAAUGAGUUUGUGGGAAAAAUGAUUCUUUAUUCUUCGCCUAUGUUGCCAAGAAUGAAAAUUGAUAGGUUAGUUAAUACCUCGAUUAAGGCUCUGGCAACGGAGCUUACAAAAGAGGCGUAUUCAUACAGAGAGAGAGAGAGAAUACCACGGACUUGGAAUUACCGAGUUGAUACUGGUGCUGAUAGAAAACCAGGUUUGUGGCCACCAGAGAAUAGAGCGGAUAACCCUUCGUUGCAUAACCCCUUGAUUCGACAAGAAAGGAUGGGUUGUGGCUGGUUGGGUGCUAUAUUUGAGUGGGAGGGUGUGAUAAUUGAGGAUAAUCCUGAUCUUGAGAGGCAAGCCUGGCUCUCUCUUUCUCAAGAAGAAGGGAAACCUGCUCCUCCAGCCUUUAUUUUGAGACGAGUAGAAGGGAUGAAGAAUGAGCAAGCGAUAUCUGAAGUCUUGUGUUGGUCGAGAGACCCAGCAGAGAUGAAAAGAAUGGCUACGAGGAGGGAAGAAAUCUACCAAUCACUGCAAGGUGGGAUAUAUAGAUUACGGACUGGUUCAAAGGAGUUUGUGAAUAUUUUGAUGCGUCACAAGAUACCAAUGGCAUUGGUUUCCACACGUCCAAGAAAGACUCUCGAGAAUGCAAUUGGAACCAUUGGGAUAGAAGGGUAUUUCACUGUUAUUGUAGCAGCAGAAGAUGUUCACAGGGGGAAGCCGGAUCCGGAGAUGUUUAGUUAUGCAGCCCAGCUUCUAAACUUUAUACCACAACGCUGUAUUGUGUUUGGGAACUCUAAUCAGGCCGUGGAGGCUGCCCAUGAUGCUUUUAUGAAGUGUGUAGCUGUUGCUAGCAAGCAUCCUGUGUACGAGCUUGGUGCUGCAGACUUGGCGGUGAGGAAAUUAGAUGAACUUUCAAUUGUUGAUCUGAAAAAUCUUGCUGAUAUUGAAUCCCCAGAAUUUGGGCCUCCUGAGCCAGAGUUGGAGCUGGAGCUGGAGGAGGAUAAUGAUCGAUCUACCGCAGUGGGAGUUGAUGAUAUCUUCUGGUAACUCUUAUGAAUUGUACAGUUUACUUUGUGCUUUAUCAAAUUCUUGUUGACAAUAGUUAUAUAUUGCCCCCCCAAGAAUCACUGCUAACCAAUGAAUCCCUUGCCGUGUACAAGGGAUAAAAAGGAUUAAAAAGUAGAAAGGGGAAAUAGAAGAAAAACAGGAAGAAAAAAAAAAGGCAGUCUGCAUUGGACUAGCAUUACCUUAUGAUGUAUGUAUCAUCCGUACCAUGUAUAUAAUUGUGUUUCAGCAAUUUUUCUGUGUUGCUUCUCCCUAUUUCUGUUUGAACUUUAGAAUUGUUUCAACUGUACGCGUAAAAAUCAUAUGCAACAUCACUCAAUAUGGUCUCUAUUUCUCAUAUUGUUCACCAUUCUCUUACCACCUCUGCAACACAAGUGCUUAAUUAGUGAUAAGUGAUUUAGAUGAUUAGGUUAAGACUUACGAGCUAGUUCGUAAUGCUUGGCAUGUUUCCUUGGAGGUUGGGUUGGUUUAAUGAAAUCCUUGGUUUCUCAAAGGUACCGGGAUGUUUGGCUGAGCAGUUUGGCAUCUGUAAUUUCAUUGCUUGCUUCCCUCCAAGGGACCAAUGAUUUGACCUGUACAAUUAUUAGAUCCCUCCACGUAAAAUUAUUAAAUGAAGAGUGAACUAGCCUUUGUGGCAAAAGUGUCCCCUUUCGUUAAGUUCUCAACUAUUCUUUUGUAAUUUUGCUCGAAAGUCGUGAGUUGCUUCAUAUUGGUUUCUCAAGGCUCCGUUCUCAUAAUUUGGUACUGAGUUUCUCUGCAGCUUCUUCUGGGUUCUAAUCCAAAGGGACCAAUGACCAGGAUGUUCACGAGUCGACGUUGACAUUCCAGAAGGAGAAUGAAAAAUGAUUUAACUCAAUAAUUUAGAUGCAAGGAUAUUUAAAUUCAUGAUUAUUCUGUUCUGAUUAUGAGAGCACUCGAUCUGACUCAUCACCAACUGCCUAAUUGCUGUCUUGUAAGAUAGGGUGACACUUGAGUUGGAGCCCAACUUGGAAACGUAUGCCACCAGACUGUCACAAGCAAAGUUGUUAAAAUCGUGUUUUGACUCGUAAAAUUAUACGAGUCGUUCGAUUUUACGAGUCAAAACAUGCUUUGCGUGCUGAAUCGUUUGAAAAAAUCGAAAAUGAAUGAAAUCAGGUUAAAAUUGAAUAAAAUCGUUAAAAUCGAGUGAAAUCGCGAAAAAUCACGAUUUCAGGGCCGAUUUCACGAUUUUAACAAAAUGAAUGCACUGAAGUAAAAUUCCCCCCCCCCCCCAAUGCUCCGGCUGUCCGGCGCCUAACGCCUCCACCUCGAUCAAGCUCCCUUUAUUUUCACCAUUCAGCUCCAACUCAAGCGCAUCAAAAUCAUGGUCCAUGUCACCAGCUCCAUCAUCAUAAGUACCCAACAAACCAUCAUACGUUAACCCUUUUUCCCCUUCAAUAAACUCCCCUUCAAUUUAUUUAUUAUUUUAUUUUCUAGCUGAUUAUUAAUUAAAUAAAUGGAGUGGAUUAAUGAGGGCGGUAAGGUCAUUAAAGCUAUUUAAUAAGAAUUACUUUAAAAAGAAAAUUAAUUAAAAAUAUAAUAAAAUAAUAUUUUUUUAUUUUUAAUAUUAUUACAUUAAAAUAUUUAAAAAACCAAAAACUUUAAUUUAAAACAAAAUAAAGAUUUAAAAAUUUAAUUUUUAAAAAAUAUUUUUAAAACAUGAAACAAACACUUUGACUAAUAUUGAAAAAUUUGAUUGGUUCAGCAUUCUGAUUAGAAUUUAACCGACUCAGAAUCUCAAUUGAUUUAAAUUAAAAAAUAAUAGAAAAAAAUAUAAUUAAUUGAGUUAAAUGUAAUUUUUAAUCUAUUAAUUUUUUUUAUAAAUCAUAUUAACCGAAUAUUAUUUCAAUUUCGCUCAAGUUUUAUGGUAGAAACUGGUGAAGAGCGUGUAUCACACCUGACAGUAUUUUAAAAUGCUUGAACUAUAUAUGAAUUUUUAUUUGAAGGCUUGAAAUAUGUAUGAAGUUUUAUUUGAAACAUGUUUUUUAAUGUGCUUGAACUAUGUAUGAAUUUUUAUUUGAAACAUGAAUUUUUUUUAAUGUAUUUUAAAAUUCCUUACGAUUUUACGAUCCAAUUUUGUGAAGGGCUUUCCGUUUCGUUCUAAAAUCGUGAUUUUAACAACCUUGAUCACAAGCACGGAGCAAAACAUAAAAGAACUUGUCCUAGCACCAUAAAAAGAAAAGAAAAAAGAGAGACGAAAACAGGGGGACUGGAAAUUUGUUGUGCAAUCCCAAUUUGAUAGGCUUGAUUAAAGUAGAAGUGUUUGGGAGUGAUAGCGGUUGUUUAAAAAUUAUUAUUUGAAAUGCAGUUUUAAAAUGAUCUUUUCCGUUUAAAAUUAUUCCAGGUUACAUGAUUUCUCUUGAAAAUACUUUCAAAUGCAUAUAAAUGGUAAUUUUUCGACUUCAUCGAAGAUGUCAUAUAUGUCUAGUCGAUAGCAAGAAUCAAUAACUUAGCUCAGGAGAUCCAUACCAUAACCGAAGGAAAGUAAACCUGAAGCUAAGGCAAAGAGUCGAAAGACUUUAAAGGCCAAUGCGUCUGGUGGAUCCAGAUUUAAACCAUCCAAGAUAUGGCCCAGAGUAUACAAACCUCGCAUCCUUCCAAGGAUAUGUUCAGUACAAUAACUGAGUUCUUCGACCCAUGUUUUUGAGCUGAUGUUCUUUUGCCGCCUGACAUUGCAGCUAGGGACCUUCCAAGCAACAAAGCUUUUGUCUGUAUGCGAGGAAGAUUUCUGUACUGCCUUUUCGUCUACUGGUUGCGUGGCAUUUUCAUGGCAUUUUUAGAAGGUGUUUGGGAAUGUGUUAGCUGUUGCUUUUCAAAUAGCUUUUCGUGCUGAAAAGCAUACCAAUAAUGAUUUUUUAUUUUUUUAAAAUCAUUUUUGAUAUCAGCACAUCAAAACGAUUCAAAACGUACAAACCGCACUCAAUUUUAGCAAAAAAAAAAAGAAAAAAAAUUCAAAAUUUAUGAAAAAGCAGGUUGAAACUCUGCUCCAAACGGGCUCUUAAAGCGUGUUUGGCAGUGUGGUAGCGGUUGCUUUUCAAAUAGUUUUUCAUGCCGAAAUACAUGCCAAUGAUGUUUUUUCAUUUUUUAAAAAUCAUUUUUGAUAUCAGCACAUCAAAACGAUCCAAAAAGUACAAACCACACUCAAUUUUAGCAAAAUAAUAAUAAUAAAAAAAAAUUUAAUUUGACAAAACACAGGUUGAAACGCACUGCCAAACACUAAAGCUCCAAACCCACCCAGUGUGUGCGUUCCGCACGCUAACUAAUUUAUCUUUUUUUAUUUACUUCACUUUUUAUAUUUGUUUACUUGUUCUAAAUUAAUUAAAAUUUAUUUUAUUAUGUAAAAUCAAGCAUCAACCUAGCACUUUAAAUUUAUCUUGAUAUUGUGAGAUCCUUAUUUUAAGAAAACUAAAACAAGCUAUCAAAUCAAAUCCCAAAUAAAACCAAUAUAAAAGGAAUUAAAUUGAAAAAAUAAUUAAGAAAUCAAAAUUAAAAAAAAAACAUGAACUUCCUUCUUACCAUUCAAAUAAAUCCCUAUAUUAACCAAAAAAAAUAAACUAAACAUUUAUUUAAGCGAUGAUGAGAGCAAUAACUAUUUAAAAUAAAUAGAAUUGAAGUUUGUUUUGCCAAGAUAAUAAUUAACUGAAAAUCAAAAAAUUAUUUUGAUAAAGAAAUAUAAAUCACCAAGAUUAAUUGUAAAUCAAGGCAGUUAAAAAAACAAAUAAGAAGAAAAAAACUAAGGGACCAAAGCUUGAAAAUCUUACGAUCUUAAGAAAAAGGAAAACACUUGGAAAGAACCAUGUUACUUCUGAGAGGCUACUUGUAGGUUUUUGGUGGGAGGGAGGGAGAGAGAGGUGGAGAAUUUUAAUUAAUUAUCCUGGAAGCUAGUGAUAAAAAACAAAAAGAAGACAAGAAGACAGAGAGAGUACGUCUUGAUUGGGUUUCCGACAAGAAGGACAGUUUGGAUUGUAAUGGCGGUUGAACUUCUCGUUUUCCAGCUAGGAAGGUUUCAAGUAGAAAGCCACUUGUGUUUGUCGUUGGCGUGAGCCGCCAGUUGGAAUCGAUCCCAGUUCAAAGUGACCCAGAAACGUGUACGUAUUUGCCAUCGGUAAUCUUCGUUGACUAUCUGGCAAAAAAAAAAAAAAAACUGCAGAAAGCCCUUGUUUGCAAUUUCUUUAGGUUUUAGAGCCCAUGAGAAACAAGAAUCAACUCCUAUUUAUUUUAGAUUGUUUUAAUAUGCUAAUCUUAAAAAUAAUUUUUAAAAAUAAAAAAAAUAUUAUUUUAAUAUAUUUCAAUAUAAAAAAUAUUUUAAAAAAUAAUUAUAACCACACUCUAAAUUAAACCCUAAGUAAUAAAACUUUUAAAUAACCACUAUAACUUUUGCGUAAUUAUAUGAAAUUAUCAUAUCCUUGUUGAAUCCGUUGAAUAGAUUACUGUUAAGUUCCUAUAAAUCCAUUUCUAAUUCCCCAACACCUUUUUUUACUGUAUUUCAAUCCAAAAUCACAAUGCAAAGUGUAAAUCUUGUAUACAGUAAGAACAAAUCAUGGUUGCUUGUUAGGGGUUUUUUAUAUAUUUGAUAAUUUUAAAAUAUAAUUAUUAAACUCGAUCUAAUUAGCCGAUAUUGAGUUUGUAUUUGGCAAAACACAAGCAUGUAAUUAAUCUAAAAGAAUCACUUGACUUGACAGGUAAAUCUGAAAUCUGAUAAUGGAAACCCAAAAAAAACCCGCCUCUUUUUAUUUUUUCUCUCUCCGUCUACUUUUUUUUUUUUGGGUGAGGCAGCAACCGUCUUCCCUAUUUUUACACCAAAAGAAAUCCACCUGGACCACCAAUUGAGAGAGACGAGUAGAAGAUCCCAGAUGUAUCUAUGAUUGUCCUCAUUUUAUUUAACAAAAUGAAAAAUCAAAUCUUUAGUGUUUUUUUUUUUUUUUUUCAUGGAGUAGCAGCAGGCAAAACACACAUGGACUUGGAGGCUAGAACCCGUGUGCUAGCCUAACUUGAUUUUUUUUCAUGAAGGAGGAAGAUGGCAUGCCGUUUGCUGCUUUAAAAAUUUUUUUUAUCAUAGAGACACAUCGUUCAUUUACUCAAUUUUCGAUAGUCAAAAUGGCCAUAAGAUUAGGCAAAAAAACAAAUUGUGUAUUUUGAAACCAACUACCCAUUGCAACCAGUUUCUUAACCCAAAUCUUGAUAAACCCACUUGUAACCUUAAAGUAGCAAAAAAUCGUUUUAAACUCAAGAAAUCAAACCAAUAUCGCAUAUCUUCUCAAGUUCCUUUUUUUUUUUGGCAAGAUAAGUAUCAAAAACUAUCACAUUAAACUAUAUUAUCCAAUGAAAUAUUUUAACAUCAAAUUUUACUAUUCUAGUUGCAAAAUCGCGACAACUAAAUACUCUUUUUCAUUACCAUUAUUUUUAGUAAGAUUUUCUUAUCUAAAAACUUAAAAAAAAACAAAAUAAAAUUUUAAAUCAAAAUAAAAAUUACCAAAAAUUUAGGAUCAUAUUCGAUUUUUCAUGUUUGACAUUUUAGUAUUUUUUUUAAUCUAGUAAUUUUAUUAAAUUUAAAUUUAACUCCAACUAAUUAGGCCAUAAAAGUACCUAGCUAAAAAAAAAGAAAAAAAAAAGUGGAGUUAGCUUGUUGACUGUUUAUAUCAAUAAACCAACUAAAAUGACGCCUCAUCUCUUUUUUUUAGAUAUAUUAGGUUUCCCAUCAAAUAAAAUAAUAUGUUCUUACUGCCCCUACAUUGCUUAGAUUUUUAAAUUCGAAUGUAAUUAUGGAUAUUCAACUCUUGACGUUGCAGUCAUCAAAUACACCAUCAUCCUUGUCGCAACCUCGCGAAAACACGGUGUCAUGGUGACCCUCUCUGCGACAGGGAUUUAUAUCAGGGUUUUUGUUUUGUAAAUAAGAAAAUCGUCACCUAGUAUUAUGAUCACUAGGAACCCUAAUUGGUCUUUCAGAGAUUCUAAGGUAAGGGAUUGGUUGCAUAAAGGGAAGGUUUUAGUACUCCUAGUACGCCUUACCUAAGGCAAGUUGCAUGGUGUUUGGUUUGUCUUAUAAUUGCUAUGGUGAUGGCGUACUCUAAUCAAUUUUCCUAGGAAGAGUUUGCUAUGAUGAAUAGACUUGGAUUCAAAGUCUAAAAGAAAGAACCCUUGGCCAAUAUGGAUCAUAUCUUUAGAUAUGUCUAUAGAUUGUCAAGGAGAACCGAUGCAAAUCUUUUGAAAUUUGUGUUUGAUUUGAAAUAAAUUUACAACUUAUGAAUUAAGAGACAACUAAGAUAGAAAUCUAAGGAGAUUCAAUGUGCUUAAAAGCUUAUUUUUUCCUUUAGCAUUUCAAGUGUUCGCGACUCAUCAAUCACAGGGAAGAGAAACAAGAAAAACUAAGUAAGAAAUCUAAGGAAAUUCAAAGUGCUUUAGAAGCUCAUUUUUUCCUUAGUAUUCUAUUCUUUCACAGCUCGUAAACCGUGGAGUCAAAAAUUAAAAUGUCCCCAAUUAUAAUCGAUACUUUUUUAAAGGAUAUGUGAUUAAAUAAAUAAUCAUGACUUAUUAUUUCUAAAAAAGUAUUUUGGAUAUUCAACACUUGGGGUUUCUUUAUCCAAAUAUCAACAGUGAAUAAACAAAUUACUUCUUCCAAUAAUAUUUUAGAUAUUAACUCAUUUGGGUUUUCUUUAUCCAAAUAUUAAUAGUGAAUAAAGACGAAUUCCAUAAAAAUAAAAUUUUUAUAUUUUUAGAAUAUUGGCCAACACCCUUUGAAAUUUACAAACAUGUUGUAAAAUCUAAAAUGCAGGAAAAUAAUUUUUUUUGUGUUUAAGAAAUCCAUGCUAAAACAUAUUUUUUUGAAAUCUCGAAUAUUUAUUUUUUUAGAAAAAGGAAUGUUCAAAAUAUGUUACGGUAUUGGUCGUAUCCUAUAUAUUUAUUUUUUGUUUUAUAUAUAUAUAGGAAAUUCUUCUUCCUAUGUAUAGAAAAACCAACUCGGCCCAUGUGUGUGUGUGUGCGUGCAAAAAAAAAAACCAUAAAAUAAAUACACGAAAAAAUCCAACGAUCUCACUCAUUUUUUUUAGGGUUAGGUCCAGCUCGACCCAUGUGGCUGGGGUGAACCCUGUAGGCCUAGCUGGGUCACUGGCCCAAACCAGUGACCCGGCUGGGCACAAAGGCUCACGCAUGCCUUGGUUGGUUACUGUCCAAUUGAAUUAUAAUUCACUUGAACAGUAACAAUGCAACUAAGAAUGCAUGCAAAAGCUAGGAGUAACAAACCUGGAGGUGGAAAUGAAGGAGCUGCAGCGAUGUUGAAGGCAUGCUGGCUAAUCUAUUCGUGUUCGACUGUUUCAUCCCUUUUCCCUCUGUUCUCUGCUUACGUCUGUCUCCUGCAUUUAGCUUUGCGUCUUUGUCCCUUUCUCUCUACUAGUUUUAGCUUUGGUUUCUUUUCUCUCCCUCACCUCCAUUCUGCUUUCCCUAUCUCACAGUAAUGCAAGGAUGAAGGAAAGAAACUCCCUUUGUUCUUUGUGUUUUCCCUCUCCUCUCCCUUUCUCUUUUUCUUUUGUUUCUCUGCUUUUUUUCGUAUCUUCCUUCGCCUCCUGCAGGUCUCACCAAAUUUGACAGACAAAAGUUUCUGUCAAUGUUUAGCAACAAAGCUUCCUCUUUAUGUGCUGUAGAUCUCCAACAUUUCUUCUCUUCCUCUCUUGUUUUUUUUUUUUUCGUUCUUCUUCUCCUAGCAUAAAGGUUUAUAUAGCCUAAAACGCAGCUCUAGUUAGGAAACAAAAUAUGGGGACACAAUCGCUAGUGGCUUGCAAUCAAAUAAAGCAAAUUAGAAAGCAAAAUAUUCCGAUUGAUUAUGUGAUAUUGGUAAUUAUUCUCCACGUGUAGAAUCCUAGCCAUUAAAUGAUGGUGCAGCUUUCCACAGCUAGCCUAGGUGUUCAAAGCCGUUGCCUUUAGACCAAAGAUGAAAAGAAGCUGGUGGGACUUGUCGUAGGGUUCGUUGCGUGCAGAACAUUGGUUUGUUCUGCACGCAACAUAAUUAAUUUUAGGUUCCUUCUAAUUUAAAUCUUCAAUUCAAUCUCUAAUUUUAAAAAAUUUCAAUUUAGUCCAUGAUAAAAAAAAGUCCUCCAAAUCAGCCCAUAAUCCCUCGAAUCAGACCUGCGGGUUAGAACCCUUCUCAUGGUAGGAUUCCCUGUUUUCAUACUAGAUAUUCAAACGGGAAUAUCUUGAGUUUCUGAUAUUGAAAUCAAGCGAUUAAAAAUUCAUCUACACGUACAGGACUACAACUUUCAUGAAGGAUUCAAAGUGAGAUAAAUUUGUUUUGAAGAAUAGAAUCUGGUCGCAAUCUGGCUGGUCAAAAGGAUCUCUUGAUCUGAUUCAACAACUAACAAUGUCGAGCCUCCUAAUCUGAUUGAGAGUCUGACAUAAUAACAGUGAGCCCUAGGACCUAAUAAAAAUGUAGGUCAAUUCUUUAACAUUUCAUGACUGACAAAAUAUAGUUGGGAUAAUCAGAUAUUGUAUGAAACCCAUUCAGAAUCAAAGCCUAAGUUGGAAUAAAAAAUUGCGAUAAUAGCAUAAUUAGUUUUUUUAGUGCAAAUUGUGAGACAUUUAUCUCACCUUAAAGACCGAACAAAGAAGAAACGAAUUUAGCAUUAUGAAGACUCCUAAUCAGUCUAAGAAACUUGACAAUUUUGUCAGCAAAGAGAGGAGGAUAAAUAGAGCAGAAAACAGCUGAAAUAAGGUUCAAAAAACACUUUUUUUUUCUCUGUUUUUGUCAAUUCCUCAACAAUCAUGAACUAAACUCCUACAUUUGAUUCAAGAGAGGUACACACUAUCUUCAGCACGUGAGGUCUAAAAAUAAAUAACAACAAUCCUUGUCCAGGUUUCCCCGGAGUUUAUAUCGCCGACAAUAACUUAUUCUUACAAAAAAAUAAUUAUCACAUAUAUUUAUAUGAAUUUUCAUAUAUAAAGUGGUUUAUAUAAUCUUUUACUUCUUAUACUAAAUAGAAUUAAUACCAAUUCAAUUUAUUAUUAUUAUUUUAAAAAGGAGCAAUUUUGUAUUUUACAACCCUUCCUCUCUCGUGAAUGUAAAUUAAACACAAGAGAAUCAGUUGCGCUGAAUUAAAAAAAAAAAAUGCAUAGCAAUAAGUUACAAUUAAAAAUGGAAUCCCUCGUAGUUCUACUAUAUUGACAUUCACAUUAUUUUCUUAUAAUUCAGCAGAAAGAAAAUGUGCUAAUAAAUAUUUUUGGUAUAAUGCUUUAUUUUCUUUGGUUAAUGUUUAAAUUCAAGGCUGUGAUAAGUUGGUCAAUAUUAACGGGCUGAUUUGUUUGUGGUUGUGAUUACUUUUCAAAUAAUUUUUCGUGUCAAAAUACAUGUAAUAAUUUUUUUAAUUUUUUAAAAAUUAUUUUUGACAUUAGCACAUCAAAAUAAUUUGAAAACACUAAAAACAUAUUAAUUUAAAAUUAAUAAAAAAAAUUAAUUUUUUUCAAAAACACUUUUAAAUAAGUAGUUAGCCAAUUCAAGUGGGACAUAAAGCAGAAACAAACAUGAUUUAUUCUCCCCAAGUUAUUAUUGCUGACUUUUUUAAAAAUUAUUAGAUUUAUUUUAUUGAUUUUUUAAUAAAAUUAUUAAUGCUAUAAUUAGAAUUUCAGUAUAUUUCUAGAGUUUUAUACUUUUAUUUAUUUAUUUUUCUUAUCUUUUUAAAAUUUAUUAGAUUUAUUUUCUCUAUUUUUAAAAUAAAAUUAUUAAUGCUAUAAUUAGAAUUUCAGAAUAUUUUUAGAGUUUUAAUAUAUGUUUGUUUCUGCCAAACACUGCCAAAGUUAUUUAUUUAUCUUUGUUGUCUAUCAUCUCUCAUGUCUAUUUAAUAUAUUUCUAAAAAUAUUACUAUUUUAAAUAACAACAAGUUAUAAAAUUAUUUUUUCACUCAUGAAAUGAAAUGUAUAAACUGUAAUUGUUUUUUUCAAUCCCGAUUUUUUUAAAAAAAAAUUAUGCUAAAAACUAAAAAUAAUCCUUGGAAAAGUGGUGACGUGUAAGAAACCCAGCAAAAAUGGCGUCGAGUGGAGCAUAAAAGCAAAGAAAUGGAAGCACUGCAUCGUUGUUUGUAGGGCCGCACUCAUUUGAUUUUUUCCUUCCUUUACUCACUCUCUAGUCUCUUCGCUUUACUACAAAAGCCAAACCAGCCCAACCAAAGAUCUUUCCUUUCUUAGCUGCCACCUCUGUCAAAAAUAUAUUUCUCCUCUUGCAAAUUCUUCAAUCCAUAAGAACCUGCUACUAUUCAAUCCCUACAAUUGUUUACGUUUCUCUUCUUCUUUAAGGUAAAAACUUCGUCUUUUUUUUUCCUUCAAGUUUUUGGUUCAUUUGAUGCUUUCGUUGCGUUACUGGUCUUUUUAUAUUAUAUGUUUUUACCUAAUGGUAGAAAUGAAUGUCGCGUUGUUAAAUGGUGCAUUGGGUUUUGUGAAGGUAAGGAGAAGUGGAGUAUUUUAAUUUCUUUAGCAUUUUUUUUUUCGCUAAUUUUUGUGAAGCGACCCUUUGUUGAUUCUUGAUUUGAUAAGCUAAUGUGGGUACUGUUUAUCCUGAUAUGAUAGGCAGCGUAGCACAUGCUGGAGUUUUUUUUUUUUUUGUAAGCAAUGGAUAUCAUGUGAAAUUAUUGGAAGUAUCUCUUUAACUUUUAUUUUUGUUUUGAGUUUUGGUCACUGAAAGUUGAAAAGGGGCAUUAUGUGAAAUUGUUGAAAGCUGAAUAAGUUCCGUAUAGCUAACUUUUCCGACGUUUUACCACUGGCUGGAAUAUAAUUUCUUUGUGUUUAUGGUUUUCUCGCUGGAUGCUUGGUUCCUGUUGAUUUUGACUUUGUAAGUUGUAAUUGAAAGGAUGGGUGGGUAGUUGCAGGCAUGACGCUGGUUGGCCAGGCUGGUCCAUCAUCCUCUAUACUUACGGAGAUAAGCCGCUGUAAAGCUGCACAAAAUGUGGUUAUUGCUAUGGCUAGAAGCACUGAUGCAUCUAAGCUAAAGGAAACACCUCCCAGAUUCUCUUCAUUGUCAUGUAACUCUAGCAAGACACCUCAGAUUCUGAGUUCAGAGAGUCUGUCAGUAGGAAUGAAGAGAGGGCAUCGAGUUGUUGUUGCGGCGAGCCCUCCUACAGAAGAUGCUGUCAUUGCCACAGAACCACUAACAAAAGAGGAUCUUAUCGGAUACCUUGCCUCUGGUUGCAAACCUAAGGAAAAUUGGAGGUAAAUUCUCAAUUCGUGAUUCUAGUUGGAUUGGAGUGGUAUCUUCGUCUUGUUGGAGACCUUGUCACUGGCUGCAACCCCAAGGAAAAGUAGAAUAUUGUCAAAAUUUUGCAUAGAUAAAAGGCUCUUCUUUUGCCCAUUCCACCACUCCUAAAUUCUGCAAUUCGUAGCGAUUCUUGAAUUUUUGCAAUUCAUAUACUCUGUCACAAGACAUGUACAUAUCCAUCGAAGGUCAAUUACGAUCAAACAUAUAUCCAUAAGAGUUUGUUGUACCCUUCUGACUAGUCUAUCUCAAACUGUAGUGCUUUGCAUGUUGUAAAUCCAAGUACCUUCUGUUAAAGAAAAGGGUUUUGUUCCUUGUCCUUGGUAACAAACUUGUUAUUAUCCCAUUUCAUUUUGUUUUGGUUGAUACUCAGUACUAUUGGGUUUUCAUACCUGAUUUCUGGUUUUACCUAUACCCUAGGUAUUGCUCAUUUACCGUGUUGCUUUUGCAGAAUAGGUACAGAACACGAGAAGUUUGGUUUUGAGAUUGGAACUGUACGUCCAAUGAAAUAUGAGCAAAUUGCAGAGUUGCUUCAUGGUAUUGCUGAGAGGUUUGACUGGGACAGAAUAAUGGAAGGUGACAACAUCAUAGGACUUCAACAGGUAAAAUGGUCAUCGUGGUUAUCUUUAUCUCUUUUUCAUAGCUAACUGCAUCUCAUACUUAUGCAUAUCUUAUACUCUGCUCUGGACUUUUUUUCUACUGUUUAUAUACAAGCUAAUUGCAUAUCUUACAUAGGAAAUUUUGUGCUGUUUUCUCAAAUGGCCUGGGUUGUGGAUUAUGUGGUUUUAAUUGCUGUGGCCAGGGGAAGCAAAGCAUAUCAUUAGAGCCUGGUGGUCAGUUUGAGCUCAGUGGUGCUCCUGUAGAAACUUUGCAUCAAACGUGUGCUGAGGUUAAUUCACACCUUUAUCAGGUAAGUUGAGAUUACUACACAUCAACAUGACUUUUGCUCAGGUUAAUUCAACAUUUGGAUUUAUUUCUGGUAGUAGGACAAUUUUAUUUUUUUUGCAAACAUCAUCUGGAUGAAUAUGAGAUUGCGUGAUGGUGCUGUUUUCUUUUUCUCAAAUUUUUAUGAAACACACAUUCACUAUGUCCUUGUGAUCUUGCUGUCUUCAUAUGUUAAUUUUACCAGGUGAAAGCUGUGGCAGAGGAAAUGGGAAUUGGAUUCUUAGGAAUUGGCUUCCAGCCCAAAUGGGGACUUAAAGACAUACCUGUUAUGCCCAAGGUAUAAUAAUCCAAUCAAUUUAUUAUCCUUCUCAUGCAAUUAGCUUGGGUGGAAAAUAUACUAAGACAUGAAUACAUGGAUUAUUAAGGAAAGUAAAAGGUAAUAGUUGUCAUGGAAUGAGCUUGAACAUGCUUUCCAUGCACGACAAAUGUGCCCUUGUAAACUUUUUAUGCAAGUUUUUGUGACAUUUAACAGAAGGGAUAGAAUAAAUAAAAUUAUGAUCAUACACGUUUGUAUUCUUGGUUUUUAUAUUGUUUCAUUUUCAUGUUUGGCCUUUUCAUGUCAAACCUUCAUAGUAUGCCAUGAAUGCUUCCUUCUUUGUUAAAUAUGGCAGAUUGUGUCUCUGAGCUUUCACAUAUCUUAUGCCAAUCUCUUGAGAAUUGUUUAGUUUUGUGGCUCAAAACUGAUUUGUCCAGCCAACUAUACUCCCUAAUAUAUUCUUUCUAUAAGCCAUCUAAAGUUGCAUAUGUAGACUGAUUUAAGUGUUCAUGCCUAGAGGAAAAGCCUAGAAAUACAGGGGCUACUUUUAAGUAUUGGAAUAUUUCAUAGAGGUUCCUUUCCAAUCUAUCCUACAACAUACCAUCAGUGAUAUUUAAUUUAUGUUUGUUAUCCCAGCGAUACUAGGCUUCUCAUUUUAAUCUCUUUUUUCAAUGCCUCUUUUCUUUUCCUUUUGUUUUUAGUGCUGUUUAUAAUCAUGCUUUCCCUUGGAAAUUUGAUUGCUUGUCUACUGACAUGUAUGUUGUCCAGGGAAGAUAUGAUAUCAUGAGGAAUUACAUGCCUAAAGUUGGCUCGCUGGGACUAGAUAUGAUGUUUAGGACUUGCACCGUUCAGGUUAGAUGAAUUUUGCUUUAUUCACUGGUUUGGUCAUUUUGAAGCAAUUUCUUGCCUGGUGGUUACUUUUUUAUUCUUUCCUGGUGGCUAAUUUUCUAGUGUAACCUUCCUUUUCUGUAUUUGAUGAUUUUUUGUCUAAUGUAUAUUGAUAACUUUUUAUAUAUGAAAUAUUAAACUUUCAAUAGGUUAAUCUGGACUUCAUUUCUGAAGCUGACAUGAUAAGAAAAUUUCGUGCUGGCCUUGCUUUGCAGCCGGUGAGAAUUUUUCCUAAAUUUUGAGUUUUUUUCAAACACAAAUUUUUCUGAUUCUGUGAUAUCUUUUUAUUGGAAAAUAAACAGGUAGCAACAGCUCUAUUUGCAAACUCACCUUUCACCGAAGGAAAACCAAAUGGCUAUCUCAGCCUAAGAAGGUUUCUAAACGUAAUUGCACUGGUGUACUUAAUAUGAAAUCUGUUUCCCGUAGGCUUCUUAGUGAUGUUUCUUUACCUGAGCAGCCAUAUCUGGACUGAUACUGACAACAAUCGUGCUGGCAUGCUUCCAUUUGUUUUCAAUGACACCUUUGGGUAAGUUAUUAACUUGUUAUUUGAGAGGAAAAUAACAUUUAAGCUUUUAAUUUUUGGGUUGGGGGUUGUGGAGGAUGAGCAGGUUUGGGAAUCCAUCUACAGAAUUUGUAUUUUUGAGUUAAUUUUAUUUUGAACACUGUGAUGUACAGAAAUCUAAGUUGGCAUCGACUAUGAGCACAGAUGAUCACUAUCUGUGUGAGUAUAUAUCUAAGGAUAUGUAUAGUUUAGCUCCUUGCUAUUUUGUUUGCGAUUAAGAGGAGUCAUCAUCACCCCUGACUUCUGAGUUAAAAAGGAUUUAACAUUGCCAGCAUCAAUCCCCUUUUUUAUCAGUUCUCAGAUCAGGGGUAAAUAAAUGUGGACACAUGCCCAUUCCUGCAUACAAAUACAUGUUACAUGUAUGUUUGCAAGGUUAAGUUCAUAAUGUAUGCAUGAAUACUCGCAUAAACAAAUGCGCACGCACAUGGUGCAUGAAGUUGAUUGUAUGAUUGUAGUUCUGCUUUAUUUUUCCCUUUGCAGGUUUGAGCAGUAUGUUGAUUAUGCUCUUGAUGUUCCAAUGUAUUUUGUUUAUCGGAAAAAGAAGUAUAUUGACUGUACUGGAAUGUCAUUCCGGGUUUCUUUCUAUCCUUUAUAGCCUUGUAAUUUAAGGUUUUUGAUUUUUCACCAUUUUUGCAGGAACCUUCUCCAUUAAAUCAAGCUACUAAUUGGUGACCAUUUUAUAUUUUUCAGGACUUUUUGGCUGGAAAACUUCCUUGCAUUCCUGGUGAAUUGCCAACUCUUAAUGACUGGGAAAACCAUUUGACAACAAUAUUUCCUGAGGUUAAAUGAUGUGCAUUUUGGUUCUUUUGCCAAAAAAUAUCGUGUUGUGAUCUUGGCUCAUUUAACACAUUACUUUCUCAUUUCUUUCAGGUCAGGUUGAAGAGAUACUUAGAGAUGAGGGGUGCUGAUGGAGGGCCUUGGAGGAGGUUAUGUGCUUUGCCAGCAUUUUGGGUAGUUGGCCACUUUGAUCCCUUUCUUUUUCUUUUUUGGUUGCAUGAUUUGUCUGUCUAAAAUGAUUUUUGCAAAAAAUUUUAUAUGAAAUGAACAGUAGAACAGUUACAGUACAAGGAUGUGAAACUUGAAAAUUUUAACUUGUACCCAUAGCAUGGUUUUAUUGCUUUGUCUUCUUUUAGUUUGGCACCCUUUUCAACAGAUCCGUAUUCUUCAUAAUUGAAUGGAGGAUUUUAUUACUUGCCUCCAUUUAAACAAUAUCAUCAGUUCAUUUUGAUUUCUGUUUUCAUAUGUCAGGUAGGGCUGUUAUACGAUGAAGACUCACUUCAAAGUGUUCUAGACAUGACAGCUGACUGGACCUCUGAAGAAAGACAGAUGUUAAGGAAUAAGGUAACCCAAAACUCUUUUACAAUGGAACUCUAAAUCUCCAUUCCUCAAAUUAUAAUAUGCCUAACACAAGAUCUGCAGAAGUGAUUUUUUGAGUGAGUCAUAGUUGUACGAUGUUUUCUUUUAGGAUGUCAUGCAGUAAACUGAAUAUAAGCAAAAGACCAUGACCCUGUUGAAGUCAAUAGUAAAAGACUUGAGCGUGUUGUGUUGCUUGUUGGCAUUUAUUUUGUUAACGUGAAAAGGCUGCCAUAGAAGGAUCCACAAUAUGGUGGACUGACAGAUGAUGAAAAUUUUAAUCUUGAAAGAGACUUUCAUUUACUUUUUCUCAACAUUCCUGAUGCAAGUUCAUGAAACCUGACAUUGCUAGAGGCAUGGGUUUGUGUUUUAAAUAUCUGCCAUGGCAUUGUAUUUAUGUGAGUAUAUGUGGUGUUAAUAAGGACAGUUCUUGCUUGCUAUUUAUUUUUUUCCCACAACAGAGAUGCAGCCUGUAUGUCUUCUGUAAUCAUGACAUUGAAUCUGAUAUAAAAUUGUUUUUUAGGUUCCAAAGACAGGUCUUAAGACACCAUUUCGGGGUGGACUGUUGAGACAUGUUGCCGAAGAAGUUCUAAAGCUGGCUAAGGUAACUUUAUUUUUUUUCCCAAUAAUGGUAGUUGGCUAAGUUAACCUGCAGACUGCUUUUCUUCAGCUUUAAGUAAACACUAGGUUAUUGCCCGUGCUAUCGAUACGGCUUGGACCAAAUUCUUUUGGAAUGUAAAAGGAUAAUAUCUUGACCAUCAGAGUUUUUUCAGCAUUGACUUUAAACUUGGUACAACAUUUUAAACUCGAAAACUCUCGAUUCAAGAUUCAAUUUUUUGCUUAGCUCGAGUUUUAAAUUAAAUCUUGUGAGAGUUGUCUUGACAUGACCUUGUUGACCGGUAGAUUCAAAGAAAAAAAUUCAAAGGAAAAGAAUUGUUAAGUUCAGCCUAGUUCACCCAUCAAACCCGCUACUUGAAUUAUAAAAUACAUUGAAUUAAAUUUUAUUUAAUUAUAUGAUAAGAAUUAUGAAACUGAUUCUUAAUUAGCCCUUUAUUGAAUGAUAAAAAUUAAUAAAAACUCAACAUUAAAAUAUGGAUUUAGAAAAAAAAAACCCAAAAAGAGAAAAAUCAAAUGCCAUUAAAAAAAGCCAUGGGUUUGUUGUAAAAAAGCCUAGGUGCAUGGACUUGAGGCAGUCUUAUGUGUAUGGGAUAAUUUGUUUUUUCUUUUUACCUUUUUCUUUGAAAAAAAAAGUUAUGUGACAGAUUACUGUCGCAACAAAAACUAAUAGCCACCAUAGUGCUUAAACAUGCAACCUUGCCUAUUUAAGGACUUGUUUGGUAUUGUUUAGUAUUAUGAUAGUGAUUACAUUUCAAAAUGCUUUUUACUUGGAAAUACAUUAAGAUAAUAUUUUUAUUUUUUAAAAUUUAUUUUUGACAUCAGUAUAUCAAAACAAUCAAAAAAUACAAAAAAACUUAAUUUUAAGCAAAUAAAAAAUAAAAUAAAAAUUAAUUUUUUUGAAAGUGUUUUCGAAAUGUAAAAAUAAAAAGAUACCAAGGAUACAUGGUAAACCAAGUGAGUUAUAGAACAAAUAUGUCAUCAAACAAUUAAAACAAUAUAUUAACUUGGUUAAACACGCUUAUUCUACUGCAGGAUGGCUUAGAAAGGAGAGGCUUUAAGGAAGUUGGCUUCUUGAAUGCAGUGUCUGAUGUGGUUAGCACAGGUAAUUUAGAAGUAAUUAUGCAUUUAUCUUUGCAUGUUUCCCCAGUAAUUUGGCUAUGUUAACCUGCAUAAGUUGGUUUCUUAAUGGUCACGAUGAUUGAUAAUUUUAUGGCAGGUGUAACACCGGCAGAAAAGCUUUUGGAACUUUACCAUGGAAAGUGGGGGCGGUCUAUAGAUCCUGUUUUUGAAGAGCUACUUUACUAAGGUGAAUUAGAUUUUUGUAGCACUGCAGCAGUGUCCUACUGUGUAACUCUCUCUCUCUCUCUCUCUCUGGGUUUAAACCUUGUUUAUGUUCUGAACUACUUUCUUCAACUGAUACUGAUAGUUUGUCUUUUGCCGAAUAAAUUUCAAUGUAAAUCCUUGGUAUGAGGAUUCUCUCAAAACUCUCAUCGAAUAACACCCAGACAGUGUGGAGCCAGUGAACAAUUUUUUAGCUUCCAUAGCAAUAACACGCCGAUCAUGUGCUUUUCACAAGCAUUCAUUGUAACGUUUCCCUCCUUGUGUCACGCAUCUCAUUCUCAACAUCCCUAAUGAAAAUGGUUAACCCGAUUUGUUAUGUAAUUCUAUUUUCAUAAACGAACCAGGUUUUCAUUGAUCACAGUAUGCAAAUGGAUUAUGAGGUUGGUGAAGUGUGUAACAGAAAUAUGAAAGAAGGAUCUAAACUUAAAUGCUUAUUUUCAGUUCAAACACUGUUACAUGGCAAAUAAAAUGUCAGUUCUCAUUUUAAGAAUGAUGGUAGCUAGCUUCAUUUCAUAAAAAGUCUUUUCAGUAACAUCCUACAUUUCCACACAAUGGUAGGACCUUCAACACUAUGCUCUUCUAGCAAGUAUUUAAUUGUCAAUUGCCUGGCUUGCCUUUUGUAUCCCAAAAACCUUAUGUGAUCUUGUCCACCAACCCUAUCUCGUCAGGUCACCCGCCACGUCCGAGCCAUGUGGGCUGCCAGCACCCAACAGGUACCGUGUGCUUCCCAGACCCGCUAGAGAUACAUACCCCACCAUAUUACCAUCUAAUAUGGUAGCUAUCCAUGCCACUGUUUUGUUUAGUUUCUCCUAGUGUUUUGGCGCUUCUUAUUGAUUACAUAAAUUUCAUUUGUUUGGUGUAUACAACCAAUGGAAAGAUUCGUGGGAGGAUAUGUCAAAUGUAUCUGGCUGGAGAGAGAGGUGUGUGAGAUUGCUGCCGGGGGGAUCCUAACAUGAGAGGGUGGUAAUUUAGAUGGGGACUGGCCAUCAUCCCUACCACUCUUGAGUAGGUGUUGAAUGGCUUGAAAACGAUGCUAUAACAGCAAAUUCUUAGACACAUAUCCAUGAACAUCAUCAAAUCUUAUCUCGUACUACCUUUUUGUCUGUUAGUAAAGUAAAAUGCUAGUAUGAAGUUUUGAGUCAAAAUUCAGUCAGCUAUCAUUUUCCCAUUCAAUUUAGCCUGCAGCAGAUGAUGAUGAUGAUGAUGAUGGAAGUACUGAGAUCUGUUGAAUGUUUAUUAUGUAUUUAGGUUUAAUAGAUUAUAUUAGAAGCAAACUACUAAAUCACAUUUUUCUCUUUUGGCUCAAUGGGAUUUUUUUGAACCUCAUACUUGGCAUAGGAUCCCAACAUCAAGAAGCCAACUAGUCCUUGUGGUGGAAUGUCUGGAAGGAGGGCCAGAAAGAAUACUUGUUUAAGAAGAGAGAGACAGACCGAAAACAGGAAGGUCUCAUGCUCUGCAAUAAUUGAAGCUUCUUAGCUCUCACCCUUGUGACACCACCCUUAGGUAUUAUAUCGCAAAUUAGGCACCUAAUUUGAUCUUAAAUCACUAAUGCGAUCUUACACCAUGAUAUUUGUGGCAUAACCACCUUAUUAGUCUGAACAUUACCAGAGUACCCUCCCUAUAUGUCUGUCAUCUCAUUUCUGUCCGAGUGACCAAGUUGUCUGAAAAUAUCUCGAAAUAAUGAAGAGGUUUCUAUUGACUGCCAAGUUUAUUGUAUGAUGCUAGACCGUAAAUUUCUACCAGGUAAAAAUUUGCUGGCAAUGUGGUUACCUUACCUGGUGCAAUCAAGGAACUAGGAAGAAGAUUUUCUUUGCAUGAUCAGUAUGUUCUCUAUAAUAUGACAAGAAUUCAGUAGUUGUUUAAUAUUUUUGCUUAAGAAAACAGUAAAACUCUACAAGCCACCAAGGAAUUAGAGAUGUUCAUCAAAAGAAAGAAAAGGCGUUAAAGAGUGAGUAAAGGAUCAGCAUUCAUGAAAUGUUCUCGUUAAUACACCAAUCCAGAAAUGGUGGAUUGAAGUAAGAAGGAAGAAGGAAGUUGAUAAUAAAAUAAUAGAAUUCCAUCCAAUCAUUUUGGAGGAGAGCAAGCUCAAGGCAGAGAGAGAGACAGAAAUGGGGCAGUUUUGGAAUCUUAAAUGACAGACAGACAGAGAGAAAGAAAAUCAAUCAUACUGGAGGUUGGGUUGGCUAUUUUAGAUUGAGUGAAGCCAAUGUAUGAUUGCAACUUGUUGUUAUUAUUAUUAUAUCCAUGUCCAGCUCACAACUCUUGUUGGAGCUUGACAUGUUCCCCUCCUAACGGAGACACAUCGUAUUAUUCAUUAAAUUUUCUCUAUAUUUCUCACUUUCUGACACGGAAGAUAUCGAAACCUUCUUAAAAUCCUAUCCCUCUUGCACCUACAAAAGCCCUGCAACUUUACGUUCUUCCUCACUCUCUCCCCUCCAGUCCCCUCCCUAUAUUUCUUCUCUUAACAUUUUCAUUUUUUUUAUUAAGACUAAUCAAUCAAGAUGAGAGAAAUCCUUCAUGUCCAAGCUGGUCAGUGUGGUAACCAAAUUGGUGGCAAGUUUUGGGAGGUUGUGUGUGAUGAACACGGAAUUGAUCCCACAGGGAAUUAUGCUGGCAACUCUAAUGUUCAACUUGAGAGGGUUAAUGUUUACUACAAUGAGGCUAGUGGCGGUCGUUAUGUGCCUAGAGCUGUGCUAAUGGACCUUGAGCCAGGGACCAUGGACAGCUUGAGGACUGGUCCCUACGGGCAAAUCUUUAGGCCUGACAAUUUUGUUUUCGGCCAAAAUGGAGCUGGAAAUAACUGGGCUAAGGGACAUUACACUGAAGGAGCUGAACUGAUCGAUUCUGUUCUUGAUGUUGUUCGAAAAGAAGCUGAGAAUUGUGAUUGCUUACAAGGUAUGACUUCCACAUCCUUACAUUUGUAGGUAAAUCGUGUUCAGUUUAGUUCAUUUAUCAUUGCUUGGCACACGCUAACUUUAUUUUCUUGAAUUGAUGACUGAUAAUGUGAUUAGGCUUCCAAAUCUGUCAUUCUCUGGGAGGUGGAACUGGAUCAGGAAUGGGGACUCUGCUCAUAUCAAAGAUCAGGGAAGAAUACCCUGAUAGGAUGAUGUUAACUUUCUCAGUAUUUCCAUCUCCCAAGGUUUCUGAUACUGUGGUUGAGCCCUACAAUGCAACCCUCUCUGUACACCAACUAGUUGAAAAUGCUGAUGAGUGUAUGGUCCUUGACAACGAGGCUCUCUAUGAUAUCUGCUUUCGAACUCUCAAGCUCACCAAUCCAAGCUGUAAGUGAACCAUGCCUCAAUUUUUCAUCCUUGUUAGUAUUCAUACAUGUAUAAACUGCAACAUCUCUAAUAUGAAUGUACGAAAUUAUGUUACAGUUGGUGAUCUUAACCACUUGAUCUCGACAACCAUGAGUGGAGUAACAUGUUGCCUUCGAUUCCCGGGCCAAUUGAACUCUGAUCUUCGAAAACUAGCCGUGAACUUAAUCCCCUUCCCACGUCUCCAUUUCUUCAUGGUUGGUUUUGCACCAUUAACCUCCCAAGGCUCACAACAGUACCGUGCCUUAACCAUCCCGGAGCUGACACAACAAAUGUGGGAUGCUAAAAACAUGAUGUGUGCAGCUGACCCUCGGCACGGUAGGUACUUAACAGCCUCAGCUAUGUUUCGAGGCAAAAUGAGCACUAAGGAAGUUGAUGAGCAGAUGAUGAAUGUGCAAAACAAGAACUCAUCAUAUUUUGUUGAGUGGAUUCCAAAUAAUGUUAAAUCAAGUGUUUGUGACAUUCCACCAACUGGGUUAGCAAUGUCAUCAACAUUUAUGGGAAAUUCUACGUCUAUUCAAGAAAUGUUUAGGCGUGUUUCGGAACAAUUUACAGUCAUGUUUAGGAGAAAAGCGUUUUUGCACUGGUACACUGGGGAAGGAAUGGAUGAAAUGGAGUUUACUGAGGCUGAAAGUAACAUGAACGAUUUGGUUUCUGAAUAUCAACAAUAUCAAGAUGCCGCAGCCGAUAAUGAGGGGGAGUAUGAUGAAGAAGAGCCUAUGGAGAACUAAGGAGAAUUUGAUCUGGUUAUUUUCCUAUGGCCAUGGCUUCAAGGAUGAGUUGUUUCUGGUGGAGUUAUUUAUGUUACUGUAUGGAGGUCAAUAUUUGAAUAAUUUGGGCCUCUGAUGACCGUGAGAUUGUGAAUAUUUCUAUUUAUAAUCUGUGAGUAUAAAAUUUGUAUUACUGUUUUGUUAUAAUGUGGAUGAUUAUCGUUUUUCUUCAUCUAUUUUACAUUAUCUACAUUUUUUCUCCUAAUAAUAUUAAUUUUACCGAAAUUAUUUCUUGAAAAAUCUCAACAUCUUAAUUUCGUAGAAUUCACUAUUAGAGUAUCACACGUUCAAUUAAAUGAGAUAUUUCUGGGACGUAAUUUGAGGAUGAUUUUUUUAAUAAAAUCAGCAUUUCUUGUUUUUCUUUAAAUUCUAGUAGUAAAUACAUGGAAAUCCCUAGUUUUCAAAUGAGAAAGUUAGCUAUCUAUAAAUUUAUAAUUUACUAAAAACAUUUGAGGUAAAAUCUCAGGUACUUAAUCGUUCAUAUGAAUAUGCAUUACUAUACAUUAUCUAUAUGAAGUACCCGUCUUUUUUUUUUCUUUUUAAUUGAUUCUUUCUAUAGUUUAAUUAUGUAAAAUUAUGGUGAACAUAUUAAAUUAAAAAACAAAGAACUGACAAGAAAAAACAUGGUCAAUCCCAAAUUUAAAAUAAUUUUUUUAUUUUAAUCCUAAAAUUUAUUUUGUUUGUUUUUUAGUUUUUUGAUUUGAGAAAGAAAAAAAACUAUCCAAAAAAAACAGCGUAAGAGAGAAAAAAUUAAUGGAUAUAAUAAUUCUAACAAUCAAAAUGGUUAAACUUGAUAUCAAAUGAUUCAAUUUAAUGAGAGGAAUUUGAUGAUAAUGGUUUUACACCCUCAUCUUGCUUGAAAAGGUAAAUCAUGCAUAAGAGAAUUUUUUAUUUUUUUGACUAAUUUAUAGGUGUUUUAAGUUGAAAAAUUAGUUUAGUGAGGCUUCUAGAGUAUUUCUUAGAUGUUUUAUGUUAAAAUAGGUUAAAAGAUAAAAUUUUAAACUUAAAAACAUCUCUAUUUGAUUUUUUACCCAUCCCCAAAAUAGUUGGGAUUUGAGUUGAUACAUUAAUUUUUAUAAAAUUAAAAGGGAUUAAUAACAUGUGUCGUACACCCUUUAAUGAAGAAAAUAUAUAUAAGCCCAAGUAUAUAGGAUUGAGUAGCUGGUCAAGUCCUCAGACUUGGCUUUCAAGGUCUAUUAGCACAUGACUUCUAUAUUUUUUAAAAAUAAUAUAAUAAAGUGCAUCUACAAUACUAAUAUAUUUUUUAUUAUUAAAAAUUAAUUUGAAAUCCUUUCAUGCAGAAAAAAUAUACAAGCCCAAACAUAUGGAUUUUUGAGUAGUUGAUCAAAUGCGCAGACUUAGCAUGCAAGGUUUGUUAGUGCUUGAUUUCUAUAUUUUAAACAUAUAAUAUAAUAAAAUAUAUUUACAAUAUUAAUAUUUUUUUAUUAUAUUAAAAAUUAACUUGAAAUCCUAUUUUAAAUCUGGUGUAGUUUCGUAAAACAGAAUGAUAAGAAGGGCUUCGCCUUACCAGGGAAACAGAAAUCAAAUGUUCAAUUAAAUAUUAAUAUUAGAUUAUUGAAAAAACGAAAAUAACUUGUGUCCAUAGCCCCGUCGCAGAGAAUGAGGAUGCACUUGUUCAAGAGGUCAUUGGUGUGGCCUUUUUUCUUAUUUUUUUAAGCAAUUACUAGAUAUUUUUUUUCUUCUAUUCCAACUGUCGAAAAAGGUCUUCAUGGGAGUAGCAUGCCUCCAUCAACCCAACCCCACGCACACGGAAGCGUGGUCAAGCCCUGGCAUGGUUCGUUCCCACUUCUAGGGUUUGCUCCUACUUCUCUUAUGUUCAGUCAGGGCUCCUUGGUUACCUAGUCUGGUAUUAGCUGGAUCGGUCCAAUGAACUGUCCAGCCCUAGGGAUGCACCUCCUACCAUGACACAAACAGAAGAAAAAAGGCUGAGGUAGAGAACUUGAAAUCUGUUUACCAAGCAAACUCUAACAAGCUAUCACCAAAACUCUUAGAUUGUUACCAUUUUUUGUUCAGAUCCUAGGGAAGUUGCAAAAAAGAAAAUUUCUACGGGAAUAUUUGUCUACGUUGUAGAUGUUCAAUCUAAGAAUUGCUAAUACAUUUAAACCGCAAAAAGAUUAGACAGUCACUACUUAGAUGGUAAGUUGAGACCACUAGAAACUCUCUACCUGCACGAGCACACAACUGCUGUUGCACGAUCAAACUUAUAUAUUUACACAAUAACAAGCCACUGCUGAAAAGCAAGAUAUAUUUGAUUAAAAAACUUAGCAUACAAAAACACCAAUUCCACCUCUGCUUGUGCAGCCACAACCAAUAGCACUGUACAUAAAUUACAAGGAUUACAACAUUUUAUUUUCACCCUCUAAAAGCAAUUUGAAACCACAGGUGAUUCCAUCUACAAACAUGUAAUCUGUCACAAGAAUGUCUUAAUUAUUCCUCCAGAUUUUUGUAUUGGAAAAGGUCAGCAAACAGAAACAAGGGUAUUGUUCAUAUGCGCAUUAGUGACCAAUAUGGCAACACCUAGUAACUGACCAUACCUAACCCGUCAAAAAUGUUUCGAAAGAAUUCUUUAAGAUGACAACCAAUCAAUGCAUGAAGUAGAUCGGAGCCAUUCACAGCCAGUUUUUUGCUGUGAGGUCAACUCAAAAAAACAUUGGAUCAUCCUGAUUUGAAAUUAAGCUCGUGUUCACCAUUGGUAGUCAUCUUAAGGAAAUGAGCAAUCCAAGAAGAGAUUUAUUUUGACCCUUGUCCUUCUGCUAUCAUGCAUUUGUGUUCCUUUUAUUUUCAAGAGUUGAUGCCUCUUUUAGAGCUGCUUUUGCCUCAUUCUCCUUUCCCAUUGUUAAAAGAGCUGCUGCUUGUAAAUAAGAUGCAAUAUGCCAAAUAGGGGAUAUUGCCUGGGCUUGCAGUGCAUCAUUUAGGGCCUGCUGGGGCAUGUCACUCAAGAGGUAGGAUAGACUUCGGCGUGCAUGAACGGUUGGGGAAACCAUGGUUCCAAUAGCAAUGAACUGCAAAGUGAUAAAAUGUGAGCUCAAUUUUGAAUUUUGAUCAUAAUCGAUAGAACAAUUUGUAACUUCUGAUUGCAUCAGAAAUACAUAACCCCACUAAAAGAAUCCUAAUUUUGAGAUCUCAAAGUUCUGUAAAGAUAGGCUUUUUUUCUAGUUUGAUUGUAAAUUCAUGAACACCACUUCUACCUGUACUCUCCACAGUAAUAAAAUCACCUAUUUUAUCCACUUCAACCAAUCUCAAAGGUCAUCUAGCCAAAAAAUAGAAACCAAUUAACCUGGGAAUAGAAUUCAGUGGCAGCUCUAAAAUCUUUGUGCCGGAAAGCAACAUCUCCCUUCUUCUUUGAAUUUAAUGUUUCCUGCAUUUGGUCGGUCCACAUCUGGAACGAAAGCUACAAGACAGUAAAAAAAAAAAAAGCAAGCAGGUCAUAUGAAAAAAUGUUAUAGCCGAACCAGUCAGGCAUGUGUGAGGAAUCAAUGACACGUGUGAAAUAAAGGAGAUGCAAACACAGGAUGAGUGCACUCUAUGGGAUCUAAGAAUCAAGUGAUUAUUCACCAGCAUCCAUGUAAAAUCACUAGGGAAAAAAUGGCAAACGUAUACAAACAUGAGCAUGGAAAUAAAUAAAACAUUAACUAAAUAAAUGCUAAUGGUGAAAUUAUGAGCAUCAAGCAAUAUUAAAAAGACCAAUCAAGAAAUAUCAAGUGACAUUCUUUUAAUAUUAUCAUUGCUAAAAUCAUAAGUAAAGCAUUCAAAUGUUCAAGGUCAAAAUGAUGCUAACAUAGCAAAGCAAAACCUUGAAGCUAGAAUGAUUUAUCAAUUUCUUAAUUUUCAAUUCCACGGAUCUAGUGUAGCAAAAAAGAAAAUGAAAAUAUUCCUUAAGAGAUCUUCAAAAAACACCAUAACUUGACAUAAUGAAAACAAAUUUUGAAUCUCUAACUAAAGCGACAACAAAAGGCCCAGAUGGUUGCAUUAAUAGCAUUCCAUUACUGUUACCAUUUUAUUAUAUCAGAAACAAACCUCAGUUGCUGCACCCUCAUCAUCUUUAUACCCAAGCUUUUCUAAAAUCUCAUGUAUGGCAGUCAAAUCCAUUCUUAAACAAGCCUCGCCAAGUGGUGACAGCGGUAAUGCUGCAGCACCAUCUUGUAUCCCCAUCAAUUCAUGAGAAGGAACCUGCAAAUCAGACUAAUAAGUCCAUUGAAGGAUAGAGUGAUUCAAAACUUUCAAUUCACACCAUCAAGACAAAAGAGAAUGUUGCGUAUUGUAGUUUGUAAAAAUCUCAAGUAAUAGAUCAGCACCAAAACUCAAAGUAAUAAAUCAGAAAAGAGCCAUUCCAAAAGGUGUUUUAAUAGACACCGCCAACUGAGUAAUGCUUAUUGCAGGCCCUGACAAAAACCAUUAUUUCAUCCACAGAACACAUUUCCAGUUAUCAGGUCAUGUAAAUGAAUAAUCAUUCUUAUGUUUAUGACUAAGAAUGUCAUUUAUCUUCUUCUUCUUUUAAUGGCUUUGAGAGUAAAAUGAAGUUGCUGCCUGUGGAAGGAUUCAUUUGAGAAAGUCAAGGCAUUAUACAGAUAAGAUGCCAGAUACUUAAAAAUAACUAGAUAACAACCAACCUCGGUAUCCUUCUGCAGAGGAAUCAAAGCAGCAACUAAAGACUUAGGAUUUGGUCGCUCCCGGGGCUCAUAUUGUAAACAGCGUGAAGCUAAUCGCACCAACUCAGUUCCAUCAUCAUUUGCAAAUUGGCCUUCCAAGCAAGAAUCUGACAGCAUUUGAAUAUUUCUGUCCCUUAUCAAGUCCAGUGCCUGAAAUAAAUUGUGCAGUAAACUAUUAGCUGCCAAUUAUGUGAUACUCUAAAUGUUCAGAAGGAUAACAAGCACAAUUAUAUGAUACUCUAAAUGUUCCUGAUGGGAGUUUAACCAAGCAUGUUUGAACAAUUCGUUUUAUUGUUCAAACAUGCUUGGUUAAACUCCCAUCAGGAACAACAGCCAACACAAUAAUUUCAGGAAUGCAUGUACAUCUAGAACAAUAAAAAUGAACAAUGGAAUCACUACAUCUAGUCAUACUGCAGCCACUGCCUUUAUCCCAGGCAACGUCCCAGAUUAUGUUGUGAUUCCAGUGGGAAGAUAGAGCCUUGAGGUGUGCAGAAUAAUAAAUAAAGAAAUUUGCAAUAAAACCAACUAACAGGUGCUUAAUGUUUCUGCAUCAAAAUGAUCCUAUUGAGGAGGAAACUUACAUGGCUGGGAGGAAUAUGUUUCCCACUGAGAAGGUCCAGCAAAAGGGUGCCAAAGCUAUAAAUUACACUUUCUGCUGUUACCCUUCCUAUAGAAUGAAUGAAAAAUUGAAGUAAUAUAGGAGAUAAACUAAUCAACAAACCAUGAUUAUGAUAGCUGAUAAGGAAAAUAAUGGAUGAGCAUAAAUUAUGUUAAGAACUUGAAUGAUCAAUGUGAUACACCAUCCAGGAUUCAAUUGAAACAAUAAUUCCAUAUGCCAUAUAUACAGAGAUCAAGCUUGCAGGUGGAGGAACAUUUAGCUGGUUCGAAAGAAUUAAGUACCUGUCCUCAGAUACUCAGGAGGUGUAAAUGCCAAGUUUGUACUGUAACUUUUUCCAUCUAUACUGUUCUUCAUCAGACCAAAGCAUGAAAGUCUAGGGUUGCCCUCCUAACAAAUAGAAUGAUGAAAUGAAAAUGGACUCUGUUAAAUCCUAACUGUGGAUACUGGACACAGUAAAAAUAAUGAGAUACUUACAUCAUCAAAGACAACUCUAUAAGCAUUCAGAUCAUGAUACAGAGCACGUCCCUUGCUGGCACAAUAUUCUAGAGCUUGCGCAAGAUGUAGAGCCACUCUAAGUCGCAUUGCCCAUUUCAUUGGCUGUGUUUCCCCUGAAGAAACCAGAAGGUCAACAUUGAGUUGUGAGAAAAUUUUAAGAGCAAUAAAAGAACAAGACUGCUCCUUGGUAUCUUGGUUUGGUGUACUAACUCCAAGCACAAAGCAAGAGCUCAAGCUACAGAAAUGGUGAGCAAAACAAGAGCAGAUCUUUUGUAUCGCAAAAAUCUAUAACAGAAUGUUGUUGUUUGUAGCAAAGAGUAUAAAAGAGAAAUGUGUUAUUUUUCCUCCAUAAUGUACUGCAGGCGCACAAACUUCCAAUAAUAGGAAUAAUAACUGCUCAAUUGGACACACAAGCUUGGAAAUUAAAAGAAAGAAACCCGCAAUAUCCACUAGAUGCUAAAGGAAAGGAAAGGGCACCAGAAACAAACUUACAAUGGAAUAGGUGUUUGGCCAAUGUAUCAUUGGGCAUAAAUUCAGAAACGAGUAACCUCUCAUCCCCUUCACAACAACAGCCGAGCAAAUUUGCCAACCUAUGGUUCCUCAGCUGACCAACAGUUCUUGCUUCUUCCUAAAGUCAUGGAACAAGAACAUCAUCAUGCUACUGGCAGUUGUGUAGGUAAAUGGAAAGGCCAGGACAAAAAUGCACAUGGUAUUUGGUAAAUAGAAAAUGCCAUGCUUCACUUACCAAAAACUGCCUGGCAUCAGGCCAAGAAGAUCUAUUAAACCGUUUCACAACAAUCCUUCUCUGAUUCUCAAGCUUCCCCUUAUAAACCACAUUUGGAGCCUUUUCCCCGUGUUCAGAAACUAUAUUUUCCACAGAAAACCCAGAUGUCGCCAUCCUGAGGGUUUCAAUGUUGUAUUCUCGGAAUGCAGGCAAAUCAUCGAGUUCACUCCUCUCUUCAUUAUCUACAAACACCAAACAACCCAAAGAUCAAAAUGACACCACAUAUAUAAACAAACAAAAACCUCCCAUUUCACUUACCCUCAUUGUGGUCUUCGGGAACUGAUCCAUUAUAGUCAGAACUCCAACAACACUUGGUGAGCUUUGAACACUCGCAACCCAUUCCAGUAACACAAUUUGAAAGCAAGCACUAAUCAAUUCGAAUCUUCAAAGCCCAAACUUUCUCUAGCUCAACCGCUCCAUUAGCUUCAGCAGACCAAUCCUUUCUUAAAAUUUUACAAUAUCUCAACGGCAUUCAUAUCAAAAAAUACUUCAAUUCUCGCUGCAAUCAGAAUAGAAAAGAUUGGAACUUUGCCCUCAAAUGCUUUUUUUUAGAACAACUCAAUUAACCUAUGGCAAUAACAGUACAAUUCAAACAUUUCAUUCUACAACAGCCCGAAGCUACAAAAGAACAAAAUAAGAAUCUUAUAAUGUCACAUCAUCAGUUCUCUAAAUUUGAAAAAAAAAAAGGAGCAAAUCCUAAUUCUUAUCAAAACAACAUCAUUUUUAUCAAGUACGAAUUCUUCAUUUCCUUAUGAAUCUAAACUCCACAAAAGAUAUGCGAAAAAGAGAGAUUCCCAGAUGCUAAUUUGCUUUUCCUUAGCUAUCUCAACAACCAAACAAAAGAAAGCAUCGAAAGAAAAGGAAAGCAAUACCCUAUCAGCAACGAUUCCACCGAGUCAACCCAGUCCAGCAGCAGCAGCAGCAAGACUUUAUCUCUCUCACCCUCUCUCCCUGCAUCAGCUUCAAGUGAUUCACUUUAUAGAAAACCAAAUCAAACCCACAGAACUUGAAUAAAUAAAAAAGAACACAAACAAAGAGCACAAAAGAGAGUCUUGAACGUGAAGAGGGAGAGCUAAAGAGAAAGGACUCCAAGCUUUAAUCAAUUCCUUGAUGGGUUGAAGAGAGAGAAUUAUUACAAGGUUUUAUGCUUGUGUUUUCUAGUUUGUGUUGGUAAUGAAAAUAAAUGGACCUUGGGUUCUUGAAAAGUUGGGUUCCGUGUGUAUUUGAAUCUGGGAGAGAGAUCUUUCAGCUCAUUUAUUUCUUUCUAGGUGAGAGAAUGAGAAUUUUGAGGGCUUUGAGAUUUGGAUUACAGUAUCGAAUUUCUUAUAAAGUAUUAUAUAAUAAACUAAAUAGUUUAAUAUUUAUUUAUAUAUAUAUAUAAAAAAAAUAUUAAACUAUUUAGAGAGGGAGGGAGGGAGGGAGACAUGUGUGAGAGAUUUCCUUGUCUUUGCUAUUUGCUUGCAGUGCUGUUGUUUUUGAAUGUAUUAUUGUUUUGCUUUGCUUUCUAUCUUUAUUUACCUUAAUUUCCACCGACAUGACACUCACUUUUCUCAGUCUCCUACAACUAAGCCACCAUUAUCAAUGGCCUCCUGCCCUGUUAUUAGUUUUAGUUAUAUGAAAUCCAAUAUUGAGAUUUUGAGAAUAAUUCAGCUGUAAGAAGUUGAUAAAAACUAUUCCUUUUUUUUUUUUCUGGUUUUGACGGGGAAGGUAUUAUCAAAUCUCCGUCGCAAGAAAUUACUUUCACGGACUCGUAUCUAACUAAAAUGAUCCUAGCAUGAAGACAACAUUUAUUUUUACGUGAACUUAAAAUAGGCUGUUCCCCCACUUCGAGAGAGAUUUUUAUUUGUUAAACAAAUAACGUGCACUGACACAGUAACUUUAUUUUUGUCUUUAAACACUCUCUUUUGUCUUUUCUUCGUUUUUUUUUUUUAUAGCGAGUUAAAAUACUUUCUUGAAUUAAUUUGUUUUUAUGCUUUAAAUAUAUUUUUUUUAAAAAAAUUAAUUUUUUUUAUUUCAAAUUAAUAUUUUUAUGGUAUUUUUAGAUCAUUUUGAUGCGUUAAUUUUAAAAAAAUAAAAAAAUAUUAUUUUGUUAUAUUUUUAAAUGAAAAACACUUUAAAAAACAAUCGUAACCACACUCCCAAACAAGCUAAGUAAUUUUAUGUUUUUUUAAAAUUACAGCAAUUUGUAUGGUUAUGAUUUUUAAAAAAUAUACAUUAAGUUAAAAUUUAUAUAAGAUGGAUUUAUUAUUACAAAACAAAUAAAAAAAUUUCUUGAAUGAAAAAUAAAUUAUUGUGGGGUUCGGUGUAAAGACAGAAUUUUCAUGUGGUUAGAUAAAAUGCAGAAGCUACAAUAAUACUUGCACUACCAAAACAGUCUCCAACUCUUGUUGGAUUUUUAAGUAGUUGAUGUUGUCGAGCAAUUAUUUUUUGAAGAAAAAAAAAGUACUGUGUCAUCCUAUAGAAUUUUCUAUAGUUUUUUUAUUGACAAUUUUGUUAUUUAAAGCAAAAUAAGUAUUUUAGUUAUUAAAUUGAAUAUAAUGACAAAUUGUAAAUAACCAAAUAUCUUUUUGUUGAUUUUUUUUAUAUAUCAUGUAAAGUGUUAUAAAAUUAUAAGGUUUUUUAUGUAAUUUUUAAAAGAAAAAAAAAGUAAAUUAUAGAAUAAUUUUUUCAUUAAUUUUAAAACGUUAAACCAUGUAUUGAAAAACAAAAGAGUAGAGAAAUAUUUAAUUUUAGUAUGAAUAGUUCCACUUGAUCAAAUAGAAUGGUUGAACUUGGUAUUAAAGUAUAUAUUUGGAUGCAGAGGAUGAAAUUCUGCUUGUGUUUUGCUUUAAAUUACUUUUUUUUUAAUGUUAUUAAAUAGUUUUGAUGUAUUGGUAUUAAAAAUAAAUUAAUAUAUAUAUAUAUAUAUAUUAUUGUAAUAUAUUUAAAAAAAAACACUUUAAAAAAUAUAAUUCCUUACAUUCCCCAUAAACUUGUCAAAAAAUUAUCUCGAUCUAAUAGCUUAAACUAUAAGACGAGGUUCCAGAAUAUGAUUUAUAUUAUUUUCUAACAUACUCUUUCAAGUAAAAGUUCUUUGUGCUUAAAACUUACAUAGAUCCAUAUUAGUCUGUGUUUAAUUUUUUAUUAAAAAAUAGAAUAGUCAUCAAGACUCUGAUAUAAUAUCAAAAAAUCAUCUCAACUUAAAAAUUAAUAAUUUUUAAUUAUUAAAUAAGUUCUCAAAAUAUAAUUUAUAUUAUUCUAUAACUUAAAACCUAUUUAAAAAAAAAACGUGGCCUUUAGCAAAGGUGAUACAGUCUUUCUUACUGCUGAUAUCCUUUUAUAUAUUUUUUAAUCGUUUCGAAGAUGAUUGAGCAAGCUUUGGUCUCCGUUCAAUCGCAAGAUUCGCAACAUGACUCCCACUACUGCUGCUGUCAAGUUGGCUUUCUGGUUUCAUAGCUGGGUGGCCUGUGCUUGUCAAGGAAACAGAUUGAUUGUACAGAGAAAUUCAACGAACAUCACCAUGGUUAAUUAUUGGCCGUCUUCUCUCCAUGAAUCUAUAAUUACUGGCAACUCUUUAAUAAUCACAGAAACAGAGGAUGGGAGCACAGAUAGAUUACCAUGGUUGAAGAAACAGAGGUUGAAGAAACAGAGGCCUCUGCAUCUUGGACUUUAGUUCAGCACAGUCCCACUUUUCACUUUCAGCCAUGGGUUUUUGUCUUUCAACAAGUUUCAUUUCACAGACUAAAAUUGUUCUCUGCCACGCCCUUACGUGUCAUCAUUUGAGCCUCUGAAUCAUUAGCAACGCCACAAUAUAGAUAUUAAUAAACUAUUUUAAUUUAAUAACUUAAAUUAUUAAAUAAAAUUUUAAAAUAUAAUUUAUAUUAUUAUUUAAUAUACUUCCUCAAAUGAAAACUUUUUGGACUUAAAACUUGUAUAAGUUCAUAUUACUUUAUGUUUAAUUUAUAUCAAAUAAAUAGGAAUGAUGAGAUUCAAACUCGUGAUCAGUUAAUUAUCAAGGCUCUAAUAUCAUGUCAAAAAAUUAUAUUAAUUCAAUAACUUAAGUUAUUAAGUAAUAUCUCAUUAUAUAAUUUAUAUUAUUUAAAAAAAAUGAAAUAGAUCGCACAUAAUUGCAGCAACAUGAAUAUCUUCAUGCUGAGGUGCUUCAUGGACCAGUGACUGUGUCCUUUCAGCUUGGAUCGGCAGUAUUUAUACAUGUCAGUGUCAUUUAUACGAGUAGUGGGUCUAGAAAUGGAACGUUCUAAAGUGGACAUUUAACUCUUUUGGUUGCUUUAGGAGUCGAUAAUGCUGCCAUGGGCAACUUGUCUUUGUAAAAGUAAGGUCUCGAUGUAAGGAUAACACUGAUCCUAAUCACUAAAUGAAUCUUCCCAAUAUCACCCUUUUUAUAUAAAAAAAACCCGCCAUUUAAUUGAUAGGAUUCAUUAAUGGAGUACGUACGUUGUUUAGAAAAAGAAAAGAAUCGGAAAGAAUAUAAGAUGAUGAUACUGGCAUUGCUCUCAACUUGACUGGAAAUGGCUUUUACAUGAUAUAUAGUUUUCAAAUCCUGUUGAGUCCGGUGAAAACUUACUGAUUUGAAGAUGAAAUCAGAUCGGGUUAAAAAAAAAAAAUUUGAUGUAACUCAAUAAUUUAGUAAUAUCUAGUUAAAAAUUCAGUUGCGACCCGUUGAUUUUUAUAGUUUUUUAUUAAAAUAACGUUGUUUCAAUUAAUUUUUUUUACCCAAACAAUCCAAUAACCAGUUAAAAUCUGAAACUUAAAUCUUAAACCAGACCAGCUUUAAACUGGACCACCAAACCUGAUGAUAACUAUCCAUGAGAUCACAUCGUACUACGUGCCUAGUUAUUGACAGGCAAGUGAACUUCUGCCUGAUUUUAAUAAUAUAUAUAUAUAUAUAUAUAUAUAUAUAUAUUUGAAAUAAUCUUAAGUAUUAAAGAUUUUCAAAUGAAAUUUAAUUUUUAACGUGGACUUUUGAGUCGAAUCUCAACUUCGAGGCAAUUUUUAACAAGUGCCUGUCAUGACCGCAACCAUGUUUUUCUUUGGCAAGUCGAUGGAUUUUUUUUAUUUUUAUUUUUUGUGGGGGACAAUUUAUAGUUUACUAAUUCUUUCUAUUUUUGUCAAGAGAAAUCCCUCCACUAAAAAAAAAAAACACAUUUAAAAGUGUGGUUAGGUAUGCAAGAACUUGAAUUCAUUAUCCAGUUAGAAAGUUCCCAUGUCUUUGUUUCGUUUGAAUAUAAUUUUGAUUUUUUUUAUUAGGAAGUCUUAGGUUUACGAUGAAUGGGAAUUUAGAGGAAAAAAAAUACUACUUUCAUUGUAUAAUUCAAGUUCUUAGAUACUCCCUCAACAAAAAAUAUUAAAAACUAAUUCUUUUAAAUUCUUGUGGGAAAUAUAAAUAUAUAAAACACAUAUUAUAUAUGCAUCGAUAACAAUUAGUGUUUAGCAAAAUAACAAAAUUAUUUGAGAUAUCUAUAAAAAUCGAUACACAACUAACUAACUAGAUGAUUUUGGUUAGGAAAAAUUUUAAAAAAUUUAUUCGAUUUAAUAAUAAUUUAAAAUUUUAAUAAUAAAAAAAAAUUAAUUGAACCAAAUCAAACAGAAAAUCAACCAUAAAAUAAAGAUCUAUUAAAUCAAAAUCUAUAUAAAAAAUAAUCCAACUAAAAAGCUUAAUGUAAAUUUAUUCAGUUUUAACCGGCCGAACUAGUCAACUUAUCCUUUCAUUUGAUUCAGAAUUUUGAUAAAAAAAAAAUCUAAUUCAAUUAAACUUUUUUUAUCCAAACUAAAAUGUUUUAGCCAUGCUUAUUCAUAAUUAACAAAAACUAAAACAUGAGGUAUUAUUAAUCCCUACAUAUAGCAUUGUUUACUAGAACAGGGCUUUGGCUUUUUUUUGUUAAUAUUAUCAUUUAAUAUUAGACUUGUUAUAAAUAAGAGUAGAGCUUUAUAAUUUAUUUCUAAAAACUAAUGGCUUUCAAAAGAUAAAUUUUAUAAGAAUUAGAUUAUGUUUUUAAUAUUGAUGUAAUUGAUAAAACAAUAUCAAAACUAAAAAAACACGUUACCUGGAAUUUACAUUUUAACAAAUAAUAAAUUACCGGCUAAAAAAUAAAAUAAAAAAACUAGUUGGGAUUAUAACUUCCUCCAAUAUUAAUGAAAAACAAUUAUCACAAAAACUAAUAAGCAUGAGUAAAAUAUUGUUUGAUUAAGACUCAUUACGUUGUGGAUUAUUAUAGUGAAAUGAUGUUUUUACUCUCUACGAUGCAAGUUAAAUAAAUGUAAUUUAAUGGGUAAAAUUGUAAUUUCUUGAAGUUCCCUUGGCAUUUCUAAAUUGAUUGGGGUAAAUUAAUCUUCUAAUAUUUCUUAGCACACUAAAAAGAACUAAUAAUCCUUAAAAAAAAACCUUCAACUAAUGUUCAAGGCUUUUAGUACAAUAAAAUGACUUUAAUAUCCUUAAGAGCAAAUACUGCUAAACUUGUUUUGAGGGUUUUUUAUAUUUUUUUUGUUAUAAUCAAGUUGAUUUUAAAAUAGUUAUAUAUUAAAUAAGUAUAUAAUGUUAUUAUGAAAAACUGGUUGGCGUAUAAUGCAAGUGCCAACAUAUAUGGCACCCCCACACUCUUCGAGAGGAGCGUGAGGUGCCAUCAGGCAAUGGAACAUUGACUUUCAUGGUGGUGUUGGAAGCGUUGCAACACCUUUUUCCACAUAAAGCACAUCAUAAGGUGUUUUAUGCGGCAGUUUGUCAACAACUUGUUAUUUCUUAUCCUCUUCUUUCAUCCUUUCCUUUCUCAAAAUCCACAACCAAUUAAACUUUCAGAAUUAUCCUUCCAUUUACUCAUAUUUCAACUUUGGUCCUGGUUGUUUUUGUUUUUUCUUCUCGACCCUUUUAUAAAAUUUUAUUUUUUUUAAUUUUAUUAUUGGAUCCACAAUAAUAAUUUGUUAUUUUUUAAAAUAUAGUCUUUUUUUAUUUUUAUAUUUGGAUUCUUUUAUGAGAUUGAUUUUUCUUUUUAAUUUUUCUCUUCAAUUCAAAAUUCUCACUAAUCCUUUUAUUUAUCUUUUAUUACAAAUUAAGACCUUAUUUUCUUAAUUGUUAUUUUUUUUUAUCCCUUGGCGUAAUUGAUUUUUUGUAUAACUGUCCUCUCAUUUACUAAUAUUUUAGAUUGAUCAUCAAUUUUUUAUUUCUAUUUUUUUGUUCUUGCUCUUUUGUUAAAUUUCAAUUUGUUUUCAAUUUCAUCAUUGGAUCCAUAAUUAUAAUUUGUUAUUUUUCAUAUAUGGUCCUUAUUUUUUUUGUUUUUAUUUAUAGUUUUGAAUUUUUUUGUGAAUUUGAUUUUUCUUUUCAGUUUCACCAUUCAAUUCAAAAUUAUAGGGAGUCUUAUCAUUUAUGUUUUUUUUUUCAAAUUCUAUCUUUAUUUUUUUAAUUAUUAUUUUUUUUUUGAUCAUUUUGUAUAAUUUAUUUUUUAAUUUCAUCAUUUGAUAUUUGAUUUACUAGAGUUUGAGAUUCAUGGUUUUUUUAAAUGGGGUGUUUUUUGUUUUAGUGAUUUGGAUCACAAGUUUUAAAAGUUAACAUAAGUUUUUUUAUUUACAUAUUUUUUUAUUUUAUCAUUCAACGUUGUUUAUUUUUAAAAAAUGAGCUUCAUGGUUUUUUCCAGUUUCUUUUCAAUCAAGUUAUUACGAUUUUAUGACUUGUGCAACAAGUUUGGCUGGGUAACCCAAGUAUUUUUCUUGGAUUUUUUUAAAUUUUAUUAUUUAAUAUGAGAAAAUUUAACUUUAUAUUUUUUUCUCUUUUAACAAACACAUCUAUUUUUUAUGUCAUCGUCAUCACCUUUUAUUUUAAAAUUUGCUUCAUUUUUUUUUUUAUAUAAUUAAAUAAAAUCAUCUUAUUAGUUUCAAUAAAACUUAUAAAUUGAAAAAUUGAUUUUUUUUUAACACAUCAGCAUUACGUUAUAUUAAAAAAAAUAACCCAGCUAAUGGCUGGCGAGGCGCAGCCUUUUAUCUGGUAAUAUAUAAAAAGGGAAAAGCGAACGAGAGUGGGAGGGGCAGUUUCGGAAAAGAAAACGACGGUCUUGCGAUGCAGAAAGUAAAACGGUGCGUUUUUGUCUUCGCCCGCUUCUGCUAUAUGCCGUGGAUACUGCAUAAGCCAACGAUCAAAGUAGUUAAGAUUGGUGCUACUUUUGCAGUCUCGAUACCUUAAAAAACGCUGUUGGUCAUUUAUUUUCAUGUUGUCUGAAACCUAAUCACUUCAAUAACUAAAACCCAUCAAUCACAAUUAAUCGAAGGUUAUAAUAACUCAUGCUGUCUCUCUCUGUUUUUUUCAAACCUGGUUUCUUACACCACCUAUUUGUAAAAAUGUCGCAAUGGAACCCAGUGUGGGAAAACACAAUCAAAUUUCUGUCCUUUUGCUAAUUUUUCUUGCUUCGAUUUCAGUUUGAUUAUGUUCAAAAUUAGGAAAAAUGCUGUGUUUCUGAUUUGUUCUUUUGUGUCAAUGUAAUAAUAGAUGAAGUAUGUGAGACCACUGAGCUUGUUCCAUGAGUUGUUGAAGACAAGUGCAGUCAAUCAAGGGAGGUUCCUUGGACUGGAUGUUGGUGACAAGUAUGUUGGUUUAGCUGUCUCUGACCCACUUAAUAAAAUCGCUUCCCCUUUAAGGUAUAUAGUAAGAAUUACUGUUGUAUUUCAUUUUCCUUAUCAUGUCAUUUUCUUUUCUGUCAUUCUGUUUUUCAAGUUUGUGUUUUCGGGGUUUUGUUGAUUAUGGGUGCCCAUGUUGUUGUGUUUUACUUUCCUUGUUUGUUGACACUGCAGUGUAUUGUUAAGGAAGAAAAGUAAUAUUGAAUUGAUGGCUACUGAUUUCCAAAGUUUGGUGAGUGUUUCUUUUCUUUUAUGUUGUCCAAAGCUUGUUCGUUUGUAUUUCCUUUGUUUAUAGUUUUGAGAGCGUGUCCUGUUAUUUAUGGUUUUGUUGUUAUAUACCCAUUUGCGAACUAUGCUAUGCGUUAACCAUAUGAGAGCUGGCAUGACAGUAAAGCAUUCUUAAUCGCUAGGAGCUUAGAACUUAGAAGUUAGAACGAUGUAAAAAUCAAUUAGGUUUUCUGAGACAUGUUGAUCCUAGGUGCGAGUUAUAGCUGUUAUUCUUUUUCUGCUUAUGUUUAUGUGCAGAUUUCUGAACUUUCCUUGGGGGGUUUCAUUGUUGGCUACCCUUUUGACAGGCAACGAGGUGCUCCUGAUGUAUGUUUUAAUCCUGUUGGCUAUCAAUUUGAUCUAUUCUCAUUUACUUAUUGCUGAUGUUUUGUUUUUCCUCUUUUACUAGGCUGUGCGGGUGAAGCUUUUUGUUGAUGACCUAUGCAGAACAGGGAAACUUGAAGGUGUAAAAUUCACAUAUUGGGAUGAGUGUUUUACAUCAAAGGUGCUUGCUUACUGUUAAUUGUAAAAUGCUCACUUCAUUGUUGAAUUUUUUUAUAUGGCCAUAGGUUAGAGGAGCAGAUGCUAGGUCGCUCACAGUUUGUGUUGCUUACAGAAUGUGGAAUUGCUAGUGAAGCCUUUGGAUUUACAUCCAGUUCAUGCUAAAUCUAUAAUGGACAAGUUUGCUGCAGUUGGAAUUCUCCAGGUAUCUUAUUGUAAAUCAUCCCUCUCAAUUUUCAACCAGUUUUGAACUCCCUCUCAAUUUUCAACCAGUUUUGAACUCGGUAUAGAAGAUUGCCCUUUAAGCACUGUGAGUUGUGUCUAUUAACUUGUUUAUUUGUGGCAGGGGUACCUGGAUUAUGUGAACAAGAAGAUGAAGUUGGAGUCUGCAGAAUAGGGUAUUUCAAGUCAAUGUAUGUGAAUUCUUUUAUCUAAGGUAUAAGAGCUAGAUUUUAUGAUAUUACUCCUUGUUCUCAAUUCUAAAGUUCCAUAAGUUGUGCUACCACUUUUACUACUGGCGCUUCGUUCUCAAGCCAAUGAUUCCUCCGUUUGCCUGCCAAGCCUAGGAAUCAUCUAGUAUGCGAGAUAGGUUCUUGGUACUGAUUGACACAGACUUGAAAGAAGGAAACUUGUUACGUCAAACAGUUGCUUGACUUUAGCAUGUGAUGUAUUCUUCGUGAUUUUUUAUUGAGAAUGAUGGUUAUUCUUUUCUUUAGUAAUCUACGUUCUUCUGUAAAGAGGAAAGAUGGUACCAGCUCACAUUAUUUGAAAAGUUAAAACUUUCAGACUGUCUCUCAAGUGUGCUGAUAUCGUCAUUUUUCCUGGUAUCCUUAUUUCUUGCAGAUGAUUAAUUAGGCAGGAUAGAAGGUGGUGAACUUGUGCAUGCCUGUUUCCGUGGAGGAGUGAAGACCAAAAGGAUGGUUCCUCGUUUUUCUUUUUACCCCCUUUCGUGCUCUUAAUGUACGGAAAUUUGGAUGACCUACCUCGCUUACCUAGCCAUGCUUAACUAAGGCCAUGAGGUCUUCCUCAUCUGGUUUCCUGGUUCUUUUCAUAUCUUGGACUUGAUUUGUAUUCAAAAUUGAAGUCAAUAGAUUUUAUACUUGGUUUCCGUUUGAUGUGCAUAUAAGCAUAUAGAGGCUAGUAGCCCUUUUCUUUUCUUCUCUCUUUUUUGUUCUUUUAAAAACUUUAAUUUAACCCAGGAAAAUAUCCAAUGUGAAAAAUAGAGUAUACACAGUGCAGGCUAAAAUAUAGAGGAGAGCAGGUGAAUGCUCUCUAGUUUCAGAAAUGGUCCAAAGGUCUGUUUCCUUUUGGGAAGACAAUAUUUUUUACCGUAUUACAAGACAGGACAGUUGCUGGGUGGAGCCAAAUAUAGCACCAGUAAAAGAUUAUGACCACUGACCUUCUUUUCUUGUUUAAUAGGAACCUGGUUAGUUUGGAAUCAAUAGUUGGAGAGUUUCACAGGAGCCUUUUUUAGCUCUAUCUAUAACAACAACAUAAGUUUGCAGAUUUGGUUUCUCAUCACAAGUGGAAGACAUACACACCAGUGCUAAUGGCGGUUCAACAGCAAAAAGGUAGAGUCCACAUCAUGCUUCUUGUUUAUCCAUGCGCUUCAAAAAACAUGGAGAAAGGCAUAUUCACCAAGUUUAUAACCCUCUCUUGCCAUGUUCUUGCUUACAGCAGCCGUGUGCCGUUGUAUCAGCGACUAACAAAGGAAUAGGACUGCAAGUGUCUCUUUUCUCUCAAAUUGACAGUAUCCAGCUUUUGAUCCAAGAUAUCAAUAGCUAGAUGAUUUAGUCUUCAUAAUCCGGUCCAUAUCAACAACAACCAGCACCACCACCACAACCAGCACCAACCCCAAUCCCAAACUAGUUGGAUCGGCUAUAUGGAUCCGUUUGCACCAUUCCAUAAGAUCUUAUGCAAUUGUAUUUCUUGAAGCUCUGUGAAUAUCUAAAUAUGCAUCUGAUCCACCUAUACCCAUUUUGUAUAUCAGAAUCUAUACACACCAUUGUAAAAUGCAUAUGCAACAUCUUGCAUUAGCAAUAAAGCAAGAGAAGCUAACGUUGGGUCUAGAUAUUGUAGUAGUUAUUUAAAGUGUUUUUUAUUUGAAAAUAUAUUAAAAUAAUAUAUUUUUAAAAAAAUAAUUUUGAUAUUAGUAUAUCAAAACAAUAUCAAAAACACACAAAAAAAAUUUAAUUUAAAAUAAAACAUCAUUUUAAAAAAAAAUACAGUGCCACUGCAAAAACUAAAGAAUCUUGUACCAAUAUGCUUGUAGCUUAGCGACACUUACAAAAGUGAAAGAGGUCUCGGCCUCCAAUCCCAUUACACUACAUUAAAUCACGUUACACUAUAAACUAAAGGAAAACGAGAUUUUUCUAUUCAUUUCACUGUCGCCCAUGACCAUUUGGAAUGCUACAUUCUACCUCCUUUUUUUCCUCGAUCAAUUAUUUGAUUUGAUAUUUUUUUUUAAUGUCAUCCUCCAUGUUAUUUUAGCAUGAUUUUAAACUUUAUAGUUUAUUUUAGCUCGCGUUAUACAUUGUAUUCGGGAUGUCAAAGAAUGUCUUGGGGUUAAAAUAUUGCUCAAUUUUACAAUAUAGGAUAUAAUUUAAUUCAUUGACAAAUUUUGAAACAAUAAAUACCAAAUUUUACCUAGGAACAAAAAAUAGUUUUUUUUUUUUUUGCUAUUCUUGGGAGCAUAAAAGUACAAUUUGAUCUUUGUAUUUUGUAUUUUUUUAAUUUUUGAUCCCUGUUUUUUAAAGUUUACGUUUCAAUACUAAACUUUAAUUUUUUACAUUUCAAUCUAUGAAAUUUAAAAGGAAAAAGAAAAUUGCUGACAAAUAUAAGAGAAGAGAGAAAAUUGAUCGGUUAACAAUUUUAGCAGCCAAAAAAUUUUAUAUUGCAUCAAUGAGUUCGUCUUAGAAAGAAAAUAUCAUAAAAAUAGAUCAUGAUUCUUAAUGAUUUUUUAGAUUCCAUUAGAUUUUGGAUUUUUAUGAUCAUUUUAUGUUUUGGGGGGGUUUAAAUGGAUUUAUUGAGGUUCUUAUAAUGUUUUUAGAUCAAAAUAUAUUCAAAUUUAGGUUUUUGAUGUCUAAAACCUCAGAACCUAGACUUUUUUAGAGAUUUUGUUUGUCCACCCAUUAAAAAAAAAAAAAAUAGGAACAAGAUGCGUGGGCCUAACCUUUUUUAAGAUGUCUCUUUAUUUUUUAUUUUUAAAGUUCUAGAUAAAAAAAUCUCUUUAAAUUAUUUAUUGAAAUAAUAUUUGAGUAAUUAUUUAAUUAUGUCAUUGAUCUAAUAUGUAAUUAAAAAGAUUAAAAAAGGGCUUUUGAUUAGUAGUAUAGGUUUUUUUCAUUUUUAUUUAGGAUAAUAAUAGUUCUUGUAGAUAUUUUUGUAAUGUUGUCAAUAAAAUAUACUUCUAAUAAAAUAAUUUUUUUUUCAAUUAAACAUUUGAUAAGAAAAUGAAAAGGACAAUUUCGAAACUUUGUAGGGUCUGUUAUUUGAUAAGAAAACGGAAUACUGAAACUUUGUAAAUUUAUUUGUUGUACCUAAUGGAUCUUUAGAUGUUCUUCUAUUCUCAUUCAUGUGGAUCUCUUAGACUUGUUUACUUUUCUCUAUUGUUAUCAUAAGGUCCAGUAGCUUUUUAAGAACUGAAAAAGAACUAUAUAUAUAUAAAGUCUCAAAAAUCUAACUAGCUUACUGUUUGGAAUUGCGGUUCAACCCGCUUUUUUUAUAUUUUUGGAUUGUUUUGAUGUAUUGAUAUUAAAAAUAAUUUUUUUUUAAAAAACAUUAUUUUGAUGUGCUUUAAACCACAACCAUAAUCCCAAACAUGCCCUUAGGUUGUUGAGCUGGAUAAUCGGUUAAUCAAUUAAUCAAAACAAUCUUGUCCAUUCUCCUUAGUCAAGGUGAUUGAUAACUUGUACUUGGUAAAGCCAAGAUGAAUUGUGGCUAGUACCGGCAAAAGAUCCCAUUUAGUGGGGACUCUCAGAUAUUUAAGUAUUUUUUUCCGCUUCAAAUUAAUAUUUUUUAGUGUUUUAGAUCAUUUUGAUGCGUUCAUAUCAAAAAUAAUUUUUUAAAAAUAAAAAUAUAUUAUUUUAAUAAAGUAAAAAAUACCUUGAAAAGCAAUCAUAACUACCAAAUAUUUUGUACAUGGUUUUUAUUGCACAUAAAGUUUAAGCAUAAUUUUUUACCAAACAUGUAUCUAAUAAAUAUAAUUAAUUAUAUUUUUUUAAAAUUUUUUUUUUUUUAAAUCACAGCCACCAAAACUAGAUAAAAAAGAGAUAAGGUUCUCACAUUAUCUGUCAACAACACCAGUUCGUAGAUUUGGCUUCUCAUAAAAAACGGAAAACACCAAACCAGUUCUACAGCAAUAAAGUAGGUUCAUAUGAUGCUUCUUGUUUAAUCCCAAAAAGACAGAAAAGCAUGCAUACCUUGUCUUUAACAAUGGCUUGCCAUGUUCAUGACUGUAGCAGGUUUGCUGUUGUUAUAGGGCUAACAAAGAAAAAAGAAAUACUCGUAUAUUUGGUCUAUAUACAAAUUUUCAAAAAUAAAUUCAAUGAAUUUUUUAUUUAUAUUUUAUCCUGGGUCGUAAAUUCAUGUUGGAUUAAUUAGAAAAUACUUCUUUUUUAAACUUGGAACGAUUCGUACCUCGAGUUAGCCAAGUAUCGUCUAUUGUACGUAGUCUACUCUAAUUCAAAGCACACCAAACAUAGUACAAAAUAGUUAUUUGUCUAAUCUCUUCUAGUACAAUCAAUAAUAUACAAUAUACCAAACACUGCCUUGUCAAGACUGCAAUGAUCCGUGUAUUUUUUUAGUUGAUAGCUACGCAAACUCAGAUUUCCAUGGGCUUAAAAAAAGCCCAUGUAACAUGUUGAAAGCUACGACGAGGCAAGACAAUUUAAUAACGAAAUGUCAUUUUCCUUGUACCUGCAAACCUCCCCCUGCAAACAUCAACUUCCUUGCUUUUCCUUGCAUAAUUUUAUAGUAUUAUUUCAUUGCCCAUCACUGUUAGAAACAUUGUUUUGUUUGGUUCUCCUGACAAAGGUAUCCUCGAAAGAUCCCUCUCCUUCCCUCUCUAUCUCAGUUUUACAUCAAAGUAGUGUACAGUGUCACCAGAAGAACCGGCGAAAGUCUCAUCUCCUCGCACUCCAAAAGUUAUGAAAGGAGAGAGACAGAGAGAAACAAGAAAGAGAGGGAUCGUUGUGUAACAUCUAGUGCAAGGUUUGGUACUUUUGGUAGGCCACCACACAACGCACUUUUGUCAAAAUACUCACACACACACAUACAAUUACACAUUACUUACAUGACUACUGAACAAUAAAAGAAACAAAAGGCAAAGGGAAGGUCUUUAAUUCAAAAACUCACAUAAUUUUCAAUUUAUUUUUCUUCUCUCUCUCUCUCUCUCUUCUUGACCAGCACCUGCAUUUCCCCGUCAAAACUCUUGAUGAUGUUCAAAUCUAGGGUUUUUGUUGUUAUGUCAUGGUUCAAUACUAUUUGAGUUGUUUAGCCCUUUUGGCUUUUGUAACUUUCAAAGCUGCUCCUAAUUCUGCUCUCAACAUAUGUUCACAAAAUAAGUUGUCUUUUUGGGCUGCGAGACUUAAAUUUCUUGCUUGUCGAGCAUCAUCUUCUUGCUAGGUUUAGUGGGUUUAGUCAAUUUUUGCUAGAUUUUCUUGAUUCUCUCCGUUGAUUUUCUUGCUAGUCAUCUUAGAAACCUUUGAGAAUUCCUUCGUAUCUAUUUUUUUUUUUUGAGGUUUUAGGGCUAAAAGGGUUUUCAUUUCCUUUCAUCUUUUCACCUCUCAACUUGAAAAUCUGAAAUUUUGUUGCAGUCUAACAUUUGCACUCUUUAUAGAAAAACCCUUGCAAAACCCUUGUCUUGAAACCCUCACCUUUAUUUACUAAUUUUCACAAAAUUGGGUUAAAUUCUAAAGGGUCUAAAAAAUACACAAUCUUUAGCAACUAAACAAAGAAGGAAAGAAGAAUAAGUUAUUAUUUUUCCCCUCUGAUCUUGUACCGUAGUGAUCUUGCUCUAUUUUGCUCAGUAAAUGCAUGGAUGGAAGAGAAGCCAUGCCAUUUUCUAGUGGGUCAUCUCCAUACCAUAUUCAUAGAGGAAGUGGGUUUCUUGGGCCCGGGUAUGGAUCACAACAUGGUGUAUCGCAUCCCCCACCUGGGUUCAGAUCCUUGUCAAAUCCUCAACUUGCAGCUCAAUCAAAUGUCCGGUCUGGCUCAACUGUGCCAGCAUUUUCAAUAGAGCCACCAGAUGUCAAUUUCGGUCAUGGCAUUAACAUGGCUGCAACCUCUGAGGUGCAAGUGGGUGAACCAGUGAAGAAGAAGCGAGGGAGACCCCGGAAAUACGGCUUGGCUGGGCAGGUUUCACUUGGAUUGUCUCCCUUGCCAAAUAAGCCUAAGCCAUCUUCAGGGGAGGAUUCUUCCACCCCAAAAAGAAAUAGAGGGCGGCCGCCUGGGAGUGGAAGGAAGCAGCAAUUGGCGACUCUUGGCAAGUAUUUGAAUUAGAUUAUUUUGUAGUUAUAUGCUAUUUUAAGUUAAUAAUAUGAAAUCUUAUUGGCAUUUAAUGUGGUUUAAUAAUCAGUUAUAAUGCAGGGAAUUCACACUUGCUUAAUAUUAGGAAGUAAGGAAUUGUGCUCAAUAGUGAUCUUGUCAUUUUAUUUUCAUGGAAUUAUUUAAUUUGCAAUGUUCUGCAUUUGUUAUCAUAAUUUUGCUUGGACAUAAAUGCUAAGCUUUUAUCCAUUUAAUUGCCUUGCUCUAUUCUUUCAAAGCUGUUGCCAUCUGUCAAUUAAAUCUUUUGAAUGCUUCUUGUCUUAAAGCAGUUUUAAUCUGUCUUUGAUGUUAAGUUUGAUUUUGAUAUCUGUGUUGUCUUUUAUAUCUAAGGCUUGUUGAUUUCUUCUAAUUUUCUAAAAUGUUUUUAAUUGAUAUUGCAAGGUGAAUGGAUGAACAGUACUGCUGGAGUAGCUUUUUCUCCGCAUGUGAUCAGCAUUGGAGUUGGAGAGGUAUGCUAUAUCCUUUGUAAUGUCAAGUUUUCUAGGACAUUUGACUUGUAAUCAAGUUGUGAGGUCUACUAAUUUAGAUCAAGAUUCAGUUAACUUGAAAGGUUUUCCUCCGUGAAACACAUUUUACUGGCCACAUUUAUGAUUUUUUAAAUAUGAAAGAAGCUGAUCACAUCUUCAUUGGAAUUGAAUGCAUGAGUUUUCUUGCAUCUUGAAGGGGAGAAAUACCAGUAUUAGGAUAGCUGUCCUUGACAUUGAAGCUUCCUUAAUGUUUGUGCAAGUCUGUGUUGUCCAAUAUUUAAAGUGAACUUGUAUGGUUUUCCUCCAUGAAACACAUUUUUCUGGCUGCUUUUGUACUUUUUAAAAUAUGAAAGAAUCUAGUCUUAGCAUCACUGGAAUUGAAUGCAUGAGGUUUUCUAGCACUUGUGGAGAUGUAGAAAUAACAAUAUCAGGAUACUUGCCCUGACAUUGAAGCUUUCAAUGCUUUUGUAAGUUUGUGUUUUGUCCAGUAUGUGAGUGGUUUAGCUAUACGAAAUAGUUAAACAGUUUGUUGAAAACAAAAAUUGCAUGUCAAUGGAGAAACUUGGUGUGUAAGUGCAUGCUCACGCAUACAUGCUUUUGCACAUAUGAAGUUGCAUAAUUUCCCAAUUUCAUGUUGAUCUGAAACCUGUUACAUUGUUCUUUGUAGGAUAUUGUUUCAAAACUACUGUCAUUUUCCCAACAAAGGCCAAGGGCUGUUUGCAUCUUGUCUGGCACUGGUACAGUUUCCUCAGUAACACUCCGUCAGCCAGCAUCUUCUGGGUCCUCUAUCACAUAUGAGGUUAAGGCAGUCGCAUAUUUAUGGAUAUUUUUCUAGAUUAAACUGUUUCCUCUGAGUAACUUAGCUUCCUUAGCUUAAUUUAUAUGAAAAUGCUGAUCUGAAAAUUGGGUGUGAAUGUCAGUUUACCACACUUAUAUUUCUCUUUCCCCCCAAUAAGUUUUAUUAGAAUCUCACCAGCUUUCUGACUUGUUUCAUAGUAUAGUAGCUCUUUUCUCAUCAUCUAAUAUGUCAAUGUACUGACUUAAUGAAUUCCUUACUUAUUAUUGAGUUUGAGCAUGUCUAGCUUCCUGAUACUUUCUUAAACGCUCUCUUGUUAUUUAUUAAAACACUGAAGGUAAGAGCUUGUGCAAACAAUGUAACAGCUGUUAACUUCUGGAUUUUUGGAUCCACUAGUGAAGUCAGAAUCAAUAAUUGAAUAAAUGAAUUCUAGGGAAUAUUUGAACAUAGAAUGCAAGAAGAACCAGGGAAUGGUAAGGUUCUGGUGGAAAUGAGGAAAGAAAGGGUAGAUGGGACUCAAGUCCAUCUGGAGGUGAUUGAGCUUUGAAUGAAAAUAAAUUGAAGCUGAAGCUUAGUUGCUGAAGGUUAUGAUCUAUUCAAAUUUUGAUAAAAGCUAAUGGUUGGGAGUUUCCUUGAAGGUCUGGAAUUUGAAUAUGGAACAUGAUUGGGCAUAUGUUUUAUCUAGUAGGUUAGGUUUUAGGCAGGGUUAAGUGUCUAAUUUUGGUUAUAGGUUCAUACUUCCAUGACUUGCCUGGGAUUACAUGGAUAGCAAAUGGUCUAUAGGCGAGGAUUCUAAUGUUGUUACGAGGAACUAAUUCACUGGUCUCAAAUUAUUGAAUUAUCAAUUAAUGUGCCACCUAAGUGCAGAUAAUAAAACCAAUUUUGACUAUCAUUUGUCUUAAACUUUGGGCAUAAUCAUAUAUCGGGGAUGAUGAAGACAAGAGUGCAUUCCUGGCAUGAACAUUCUGGACUAGUGGUUAACUGUUACUUUGAACUUUGGGUGCAAGGUUCCAAAAUCUAAUCGAAAGAGCAAGCAUUUGUCACGUUCCGGUAAUACUUCCAGAGAUAGGAUGGUAAUUCUUGGCUUCAAUUUAUUUAUUUUGUGGUAGUUCUCACAUGUUUAGCCACAUUAACUUGUCCAGCAAGUUCCAGGGGUAGCAAACACUUUUUUACUUUCUUUCAAAAAAUAAGGAUGUGCCAUUUCAUAGUGGAUCAAAGUGGCUUCAGAGUUUUGGCAGAUUUAAUGUAAAAUAAGAGAACUUUUGAAGGCGGUCAUUUGAAGUAUUGCUAUAUGUUUGGCUACAUUGAAUUGUUUAGUGAGUUUGAGGACUGCAAACACUUUCUGUAGUGGAUUUAAGCUGGUGCUGAGUAUUGUGGUUUAAUGGGAAAAAAAGUUGCAACUCAAGGUGGAUCAAUCUGAAAAUGCAUUUGGUCAAGUAAUUUUUCUUGAUUUAUCGUAUUGAUGAAAAAUGAGCUGCAUUACACACAAGCUGCAUGACCAUGAACCUUUCAAAAUGUGUAUUGUUGGACUUGGAUUGGUCAUUUUUGCCUUUUACUUCUGCUUAGGUACUUUUUAAUUGUUUUAACCUUGUUUUUAGCAGCAAGAAGGAACUCAUUUAGAAUAUUUAACUUUUGUAGGGCCGUUUCGAGAUAUUAUGCUUGUCAGGCUCUUACUUGGUCGCUGAAGAUGGUGGGCCUCGCAAUCGAACCGGUGGUGUAAGUGCUUCUCUUUCUAGUCCUGAUGGCCAUGUCAUUGGUGGUGCAAUUGCAGUGCUUAUUGCUGCCAGCCCAGUUCAGGUAAUAUUCUGAUGCUCUGAGUUAUGUUGUACCUUCCAUUGGUCAUUCUAUGAUGAUGUUAACUUAGAAUCUUUAAUACUUACUGAAAGUCCAUAUCUUCUUUAUGAUGAGUGCCAUGUGCUAAAAAUUGUAAAAUUUUCUCAAUGUUCAAAUCUGUUUUAAUAGUAAUUCAGACCUUCAGUUUGCGGAAAACAGCUAGAAUCAUGAACACCAUGCUCAAUAUAUGGUAUAGAAUGGCAUGCAAAAUUCAUGGUUCAUCUUUUGCAUUUAUGUGAAGUGUGCAGCAUUGUUUGGGAUGUGCAACAUUCGCAAUGGGUGAUCACAUUGCAUAUAGAAUGCUUACUUUAAGAUAUACAAUAUCAAUUGUGUAUUGGAUUAUUUUAUUUGAUACUGAACUUGGUAAAAACAGAACGGUUUGAGUAACUAAAAUUUGAGACUAUUUGGUUUUGAAUCUUCUUGCUAUUGGAUUAUGAUUACCAGUAAAUAUAUAUCCCUUUUGGUAUUGUGUUUAUACACGUUCUUUUAUAGUCUAGCUUAUUAGUCUAGUGGCGGGGUCAUGAUAAAAUGAUAAAGGACUCUUCAAUUGUUGCAGGUGGUGGUCUGUAGUUUUGUUUAUGGUGUUUCUAAGAAGGAUAAACAAGUAAGCCAUCCCAUAAAUGAAAAAGACGCCACAUCUUGGCCUGAUGAUAAUUUAGAUAACCUGAAAUCAGUCACACCUACUAGCAUGCCUCCUCAAAGUUUCACUUCCUCUCCGACAAGCAUUUGGCCCGGACCACGACCAGUUGAUAUGAGAAACCCCCACACUGAUAUUGACUUGACGCGAGGAUGACUGUUUGCUGCAACAGACACAUGGCAAUUUUGUACAUUUCUGUUGUUGUAAAUGUAUCCAAUCCUGUGAUAAUUAUGAACUCAAUUCUCCCAACUAAAGGGCAAUGCGUUUGUGCUAACGUAGUUUGUACAAGAAGCCAUCAUUUAACCUUUUCAAGUGACAGUGUAAACUUGUCAAAAUUUCCAGGUAAACAUUAAUCUCUAGCAGAAAGAAAUCGCUGUUUCAAGCAGAUGAUGACUGCUAUUCUUUGGACCUUUGGUUUCUCUGGUAACUCAUUUCUAGUUUAACCGAGUCUUGGCAGGAGUUUCCUUGCAAGCAUUACCCAGAUUAAUUCUUUGUGAAUGAAACCUAGAUGUUGCUUGAGCAUGCCAUAAUUUUGAUGGCUACUAUUGGAUUUUGUCAAUCAGGGAGAAAACACCAGCCUUCAAGUGUAAAAACGAUCUGACUUAUUCUGCUGGGUUUCCAGACAUGGCCCAGAUAUCAGUGUUUUUUGAGGGAGAUGAGUUAAUAGUAUAGUGUCUUGUAUGUGCUGCAAAAGGCAUCCUAAGGAACCAAAAUUAUUUAUUCCGUACAUGGGUUGGUAUUAAAUAUAAUGGCGACAAUGUUAUAGCUCUGAGGGUCCGUUGUUAUGAAACAGCCCGUGUCUAAAGGAAACUUGAACCCUAGUGAAUCUUGGAUGAGUAUUUCUAAGUCGAAAUGAUUUUUUGACAAGUAAUAAUCAUAAACAACAAAAGAAUCUCAAAUGACCCUUUACCACCGCUCGAGUAACAUUGUUUACAUGCGUUGUAAAAUCUCCUUGUCGCAACCAGGAGGCGGUCUUUGAUAGUUUCAUCUCACACUCCGUCCUUUAGCCCCACCGUGUUCUAUAUACUCAGAUAUAUGCACUUUAUGCACGCUGGUAGCCAAUCAGCACCGCUGCAAAAAGACAUCUGAAAAAAUGAAGCAAGUUUGCUCAAGUUUUACUUAAUUCCUAGUCCUCUUCGUGCUUCUUGUCACAGUAAGUGUAUUGGUUGAAGCACAAAAGUGCAAGUCAAGUGGCAAAGUUGAAGGAAAGAAGCCUCCGAAAAAAGAAUGCAACCAGGAAAAUGGCGCAGAACGCUGUGAAGAAGACAAACUUUACACCACCUACAAGUGUUCACCACCCGUAUAUGUGCUCUUCCAGUAAACAGUUUUGAGGAGGGUGGAGAUGCGGCUGCACCAUCAGAAUGCGAUGGUACGUACCAUGACAAUUACACACCUGUGGUGGCAUUGUCAACGGCAUGGUUCGGUAAAAAGAGAUGCCACCACCAUAUCACCAUUAAUGGAAAUGGAAGUUAGGAAAGCUUUAGGCAUAAAUGACAAGGAAUGGGGAUGGCUGGAUAUCACCUGGUCUGAUGCUUGAUUUCCACUUGUUUUCUUUCUUGUGCUCUGCAAUAAUCUUUCAUCGCUGCAAGACAACGCUGUUUUAUUCCCGACUCUUCACUUCUGGUUGAAAAGGACCCAGUUCACAAACCUGUUCCGCUGGAACACAGGAAAUGCACAACAGUAGUGCAACAAAGUGGGAAGUACCAAGAAAAUUGUCGUGGUACCUUUUGAGCUACGGACAAUUUCGCACUUAAAGAAGAUUUUUUCUUUUUCUUUUUCAAAUUGGCAUUUCUUUUUAUUUAUCUUUAUUCAUUGUUAUAAAAAUAAAAUAAAAAUGAACUAAAAGAGUGAACACCGUCAGGGCUAUCCAACGAAAAAUUCAGCAUCAACGCUCAUAACAUAAAAAUAUUAACAUUAUCUUGUUAUGUCAGGAGUAACCAAAUCCAAACCAACUUACAACAUCCAAAAUCUGGGGAAUGAAAGAUCUCAAGCCAAGAAACAAAGUGUAUACUGCUGGAUCUUGCAACACCUAUGUCUCACACUUGUCUUAUUCUGCAAUACAUAUUUAACAAGUCUUAAUAAAAACAGCGCAGGGCAACCAGAAUCCUUGUGCUUCCAUUCUUAUAUGAUCUUGAAUCCUUUAUACCAACAAAUCAUGAGAUCUCCAGCAGUUGCUUUAUGUCACGCUGCAAAAACAUUAAAAGGCUUGAGAUUUCCCACUAUAUACCAACAGAAGCCAGCAUAACUGAGAGAAACUAGAGAUUCAAGCACGUUUCCUAUGGUGUUUUUUUCUGUUACCUCAAGACUAAGAGGUGAAGUUGUGGGGUAGUAACGACCAACAACCUGGCCAUCCUUGUUGACAAGGAACUUGGCGAAGUUCCACUGAAUAUCAUCACCAAAAAUUCCCCAUUUCCCCAACUUCAAGAACUUGUACAGUGGAGAAGCAUUCUCACCAUUUACAUCAAUCUAAAGGGCAAACGUGGGAGAAAGAUUAGAAUACUAUUCACACAUCACAUUAAAAUUAGAAUUUCAAUCUUUCAGAUACUAAAUAAAUGGUCAAACUCCUGCACACAGAACCAGACUUCGGUAAAAUCGAAAAGUAUCACAGUUGUUAAUGCAGCAAGAUUGGAGCGAUUUUGACUUUUAUAUGAGCAAGCAUGCAGUUGAAAUAGAUUAAAAGAUAACACCAGGAAACAAGUCAUUUGGCAUAUGUGCUUCCGUCUGGCAACCACGUAAACCUCUCUACAAAAUCCUUCCCAUAGCCACUGUAAAAAAUUUAGCAGGGGAAAGGGUGGGGAGGGGGAGGCAAGGGAAUUAAGAGAGCAGUCAACUUCCAUGCAACUAGCAUUUACCUUUUCAAAGAUGGGAAAUUCUGAUUUGAAGCGAGUGCAGACAAAGUCUGUGAUCUGAUCAUUAGUUCCUGGUUCCUCCUCACCAAACUGAUUGCAUGGAAAUGCCAGUAUCUCCAGUCCUGCACCAAGCCAUCAAGACCUAGAUGUCAUAUAGAAAAGUAGAAGUAAAACAAGAACUGUAUUCAAGUAACAGGCACUGAACAUGCCCAGAGAUAUGAAGGAGCAAGGGCAUAUAAUUCACAUGCUAGAAAAAUGAUGCUUUGAGAAUACCAUUCUCAUGCAUGCUAAUGCUUUUGACAUAAUGUAAAGUCAGGGGCUUAAGAUAUAAAAUGCAAGCUUAAGUCGCUAACCUUGAUCUUUGUACUUCUCAUAUAAUUGAUUCAAUUCAGCGUAAUUUGAGUUGGUCAUCCCACUGUAUAAUCAACCAACAUGAAGCAAAACCAACAAAUAAGGACCUUAAUUGCCUCCUAAAUUAUCUUAAUAGUGGCUAAAGAAUACCAAGAGUACUAACCUCGAAAUAAAAAAAUUCGAAGUUCAAUCUUAUCCAUUGAAAAGAAAAUAAAACAGACGCAACAUGGGAAUUACCAUUUUGAAGCAACAUUAACAAUCAGCAACACUUUUCCCUUGAAAAUGCUAAGAUCCACAUCAUUUUCCUUAGCAUCCUGCAUUGAAACACAGCAAAGCAACCACCCAUAACAGUAUUUGGACUGAAUUGUAGUUUAAAGGAUAAAAACGCAUCCUUUGUGUUUAUAGUUGCAAACCUACAUGGAAAGAAUUUGGGCCAAGAAACUACUACUCACUAACCUUGAUAGUGAAGUCAUGGACUGAUUCUGGGUUCUUUGAGGUUUGGGUUGCCAUUGAAGAAGCUAAAGAGGCGGAGAGAAGCAAGUGAAGAAGCAGUAAAAGAGUAAAACAGCUAAAGCAAAACGAAGAGAACUGAGACGGAAUCAUCAACACCUACUUUGAGUUUUGACUUUUGCAGAUUCUGUUCUCACAUCGCACGUGCCUGUCUGUCUGUCUGUAUGUCCAUCAUGCUGUAAGUUUUGUGGAUGAACAUGUGACCGAACAUAUUCGCUGCUUUCGCUAAAAAGAACAAUAGACGAGGACCGUUCAUGGCUCAGGUGAGAGGCCCUGGAAAUGGAGCCCAGAUUGUUGGGCCUAACCCCACCGAAGUGUUAGCAGGCCUGCUCCAUAUGGAACAUCCCAAUUCCCAUGCAGCGGACAUCUCAUUCUCAGCAAGUAAUAUUAAUAAUAAAAAAAUAAAUAAAAAAACUUUUUUGAUAAAAAUCAGAAAGCUUUUAUGUAUUUCAUGAAAUAUUUUAUUUUUCUUUUUGAGAUCUGAUCUAAAAUGUCAUAAACUCAUGGUCGUUAGUCUCAACUUUGCAGGGAAAUGAUUGGAUGGUGCUACAGGUUGCAAUCAAAUGGCUGAGAUGAAUUGUUAAAAAGUCGUAUUAAUUACUUCUGUUAUCCAAUGUAUACAAAUAAAGAUGAUAAUGUUUUUUGAAAAUUAGAUUAUUUUUAUAAAAAAAUAUUGAAAAAUCAAUACAUUUUGAAAAAAAGGAAGAAAUUAACACAAUUUAUAUAUAUUACGAUUGAGAAAUACAAUAUUCAAAUUUAUCACUAUUAAAAAUAUGAUAUAUCAAAAAAUAUUAUGACAAAAGUUGCAUGUAAAGCGGUAAGAGGAGAAAGAAAAAAAAUAAAAAGGAAAUUUUGGCAUACUAGAGCUCUGAUCAUGACAUCAUUGUUAUAAUUAAAAAGAUCUCAAUGAAAUAAAUUUAAGGACACCAAGAAAGGUCAUCAAUAAUGACCCGAGUGUGUCACACUCACAGCUCAAAGGUGACGAGUGGCUUAUUACCUUUGAUGAUAAUUGUUACGCACUUUAUUUACCGUUUAUGAUUUUUUUUAGUGUCGUUAAACUUAUCUCAUCGAAAUCUUUUUGAUAAUAUCAAUAAGUAUGUAGUAAGAGCUUCAAUGUACUUUCAAAAUUUUUUCUCUCUCUCCUCUCUCCUCUCUCCUUAUAUGCUAUUUAUUCUAUAAUUUUGUUGAAUGUUAUGUUUUUUUAAUAGCAACAAACUUGAAUGUAAUGUUUUUUAAUCAUAACAUGUAAAAAUUAUAUUAUUUCACCACCAAUUCUUUCCCACACUAUGUUAUUUUAUCAUUAUUUUUGUCAUAACCCAUUUUUAGGUUAUUCCUCAAUUCAUAUUUGUUUUCCCUUAAAAAAAAUACAAAAACAUUUGAAAAAUAUAACAGUGAAAAAAAGGAUGCCAAAAUACUCAAAAAAUGGUAAAAAAAUUGGUCAAGGAGGUUCAAAAAUACAAAAAUUAAAAUUUGACAGUAUUUUAUUGACUGAUGAGAGCUCUGUUGACAAAGAAAAUUCAAUUUGAGAAAGAAAAGACCAAAAUUAGAUAUUUAUGGACUCAAUUUAAUUUUAUUAAAGGUUUAAUUGAAUUUAUAUAGAGUUUGAUUGCAAGAAAAAUUGAUUUUGGAGUUAAUUUGAGCUUUAAUUGGAAGACAUUGAAGUUCUGGGUUCAAAAUAUAAUUUUCAAGAGUUAAUUUGGUCAAACCAUGGGCUUAAUUGAAUAAAUAUUAAAGUUUGAUAGCCAAUUAGGGACUUAAUUGAAGAAAUCCAAAACCAAAAACUAAAUUUAAAAAUGCGUGUAAAUAGAGGGGCUGCAAUUAAACCAAAUCAGGGGGAAGAAAUUAGAAGUGUAUUGCUCAAUUGAGUGUCAAAUUGCAUAAAUUUAAGAUCAAGAACCAAUUUGGAAUAGGCAGCCAACUUUAGGGACGGUGUUUGAAUUUGUCAGGGAUGCAAUUGAAUUGAAUUUUAAAAUCAAAAUUGCAACUGAGGACUCGAUUGAACAAAUCACAAAUUAAGGACUGAUUUGUACUUUCACAUAAGUUUGGCGUCGUUUUCAUUUAAAUGAAACGACAUGUUUUGCCUAAAACGACGCCGUUUCAUACAUUGUUUAUUUUUUUAAAAAAGACCCAAAAUGAUGCCUUUUUAAACGACAUCGUACGUCUUCUUCUUCUUUCCUUGGACGUGCAGAAAACAAGGGAAGGGAGCUUUUGUUCCCCUAUUUUGCACCGCCUUUUUCUUCCUCCUUUUAGCUCAGAAAGAUGUCGACCAAGGACACCCAUUUGCUCAGUUGACCCGUGGCCUCCAAUGUGUUGGAGAAAUGGAGGAGACGUGCCUUCUCGAACAAUCAUGUAGCGGUAGCACAGUGGCCGCCCUGGCCAUGUCUCUCCCCAUUUUCACCACCCUUCUUUUGUCUAAAAAUACAGAGGUAGAGAAGAGGCGAAAAGGGGGCAAAAUAGGAGAGAACGAGAAAAAAUAAAAAAAAGGAAGAAUAGUGAAAGAGAAGAUGAAUAACAUAGUCGAAAAAAGAAGAAAAUAAAACAGGGAGGGAAGGAAAAAAAUAAAACAAAGGAAGAGAGAAAAGAAUAGAGGGGUAAGACCAAAAGAAAAGGGAAGAAAAAGGAAGAGAGAAGAGAGAAAAGAGGAGGAGAAAAGGAAAGAAAAAAAAAAAACAGAGAAGGGAGAGGAAGAAGAAGGAGAAAAACCACCGGCCAUAAACAUUGCCACCGCGACAACAAUACCUCCACCGUCAACAGCACCACCUCGACGCCACCCCAGACUGCCCCAUCUCUUUCUCCUCUGCUCAGUCGCUAUUUGCGUCUACAUGCAAAACAUGAAUAAUUCACGUUUUGCAGCAAAUGAUUGAGGGGCUGGUUACUGUGCUUAGACACAGUAACCAUCCCAUUUAGUUUUGGGCUGGGUCUAACCUAACCCUUUGAUCUGGGCUAGGUCCGACCCAUUUUAAAAGAAAAUUUAAGUUUGUUUUAAUAUUUGUGAUUUCCCCUACCUUUUGAUUUAUGUUUCCUUUUUUUUUUUGCUUAAAUAGCAACCUUUUUUUUUUGUCAUUUUGAAAAAAUAUGAAUCUGGUAUUAAAAUACCCGAUUUUCAUCAAAACUUCCAAAAAUACAAAAACUAAAAAAAAAAAUAUUUUUGUGCAUACAACCAAGUAUCUAAAAGCUAAAAAAUCAUAUUGUGUUUGUCAUACACCAGCAAAAAAUAUUUUAGCUUGAAUUUUGGCUUUAAUAACCAGUUUAUUAAAGUCAAGAGAAAAUUGGCCAAAAUUCAAAAAUAACAAAAAUUUUAUUUUGUUUGUCUUUUAGUAUCCGGGGUACAACAUUACAUGUAAUAUGUAUUCUGGAUAUUACAUUUUUUUUCAGACGCUAUAACAGUUAGGUUUUAUCCUAUUAAGAUAAGAACCUCGUUACAGAGAAGGACUUUUCUUAAAUCUUAGAUAGACAUGACCAAUAAUUAGAAACCACAACAAGACCUUUGAUUUUAUCAGACAACAAAACAAUGCAACUUACCUUAGAUAGGGCGUAGUUGGGAUGCUAAUACCUUCCCUUUAAGCAACCAGUUUUCGUACAUGAUCUCUGAGAGCAGUUAGGGUUCCUAGUGACCAGAAUACUAGGUGGCGACUCCCAUUCAAAAUUUUCAUUAAUAAGAGACAGGAAUUCCUUGUCUCUUCACAUUUGCCAGAUAGGCCAUUAUAUUUUUCCUUGAAGGUGGAUAAUCGCCGCAACACCUCACACGUGCGAUAAUUUUAAAAAACCAUGCUAAUAAACAAAAAUAGCAGUAGAUAACAUCCUCUAAUCCCUUGUAGCUAUUCAUUAGAUAAUGAUGGCAUACAACAACAAGAUUAAAAUAAAGGGAUAACUAGAAAUCAAUCCUCAAUGUUCAAAGUCAUUAAUAAAUUAGUCCUUAACUUGUUGAUAUUUUUUUCUAACAAGUUCAUCAUCCUCCAAGUUUUCUUAAAAUAAAAUUGAAUUCAUGAAUAAAAUGAUAAUUAUUGUAUUUCAAUGCAAGUGAAUUAGGAAAAAGGUGUCAGAAAACUUUUUGAGAAUUAUAUAUAUAUAUAUAUAUAUAUAUAUAUAUAUGUUGAUCUUGGUAUAUAGAUAGUAAGUUAUAGUUUAGUUUACACAAUAUGAAAGUUUAUGUAACCAAGUUAAUCUUGUAAUAGAGAUCAAAAUAGAAUCUUAGCAAUCAUUUAUAUAUUGAAAUUUGCAUUGGGAAUCAAAACAUAAAUUUAGCAUGCAAACUAAAUAUAUAAAACAAUUAUUAAACUUGAAAUGAUAUUAGUUGAUAAGAAACAUAAUUAUUUGGUGAAACAUUUUAAAAUAUAUUAAAAAAAUAGUGAUUGCUAUCAAGGAUAAAUUAUUUGUUAUUAAAACGUUAUUGUUUCUAUAUUGAUGUGAUGAAAUGAUGUCAACAAGUCUUUUAAGAUUCUAACAACAUUAACUUGAUUCGUAAAAUUGAAUUUAAUUCAUAAAAAUAAUUUAAAAUUCAAUUGAUAAUCUAUUAUAAUUAUUAUGUUUGAAAUAAAAAACUAAAUCACAAAAUUAAAUUCAAUUGUAUUAUUUGAAAUAUUUUUACUAUAACAUCUUAAGGAUCCAAUUUUCCAAACAAGUCCUUGCUCAAGUCAUCUCUCUCUCCAUCUCUCCUUUUAUAUAUUGUUGAUUUUUGUUUAAUCAGAAUUUGAAUUAUUAGUGAAUGACUAAUAUUUUGUUGAAUUGAAAUUAGGUUUAAGUUAUUUUUUAAUUAGAAGCCGGAAAAGCUCAUUUCCUUAUAAAGAAUUGAUUAAAUUAGGUCAAAGUGUUUUUUUUUUUUAUUAUUUUGGAAUAUUAUAUAUGAGGAUUUGUGAUAUUUAAUUGGAGAUUAUUGGUUUUUUCUAUGUGAGUGUAGAUAUUUUUGCUUGAAAAUAUAUCAAAAUAUUUUUUUUAUUUCUUAUAUCAACAUAUUAAAAUAAUAAAAAAAUACUAAAAAACUAUUAAUUUAAUAUUUUUUUCAAACAAGAAAAAACUAUGGAAAGUACAAGAAUUUAAUUAAGGCUAUUCCAAACAGCUACAGGAAUACCUAAUCUUGUCAUCCAACAGGUACAGAAAGAUCCAAACACUCAGUAGGAAGCAUUCUUCUUCGCAAAAAGCCACAUUCUUGAUUAGGAGGAGGAGAAGGAGAGUGAUACAACAGUAAAGUUGAAUAAGAUCCUUGAAAGACAGACGGGGUUAUACAUUAAAAAUAAAUAAACAAGAAAGGAAGAAAAGCAUAUGGUCCGUAUAACGUUCUAAACUACUUUCUCAAGAUUAGCUAUUAUUCGUCUUGCGAUCUUUGCAAAAGUGAAAAAGACCGGGUAAAUACAACCACAACAUCACAACAUGAUGUUUAUGUUGGAUUUUUCACAGGGAUGUAGUGAAACAAAUUUAGAGUUAUUUAGGGUUUAUGUGAAAAUUACUUGAAGAUUAUAUGUUUUUUUUUUUACUUUGAGUAUUUAUAUCAAGGUUAGGUUAUUACAAACCACAAGUUGUCCAAGUAUUCAGUCUUAAACAGUAAUCUAUACAAAUCACUAGUGAGAAAUCUCUUAUACCUUUUAGAAGAAAGAUUAAUAUACUUAGAGUGCUAGCUCUUUUUUUUGUUUUAAAUGUUAAAGUAGUAUACUUUUCUCACCACUCUUUUUUUUAUAGAAAAUAAAAAAACAUAACGUUCUAUUUAUAAAGAAACCUAAAAAAUCCUAUAAACCUAUAAAUAAGUUUAUUCAAUCAAAGUCUCAACUUGAUUUUUCUAGAUCUAUAAUUGUAAUUUCCUGUAUUAAAUACAUUUCAGUUUUAAUCUCUAAAAUUUAUUUACAAUCAAGUUACAUUUGAUUAAUCAUUCCAUUUUAAUUUCUAACCAAUAAUUCUUAUGUAUGUUAUUUAUUAGGUUCCUUAAUAAGUUAACACAAAUAUAAAUCAUAAUUUUAAAUAAAAUAAAAUAAAAUAAAAUAAACAACUAAAUUUAUUAUUAAUUCAAUAAUUGAUUUAUAUUUGAAAAUCAAAUAUAAUAUCUAGUAAUCUAUCAUGAUCUCUCAUAUAUUAAGAAAGUGAUCUUCCAUAUAUUAAAAAAGUUAUAAGUGAUUUUACUUAACCUUUCAGUGACUAGUUUGUCUGUAUAAUUAUUAUCACUUCAUCAUCGAGUAUGUCUAUUUUAUUAAAUCUUUUUAGUUCUCAACAUUAUAGUCAUUGAUUAUUUGAAUAAAAUUUUUAAAUUCUUUUCAAAACUCAUUCUCCUCUUAAGUACUCCAAUACCUUCAUAUAAUUUAUGUUAUACCUAAAAUCUUCCAGUUUGUUACUUUAGGAUAAUGUGUUGUCAAUAUCAAUUGUGAAUUGGAUUAUUGCAUAGUUAAUGCUUACUUUAAGAUAUAUAAUAUCAAUUAUGAAUUGGAUUAUUUUAUUUGAUGCUGAACUUGGUAAAAACAGAACGAUUUGAGUAACUAAAAUUUGAGACUAUGUGGUUUUGAAUCUUCUUGCUAUUGGAUUAUUCUUUUGAUUACUAGUAAAUAUAUAUAUCCCUUUUGGUAUUGUGUUUAUACAUGUUCCUUUAUAGUCUUGCUUAUUAGUCUAGUGGCGGGGUCAUGAUAAAAUGAUAAAGGACUCUUCAAUUGCUGCAGGUGGUGGUCUGUAGUUUUGUUUAUGGUGUUUCUAAUAAUGAUAAACAAGUAAGCCAUCCCAUAAAUGAAAAAGACUCCACAUCUUGGCCUGAUGAUAAUUUAGAUAACCUGAAAUCAGUCACACCUAUUAGCAUGCCUCAAAGUUUCACUUCCUCUCCGACGAGCAUUUGGCCUGUGUUAAAAGGAAAUGAAUCUCAUUAAGGAGAAAAUUGUGGAUCAGGAUCAAUGCACCAGAUCAGCCUAGCAUGAUCUUAGGAAUCAUUUUAAUGUAUAGUUGACAUUCCUAGAAUAUUUAGAAUCUGUCUCUAUAUAAUGGCUAGCCAUUCUGUACGAACACACUUACUGCAAUAUACAAUCCCUUUUUCAUUACUCUGUUAUUUUCAAUUAUCAUUCUGCUAUUUUGUUUAUGGUAUCAGAGCACUGGUUCUAGUGUCUCUAGCCUAACACCUUCCGCUACAACCAAAACACAAACACCAUUGUAUUGACAACAUGGCCAACACAGGAAUCAACACAACUGAAAUCCUAGACAAAUCCACAGAUUUCACAUCACAGAACAGAGAAGAGAGAGGGAUUUUCUUACCCGAUCCUUUGGCUCUACAUCAUUCAGACACACCAGGACUCACCCUGGUCAGCACACUUUUGAAUGGACGCAACUAUGGGGAAUGGUGUCGUUCAAUGCGCCGCAGCCUCAGCGCCAAAAACAAACUUGGUCUCAUCGAUGGAUCCAUAGAAGCUCCGCCAACAAAUGAUGCAAAAUUCCCAUUAUGGCAAUGCUGCAAUGAUCUGGUGGUGUCCUGGAUCCUCAAUUCUGUUCAACCAGAGAUAGCUCGUAGCGUCAUCUACUCAGAUACAGCAGCCGUGAUUUGGAACGACCUCAAAGACAGAUUUUCCCAAGGAGACGAAUCCAGAAUCUACCAAAUACGACAAGAAAUUGUUGAAUGUCGUCAAGGGUCCCUCUCCAUAUCUGCCUAUUAUACAAACUCAAAGGGCUUUGGGAUGAAUUAGGGUCUUACCAGGAACCCAUCCCUUGCUCUUGCGACAUGCUGAAAAAGCUUGCUGACAGAGAAGAGAAGGAGAAGAUGAUGCAAUUUUUAAUGGGGCUUAACGAACCCUAUUCCCAAAUCCGUGGGUCGAUCUUGAUGAUGAAUCCCCUACCCGAUACACGACGAACCCAUGGCCUUAUUCUCCAACAAGAGAGGCAAAUGGAGGUAGCAGCACGCAAUUCCAUCGUGCCGGCCUCCCAUGCGAUGCAGGUUGCACGACGGGGAGGAUCACAGACGGUGACUUCAUUUGGCAGCAGGAAGUUCUGCACUCACUGUGAGCAAGGAGGACAUUUGGUUGAUCAAUGUUAUUAUCUAAUUGGGUUUCCAAUUGGCCACAAAUGGCAUGGAAAAAACAUGAAGCCAAGAAAUAAGAAGACAACGAUCAAAACAUUGAGAUGAAAGGGAAUCGACUGAUGAAAGCCCAACCUUCACAGCUGAAGAGUAUAAGCAAAUCAUGGCAUUACUGAAAAACGGUAACAAUCAACCAUUUGCAAACGCAACAGGUAUUGCUACACCCAAUUGUGAUAAUUUUAAUACACAUUCAACUUUAUAUUGGAUAGUGGACAGUGGAGCAACAGAUCAUGUAUCACAAUUACCACCAACGCACAACAAAAAGAAAUUGAUUCAUGACUUUGUUGGUUUACCUAAUGGAGAACAGACACGCAUCAACAGUAUAGGGUCUAUUCAAUUAUCAUCAGACUUAUCUCUGGAUGGAGUCCUCCAUGUGCCUAAUUUUCGUGUGAACUUAAUAUCUGUAAGCAAAUUGACACGGGCUUUGAGAUGUAUAGUGAUAUUUUACCCAAAUUUUUUGUUGUGCAGGACGUGGAUACGAGGAGGACGAUUGGCCUGGGCAAGCAUUUUAAUGGUCUUUACUAUCUCACCCCUGCCCAAAAUCCUUGCCUCAUCAAUCACAUCACUUGCACUUCAAACCUUUGGCAUCAACGACUCGGACACCCAUCUGCUGCUCCCCUCCACCAUUUAUCCCAAUCUUUCCCUGAUAUUGUUUUUAAUAAUAAGCAUGUCUGCGAGAUUUGCCCUCUAGCAAAACAAACUCGUUUAUCUUUUCCUACAAGCUCAAUAAAUACCAUUGCACCAUUUGAUUUAGUUCAUUGUGAUGUUUGGGGACCACACAAAAUCCAUACACAUUCUGGGGCUCGUUAUUUUUUAACGAUUGUUGAUGACUUUACUCGUUUCACCUGGGUACACCUCAUGAGUCUUAAAUCCAACACCCAAUCAUUGAUAAAGUCCUUUUUCUCUUGGGUAAAAACACAAUUUAAUAGGGAUAUCAAAAUCUUACGUUCAGAUAAUGGGGGGAAUUCACUUCACUACGUUCUUUUCUUGAUGAACGUGGUACCAUUUUCCAACACACAUGUGCUUAUACCCCUCAACAAAAUGGAGUGGUUGAGCGCAAACACCGUCAUCUUCUAAAUGUAGCCCGAGCCCUUCGCUUUCAAGCCAAUUUACCACUACAAUUUUGGGGGGAAAGUGUCCAAACAUCAUGUUACCUGAUCAACCAUCUACCUACUCCCCUGUUUUCUCACAAAUCCCCAUAUGAACUUUUAUACCACACUCCACCCAACUACUCUACUCUUCGGGUUUUUGGUUGCCUAUGUUAUGCCACAAAUCUCACCCCUGAUCAUAAACUUGAUUGUCGUGCUCACCGUUGCAUUUUCAUUGGAUAUCCUCAUGGCCAAAAAGGAUAUCGUGUCUAUGAUCUUGAAAGCAAGAAAUUUUUUACCUCACGAGAUGUCACUUUCCAUGAACAUACAUUUCCCUUCACUAAGCUACCACCAGAAACUCUAGACGACAACCCAGUUUUGCCUAUCCCCAGUAGCCUCGCCACAUUACCUGAGACCACCACCCAUCCUCAACCCACACUAUCUAAUCAGCCUUCCACCCAACCGAAUCUUGCACCACCUUCCCCCUCCCACAAUACAUCCCUCCGCGACGGUUGCACUCCUCACCCAACCCCACUCAAGUUUACUCUCGUCGCCCUCACACCACAACCACUGUCCCAUUAGAACCUCCUGUUACGACAUCCAGUCAUCCGUCCCGUCAACAUUCAUUGAUCCAUCUGUGUCCUCCUUAACCAACGUCACUGAACCCCCCAUUGUCGACCCAAUACAGACCCUCCCUGAACCUCGCCAUUCCACCCGCCUUCAUCGGCCUCCACCUUACCUACAAGACUUCCAAACCUAUCAUGUGCUGUCCUUGGCCCUGACGUCUCCUCUGCAUCCAUGUCUGGUACACGUUAUCCACUCCACCGGUAUGUCUCUUACUCUGGCCUCUCUAGUCCAUAUCGUUCCUUUGUGAGUAAUAUAUCUCGCUUGGUUGAGCCAGCCACUUAUGAGCAGGCUCGUCAUGAUCCCCAGUGGGUUGCAGCCAUGACUGCUGAAAUUACAGCUCUUGAAGAAAAUCACACUUGGUCCACUGUUCCUUUACCCCCUGGCCAACGACCCAUCGGUUGCAAGUGGAUUUUUAAGAUCAAGUACAAAGCUGAUGGCAGCAUCGAGCGUUACAAAGCCAGGCUUGUUGCAAAGGGCUUUACACAACGCGAAGGUAUCGAUUACAAAGACACCUUCGCCCCGUUGCCAAAAUGACCACCGUCCGCUGCCUCCUCGCAGUAGCAGCUGUUAGGCACUGGCCAUUACAUCAGAUGGAUGUCCAAAAUGCUUUCUUACAUGGCGAGCUCAGUGAAGAAGUAUAUAUGCUCCCACCUCCUGGUUAUCGUCGACAGGGGGAGAAUACAGUUUGUCGACUCCAUAAGUCACUUUAUGGACUUAAGCAAGCAUCUCGUAGUUGGUUUCGCAGAUUCUCAUGUGCAAUCCAAGAAAUUGGAUUCCAACAAUCUCGUGCUGACUAUUCACUUUUUACACAGGUUCGUGGGAUUCCAUUACAAUCAUAUUACUUUACGUCGAUGAUAUGGUUGUUACUGGGAAUGAUGAAAAGGCUAUUAAUGAUCUCAAGGCGUUCCUCAACAGUUGCUUCAAAAUUAAAGAUCUUGGACCAUUAAAAUACUUUCUUGGGAUCGAGGUAGCACGAUCCAAGACAGGGAUUACAGUAUGUCAACGAAAAUACACGUUAGACAUAUUGGAGGAAGCUGGGUUACUUGGAGCAAAGCCAGCUAAGGUACCCAUGGAGCCUGACUUAGCAUUAACAGAUACAGGGAGUGCGGCACUUAAAGACCCUACUAGAUACCGACAUCUAGUUGGAAAAUUGAUCUACCUCACAAUUAGCAGACCAGAAAUCACGUACUCCGUGAACACACUCAGUCAAUUCAUGCAGGAACCAAAACUACAUCAUCUCAAGACUGCUCAUCGACUCCUCCAUUACUUGAAAGCAGCCCAGGACAAGGGUUAUUAUUUCCUUCAGAUAGCCCGCUCCACUUGAUAGGGUAUUGUGAUGCAGACUGGGCAAGGUGUCCAAUUACACGACGAUCUGUAACAGGAUAUUGCACCUUCCUUGGAAAAUCACUUGUGUCUUGGAAAAGUAGAAAGCAGAUAACAAUAUCGAGAUCAUCAGCGGAGGCGGAAUAUCGCUCCAUGGCUGCAGCUGCUUGUGAGCUUACCUGGUUGAGGUACUUAUUGAAAGAUUUGGGAGUAUCACACCCUGGACCAGCAAAAUUGUUUUGUGAUAAUCAGGCGGCUUUACACAUUGCCGCAAAUCCAGUUUAUCACGAACGAACAAAACAUAUUGAACUAUAUUGUCAUACAAUUCGAGAAAGAAUUCAAAGAGGAGAAGUCAAGACAUCGUAUGUUCAAACUGGAAAGCAAAUUGCAGAUUUGUUCACAAAACCAUUGUGAUCGCCAGUGUUUCAUACACAUCUCAGCAAGUUGGGUGUCAUAGACAUUCAUACUCCAACUUGAGGGGGAGUGUUAAAAGGAAAUGAAUCUCAUUAAGGAGAAAAUUGUGGAUCGGGAUCAAUGCACCAGAUCAGCCUAGCAUGAUCUUAGGAAUCAUUUUAAUGUAUAGUUGACAUUCCUAGAAUAGUUAGAAUCUAUCUCUAUAUAAUGGCUAGCCAUUCUGUACAAACACACUUACUGCAAUAUACAAUCCCUUUUUCAUUACUCUGUUAUUUUCAAUUAUCAUUCUGCUAUUUUAGGACCACGACCAGUUGAUAUGAGAAACCCCCACACUGAUAUUGACUUGACGCGAGGAUGACUGUUUGCUGCAACAGACACAUGGCAAUUUCGUACAUUUCUGUUGUUGUAAAUGUAUCCAAUCCUGUGAUAAUUAUGAACUCAAUUCUCCCAACUAAAGGGCAAUGCGUUUGUGCUAACGUAGUUUGUACAAGAAGCCAUCAUUUAACCUUUUCAAGUGACAGUGUAAACUUGUCAAAAUUUCCAGGUAAACAUUAAUCUCUAGCAGAAAGAAAUCGCUGUUUCAAGCAGAUGAUGACUGCUAUUCUUUGGACCUUUGGUUUCUCUGGUAACUCAUUUCUAGUUUAGCCGAGUCUUGGCAGGAGCUUCCUUCCCAGAUUAAUUCUUUGUGAAGGAAACCUCGAUGUUGCUUGAGCAUGACAUAAUUUUGAUGGCUACUAUUGGAUUUUGUCAAUCAGGGAGAAAACACAAGCCUUCAAGUGUAAAAACGACCUGACUUAUUCUGUUGGGUUUCCAGACAUGGCCUCAGAUGUCAGUGUUUUUUGAGGGAGAUGAGUUAAUAGUAUAGUGUCUUGUAUCUGCUGCAGAAGGCAUCCUAAGGAACCAAAAUUAUUUAUUCCCGUACAUGGGAUGGUAUUAAAUAUAAUGGUGACAAUGUUAUAGCUCUGAGGGUCCUUUGUUAUGAAACAGCCCGUGGCUAAAGGAAACUUGAACCCUAGUGAAUCUUGGAGAAGUAUUUCUAAGUCGAAAUGAUUUUUUGACAAGUAAUAAUCCUAAACAACAAAAGAAUCUCAAAUAACCCUUUACCACCGUGCGAGUAACAUUGAUUACAUGCGUUGUAAAAUCUCCUUGUCACAACCAGGAGGCAGUCUUUGAUAGUUUCAGCUCACACUCCGUCCUUUAGCCCCACCAUGUUCUAUACACUCAGAUAUAUGCACUUUAUGCACGCUGGUAGCCAAUCAGCACCGCUGCAAAAAGACAUCUGAAAAAAUGAAGAAAGUUUGCUCGAGUUUUACUUAAUUCCUAGUCCUCUUCGUGCUUCUUGUCACAGUAAGUGUAUUGGUUGAAGCAAAAAAGUGCAAGUCAAGUGGCAAAGUUGAAGGAAAGAAGCCUCCGAAAAAAGAAUGGAACCAGGAAAAUGGCGCGGAACGCUGUGAAGAAAAUUAUUAUACGGGAAUGGAUAUAAGAUGUUGAUAAUAUUAACAUUAUCUUGUUAUGUCAGGAAUAACCAAAUCCAAACAACCUUACAACAUCCAAAAUCUGGGGAAUGAAAGAUCUCAAGCCAAGAAACAAAGUGUAUACUGCUGGAUCUUGCAACACCUAUGUCUCACACUUGUCUUAUUCUGCAAUACAUAUUUAACAAGUCUUAAUAAAAACAGCGCAGGGCAACCAGAAUCCUUGUGCUUCCAUUCUUAUAUGAUCUUGAAUCCUUUAUACCAACAAAUCAUGAGAUCUCCAGCAGUUGCUUUAUGUCACGCUGCAAAAACAUUAAAAGGCUUGAGAUUUCCCACUAUAUACCAACAGAAGCCAGCAUAACUGAGAGAAACUAGAGAUUCAAGCACGUUUCCUGUGGUGUUUUUUUCUGUUACCUCAAGACUAAGAGGUGAAGUUGUGGGGUAGUAACGACCAACAACCUGGCCAUCCUUGUUGACAAGGAACUUGGCGAAGUUCCACUGAAUAUCAUCACCAAAAAUUCCCCAUUUCCCCAACUUCAAGAACUUGUACAGUGGAGAAGCAUUCUCACCAUUUACAUCAAUCUAAAGGGCAAACGUGGGAGAAAGAUUAGAAUACUAUUCACACAUCACAUUAAAAUUAGAAUUUCAAUCUUUCAGAUACUAAAUAAAUGGUCAAACUCCUGCACACAGAACCAGACUUUGGUAAAAUCGAAAAGUAUCACAGUUGUUAAUGCAACAAGAUUGGAGCGAUUUUGACUUUUAUAUGAGCAAGCAUACAGUUGAAAUAGAUUAAAAGAUAACACCAGGAAACAUGUCAUUUGGCAUAUGUGCUUCCAUCUGGCAACCACGUAAACCUCUCUACAAAAUCCUUCCCAUAGCCACUGUAAAAAAUUUAGCAGGGGAAAGGGGGGGAGGGGGGGCAAGUCUUCUAACAUUUCAACAAAUGAAUUAAGAGAGCAGUCAACUUCCAUGCAACUAGCAUUUACCUUGUCAAAGAUGGGAAAUUCUGAUUUGAAGCGAGUGCAGACAAAGUCUGUGAUCUGAUCAUUAGUUCCUGGUUCCUCCUCACCAAACUGAUUGCAUGGAAAUGCCAGUAUCUCCAGUCCUGCACCAAGCCAUCAAGACCUAGAUGUCAUAUAGAAAAGUAGAAGUAAAACAAGAACUGUAUUCAAGUAACAGGCACUGAACAUGCCCAGAGAUAUGAAGAAAAAUGAUGCUUUGAGAAUACCAUUCUCAUGCAUGCUAAUGCUUUUGACAUAAUGUAAAGUCAGUGGCUUAAGAUAUAAAAUGCAAGCUUAAGUCGCUAACCUUGAUCUUUGUACUUCUCAUAUAAUUGAUUCAAUUCAGCGUAAUUUGAGUUGGUCAUCCCACUGUAUAAUCAACCAACAUGAAGCAAAACCAACAAAUAAGGACCUUAAUUGCCUCCUAAAUUAUCUUAAUAGUGGCUAAAGAAUACCAAGAGUACUAACCUCGAAAUAAAAAAAUUCGAAGUUCAAUCUUAUCCAUUGAAAAGAAAAUAAAAAAGACGGAACAUGGGAAUUACCAUUUUGAAGCAACAUUAACAAUCAGCAACACUUUUCCCUUGAAAAUGCUAAGAUCCACAUCAUUUUCCUUAGCAUCCUGCAUUGAAACACAGCAAAGCAACCACCCAUAUCAGUAUUUGGACUGAAUUGUAGUUUAAAGGAUAAAAACGCAUCCUUUGUGUUUAUAGUUGCAAACCUACAUGGAAAGAAUUUGGGCCAAGAAACUACUACUCACUAACCUUGAUAGUGAAGUCAUGGACUGAUUCUGGGUUCUUUGAGGUUUGGGUUGCCAUUGAAGAAGCUAAAGAGGCGGAGAGAAGCAAGUGAAGAAGCGGUAAAAGAGUAAAACAGCUAAAGCAAAACGAAGAGAACUGAGACGGAAUCAUCAACACCUGUUUUGAGUUUUGACUUUUGCAGAUUCUGUUCUCACAUCGCACGUGCCUGUCUGUCUGUCUGUAUGUCCAUCAUGCUGUAAGUUUUGUGGAUGAACAUGUGACCGAACAUAUUCGCACGUGUGCUUUCGCUAAAAAGAACAAUAGACUAGGACCGUUCAUGGCUCAGGUGAGAGGCCCUGGAAAUGGAGCCCAGAUUGUUGGGCCUAACCCCCUAAGUGUUAGCAGGCCUGAUCCAUAUGGAACAUCCCAAUUCCCAUGCAGCGGACAUCUCAUUCUCAGCAAGUAAUAUUAAUAAUAAAAAAAUAAAAAAAACUUUUUUGAUAAAAAUCAGAAAGCUUUUAUGCAUUUCAUGAAAUAUUUUAUUUUUCUUUUUGAGAUCUGAUCUGAAAUGUCAUAAACUCAUGGUCGUUAGUCUCAACUUUGCAGGUGAAAUGAUUGGUUGGUGCUACAGGUUGCAAUCAAAUGGCUGAGAUGAAUUGUCAAAGACUCGUAUUAAUUACUUUAUUUGUCCAAUGCAUACGAAUAAAGAUGAUAUUUUUUUUUUAAAAUUAGAUCAUUUUAAAAAAAUUGAAAAACAUAAUACAUUUUGAAAAAAAUGGAAGAAAUUAACACAAUUUAUAUAUAUUAUAAUUAAAAAACGCAACAUUCAAACUUAUCACUAUUAAAAAAUAUGAUAUCUAAAAAACAAUUAUGACCCAAGUUGCGCAAAGAGCGAUAAAAGAAGAGAGAGAAAAAUAAAAAGAAACCUUGGUACUGGAGCUCCGAUCAUGAUAUCAUUGUUACCAUUAAAAAGAUCUCCAUGAAAUAAAUCCAAGGACACCAAAAAAUAUGAUCAAUAAUGACCUGAGUGUAUCAUACUUACAGCUCAAAGGUGACGAGUGGCUUACUACCUUUGAUGGCAAUUAUGACCUAAUCUAUUUUCUGUUUAUGAUCUUUUUUAGUGUCGUUAAACUUGUCUCAUCGAAAUUUUUUUUAUAAUAGCAGUAAGUAUGUAAUAAGAGCUUUAAUGUGCUUUUGAAUUUUUUUUUCUCUCUCCUCUCUCCUUAUAUGCUAUUUAUUCUAUAAUUUUUUUAUUGUUAUAUUUAUUAAUAGCGACAAACUUUAAAGUAAUAUUUUUUAAUCAUAACAUGUAAAAAUUAUAUCAUUUCACCUAUUCUUUCCCACACUAUGUUAUUUUAUCACUAUUUUAAAAAACAAUGCUAAUAAACAAAAAUAACAGUAGAUGACAUCCUCUAAUCCUCUAUAGCUAUUCAUUAGAUGAUGAUGACAUAUAGAAACAAGAUUAAAGUAAAGGGAUAACUUCAAAUCAAUCCUUAGUUUUGAGAGUCACUAAUAAAUUAGUGACUCAACUUGUUGAUUGUUCAUCCUCCUCCAAGUUUUAUUAAAAUAAAAUUGAAUUUAUGAAUAAAAUAGUAUAUAUAUAUAUAUAUAUAUAUAUAUGUGUGUGUGUGUGUGUGUGUGUGUGUUGAACUUGGUCUAUAGAUAUAUUAUUGUAUUAGCGACGGAACAGGAAAUUAUUGAUGAUCAAUAUUCCGACGAACCGAUUCCAUCGAUGAUGCCUUACAAUAACGAAUUUAAUCCGUUGGUAAAAUUAUUUAAUGAUGUAGUGUUCAAACUAAACAUAUAAAACAAUUAUUAAACUUGAAAUAAUGCAAGUUGAUAAGAAACGUAACUAUUUGUUGAAACAUUUUAAAAUAGAUUAAAAAAAAAGUUAUUGUUGUCAAUGAUAAAUUAUUUGUUAUUAAAACUUUAUUGUUUCUAUCUUGGUGUGAUGAAAUGAUGUCAAAAAAUCUCUUAAGAUUCCAACAACAUUUAAAAUUCAAUAAUAAAUCAUAAUCUAUUAUAAUUAUUAUGUUUGAAAUAAAAUAAUAAAUCACAAAAUUAAAUUCAAUUGUAUUAUUUGAAAUAUUUUUACUAUAGCAUCAUAAGGAUCCAAUUUUCCAAACAAGCCCCUGCUCAAGUCAUCUCCCUCUCCCUCUCUCCUUUUAUAUAUUGUUGAUUUUUGUUUAAUAUCGAAUUUGAAUUAUUAGUUAAUGACUAAUAUUUUGUUGAAUUGAAAUUAGGUUUAAGUUAUUUGUUAAUUAGAAGCCUCAUAGUGAAAAAGUUCAUUUCUUUAUAAAGAAUUGAUUAAAUUAGGUCAAAGUUUUUUUUAUUAUUAUUUUGGAAUAUUAUAUAUGAGGAUUUGUGAUAUUUAAUUGGAGAUUUUUAUAUGGGUGUAGAUAUUUUGCUUGAAAAUACAUCAAAAUAUUUUUUUAUAUUUUUUAUAUCAACAUAUUAAAAUAAAAGAUACUAAAAAAUUAUUAAUUUAAUAUUUUUUCACACGAGAAAAAACUAUGGCAAAUACAAGAAUUUAUUUAAGGCUAUUCCAAACAGCUGCAAGAGUACCUAAUCUCUAUUGUCAUCUAACAAGUAUAGAAAGAUCCGAACACUCAGUAGGAAUCAUUCUUCUUCGCAAGAAGCCAGAUUCCGAUUGGGAGGAGGAGGAGACUAAUACAACAAUAAAAAAAAACAAUAUAAAAAGAAAAGCAUACGGUCCGUAUAACGUUGUAAACUACUUUCUCAAGAUUAGUUAUAAUUCAUCUUGCGAUCCUUGCAAAAGUGAAAAAGACCAUGUACAUACACCCACAUCAUCCCAACAACAACAUGAUGUUUAUGUUGGAUUUUUCACAGGGAUGCAGUGAAACAAAUUUAAAGUUAUUUAGGGUUUAUGUGAAAAUUACUUGAAUAUUAUAUGUUUAUUUUUUAACUUUGAAUAUUUACAUCAAGGUUAGGUUAUUACAAACCAUAAGUUAUCCAAGAAUCCGGUCUCUAAUGAUAAUCUAUACAAAUCACUAGUGAGAAAUCUCUUAUACCCUUUUCGAAGAGAAAUUGAUAUACCUUAGAGUACUAGCUCUUUCUUUUGUAUUUUAAGUAUUAAAGUAAUAUACUUUUCUCACCACUCUUUUUUUUUUAUAUAAAAUAAAAAAACACAGCGUUCUAUUUAUAAAGAAACCUAAAAAACCCUAUAAACAUAUAAAUAAGUUUAUUCAAUUAAAGUCUCUACUUGAUUUUCUAGGUUUAUAAUUGUAAUUUCUUAUAUUAAUUACAUUCCAGUCCUUAAUUUCUAAAAUUUAUUUACAAUUGAGUUACACUUGAUUAAUCAUUCCAUUUUUUUAAUUUAUUAUUUAUGUAAUUUAUUAUGUUCUUUAAUAAGUUAGCCCGAAUAUAAAUCAUAAUCCUAAAUAAAAUAAGAUUAAAUAAAUUAAACAACUAAAUUUAUUAUCAAUUCAAUAAUUAAUUUAUAUUUAAAAAUCAAAUACAAUAUCUAGCAAUCUAUCAUGAUCUCUCAUAUAUUAGAAAAAUAAUCUCCUAUAUAUUAAAAAAAAUCAUAAGUAAUUUUACUUAACCUUUUAGUAACUAGUUUCUCUGCAUAAUUGUUUUCCAUUCAUCUUCGAGUAUGUCUAUUUUAUUAAAUCUUUUUAGUUCUUAACAUUAUAGUAAUUUAUUAUUUAAAUAAGAUUUUAAAAUUCUUUUCAAAAUUCAUUCCUCUCUUAAUUAUUCAAAUAUAUUCAUAUAAUUUAUGUUAUAGCUAAAAUAUUUGGUUUGUUACUUUAGAACAAUGUGAUGUCAAGAUCAAACAUUACACUUUUUAUAUAAAAGUAAAUUUAAGAAUCACAUGCACAACUAUCCCAAAAACCUUUUCAUAAAUAUAAAUGAUCUUUUCAUAUAAAAUUUUCUUGUGGUCAGUUUAAUAUCUAUGUUAUAUAACAAACACCUACAUAUUAAUUUCUCAUACCUCAUUUUAUAAAAGCAUAUCUUUCCUUUCAUAAAAAAAAAACAUAAUAAAUAUCAGUCUCAACAACUCUAAUUAAUGUAACAAUCUUAAUAGAACAUUAACAUGAACAUUUACAAACCAUGCUUUAAAGCAAUAGAAUUCUAAUAAUUAUAACAACUUUAUAAUUUUCUUUGCAAAAUAUUUUUUCCCAUAAACUUUAUCUUUACUCUAGAUUUAUUAAUUAAACAUUAAAUUCAUUAAUCAAAUAUAAAUAAAUAUUAAAAAUAAUUUUUUUAUUAAUAAUAAAUAUAUUUUACAUAAAUAAAUUCAUUAUUCCUCGUAGAACAUAUUCAUUAACAGUUUAUUCAUAGCAGCGCUGCGUCCUCUUUUAUUUCUUCAAUAGGCAAUUAAACAACCAUGCCUUGAGCAAUUAAGCAAUCCCCAGUAGUUUCUUGACAUCUUUCUGCAGAGAGUAACAAUGACCAGGAUCAUAUCAGUUACAAAUUAGACAUCCGAAAUCAAAUGUAGUAGCUGGAUAUGGGGAAUGUAUGGCGGAACCAGAUCUUACCUCAAUGCUAAGAGGGGAAGUAGUGGGAGCAUAACGAUCCACAACUUUGCCAUCUUUAUCCACCAGAAACUUGGAAAAGUUCCAUUUGAUGCUGUCCCCAAAAAGUCCACCCUUGCUAGACUUCAAGAACUUGUAAAUUGGAGCAGCAUUCUUACCAUUCACGUCAACCUAUACCGAGACAUGCAUUGUUAACCUCAAGAUCAACAUUAAUUGACUCCUCUCCUCAUGAAACUAUAUAAUAUGCUUAAAUAAGGGGGACUUCAAUCAUCGAAAGUUCAUCAAAAACUCAACAUGAAAUGGUGGGAAAAUUUUGGCAGUCAUGCGAGAAAGAAAAUUGAUUAUAAAUUAAGAAAUCCAUCUUCAUCAGGCUGUAAAAUCUCAGAGUUAGCAUACCUUAUCAAAUAUGGGAUAGUCAGCCUUAAAGCGAGUACAAGCAAACUCCACUAUUUGUUCAUUGCUCCCUGGCUCCUGAGAUCCAAACUGAUUGCAUGGAAAAGCCAGAAUCUCCAAACCUGCAUCAACACAAAGGCAAGUGGUAAGAAAAAAGAAGGGGCAUUACAGCAAGAUGGCAAUGACUGCAAGGUUUAGCCAGAGCCAAUCAGUUAGAUACGAAGUUGAACUUCGCAAAGAGUCAUCAGAAAGAUACAGGCAAACCCAUGUAGCAGCCCAGCUAGGACACUAAUAGGGGUUCAUAUAUUCCUAGAGCAGAAGCUAACUCAUGAAAAAAAAGGCACAUACAAGCAAUAAACAUUGAAGUGCCACACCACAAAACAUAAAAUAUAAUAGAAGUUAACCUUGAUCCCUGUAUUUUUCAUAUAGCUGGGUCAACUCCGUGUAGUUUGAAUUGGUUAAGCCACUGCACCAAAAUUAAAGGUUAGAGAAGUAAACAGUAGACUCCUGUCUAAGAGAUGGUGAAGAAGGAUCCUCCUUCAACUGAAAGGGAUUCUUCACCCUUAUUUCCCAACUUAUGAGUUCACUUCAACAAAGUGAGGAGUGAACCCACUAACGAACACCUGUGGCACACUAAUUAUUAGUCCGGGGAGUUUGAUUGGAACUGAGUCGAGGAGCAUUAUCUUACAGCAUAGUUAUCCUUAAAAGAAAUGGACAUCUCCUUAAUAAAAACCAGAAAACCCCAGUCUCUUCCCGUCAAGGACAGAUGAAAAGGGAGGAAAUGAAUUACCAUUGUGAAGCAACAUUGACAAUCACGAGGACCUUCCCCUUAUAUAUGCUGAGGUCAACAUCAUUUUCCCUAGCAUCCUACAGUCAAGAGAGAACCAAGGCAUUAUAUAUAAAUAUAAGUAGAACACAGAGGAAUCAUAGGUAAUACAUUAGAUGGUUCAAUGGUAACAGGGAAACAGCCAAUAAGCCGCAAAUCCACAGAUUGAGAUGUUCAAUCGAUUAAGAUUAAAAGACAACCUCCAUGAUUUUUAACAGAAAUUAUGCUAGUUCGUACCACCUCAACAACCUUAAAAAAUAAGACCUUCCUUGCAUAAAAAACCAUUUGAGUCCUCUUUUUUUCUCCCCUUAACUACAAUUAAAGAGAUCCUCUAAAUUUCCAGCAGCAAAACAAAUGAUUAGACUACUAUUAAGCACCGUUCAAAUCAAACAAACAAAAAAGGAAAAUAAAAGCCAGUUAUGAUACCAAAACCUCAAUAUCAGCAUCAAGCGAGCAAGUUUAUUGAGAAAGACUGAGAGAAAAAACAUAUAAAAUACAACAAAAAAUUACCUUAACAGUGAAAUCAUGAACUGAUUGAGCACUGGAUUGGCUAGCCAUUGAAUGAUUGAAUCUCAAAUAACCCAAUAAAGGCCUUGAAUUCUCUGUUCAGAGCGACAGGGAAAUCAAAGAGACUGGUGAAUUAUGCAAGGAAGAUAAAAGGGUUCGCUAGGAAUUGAAAGAUAAGAGCUUCGAUAAUAAAAAUGAUGCAAAGUUGAGAGUUUUAUGAGAGAUAGAGAAUGCGAGAGCAGGAACAGAGCAUUGAGACUUUAAAGGAAAGAGUAGUGGGGCCCGAGGUAGAUGGUCAACUUUUGGGUUUGAUCGGUAGGACAGAAGAUGCUGAGGAUACACGUCGUGGAUGGAUAUGAAUAUACGUGGGUGAAGUUCAGGCCAAGGUUAUUGGACGGUCAGGAUUGUUGUUGCAUGGCGGUGUGAAACGGAAGAUGCGGGUGUCAAAAGGUCUUCCUAGAUGACUGUUUUUUUUUUUUUUUUUUGCGAGCUUCAAAUGCUCAGACGUGGGUUCUAAUAUUUGGCGGCCAGUGUUUCUAGAACUACAUUAUUUCGCUUUUUCAAAAUCUGCCUGUAGUGGUUUGGUUCAAGAUGAUCAUAGAGAGGUGACGACAAGGCUGGCGCGCUGCCGCGUCACCACUCACGUAACAAUUAGUUUUUUUAUUUUUUAAUUAUAUUUUAUAUUUAUUAAAAUAUUAAAUUUUAUUAAAAAUCUAAGAUAAAUAAAAUGUAAUUUUACAAAUAAUUUAAUGCUUUUAUUUUUAUGAAAAAUGUUUUUUUUUUAUUAGUUUUUUUAAAAUGCUCGACGAUUUUCUUUUAAUGAAAAGAAUGAACACAAAUAUUCUUCGUUUUUUCUUUGGUCGAAACGAAGCUGUUAAUUUUAUAUAAAGAAGGACUAUAGGAUAAAAAAUCCAAUACACGAGUGCAUGCCCGAAAAAAGAAGGUGAAUAAAAGUAUAUAUUAGCAAGCGGGUCUCAUCAAGCAUUGUAUGACAGCACAGAAUAUUGACAUUUUUAACUUAGAUUCCGUGUGAAGAAAGAAUGGUGUCCAGAAUUUAAAAUCUAAAAUCUGUAAAAUUGGUAUCAUAUCAUGUAAAAUGAAUUGUCUCCAUUUUGUACACCCUUCAUGGUAUUAAAAAAAUCAAUUACGAAAGAAAAGAGGAGGGAAAAACAAAAGGCUGAUAUGAACAUCAUUGCAUUUUGCUAACCCUCUCGAGCAGGGUGUUCACUGUUAUGGAGAAAGCAUCCUGAAACUUUUCAAACCGACAGCUUGAAUCACCAUACACCAACCCAGGUAGAAGUUCAUACACGAUGUACCUCCUCAUAUCAUCUCUUUCCCUUGCAGAAAUACUGCUUAGCCUCCCCACCACAUUCACCUUCAUCUGCCUCACUUCUUCUUGAUCUAUGAACACUGAGUAUUUACCAUGAUCCUCCGGUAAAUGCCAUGGAUAUUGGUAAUAAGCGGUAAAGGGAUCGAAAAGCACCGGUAUGCAUCCCGAAACAAGUGAAUCAAAUACUGAUUUUCUUGUUGGACUAUCACCAGGAGGCUGCAAGCAGAAUUCAGACUCCAAAAACAGCUUCGUGACUGAUUCAGGCUGAUCACAUCCACCUGAUUUACAAUCCAGAAACUGGCAUUUAUCACUGCUUGUUGAAGUGCACUGAUUGAUCAAUGUUGACCUUAUGCUCUCGGGUUGAUCAGGCCGCGCUGCUCCGGCAAAACUGACGAGGUUCUUUCGAGGUGUCCCGAUGAUCUUUUGCUGCCAUGCAACAAUAUCGUCAUCUGAAUGAGGGUGAAAGAAGGUUGGAUGUGGAAUUGCAAUGUCGUUGACUUCCCAUGGUUGUCGUUCGAUCAAGAGCUUUAUCGGGUUCUGCAUUUGCUCAAGCUCUAGAAAUCUAGUGCCCCAGGAAGUAUAAUUCUUUCUCCUGAAAUCCCAAGAGAUUUUUCCCAACACAAACACAUGAUCCGUGCCAGAAUUUUGAACCCAGGGUCUUCUAUGCUCGAGCCACUUCAUUAGAUCCAUUGCCAAAGAGUCUUUAACGUCACCAGAGACAUUCUUGAAAUGCCACCUCAGGAUGUCUAGACCACCAUAAUAUGGGACAUAAAAGAGCUUUGCUUCACUUUCAUUGUAAACCCUACAUGGAUGGGUCAGAAUUCUUGAGUGAAAUAUAGGCUCCAAUGAGUACUGAUGGGUGUGAUACCAGCCCUUUCCAAGGUCUGCUAUUGGCUCCCCCAGCGCCUCGUUAUUGAAAUAUUUGCAGAAAUCUGUCCAUGGCAUCAUGUCUCCACACUGACCUAUCAGGUCCUUGUUGAAUUUUGAUGGAAGAUCAUAAACAUACACCCCCCUCCCAUCACAGGAAGCAUGGUUUGUAUUAGACAUCCACGAUCGAUGCAGCUGUAGUUGCUCCUUGACAGCCUUCUUGGCAGUGGCAAUCUCCUCGUUCCUGUUUUUGUCUGUCCCAUCUAUCACGGCUGGAAUCGAGUCCUCCGUGAAAACGUUGGCAACUUCUUUGAUGUUGCCAAUGGUGCUCGAACUAAGAGCAUUGGCGAUCUCUUUGCUGUCUGUGAUGGGUUCAGGAGUACUAGCGGCCUUGACAUAUUCUGCAACGCUACUAUUGGAGCCAGGACUAGAAUCGAUAACUUUGAUAUUGCUAGUAGAGCCAGGACUAGUAAAACUAUUGUUGAUAAGUGGAACUGGGAUUUCAAAUUUAGGCUGAGUACCGGCGGACAGGCAGUAAAGAUUGUUGAGCUUCCGCGAGGAAACACAGAUAUGAACAAUCUUGCCAGAGAUAAUGGUGGUGGAGGAGGACCACAGGUACACAAGAAUCAAAAGAAGAAUGCCAAGGGGGAUUCGAGACAGAAUUUUGAAAAGGAAAGUAGCACAGGAACAAUGCUCAUUUGUUUCUGCUUUUUUGGAUGGUUUAGGUUUCCUUCUGUUAAUGGAAACAGCCAUUUUUCGGAAAGAAGGUUGCUAAUCCAUGGCUUUGAUUCUGGUUUUCUACUAGGGGUAGGUUGCAUCUCAACAACAAUUAUGCUCUAGUUUCUUAACUUGGUUGCACGUACAUGGUAAGUGCCUAACUUGUAUGCACGUUACAGUACAUUGACAUCCAUAAUUUCAGCACUACUAUAAGAAUAUUAGAUUCCAUGGAUGACCUAAAUCCUGAUGUGGAUUGCUUCUAUUUUUAGGUCAAACAAGAGCCCAUUUUAAAAAUGAACAUUCAUGAGCAAGCCCCACCAACGUAAAACAUGCCAUUUGCACGCUAUUGAAUAGCUGUCCUGUAUGAUUAUCAAAAGAAAAGCAUGUCGUUUGUUAUGAACAGACCAUGUCACCAUGGAAGAUCAAACCCCAGUUUCUUACUAAAUUUGCCUUUGUUAAAGCAAUUCAAAUUAACAAAAAAUAAAUACAAAUAUAAAAAAGAAAGAAGUUAGGGGUUUUCAUUAAUCACUAUAUUCUAAAAUGUUCAAUUUGUAUAUAGACUAAACUGAAAAUCAUAUUCUAAUUUUAAUAAAUAAAACAAGAUAAAUAUAUAUAUUUCUUAACAGUACGAUUCCCUUCCCUUCUAUUUUCUCCUAGUAACUGUUAUUUUUCAAUAUUUGGACAGGAAUGAGCAAACGAAAUAUAUAGAAUGAGCAGUUGUCUUCUAUAAAUUGAGUUCUUGGCAAUGGCUUGUGUCACAAAAAGCUGCUUCUCCAAUUGUAACUUCAUCUGAAUCUAGCUUAGUUUUUUUUUAUUAUUAUUAUUCACGUGGCUAAUCUCCACGGGCCUUAUUAGGUAACUGGCUUUUGGGAUGAGCUUAUAAAUCAGACAUGGUGAUUCUAUGGAUUAUCAGAUUAUCAGAGUAAAGUUCAUUGGAAGUGGGAGAAGCAAAAUGAAGGGCAUCGAGAGGGUAGGAAACGUUAAUCACAAAAAAAAUAUAAAAAAAAUUGUUAGAACUGGGAAGGAAAUGUUUUUGAAGCUUAAACUUCCACUUCAUCAGAGGAUAUGCUGGAGCGGUAAUAAUAAAGAAUAAGAGAAAGUCUGAAUUCAUAAUUAAUCUCCAAAUAUCCCUAAACAUCUUCAUGAGUAUAGUACAUCAGACAGUGUCUUAUGAAAUUGAGAACCCAGAGUUGUUCGGGAGGAGGGGGGGGAUCAGAAAUUGACAAAGAAGCAACCUAUAGAAACAUCGGCAGAGUUUAUGCUCUAAUCAAAUUCUAUUUAACAACUCCUUAAGCUACUUCUGUGUGGCCACACGGCACACAUGCCAGAUACAAAUUAUUCGCAGUCUACUUUAGCGAUUACACCAUUCAUGGUCAAUCCAUUGUGAACGAGAAGUGCAAAGGAAACAAUACAAAGAACUAGAGUGAAGCACUUACAAAUUCUAACGUGAAAGUGCGAGCAUCCAGUUCCCAAUUCACAGCAUACUAUCUGUCCGAGAAGGAAGCCGGCGAAAGAAGUUUAUGGGCACAGACGGUGUCCUGUAGCGAAAUCUUGGAUGCCUCAUCAUGUAGAAGCCAGCCAAAGCUGCUAUGACCUGAAAUGGUGUCACAAAUAAAACCAGAGCAGCUACGAGGCAGAAUAUAACAAAGAUGGCAGUGGCGCGUGGAUCGCGCCAGCUUAACAGUGCCUGAAAUCGCUCUCCUUGGGUUGCUAUAUCCCCCACAACUGUUUGAAUCCUUCCCGAAACACUUCGUAACCUAUCAUACCUCAUUCUGACCAGCUCAGGGCUCCUGCUUGUUGGGAAUGUAUCAAACUCCUCGUCAAGCUCAUCAGGAUGCACUACCUCAGCUUGUGAAAUCUUUGUGUUCAUAUGGGGAGGGUACCUUGGUCGAUAUCGGUAAUUCCAAAUGCCUAUCAGAAACAUGUAAAGAAAAACUGUGGGCAGAAUAAGUUCUGGGAAGCAAGCAAGCAUGAGAUAGAGCACAUGAACAAGCACGGUAGUGAUAGGAUUCUUCCACAUGCAAAUAUCCCCAAACCACUUUCCAGCUGCAAACAAUCCUGAGAAAAUUGUCAUUAAUCGAAAGAAAUUUGCCUUGCUUCGGCGCAUGCUCCAGAGGUGUGCAUCCACAUCUGACAUGUACUCCACCACUUCUUUCCUAAGAGGAGGUUCUGCCCGACCUAAUCGUAAUGCCACUAUAUUGACAGCUUGGUGGCGAAGCAUAUCUAGUUGCAUCACAGUGAAAGGCCUGAUAUAGUGCAUUUUGGGUAGAAGUGGUCGUGAGUACUGAUAAAGCAUGUUCGCAAAAGAUACGCAUGUAAAUCUGAUUGCCAAAUGCAACUCCCCCAUCUUCUUAACUCCAGUAGGAUGAAGAACCAGCAAGGGAUAAGAGUGCGUAUAAACACGCCCAGUUUCGAGUGUGGAGAUGCGAAUCCGAACCUUCCCAAUCUUUAGAUCCUUUCCACUUGAACCUUUUUCCCCAAGCUGGUUGUUGUCAAAUACACCAACUGUAAGAACUGUAGCUGGAUCAAAAACUUCCCAUGUGUACUGCUCAUUGUAUUUGGGAGACAGGUUGUCAAUAAGGGUGCGUGUCCGGACCCAUUUGUGACCAUACUUUGCAACACAGUAUGUAUCCGAUGUACCCCUUCCAUCUCGUGUUUUCAUAGGAUGGAGUCCUACAGCAUUUAAGAUGCCAAGUUCCAGCAUCCCAAUAGGAGGCCUCCAAAGCUGUUUUGCUGUAGGACGAAGAUCACUGCUGUAAUGAGUUGACUCGUCAAGAACAUGGUAUCCUCCAUCUAAGCAGACUCGAAGAUGGAUACGGCUAGAGAACUUAUCUUUCUUGAGCUGAUCUACAUCCACAGCAACUGGCUUUUCCAGGUUAAACCAACAAGAAUGAAUUAUCCUAUCGUCAGCACGCUUCUCCACAGAGCUCAACGGGAUGAUGGCCCUCCCAAUUAUCUCAUCUUUGCCAGGACCGACACGAUCCUCAACCGAAAGAACCAGGUGGUCUUCAAAGGGUUCAGCAGCAACAAAUAAAAGAUCCUCAUUCCAUAAGGCACUAAAAGUCCGAGCCUGAUAUGUCUUCGUUUUCAAAACUUGGUUUCCAAUCUGUACCUUAACGUACACUUCAGGGAAACGGUUCUUCUCUGAUGGGACUAAGUCUUGUGCCUCAACAACGUUAACACGUACAUACCACAACCUCGGUGCAUGAUAGACCUUUGAACGUAUCACAGUGGAGGAAGCCGGUGUACUAUCUACAGGGGUAGCUGCAUCAGAAUGCCAGGCAUCAGGAAAGGCCUCGUCUGCUUGGGUUCCAAUCCAUACUGCAAGCAUCAGCUCGCCCUUUAUCUUCUCUCCCUUCUUGUCCUCAAGCCGAUACCACUCUGGAGCUAGAGGACUAUCUGGUGGGACUCGCAAUGGAACCUCAUUGAUGUCAAACCUUAUGACGCCCACAAAGUCAUCUUUAAGAAGAUCCCUGUCCUUGAUCACAACUUCUAAAACAGAAGCUUGCAUCCGUUCCCUUGAAAAAGCAAACACUUGAUUCCACUCUGGAUUUUGCUUUUUCUCAAAGUGCUUUGUAAUUCCUCUGUAGUUUCCAAUUCUCACCUCAACAAAUGGAUCAAGACUUCCUGUAACAUCCAUAGCAGGAAGAUCACGAGCUUUAACAACUCUCACGUACAGAAAGUACAUCCUUUCAACAAGAUCAUAAGUGCUUGCAGUCUUGUCACCGUGAAUAACCCGCCCCCCAACAACUCUUCCCCCACCAAGAAAGGGACUUGUCUCUUUAAGGGCAUAGUCAACAGGUUGUGAUGAUGACGCAGAGUACAUGCGAACUAACUUCGGAGGCUGUGUUUCCGCAGCUUUCAUCUCGUCAGCCACGUACUUUGGUACAUGAUGGCUACUUGCUGGAGCAGAAGAAUGAUUCUGAUGCUGAUUUUGCUGGUGAUUUGGGUUAGGAAGAUGAUGAAAGGUGUGUCUCUCAACUCUUUUAUGAGGUACAGAAUUUGUCAUGGGGUGGACCACUGGAGCCUCAGUGUGUGUUAAGCCUGGAUCCAUAGUUGGCAAAGAUUCAACUGCAGGAAGUGGGGUAGAGGAUUUGAUGGAUGCAUCAUCGGUAAUAUAAACUUUCAGGCCAAGCUCUCCUCUCACACGUGAGAAAAUUCCACGCUUUUCCAGAGGGUAGUGUAACACAACAGCAUCAGAGCACAGUACAAAUGAAUUCCCAGUGAGGCAAACCUUACCAAGGAAGGAUCUGGAGUUGGUAGCUCUGAUGUUACAGUACACAUGGGCAUCAAGAGUGAGAUAGUGGAGGUUGGAAGGGUCAGAGACGUUGAAGUAGAAACUCUCAUUCCACACCGGAUUGAGAUCCUUUUCUUUGAUGGUCGUGCGGAACCUCUGGCCAUCGAAGUCGAGCUCUACAAAGGCACUGGAUGAACCGUGCUCGUCUUUGGGCAAAAGAUUGUGCGCACCAACCACCUCUACCCCUAGCUUAAUGUUGCUCAUCAUGAUGCAGAAGCAACCAGGCUCGUUUAGCAAAUAUUAUGAACUACUGGACUUUAGUCUAUAGGUACCUGCAGUGCAGAAAACAACAAAAAUUGUUUUUAAAAAACUGUGAUGCAAAUAUAAACAAAGAAGAAAUGUAAUUUAGAAGCAAUGCACAGAUGAAAGAAAACAUCAAAUGAACGUAAGGGGCUAGGCGUGUCAAAGAGGGUACAAGUCAAUAAUCACGAUGUGAUAUAACUGAAGCUGAACUUGGUAAAUCUAAUUGGAAUGAAUAAUAAUUUAUGAGUUUUGACUAAAUGAUUGAAUGGACUAGUGCAUUUGAAUUGUAUAGCAAACAGAAGAACUUGCACAAAACUGGUUUCGUUAAAAUGGAAUUUUACAAAACUAAAUUAAAACAGAGAGAAACAUGGAUCUGAAUGCCAACCAAUGACUUGGUAAAUAUUGCUACAGUAAUGGCUAUCCCUCGCGGGCAGCUCAGUUCACAGCAGAGCUGGUAUAUAUAUCAGCUAGAAAGUAAACCAACUCCAGUCAUUCAUAAAAUCCCAAUGACGAGCAACAAUUCUAAUAUGUAACUUAGCUCUGUGUGCAUCCAGGAGAAUUCAAUCAUGAAAGCACAAAAAGAAUUUCAUCAAAUCUCUUUAACAUGCUUCAUUAAUUCCACCAUUACUCCUAAACAUUCAUAAAAAUGAAACAGCACAGAUUAUUUACCUCAGAACACCCACUUAUUUCCCAUGAAUUCGAACCUUAAAGAAGCACUAAUUAAGUGGAUGAAGUAAACACCACCAAGAGUACUUUAUAUCUUUUGAGCAAGUUACCAACUCACUUUAUUUUUUGUUUUCUUAACAACCCAUUAGUUAGUUAACUUAAAAUGCUCAAAUUGGAUGAAAUCAAAGGAACUGUAAUCGAAAAGGCAGACAAGUUGAACAUUUUAAUUAAAUCGAGGCAUGUGAUGGACUCCCUACUGAAAAGAUCUCAACACAUGCAAGCAAGCAAAUAAAUAAAUAAUCAAAACAAGUACUUCACGGCAUGGCAUACAAGCUAACUACAUGAUUAUAUGAUCGGUCCACUCUUUGAAGUUAAAGAUCCUAAAAGCACGCUUAAGACACAUGACCUUUUCUUUCGAUUCCAUUUAAUAAUAAUACUAAUAAUAUAAUACUUUGAGGAAAUAACAAAAAGAGAAGCGAUGACACUUUUGUUCCCAAGCUAACAAAAAGAAGGAAAAAGAAAAUUGAUAAAAAAAUCUAAACCAAGAUCUUUUAGAGGAAAACAAAAAUCAAAUAAUGGAAAUCAUAUCAAACUGAACCGCAUGACUCAAUAAAUAACGUUCUAUUUUCUCGGCAACCAAACAGAAAAUGAAACAUCAGAGAAAGAGGUGCAAAAUCAAAGAAGAACAUGCACAUAUCAUUUUUCAUUUAAAAAGAAAAAUGCAAGCCAGAGUUUGCUUCCUGGAGCUAAUUUUUCCAAAAGAAAACAAACAGUAAGAAAAUGAAACUGAGAAAGAAAAGGCGUCACUUCUUUAUACAUACUUGGUAUCGUCACUGAAAAGAAAGAUAACUUUAGAUGGCAAACAUUUUCAAGCAAUCAUGAAGGUGUCUGCAGCUGCAUUUAAGUCACCGUCCAUGAGAGAGAAGUGCGGGUGCUGUGGUUGGGCACGAGAAACUAGGAGGUAGAGAGAGAGGGGGGGUGCAGUGCAGUUUUGAGAGAAAGAGAUUUAAUUAAUUAAUUGCUACGCUGCAUGUGUCUCUUUACUGGUGCAGCAAUAGGAGAGCAAGAAAGCUGAAGAAGCUUCUAUUUUUUAGUUUUCCCGGUAUUUUCAGAGAAAUAACCCGCUGUUGGGGAUUUCAUUUCUACUUCCAUGAGCUUGUUUCUUUCUUUCUUUUCUUUUCACGGUUCCACUCCACUGUGACCAACUGCUUUGAAUUUAUUUGUGUGCGCCCAUGGAUAAAAUGCCAAGGGUCUAACUUGGACCGGCUUUUAACAAUUUUAAAAAUAAUAUCUUAUGAUAAUACAAUAUAUUCAACUGCAAUUUUUAUAUCUAUUUGAAAAAUUAAAAGAUAAAACUAACUUUUUUUAAUCACUUGCCUUUAAUCCUCUUGAUUUUAAAACACGUUUGUUUUUAUAUUUAAAACUCUAUUUUUAUUUAUUUAAAUGUAUAUUUAGCUUUAAAAAAUAUUAAAUUAAUAUUUUUAUUUUAAUAUUUUUUAUGGUAUUAUAAUUUAAAAAAUACAAAAAUAUUUUAAUAUAUUUUUAAAUAAAACAUAUUUUUAAAAAAUAUUAUACACUACAUUACCGUCUACCUAUCUUAAAAGCCACGUUUUUGCAAUCUAGAGUGUGGUUGCGACUACUUUUCAAAGUGUUUUUUACUUAGAAAUGUAUCAAAAUAAUAUUUUUUUUAUUUUUAAAAAAUUAUUUUUGAAUUCAUCACAUCAAAAUGGUCUGAAAAUAUUUAAAAAAUAUUAAUUUGAAGCAAAGAAAAAAUAAAAAAAUUUAUUUUUUAAAAAAACACUUUUAAAACGCAAAAAACAAAAACAAAAUUGACUCAUGUGAAAAAUAUUUUAAAAAAUAAUUACUAUCAUACUCUUAAAUACCCUCUAUGACUUCUAAUCCUUAAAAUAAAAUAAAGAAACAAACAUAUUUAUUAACACUUCACCUAAGCAUGCCUGGGCUUUAUAGUUUUGGGCUUGCAAACACAGUAAUGUCCCCUAUUUAGUGGGUUAUUUUUUUAAUGGCCUUGAAUUUUUAUAUGUUUUAUAAUAGAAUUGAGUUUAAAUAAAUUUAUUAAAAUAAUAUUUAAAUUACUAUUCAAUUAUAACAUAGUUUUUACAUAAUAUAGAUUUUUAUAGUAAUAUUAAUAAUUAUAUAUGAAUCUAAUAUGCUUAAUUUUUUUUUUUAAAAAAAAAACCCUUAUGAACAUUUAAUGCACAUAAAAUAUUUAUAAACUAUUUUUUGUGAUAAGUUUUUUAUAUAGUUUUUCUCAAUUUUAUAUUUUUUAUAUAUUUAUCAUGGAAAUUAUCGAUUUCUUUUUUUAUUCAAACUUUCUUCUAAGAUUAUGAUAAGUCUUAAUUUAAAAACGAUAUUUAUUAAAAAAAAAUGUUUUUGUGAACAAAAAUAGAAACAAAAACACGCGAUUAAGAAAAUGAAGUUUUGAUUAGAGAUAUGUAUUUUUUACUCUUUAUCUCAACUCAAUAUAAUUUUUUAUAAUUUUUAUUUUUAUUUUCUUUAUUUUUUAUUCAAUAAAUCAUACUGUUAUUUAAAAACAUGUGUUUUUACGCACUCAUUGUGUUGGGCAUGCACCCCAUCACUCCUAUGGGCUUGGCUAUCAUAUCAUGUUCGAGCUAAAAAUGUUUGGGUUUAGACAAUACGUUUGAAUUCAUUUUUCAUCUUUAAUGAGCUCAGACACUUUAUUUGAACCCAACAUUUUUUUAAGAAUUUUUUCAAGACUCCAAGUUGAUCUCUCGAUUUUUUAUAUUGACUCGAUACAUUUUAUUUUGAAUAAAAUACAACUUAGAAUAUCACAAAGAAUAAAAUUACACUUUAGUCUAUUCUCUCCACAAAAAAAACAGGACUUAUUUGCUAUAAAUAAAUUAUGAAUUCUUCAAGCUUAAUAUUCACAAUCUCUUCAUUUUUAACACUUUUAACAUAUAUAUUUUUAGAAUUUAUUUUUUUAAAAUAUCAAUGCACUUUCUCUUUCUAUAAAAUUAAAGACUUGGACAUUUGAGAGUUCUCAUAUCCAUCAAAGAAAACCUUUUAUAUAUAUCAGUUAUCAUGAUUUACCAAGCAUUACCGCCCAUAAAUUACCCUGGGCUUUUCAUUUCAUAUUACUAGAUAUCUUAGUUUAAAAAAUGAAUAACAGUACUUGAAUCAAGAAAUUAAUCGAUUAUUUGAUAUACUAGUCUUAUUUCUAAACAUUUUAAAUUUUGAGAUUCAUCAAGUAGUUUGUGAAAAGGUUAUAUAAAAAAUACAUAUUAAAAGGUGAGAAAAAAGUUAAAUAGAAAAAUAAAAUAAUAUAUAUAAGUGAUGAGGUUUGAAAUAUAUUUGUCAUUAAGAGGGUAAUAUUUAAAUGUUACGUGUUAAUAGAGCUAAGAGAUAGCAUAUCUUGAAUGUUUGAGAAGAAUUGAAAAGAAUAUGAAUAAUGGUAAAUUUGGAUAAAGAUAAAAAAAAAAAAGAAAUUUAAAAUUGAAUAUAAUUAUAAAAAAUCAACUAAUGUAAGAAAAAGAAGAAUAAAACAAUUUUAAAUUAAAAAAAUGGAGAAGGACUUCAAAUCUAAAAAUUUUCAUGUGAUAAGUGUCAUGAAUUUCUUUGCCUCGACAAGGAUAGUUUGAUUUAAAGAUGGAGGGUCUCGGCAUGCGGAAAUCUACGUGGAGGAUCCUCCCGUCCUAAAAUAAAAUAAAUAAAAAAACUUUACCAGAUUUAUUUAGUUUUUGUAUUUUAAAAUUAUUAAAAAAGUUGAUUUUUAAUCAAAUUGAUUUUUUUUAUAUUUUUAAUUUUUUUGAUAUUUUUAUUUUAAAAAUAAAUAUUAAAAAAUAAAAAAAUAUUAUUUCAAUAUAUUUCUAAAUAAAUCAUAUGUUUUACAGAGCAAUCUUACACUACCAAAUAAACUAUAUUUAUUAUUGGCCAUAGCUAUAAAAUGCAUGUUUAUUCUUUUUUAUAGAAAUAUUAUUUUAAAAAUUUUAAUUUUUUAUUUAUAAUUUAAUUUUUUAAUAUUUUUAAAUUAUUUUGAUAUAUUAAUAUUAAAAAUAAAUUUUAUAAAAUAAAAAAUAUUAUUUUAAAAUGUAUAUGGACGCUUUUAAGAAACAUGCAAUAAAAAAACAUGAAUAGUAGACAGACCAUCAAUCACUGUGUGCAGGUCAUGCUUUAUAUGGAUAUCUUGUUAUUAAUUAAAUUAGAUAUCCACUCGACCAUUUUGAUGAUAAAGGGUUAAUAGUCUAAUACAAUAACAAACACAUAAGAGUGAUUAACUGUCUAAUAAAUGGUUAGGAAUAAAAAUUUGAAAUUAAAAAAUUUAUUUUUCAUAUAAUUUCAAGUUUCAGCGAAAACUAAUUUAAAUAUUUAUUUUAAUAAAAAAAAUAAAGUAAUUGAACAAAAUUAUUGAUUAACUAAAAUUUAGACGAAGUUUCUUUCUCAUUGUUUAUAGGAUUAACGGUAGUUCACCUUCCCCAUACGCACAUGCAGAAACAUAACAUCCAAUUUGUUUUGGUGGAAGCAUCGAAGCAUACGCUUUACCUUGGCAUGGAGAAAGACUGGAAGGGGAAGAACAUUGACGCUGUUUUUCUCAUCAGCAAAAGCAGAAGAACGGAGUAUCAUAGUGUUCAAGUUUGGUUUAUAUAAAUCAAAUUGAGUUCGAGCGGAGCUUAAGAACCAAAAUAAUGUUAAAGCUUGGUUCGAUACAAUCGAGUUUGAGCUUGUUAGAAAUAAAUUAAAAUCAAAAUUUGAGCUUGUUAAAUAAUUUUAUAUUAUCCUAUAAAAUAUUUUUUUAAAUUAAAAUUAUUUAAACUUAAAACUUGUACAAAUUCUUACUAUUUUGUAAUUAAUUUUUAUUAAUUAAAAUGAUGAUGAUGUUGAUGUUUGAAUUUGUAGUUAUUUAGUUAACAAGGUAUUAAUACCAUGUUAAAUAAUUAUUUCAAUCUAAAAACUUAAAAAAUAAUUUUAUAUUACUAUGUGAAUAUAUAUAAAAAAAGACUUAAAUUUAUAUGAUGGUGAAAAGGGUUUAGAUAAUUGAGACACAAGGGGACAUGCCACUUUAAGAUUUAUAAUUUUCACUAAAUUGUCAGGUCCAAAUUUAGUGCCCUGUUUUGUAGUUCUAAGGCUAUUGGACCUCCCAUCCAGUAAAAGAAAGAUUUGAGUGAUAUUUCUUCCUAAAAAAUAUAUAUUAUUAACUUUCUUUUUUUUCCCCAUCAAAUUCCCCCUCUUAUCUUUCAUUCCCCCCCAAUUUAUGAUAUUUAUCUGAUAGAAAAAGAACAUAAAAUUGACAAAAGAUUUAAGUUAUAGACAGAUUUUAAGAGUGAUUAAAAAUAUAAUAUUUGAAACCAUGAGGAUUAAUCAAUUAUUGUUGGUAAACUACAGGGACUUAGUUAUAAUUAACUCUUACAAUAUAUGUAUGUAUGAUAAGGUUUCAGAGCCUGAGAUAAAACAGUGCAAAAGGGGGAAAAGGCUCUAUCUGCUACCUUAGUACCUCACAUCAACGAUUCAACUGUAAGAACUAAGAAUCAGAGAUCUAGUGAGAGAGAGAAACUAGAAAAUGAAGCUGAAAGUCUAUGCAGAUAGAAUGUCACAGCCAUCACGGGCUGUUCUCAUCUUCUGCAAGUAAUUUUCUUUAUUUCAUUUCCCUUUGUAAUAGGUUCCUCAUGUACUAAUUCUCACUGCAAGUUCUUGAACAGUUUUUUUUUUUUGGCGUGUAUUUGAUCUGGGAAUUGUAUAUUAUUGAUACAGGGUAAACAGGAUAGACUUUGAAGAGGUUAGAGUUGACAUAUCAAAGCGCCAGCAUUUAACUCCUGAAUUCAAAGGUACUCUCAAUCAAGUUGACCCCCUUCGGUGUCUGUCUAUGUUCAUGCUGUGUUUAGUUAUUUGUGAAUCGGGUCAAAAAACUGAGGCUUCUGUUGUUUAUUAGCAGAAUUGAGACCUCCCCAGAUGGAAAUGAUGUUAAUUUAAGUGUUCUUGUCGCUUAAAUUGUGCUAGCAGAAUUAAGUGUUUGUUGAUUAUGGUUUCAGAGAUAAACCCUAUGGGAAAAUUGCCAGCUAUAGUUGAUGGAAGGUUCAAGCUGUUUGAAAGGUAAUUUAAACACUUCCUUGCCUUUGUCAUCUCUCACAUUUUUCGUUUCUGCAAAUCUAGGACCCGAGUUUGUUGCUAGCCAUUUUUUCCUAUGAUUUAGUUAUGUGACCUGCACCAUAAAUUGUAGAUGACAAAGAUAAUUGGCACUCCCUUUUGCCGUUAAACAUUUUAAUUCGUCAAAUUACUUAUUGAAUUGUUGAUUGUUCUUUGCAGUCACGCGAUCUUAAUUUAUCUUGCCUGUGUAUUUCCGGGAGUUGCUGAUCACUGGUAUGUAAAAGCUGCUUAUCCAAUGUAAUUAAUUUCUGUACAUUUUGGGAUAUGGGUGGCUUAAAUAUAGGAAAUUCUUGCUGGAUAAAGAAAUGAAAUGGGUAUUGGCAAUGAUACAGAUAUGAUGUAAGCUGUGUUGUUCUUAACGCCCAAAAAAAUGUGUUGAAAAAAAGCAAGGAACAUGCUCCUGUCACUAAGGGCUCGUGGGCUGUUUCUUGAUCGGUUGUCUUUUGUUGUACGAAGGCAGACUUUGUUGAUUGCUUUAAUCUUUAAGAUAUGAAAGGAGAAACUGGACAAUAUUAGUAUAGUCACUUUUCAAUCUUUAAAAAUAGACAACAUUAGCAGGGCCGUUUUUCUAUUUACUAAAACUUACUGGUUAAAUGAAUAUGAUUCUCACUGUAACCACACUGAAAAGGUGCUUGGUCUUGUCUAAUGCAGGAACAAUGUAUAUUUGGUUGACCUAUGCGUUCUCAUGCAGGAUUUUUAGUAUAUUCAAAGACUAUUUUGUUAUUUUUUAUUUAAUUCCAAGAUUUACAUGCCAUGGCAAAUUAUAAACAAGUCUGCCUGUUCCCACUGUAAGGUACCCAGCGGAUCUUUUCAAAAGAGCUAAAAUCAACUCGGUUUUGGAUUGGCAUCACUCCAACUUACGCCGUGGUGCAGGUAUGCCAUAAAAAAAUUGAUCUGAUACAAUUGUGAGAAUCAUUAUUUUGUACAUGUUUAAUUUGAUUUUGCUGUUAUGCUUCUGACUUGGAAAUUGACAUACAAAACGGCUUAUAUUCCACUGGUUCUAGUUACAAUGUUCCUGGUGAUUUCCACUGGAAAGCUUUUGUUUAUUUUUCUUUCUCAAGAUUCUGAUAAGCUGGUGCUUUUCCAUUUUAUACUCCUUCUUCAGCUGAAUAUGUCAAGAAUACCACAUUAGCACCUGCCCUUGGUCUACCUCUGGAUCCACAAGCAGCUGCUGAGGCCGAGAAAGUUCUGUUUUCAUCCCUGUCAAAGAUAGAGUCUGUGUGGCUUAAGGGAAGUGGCCGGUUCUUGUUAGGUGGAAAUCAACCAUCCAUAGCUGAUCUAAGCCUAGUUUGUGAACUAAUGCAACUGGAGGUACAUAUAUAUGACUCUUCGCUUCUAUGAUAUAAUUAGUAUUGGCUAUGUAACUAAAAAGAAACAAAGAAAGGGAUGUAUUGGCUGCGAUAGAGAUAUAAAUUCUUAGUGAGAGAGAUUUACUCAGAGUUUUGGUAUUAGGGUUUUGAGGCAUGAGGACUUAAUCAAAUUUGAACACAAGGGAAAUAUCUGUGCUGCCUCUCUCCUCCCUUUUCUUUUCCAACACCCAACGACAGGCACACUUGAUCUCACUGUCAGAACAGAGCAAGGUGCUAUAGAGAUGAACAUAACAUGGAUGUAGUAGUGUGAUGGGUUAUGUCUUCUAGGCAGUAGCCAGAAGUCCAACUUGUUUUUAUGGACUAUCGCCUUAUGUUUACUGAUGCUGAAAUGGGAAUCUAACUCUGCAAGGAAGCAUUUCAGCUUCAUGCUCUUACCUUGAUUUUUCCAUGGAUAUAAAGGUUAAUUACAUCAUAAAUUUCACGUGUUUUUUUUAAUGGCUGAAACCUAGAGCAUAAUUUACAGGUGUCUAGGAUUGCAGGCAAUACCUUUUUUGUUCUUGUUCUUAUAUUAGCUGACUGUUUGGGAAGAAAUUUAUUUAAAAAACAUAGAUCUUCUAUAUUUUUUACACUUAUUGAACUGCAAGGUGGGAUUUUUUGUUGCUCUAAAUUUACCUUGAAAUUCUUUCAUAUAAUGCGAGGAAAAGAAUCAAAGAAGUUGCCUCAUGAAGGCAUUCUCAAGUAGAACUUGUUUUUGGCUGUAGGUUUUGGAUGAAAAGGAUUGCAGCCGAAUACUUUGCCCCUACAAGAAGGUUCAGCAGUGGAUGGAGGAUACAAAAAAUGCAACAAGGCCACACUUUGACGAAGUGCAUCAAAUCUUGUUCAAAGCCAAAGUGAAACUGCAGAAGGUACGGUCAAUGAGCACAAACAGUGAGAACUUGAAAACAAAAUUGGCCUCAAAGAUGUAAGAAUUAUUUUGUUUGAUGUCAUAAAUAUACAUAUGAUUAGCAAUCUGGGUUCAUCCUGUAGAGGCUUCAGCCAAGAAUGAUGGUUACUACCAAAUGACUGGAGCAAAUAAUGGGUUGUGCAAGUAAUUGUGACUUGCAAUUUUUUGUAAUAAAAAUUUGGGUUACAAAGAGAUGCUGUAUCACAGACAUCUGAAAAUGCAAUGGACAAAAAGCCUCAUUGUGGAACGUCUUUUGAAUUGAAAAUUGUCACAGCAAUUGUUUAGACUUGUCUGCUAAGCAGUAGUUAUUUCUGGUUGAAAUUUGAUCCAUGCUCUCUUCAAGUGUUUUACUUCUAGAAACUAGGAGUACUAUGUUUUAGUCCAUGACACCAUAUAUGUUUCCAUUCUCCCCGAGGGUAAUUCUCAAUCGUAACUCUUUGAGUUCUUGGCAUCUUUAACUUGCUCAAUCUUUCAUUCCGUGGAGUAGCCACAAAUCCAGAGAGAUCAUAACACAAUGAUCAUAAUGUUAUUUGUAUGCCAAGAAACAGCCAACAUCAUUAAUAGUUCAAGCAACACCUUAAAUUUAUCAUCAAGUUAAUCCUGGGGGUGCGUGCUUGAUCAUGUCUGAGUGUUAUUCUCGUGUUGAUGGCAAUCUCAAGGUAGCAAAACACUUGGCUACAUUUAUUAUAUGCUUGGCACCAAUAUUUCUAUCUGCAAACCUGUGAAAGAAAUCCCGACUUUCACAAGUCUUGCUAUGUUGAUUAUCAUUUGAAACAGGAAGAAAACUCUAAACAUUUCACGCACCAUGUAUAAAAUCUCUCGUCUUUGCUCAUUUUCCUUCACUUUUAAUACCUCAUGCAGCACCAGUCAAUUGGCAACGCUUCCUACAUAUCGUCUACAUAGCUCUCAAUCAAGUCCUGAUCAACUCUUAAUCCCGAUCAAGGUUGUCAAAAACGUUUUUUUAACACGAUACAAAAUACACAAUAUGAACUUGGAUCGUAAACUCGAAUCGUAAAAUCGCAAGAAAAAUAUUUUAACUAAUUAUAUAUUGACAAUUUCAGUCAAGUAGUAAAUAAUAAUAUAACACAAUUAAAAUAAAAGUAAAAUAAACAAUACAAAUAUCCAAAUACCUUAAAAUAUAUAAUUCAAAUAAAAAUUCAUACAUGGUUUAAAUAACUUAAAAAUACGAAAAAAAAAAAGAAAGAUUGAACAACUAUGUUUUAUUGAUAGAGUUUCAGAACAUUUUCUAGAGAACAGAUCUUGAAACACAUUGCAGGCAACUAGUGAGAUGAUACAACAUUCUAAGGUGUAUCACUAACUUUUUUUAAAAAAAUAACAGAGACCAAUACAGUGAACCCGUGAUAACGAGAACAAAAACAUACAAAAUGAUAUCAAUUUAAUCUAAUGCCACCUCACCUUCCACCUUUUUUAUGUUAGUAACAAGUCCUAGAAAUAAUGUCCAAAUAUCCCACCAAGCAAAACAUGUAUUUCGAGUUCUCUUUGAGUCUUUGUCGUUUUUUUUUUGUAGUUAACAAAUGGUUAGUCUAAAACACUAUUUCUCUUUAUAUAAGUAUUCAUAUAUCUUAUUUCACUCAUUUAAUUGAUCACCAUCUACCUCUGUCUUCCCAUGGUUUCGAUCUUCCGAUUAUGCCUUCCCGAUCUAAAAUACAGUUGGACAACGGGGAAAGGGGAGAUUGGGGAGUGAGGACUAUAUAGUGGAGUGUCAGGGGAUUCAGACAUGGAGGUAGUAAAUUUGUUAGCUUUUGCGGGUUAAAACUCGAAAUCGGUCAAACUCGUAAAAUCGAUCCGAUUUUAAGCGAGUUUGAUCGAUUUUGAUCGAGUUUGACCAAUUUCAAGUUUUAAUCCGAUUUGACACGUUAUAUACAUGUUGAAUCGUAAAAUCGUAAGAUUUUAAGAGUCAACUCGUGAUUUUAACAAUCUUGAUCACGAUCUUUAUUCCAUGAAUUUCUAUUUCCUAGAUUUUCCAGUUUCUUGGGCCUUAUGUAAUUCGUCAAUAAGAGAGAGUUCUGAACCACAGUGACUAAAGAGGCAGCCAUGGAGCGGAAAAGGUCCACUAUCCACAGUGUAAACGGAGUCCAGCGCCAGGGAAAAGCGCCCCAGCUGCUAUUGGGAUGCCAAUGACGUUAUACCCCAAAGCCCUAUUUGUAGUUUAAGCCUAUUCAAGAAAACAUGCCGUUCAGACUCUUCAGAGUAUUUUUAUAAAAAUAUUUUUUAAUUUAAAUUUUUUUAAUAUAUAUAUGUAUAUAUAUAUAUUAAUAUUAUUGAAAAAAACCUAAAAAAUUAUUAAUAUAAUAUUUUUUAAAAUAAAAAAAUAAUUUGAAAAAACAGGUUAAAUGUAAAAAAUAAACGCACAUGAACCUAGAUAAGUAUAUAACAGCUAGGCAGUGUUUGGAAACGCGGUUCAACCUGCGUUCUCAAAAAAUUUGAAAGUUUUUUUUUUAUGCUAAAAUUGAGUGCGGUUUGUACUUUUUGGAUCGUUUUGAUGUGCUGAUGUCAAAAAUAAUUUUUUAAAAAUAAAAAAACAUCGUUGGCAUGCAUUUCGGCACGAAAAGUUAUUUAAAAAGCAACCGCUACCACACUUUCAAACACACUCUUAGUACAUCCUCCAAAUUGCUCUUCAAUGGAACUAUGUCAUUGCUUUAGUUUCUACAUCAGUUCUACAUCAACAGGAAUUUCAAUGUUUUGGGUCAGUAUUAAGCUCUUGUUUUCAACUACUAUUUCCUUGUUUCUGACAAUUGCUUUCACUCCAUAGCCAGCAAUGGGCUCAAAUUCUCGUGCUUCAGGCCAGACAGGUCUUCUUCAUCUUCUCUAAUCUUCUUCGCAUACUCCAUGAUAGCCUUAACCAAAUGGUGUUCACUGUUCAUCUGCAAAAGAUAUGCAACCGCAAUGUAAAUUGUUGUUAAAGAACCAUCUCAAUUUAAAAGCUUAAGCUAUUAAGUAAGAUUUAAUAUAUAAUUUGUAUUAUUCUCUAACACAUCCUCUCAAGUGAAAGUCUUUUAAAUUUGAAACUUACACAAAUCCACAUUAUCUUAUACUUAAUUUUUAUCAAAUAAAUAGGGAUAGUGAGAUUUAAACUUAUGACCACUUGGUCAUCAAAGCUCUGAUAUCAUGUCAAAGAACCAACUCAAACCAAUAACUUAAGUUAUUAGGUGAGGUUUCAAUAUAUAAUUUAUAUUAUUCUCUAACACAUUCCCUCAAGUUAAAAGCCUUUGACCUUGAAAUUUGCACAGGUUCACAUUACUUUGUGCUUGAUUUUUUAUUAAAUAAAUGGAAAUGAUGAGAUUUAAACUCAUGACCGCUUGGUUAUCACGGCUCUGAUAUUAUGUUAAAGAAUCAAUUUAACAUAAUAAUUUAAACGGUUAGAUAAAAUUUCAAGAUAUGAUUUAUAUUAAGACUUAAAAGUAGUGACUUCAGGCAAAGUGCAGUAGUUAAACGGAGAAAAGCUUACCCAAGUGGCUGCAAUGAGUUCAUAAAAAUCUCGAAGUACCAUGCUUUUCAACAGUAUUGUUUUGACCACCACUGGUUUUCCAACUGUAAGAGUUCUUGUUUUGUCAAAGACAAUGCAGUUCACCUACAAGAUCAUUAACCACCGCCAUAACAAGUAAUCUGUGAAGAUCCAGAAUUUGUAAAUAGAAAUUGAAUAUUCUGGUUAACCUUAUGUUCCCUUUCUAAUGCUUGACCCCCUUUGAUUAAAACACCUUGAGAUACUCCAACUCCUGUACCAACCAUAGCAGCAGUCGGAGUGGCUAAUCCAACUCCUGUACCCUUGUAUUUUUUGGUUUCAAAGCUGGAGGACUCUUAGUGAGAGGUAGUGGCUAUAGGGAAAGGCACUUCUUAAAUGGGUUGUGAUUCAGGAUCCAAGGGUGAGUGGGGGUGAUGAUCUUGUUUGAUUUAAAAAGGAAGAAAAAGAUAGAAUUUAGCAAUGAUUCUUGAGAAAAUUCAAUUUUCAGGGUCCACCAUUGUCUAAGUUGUACUAGAAUUGUUCUUGCUGUUUUCUUUCUUGUGUGAUUUGAAGAGUUGAAUACAGCCAAUGGAAACUCCAUCACUCCAUGAGAAAUAAUUCUGUUAGGAACAAAGAAACAAUUCUUCGGCUAAAUUCUAUCUCACUCCUCUACGCAGAACAAAGUAGAACCAAACACUUGGCUGCAAACCCUGGUGGUUUUAACAAAUUGUGUUGCCUAUCCAAGCUACUUCUAAAGAAAUAGCAACUCUUGAAAGGGGCUAAGCGGCCACCAUGGUUUGGUGGUGAUAAUACCGUUACUGGUUUUGGCUCUUGCGCCAAGUCUAUACCUAGCAAAAACAAUUUAGUUUCUUGAUCUGGAAAAGGGUAGGUUUGAAGCCUUUCCAUCCUCAUGUUUUGUAUGAAUAUUAAAGAGGAAAGUUUGGUUUACAGCCUGGACUUUCUCCCUUUGUUCAUAUAGAAAUAGAUGCUGAGCAAUAUCCUACAAUGUUUUCAUUUAGUGCUAAGUGGCUACGAAAACGAUAUCCAAGUUUGAUAUUAUAUUCAAGAUUUUCACAGAAAACAAGUGGAUGCCACCUUGUCCAUGUUUCUAUUAUCUGUUGCUGAUUAAGAACGUUUCCUGUCCAGAAUAAGAAAAGAUAACAAUGACAAUGCGAAACCUCCACGUAACAUUUAUCAAUACCCUGUACCUUAAGAGGGUAUUUGAGUGUGUUUGGAGGUUGUUUUCAAGGUAUUUUGUUUUUAGAAAUGUAUUAAAAUAAUAUUUUUUUAUUUUUUUGAAAAACAGAGUUUGUAACGGAAUCCAAAUCAGCCCUAAUCUAUACAGAUUACAUUACAGACAAACAACAAAGAGUUUGAAUGAGACAAGCACAAAAUGACUUAUAAUGCGUCAGAAAGGACUUUUCGCUUGCCCCAAACGACUAGCUUCUGCUUAUCAACAUUUCUGAUCACUUGCUGCUGAACCCAACAAUUGCAGUGGAAACAUGAUGGACUUGCCACAGUUUUUAGUAUUUCGUCUGGCUUUUGGUUACAACCAUUUGUUAUCAAUCAAUGGCACCUGUAUUUUCAUCUGCAAAACUGUGAAAGAACUUUCAGAUUUACAUUAGUCUUUCUAGGAUGAUUAUCAUUAAAAAGAAAAGACCAAAACAAACCGAUGAUUUAUUUCAUGCAUCAGAAAAGCUUUCUUUCUUGCUGACCUUCCUAAAUGCCUUUAUUUAAUACUUAAUACUUGCAUAGAUAUUCAAGAAGCGUCGAAAACGCAUAACACCACUGGCAAAAUAUUUAUAUAUAGAACACCUACACUGCUCAGGGAAGACAUGCUUGAGCUUAUCGCGAGGCAAAUUCCACCCCGGUACAUUUUUACAUAAAACUGAAUCAAAACCAUUGUGAGUGAUCACUCAAUCUUUAUUCCACCAAUAUCUAGAUGUUCCAGCUUCUCGGGCCUUCUAUAAUUCUUCAACAGGAGUGAGCACACAACAACACUGACGGAAGAGGCUGCCAUUGCAGCUCCAGCAAUCCAGGGUGGUAAACGAAAUCCAGUGCCCGGAAAAAGGACCCCGCCAGCUAUUGGGAUGCCCAGGAGGUUAUACCCCAAAGCCCAAAUGUAGUUCAAGCGAAUUCGGGAAAAGGUUUUCCGGGAGAGGUCUAUGGCAGUGAUCACAUCCUCAAGGUUGCUCUUCAUUAGAACUAUGUCAGCCGCCUCUAUAGCAAUAUCUGUGCCUGCACCAAUUGCCAUACCAACAUCUGCUGCAACGAGUGCUGGUGAAUCAUUUAUACCAUCACCUACCAUUGCCACUAUAUAGCCUGCAGCCUGUGAAAGAAAGAAAUUAAAGCCAGGAAACAAUCUUCAUAGCUAAUAAAUUCUAGGAGGAAAGGAAAAGUAAAGCUUCGGAUAAGUACCUGCAAUUCCUUCACUUUCUCUGCUUUCUGCUCAGGCUUGGCUUCUGCGAUAACAGUUUCAAUCCCAACUUCCUUGGCAAUCGAAUUAGCAGUUCCCGAAUUAUCACCUGUGACCAUGAUGCUCCUAACUUUCAUGGACUUGAGAAUGGAAAUGACUUCGUGAGCACCUGGUUUCAAUGGAUCUGAUAUGGCUAGAACUCCAGUCACUUCCCUAUCAAUAGAUACUAAAAUCCCAGUUUGAGCCAUCCCUUCAGUUUCUGCAAGCAUUUCUUCUGCAUCAAUUGGAAUGGGGAUGUUGUGUUCCAACAUCAAGCUUUUAUUUCCCACUAUCACUUCCUUUUUUCUGACAAUAGCCUUCACUCCGUGGCCUGUAAUUGACUGAAAAUUUUGUGCUUCUGGCCACAUAGGGUUCUCUUCAUCUUCUCUGAAUUUCUUGGCAUACUCUACAAUGGCCUUGGCCAAUGGGUGCUCACUGUUUACCUGAUGUGGAUGCAUAUACACCAACUUCAUCAAUGUCCAUCACACAAUAAGCAGAUAGUUGAUCUUAAAUUCUCUAAACUUCAGUAGUCACUAGAAUGACAAGAGCUAGAUUGUAUUUUUAAGCAGACAAUCUUAACAGUGAGUUAAUAAAGAGAAAGCUUACCUCAGCAGCAGCUAUGAGUUCGUAAAAAUCUCGCAGUACCAUAUUUUUCAAGAGUCUUGUGUUAACAACCACAGGCUUUCCCAUCGUCAGAGUUCCUGUCUUGUCAAAGACAAAGCAAUUCACCUGCAAAAUCAUUUAUCAGCAAAGGAGUUACUGAGAGGCCCGUGCCUCAUUUACAGUAUUUCUCAGAUCUGGAAAAAAAAAUUUAAUAACUCGAACAUAUUUCGAUUUCAAUCAGGUUGGGAGAUAUGGUCACGAAGCAAUAUGUGAAUCCUUCAAGACAAUGCCUAUAAAAUUAUCAGGUUUGGUUUAUAGAAAAUUGAAAUUUCUUGCUAACCUUAUGUGCGCUUUCUAAUGCUUGGCCACCUUUGAUUAGAAUGCCCUGAGAUGCACCAACUCCAGUACCAACCAUGACAGCAGUUGGAGUUGCUAAUCCGAGAGCACAAGGGCAGGCUAUGACCAUAACAGAGAUGCCGAGUUGGAGAGCAAGCUGAAAACUAUCCAUGGACUUUGGUAUCCAAGAGUCUGGAUAUCCAUGGAACUUUCCAGCUAAAAACCACGCAAGCCAGGUUGAAAUGGAAAGAAUAAUAACCUGCAAACAUUCACAAGUAAUUAACAAAUAUAAUGCUUAUACAGAAAACUGGUGGCAUGAAUUUAAUGACGAAUUUGAACGUUGUCUUUUGUACUUACAAGAGGCACAAAGUAUUUGGAGAUACGAUCAGCAAACUUCUGUACAGGAGCUUUAGCCAUCUGAGCUGACUCAACGAGUCGAACAAUCUGUGAAAGAGCACUCUCCGAUCCCACCCUCGUUGCCUUAAUAUGCAACACCCCAUUCUCAUUCACAGUCCCACCAAUCACCGUGUCACCUUUCCUCUUUGCCACUGGCCUUGCUUCUCCUGUUAUCAUGCUCUCAUUUACAUGGCUCUGCCCCCAAAUAACAAAACCAUCUGAAGCUGCUUUUGCACCAGGUAUGAUCUUAAUCACAUCAUUCCUUUGUAUCAACCGACUAUCAAUUUCUUCUUCACUGAUCACAUUUCCUUCAUCAUCUAAAGUCAACAAUAUUGCGGUGUCAGGUGUCAAGUUCAUAAGCUUGGCAAUGGCGUCAGAUGUCUUUCCCUUAGCCAGAACCUCAAGAUACUUCCCAAGAAGAAUGAAUGAGAUAAGCAUUGAGCUAGUCUCAAAGAAAUCUGUGGACUCAAAAUCUGUAGAGGAAGCAGCUCUCAACACCGAAUAGACUGAAUAAAAGUAGGCUGCAUUUGUUCCUAAGGCGAUCAACACAUCCAUAUUAGCAGAACCAUGCCUCAAUGCUUUAUAGGAACCUGUAUAGAAUCUCCGGCCUACAAUGAACUGCACUGGAGUAGAUAGAACCCACCUCAAGAUUGCUCCUAUAGAUAGCAUAUUGACUAAUUUGGUGUCUAGAGCAUGCUUAAUUCCAGGGAUAUACAUAAAAAUCAUGGCUAUUAAGAACACUGGAACUGUGAAAACCAAACUCCACAGGAAGGACCGGUAGUAUUGCUUAAUUUCCUCUUUUCUAUGGCUUUCUCUUCCUCCUCCUUCAGGAAAUAUCAUUGCCUUGAAUCGCCCUGUCCCCGUUGAUUCAAUCACUUUGAUAAAAUUUCUAGGACCAGUUACAUCUGGUUUGUAAGAAAGGGAGAUUUUGUUCACUUCACAAUCUAUGUCUAUACUUUGAACACCAGGGAGUGCCUGAAGAGAAUUUUCAAUCAUUCUCAUCGAAUUAUGUGUUCUUACACCAUCAACUUUAAGCCCUAUCUUGCCCAUGUCUUCACCAGUACUAAGAAGUACAGCUUCAAAUCCUGUGUCAUUUAUCGCUUCUAAGAUCUGAUUGCAGCUCAGGAUCUUAGGAUCAUAAUGAACUUCUGCUUCUUCGGUUGCUAAGGCUACUUGAGCUUUUUGCACACCUGGAAUUGCUUGCAAAGCUUGUUCAACAGUAGAGGAGCAAGAAGUGCAAGUCAUUCCAUUAAUACGAAUUCGGCAAACUUGAGUGGAUUUAUCACUGGUUUCUUCUUGAAUCAAUGUGGCCUCAAAUCCAGCAUCUUCAAUAGUCUCACGAAUGGUUUCUUCCUGUCAUUAUCAGAUUACUUAAGACAGGUAGGGAGUGCUUUACUGCUAUAAACUAUCAGUUGGGGCAACUUGACAUAGCAGUGCAGGUUAGUGAAAUGCGACGUCAGAUUGUUGAAACGUAGAAGGAACGCUAGACAUGUUUAUAUUCCAUUUAUAGCUAGCUAGUUAAUAAGGUAUGCUUGUAAAUAUGCUAAUUGCAUGAUACAACUACUAUCUUGAAAGAAGAAGGUGGUAUAUUGCCACUAAAUAGUGUAACAUGCAAUAUGGAAAGUUGUUGAUAUCAAAUUUGAGGCCACCCCUGGAAUUGAAGAGCUUUCCAAACCAAGUAGUCUGUGUUUCAUUUCCACUAUCAAAUGACCCAAAAUUUGUUCGAUUUUGUUAUUGUUUACAAAUCUGAAGGUUGGGAUAUGGGAUUCAGACAUUCUAAGAUGACAUGGCCUCAACCUUAAAUAAAUUUGUCUUCUAAUUCACAUAAUUAAUUAAGCAAGAACUCACAGAUGGUAUUAACUAGGAAAAAACUAGUUGCAGAAUACUAUAAGAUUCUAAAGAAGCACUAAUUAUCAAAGUCCCUCAUGCCUUUCACUUUCCUUAAUCAAAAAAUUAGAAGAAUUUCAAUUGCUUUUACUUCACGCAUGCAACAACAAAAGAAUAUUUUUCGAAAAAAAAACCACAGAUAAUUCAAGAUAAGGACCAAAACAAAGUAUAAAGGAUAACUUACAGUAACAAAACUGGGGUAGAACAGAACUUGAGCCUUAUUAUUCAAGACAUCAACAACAGCCUCUCGUAUUCCGGGAAGCCUUUUGACAGCCUUCUCAACAGAUCCAGCACAAGCAGCGCAUGUCAUUCCCAGAACACAAAACACUGCCUUUGCCUCUGAUCCUUCCACGUUCGUUUCUUGACCCGAAACCCCUUUCGGGUACUUGGGCAUCGAAGGAUACCUUGGCCUUGGCGAUAAGUCCCCAUAACUCUCUUUGCGUAUGCAGGCUAGUGCCAAGAGCUUCGUUGCCAUCAAACGAAGUGUAAUGUUUUUGUCGACCUACGUUCUCCUUCAACUCCUGCACGAGAAGUUAUAAAUAUAUAGGUGAUUUUAUUAUUAUUAUUAUUCUAGGUGCUUGUAUGAUAUUCAGGUAAAAUAUUUUUUAUUUAAAAAUAUAUCAAAAUAUCUUUUUUAAUAUUAACAACUCAAAUUAUCAAGAAACACUAGGAAAAAAACAACUUAAUUUUUUUUUUUUAUGUUAAACAAGUUUUUAAAAUACGUCUGUUAAAAACCAAACACCAAACAGUAUCGAAAUCUUUUAAAAGAAGAGUUCUGAAAUGGGAGAAACUAUUUAUAGGCAUGCUCAGUGGGGUUAGCCAAAAGUUUGCUCGAUUGAGAAGGAGAAAUUUGAAUUUGUAGUGGCUAAUUAAUUAGCAACUAAUUAAGAAUCUAAUGGGGCGACAUGUUUUUUUUUUUUAAUUAACAUGAGCAUCUAGAUUAAUUUAUAUAUAUUUUAACUCUAAAAAAUCAUGUUAAAAACUCUAAAAAUAUUUAAAUUUAUAAUUAUUAAAAAAUAAAUUCAAAACUCAACUAAUUGUACUACCUUCAUUGUGUCAUAAAGGAUUUUUUUAUUAAUGUAAGAUGGGUGGAUUUUUGUAUUAAUGUAAGAUGGGUGGUUUUAUAGUCCUACCACGAACUCUGAGUCUCUGACUUAAAGCAGAUGAUGUCGUGAAAAUCAUUGUUGCAGAAAUAUAUCCAUUGAAAGUGGAUUUGCACUAGUGGAAAUAGUGAAAUAUUACACAGUUAUAUUAAUCAAAUUAAACAACAAUGACAAAGAUUUGAUUCAUUGUAUGUAUUCACAUGAAUCAGGUUCUGUAAUGAUAGAACAAAAAAAUAAUAAUAGAAGAAAAAACGUUGUUCUUUACUUCCUUAAUUAUGAUCAAUCCAUCAUGAUCCUCGUUUUCUAUAUUAUUAUUUUUACAUUAAAUUUAUAAUGAGUUUUAAAAACACAUUUUAAAUGUUAUUUAUGGUUUUUAUUUACAAGUUUUCAGAGAUUCCCAAAUGAAAAAAAAAAAAACAAAUUUUUUCCUUUAUAUACAAGCAUUUUUUAGCAAUGUAAAAUAAUUUUUAUAUAUAUAUAUAUAUAAAUUUCAUUUAGUUAGUGGGGUAUUUUUCCUUUGUAACACAUUAAUAUUUUUCAAGAAUUUUGGCAAAACAACAAUGACAAAAAACUCCUUUUGAAAAAUAGCAUAGUUUUGACAAAGACAAGAUUAAGAAUAAUAAUUUUAACAAAGACGCAAUUAAAAAUAGUGACUUUCACCAUAAAAACUAAACUGGAAAUUAACUCUAACCCAAAUACAAACCUUAAUGAAUAAAAACCAAACACUAACCCUAAAAGCAAACACUAAUCAAUAAUUCUAAAACAAACCCUAACUAAGAGAUUUAAAAGAAUUUUACUUGAUACAAAGAAAAACUGAGAAAUAAAUGAUAACUAGAAUUAAACUUUAUAUUGAUAGUGCAACCUUAACGGUUUAUUAGACCAAAAAUGUUAAGUAAAACUAAUUUUUUUUAAUUGAUUUCGUGGUUGAGUGUAUUUUUUGAGCAACUUUUGUGUCCCAGAACUGAAUCCAUCUUCACAAUUCAAUAUUAAAAGACCUAUAUAUGGAACUAAGAGAUUUAAAAGAAUUUUACUUUAUGUAUAUAAUUAACUUGAUCUUAGUUUUGAUCUUUGAUAGCUAAAAGGAGCUGGUUGCAUCUCCCUAGUUAUUAUAUCAACUCCGUAAAUCAAGUAAAAUAGGAUAGCAUGACUUACCAAUUUAAUUAUUUCUACCAUUGAAGGAUGCAAGCAUACUAGUUAAUUAUAAGUAAAUGCACCGGAAAAUAUUAAUUAAAUUUAUACAUGCAUGAGUAAUUUGUGCAGUGUGAAUUAUGCACUCAAAAGGAAUAAUUAUGAAAAAAGAAGAAGAAGUAGAAACAAUAUGUGUGGUGUAUGGAGAGAGAGACUUUACUUGGAAGAAAUCAUGGAUGCUUUAAACUCCGAUACGCAGUCUGCACACCAAGCAAUGAUUUAUAUAGUGACUUGAACCACCAAUUAAUUCUUGUUAAAUAAAUUAAUUUACAAGACGUACGAAGGAGCUUUACAAUGUCACCCCGUGGACUUUACAAAACCUCGUAUUAUAUUUAUAAGUUCUUGUAAAUAUCUGAUACAAAUUGCUUACGUACCAAGCAUUGAUUUAUAUACAAAUUGCUUAACGAUAGCGAUCAAAAUUUAAUAUAUGUUUAGUAUUGUGGUAUAAAAAGUUAUUUUUAAAAAAAUAUUUUUUACUUAAAAAUAUAUUAAAAUAACUUUUUAUUUUUAAUAUUAACAUAUCAAAACAUCAAAAUUCACUAAAACAAUAAUUUAAUAUUUUUUAAAAUAAAAAUAUUUUAAAGUAGCUUCAACCACGGUUUUAACUGUAAUUUUAAACAAUCUGUUUUAUUAAUAAUGGCAGUAUCUCGUAGAAAACGAACAGUACUAGCAGUUGAAUAACUAUAUAAGAGUUGUUAAAAGUCUGCAUCAUAAAAUAAAAAAUAAAAAAUAAAAAAAGUUCAGAAAAAAUGGACGAAACUCAAAUGGAGAAAUGUGUCAUGAUAACUAAAAUUAUGAAUCCCAAGUUAGUUUCUAACACAAAAAAAAAAAAAAAAGAAGAAGAAGAAGAAGAAAAAGGCAUCUAAAUUAUAAAUGUAUUUUCUGAUAUCAUGAAAUUUAUUAAUAAAAAAAUAAAAAAAUAAUAUCCACGUUUAAUAAAAUAAAUUAAAAAAUAUAAAAAAAUCAAGAUAUAAAAUGAUAUCAACAUAACUUUGGAGGAUGGAAUUUUUAUACCAAUCACGUUGGCUGUUGCCUCAAAAUCAUUAUAACUGGAAACACAGAAAUAAUGUUACAAUAACUUUAUUUCACUAAUUCUCGAUAUUUGAUAUAGUAAAAUAGUGUAAGUUCAUGUUUCAUUAAACUUUCCCACAUGGAUUAGGCUUGUUUUUCCGGUGAAAAGGUGAAAAAAUGUUUUUGAGAAAAUUAAAAAAAAAUAUAUUUUAAUUCUUUUUAUAUUUUCAAAUCGUUUUACAUUAAAAAAAAUUUUAAAAUAAAAAAUUAUAUAUUAUUUUAAUAUAUUUUCAAGUAAAAAAACAUUUUUAAAAAAAAUAUUAUUACAAUAUAUACUUUUAAUUAUGCAUGUAACAUCAAUUGAUAAACAAGCAUUAAUGUAGUAAUAAUUUACUUUGAAAACAGAAGUAUAAAACCUCAAGUUGAAAAGAAUGAAAAAAUUCUAAUUUAAUUACUUGGUAUUUAAUGUUGAUUUUGCUUUUGUCUGACUCAUUUAUUCCAAAGACAAUUCAUUACUUUAUAUUUUGCAAAAAAAAAAAAGAGUCACCCUCUGGAGAUGCAAAACAAAAAUCGAUAAGCUGACAAAAGGCCGUGUGUGUGUGUACAGACACUUACAUUAUUAAUCCCAACCAUACCACGUAACUUGACAAAUUACUUACUGCACAAUACUAUUUUUUAGUUUUCUGCUGUCACCAUUUCUUAUUAUGCCAUGGCGUCAACUGUACACUGUUUGAAUAAUAAUCAUAAUAAUAAUUAUUUUAAUAGAUAAUUAUUGAAACAGGAUAACCUGUUGCGUUUUUUUAAUGGAAAGCUGACCACAUUUUAUAUACACUGUUUCUCUUUUAACUCCUUAAAAUUUGGAUGGUGAUGUGGGAGCCCAAGAAAUUCAAUCAUGUGGCAUAUCUGUUAUAAAAAAUAGUGUAUAAACUUUAAAUCUGCAUUGUAAAGGUAUUUUGUAAUCCCAGCACAGUUUAACAAAAAAAAUUGAGAUAUAUUUAAAAAUAUUAUAUUUUUAACAUAUCUGUUAUAAAAAAUAGUGGUAGUUUAAAAAAUUAUUUCUGAAUCAAAUUAAUUAAUGGUUAUAAAUAUCAAUUUAAAUUUUCAUAAAAAUUUAAUGGCUAAGAAAUGAAAUUUAAUAUCUAAUGGCCAAGAAAAAAUCGGUUAAUAGGGACUCAUUAGAGCUCUGUUUUUUACAUAUUCAGUAUCAUUAGAAAGAUCUCGACAAAACAAUUCUAAUCAUACCUUAAAAGACCAUCAAAUAUGGUUCUAAUUUUCUAGUAAUUUUGUUUAGGGUUAAUUGCGACCUCGUUUAGUGGUUUUCUAAGAUGUAGUUAAAAUUAUUUUGUUAAGAUUUUUCUAACAAUAAUAAAUAUAUUAAAACGGAUCCUUAAUAUCUCCUUGAUUAUGAUUUUUUUCUUCUUCUCUCUCCUGUUCUUCAUUUUAUUUUCGUGGUUAUUGAAUUUUGAAUCUUAUCUUUUAAAUAUUUGAUUUUCAUAAAAAUUUUAAUUGAUUUUUGAUAAAAUUAAUUAUUAAAAAAAGUAAAUAUCAUAAUAUAUAAUUUUUAUUCUCAAUAUCGAUUAUAUAUAGAAUUGAUACUAAGAAAUUCUGUUAUGUUCAAUCAUUAUUUUCAAUAAUACAUUUGUACAGAAUUGAUAUUAAAAAACAAGAUUGUGUUCAAAUUAUGUUAUUUUCCCAUACUUUCCAAACCCGUGUUAUCCUCCUAAAAUUUUUACCAAACCAUGUAAUUUCCUUUUUUAAAAUAAAACUCCUUGGCUAACAGUACUUCGAAAUAUUGCAACCCAAGUCCCUAUUAUCACUUUCUGUCAGCAGCUUUAACUUUAGAAGCCCCCAUUUUGCUGUCCUUUGUUCAACCAGAACCCAAAACUUUCAUCGAUUUGCAAGUUUUGCGAGGCUAGCCCAUAGCGCAGACCUGAGUGCAGCCAUAUUCAAAACCCGGUGUCCAAAAUGCAAUGCAAACUAAUUGUGUAACUCGAAGCCCAAUUCCUGCUGCUAAAAAAGUAUAGAAGGAAAGGAGAAUAGCAUCAAAUAGUUCUGUACCAGAACUGCGCCCCCUAGUUGCAUUCUUUUCUAAAAACAAAUGAUGUCAACAUGCUAUAAAUGUAUUUUAAAAUUAGAUGAAAAAACAAUUAUGACUUGAUUUAUAGACCGAAUGAAUCAAAUAAGUUUACUUAAAUGAUAAAAAAAAGUUAACUCAAAAUUGUUUUUCUGAAAAAGAACAGACAUUUAGCUCAAUUCCCAUCUGAUAAUAAUUAUUGAACUUAAUAAUAAAAAAAAAACCCACUGAGCCUGAUAACCAAUUUAAUGGACAAAACCAUCAUUAUACUACUUCAAUAAACAACAACCAUGAGUAUGUAUAAACAGUAUUUUUUCAAUUCCUUACUAGUUUCUUUUAAUCUUAUUGAAAUCAGCCACAAAUCAGAACUAAUUUGUAUUUUUUUAAAAAAAAGAUCUUUCUAAAAAUUCGAAAUUGCCAUGAUGUUAUUGAAAAUAUACAUGGAUUAUUUAUGCUAACAUUGAUAUGAUUAGUAAUUUAGCUUCUUAGCAAAAAUCCAAAUAUUGGUUGAUUAACACAUAGAUGUGAUGUGGUGAUUAACAAAUUAUACACGAAUGGCUUCAACUAUUGAACACAGUGUGGACAAGUGGCCAACUUGAGUUGGGCUAUCGAGAGGCAUGUCAUAUCCAUUGAGGUUCAUGCUUUGGUGCGUAAGCGCUUACGUUUCUCUACACUGCAAGGAGAGGUUUCCACGAAUCCCAGCCACCACAUCUUUCCAGGUUAUUUGAAUUUCCAUGGCCGGCGCUGAUUUAGUACCUCUUUCUCUUCUAUUUUUGACCACGACCCAAGGUUUAGCUUAGCGGUGGAAAGUAGACUACUGGGUUUUAAAGUUUUAUAUUUUAUAUAUAUAUAUAUAUAUAUAUAGAAAUGGAUUAAAAUAAUAUUUUUAUUUUAAAAAAAUUAUUUUUAAUAUCAAUAUAUUAAAAUAUCUAAAAAUAAAAAAAAUACUAAUUUGAAAUAAAAAACUUUUUAAAUUUUUAAAACUAAAAAAAAAAGCAUAGAUAUUGAAGGAAUAAAGUCUCGGAAGCUAUAAUUAUGCGUCCGCAAAGCUUAAAAGAGACGUAAGGAUCGAAAGUUUAUAGCUGAUGGCUUAUGAAGUAGAAGAAUAAUGUGGAAUUGAAACCCACCUUAGCUGAUGGCUUAUAAACAUUUACACAAUUAUAAAUCACAUCAAAUGAUGUAGAGACAAGGAUAGGGUGCCGAAAAUAAUGCGAUACAUAUCUCAAUAUCUACUAGUUAAUACUUUUUUUUUAGAAAUAUAAAAAAUAAAUAUGCAAGUUUUUUAAAUUUAUUUUUUUAAAAAAUUCUAAUUAUGAAAAGUUUAUGAAAACUAUUUGUGUCAAUAAAUAAAUAAAAAAACAAAAAGUCUAGCUGUAUUCAUAUUUUAUUAUAUAUAUAUAUAUAUUAAUGUAUUGACAUUAAAUUUAUAAGAAUAUGUCUAUAUGUAUAUAUAUUAUGACAUUUUAUUUUUUACCGAAGGCGUGGGCGCCUGAAGUUUCUAAAAAAGAGCUCUUCUGAUGUGGCGGGCUGGUGUAACAUACUGCAGGUAAAGGAGGAACAGUCGGCAUGGCCAUUUCCGAAACAAGUCAACAGCUUGAUAGAAUAAAACUUUUCUUUUAUUUUUCUGAAAAUAACAACACAUUAUUUCAACCACGUCACAUUUCUCCAUUAUGCUUAAAAUAAGAUACGCUUGUGCCAGAUGAGCCUCCGCCUCCCAGACCGUUCAAAAUCUAACCGUAAAGGUCCCUCCACGUGUAAGAAGAAAGUCAGGCAUCCUCAAACUGACCGACUCUUUUUCCUACGUGUAAUCCCUUCUCUCACCUAUGACCUACCUACCUUCCCAGUUACAACCUCCACCUCACACCACUUCCCAUUUAUAAAAUCCCUCUCCUUCGUCACCACCCAACACGCUCUCUGUCAAUUAAAACAUUCACUUCUAAGUUAAAUUAAAUCAAUUUUUUUGAUCCGUAUACACAAAGCUAAAGAAAAUGGAGUCCCUCACUCUGACUGCUUUGUUAAACAAAUCAGCCAAGGAUUUCCCAAAUCGUCGCGCUGUAUCACUCUCUGGCAGACUCGAUUUAACACACGCUCAAUUGCAACAGAUUGUCGAUCAUGCCGCCUCUCUUCUUAUCUCCGCCGGCAUCAAUCCCGGUGAUGUCGUCGCUCUCACCUUCCCCAACACCAUCGAGGUACUGUCGAUUAUGUUUUCCUUUUGCAGAUCCAAAAACUGUACAAAACGUUUUUUUUUUUAAUUUUCACUCAUUAUUUACUCUAUGCAGUUUGUGGUCAUGUUUCUGGCUGUAAUUCGUUGCCGAGCCACAGUUGCGCCGUUAAACCAGGCUUACACAGCCGAGGAGUUCGAGUUUUACCUCUCCGACUCAGAAUCAAAACUCCUAAUCAUGCCACAAGAGCCAAUCCUACCGGCACUAACCGCGGCUUCUAAGCUCAAAAUCCCUCACGUGACAUCCACGCUUGACUUCCAAUCCAAAAGAGUAACUCUCUCAACCGAGUCAGAAUCAGUACCCGACGCUAUUGAUGGUGUAGUGAACGACUCAUCUGACGUGGCUUUGUUCUUACACACUUCUGGCACCACGAGCCGGCCCAAAGGCGUCCCUUUGACUCAGCUGAAUUUGGCCUCUUCGGUUUUGAACAUAAAAUCGGUUUAUAAACUCACCGAGUCUGACUCCACUGUCCUCGUUUUGCCGCUAUUUCACGUGCAUGGAUUAUUAGCUGGGUUGUUGAGCUCGCUAGUGGCUGGAGCCGCCGUGGCUCUUCCAGCCGCCGGGAGAUUUUCUGCUUCAACAUUUUGGAAAGACAUGGUUUCAUAUAAUGCCACGUGGUACACUGCAGUCCCGACAAUUCAUCAAAUUAUUCUUGACCGCCAUGUCAGCAAGCCAGAGCCGGCUUACCCCAAGCUAAGGUUUAUCAGGAGCUGUAGCGCUUCUUUGGCGCCGGUUAUCAUGGAACGGCUAGAGGAGGCCUUUGGCGCACCGGUUUUGGAGGCUUAUGCAAUGACUGAGGCAGCUCAUUUAAUGGCUUCCAACCCGUUACCCGAAGAUGGCCCCCAUAAACCCGGGUCGGUCGGACGACCCAUUGGGCAGGAAAUGGCCAUUUUAAAUGAGAAUGGGGUGGUUCAACCGGUUGGAGUUAGUGGCGAGGUGUGUAUUAGAGGGCCUAAUGUGACCAAGGGUUAUAAGAAUAAUCCUGAAGGCAAUAAGGCUGCUUUUCAAUUCGGGUGGUUCCAUACAGGGGAUGUCGGUUUUCUUGAUGAGGAUGGAUUUUUGCACCUCGUCGGUCGGAUCAAGGAGCUUAUCAACCGUGGAGGUAUGUAUGCACAUUUUAGUUUUGCUCUAUAAUUAGUGCUCUAGUCAAUAAAAUAAAAAUACGUCCCCAGAAUCAAAUUUUGAACAAGAGAAAUAAAUUUUAGCAUUGUUAUCGUGUGCAUGGCAGGGCAUCACAGAGCACGGUCAAGAUGUUUCAGCUGUGAUCAACAUUAGUAGUUCUCUACGAGCAAAAUGUGCAUUAAACAUCAAAUUAUGUGUCUAGUCAAAAUAACAAUAAUAAUAAAAAAAUGCUUUUGAUAUGGAAAGUUCAUAUUCCAAAAUGCAGAUUCUAGAUGGAUUUGCUGUUCUAGAAUUAGAUUGCUUGCUUGUCAUCGAAACCUGAGCGUUAUUAAAAGUCGAAAUGUGUGAACAUGAAGGAAGACGUCGAGUUUAAAACUAAUUGACCAGCUAUUUGCUGGAAUUCAUCGGUUCAAUUUUGCUGAUAUUGUGAUUUGUUCUUGUGUUUUCAGGGGAGAAGAUAUCACCAAUUGAAGUGGAUGCAGUUCUUUUGUCUCAUCCUGACAUUGCUCAGGCUGUCGCCUUCGGAGUUCCAGAUGAAAAAUAUGGUGAAGAGGUAAGGAAUCGUUAUACUGAAGUCAAACCUCAUUGCAGUGGACCACAUCUUGCGUGUGUGAAUUCCUAAUUCUUGGCUUAACUUGACAUUUUGUUUUCUUUACUUGCAGAUAAAUUGUGCCAUAAUUCCAAGGGAAGGAUCGAACAUUGAUGAAGAUGAGGUGCUCAGCUUCUGCAAGAAAAAUCUUGCAACCUUCAAGGUUCCCAAGAAGGUAUUCAUCACUGAUUCACUCCCGAAAACCGCCACCGGAAAGAUUCAGCGCAGGCUUGUAGCGGAGCAUUUUCUUGCUCAAAUCUCCACCGCUAAAGUACCCAAGUUUGGAGCUUAAUUAAUCAGCUAUUAAUUCUCCAUUCUUUAAACGUUUUAAUUACUCGUACGUUCAUAUUGGUUAAUUACAGCGGACAUGACACGAUUAGUUCUGUCUGCUACCAUUUUUAUUGUCCCACAAUGGUUUGCUAUUAAAUAUAUAGCACCCACCGAAAUUACUUUCUUUUAUACAUGUAUACAAAUUUUUAGCAAAACUUUUGCAGUUUAUUAUAUGCCAAUAUCAUGUUGGCAAGCUAAUGUCAACAUGUUACUAAUGAAACCCCCAAAUUCAGAUUUAAAUGCUUCCUGUACUGCUUUGGCCAGUGUCCUGUGUUCAUGAGAUACGCCAUCAUUCUUGCUUUCUGUAUCUUGGACGCACAUAUGAAGCCUUGUGUUUUAAAAAUCUUUCAGAGCUCCUAUCCAAAUUGGAGGAAAAGGAACAGUGCUAUUCAUUGUGCACCUUUUCUUUUCGUAAUCAAACUUUUUUUUUUUUUAGUUUUAUUAUUUCAAGAGUGAGAAAACAGUCUAGUACGAUCUAAAAAGUAUCCCUCGUUGUCUUCUUGCCUGACAGCUUUUGAGGUCAUCAUCACCACGCCAACCUAGUAGCUUCAUCUAACAAUCCACAAUUCUCUUUUUUUAGCUAGCUGGAGCCGGUCUUUCUUUAUUUUAUAAUAUGCUAAGAAAGAAGUGAUUGUCCAUAAUAGAGAAAGAUUACUCCUACAUUCCCAGAAAGGAUUAUAGUGAUGGCUCCAGUUCUAUCUGUUGUGAAUUUUAUCCUGUACAGCUCAAACAAACACCUAAAUACUACUCGAAAUGAAUAUGUGCAAUAAAAUCUUCUUAUUUCAAUGAUUCAAAAAUCCUCUACAAAGAUAUGAUGAUAUAAAAAAAAAAAAAAAACCAGCAAACUGUUCUUUGUAGUAAUAUAAGUUGAUCUAUUUAUCUCUUGAUGUUUAUUGUUACAGCCUUUCAAAUCAUUUAUUUAUCUAUUUUCUCUCUUUGAUUUGGUAUUUUUAUUUAUAUGGAAUACAACUUUAUUGAUGUUUUCUGUAUUAUUGAUUGGUAGAAACCUCAAAUUCAUACUAGAAUGACGAUGAUUCAAUAAAAUUAUUAAAUUAACCAAGUACAAGGAUUUCUUGAGUAAGAACUUAUAUAUCAUCACUUUGAAUAAAUAUAUGACAAAAAAUCCAAAGAAAGAUUUAUCAUUUGAUCAAAAUAAAAUAGACAGAGAAAAUCUUUCAAGAGUUUCUAAUUCUUUGAAAUUAUUAAGAGUCUGUUUGUGGGUUUUGAAUAUUAAGUUACGUAAUCAUACCUACCUCCUACUCUGUAAUCUAUUUUAUAUAUUUCAUGCUGCAAAUACUAUAAUAAAUAUUCAACUUUCCGAUCAAGAUAAGACGACAGACCCUCAGUCGCUAACCCUGAACUCUUUAAGGUAGCAGAAUACACACUACCUCGGAAACUAUACACAGUACCCUGAACUCUUUAACAUAUGCGUAAUUCUUUCAAACAUAUGCGCAUGAUCACAUUCAUUCACAGCUUCCCCCCCGAUGGUCUAAACCAGGCAUGGCAGAAACUCGAACGGGGAUCGUAGCAGGUAUCAACGAGCCUUUUAGACCUUGCUUUCUUCUCUAAUGAUAUUUCGAGUUAGAACAGGAUAGGAUGCAUAUGCGCUCCUUGUGUGCUAUAAUAAGUAUCCCCUCAUCUCUCUUUGCUCUGGGUUUUGCUUAUGUAACCCAAGGUUCUUAGACCUCUGCUAGGUAAAAGCAUCAUGGUUCAGGUAAUCUAAACUACGAGCCCUUGAUCCAGCGAGCCAGGUUCGCGUUUUAUUCCAUGGCGGCUCGAUCGAGAAACUAUUUCUCCACAUGAAGAAACAGGGACUUAGGCAGGCAAGAAAGGACAGCAUGUGGAUAAAGCAUUUGAGUUUUGACCUUUGUUAUAUUUUUACAUUUACAUGCACGCAAGUCUUUUCUUAAACAAUUUUUUAUGUUUUGAAUAUUCUUAUUAUAUAUAUAGUAAACUAAACAACGUUGUUCAAUAUUGUAAUACAUUUAAAACUUGAAGAACAGCCUCUGUUGCGUCCCUUGAAAGUAAAUAUUAAUGUAGUGCCACCAAAUGUUCUUCAUCUAGUUGUUGUGGUUAAGAACCUCUCUCCCCUCCUGUACGUGUUGACUAGAACUGGGAAGCGUCAACAAAACUUUGACUUGUAUUCUGGCAACCAAGCAGAGUGGAACCUCACAUGUUUGCCAGUUAGAAUAAUCACCGGUUCUGAAAUUUCUAAAAUCUUAAAGAAACCUAUUACAUUCAUUACACAAAGAAAACAUAGAUCGGAAUUGGGGAUUUUUGCUAAGCUUUUAUUUGUGUGGUUACAUGAUUUGCAUAAUUGUUAAAAAAAAAUUAAUGACUAUAAAAUUUAAUUUUUAAUCAAGUUAAUAUUAAAGGAUGAAUAUGAUAAAUAAAAAAAAAUCCAUCAAUUUGCUAAUUUCGUUAUCAAAAUCAUGAGAUUAAAAUGACUAAAUAAGAAAUAUAUUAGAAUAAAUGGUGAAACUCAAUUCUUAAUUAAUUCAAUAUUAAAUGUUAAAAUUAAAAAAAAAAUUAAAAAAUAAAAUUAUAAAACUUAAUUAUUAAUCAAUCCAAUAUUAAAAUAAUUAAAAAAAAAACUCUUAAAACUACAGUCAACCAGAGAUAACUUAUCAGACCUACAUCUCUAAUUAUAGAAUCAAAAUAACUUUUUAAAAAAAUUAAGAUAAAUUAUGAAACUAAAUUCAUAAUAAAUUUAAUAUUUUAAAAUAAGAUUGAAAAAUAAAAAUAUAUAUUUUUUAAAUAAUGAUAUGUGAAAAAGAGGUUAGUUUUUAUUAAUAAUUAGUAAUAAUUUUUUUUUUACAAAUUACAUAUAUGCUUACUUGAAGUGUUAAGUUUAUUUCUAAAAAAGAAAAACUAACUAGAAGUUUAUCAUAUGAUCGUAGGUGUACUACGCCCACGCCCAAGGAGCAAAAGACUAGCGUAAAAGCAAUGCAGCUUUGCCUAAUUACCUCAUAAAACAUCAUAUAUUCUGUUAAAUAGGAUUAAAACUACCCUAUGAUAUCAAUAAGAAACCAUUAAAAAAUACUUUAAAUUAAAUAAAUAAAUAAAUAGAAUUAACUAGUUGAAACCAAAAGAAUAUAUAAAGAAAAAGACAUACAUUUUGCCCAAGGAUAUAUAUUUUUUUUUCUUGAACAAUCCAAGAAUAAGUUCAAUACGGGCAUUUCAUAUCUCCUUCUUCCACUUCGCUCUCCUGGUCGAAGAUUGUCUCUCAUCAGAGGGAACUAUACACAAAACACACACAAAAACUAACAAGUUUCAAACCCCAAGAAUCAAAACAGGAAACUGUAAGUCACUGGCUCUCUCUCUCUCUCUCUCUCUAUAUAUAUAUAUAUAUAUAUAUAUUAUGAAGGAAUAAAUUUCAUUUAUCAGGAAAACAACUUAGCAGGGGGUUAGUCCUAUCGUCAUGAUAAUUUUAGAUAGGUUAUGUUAUUUUUAGCUGUUAAUAUUGCAAACUAAAAUUCUUAUUGGCUUUUAUAAAACUGAAUUCUUUUGUGCAUAAUCUAUGAAACCCAUGUGACCCACAAUUUGUUAUGAUGUAUUCUACUUGUUAAAUCUCAUUAUAAUAAUGGGUUUAUUCAUUUCUUAGAAAAGCUUGAGUCCUGAUCAUGUUUUUGUUCUAAUUUGACCUGGUUUAAUACUAUUCAGAGAGUAUUAUUUCUGUUUUUGGUCUUUAGAAAAUCCUGAAAAUUUUACUAUUUGGUUUGGUACCUGUAAGGAUGCUGUUUUAUGUAUUGCCAUAUAAUUAGAGCUUGGAUUGACAAUGUAGGGAUGGAACCAAAUAGUGAAAUAACCAAAGAGAAGUAUGGUGUUGAUAUCUCCUCCAUAAGGGAGGCACAAGUGCGCAUCGACCCAUACAUACACAAAACUCCAGUCUUUACCUCAGGAAGUCUGAAUGACAUGUCUAGAAGGAAGCUGUUUUUCAAAUGUGAAUGUUUUCAGAAAGGGUGAGAGAUUAAUAAGUGGCGAAUACCGAAAGUUUUAGACAUUAGUAUAUUUGAUUUGAUAUUGGGUUUUAACUUCUUUUUUUCUUUGUUUAAUUAUGCGGUGCCUUAAAGACCCAAUUUUGUGUUUUCUAUUCGUUAUCAGUGGGGCAUUCAAGUUCAGAGGUGCGUGCAAUGCCAUAUUUUCACUUAAUAAAGAUCAGGCAGAUAAAGGGGUUGUAACUCACAGCAGGUUUGCUCCGUGUUCUCUGUGCUUUACAGUUCUUCCUGUUUUCUUGUUUGUCUGAAAUUUGCUGAUUGUAUCCUCCCAAAAUAGUGGCAACCACGCUGCAGCAUUGGCUUUGGCUGCAGACUUGCGGGAUAUCCCAGCAUAUGUAGUUAUACCCAACAAUGCUCCAAAUUGCAAAAUUCAGAAUGUGAUACGUUACAGUGGUCAAAUUACGUAUUCUCAGCCUACAUUACAGUCAAGGGAGACUACCACAACAAAGAUCAUGCAAGAAACUGGUGCAGUUCUCAUCCAUCCUUAUAAUGAUGUGCGUAUAAUAAGGUAGUAGGCCCACUCUUAUUUUGUUGCUUCUGCACUUGUGUUGAAUUUGAACCUGCAAAUAGUCCGUACACCAUCUCAUUUAUUUGCAUUAAACUCAUGAUUCCUUUAUUUGUCUGUUAUCUAAUUUUCCUUAAUUUACUGCAACUAGAUCUUCUAGGCUGGUCACUAGUACCUAACUCUGAGUUGACUUCUUUCUUUUGUUCUGUUCUACCCUGAAUUUCUGAUAGGGAUGACCUCUGUGUUAAAUGAAGGAAAAAAUUCUUUACAUGUUCAGAAAAAAAUUUCUAUAGAGCUUAGAAUGUCAUUGAAAGUUUAUGAUUGAAGAAAUGUGAGAUGUAACUAGUGGCCUCUCGAGGCAAAGUUUAUGUCAUUGCCAAGAAUAAUAAAACUGGAAUCAGCUGAACAAUUUAGAAUUCUUUGCAUGGUAUAUUGGUUACUGAUAUGAGCAUUUGUCUUUGCAGCGGGCAGGGUACCAUAGCAUUGGAGCUUCUGGAGCAAGCCCCAGAAAUUGACACUAUAAUAGUUCCUAUUAGUGGUUCGUUUAAUUUCCUUUUAGUGUCAAUUCUUCAUUUUGGUCCUGCAUCGUUUUAUUUGUUUAUUUUUUUUCCAAACCUGAAUCAUCAUUAAAUAAACUGUAGGAGGUGGUUUGAUAUCCGGGGUGGCAUUGGCUGCUAAGUCCAUCAACCCUUUCAUUCGAAUUUUGGCUGCUGAGCCUCGUGGAGCUAAUGAUGCAGCUCUAUCCAAAGCAGCUGGAGAGAUUGUAAAGUUGCCUGAAACCAACACCAUUGCAGAUGGUCUUCGAGCUUCUCUUGGAAGUCUUACCUGGUAAAGCGAACCUUGUGCUUCUUGUGCAUGCAUUGAGGACACACACUUAGUUUUUCAAUAAUCCAUUCUUCCCUACCUGGAUAUUAUGAAGUAUGCUUCUCUGUCUUUUCUUUUCUUGCAUUUAUUUUUAACAGAACUGCAGUGGGCAUGCUCCCAUUUGCCAUUGCUAGCACAUCUCAAGUUCAUCUAAUUUCCUUGCCCUGCUAUCUCACUCCACACCUUAUGGUGGAACAGGCCAGUGGUUCGAGAUUUGGUUGAUGCUGUUAUAACAGUGGAAGAUCAGGAGAUAGUAGAAGCCACGAAACUCUGUUAUGAGGUUCUGAAAGUCGUAGUAGAACCUAGUGGAGCUAUAGGCCUUGCAGCUGUUUUAUCUGAUAGUUUUCAGAAUAACCCUGCCUGGAAGGAUAGCAACCACGUGGGAAUCGUGCUUUCAGGAGGUAAUCUGGAUCUUGGUGUUCUUUGGGAUUCAAUUUGUGGCCUGUAACUCUUCCUUUCCCUUGACAAUGAAGAUUUCUCUCUUGAUGAUUAAAUAGCAUUUCUGCUUUGGGCUUACAUAUGUAUUCUGGCAAGAACAAAAAAAUCAUAGUGUUUUUUUUUCAGAAUAGCAUUGAUGCGUUUUACAUGGCAUCUUUCUGUAGCCCCCUGUUGCAUCUUGCAUAGCUGAUGAUACAGCGCACAGGCAAUUUCUAUCAGAAGCACAUUUACAAAUUGUCAACAAAGAGAUGGGGGUUGGUUGGUAAAUCAUUAGGUCAGUGGGGUAAACUAUAACAAGGGGAAAACGAACACCAGUUCUGUUCUUGGAGUUGAAGCGUAUGAACAAUGGUUUUCAGAUUCCUUUCAUCUAGUGGAUGGGACAGGGACUUAAGGAGGGGUGAAAAUAAGUCAUAGAAUAAAUGGGUUCAUGGCCAUCACCAUGAUGCUUUUUUUUAAAAAAAUCUUGACUGCUAGAGGGAUCAAAGAGUAUAUCUCUUUUAUUAGUAGCUCGCGCAUGAUUAGACCCUGUUUAUUUGCACGUAUCAUAACUUAAUUUUGGAUUUUUUUCUAAAUUCACAUUUUUUUAUAUAAAAAAACCAAAAAAAUAUAAUAAUAAAGGUUGUCAACGUGGAGAAAACAAACCGGAUAAUCAAACUGUAAUUUUCGAGGAGAUUUAAGGCCUAAUUGUAACCUAUUAUGCAAAUUCAAGGUCAAAUUAAAUGAUUAUUUGGCGAAUUUACAUAAAAAUUAAGUCUAAGGACAUAGUUAAAUUUUUAAUUGGUCAAUUUGAUUUAAUCAUGGGCCAAAAUGAAUUUUAAUUAUGUUUAAGAAUUAAUUUGGAUCCCGUUGAACGAUUUAAUUAAGUGCAAGGACUUAAUUAUACUUUAAAUGUGUCAAAUUAAUUUUAUUUGGGGCUUAAUUGGUAAAAAAUUAAGUUUGAGAGCCUAAUUUAGGUUUAAUUGAGAAUAUCAAAAUUUUAAAGAGAUCAAAUUUAAUUUUUAACAAGAUAAUUGAUUGAAAUUAGGGGCCAAAUUACAAGAAAUUUGAAGUUUUUGGGUCAAUUAGAGGCUAAAUUGAAGAAAUUCUCAGCCAAAGACCAAUAUGCAAAAGAUGCCAAACUAUAGGAGCUAAAUUGACAAAAAUCGAGGAUGAAAUUGAAGAAAUUGAAAAUUCAAAGGUCAAUUAGGGGUUCAAUUGAACAAAUCUGAGACCAAGGAUCAUAUUGUAAAAGGAGCAUAAAUCCGGGGCUCAAACAGUAAUUUCUCAAGGGCUUAAUUGCAUUAAAUUGAAAGUUUAGGGUCAAAUAGGGGUUCUAUUGAAAGCAUAUUAAAAUUGAAGGACUAAAUUGAAAAUCAGUUUGGAAUAUAUAAAAAGACAGGAGAGAACCAAACAACGCGUCGUCUAGUUACUGUUCAUUGUCUUCUCCUUUUACCCGAAAAAAACUAGUAUAUUUACCUAAUUUGCAGGCUCAUUUAAUGCAUCUAACAUCCAUCAAAUUUGACAAAUCUUGCACGAAAAUGAUUCUCUACACUUUCUCUACAACCCCAUAUGGCCCGUUCAGACUAAAUGACAACCUAUCGGCGUCGGCGCUAGCCUAAAUAGGCCAACUCAGGCAACUUUUUUCUGCAGAUUUGACAGUUCACCAUGCCUACUUUGAGCCAACGGUUGUGAUCCUUCCCGACUGAAUCAAGGGCUGAAAUGUUUCCCAGUAUAGAUAAGAUUGCCUUCUUCCACUGCCUAUAAAUAGAGGUUGAUUUCAUGGCCUAAGGGAGGAGAAAAUAGAGCCAUCACCAGUACCUCCACCACAGGUAGCUAGCCCAACCACAAGCCGACCACCCCCACACCUGAAACAGUCAUCGUUUAUUCCUCUAUCUCACCUCUGUAAAAUCCUUUUUCCUUCCCCCUUGAUCGACUCCCGCCACCAUUCCUCCCAGCAACGCCACUGAAAUCAUCAGCUCAACCUCCUAAUCACAACUGAUACUCAUUUGUCAAGUGAGUCGCUCCUUCGUUGGCCUCCAUUUCUGAAACCAUUUCGGCUACAUACAGAACGUGAACUACUGCUCAUGUUCUGCACAUAAUAAACUUUAGGAUGGGCUGCACCUGUUCCAGCCCACCCCACCACCUAAAAAGAGACAGUUUUGUGAGGUCGAUUUCAGCCCAACCCACUUAUUUAAUAUUAUAUAAUAUAUAUUAUAUUAUAAUAUUAUAUUUUAAAAAAUAAAACAUCCAAUUUAUUUUUUUCAAAAAUCAUUUUAAAAAUAAAUUGUGAUUUUCUCGCAUAUUUUUCUACCCAUUUUGCAUGAUAUCGGGUUGUAUAUUUACACAGUAAAAUAUAAAUCCGGUAUUAAAAUACUCGGUUUUCUCUGAAAUAUUUCAAAAAAAAAAGUCAAGAAAUCUAAAAAACUUUUAAAUCAAUUUCCCGUUUUAAAACAAUAUAUUUUAUUUUCAUGCAUAUGACCAAAUCCUAAAAUUUUACAAGUAUAUCUUCAUAAAAAAACAAAAAUUGCAUCUUUUUCAUGUUAAAAAAAAAAAUCAAAAAUGGAUAUCGUUACCAGUUUAUGAUUAUCCAUUAGGAUUUGGCCAACAUGUCAAAAAAAAAUUUCCAAUUUUUUUUUAGGAUCCAGAUGUAGACUUUAAUAUUUGUGGGGUAUAAAGUUACCUGAUAAAGUACACCCUCAGGUAUUAAAAAUACAAGGUGUAAAAAUACGAUGCUAAAAUUUAGACUUUAGAACGGUUAGGAUUUAACCCUAUAAGGUAGAAACUCCCUUAUGAAUAGAGAUAUGCCUUGAAUCUUAGAAAUGACCAACGAAUAGAAACUCGACCUAGAGAUACAAUCAAACAACAAAGUAGCCUACCUUAGGUAAGGUGCACUGGGUGACACGUCUCCCCCUUGCAUAACCAGUUCCUUACCCAGACUCUCGCAAAUCAUAGGUUCCUAGUGACCGUAAUACUAGGUCGCGACUCUUAAAUAUUAAUCAUAAUUUUAUGAUUAAAUCCAAAAAAAAAUUUCCAUCACCUCACAAAGAAGGCAUCACACAAGUCUCCACCAUCGCUAGAUGACGUUGCGUUGGUCGCACCCCCACGACAGCAGGAAAGUAGUUUCCUUUUGAAAAAUGGUUUCCUUGAAAAGUGAAUUCCAGAAAAGUAAAUUAUUUUUCUAUAUUUGGUAGUGUCAUGUAAAGUAAGUUGAAAACUAUUUUCCAGUGUUUGGUUAUGUUAUAUAAAAUAAGCUGUAAAAUAGUUUAUUAAAAUAAUAAGGAACAAAUCUUACAAAUUAAAAAGUUGAAUGAGAAUGGAAUUGAAAAAAAAAUCUAAUUUCAUAAAUUAUCUAAAAUAAAAUAAAUAAAAAUUAACAUAAUAGAGAUCAAAUCUAAUAGAUAAAAAAAUUAAAAGAUGAUGAAAUUAAAAUAAUAAUUACUAUUUCAUAAAUUAUUUUAAAUAAAAUAAGUAAAAAUAAAAAGAAUGAGGACCAAAUUUGAUAGAUAAAAAAUUUCAAUUUAAAAAAUGAUAAGAGAAAAGUAAAUAACAAUUAUAAAAAUAAGUAUCAAAGUUAAUAUAAAAAUCAAAUUAAAUCAAAUUUUAAGGGAUGAAUUUGAAAAAAAAAAUUCAAACAAAAUAUAUAGCAAUCAAAGUUUGAAGAUCAAAUUUGACAUAAUCAGCAAAUAAUAUAAUAUUUUUAAAUUUUUCACAACUUCUGGAAAGUAUUUUCCGUCCAAAAUAAAAAGAAAACACUUUCCUGUAAAUCAAGCCAAAUUUUUAUUUGAUAGGAAAGUGUUUUCCGUUAACAGGAAAAUAUUUUUCGUUGACCGAAAAAUGUUUUCCGUUUCCUAAUAGCAAAUAAACACAUGAAAGUUUGAAAAGUGAUUUUCCAGAAACUAUUUCUGGGAAACAAACACACCUUUAGAAGUAUGACUACUUGAACUAGUGACAUAUGACCACCAAAAGUAACCACUACAACAACUAUGUCCCAAAACUGAAGCAAACGAAAAACAAUACAAGAAAGAUUGAAGAAUAAAAUAGAAAAACAAAACAAUAUAAGAUUUUGCCUAAUAAGAUCACACCAUAAACUCUAAUUCAAAAUUUCAUUGCACAAAUAUUAUGCUAAAAAACUCCUUAUUUGAGCUAUUCUAUUCUAUUUAUAUAUUAGUCUAAACUAUUUAUAUACUAGUCAAAAGUUCUGAACAAAAUUGAAAAAAUAAUAUUUUUUUAAACCAAACAAAAAAAAUCUAAUUCAAAUAAGAAAAUACAACAAAUCUUGAAAGCAUAAAGCCUUCUCAAUCUUUACAUUGAAACAUUGAAAUUUGAAGCCAUAACCUUGACUUAUGGUUUGUUAGCUAUUGAUUCAAGUUUAAUGGAUGAUUUUUAUUCAUUGGGGCGCACCUCCCUAUUAUUCUGGUUAAAAUCAAAGUUAUUUUUAUUAAUUAUCUUGAAAACUUGUUGUUUCUCCACGAUCAAAACCCCUAAUAAGCUUUUGAAAAUGUCCACAAAGAUUGCAAACACAACACAACUUGGAUGGACUGUCAUAAUCCAUUUAGGUUCCUGGCAACCAAUCACUUUUCUCUCCUACAAGAUAUUGCCUAAGGAACCAUGGUCACUCUCCUCCUAACUAUGUUCAUGCGGGUCUCUCUAAUUCAACCGAUAAGCCAAUUUUAUAAUUUACCUCUACAUGUUUUUUUAUUAUGAGCUCUUAGACGUUUCUCUCCUGCAAAUGAACCUCCACAUCCCCUCCCUCACCAUGCCAUACUUUAUAACCUCUUCCUAUCAUGUUUGUUAGCAGCACAUAACAAGCAACAAUUUGAGAUUGUUGAGCUCUGAUAUCAACUAACACAAAUAAAAUAACAUAAGAAAGAUAGAAGAAUAAGCAACAUAAAAUCUUAUUGAAUAGUGUCAUACCACAAAUUCUAAUUUCAAAUUUUAUCAUUGAAUAUUUCAUAACUAUUCUAAUACAAAAAACUCUCUAUUACAUCUCUUCUAGGCUACUUAUAUAUUAUUAAAAAGUUCUAAACAAAACUGAAAAAAUAAUAAAAUAGUUUCAAAUCAAGUAGAAAUUUUUUUCCUAAAUCAACUAGUAAAAUAUAACAAAUCUUUAACAAUAACUUCUAGGCAUUAUUGUAAUGCCUUCUCAAUCGUCGAUUAAGAUUUAUGUAUGUUAACAUAAAACUGCGUGUUAGGAAAAAAUCUCUUACAUACAAAGCAUAAUCUAAAAUGAAUUUGGUUGGGUGAUAAAAUCGCUAGGUAUUUAAGUAAAACUAUAUCACAAUCAAUCAUUGCACAACAACAAGCAUUACCAAGUGGUUUUGGACUUUAGCAUAGUAUAAAAAAAUAGUAAGAUAACACAAUACAAGAAAUAUUUAGGUAAAUAAAAUAGUUUAGAGAGUUGUAGUUGACAUCCGCGACUCUCUUAAAUGAUAAAUAGGUUGACACAGUUGUACAACAAAAAGAGAAAGGAGAGGAGAUCAAAAAAAGAAAAGGGAAAGACCUCGGAGAUAUCAAAACUCUAAUGAUGACACCAUCAAUACCAACGAUGAACGAAGUGGACCACACAAGCCGUUUAAAGAUGUCAGAGCUCAAUUAUCUUUGGACAGCUCUAAUCACCGUUGAUGAUAUUUCUUGGUAUCAUUUGAAUUGUUUUUUUUAGAUCUUUUCAACAGUACUGGUGAUGUAGUCAUUAGAGCUAGAAUCUAUUUUUUUUUUCUCAAUCCUCUUUCCUCAUAAUUUGUGAAGAGAGAAGAGAAAAAAAUAUGUGUAUGUAUCAUGAAGACACAUUAAAACUAUGAUUUGAACACUACUAUUACUGUUGAAAAGAUCAUAACAAAACAAAUUUAACAACAUUAAAAAAAGUUAUCAAUAAUGACCAGAAUGGACUACACAAUCGCCUAAAAGCAAGUGAUUACUAACACUUUUAAACAGCUCGUGUGGUUCACUCCAUUCAUCGUUAGUGAUUUAUAUGAAUAUUACUUAAUUCAUUUUACCAAGAUCUUCUUAACAAUACCAAUGAUGUUAUUAUUGAAGUUUUCUCUAAAAUCUUUUUAUUUUAUUGUAAAUUAUGCCUAUGAAAUUUCAAUAUGUCUCUAAAAUCUCUUUUUAUUUUUUUUCUUUUCUCUCUCUUUAUUAUAAAUUAUACCAUCCUAUUUUAUUAUUUAAGAGUUGCAUAUAACACUUGCCCAUACAUGGCAGUCUUUGAUAAGCUAGAAUGUCGACGUGCGAUGUUGGCAAAAAUACGAAAAACAAAUAGCAUUUUCACAACAGAAGUACUGCUUGAAGUUAACUAUUAUUGAGACAACAGCAGUCAGGCCCGUCGCCUUUUUGUAAACUGUGGAGACAACAAAACCAAUUUGAAAGAUGCACACCCACCAAGAAACAAGCAAUGCAAUAUUGCCUGAAAAAUAACUCCACAUAUUGGAAAGACUCCAAAGCAUGUAACAGAAAAAGAGUAGAACAAAAGUAAACCAGUAAAUCCAUACAUCCUAUAACAAACGAAGGAAAGAUUCAGAUUUCAUGUCUUUAGGCCUCAUCCCCGUAUGCUUCCUCCUCAUCUUCAAACUCGCCUUCCUCAUCAGCAGUUGCAUCCUGGUAUUGCUGGUACUCUGAGACCAAAUCAUUCAUGUUGCUCUCAGCCUCUGUAAAUUCCAUCUCAUCCAUUCCCUCUCCAGUGUACCAAUGCAAGAAGGCCUUCCUGCGGAACAUAGCAGUGAACUGCUCACUAACUCUUCUGAACAUUUCUUGGAUUGAUGUGGAGUUGCCAAUGAAAGUGGAAGCCAUUGUCAAGCCUGUAGGAGGGAUGUCACAGACCGUGGACUUGACAUUGUUGGGGAUCCAUUCAACAAAGUAGGACGAGUUCUUGUUUUGGACAUUGAUCAUCUGCUCGUCAACUUCCUUUGUGCUCAUUUUGCCACGAAACAUUGCAGAUGCUGUGAGAUAUCUGCCAUGGCGAGGAUCAGCAGCACACAUCAUGUUCUUGGCAUCCCACAUUUGUUGGGUGAGUUCAGGUACAGUCAGGGCACGGUAUUGCUGAGAGCCACGGGAUGUGAGAGGCGCAAAGCCAACCAUGAAAAAAUGAAGCCGGGGGAAUGGGAUGAGGUUCACAGCAAGUUUGCGAAGGUCUGAGUUGAGCUGACCGGGGAAACGAAGGCAGCAUGUAACACCACUCAUGGUGGCAGAAAUCAGGUGGUUCAGAUCCCCAACUGAUAAACAAAAUUUUCCAGUUAGUUACCAUAAAGAGUAAAGGCAUCUAUCACAUUGAUCAUCACAUCACGGUGAAAAACUAUAUAAUGUAACAGGGAAAGAAAAUUCUCCAAAGUCCCAAAUUUAUUUAUUCUGCGGUUAAAAAAAAAAUUCUUCUCAAAACGUAGGCUUUAUAAAUAUAAGUUACACAGCAACAAAAGAUGAUUGUUACUUGUAGCAAGCCAUGGACAACCAUGUGAUAAACAAUGAGCGUAUCAAAACAAGUAUUAAUGUGGUUAAAGCUAUUAUCCAAGCAAUGAAGCAUUACUAAAAAUGGCAGGACCUAUGAAACUUGGAGGUUCCGUUUGGAAAAACAAUGGUUUUUAGUUGUCAAAACCUUCAUUUCAUAGCGCUUUUGACUUGUGGAAUUUAGAUAGCUUUCAAAACAGCUCUUAGAAUUUUACCAAACACCUCAAGGCUAAGAAAGAAAGCCCAAAAGCCAGGGUUAACAAACGGACACCUAAUCUUAUAUCUUAAACAGCCAUAGCAAAUGAGGCCCAUGUGCACUCACAACUGCAUUUGUGAGUCCAAGUACAGCAUCGAUGCACCACGUUAAUAAGCAUACCCUAAGUGCCAUGAUAGUGCAGCCGCGUGGUUGGCCGCACUACCCUUAAGACAGAGAAGAAUGGGAAAACCAUUUGACGAGUAAUUGAGGAUAUAUUUGUGCACCUACCAUACCAUGAGCACACAGUUUAUUCACGUUCUCAUCCCUAUAGGUACACUAGAGUAUUGUUUCCAAUUCUUGACACAGCAAAUUCCCCGUUUAAAAUAAAGGCCCAAACCAAACUCACCAAAUACCAUCUCACAUCAUGAAUCAUGAUUGCGUUUUCCCUAGUUCAGUUUCCAGGAAAAAAAUGAUCGAAAAACAAAAUAAAAGAAAAACUAUAUUAAAUUAAACAAACAAACAACCAAACCAUUUUCAAUUGGAUAUUGAGAGGGAGGGAGCAAUGGAAGGUUAUCGUUGAAAGGGGUGCUUACAGCUGGGAGUUGUGAGCUUGAGAGUACGGAAGCAGAUAUCAUAAAGGGCUUCAUUAUCAAGAACCAUACACUCAUCUGCAUUUUCAACAAGCUGGUGAACAGAGAGAGUUGCAUUGUAAGGCUCGACCACGGUGUCCGAGACCUUUGGAGAUGGGAACACUGAGAAUGUGAGCAUCAUUCGAUCUGGGUAUUCCUCUCUUAUUUUCGAGAUCAAUAGUGUUCCCAUUCCGGACCCUGUACCACCUCCCAAUGAGUGGCAUACCUGAAACCCUGCAAUUUUCACCAUACUGAUUUUUAACUGCUUAUACAUUAUUAGCACACGUAACUCUAACACAAGAAUUUUUCCCCUCAUUUUCUUGAGAAACAAACAACAAGAGUAAAGGCACAAACCAAAGACCAAACAACCUUACCUUGCAAGCAGUCACAGUUCUCAGCCUCCUUUCUCACAACAUCAAGAACAGAAUCAAUCAACUCGGCUCCCUCAGUAUAAUGCCCUUUAGCCCAGUUAUUACCGGCACCAGAUUGCCCAAACACAAAAUUAUCCGGUCUAAAUAUCUGCCCAAACGGACCAGAUCUAACACUAUCCAUAGUGCCCGGUUCAAGAUCCAUUAAAACAGCGCGAGGCACAAACCUUCCACAACUGGCUUCGUUAUAGUAAACAUUAACUCGCUCUAGUUGAAGAGCUGAGUCACCUUGGUACCGACCCGUUGAGUCAAUCCCGUGUUCUGCACAUACCACUUCCCAAAACUUUGCUCCUAUUUGGUUUCCACAUUGACCUCCUUGGAUGUGAAGGAUUUCCCUCAUUUUCUCGGGAAAGUGAGGGGAAGUGUAGUUGUUGUUUCUUUGUUUUCUAGGGAGUGGGAGCGUGUGUUUUGUGGGUUUCUUGUUUGCUUAUAAGGAGGAGGAUUUGACGGUUUCUGUUAGUUGACGGCGGGGGAAGUGAUUGACGUUUGGUUUUGGUGGGAACUUGAGAUUUUUUAAAUUUGGUUUUGAUUCUCUGGUGGAGGAGCAGGGAUUUUUGUUACUGCAGUUGACACGUGGACUGUAAAAGUCUGUUAUGUGGAUAUCAUUAAUUUAGGCUGGGUUACGAGAGACUUUUUGGGAGUAGUUUCUGUUUUUAGAUGUUUUUUUUAAUAGUUGAUUUUAAAAAUAAAGAAGUAUUUUAAUUUAUUUUAAAUAAAAAAUAUUUUAAAAAAAUAACCUACAUGUACUCGUGAUGAAGCGCCAACAUGGGAGGAGGGAGUGAAUGAAACCGCGAAGAGUAGUGGGUGGGUUCGUAGUUUGACAUGUGGAAUGAGGUGAUUGGUUAAGGGGGCUGAGUAAUUUUUCGGAUUUUGUUUUUUUUUUUAAUUAAAAGGUCACAUAUUAAUGAUUGCAUCAAACGGCUAAGAUCGACGGAAGAGGAAACUUGGGGGCUACUUCAUCAUCAGUGAUGAUCCGACAAAAGGUAGACAUCGCAGGAUUGGAAAUUGCAACCUAAGCAAAGAAACAGCAGUAAGAAAACAGGAAAAAAGAAGAAGAAAUACGACAGCUAUGAACGAGGAGGAGGAGAUGCAAAGAGCUGAUCAUGUGAGAACAGACUUAUCAAUCAAUUAUCGUCCAUCGCAGGUCGCAGCUAAAGAAAGAAAGAGGCUCGCUCGUAAACAAAGCUGACCAGCCACCCUCUUUUCUUCAUCAUCGUCAUCCAAGUUGAGAGGUCAAGUGAUGUGGUGCUGGGCCUUGUCGAUUGCCAUGGAAUAUGGUGGGGAGGAUCUUAAGUGGUGGAGAUGAUUGAUUGAUAGGUCAUUGAUGCCCUACGAGUGAUCAAUUUGGGCUUAGAAUUGGUUCUUUUUUGUUUUCCGACAAUAUUUCAAUCGGUAGGCUUCAACUACAAGGCAAGCUGAGCUAUAUUAAUGCUCAUGAUGAUUGAAAGUUCUUGGGUCACGUUUAGGUUUUUUUUUUUUUUUCCUCUUAUUUAUUAUUCGCCAAGUUUCCUCGUAUGGAAGGUGGAAUCCAAUUUGGUGGUGCCAUUAUCCAAAUUAUUUUUUCUUUUCAUUUUUUGUAAUCUUCAUGAUUGAACAUCCUUAGAUCAUGUUAUGUGUUGCCUUUUUACUCAAUUAUUGUCCAAGUUUCCACAAUUGUUUGAAGUAAAACUAUAAAACGAAUAGAUUGUUGGAAUCAUCCACUUAAGAAUCCAUUUUAAUGGUAUUAUUACCAAAUUGACAAAUAAUCAACUGGUCCUAGCUUCUUACCCUUUCAUGCAUCUCCAUCAUAUUUGAUGGAAAAUGUCAGGGAAAAAAAUUACAGGUUAACAUUAACAAAACAAUGUAAUAGUAUUUUGUAUUUUUUUUAUUCAGUUAUUUUUUUUAAUUUUAUCCUUUAAUAUUAUGUUGUUUUGAAAAAAUACUGGUUAACAUUUUAUUAUUUUUCUUGGGCCGCUUUUUUUAAGAAUUUUUUUUGCUACUUUUUCUAAUUGAUUUUUUUAUUUCAUCCUUUAAUAUUAGGUUAAUUGAAAAUCGAGCUUCAAAAUUUUUUUUGAUUUACUUUCUAUAAGUUAUCUCAAUCUCAUAACUUAAAUCGUUGGUUUGAUAAGUUGACUUAAAUUGAUUAUGUUCACUUUUUGAGGUACUUUUUAAUUAAAUAUGUUUUAAUUGAGCUUUAUAAUUUUUUUUCAAUUUUUUUUCUAUAGAGUUGUCUCGAUCUCAUGGCUUGAGUUGCGGGUUUAGUAGGUUAACUCGAUUUUUUUAUUAUUUUUUUUAAUUGAUUUUUUUUCUAUAUUAUAUUGUUUAGAAAUUGAAUUUCAUAAUAUUUUUUUAAUUUACUUUAUGUAGUUAUCCAAUCUCAUAAAUUUAAUUUUUUUAUUUUAACUUUUAAUAUUAAAUUUAUUAAAAAUAAAACCUCAUAAAAUCAAUCCAACCUACAGCGCAACCCAUCUGAGUAACCUAGUCUCCAUCAUGUCAUGUCGUGUUCGAUGUUUACCUGUAUUUUUGGACUUAUCAACGUUGCAUGAUCCAAAAGAACACAUUUAACCAAAAAUAGAUAGUUUUAGCUUACAAGUUUAGAGGUAGACAUUAUAAGGCAGGAGCCACACAAAAUCGCAACAAUAACAGCCAUCAUUUUCUCUUCCAAACUCCACCUCUCAUGACCCCAACAAACAAGGAUCUCCAUUCUCUUUCUUAACUCUCAUCGGUCCUCUGUGCUCCCUCUCCCUUCGUCCCUUCUCCACAAUUCACAAGGCCCGACCUUCUUCGGUGGCAAAAUGGUAUGUUCUUGCUUCCUUUCUACCUCUCCAUUGCACGAAAAUAUUGCUAUCGAAAACUAUCAUGCGUGAUUAUAAUUUCAAAUUCGAGUUCCUUUAAGGCGACAGCCAUCCUCUCUUGCCAUUCUGAAUACAUGAUUGUUUUUUCUCACCUAAAUUCAAUUUCUUCGUCAAAUUUCACAGUGACAGGAAAGUUCUUAUGGACUUUACUUAAAAUGUUAAUCAUCGUAAAAUGAGCUCCCAUUGUCUCACAUUAUAUUCAAGCAUCUUUUAAAGCUAUCCAAUCUAAAUAUAUUCUUAAUUUGUCCAGUUAUUGAUUUUGGACCUGAGAAAGUUCCCCUGCUUUCUCCCCAUUCCAUGAAAUCACUCCUCCUUUCCAAAUAUAGCGAGAAAAUUGACUUUUGAACAAAUGCCAGGGCAAAACAGUGUUGAUCUCAUCUCAUCCGAGUCACAAACAGUUGCAUUGGAUUUAGUCAAACCCAAAACUCGCAUCAUAUGUACUGAGUGUCAAAUCUUAAAUUAAAGAUUACAAAUAUUUCCUUUCUGCUUAAUGACGAUUAAUUAUUAACUAUAGUGAGCUAUAGUUUCAUUUUUAUUAUUACUGUUUUUAAUACAUGGCACAGGCGAAUUCAGCAUCUGGAAUGGCUGUUGAUGACGAGUGCAAGCUGAGGUUCAUGGAGCUUAAAGCAAAAAGGAGCCACCGAUUUAUCGUCUUCAAGAUUGAAGAAAAGAUCCAACAAGUGGUGGUGGAGACAUUGGGAGAACCUCAACAAAGCUACGAUGAUUUCACUGCCAGUUUGCCAGCCAACGAGUGCCGAUAUGCUGUCUACGAUUUCGAUUUUACUACCGAUGAAAACGUUCAAAAGAGCAAAAUUUUCUUCGUUGCAUGGUAACAUCAAGGAAACAUUGCAAUUGAAUUAUCUUUUUUAUUGCAAGUUUUAUUUUUAUUUUUUUAAUGUGAGUUUAUACUUGUCAUUAUCUAAAAUUAAUAUCGUUCAUAUUUGGUUUCAGGUCACCUGACACAUCGAAGAUAAGAAGUAAGAUGUUGUAUGCUAGUUCAAGGGAUAGAUUCAGGAGAGAGCUUGAUGGGGUUCAAGUUGAGUUACAGGCGACAGAUCCUAGCGAAAUAAGCUUGGACAUUGUCAAGGAACGAGCUUUCUAAACAAAGUUUUUAAUGGAGAUUUCUUUUACCUGGCACUCUAAAUUAUUAGAGCCAAGAUUAUUUUGUACUCUUACCAUACAGAACCUUAUAUUGGCUGGUCACUUGAGUUGUGGUAGAAUUGGUCACUUUAGGGACUAUUUCUAUUAUCAACUGACUUUUCCGGCAGGAUUUCUGAUAGGGUGCGAUUUUCAUCGUAAUCAGGCCAAUCUGAUUUUCAAUCUUGAUUUUUACUUGGGACGAUUUUUAUUUUAUUUUAUCUUAUUGGGUUUAUUCGAGCAUUUGAAUGGGAAUGAAAGUUUCAGCUCUCUCUCUCCAUGUAUAUUUGAGAAUGUUGAGUUGUUAAUUUAAUGGUGAUUUUUUUUUUCAUACUAGAGUUGUAAUGACCUGUGCAUCACUUGGGAUGAGGAUACAUUAGAGUAGAAAACAAAAUUUUAAUUUAUUUAUUUUAUGAAGGAUGUAAUUGGGUCUGCCAUAUAUGUAUAAAAAUAAAUCAACAAUGCUCAGUGUUUGUGCCCUCUGAAAAUAAUCAUUAUGAAUUAUAAAGUGAUUUCUCUUUUUUUGUCCUUAGGAAUUUUUUUUUAUUUUAAUCCCACAAUUUUUUAUUUCUCAAAUCAGUACUUAGUUCAAACAAUUCUUUUCUAGAAAAGACAAGACACCAGACCAGUUAUCUCUCAAGAUAUCUUUUAAGUCUUUAUAUGUCAUACACUUAAAGACUUGGUAGGUAACUAAUGAGUAAAUAUUGUUUAUUCAAAUAUUUUUGUGCAUCAAAAGAGUCUAAGACAAUGUGGGCAUAGUAAGUUAUCAAACCCAAUACACUAGAGUUCAGUCAUCAGCUGAGCCCAAUGCAACAUGAGUGUAACAAGAUAUCAGAAUUAAGUAUACUUGAGUUCAGACAUCCACUAAACUCAAGGUGUUACGAUUUUUUAUGAACAUUUAUAUCAUUUUCAUCUGAGUUUGGCUAUAUACCAAGUCCAAUUAGUCUUAGAAACUUAAGCCUAUGAAGUUCUAUUUUAUAUUAAUGGCAUGACAUACUUGUGUUAGAGAUAAUCAUCUCUCUAUAUCUAUAAAUAUAUGAAAGAUUUUUCAAAUGAUUAACCAUAUUUUUUAUCUCAUUAAUGAUUUGUAAUAAAUAUUUAUUAUUUAUUAAUGAUGAUGUGUAAGAGAUGUUUAUCUCUUAUUAAGGUCAUCAAGUGGAGAUGACCCUUUAAGUUCUUGUCUUUAUCAAAACGACAAGGUUCGGGGAUAUAAAUACCCUUUUAACAACCCAGGUAAUUAAAAGGUUCAUAUCUUUUCUUACUAAAAAAGCUUAUAUAUUUUAUAGCAUUAAUCACUCUAAAAAAUAAAAACAAACACUUGUUCUUGGAAUUUAAAGCUAUUUCUCUUAUUUAUUGGCUUUUCCAUAAAAGUUGUUGAUUCUAUCAUCGGAGAAUCUUUAAAUCUCACCGAUAAAGAUUGUUUUUGUAGGUGCUAAGUCUUUUAUUAUUAAUUUGAGACUUCUCGAGUUAAGGAGAAGAAAACUAAUUAAAUAAACAUUUUGAUUAACAAAUUAUCAAAAACUUGCAAAUUGUGACAGAUAGUUAGAUAAUUUAUGGGUCUAAUAUACAUUACAUCACAUAAGAACUUAGCAUUAAUGCAAAUUGUGAGUGAAAAAUGGAAGUGUAAAUUGUGAAAGAAAAACUUGGGAACGGAUCAUGACUUUAAAAAUUCUAUGCAAUCUGGCACCGAAAAAAAAAUGAUAUUAGCUAAAGUUCUCGCGUGUUGAAUUGAUCACAAAAAUUUCCCUCUACACUUAAGUCAAUAUAAAUAAAAAAUUUCUGAUGUGUACAUUCUGAAGACUGUUCACAGUUUAUGGUGCAUCAAUCCGUACACAGUCACAAGUGCCAUGAUAAAGGAAUGAUCAGUAUGAGGCUCCACCGCCAAGGUUAGUACAUCAUCCCCUAAUAAUACACCCUUGGAUGACUGCUUUCUCUUGGCCUGCACACGCACCAACCACAAAAACUAAAUGUUAAUAACAUGGCCUCUAACAUAAGAUUUAUAGAGGCUGAACUAUAAAAUAUAUAACCGAGUCCCAAAUCGUAAAUUUACAUUUCAGGAAAAUCAGAAGCAUACCUCUGCAACAAUUUCCCCAUUGCUGUUUGUAAUCUUGAAUGCUAAUUUUCCAGACAAGGCUUCUAACUUGUAGUAGCAACUCUCUCGAGCAUCACUGGAUCGAACAGCAAUUUGACAGGAUAGAUCACGUUCGAAUAUUUCUGAACAUCUUUUAACUUGGAAAUAAGGCUCUUGAGGCUUUGAUUUUAAGCCAUCGCUUUUGUAACCCCUCCAUUGUCUGAAAAGGAAUAGUUUCUGCAGUGAUUGAAGAAAAAGCACAUUAAUCUUUGUGACAAAAUUCUUUAAAAUGAUCAGAUUGAUCAUAAAUACAUGCUUGGAAAUCACAUGAACAUACCCUUCUAAGUAUAGUGAAUAGAACAUUUCCCUUGAGAUCCAUGAGGUAAACUUCAUUGCUUCCGGCCUUCUUGUCAUAAUUAUCAACUCGGUAAACAAUCUCACCGUUUUUAUUAAAAACAGUGCAUCCAUUUGUUUGCAUCAAAAGUGAUUUCAUCCAUAUAGUGAAUGUUUCUGGCUUUGAAGACAUGCAAGAGGUAGAAGCAGAGCAAGAAGAAGAGUCAACUUGUGGGAAAGCAUGAACCUUGGCCAUCAGUUGAAUUAAGCGAGCGUGGCUAGCUGGUGGAUGGAGAUCAGUUAGCUCUGCAGGUGGUUCCUUGAACUUCAAGCGAGGACUCGAUGAUGUUUAUGCGGUUUGUAAUGUGUAUAUAUAUAUAGGGAAGCGUAGUACAAAAGAAGAAUAUAAGAAAUAAAAUAUAAAAUGUUUUAAUUUAUUACAAAGUCACACGUUUAUGGUAUGCAUAGGCCUUUACACUUUCUUUGGAGUAUUUGAGUAUUAUACUACGAGGUUCUCAUCUUGUACUACAGUUCCUUUCUUGUUUUUCUUCACUUGGAAGACUUGGAUCGAUCGAGGCAAACAUGCAUGGCUUUGAAAAGGGUGUUGUUUUCUUUUAAUUAUAUAGAUGGCUGGCUCUAUGACAUUAUGCCAUUCUUUGUUUUUGCUUAAACCAUGUGUGUUCCAACGUUUAAUUAAUUAUAUGAAAUCCAAUCGAUGAUCUGGUUGUGCUUGUGUACGAUAGGUAGAGUAGGUAGCACUUUCCUAUAUUACUAUCUUUGCAUAAUUAUUUUUACUAUAUUGUUUUUAAUUGUUAGGUUUUGAGAGUUUUUGUACAAUUCUUACACACAGUUUAAUGAACAUAAGCACAUUUUUUUAUCCAUUUGUUGGAUCAGGUUCAGAAUCUUGCCAUAGAAGGAUUAAUUAUAAAGUGGUACUGGCUUGCCAGCUAUUUUAAUUUGUCUUGAGGCCACCAUUAGAUCUAGAAGAUAUAUACUAUUUCAGAAAUUUCAUUAAUUAUUUUUCUUGUUGUUUUUAAAUUAAUCUUUCUCCUAUUAAUUUAAUCAGAAUUUUAAUAGAGUUUUUUUUUGUUUAAACAAUUUUAUAGGUUAUUUUUUCAAGAUAAUUUCUGAAAUAAAGAUCUUUUAGAAUAUAUCAAAGUGAUAUACAUAUAUAACCUUAAACGGAGCCAAACACAAAAAAGAAGCAGCUUGAGGCAAUAAUAGUGGUUAAAAUGAUUGAUGCAUGAUGCUCCUAUUGUUGACAUUUCAAUCAAUAUUGAUAAAAAAAGAUUUGGAAAAAGAUUCAAUCCCAACUCACACAUACUUAGUGUUCUAACUUCAAUUACCAAUAUUGCUGAUGGUAAAUCUAGAGGUACAUGAACACGAAGUAGAGGUGAAAUUAUUCAUGGGACAAUACAUGUUAAAAACCCAGAGAAACAUGAAGUAAAGGCACAAUGAUCUAAAGUUAGUGAAUAUUUUCUAUUUAAAUUAGACCCGAAAACUAUUGUUUCAGAAUUUUCAUUGUUUUCCUUCUUGUUUUGGAUUAUUUUUCUUUAGAGUUUUAUUAAUUAGGAUGUUUUCUUGUAUUUAAACAUACCUGUAGGCUUUUUUUUUAAAAGAUGAUUUAUAAAUAAAAACCUUUCAAAAUAUAAAUGAGGGCAUCCCCAUGAGGACUACUAACUUUCUAAUAUGCCAUCUCCUGAUCUCUACAACUUAGCAAAUCCUAGAAAGAGGUUUAAAAAAUGAAUUGGAUCUCACAAUGAUGCGAAGGAGAUUCGCAUUAUCAAGCUUUUGAGUUUUCUAGUUUUUAUUUGUUCAUUCAUAGAUAUCUUCACUACCCUUUAUUUAAUAAACAUAUAAAUUAUAUUAUUAUUUUUUUGUAUCAAUCACUAUAGAUAUAGAGAUAUUAUAUUGUGGAUUGUUAUUGUGUGGUGAUGAUUAUAUCCUUUAAAGAGAAUUUUGGUUGCCCUGGUUUUGAGAAUAAAUUUGUCUUUUCAGAAACACCAAUUGAUCAUUAAUAAAUGAUUGUCAAGGGUUACUUUCAUCUUUUUUAUUUUCUCAAAUUACUAUAAUUACUUAGUUUCCCCCAAGCUAAAAAGAAAUAAACUGCUAGGCAAGGAUGUUUAUGCCUUUAUAUUUUUUGCAAGAUUAUGAAAUGACCUUUCUACCCAUACAUUCAGGAAAAAAUAAGGAAAGGAUUCAGAGGUGAUUUUGUCUUUUCACAUUGGUUUUUUUAUGAAUAAUGGAAUCACAAGGGGUGCUUUAGACUUUUUGCUCUGAUUAAUUAAUUUUUAAAUCAAAUAAUAGUUGGCGUGUGGGAUGCGGUAGCGAUCUUAUGGUGGCACAUGCGGUACAUCCCAUGGCCAAAUAUGUUGUUCCAUUAUGUCAUUAGAAGGGCUGCCUUGCCCUCUUUCUCAUAAUGGUAACAUAUGAUAGUGGUUCAUGGAUGGUUUUUCAACGGUGGUCAUUUUUUUUUAUUCCUUUUAGCUUCUCUCUUUCUCUCUCUCCUAUAAAAAGUGCACACCUAUCCUCUUUUUUAUUUGUUUCUCAAUUUUAGUUCUUAGAUUUUUUAUUGCUAAUUUUAGUCCUUGACUCUUUUGGGAAAAAAAUUAAUUUUUUUUUAAUUUCAUCCUUGAAUUACAAUUUGUCGUGGAUUUUUUUUUCUGACUCUUUUUUAAAAGUUUUGUUGUUUUUAAUUUCAUUCUUCAAGCAAAGCUUAUGUUAUUUUGCUUUUUCAAUUUAGUUCUCAUUCUUUUGAUUUUUUUUUUAUUAAAGUUUCUUUUCUUUUCAAUUUAACACUCUAAUACCAAUUUUUUAUGCCAUCUAAUUUAUUUUUUAUUUUGAUUCUCAUACUUUUGAUGCCCUCAUUCUUUUAAUUUUAAUUUUUUGUAUAAUAGAUUUUUUUUUCUGAUUUCAUCCUUUAAUAUUUGAUUUAUUAGAGAUUGAGCUUCGUGGUUUUUUAAUUUUUCAUACUUCCGAUAUAAUGAUACAGGUCACGAGUUUUAAGAGAUGAUAUAGUUAAAGAUUCCUUUUUUUUUCAUUUUUUUUUGUUUAUCAUUCUGCAUUAUUUGUUUUUUCAAAAAAUAUUGGUUUCGUUGUCCUUUUCAAGUUUUUUUCCUAUCAAUUUAUCCUGAUAUUUUUUAAUAGUUUUUUUUUUUAAAAAAAAUGCUUUGUUUUAUUUUAUAAAAAAUAAAGGAUAAAAAUUGAAUGCACAUCUAAUUGAUAUAGAAUUUUUUUUUAUUUACAAUUUCUCACUUUUUUCCUGUUUCUCUUUUAGUUAUUGUUAAUAACUAUUUUAUUUUUUUAUUUAUAUUAAUAAUUAUCAAUUUAUUCCAUUAGAAUGUGGAUAAAGCUUUCGAUUUAUUCUCUGAAUUUUUAAUAUAAAAAAACAUAUUAAAAUAACCUGUUUUUAAAAGACCUGUCUACCCAGGUUUUAUUUUUUAAAAUAAGUUACAGCGUGUGACAGAGUAGGAAUUAAAUAUCUAGUUUAAGAGAUUAGGCGACAUGGUUGAAUGUUCAUGUGGCUUUUUCAGGAAGCAAAAGACUCAAUUGGUUCUGUGGUUGGGGUAACAGAAAGAAACCAUCUUGGCUUGUGUGUUUGCGCAAGAGCCAGACCGCCGAUGACUUUUUCAUGGAAUCCGAUGCAUAACAUUUAAAAUUGUUCUGAUGACAAAGCGUUGGUGUUUAAAAAAAUGUAAGAAAGGUAAAGAACAAACAUGGUUUGCUUGUGUUUGGUUUUGAUUUUGUCGUUGAACAGCUUAUUUCAGAUCGGAGACCAAGAAAUAUUCUAAGUGCCUUCAGUUACACGUGUAUGUAUUGCAACAUUAUAAAAUAAUGGAACCCAACUAUUUAAAUGAUGUACGACAGCAUAUAUUGGUUUAUUUUUUUUUUAAUUGUGUACGCUUUUAUCCAAUUCUAUGCAUGAUAAAGUUCUAGCUGAACCAAAAAAAAAAGGAGAAAGUUUUGGCUUUUUUUUUUUCAAUUUGAAUUAUUGAGAGGUGGCUUACCUUGUACGCAGGGAGGGCCUUUCUCCAUUUAGUGAGGUUUAUUUAUUAUUAAUUUUUUAAAAAAAAGAGAGAGAGAAAACAACUCUAAUAAUAUUAUAUUUUUUGAGAAUCUGGCUGGAUGAUUAUUUCCUAAUAAUAAUUAUUAUUAUUGUUAUGACUUUGUCUGGCAUUUAAAAAGAGUGUCAACAAGUACAACGAGAAAAAUGAAGAGGAGCCUUUAUUAAUUGGUUUAAGGGUAGUGUUUUCCGGUAAUGAUAUUUUAAAAAAUAUUAUUUAAAAAUAUAUUAAAAUAAUUUUUUUUAUUUUUUAAAUUUUAUUUUUAACAUAAAUAUAUUAAAACAAUCUAAAAACUGUAAAAAAAAAAUUUAAAAUAAAAAAAAAUUAAUUUUAAAAAAAACAUGGUUUAACCAACAAAAUAAUUUUAAAAUAUUUUAUAAGGUGGGGUUUUAAUAUUAAUUAAGUUAGUACUCAUUUACAGAAAUUAAAUGAUAAUUAUUUGUUUUGCGCAGCACUUAUUAACUUCUGGGGACUCUGAUCCAUAUGGAGGGUUUAAGCAUACCCCGGCCGCCCUUUGCUCUAUAAUAUUCAAAAUUAAAAAAAAAAACUGGGAAAAAGAUGAUGCAGAAGCUCUAAUUAAUUAACCAUGAGGGUGUUCAAUGCAAGGAAUAAAAAAUAUAUAUAUUAUAUCAAAACUCAACAAAUUAUUAAAUAUCUUCUUUGAUAUAUUCUUUUACAGGGACCUUAGCUAUAUUUUCAUGUUAUCUUUGCCUCUUUUAUAGAGAAUUAUUUAUAUUUUUUAUUUUUUGGCAAACUCUACUAAUAUUGGAAAGGACUAGUACUUAGACAAAAGUUAGAUAACAGUUUUAUUUAUCUCUAGAUCCUUAAUAUUUUGCUCACAUAUAUUAAAAAGAAAAGUCUUUAAAAUAAAAAAAAUUAUAAAAACUAUAAUAACGAUGGUGAUGAUCAUGUGUCAUCACUAUCGCUAUUUGAGCUAGCAAUAGUGAUGAUCCUUCAAGUGCAGGAACUGCCCUUACGGGGGGAGGGGAUUGAAGCAUCCACAACCAACGGAUAUGCAUUAGCCAACAAUCCUGGAACAACAAAAACUCAACAUCAUAUUGUUAGCUGUCAAAUUGACGAUGAAUUUGUUACCACAUAUGAUCAUGGGAUUUGACUUGUGAGUUUGCAUUCAAGAAUGUACACCAGACAAAGACAUCCAUUGUAUUAUAUAUAUAUAUAUAUAUUGGUGACGUUACAUAUAUAUGAUUUCAAUACAAUAUCAUACAAGCUGCUUUAUUCUUCAUUCUUCACUGCGGCAUUUUAUACAGCGGCAUAAAAUCCUUCUAGCUCUCAACUUUCGGUAACAGGAAGCGUCACAUUUAGGAUCUCAAUUGUUUUCUCUGUAAACGUGGUUGGCACUGCGCAAACUUUUUGUAGACGGUGACCAUACAUACAUACAUACAUAUAUAUAUAUACAUAGCUGGAUAGUAAGUACUACAGCUGUGAUUGUAAAUAUCAAACCUUAUGAAAAGAUUUGGAAGUCGAAGGCUCCGCAGAAGAAUUAUUGUUUGGGGACUAGUCUGCAUGUUCUGUUGUAAAUAUGGGGAUUGCUGUCUCAUUGUGCAACAAAUCUAAAAGAUAGUAAGUAAUAUUCUACAGCUUAUGUUUGAUCAAUCCGUAGACAGUGACGAUUGCCAUUAUCAGGGAAUGAUCUACGUGAGGCUCCACAACCAAAGUUAGCACAUCUUCUCCCAGCGUCAUCCCCGAAGAUAAUUGUUUUUGCUUCACCUGCAUGCAUUAACCCAUCAAUCUGAAGAAUUUAGACCUUAAACCUGCCUUUGCAACAAGGAAAAGCUAAAAUCAAUAUGAGGAAACAGAAUACUAACCUCUGCAAUAACAUUUCCAUCAAUGCCUACGAUUCUAAAUGCUGUUUUGCUAGCCAAUUUCUCUACCCAAUAUUUCUCAAAUCCUACAGUAACUUGACAGGCAAAACUUCCCAUACAGAUAAAUCUGCAACAUUUCUUCACUUGAAACCAUGGCUUCUCCUUGUUGGCAUAACUAGAAUUCCAUCGAUAACCAUACCAACAUCCAAAACAAUGUAACCUCUGCAUGGAUAUCGAUAAAAAAAUAAAAAAAAAAACCCAUUUAUAAUUAAUAUGAUCACAAAAUUGCAUCAAACCAAUAUUAAUCACAAACAAUUACAAGAUUUAAUACCUUUCUUCGUAUUGUAACAAGAACUCUGCCUCGAAGAUCCAUGAGAUAGACCUUGUUCCUGCACUUCUUGUCAUAGUUGUCAACGCGAUAAACAAUGUCUCCAUCGGAAUCAAAGACUGUGCAACCAUUAGUUUGGCACAGAAGUGAUUUCAUCCAUAUAGUGUAUGUUUGCCUUUCAAAAGACACGAAAGGGUCUAACGUAGGUCUUUGACACUGAGGAAAAACCUUUGCCAUUAAUGUCAGGAAAGAAACUUUGUUUUUGAAAAUGGAGAUGAAUAUCUGCAUUCUGCAGGGCUAAUUUAUGUUCCAAACGCAUCUUGGAGUGCCAUGGUUCGAUUGAUUAUUAUUUAAUUGGAUUAUACCGUGUGAGACAGUUGUGAAGUCAACUAUAAUUAUGCUUUUGCCUUUGUAGAAAUUAAAAAUUAUUUCUUGAAGUGGAUACAUUUUCACCGAUGUAAUUCAAGUGGAUGACUUAUCAGCAACUUAACCCUAAUUAACAUAAGACUCUGACAAGAAGACAUAACUAAAGCACUUGCCAGUAAAGACGGUGUUCGAGAUUUAUGUAGAUAUUGUUUUUAAAUUUUUUUUAAAAUUUAAUAUUAAUAUCAGUAUAUUAAAAUAAUUUAAAAUUAAAAAAAUAUAUUAUUAUUUUAAAAAAAACAGCUACACCAUACUCACAUAAUCUCCCAAAGAUAACAUUCGAACUUGCAUUUCCCUAUUUUGUCUUGUGAAGAGUAAUAUGCUGAUAUAUAAGUUUUGUUUCACUAUUUAUUUUUGUUUGUGCUAUUAAUAAUAAAAAAAAUAAGUAAAUUUAGGAAACAAUAGUGCAAUCAUAUUAUUUAUUACCACUAGAAAACAUACAAUAAAAUGUUUUAAUUAAGAUAAGAGUAUUUAUCAUUACGGUAUCUCAAUUUACAAUAAAAUAUAUGAUUGGAUCAGAGUUUGAUUCUCGGGCGUGAGGACCAAAUCUUAAUUAUUAGGGCUAAGUAGGCGAGUAUUAUCUUUAUAAAUCUUAUUGAAACAUUUAAAAAAGAAAAUAUUUUUGUAAAAAUCUGCACUCUUCCUGCUGGGUUUCAUGAAAUAAUACUAAAGAAAGAACAGUAUAAUAAGGGGAAAUUCAUGGAGAAGUAUUGGAAAACCCCUCAACUUGUAUGUAGACAAAAGUGAAGGUAGCUUACUUGAAUAUUCUACACUGACAUGAAUGUGCUGUGUCUAGACAAGUUGAAGAUCAUUAUUUAUACAGAAAAACAAGAACAAAAACCUGUCAUCGCACGCUGGUGAUUUCCCGAGCUCCUACUAGACGUCUAAUCCUAUCCCUCUGCUGUUUUUAAAAUAAAAUAAUAAUCAUGGACCAAAAACAGGCAAAAGUACUAGAGAAGGGGUUUGAGUCAUCAUCGACUUCAAUAGCCCGGCACUGAAGAAAAGGUCCGCUCAAACUCUUACUUAAAUCUUGAUAUUGUAUUCAUUUGCAGACAAAAAUUAAAAGUACAAAAAUAUUGACAUGAUGCAAUCAAAACUAAAGAUGUUGUCAUUGUCUCGAUUUUGCUUCAUAAUUAAAUAGAGGAGCAGCUAGCAACUUUAUCUUGUAUAAUAAUAUUAUUUUUUAAAAAAAAAGUGAUAGGGGAUGUUUUUAAAGUAUUUUUUACUUAAAUAUAUUAAAAUAAUAUUUAUUUUUAAUUUUAAAAAAUUAUUUUUGAUAUUAAUAUAUUAAAAUAAUUUAAAAUUAUCAAAAAAAAUAUUAAUUUGAAGAAAAAAAUUAAUUUUUUUUAAAAGAAAUUUAAGAUACAACAACAAACAAGGACUUCAUCUCCUUGAAUAGCACAAUCCUUGUUAGCAGAAAUUGAGCUACAUAUGCAAAGAGCAAAAGAUAAUCAAUUUACUAUAAAUUAAAAAUCUCAAAGAUACAAAACAAAUAAACAUUAUAAGUUAAAUAUUCAAUAUAUUUAAUUUUUAUUCAUUCGUUUUUUAUUUGUCAAACAAACUAUUGUAACCAUUUAUAUACAUAUAAAACAAACUAAAAAACUCUAAAAAUUUUGAACUAAUUUUCCACGAAAACAAGGAGCUAGCCUUCACAUGGUACUUAAUCUUACAAUAAUGCGAAGUAGCCCUUUUCCUUUGAAUUAACAAGAGAAAACUAGAGAGAAGCAGCCUGGUAUAUUAGCACGUACAUUUGAACAGACUUGCACACGUGUGGAUAUAACAUGUGUAAUAAAAAUAUAACGACGAUAAUUUAUCCUUCACUAAUUAAUUAGUUGAAAACAUCUAUAUAUAAAAGCAGCGAAUAGAAAAGGUUGUAAACUUGUAAUCAUGUUUUUCUGGAAUGAAAUUAAGUUCAGUUCAGAUAGUUGACGUUUUAAAAUAUAAUUUAAAUUCUCGGAAACUUAAUUAAACAAUUUUAUGAAACACACCGCAAGUACAAAAUCAUGAUUCACAAGCUAGCUCAUGAAUAGUGUUAGGAACCUCUUUUAAUACUCAGGUAAUAAUUAUUAUUUUUUUAUAAAUAUAUUAAAAUAAUAUUUUUUAUUUUUUAAAAUUUAUUUUUAGCAUAAGUAUAUUAAAAUAUCUAAAAAUAUAUAAAAAAAAUUAAAAAAUAUCAAAUCUUUUUAAAAUUGCUUUUAAAACAAAUUAUAUGGUUUUCUUAUUAAAAAAAAUUAUGGAGUGGUUAAUUAUCCUAGCCAACGGGCUCGGUCUCCCAUGAAUGGUAUGUCCUAUCCAUCAUGAGUUCUUAUUACAUAAAAAGUUAUUUAUAUGAUUACGUCACGAAUAUCUUAUUUCUUUCGGAAUGCAUUUAAUAAAUUUAUUAGAAGGAAGAGGAAGUAAAUUAUGCAUAGAUAUUAUAAUAAAUAAAAUAAGAGUUAUAUGGAGCAUUACUUAAAAGUGUCGGCUGAGAUUAUCUUUCAUUAUAAACCUGACGUAAUAGCAUAGAUCACUUAUGGCGGUUGUUGUAGAGCUCUCUUUUACAGGCCAUGCUAAAUAAACAGAUUAACUCAUUAUUAAGAGAGUUUUUUUUAUCAAAAUAGUACAGUAAAAAAAAACUAGCACUGUAAAAAGAGAAUUUUAAAAAUAAUACAAUGCUGGAAGUUGCAACUAGCCUGAUUUUUUUCCACUCCCACUGUUAGAAAUUCUUAAUUUGUUGGUUUUGUCAGAGAUUGCAAGAAGAGUUUUUUUUUUUUUGAAUUAUCAUAGUAGCCAGAUUAUUAUUUUUUUGAAGAAUAACACAAAUAAAGAUUUAAAUGUAAAAAUAGCAUAGUUUAUAAAGUUGCGCAUAUGUUUUUUUUUUAAUUUAUAAAAAAAUCAUUUAAAAUUGUGUAAGUGGUGCAUGCACAACCUUUAAAUUGGGAGGCUGAAGCCUUCUUUCUUUUCUUUUUUUCCCUGUAACCUUUUAUUUCUUCUUCAGCUAUCUUUUGUUAGGCUCUCAUGCUGACUUGUCGAGCCCUUGCUGUGAGCUUAGCCAUAAAGAUAAUGUUUGAAAAAAAUAGUACAUUGUCUGCCAUCAUAAUGACAUAUAUGCUUAAUAUAAAAGGAAAAUCAAGAAAACAAGUGGAAAAAUACAACGUGACAUUGGCAUCCAUACACUACUUUAGCUUAAUCCAAUUGCUUCAACUUAAUCCAAUGCAUGAUCACAGACAGAGGUUCAAUUAAUUAUGAUUGUUGUUCAACAUAAAAUAUGAUCUGUGCUUGGAUGAGAUUAGGCAGAAAUGAGAAGAGAGAAAAUAAAAUAUAUCUUCAUUUAGGAUUUUUCUUUUUUAUAUUUGUAUUUUUUUAAAAUGAACUCAUGAAGUAAUUAAUAGAAAAUUACUAGUUAUUUUUUUAACACUACAAAAUUUCUCCAUAAUUUUACUUCUAUAAUCCUCACCAAAGUCUGACCAUCAUGUCCUGUUUUUCUUUUUUUAUAUUUAGGGUUUGUUUAGGAGUAUAAUAGGUGUUGUUUUUCAAAAUGUUUUUUACUUGUAAAUAUAUUUAAAUAAUAUUUUUUUAUUUUUAAAAAUUUAUCUUUAAUAUUAACACAUUACAAACACCGUUGAAACACAAUUAGCUUUAAUAUGUUCAAAUGUGUUGGUAUAAACUCAUGCUCAAUUAGUGCAUCUUUACUUAAAAUCCUGCUACUUCAUUUCUUGGUUGUUUUAUGGGAAUGCAAAAAAUUGAGAACUCCACGUAUUUUUAUUGAGAGCUUAAAAGCUGUAAAAAAAUUAUUUUAAUUUAAUACUUUAAGUUAUUAGAUUAUAUCUUAAUAUAUAAUUUAUAUUAUUAUUUAACACACCUUAAAUGAAAGUUUUUUAGGUUUGAAAUUUACAUAGAUCCGUACUAUUUUAUACUUAAUUUUUAUCAAAUAAAUAAAAAUAAUAAGAUUCAAACUCGUAACCGCUUGGUCAUCAAAACUUUAAUACCAUAUUAAAAAAUUAUUUUAAUCAAAAAACUUAAACUAUUAAAUAAAAUUUUAAAAUAUAAUUUAUAUUAUUUUCUAUUAUAAUUAUUCUCAUAACCCAAUCAUUCCAGCUUUUUGGACCAGGUUACCUUUAUGCUUUAGCCUUUUUAAACUCAAUUUUUGUACACAUGGUGACCUUAACUUUUGUCUUUAGCUCAUUACAUAGUUUAAUAGAUGUGUGCCCUACACCUAAGACCUUUUUAUAUGCAUAUUCUUCCUCCUUUUUUUCCACAAAUAACCAUUUUAGAAUCAUCUAAAAAGAACCCUUUUUGUUUGCGCGAAAACAAAAGAAUAAAAAUAUCUUUGCCCAAGUAAGAUAAACAGUUUGAAACAAAUUCCAUCAAUGGAUUCUUAGCAGCCUACAACACCACCAGUAGUUCUCUACUUCUGUCGUUUUGUUGCCAAAUUGGAUGCUCAGCGCAGCUUCAUGGAUGCGAUGUGAAGAUCCUUUUCAAAAAUAUAGAAACCAAACGUGGAAUGUGAUUUUGGAAGCUACAUCCUCCACCUAGAUGUACAUUUUCCACCUGUUUUUUUUUUUUUUUCCUUUUACUGUUUUUCAGUUAUAAUAAUAACUUCUUCAUGUUCUCAUUGGUUGGGCGGCCAUUUCAUACACAACAAUGACAUCAUCGAUCUUUCAAAACUAAUAUAUCUAUCUAUAACGAUAUCUAUGCAACAUCUUUUUAUUAUAUUUUCUCUUAUAUAACAUGUGGCAUUAUCUAUAAGGCGAUUUUUUAAAUUUCUCUCAUGAUAUUUGAUAUUGUUUUAUAUUUUAAAAAAUAUUUCAUACAAGGAGGAUUAAAGUAUAAUCUCAUCCAUAUCUUAUCAGCAGGAUAAUCUUAUUAUAAUUUUAUCAUUAUCUUUAUUUGUUAAUUUAUCUUACUAGUAUAUACAAAUGAAAAAUCUUUUCUAUCUCAACACAAAUUAUCCAUUUUUGUAAUACUAAUUAUGAUAAUACAAAGCAGUGACCAAAAAAAAAAAUUCUAGCAGUUUGGGUCAAGGCCCAAACAGCUACACUAGCGUAGCCCAUCUAGAAUUUUCCUUCUCCUCCCACCUCUUACACUUCACGGGUACGUGUCCAAUAUGCCCACUUUGAAUAUUUUUUUUAGACUUCCAAUGAGUCAGAACGCAAUUUCGUGUACUUUCCACGAACACAAAAUUUUCUUAGUUUUCACUGAAAAAUUUCAUGUAAGCACAAAUUUUAUGCAGGCUGGUAUCACAUUUAUAAUUAAUAGUUACAGUGCAAUAUAUAUAAUAUUGUAUGUAAAUUAAGUGCCUUUUUUCUUAAUUAAUGGUUAUUUCUAACUAAUAUAUUAUUGGCAUUCACUAACCUCAUCACCAAUAACAAUUCAAGACAUUAUAACACAUGACGAAACUAAUAUUUUCCCCAAUCAAUUAUUAUAUAAUUAUUCACGUAUCGAUGUAAGCUGACGUAACUAAAAUCUACAAAUAUAUUAGAUAAACCGAACAAAUUUUCAAGUUCUAAGCUCAACAUCUCUCAUUAUACAAUAAUUCACUUUAUAUAUAUUUUUUCUCUCACGCAUACUUACCAACUUAAGAAUUAUAGAGUCUGUCAUCCCACAAAGAACUUGUUUUGUAGAUAAACUUUCAAGCAUUGAUCAAGCCCAACUAUUCAUAAAAAAUCUAUUUUUUCGUGUGAAGUUUUUUUAUCACUUCAUCACAAAAUAUGAUAAAAAAAAAUCAUGAUAAUCUAACAAACGAAUAAAAACUGUAUAAUUUUAUUUUAUUUUUACAUUUUGGGGAGGAAAUAAUGGGCUUUGUUAUUUUGAUAAAAAAAUAAAUAUCAAUUAUUAAUAAUAUUUUGUAUUAUGUUAUUUACCAAUGUAAAUUAUUAACUAAAUUACAUACAAUUAAAAUUUUAAUUAAAGAUGUUUCAAUUGGUUAGAAUUAUUAGUGAGAAAUUACAAUUGCCUAAACAUGAACAUUAAAAAAAAACUUUCUAAAAAAAUUUACACGUUCCAAAGAUUAGUUCUUAAAAUUCUUUGAUGAUUAGCCAACAAAAAUACGUUUCUGUUUUACUCAAUUUCCCAUCUUCAUUUAAGAAAAAGGAAAGUACUCUGUGAUGGAAAAAGAUAGCUUGCUGUCGUUUCAUGCCCAAACGGCAAGGAAUUCUCUUAGGCUUGCCGUUUGGGAAGGGCCCAAAAGCAAGGAAUGAUAAAUUAUCAUUAGUUUAAAGUUUCCCUGUUUUAAGCCUAUUUCUGUUAUAUUGAAUAAUUCCUCCUUGUCUUGAGGAACAAGAUUGUUUUUCUGUUACAGUAGCACGAUUAUAGGACUUUAAAUCGUGGGCAGUUAUUCUUUUCUUCUUCCAGUGUAAGGCUAUUUAAUGGCCACAUCAGUUGCUUAAUAAAUUAAUCAAUUCUUCCAUCUCUCGUAUAAUCAAACCUGUCAAAGCUCUUUAUUUUUUUUUAUUCUACAAUUGGUAUCAGAGCCUCCUCACGAGGUUUGAUCAAAUUCUUUUCAGGUAUUAAAGUAAAGAGUCAGAGACAUGGCAUCCGAAAAUAGUUUCGUGCAACCUGCCAUUCCAAGGUUUGAUGGUCACUAUGACCAUUGGAGUAUGCUGAUGGAGAAUUUUUUGUGUUCCAAAGAAUAUUGGAACUUGAUAGAAACAGGAAUCAUUGCUGCAGCAGAGGGAUCAAGUCUCAGUGAGAUACAACAGAAGACGUAUGAAGAUUAAAAGCUGAAAGAUCUCAAGGCCAAGAACUAUUUGUUCCAAGCCAUUGAUUGAUCGAUACUGCAAACAUCCUUGAAGAAAGAUACAGCUAAAGAAAUAUGGGAUUCAUUGAAGCAAUAUCAAGGGACAGCACGUGUCAAGCGCGCUCAAUUGCAAGCUCUUCGCAAAGAGUUUGAGGUGUUGCAUAUGAAGAAUGCAGAAUCUGUUAAUGAUUAUUUUGGCAGAACACUCACCAUUGCAAACAAAAUGCGCAUUCAUGGAGAACAAAUGAAUGAUGUGGUUAUCAUUGAAAAGAUUUUGAGGUCUAUGACUUCAAAAUAUGAUUAUGUUGUUUACUCCAUUGAGGAAUCAAAUGAUCUGGACACAAUGUCUAUAGAUGAGCUUCAAAGCAGCCUCUUGGUGCAUGAACAACGGAUCAGCAGACAUGUGAACGAUGAACAAGCACUUCAGAUCACUCAUGGAUUCCUGAAAGAAGGAAGAGGUGGAGGUAGAGGCACUUAUCAAGGACGAGGAAAAGGAAGGGGUAGGUUUAAUAAAUCCAUCCUAGAGUGUUAUUAUUGUCAUGAAUUGGGGCAUUUUCAAUGGGAAUGUCCUAAACGAGACAAGGAACAAAGGGUGAAUUAUGCUGAAACAAAGGAUGAGAUGUUGCUAAUGGCGUUUGUAGAUUCCAACGAGUCUGACAUGGAGCACAUUUGGUUUCUUGAUUCUGGGUGCAGUAAUCACAUGUGUGGGAAACAGAACAUGUUUUUUUUAUCUUGAAAAGCUUUCGAGAAACCGUGAAGCUUGGCAAUGACUCUAGUCUUACUGUACAAGGAAAAGGAAACAUUCGAAUGGAAGUCAAUGGGUGUGUACAUGUAAUCACAGAAGUUUUCUACGUGCCAGACCUAAAGAAUAAAUCUGUUGAGUAUUGGCCAAUUGCAAGAGAAGGGGCUGACAGUUCUCAUUCAACGUGGAAUUUGCAAAAUAUUUCACAAAGAGAAAGGUUUGAUCAUGGAAACAGAAAUGACACACAACAUAAUGUUCACUGUGCAUGCUCGUUAUCCACCUAAAGAAUCAAAAUGUUUCUCCACACUGAUCACAGAUCAAGCAGACCUUUGGCACUGUCGGUAUGGACAUCUCAGCUGGAAUGGGCUCAAAGUGCUACAACAAAAGAAAAUGGUGAAAGGGUUACCUCUGUUUAAAGCCUCAUAAAAGAUUUGUGAGGAUUGCCUGGUGGGAAGACAACAUCGUGAUCCAUUUCCUAGAGCAAGCAUGUGGAGAGCCAACAACAUUCUUCAGUUGGUACAUGCUGACAUAUGUGGACCAAUUAAUCCAGUUUCAAAUGGCAAUAAAAGGUAUCUUAUUACAUUCAUCGAUGAUUACAGCAGGAAAACUUGGGUGUUCUUCUUGAUGGCGAAAUCAGAAGCUUAUUCCACAUUCAAAUCUUUUAACGCCAGAGUUGAGAAGGAAACAAGAUCUUACAUACGGAGUCUUAGAACAGACCGUGGAGGAGAAUUUACAUCACAGGAUUUUACUGACUUCUGCAAUGAGCAUGGCAUUCAAAGGCAGCUGACGACCGCUUAUACACCUCAGCAGAACGGUGUAGCAGAAAGGAAGAACCGCACCAUUAUGAAUAUGGUGCGCAACAUGUUGACAGCAAAGCACAUUCCCAAGACAUUCUGGCAUGAAGCAGUAAACUGGACGGUUCAUAUUCUAAAUCGAUGUCCAACUCUAGCUGUGAAGAACAAAACACCAGCAGAAAUGUGGAAUGGGCACAAGCCAUCAGUGGACUACUUUCGAGUUUUUGGUUGCAUUUCUCACGUGCAUGUACCUGACAGCAAAAGAAUAAAGCUUGAUGCUAGAAGUGUAAAAUGCAUUUUACUGGGGGUAAGUGAUGAAUCUAAGGCUUAUAAAUUGUUUGAUCCAAUUUCAAAUAAAAUCAUUAUAAGCCGAGAUGUAGUAUUUGAAGAAGAUCAGCAAUGGACCUGGGAUGAUGAUCACGCCAUAUACACUGAGCUUGAGUGGGACAACGAAACAGAAGGAGUUGUUGAAACAGAAGGAGCAGUUGAAAAUGCGGGAGGUGACUCUGAAGAAUCUAUUUUCAACGAAGAAACUGGAGACAAUGAACCCGAUGGAGGUAAUAUUGAAACAGAUGGAGGAAAUAUUGAAGCUGAUGGAGGAAAUAUUGAAGCUGAUGGAGAUAACAUUAAUAUCUCACAUGAAGAACAUCCAUCAUCUCUUGCGACACGAACACGAAGACCACCAUUUAUUAUUAUUGGGUCCUCUAUAGCAUAGCAAAUUGACAUCAAACCAACCAUUUGAAAUGUAAUGGCAUGAUAUAUAUAUAUAUAUAUAUAUAUAUAUAUAUAUUGGAAUGAUGAUUUGGCAACAAAAUAUGAAUAAGAGUGACAGUGAACUUUUUAUUUGUUAUUUAGUAGUGAAAUUUUGAUGAUCAAUAUGAAUAAAGAUGUAGUUUACAAAAGAUUAUUUUUUUCUUUUAAAACAAUAAUAAAAAAAUUCAUGUAGAUUUUUAUUUAUCCAAUGUUUUUCAAAUUCUCAAAUCACGAGAUAGAAUCAUUUAUAGUGAAAUUAAAUCCAUUAUAAACAAUCAUACUUAGAAACUAACUGUGUUUUCUACAAUGAAGCAAAAUAUUAGAACAUAAACGGAUUUUCAAAAAAAAAAAAAAGAACCAAUUAAACUAUAGACAAAUACAAAUUAAAACUUGUUGUUAAAUAUUCAAACAACAAGAAGGUAUAAAUUAUUUUAAAAUAUAUUUAUUUGUGUCAAGAAUAAUUUUCAUUCAAAUAUUAAUAAUCAUUGUAACUAUUAAUAAGCCUCAAUUACAUCAAAUAAAUAUAAGAAUAACUUUUUUAAAUAGUGAUUUUAAUGAUGAGGUUUAUAUAUAACAAUAACAACCCGAUAGGUAGUUGAUGGGUAGUUAUUAAUUGACUAGAAAAUAAAAUUUGUAAAUAUAUUAUCAUGAAAAUUUUUAAAAAAUUAUAUUAUCAAAUGAAUAGCAAGUGAUUUCUGAGCACCAUGCCACCUCCUUUCAAACCUGUGGUGUUGAUUUUGUUCAUCAUUAAAGAAACCAAAUUAGCGCGUUUGGCAUUGCGGUCUAAAAAUGCUUUUUAAAAAAAUUUGAAUUUUUUUUUUGCUUUAAAUUAAUAUAUUUUUGAUGUUUCCAAAUUAUUUUGAUGUGUGUUUCAAAAAUGAUUUUUAAAAAAUAAAAAAAUAUUAUUAACAUGUUUUUUAAGUAAAAAAUAAAAACAACAACAACCACACUCUCAAACUACGGAUAAUAAACAAAACUCAUUUCAACCCGGUGAUCUCUAAGGUUGACAGACAUGGGCUGUAGGUCUAUAAAUCAAGAUGAAUUCACACCACUUGCUCUUUAGGGUUUUUUUUUGCUUUUGGACCCUCUUUAAGAUUGUCACCAAGAGCAUUAAAUCAGCCGACAGCUGUAGGAUUUGGGACCAGUACUGGCAACGUCGGUGGCCGAUCAUUUCACUGUCAACGAAUUAAUGAGGAAUGUUGUAAAAUCACGAGUGAAUUUGUAAAAUUUUAAAAUUUUAUAAGUUAACAUAUAUCUAAUUUAUUAAAUCAGAUUAAAAUCUUGAAAUUAAUAAAAUUAAAUUUAACUCUUGUAAAAUCAAUGAACUCAGUAAAGUCGAUUUAAUUUUACAAGUUUAUUAAAUUUAUAAUAUGAUUAUAAAUUAAAUUUAAAUUUGACUUUAAAAUAUAUGCUUACAAGUUUUGAGAGAUUGAAUAUCUUUCAAACCAUAUAUUGGAUAAAGUUGAAAUUUUAUAGGAAAAUAUUAUAUACAUGAAAAUAUAUUGUGGUAAAUUUUCAGGUCAAAUGAAGAUAGGAAAUAUAAUAUUUCAGAUGGUCAAAUAUAAUAAACUAAUAUUGUCAAAUAUGUCAAACAAUACCUUCAUGUACUGUUUAUGAUAUAUCUAGAGCUACCGAAAUUUUACUUCGAUUAAAGUUGGGAUAGAAACUAGACAUCUAAAAAUUUCCAACUAUAUAUCGUGGGCCCAAUAAUUCAUCCAAACGGGAAAGAACGACAUGUUUGAAAUCAGGACUCAAAUCUACCAAGAAUAUUAAAAAAAUUAAAGAUUCAAGCUACAUGGAGAAAUUUUAAUAUGAAGAUUUUUAUUAUUAUUUUAUUUAUUUAUUUUUAAAUAAUUAUUUUUAAUUAAAAAAUUUUUAGCGCAUUAGAUAUUGUUUAAGAGUUUAUUUCAUUGUUAGUUAAUUUAUGUUAAUUAAUUAAUUAUUAAUUUAAAUUCAUUAACUUGCAACCCAAAAGGGGUCCAUCAAAACUUAUUAUGAUAGGAACAACCAAGUUGUCAUUAGGUUUAUGUAUGCUUUCUACUUUUUAAUGAUUUCCCUGUAUUGAAAAAUUAUAUUAUGAGACUUUUUAUUUUUUUAUAUCAUUAAUUUAUUAAUUCAUAUUAUAUAUCCCUCUCAUUUUAUUUAGAUUACUAAUUGAUUAUAAUAUUAUUGACUCAUUUUAUCAGAUUUUAAUAUGUAAUUUAAUUUCUUGACCAAAAUUAUUAAUAUAUAAUUAAUUUAAAAAAUUUUAAUUUUAUAAUGUUGCGAUCGAGUUUAUAUUAUAUUUUUUAUUUCAUAUAAAAAAAAAAUCAACAACCUUGUUCAUGAGCUUUGUCACUGCAUACGCUGACAUAUAGCUCUCGGAUGUGAAGAUAGCGACUGCUUUGUGCUUUAUUGACAAGGAACUGAAAAUCUUCUGCUCAGACAAGUAUUGUUGUUCUAAUAUGAACUUCACACGCAGGAGAUCAAAGCAGUCACAGAAAAGGCUGAAAUAUGCUGAAACGCACCCAUUCCACGGACCACGCUACUGGUAUGAACACUGAUGAGUAAUGAGGUUUUUUGAUCCAAAAGUAAGGGAACUCAUAACGUGUCUGCAUUACAACUCAAGGCUAUGAUUUUGUUGGUGAUUUAGUAGCAAAAGCCUGGCCCCGCUAACACACUCCUGGCAGAUUGGCCUUCCCACACCAAAGCUUGCCACAAAUUGGUGUAUUUUCGUAAUCUUUAUAUAUAUAUAUAAUAAGCUGCUGCCAUACAAUGGACGAAAGCACAUAGAAUCCGGCCUCUCCAAGAGAACAGGGUGACUUCAAAUUACGAGGUCCGGUAGUGAAAAAGGGUUGUUGCUCGUUAUUUUCUUUAGGACCAUUGUUACAGUGAUCGGAGGGGUGAUUUUCUUUUUUUUGGGAUUGCUGGGUGUACUGAUGGUGAUGUCAAACGACUUGGUGAAGUUUUCGGGAGUGAGUAUUAGGUUUAAAUUUCUUUAAGGGAAAGUUUGGUAUGGGCAGCACAAGUAGCAAACCCAUCAAGGGAAAUCAUUGCCUUUUUAGGUUGUUUCUUCUUCAAAAUUCGAUUGUAGUGACAUAUUAUAGAUAAAAAACCAUACCAAACUUUGAAAAAUUCUUGUUUUUCAAUCCACUUUGAUUACCACGAGUUAGACAGCUUACCUAAUCCCACUAUAAAGCAAGCUAUAAACAUACUUAAUAAAAACUAAAUACAAGAUUGCCCACACACUCUAGAGCGCGUAGAUACAACUUCACUGAUAUCACAUGUCAGGUUCCAUGCAAAACUCCUCUACAGCAAUGUCGUGAAUAUUAAUAUUCGAUUCUAGGUUCUUUUAUUCGCAGCAAAAAUUUAAUAUCCUUGUACGUGUGUUGUCGAAGCAGGCGGGGAAAUAAUGGAAAUGAGAAGAAACUAAUAUAAUGCGAAAACACAAUGGGACCAACCCUAAUAUAAAAGAAGAGAUCUCUCAUCAUCUUUCUUUCCUUUUUUUUUUUUUUUUAAUACAAGUAGUUGCUUUAGUAAAAAAGACAUGAGGGGGUCCUUGUCAAGGAAAAGCACAUGGGAUCCCCCCUCAGUCUCUGCAUUGACUCCAUGGAUACAGCCCUUUCAAGAAACCACCACCAACCCAUCUCGACUGGGUACAACCCACCCACGCAUGACCCGUAAGAAGUCUGAAGUCGUUGGCAUGGGGAGUUGUGCCAUGUAGAUGAGAUAUUUAUGUGUCAAAAUCUCAUUCGUGGGUACAGUCCCCGAAGGGUCCCACUGAGCAUUUAUUCCUGACUCCUGCUCAAGUUCAAAAGGGGCUGAGCUCAUCUGAUCAUAUAUAGUCUUAAUUGAAAAUCAUAAGGCUACUUUGCCUUGCCUCCUCAUCCCUUCAAAAAUUCUCGAGAUUUUAUUAUUAUGUUUCUUGUUUGGAAGCACCGUCAGUGAGGACCCUUGGAGAGUGUUUGCCUUGUGAUUUUGUUUUAAAGUUUUUUUUUUAUUUGAAGAAGUAUUAAAAUAAUAUUUUUAUUUAUUUAUUUUUAAUAUUAGCAUAUUAAUAUAGUAAAAAAAACACUAAAAAAUUCAAUAUAAAACUAAAAAAAAUAAAUUUUAAUAAAAAAAACAGAUUAGAACGUACUCUCAAUCUAUUGCUCCAUGUUUAAACAAUGUCCAUGCCUUCUGUCACCGGUCAAAUACACGCAGGGAAAAAAAAAAAAAAGAGGAAGGGAAAGACUCAUGCCGGUGCCAAAACAGAAGGUCAGCCAGAAAAUAUUUGUAUAUUAAAUUAAAAUAUAUUAUAAUGUGUUAUUUAAUAACUUGCCCUUUCAAUGGGGUGCGCUUUGCUAGUUGUUGUUUUCGUACACAACCAUGAAGGCAGUUCAGUUCAUAUAGAGUAAUAUAAUUUUAGGAAGACUUGUCCACAUAUAUGUGAACUCUUGCGGGUGUCGGUCCAUCCUAGCUUGAUGCUAAUCUGUGUGUGUACAUAUUUAGGAGGGUGUUUUGGGGUUUUUAAUGGGCACAUAUUUUUCACCCCUUUUUCCCAUCUCUUUCUUUCUUUUACAUAGGAGAGAAAAUGAGUACAGAACAGAGGGUAGAUGGAGAAGAAAAGACUAUGGGGGAGAGAGUGAGGAUGUUCAAAACAAAACUAACGGAUGCAAUGGAGAUUAAUGAGCUAAUGAGUAGAAGAAAAAAAUCCACAAAAAAGAGGAGAAAGUUGGAGAGGGGGGGAAUGAUAGGCACAAAAUAGACAAUUGAAAGAGAAAAAAAGAACAAAAAAUUGGAGAUUAGAAAAUGGAGAUUCAAAUCUGACAAUUUUAACAUUUCAUUAUUGUUUUGAUCAUAAUUGGAUCUAUAAAAAAAAAUUCAUGCAAUUCUAGUUUCAUUGGAAAAUACCAUCUAUAUAUUUCCAUUAAUAUAUUGUAAUCCUUUUAAUUCAUUACUACAAGAGAGAACCAUGCAUUUGAAGUUGGUGUUUAAUUCUAUUGGCAAAUAAAAAAAAUAUUAAUCUUAUUUAAAUUAGUUGGGAAAUUAUUUUAUUUAUUAUUAGACUUUUUAGAGAUAUUAGAGCUUUUAUUUAAAUUUGAGUUUAUUGAUUUAAUAUUAUUUUUUAAAUUUAUUUAUAUUCAUUAGGAGUAUCAUAUUAGGCUUAUGAUUCUUUUUAGUAUAAAAACUCUUUUGUAUAGAUUUGUAAAACAAAAUAUUUUUAAUAAAAAAAAUUGAUAUUCUUGCUAUCUUUUUAUGUGAUUGAGUAAUUCUCAUACUAAGUUUUUUAUGGAACUUACAAAUUCUUUGAAUGAUUGAUCAACUUCGUUGUGAUUUUAUACUAUUUAUUUACGUUUUUUUAUAGGCAUAGGAUGGAAGUGAUCAUUGCAUAUACCUUUGAUUCUUCAAGGCAAGUUUUUGUUAGAUCAAGUUGCAAACCAUUCAAAUAUAAUUUUAAACGUAUCUUAAAAGGUGUUCAAAUAAAAAGAGUUCAUGCAAAACCUACCUCUUAUGAAGAGCAACUCAAAUAUAAAAAACCUUAAUUUAAAAAAAAAUUCACCAUGACAUUGAGGAUUUUUAUUCUGAUAAGAAUAUAUCGUCAAAUGUAAACUUUAAUAAUUUGUAAAAAGAAAAAUGUAACCUAACAAAAAGAAAAAGAAAUUGUCACUUCCUAUAAUGCAUUUACAAGGUAAUUUCAUGUGAUUGAAGCGUAUAAAUAUUUUAGGUUAUCAUGUAAUUAAAAAAAAAAUUCAAUAAUAAAAAAUGAUAGAUUCAAGUCUUUUGAUAGGUAUAUAUAAAUAUAGAAAAUUAUAAUGGUUAUGGACUGCCUUGUAAUUUAGCAAGCCCAACGGUGGAUAUGAGCUGAAAUAACAUUUCACAUCUGUACCAACCACCUGUUAUUUAGCACCACGAAAUCGUAACGGUUUCUUGAGAAGAUAUGAGGUUAAUGUUGUCAUCAUAUCAUAUUGGAGUCGCUUAAGUGGGUGAUACUAACCUGUUUGGCAACUUGGCGUGCCGUGUUUUUGAAAAAAAAAAUAAAAUUAAUUAUUUUUAUGUUAUUUUGAUUUACUGUUAUAAAAAAAAUUAAAAAUAAAAAACAUUUUAAAAUCAUAAAUACCAAAUUAUCUUUUAUAAAAUGAACGGAGAAUGCGGCACAUGAUUACUGGCGCAAACACUGGAUAUGGGACCUCCUGCUUCUAAUUAUGGAUUCUUUAACACUUAGAAGAGCCCACUUUGGCCUAAUUGAGUUUGUGUUCUUCACAUUUCUCUUUUUUCCCAGAACCUAAAGUAAGAGAUCACCUUUUUUUUUUUCCUCAAAAUUCAUAUCAUUUUUUAGGAAAUUGCCAAAAAAAACUAUGAAAUCAUAUCAUGAAGAUCAAGGACAAUAAUUUAAUGUUAGAAAAUAAAAUUUAUAAAAACCAAUUUAAAAAAAAUAAAAAAUAUCAAUAUUAAAUUGGGCUAAUAUUCAAAACUUAUAAUCUGGAUCAUAAGAUUAUAAUUAUUACAUAGAAGAAAAACAUGAAAAAUUAAUGAAGCAAGAUUCCCAGUAAUCUAAAAAUAAAUAGUAAUAAAAAGAAUGAAGAUCAAAUUUAAUAUAAAAUUAAAUGAAAUAUAAGGGAUUAAAUUAAAAAAUAAAAUAAAUCAAUAAAAUAAAAAAAAUAGUUAUCAAAAUAACAAGGACCAAAUUAGAUACUCAAAUUCAAUGAAAACAAAAUUUUAAAAAAAAUCAACUUAAAAAGCCACUAAAAUAAUAGUUAUAUAAAAAAAUAAGGACUAAAGUUGAUACAAAUACAAACUAACAAAACACAUUUAAAUUUUAGAAGGACAAACAUAAGACUGUGACAAGGAAAGAGAAAAGAGGGAGAAGAAAAAAAAAGUUUAUCAAAGCUCAACCACUAUGUUAUCAACACAUGUCUAACCACCAAAAAAAAGAUGUCUAAACGCUUUCAACAUCGUUGUGGAAGGUGGCGUUUGACCAAUAAAAGAUGUCUUACAUGUUGCUCGAAGAACACAAGAGUCUUUUACUUGUUGAUGCAUGUAUUGCACGUCAAUUACUUUUGUUUUUUGAAUGAUAUUUUAUAUUUAUUAAAAUAAAAAUGACUCCCUGGUUAACUUGAUUACAACUGAAAAAUCACGGUGAAAAUUUAAAAGUAUCCUUAAAUGUUGGUUUAUUUAUUUUUUACUUUUAAAGAUAAUUUAAUCAUUUCAUUAUGCUUUAAAGAGUGAAAAUCUAAAAAAUCUCCUAGCUUCCAAUUAAAUAAAUUGUGCUUUUAAGUGCAAUGUAAUUAUUUUAUAAUGUUUUAAAACAUAUAAAAAGACCAAGCUAAACUGAUUAAUAUGAUAAUAAACAAUGAACUCUAAGAACCGUGUUACCCCUAAAAAUCAGUCCAAUAGUUUGUUUAAUAAAGAAAAAGCACUAUUAAACUAUUACGGUCCACAAUAUUUUGUGUGCCUCUACAGUGAAAUAGUUUUUUUUUGUUGUUAAUAAUGAUGUUGCAUACACGAAAACGUUGAUAAAAUGAAAUAUGUAAAGUAUUUUUCAUGAAAGAAGGUUUAAUAUUUAAUUUCUAAAUCAUUAAAUAUUUUCAAAACACCUGUGAAUAAGAGUCAUACAUAGCUAUUAUGGGUGGUCUUUCUUUUCUGCAUGGAGAAUAAUGUUUUAAACCUUUAGUAGUCUACGUACUGGUUUUCUAAUAAUAUCUUUUUUUUUCCAUCGUGUUGAUUGGUUUGACUAUCGUGCAGAAAAGAAACCAACACUCAAGUCCCCGUGUAAUGCGGUCGGUUGGAUUAAAAAAAAUUUGAAUGUAAAAAUAUAUAUCCAGAUUAUGCAAUUUUUUUUUUGAUAUUAUUAUUAAAUUUGAUUUAACAAGUUAAAAUCUAAACUCUCAACUCAAGUUCUUGUCAAAUUCAGGUUGAUUAAAUCAUAAAAAAAUAUUUUGAUAUGAUUCAAUCAACUUAAUAGAUUUAAAAAAAAUAAAAAAAAAAACAAAAAAACAAAGAUUAGAUAUGCAAGUUUAAAGAUAACAUGCAUAAUUGUUAAAAAUAUAUUUGAUUUUUAAAAAAUUUAAAGCUCAUAUUUUUUUUUUAUAUUGAAACGGUAACAUUGGAUUGAAUCUUAAAUUAAGUUAACUCAUAAAUGUGAUAUAUAUUAUGAAUUCUAAUGAGUUCAAUAAUAUAUUUUUUAAUUAUAUAAUAUAUAAAAAAAGAUCAAUUUAAAACCAAACCAAUAUUAAAGAACAAAAUUUAAAAAAUCAAAAUCAAAAUUUAUAAAAAAUCCAAUAUUAAAGAAAAAAAAAAGUCACACAGUGUGUGAAUCUAAGUUGCCCAAUGUAUGAGGCCUUAAAAAAAAAAACCAUUACCAUUGAACUCCUCCCAUGAAAUUUGUCAAUAUAAAAUUUAACUAUUUUUGCUAUCACGACAAUUAUUUUUUUUUCAUAAUAUUUUGUUAUUUUUUUUAUGAAUUAAUAAAUAAAAUAAAAUUUUAAACUAAAAAUAAAAUUAUUAUGAAUAUGUGGCGAGCCAUACAUUUAUUUCAUGUUUUAAUUUGAAAUUUAAUCUCGUAUAAUCAGAGCAUAAAAAAUGCAAUUAAUCUUUUUAGUUUUUAUCUUCAGAAAACAGUUAUUCGGUUUAUCGUGACCGUAAAUAACUCACUAUUCCUUAACGGGACACGUUAAAAUUUCCAGUUCCCAUCUCAUCUGAGCCGUUGAUCAGUAGUAGUGAAAAGCUCCACGUGACAGCACAUUAACGAAACCUACAAAGUAAGCUCCCAAUAUCUCACGAGAAAAUCUUGCUCAUUCCACAAAUCACCUUGCUAAUGCAAUUAUUAGCGCCAUAAUACACUAAAAUUCCACUAACAAUUUUUAUAAAAUUAAAUUAAUAAGAAUUAAUAAAACUCAAAUUUUAUCUUGCAACCAUAGCUAUCUUGAUUUAGGAGCCGUUGAAUUGUAAUCCAACGAUCUGAAGUUUUUAACAUGCACACACAAUAUCUAAACUGAAAAAACAAAAGAUUAGUAGUUACAGUGUUAACUGUUAAGUACUAACAAAACUUCUCUUGGAAUCAAAGUUUCUCUCUCCCAUCUUUGCCUUGCUUUCGCGUGUACACAGUUGAAGUGAUUUUGCUUUCCUAGGUUGUUGCCAAAUCUUGAAUUUAUGCUUAAACUUAGUGAGUACUAGAGAGUAGGGAUAGUUUUCUUGUUUUCAAGAUAAACAAAGCUUUCACUUCAUCACCACCACAUUGCAAUCAAAGUCUUGAACUCUCUUGUGGUUUCUUUAUAGAACCCCACUUCGCCAAUCAACCUGGUUCCUUUUCCUUUCUAUUGCUCUCUCUUUGGCUAUUGGGUUCAUGAGUUCUUUUGGGUCUUUUUAGUUUUCUUGAAACAAAGAGAGAGGAGUAGAGAUUUCUUGCAGGGUAAAAAUGAGAUCCUAUGCUUCGCUUCAGCUUCUUUCUGUUUUUUCUCUUCUUCUUUUUGUGACUUGUGACUCCUUUGCCAGAGAUGAAGGUAUGCAUUGCCACUCAAGUUCUCAGAUCUUGAAUUUUUUUUUUAUAAAUGCUUUGUUUUGCUGAUAAAAAGUUGGAAAAGACGAUAAACUUGAAUUCUCAUGAUCUGAAAUUGAGCUAACUAGUGUCUCUAGGCUGAAUUGAGCUGUGUUAGUUAUGGUGUAAUCAAUGUGAAAACUUCAAGAUUCGAACUUGGGUUCUUCCUGCAUUUACUUUGUGACCUAAUACCGUUAGUGGCAUUGGAAGUCAUGUGAUCUGAAAGUAAUGCACGGUACUGAAAUUUACUGACCUGAGAAAGUGCUGGACUUUGGUAAUUAUAGAGCCUAGUACUCUUCACUAAAUGGAAUUUAUGAACUUCUGAACAGUUUGGGCACUUACAGCGUUCAAGGAAGCUAUAUAUGAAGACCCACAUAUGGUUUUGUCCAGUUGGAAUGCCUUAGAUGCAGAUCCUUGUGGUUGGUCUGGCAUUUCCUGCUCUUUUGCUGGAGACCAUGUUGUAAAGAUGUAAGAUAUGACCCGUCAAUUUUUUCUUUGUCAAACUUCAGGAUUAGAUACGUUAUAAUCUUUUCUAAAGUAAGAUCCUGAUGCAUAGUAUAUGUGUAGGUGCAUUUUAUCAGUGAAUCAAGUUUGACCAUUUAUCUGUUGGAAUUCUGUUUUUGCAGAAACAUAACUGGGUACUCUUUAAGGGGAUUUCUUGCCCCGGAAUUGGGUCGGAUCAAAUUUUUGCAACAACUGUAUGUUUCUUUGCUCUUCCUCUUCCUUUUCUUUUGCUAUACUGAUACGUAUGCUUUGUAUUUAAGGCUUUUUUCUUUUUCGGUGUUUUUGAUGUUUUGUAGAAUCUUGCACGGCAAUAAUCUGAUUGGGAUUAUACCAAAAGAACUGGGAAUGUUGAAAUACCUCCAGGUCUUGGAUUUGGGAGCAAAUCAAUUAACGGGCCCUAUUCCUCCAGAGAUUGCAAAUCUAAUCAGUGUCAUUAAAAUGUAAAAGAAUUUGUUAUUGUGGUUAGCAAUUGGACUUAUAUGGUUGGCGUUAUUUGAGUUUUUUCUUACUUUCUCAUUUUAUGUUGUGGUAGAAACCUUCAGUCCAAUGGAUUAACAGGAAGCUUGCCUCCUGAACUUGGCAAUUUGAAGUCCCUUCAAGAACUACAGCUUGAUAGGAAUAGACUUCAAGGAUCUGUUCCUGCUAGUAGCAGCUCAGAUUUCACUUCUAGCGCGUAUGGAAUGUAAGUAUAAUUCUGAAAGCACAUAACUCUUUGUUUAUGAUGCAAAUUAGAGGGAAGAAAUAAAUUCUAUUAAGCAACAAUACCAUUCUUAUUUAAAUAUGUUGUACAAGUAUGUGAUUGUAUGAGUGAAAAACAGUUUCGCCAGAAAUCUGAAGCUAUAGAAUGAGACAUAAGAUCAUUUUUAAUCAGUUGAACCUUGUGUUUUUUAUUCUUUAAAUUUGUUACUUAUAAUUCACUCCUGCUUCAGGUAUGCCUCAAACACAAACUUAACUGGCCUGUGUCAAGCAUCUGAAUUAAAAGUGGCUGAUUUCUCCUACAACUUCUUUACUGGGAGCAUUCCUAAGUGCUUGGGGUAUCUUCCGAGGUACAUAAGCUUACUCUAAGCUUUUUCCUACUAGGAUGUGAAUGCUACAUAAGCUUACUAUGUUAAAACGCAUGUCAUUCAGCACAAGCUUCCAAGGGAACUGCCUUCAGAACAAAGAUCCGAGACAGCGUUCCUCUUCUCUUUGUGGUAUGUAUGAAAUGGUUUUCUUUCAGCCUUCAGGCUCCCAUUUCUGUAUUUGUGAACUAUACUACUGUGUGUCAAUAUGUCUAUGGCAUUAAUGUUUGAAAUGAAGAGCAAUCCCCCUGGUAUGCACACUAUGAACAUGAGGUUGUCUGUUUCUAUGUGAAUUGGUAGUGAUAUAUCAUCAUAAAUGCGUUGUCAUGCUAAAAGCUUGAUUUUUGUUCCUCAACAUAAGAAUUGGAUAGAGAUUUCUUUCUCUUUUAGUCUGUGCUCCAAAACGAGUGUGGUGUGUGACAUUCAAAUCUUUAGGUUUUUUAAACAGUGUUGCCCUUCUCUCAAAGGCCCCAACUUUCACAUAAUUCUUUUUUUUUUUUUUUUUGGGAUUGAAGACCUAACCCAAAUGCAUGGGCUCUUAUACUCUCUCCUAGUCUCCUUUUUCCUUAGUAAUUCUGGCAUUGCUUACAUAAAGCUCAAAUUGGGAUGGAGUGGGUGUUGCUUUUGUCUGUGUAAUAACCUAUUGUCCAACUGAACCUUGUAAUAACAGGUGUGUCUGGUGGCCAGUAAUAGAUUACGGUGAUUAUACUGACUUAUUAAUUCCUUUUAUAGAUCAUGCUCCUCCUGCCAGAACCCCUCGAACAACAAACCCCAAGCAACAGCAUGCUGAAGAUUUAUCCAAUCAGCAACGUAGGGCAUCAAAACCUGCCUGGCUUUUGGCUCUGGAAAUAGUGACAGGAACCAUGGUGGGCUGUCUCUUUCUUAUCGCCUUUAUAACUGCUCUUCAGAGAUGCAAGGACAAAUCUUCUCUCAUAAUCCCUUGGAAGAAAUCAUCGAGUCAGAAGGACCAUGUGACAGUAUACAUAGGUUUGCUUCCAUAUUACCAAACCAUUACCUAUGCUUCAGUGUUAUUUAACAGUGUUUUUAAAAGUACUUUGUGUUGUCUUAUUGUGCGUAUAUUUCACACAGAUUCUGAGAUGUUAAAAGAUGUAGUGAGAUUCAGUAGGAUGGAGCUUGAGGUAGCCUGUGAAGACUUCAGUAACAUUAUUGGCUCUUCUCCAGACAGUUUGGUUUACAAGGGCACCGUGAAAGGUGGCCCUGAGAUUGCUGUCAUAUCCCUCGGCAUCAAAGAAGAACACUGGACAGGCUAUCUUGAACUCUAUUUUCAGAGAGAGGUGAAGACUUGUUCCUUGUCACUGCAAUUUUUUUGUAUAAAGCUUUUAUAAAGAAAAGACACUGAACAACUACAGAUGUAAAAGCUGAGAAAUUUGGGAUAGCCUUUUUUGAGAUGCUUUUUUAUUAAUUUUUUAUCCAAUUCAGGUGGCAGAUUUGGCAAGAUUAAAUAAUGAGAAUGCAGGAAAGUUGCUGGGCUAUUGUAGUGAGAGCACUCCAUUUACGAGGAUGUUAGUUUUCGAAUAUGCAUCAAAUGGAACCCUGUAUGAGCACCUUCACUGUAAGUCGAGUUUCUUGCUUUGGACAAUCAACAUUCUUAAAAUGUGAUAUACUUGCUUAAAGUUGAUCAAACAACCUGCACGGAUGCAGAUGGAGAAGGAUGCCAGUUAUCUUGGACACGGCGAAUGAAAAUCAUCAUAGGCAUUGCUCGUGGACUGAAGUACUUUCAUGCUGAACUUGAUCCACCUUUUACUAUAUCAGAGUUAAAUUCCAGUUCUGUGUAUCUCACAGAGGACUUUUCCCCUAAGGUACUCAGUGAUGCCUCUUUCUAUUUUUAUAAACAAGGUUAAACUCAACCCAUUCUACACAAGGAUGAAAAAUUGUGUUCCUAAGUCUGUUGGCACUUCCCUUUUGAUAUCAUAGAAAAAAUGGGAAUUGUUUGCGAUGUCGAGUUCCCCUCAGAUAAGUAAAAUUUUUUUAGCUAUGGUCACUGUUCGCUUAUGUAACCCAAAUGAAUCAUAUCAAGCAUUCUAUCAUUAUACUCUUAUCCGAGAACUGGAAAACUUGAAUGAGCUUUGGUAGCUUGAAAUCAAUGACCUUGGUCACACUUCAUUUCUAGGGUACAUUCAUUGGUUUAAGCAUGUAAAAUCUUUCAAUAUGUCUGAAACUGUCUUCUGCAACCAGAAAUCUAGUACAUGUCAUUCCUUACCCCUAUAAAAUUGUGUUCCUCUGAAAUUUCUAUUUGGUUGUCCCUCAGUUGGUUGAUUUUGAAAGUUGGAAGAGUAUUCUUGCAAGAUCAGAGAAGAACUCAGGCUCCAUAGGCAGCCAAGGUGCUAUUUGUGUGCUUCCAAAUUCUCUGGAGGGACGCCAUCUCGAUGUCCAAGGGAACAUUUAUGCUUUUGGUGUUCUAUUAUUGGAAAUAAUCAGCGGAAGACCUCCACACUGCAAGGACAAGGGGCGCUUGGUAGAUUGGGUAAGAAAUCUUUUGUAGUUGUUUUAAACAUUCACAGAUUUCCAUUAUAGGUAACCUCAAAGAAACAGGUAUCUGGAAAAAUUAUUGCCCAUAUAACUUAAGUGGCGAAAGGCUUAAAAACUUCUCUAUUCUAUAGGCCAAGGACUUCCUCGAACUACCGGAAGCAAUGGCGAAUGUGGUGGAUCCCGAGUUGAAGCAUUUCAGAUUCGAGGACCUCAAUGUUAUAUGUGAAGUGGUAAACCUUUGCAUCCAUCCAGACCCCGCUAAGCAGCCUUCCAUGCAGGAGUUAAGUACCAUUCUAGACAGCAGAAUUGAUACAACUAUACCUGCCGACUUCAAGGCAUCUUCUUUGGCAUGGGCAGAGCUUGCGCUGUCAUCAUAAUUGAUUUGAAGCCUGACGCUAACACACUGUAAAUCAGAUUAAUACAAUUGUAAUAGUCCUUUCUUUUCUUCUACUCUUUUUUUUUUUUUUCCCACACUUCAGUUAUCUGAAGUCCUUGUAAAUGUGUUAAAUUGUGUGCGUGCUAAAAGAAACAAAGAGCUUCUCUAUGACAAUAGCGUUUUUGUAUACCAUUGGAUGAGUAAAGUUACGACAAUAGUAAACUUUUUACUUUAAACCGAGUCGGCAAUUUCUGUUCUCUGGCUAUGAUUUUUUCUCUCUUUUCAUAAAACAGGUCAAAUUGAUGGAAGCUUACUGUUUCAACACGCUAAUUCUAGCAAUCACAUUUAUUUGAAAUGCAUCUACUUUUAUAAAACAAGGUAAAAAACAUAAACCUGGAAUAAAAUUUAAAACACAAACCUCGUAUGCAUUCUAACAAAGUCGAUUUCUCUUUUAAUGUUGCCAUGUUACAACUUACAUCUUCUCCCCUGUAUUACUCGGCAUUCCAUGUUGUCUAAGGAGCAGCCUUAAUUUUAUUGCCAUGGUGCAAAAUUAACGUUGUAGCUGGGUUGAGACUACAAAUGCCAUGAGAUUUUGCAAUAGCAUCGUCCAACUUGUUUAGAUUGAAACACAAGCUAAGCUAAUAUAAAAACAAUACACUUUCACUAGAGUAAAUGAUGGCUCGCUGAGAGUUAUGUAUUAGAUCCAAUUUUUCUAAUUUAUUUUUGUUAAUACAUUCUGAACUUCUUCAACACCUUCUCAACAUAUUUCUUUCUUUUGACAAAUAAAGACACCUUCUCCUUGAUAAAUAUCUAUGCUAAGAAAAUGAUUAAAGUGUAAUUCGAGCCUUUGCAUUAUUUGUUCUUCAUAACCAUUUCCGCUUACUAUUAUAAGAAACGUCGCACCAUUUAUUACCUGCAAUAAUGAUGAAUUAUUCUCAAUCUGUGACCUUUCCUCCAAGUGUCGACCCUUUUCUUUUACUAUAAUGAUACUCCUUUAAUUGUAGUUGUUAUGGUUUUGCGAUAAACAUUUUGCUUUACAUGUAUUCUUGGUAUAUUCUAAACAUUGAUUGAAUUGUAUUCUGAUCAAAGAAACUAUCUCGAUGUGAGCUUUAAAAAUAUUAUGUUUUAAAAAAUAUUAAGUUAAUGGGCACACUUUUUGCUAUGCUUUUCCAUAACAUUUUUCUUUGUUUUUUUUAAUUUUAAUUUUUUUUAAUGUUCUAGCUUUAUAAUUUUUAUUUGUGAUGCCAAGGUGGGUUUUUUUUUUUUUUUUUAUUUACGUGGGUGUCCGGGCCAGCUUGCGCGCACCACGACUAAUUCCACGGCCCACUAAACAUCCUGCAAACCUAGUGAGCAUGUAAGGCACCGCGGGGGUGACAAGCGUGCACAGUGAGAUUUGAACCCUGGUGAAGUGGAAAGGAACAAGACCCUCCCACCACUAGGUCAAGAUCUCAAGUGCGAGGUGGGUUAUUUUGAAUAUGCGAUGAGGGGAGCUGGUGUUGCUUCCCCUCGACACACUUAUUCAUGAGCUAUUCGAUGGACGACACCUCUUCUAGGGGUGUUGAUGGUCGAAUGGGGCAAGAUAACAGUACCACUCAACAUAACCCAGAACAAAUGAUAUGGUCUCCAAUCUCCUUCUCUUCCAGGUUAUGAAUGGUGAGAUUGACAAACACCCCAUUCCCAAGUUUUCAACUUAAUAGCCAGUGUUUUGGAGGGAGCCUUCAAAUAAUUUGUCCAAAAUCAUUAGAAAUCAUGUUUACACCUUCUUCCCUUGUAAAAAUGUUGUUCGGCAAGGAGUUUGCGUUCACACUCGGGGCAUUUUGACUCCUGUCAAAUGUUAUCGGACUUGACUUGAUAGGGUUAAAGAUCUUGCCUUUUAAAGCAUCAUAGUUAUCAAUCUUAUGUCCAAUAACACCAGCGUUGUAUUCACACAUUUGUUAAUAAUAGGUUUUGAUAUUGAUUUAAUACUUAACUAAUUAAAACUUUAAAGAUCUAGUUUCAAACGAAACAAAUAUUCAACUUAUUUUUAAAGAGAUAACAUUUUUAUUUUUAUUUUCUGACUUAAUCUUUGUUAGAUUCAACAUAUUUAUUAUUAUUUAUUCACCCAUGUAAUUCUCAAAUUAUUUUAUUAAAUGCAAAAUUUUUCAGUUUGUAGUAAUUUUUUUAGUAUUUUUUUAUUAACGUUAGCAAGUAGUUUAAUUAAUGACAUUUUAAGAAUAUAAAUACACAAAAAAUCAAAUAGUUAUCUUACUAAAAUUUGCCCGUUGAAGCAUAAAGAUUAAACCAGGGAGGAAUAUCUUCACCCUACUGCUCGUCCUCAUUAAAGCCAUUAAAAAGAAACGGCAACGUUUACCAUAUUCUCAUAACUGAGAAAAUAAGAUGCUGCGGUCAUACUGGUCUUAGUUUGAACUAAGUUGAGCCCUUGAGUAUUUGACCUUUUAUUAAGCUGCUUCCUACAUUAUCUGUUCUCACCCUCGAUCCAUCCUUCGUCUCCAACUCCACUGAGCUUUUUACCGGUAUAGUGUUAUGUCUCUUAGAGUUCCGGUUUUUCUCCUCUCUUUAUUUUGGAGAUUGAAUCAAAAUGCACUUCAAUUAGCUUAGCCUCCAACUCCUGGGGCAGAAAGAUGUUAUUUUCUAGAAAAAAACUUAGCUGAAAAGGGAGGAAGCAACGAUUAUAGGUGUGCCAUUUAUGCAGAAUCUUUCUUGGGAGAGCAGAUUGUUUGCCUUCUCUCUUGCGGACACUAGCUCUACCUUCAAGGCAUUGAGGGUUGGAUAAAAAACCAUUCUCCGUGUCUUUUUUUGCCGGUAAGUUUAUGAAGGAGGAAGAGGAGCUGAAGUUGAAGAAGCUGUUUGAUUUCAACUCUGCAUUUUUCCAAGGCAUAUUUACUAUUUACAGCAGUAGUGACGGGUUAUGCUAUUUAGAGUUGUUAUUUAACAUUUAGAAGUUCUUAGAGGGUGUUUGGGAGUGUGGUAGCUGUUACUUUUCAAAUAGCUUUUCGUGCCGAAAAGCAUGUCAAUAAUGUUUUUUUUAUUUUUUAAAAAUCAUUUUUGAUAUCAGCACAUCAAAACGAUCCAGAAAGUACAAACCGAACUUAAUUUUAGCAAAAAAAAAAAAAAAAAAAAUUUUGAAAUUUGGCAAAAAGCUGUUUGGACCGCAGCGCCAAACAGCCUCUUAGUAUGUGAUUAAUUGUGGUUAGAUAAUUAAUUAUAUAAUUACGAUUGUCGAUUUUUUUUUGUUUCUCCAUUUUCGAAGCUGCUUCAUAUCUGGUAUCACACUUGUGAUUGCCGCAAACUUGUAGUAAAAACAAUGGUGAUCACCAAGGAAAAAAAAUAUUAAUGAAAAGCGAAAAAAAUCACCUAAUACAAAUGGCUCUUGUACACUCGGAUCUUUGUAGUUUCGUCUAACCAUGUACAGAUUAAUUAUUGAUUCUGACAGAAACUGUACACAGUAUAUCAAGAAAGAAAUUAUCAGGUCUUCCUGGCAGUGGCAUUCUUAAGAUUUCGUAGCGUCAUCACCAGCUGUUGUCUUUCACCUUCAACCUGUGCAAACUUGAGACUCAUUUCCGAAUAUCUUUCUUGCAUCUCCUUCAGUUCAUUUUCCAUUGAUUUGUUUCUCUCCUUCAAUGACUCUAGUUCACCCAACUCCUCAUUGGCAUUGUUGUCCGUGUUGUUGACAGAGCAGGUUUUUGGUUGUAACUCCGAUGCACCGGAAUGAUCGCUGGAAGGAAACAGCAAAAGAUUUCAAUCACAGGAACAAGCUAGGAGAAAAGUAGAAUACAAACCAACUCAAAUAGAACUAUUGUUUCUUCAAAAUCAUACCUCUUGAUUGACAGUUUUAAAUUCCCAUUUUCUUUGGACAUCCCUGAUGUACUACUGCUUGGAUUUUCAUCCCUGCUUAAAUCUUCAGCUAUAUCACCAUUUGGAGUAAUCCCAAUGUUGUCUUCAGAUGACUGCAUUGCAGGCUCAACAGUUUAGAUUAAGAAACAGUGUAAUUUUGCACAUUUAACGAAUUUGAAAGAAGAUGUAACAGUUCAAUCGAGAUAGACAACUGGUUAAAAGGUUGCUCAUAGAUCAAAAAAGGAACCUCAUCUAUUUCUUCCAAGGCUCGAAACUCAUCCAUGUCCAGAUAUUUGAGCAACACAAACACAUCGUUUCUAAUGUACAUGAUAUAUAAUGAUUAUCAUUGCUAACCUUUCGGGGUUGGUUGCAGCAGAAACUUGCGCAGUUCUGGUUGAGUUCUUCCACCCUGCCCUCCAACUCUUCAAUUUUGUUUUGAAGAUCCCUUUCCUUCUCUGAAAACGAAUUUGCAGAGGCUUCUAGAGAGGUUUCCUUUAACUUCAUUUGUACCUGCCACACAAAAUCACAAGAAAGGGAGUAUCAAGUCAACUGCAAUUGUGCCAAAUCAAAAACAAAAUUUCAUAAAUCAGGGUGCACUCGGAAUAGGUAAACCAAAGAAUAUGAUGGGAAGAUCAUAAAGGGGUUUGUCCAUCUUGACUCUAGUGACCGUCGUGAUCGCCAACACCAGCUAUUUUGCCAUUGCAUAUUCUAGUUGAAAUUUUUAAUUAAAAAAACUUGAAAAUAAACAUUUACCUCAAGCAAUUUUAUUCUGUCCCUCUGAUUUGCCAUCUCUUUAGAGCCAUAAGGAACUGGAGCAAACUUAUUGUUUCUCAUGGUACUUUUUGUUCCUUCAGAAACUGCUAUGCAUUUGUUGCUUUCCUUGAGUUUCUUCUCCAUGCUGGUCAAAGCAUCUUCCUUCUUCUUCAGCUCACUCUUUAAUUGGAGUAACUGCCUUCUAAGUUUUUCUUUUGCCAACUCAUCCUCAGACAGACAAUGUUUCAAGUCAUCACAUUGAGCUUUAAGCAUUCUGACCUCUGAUUGCAAGAGACUCAUUGCAGACUCCUUCUCAUCCUUGAGACACCUCAUUCUAUUUAACUCCUCCUGCGACUUCUCUGCUUCCUUCUUCAACAAAGAAAUUGUACUCACCAGUUCAUUCCGUUUCAUAUUUCCUUUUUGUACCAGCGCGUCAGUGUGCUUAAUUGAUGUCUUCAUUUGUUCCACCUCUAACCUCAUAUUUUCUUUCUGUUCUGCUUGCUCAGAAAGGUGAUCGUUUUCUAUUGAGAGCAUUUCAAGCUCAGCUUUUAGGCCUUGGAAUUCAUGGGAGAAGGCUCCAACACAUUCUUCAUCAUGCUUCUCUUGCUGUUCAAGCUGUCUGGAUUUAUCCUCAUUCCAUCGACAUCUGUUCUAUCUGAUGCAUUUUCAAAUUCAGUUGGUUGGAAAGAACAUGCAGUUUUGACUCAUAACCAUCCUGAACUGAUUGGAGCUCCUCGUUAGCUUUCUGAAGCAUUUCUUCCAGUUUUCCUUUCUGCAUAUGUAGUUCACUAGCUUCUGCAAGCGCUUUCAUAGCUACCUUCUCAUUUGCAUCAAAAGUUGAGGUCAUAUGAAUGGACAACCUCCUAAAUUCUUCCUGCAGUUUCUCAGCUGUAUUAGCGUUUUUCAACUUGUCUUUCGCAAGGCUUCCUCUGCUUGAAUGGCUCUCUGCUCCUGCUCAACUCUUGCACUUGUUACAACCCCCAGAUCAGCGUCAAACUCUUGGGCCUGCUGUUCCAAUUCUUUCUCCAAGCUCGUUAUACGGGUUUGUAGUUCCUUUAUGGUGGUCAAAGAAUCAGAGUUUUCCUUUGACUGCUUCUUUAGUUCAUUUUCUAAGCUCUCAACCUGAGCUUCUAGUUCAUUUGUGUAGGGAAACGAAGGGGAGCAUUCAUACUGUAUCUUCAGCUGUUCUUGCAGCUGACUUUGUUCUAAUUUAUAUGACAUGUCAUGGUUCUCCUGCUUCAAUAUCUCAUAGUCGAGUGCCAGCUGCUCCAUUUGCAUCUCCAGCUCAUCUCUCUCUCCCCUAUAGAUCUCUAUUUCACUGCAGAGGUCCAUAAUCUUUUGCUCCAGAAGAUACGUUUCUUUAGCAUCCUUAUGCUCCUUAACAAGUUCUUCCAGUGCCUUUUGCUCUUCAUCAUCACAAGUCUGUCUUCUUGAGAUUGCAUUCUCAUAGGAUCUUGCUUUGUUGGAAAGGUCCGAUGUUUCCCUAUUUUUCUGCUCUAACAUUUCAUUGAGGUCUUUCACAGCAAGUAUCAACUCAGCAUUUGUUUCCAGCGUUUUCUGAAGUUGUAACCGGAGGUUGGAAUUCAGGUCCUUCUCAUAAUUCAGCUCUUGUCGAACUUCUUCAACAAAUGGAUCCCCACAUUUGAAAGGUAACUUGUUUCUGCUUUUUGCCUCCUCCAUGCAUUUCUGAAAUGCCUUGAGUUUCUCGCACUCUGACUUGAGCAUAUCUCUCUCCCCUUUUAAUCCCAAGAUUUCUCUGGAGAGGUGCCGCCCCCUUUUGAUCUCUUUUACAAUUUGUUUCCGCAGGGUUUGUAUUUCCAACUCUGACACAUCUUGCUGUCUUGUCAACACAACGAGUUUAGACUUGAGUUUUUCCAACUCAAUAUCUGAAGCCUGUUGAGAUCUCUCUCUUGCAAAGGAGCCUUGAGAACUAUUUGUCGAGUCAUAAUUACUUGUAUCAUGAGCAGAAUCUGCGGAUAGCUCCCAUUGUGGUUGCUGAUGCUCCACAUGGCUUGCUGCGGAAGCAUUUGCUUUUGGCAGGAGAGAUGCUGAAGUGCGGGUUCGAGAUGAUAGAAAGCUAGUAGGGUCCUGUAGCAUGUUGUUUCUCAAUCCAAGUUCUCGUGGGGUAUUGAGUCCAGAGAUACUUUCAGAACAUGACAUUGUAAUGUCAGAUCCACUACAAGUCCUGUCGUUGCCAUUUAAUCCAGAAUUGUGAGAGGCAUUGAUAAGUGGUCCAUCCUGCAGAACAGCAAAAAUCCCAUCAUAUUUUCAUCAAACAUGUACAGAUUAGAGAAGAAAACUGAAAAGGCUGAAAAAGUAGAAUUCUAUUUCAUUUUUCCAAAUGUUAUGCCGUGAUAUCUAAUUAUAAGAAUCAUGCAAGGAGAGAAUUACAGAAAUGAUUUCUGGCACAAGACUUGAAACUUACUUCACUUGAAUGACUAUUGUACCCUCAUCUCUGUUACUUUUGCUUAAUAGGGUGUUCAAGGUUCUGCUCUGGGAUUUUAUGUUUAUAUCUUCAGCUUCCACUCACUGCGAAAGAUUGUAGAGAUGACAAAAAAAAAAAAUCUCUAAACUCUUCAAGGAAAAAAACCAUGGAAAAUUAAAAAAUUUGAUAACAACAAAUGAUAUUUCAUCACUACCUUUGCUCAACAUUUUCUUGCAGCCUCUGAAUUGAAACCUAUUGAAAACCAACAUCUGAAGUUAAAUUUUGAACUUCAAUUACAAAGUGAAACUCUCAAUCUCAUUAAUCCUAAAGGCAAGGAAGGUCUCGUGGGAACUAAGAAUUUUAUCCAUGACUGAUACAAGUGAGGAGAAAAAAUCACAUGCAAAACCCCAUCAGAUUUUGAAUUCUUGAGGGGAAGAGAAACUGUGGAAGCUAUAGUUGCCUCAGCAUAAUCAGUAAAAUCUAUAGAAACUUCUCCAACUAAACUAUUUUUCGAUGAUCCCUGCACAAACCCAAAAAAUCCAAUCACACAACAGACACUCGACAAGAAGUUGAGCAAUAUAAAUCAAUAAUUUGGUAAAAUUCCUUACAGUGGAGACAAAAAUGGUAUAUUCUCUCAUUGAUCUUCCCUGUUUUCACAUCACGAAUGUAUUUCACUGUUUCAUAGACCGGAUACUCCCAUCGACAACUUUCUUCUCGGAACCACUGAUAUAGCCAAUGCAUUCACAUUCAGUUGCGGCAGCUACAUUCACAGAUCACCAUAAAAGUUCCUUAAUUCUUCCAAUUUCUCAAUCACAUUUGACAACAAUGAAAGCAGGAUUCAAAUUCUUAACUGAAUUCAACAAAACAAAAUAAAGCAAUAAUCUUGAAUGAUCUACACACACACACACACAUAUAUAAGGCUCAACUUAUAAGAAACUUCUGGCAUUUUCUUAGUAUCCAAACAGAACUAACUGAACCCGCCACCAAAAGUUCAUUGAAAAAAAGUCCAAAUCUUUCACAAGAACAGCAAUACAAUUAUCUAUAUAAAGUUAGAACUUGAACAAUUAAAAAAAAAAGAGAGCUUCAGUUCAAAGUAUUAAAUUUUAGAGAUUGAAGAAGCAGACAGUUACACGUACAAUGUUAAAUGGUAGCAGCAUGUUACCUGAGUUGCAUGAAACUGCAAUUUGAAGACAGUUUUGAUCUUGUUCUUCUUGCUUCUCCAUCUCGCCGACCUGAACAUUUUCUCCACCGAAAUAUCCAGUAACUCACUGGAAUUCCGGCCAAAGUAGCCGGAAAAUCACCAUUCCAGCGAUCGGUCCAUCCAAUGCAAACAAAAUAUACAGUAUAACAUACAGAGUCGCAGGGAGUCAGGAGAAGUGUACAGGUAAUGGUGCGGGUUUGUGAGUCCAAUGCGAGCUGGAAACUGAGUCAAAGAGAGCGAGUUGAGAAGCAAAAACAGAGAGGGAGAGGCUGGAAAACAGAGGAGACAAAUAAAAAGAGAAGAGAAGAGGUAGCAGAUCUAUGAAAAGGCGGAAUGUGAUGUUUCUCUCCUUUUCUUUGUGCCCGUUUGGUAUUUGUAGUAACGGAUUUUAUAAAUUGCUUAAUGCAUAGUGUAGAAAUAAUGUUAUUUAUUUUUUAAAAUUUAUUUUUUAUAUUAAUAUAUUAAAGUGAUAUAAAAAAUAAUUUGAAAUAAAUUAGAAAAAAAUAAUUAUUUUAAAAAUACUUUUAAGCGCUUGGAAGUAACAAAGCAGGCUUUCAAUAAGUCUUCCCACUUGUUUUUUUUUUUUUAAUCUCUAAAGUACCAAAAAUAAAUAAAUGAAUUCAAUUAAAAUUUGAAAGAGAAGCUUCUCUGUAAUUAAUUAAUUGAGUAACAUAAAAUGCAGUAUUAAAUAUUGUAGCUGGUGAAGGUAUGUUUUGGGGGUAAGGGAGCAGUAAAUACAGUCAAUGCAGCUUUAGGUUUUUAAAUUUGUAAUUAAUAAUAAAGUAAUAAACAAUGUCUUGCAUGAGAUUACAUUGAGGUUUUAAAUUUUGCAUGGCUCAAGAUUUAUAUUUAGAAUUAUUGCCACUUUGGACCACUCUGCAAAUUAUUUUCUUUCCAAAAUUGUGAUUUUCCACCAAAAAAACAAGAGUCAUGUUUUGGAAUGGAAUGACAUAAACACCUCCAACAAGGGCCCAGAGUGGCGUGGCAUUUUUUAUUUUUAUUUUUAUCCCUAAUGUCAAGGACCACCGUAUCAUAACAUUCAAGCCUUUAGUUAUUGUGUAUUCUCUUCAAUAAUAAACAUUCACGCACACGUAUAAAGGACAAUUAACCAUAGCUAAGAUUUUGUAUAAUGAAUCCUAACAUAUGAUAGAUACAAUACUAACAAUAUAAUAUAAUAAAUAACUAAGUUUUUUUUAAUUAAUAUGAAUGUCCAAACCAAUUUGCAUGUACCUAGAUUAAUCUCAUGGACCCUAAAUUAACAAUCAUGUAGAUCUCUAAUGACCAUGAGAUUUGUGAGAUUCGAACUGGUAAUCUCCAGGAAACAAAUUAAAACCUGAUCAACUGAGAUACACAUCAGGAUUAAAUAACUAAGUUUUUGUUUGCAUUUAUACAUGACAUUACAUUAAAUUAAAAUUAUCAACAUCUUUUUAAAUAGCAUUUAAUAUUGUAAUAAUAAUUAUUUUUAAAAUGCUUUUUAUUUAAAAAUAUUAUAUAUUUUUUAAUAUUAAUUUAUUAAAAAAAUCUAAAAAUAUUAAGAUAUUUUCAUCAUUUUAAUAACUUUUUUCUUUUCGGUAAAGAGAGCCCACCUUUUGAACUCGUAGAGGAGGUGCUGAAGGACAGUGGGUAGAAAAGAGCAAAAUAGGAAGCAACGUCAACAGUCACAUCUGACUAAUAAACUUCUGUUUAACGAUUAAUCUUUUUAACAAUCUUAAUCCGAAGAAAAUGACUUAUUAACUAGAAAAAAAAAAAAAAAACCUUUUUGGCAUAGAGGAGUGUUUUUUAUUAUAUUUUUCAUGAUAAUGUCCACGAGACGAUGGGUAAUAGUAUUCUGUGGUUAAUUUUGCAUUGCCUACUAGUAUAUUUGUCCACAUUUUAUUACGGAUCAGACUAAUUAAUUUUUUUUUAAUUUUAAAAAAUUAUUUAGUAUAAAGAAUUUUUUGGUAAUAUCAUUAAAUACAAUCAUGCAGUUUGAUCUUAAAACUUAUCAAUAUGGUUUUUUUCUAGCUCAAAUUUUGAAUUAAACCGCGUGAGAGUUUAAUUAUCCAAAGUAAAUUAUUUAAUUUAAUGAGUCCUAAGAUAACUUGGAUGACUGGUAAAAACAUGACAUGACUUUUAAAAAAACUUUAAAUUCAUUUCUCAACCAAUUCAAUAUUGAAUAAGAAUGAAAUUAAAAAAAAUUAGAAAAGUUAAAGGACCAAAAACUAAAAAAAAAAAAAUAUAUAUAUAUAUAUAUAUAUAUAUAUAUCAAGUUUGAUGGGUAAACCCACUAAACCCAUGAAUUGGAUAACCCGAGUUAACACGUCAAACCCGCAAAAUGGAUAAUGGACUCUAUUGGGAUUAAUAAAUUGUUUUUUUAAAAAACUAUUUAUUAUUUAAUUAAUCAUAUGAUAACAAAAAUAGACAAUUGUAAAAUUAAACGCCAAACCAAUAUUGAGAUUUAAAAAAAAACUAUAAUAACCUCAUAUAAAACAAAACGAAACAAAUUAUAAAACUUAUUUCUCAAUCAGUCUAAUAUUAAAGGAUGAAAUUAAAAAAAUUAUAUAUAUAAAAAGUUAAACUCGCCAUACACGUCAAUAGACCCAUGAAAUUUCUAAAAUUUAAUAACAUGUAUAGAUAAUCACAUAAUCGAGUUUAAUUAGGAAAAAAAAGUGCUCCGCUAAACCCGCAAACAUGAGCAAUCCGGGUUUUCUCACCAAACUCAUAAAACCAGCUUAUUAACUCCAUAAAGUUUAAUAACCUAGUUUUUUUUAAAUUAUUUUUUUAUUUAACUAAUUUUUUUUAAAAAUAAACCAUACCACAAUGCUGUGAUAUUUUUCUGAUACCAACCUGAUGAUGCUGAUAUUUUUUUUUAUAUUACAAUAACUAUUUAAAGACAAAUUAAAACAAACUAUCUACUCUAAAUUCCCAUAAACAUAUAUAAGGACUAUAUUAAAAAAAAACCAACAAUCAAAGAAAAAAUAAGAAGUCAAAAUGCAAAAAAAAAAAAAAAAACCAUAAUUGUAAUUCACAAUGCAAAUAAUAGACAUGGAAAGACAAUAUUUUUCCCAUACUUUUAAUUUAUUUAUAAUAUAGUAAUUAACUAGAUAAUUGAUUUGUCUCAUGUUAUGGGUCAAACCAAUUAUCUUCUAAUGGAAUUUUUUUGGAUAUUAUCAAUGCAUUUUUAAUAAAAAAAAUAAUAAUUAUAAACUUAAAAUGUAAUAUAUAUAUAUAUAUUAAUAAAAUAAAUUAAGAAUUAUAUUGGUUAAUAAAUGCUAAAAAAAGAUUUUGAUGAUUUAAAAUAAUAAUGAAUAAAUCUCUCUAACUAAAACUUAUUGACUUAUUAACGUUCUAGAUUUUUUUUUUUUGGAAAUGUUUUACUAAAAUAUUUGUUUCUUAGACCAUUUUGUGAUUGUUCUAAAAACACAUUUUCUAAAAAAAAAUAAUAUUGUGAUAAUUUUAUUCUGAUUGUAUUAAAAAACAUAAGAAUAAUAUAAUACCUGGUCCAGUGAGUUAAUUUUAAAACCUUCCAAUUUAAUUUUUUAUCUAACUUAAAUUUUAAAUUAAAUAAUAUAAGAAUUAAUUUGACGUGACUUGAUUGAUUUGAUAAAUAAAAAAAAAAACAUGAAUAAUAAUAAAAGCGUGAGUUAGCUUUUAAAAAAAUUACGAUGAUAACUUUUAGAUUUCAUAAUGUUGUCGGGAUCAUGCUCUAGAUCGUGGAUUUCACAAGUUAAAUAUGGUUGACCUGAAUUGAUCAAGUAUGUAAUCAUUUUUAUAUUUAUUUUUAAAAAAUAUAUCAUUUAAUGUAUCAUAAUCUCAAUAUUUAAAAAAUUCUUUGGAAAUUUUACUUCUUAUCAUUUUUUAUAUAUUGUUUUAAGAUUAUAUAUAUAAACAAAUCUUACCCACGGUUAAACAUAGGUCUGAAAAACUAGUCAAUGGUAACUGUUGUCAUUCGUAUUCGUAUUCGUAUUCGUAUUCAGAGCUAAACACUACAAAUUGCUUGUUCGAUAAUGUCAUAUCAAAUUUGUAUGGUCUGUCUCAUCCCAUUAUAAAUUUGUGUAAAUCUACCAUCUGCACAAUGAACCUUUAAUCGUAUUAUCAUUAUAUUUAUUCAUUUUCUAAUUGGUGGACUCAAAUCCACACCACUGUUGUCUUCAGAGAGCUAGCCUGCGAGCUGUGAUCAUAUCUAAGCUGCAUUUUUUUUCCCUGGCCCAAAAUGAAUAUUAGGAUGCACUCAUCAGUCUUGCCACAUGACCUACCUAUAUAUAUUACAAAAUGAAAUUUACGCACUUAGAAAAAAAGAAGGCAAGAUAUGUGAUUGUAGAUGCACUUGUGUUUCGACAUAGCCAUGUGUUUGAGGGCCUAUUUCAAUUUCACAAACCCAUGAAAAGGUGGAGUUCCAUGGCGAAUUGCUUUCAAUGCAGAGGGCCACUAUAUUUGUGGCACUAUUCUCUCCCAUUAUUGUUUUAUUGGGUUAUACCAGCAUUAUUUAUCAACAUUUAUGUGCGUUUAGCUGUUCUGCACUCACAUCACAUAUCCCAUGGCUUUGCUCUUCCUACAUUUUAUGGCAUCUACUUUCUUUCUUCUUCUUCUUCUUUUGAAAUACUUCAUCCAUGAUUCGUACUAUUCAGUUAAUUUCUUCACUUCGAAGUGAAAGUAAAUUCAUGUGAUGUGCAUUAAGAGCGGCCUACGUUGUCCGAUGAAAUAAAUUAUCAGUUCCAUCGUUCCAAGAUAUUGGCUGACUAAAUCAGAAGAUAGAAAAUUUACUAUGCUACUGUCAAAAUAUAUAUUCUGUAACUGCAGAAUUUAACAGAUUUACUUCGAUUCUUUUUCUCUGCUGAUUUUUGUCCAGGAAAUCUAAUCAUAUCUUCACCAUCACUGAUAUCAUGCUUGCUUAUCGUCUCCACGAGAUUUCUGGUCUUUGUGGAAGUUCCAUAGCCCUAAUCAAACAAUUCAAGUAAAACUUUUUUUUUUUUUUGAAUAAAUAGUAAAAAUGAUCUUUGCCUGGAAGAGGGAAAAAAAAGGUUGGAGACAGGCUUCAAUCUUGAGAGAAGUUUCAGUGGGAGCUAUAAAAAUGUUGAUGCUUGUGAUAAUUGGACUGUACGUGUAGGAAAGAUGGUGAUAAAUCACUAGAUGGUCCCCUUCAACCUUUCCACCAUAGUGUUGAGAAGGUCCAUUAAUCCUCUUCCUCAUCAUUACUUCCCACUCUCAUGUUUUCCCUAAAUUACAUAGUCUUGCAAGUUAGUGUCCAAAUCCUUAGAACGUGUAAUUAUAAUCAUCAUGUUGCAAAGCAACAAAGACCUUUAUAGGCUUAUAAACAAGCUUUCAUAAACAGAAUCUCACAUGGAAAUUAAUUUGUGCCAUUAAGAAUCAAGAAAGGACGUAAAGAGGGAGGUUAUCUAUCAAAUCAAGCAUAAGUACAGUCCUCUUAACUAUCGAACAAUGGACACAAUCAAGUUUGUGAUCCAAUAGCCCCCUACCCCAUUUACCUUGCUUUUGUGUUUUUAGGAGCUCAAAAAAAAUUCUUUUCUCUUUUUUUCAAUUUAAUUUGUUCGAAAAAUGAGUAAGAACAAACAGAACUGUCGUUCUUUGUUGUAUCCACUCCACAUUCUGAGACAACAAGAUUCAUGUUCACAAAAGGUACGUAGGCUGCAAGAGUCAAAUUUUGGCUACACUUGCAGACCGAGAUUUGUUCCUUCAGGAAAUGACACGGUACUAGAAUCUUCGUCCAGGUAAAUUUGCAAAGUGAAACAGUUCUCUCCUAGUAUGAUCAUGAAGCCCGAACUGCUGUUUGUUUCCUUGAGAAGAUCCAAGAGACGUCAAUGGAGUUCAAAUCUUAUUCCAAAUUAUUUCUUAGACGAACAGAACUGGACCGACCUAAUGCAUAAAUAAUAGGAACGGGGAAUUGGGAGCCAGAUGUAUAAUCUGCUGGCCAGUUGAGCACUGAUAUAAGUUAAUUUUUGGUAAUUUUAGAGAACCUGAUCUCAAUACCACUUAGCCAUGGAAAUGGAACAUUUAAGAUUUGUAGUUGAAUUGCAUUCAUUAUUAAAUAUAACAUUUAAGAUUUGUAGUUGAAUUGGCAUUCAUUAGUUAAUAGAUUUGUACGUAGUUGAAUUGGCAUUCAUUAUUAAAUAUAACAUUUAAGAUUUGUAGUUGAAUUGGCGUUCAUUAUUAAAUAUAAAGGAUAUUUAUUCAAUUCACCGACAAUGAUCAAAGUUGCUUCAUUUGUCUCUUUUUUUUUUUUUUUAUUAUUUAUUAAUGUGAGUGUCCGUGUCAGUUUGCGUGCUCAACUAAUCCACGGGUCUGAAGUUAACGACCAUGUAAACUCAGUGACCCUGAAAUUUGUGAGACUUGAACCGGUGAUCUCUAAAAAACAAACUAAUCUGAAAGUUAAGCUUUCAGUUAUUUUAUUUAUUACUUUUGCUUUUCUUUAACAUGAUAGAAUCUUGGUUUCUAUAAUCUAAAAAGAAAAAGAAAAGUAUUAAUUACACUCAAGAUUUCUAUAGUUUUCUAUUUUUUUUUAAUUUGCAAAUCAAAUGAAAUAUCCAAACUAUUCUCGUAUAUAUACAUAUGACAUUAAACUAAAUAACAUAUCUAUCUCACAACAUAUAAUAAACUCACAAAAACAAAGCUCAAACACAACAGCCACAACUUAAAACGCAGUAAGGAAUAACAAAACAAAUUGUUAACAAGUGUUGAUUUAUAUUUGUUGGGUAACCAAGGAAUCAAAAUGAUAAAUAUAUUUACAAGGCAUCUCUCGUGCUUUCAGUGAUGGAGUUUUUAGUAGGUUCUGAUUCAAUCAUUGAUUUCAAUUAAUUAAGCAAGGUGGAUGCUGAUUUCGAAUUAGAAUCCAGGAUGAUUUCCAAUCGAAGCAUUAAUUUCCAGGUGGAUGCUGAUUUCGAUUGAUUAAGCAGGAGGAUUUUGCUGGGUUUUGGUUUUGCACCUCUGUGCUUAAUUUUCAAGUUUCAAGGCAUGUCCAGAAGAUAGAAACUUUUCCACUAUAGGCAUUCGUGCCAUCUAUUCAUAAACAUCCAAUUCACUUGAAAAGGAGAACAAUCGGAUAGUGCACGUUCCUAUGGGCAACACUUUCAGAAGGAUUUGCUUUAUGUUUGGUCGAUUCAAGAAAAAAUUAUACCUUCAAUUAUUUCCUAUGAGCUUGCUAGAGAUUGAAAUGAAAAAAGAAAAACAAGUUGGCCAUGAUAACUAAGGUUUUUUUAGUUCAAUAGUAAAGUUAUAAUAUUAAUAUUGUAAGGAUUAUUUAGUCAUUAAAUAAGAUAUAAUAAUAGUACUAUAAAUAAUCUGAUAUUUUUUAUUAUUUUUUUAUGACGUGUCAAUAAAUGAUGAUGUAAAAUAUUAUAAAAUUUACUAUGUAAAGUAUAAUUAAAAAGCAAAACACAGAGGUAUUAAAGCAAAAAAUAAAUAAACUAUACGAAGUUAAAUAUAAUUAACCCGUAAUUUUCUAGAUAUGAAGAUCACGAAUGAAAAAUCAAAACUAAGAUGUAUAUUUAAAACCAGAAGAGAUAUGGAGAUCACAAAAAUUAAAAGUUAAAACUAAGAUGUAUAUCUAAAACAAGAAGAGAAAGGGAGAAAUAAAUAAUGAGGGAGCAUUUGCGCAAACGUGAGAGACAAGGGAAGGUGCUCACGUGAAGGUGGUCGACCCCAUUAGAGAGACCUCACUAAAUACAAUCUAGGGUUCCUGAAGAGGUCACACCUCAUGAUGUUUUUUUGCCCCCUUUUAAUUUCUCCCCUGGAGGCAGUUUGAAAAGGGCAGGGCAAGAAUAGAUGCAAAGAUAUGCUGUGUACGUGUGCAAGCUAGCGCCAUGAAAGAAAACAUCGCGUGAUGAAAGAAAUCGUUUGAAGAGAGUUUUUAAUUAAAUGUUAUGUAUUAAUUAAUUAAAUGUUUUUAAAACUAUAAUUGAAAUAAAACAUAGAUUUUAACCACGCAGCAACACUUUACCAGACAAAUCUUUAAAAAUGUGUUUAGCUUGGAGGUAUGGUGGUUUUUUAAAAAAAACAUAUAAUACUUUUUAAAUACAAAAUAACACCUUUAAAAACUAAAAAAUAUUUUUUUAUCUAAAAAAAUAUAAUCUAUCUCCUAUUCAAACACACACUAAAUGAUGUGGAAAAUGAGUGUGAGGUGUUGAUUAAGAGCAAAGUAUUUUGCAUCUAAAUCGCCUAUAUCAUUUUUUUCUACGAACUUGGUUCUGCAUGCUUCCGGCGUGGAUCAAAUAAAUCCCAAAUAAAUGUAUAGUUAGUUGUCGGCUCAAUACAAUUAAUGCGGUCGGAAUCACAAUAAAGAUAGCAGCAAGUACAAAAAAAAAAAAAACAUAGUAAAGAACGACAUAGGUUAUAACAACAAAACCCUAAAAUGUAAUUUUAUUUAUGAAAAUAAAGUCUAAUAAAGAAAACACAUAUAAAAUCAGUAAAAAUCAUAGAAAAAAACUCAAAAUAUAAUCUUUAAGGCCUGAAGAUUUUUAUAUUUCCAUUAGUUAUUUGUGUUGAGUAUCUUAUAAAAAUGAAUUUGUAGAUUUAAUUCAGAUUAAAAAUUAAUUAUGAUUUUUAUUGUUAUUAUGAUGGUUUGACAACGUCAAAUCAUCUCUUAAACUUGUUUUUAUUUUAUUAUUUCAUAAAAAUAUAUAUGUAUUCUAUUUGUGAUGGAUCUCCUUCUAGCUGUGACAAUUUUCUAUCAUUAUUUAAAACCUCAAUUUCUGCUUGACUAGCUACAUCAAUAACUAUUGAUUGAAACGGGAUUCAUUGGUCUUGUUCGCUGCCCAUAAAAAUAGGUGAAGAGGAUUCUUACAUAACUGUGUUGGAGUUAAACUAUAAUUUUGGCUAUAAGGCAAAACAUGUUUGGAAAAGCCUUGGGCUCAAGCCGGUGCAAUGAUAGGCCCAAGAUGCGUUACGGAGAUAAAUCUAGAGACGGCCCAUCUCUCUGCUCAGGACCAUAUAGCUCUCCACAGAUCAUCUUUUAUACAUAGAAAAAUUACCUUACCAUAGCAUCCUAUAGUUUAAUUUAUGUUGUGGUUAUUUGUUAAAUCUUAAAUUUUAUAUGUACACCAACACUUAAGAUUCUUGUAAAAAAAAUCAAUAAAAAAUAUUCAAUUAUUUACGAGAGUUUUGCGAUCCCACUUUAAAAUAUAUCUAAGAGAAUCUAAUGCACUUGUUAAAAUUAUUGGAUUUGGUAUGAUUAGUUGAGGUAGACGUGUGAUUAGGGAUCAAGGAAAGUGAAGAUGGCCGUUAGGUUUGAUGUCUAGGGGAAGAAAAUGGGUGGAAUAGCUAGAAUUAUUUUUUAAUUCAAUGAAAAACCUAUAAUAUUUAAUGUAAAGGGUUUUUAGUUAUUAAAAUCAAUAAAAAAAUAUUUAAUUAUUUACAAGAGUUUUACUUUGACACUCCAAAAUAUAUUUAAGAGAAUCUAAUGCACUUGUCAUGUAAAGUACCCCAGCUAAGAAAAAUUAAAUAGAAGACCCUGAAAAAAAUUAAAUUAAAAAAAUAAUGAAGACUACCGAUUCAUUUUAAAACCUCAAAUUAAUGAUUGACCGAAUGAUAAUAGGGGGGAAAUCAAAAUUUUAGUUCUUCUCGUGAAAGUCGUCGCCUGUUAGGACAGAGAAUACAGAAGAGAAGAAAAUAAAAAAUAAAAAGAUAGGUGGACUUCUACACUCUUCAACAAAGAAAAUUGCAUGUAUCACAUCGAUCCCAUCACUAGAUUUGAUCCCAGCAUAAUACUUGUAGGAUUUUUUCGAAAAUAGAAUAAAUUAUUUUUUUUACAAUGAAAUCUAUGUAUCUGAUCAAAUCCAACGUAACUAUCCCUACAUCUCUGAAAGUUGACCAGGGUAAUAAAAAAUUGGAAGAACAAAAUGACCAUUUUACACCCAUAUCUAAAAUAAAGAUGAUAUAUUUCAGACAUACUAUAGUAAUUUUUUGUUGAUUUUCCUUCAGACUCUCUAAAAUAAAGUCUGGUAUUUUUCAGACAAGUACUUGUGCAAAAUAUCUUAUUUUUAGGCUUUUUUUUUAUACUAGAAUUUGAAACCAAAGCUGAUGUAGAAUUAAUUUUAGUAAUUAAUAGAAUUAUUCCCACUAUUUAUUAGCUUUAUUUACUUACAAUAAAAAAAUGAUCCAACAAUUUUUUUUAUCUUUAUGGGCCUAAAAAUUAUUUUACAGUAAGUUUAAACACACUUAGCAUAUAAUCUCUUUUAUUUAAAAACUUUGAUGCUCUAAAAGUUUAAUUUUAACCUUAAUUUGACUUUCUACUAUAUAACCUUUGUAAUAUUUUAAUGCAUGAUAUAGGAUUUUUAGGUUUUUAAAACAUGUUAACCACGGAUCUUCAAGAUAAAUUAAUAUUUUAUAUUGAAGUAUUUUUGGUAGAAAAUAAUUUCUAACAAAGUCUUAAAUGAAUGUACUACUUCAGUUUUAGUUUGAUAUCAAAUAUGUCUAUUAAUAGUGUUUUUAAAACAAAUUUAUAACAUGACAAUCAUACCUAAAGAUGUGUUUUGCCAUAUCUUUUCUCUCCUCGAGUCAGCUGAUAUCAUCUCUAUUAAUAGGAUCGGAAAACAUCAUCGUGAUUAAGAACAAAAAAAAAAUCAAUUUUAGUUAGAGUUCAAUUUCUUCAAGGAGAGGAUUAACUAUCCACAAGAAGAUUGCAUUGCAUCUGCUAAUUUACUUAUUUGCUUCAAUCUGAAAUAAAACAUAAGUUCAUAACUAAAUCAAAAAUACAUAUCCUAACCUUCUGUUACGGUGAUGAACGAUUUAAACCUCGAAUCAGUGGUGACAAUAUCUUUUACAAAAUUUACGAAAGCAAUACAUUCUCUACGUGUCAUAACAUCAAAUUCAGCAUAUAAAACCGGCGGCAUGAACAGCCACAUGGCAGUAACCACCACAAAUGCCAACGUCAACAACCUUGACACCACCGUAGCCGGUUGCCAUUUACCAUUAAACGCUUUCUUUAUGACAAUCUCAAUAGCCAAAGAGAUCCCGUGUAGGAAAAAGAAGCAGGUGAGCUCCCAUGUGGGCUUCUUUCUUCCGAUAUUGUAGAAAAUGAUUUCAUGCAUUAUUCCAGAUACCAAGAACGAUGCCAGAACUCCUGGGAGCGCAGCCCACUUUCUUCCAAUCAAGCGGCUAGAAAUGGACAUCACUGGAUUGUAUACGGUUGGGUGUAGGAUACUAGUGACCAUAAGAUUCCACCUUCUUCCCCAGAAGUCCUGCAAUGAGGUGGCUAGGUAUGGCUCAUGGAACUGUGGCUCAAGCUCUAAACGGAGACAGGCUCGAGCAAAGGCUGCAACCACUGCUAAGACAAGUUCUAGACCAAUGUAAAGGUAUACACAAUAGAGAAGCAUUACCAUUUUUGGAUGAACUUGGUCCUUUUGAAGAUAUAUGGGUGCGGUUAUGGCCAAUACUACAAUUUUCAGGCCAUGAUUUAGAGGUGAUUUGUGGCCGCUUCCUUUGCUUACUUCUUUAUCGACUGGUUUUUGCGGGACUUGUUGAAAUUUGAUGGGAAGACAAGCCAAGGAGAUGAAAUAUGGGAAAGAGAGGGGUACAGGGGAGGUUGAUAGAGGGCCCUGACCAAAGGCAAAGAGAAGGAGCUUGAAGUUUGCAAGCCAAGAGAGGAAGAAAGAUGUUGGACCUCCAAGCCAGAUGGUGAAGAGAUUGAGAGGGAGGAAGAAAAGGAAGAGUAUGACGGGGAGGAUUGCAACGAAUCUGAUUACUCCUUUGGAGAUAAUCUUACCUACAAUAUGACAGUACCAGAGCAACAACAAAGCUGAUGCCCAUACCAUGAUGAAGUUUUUUAUCUCACCUUCCAUUUUUUUCACUUUCUUAAUUUCUCUAUGGUUCACCGGAAGGAUUGAUAUUCAGACGGAGAGAUGCUAUUUCGAAUUAGCGCCUAUGAACAUAUAGGGCUCUGAAAGAAAAGUAAAACAAUGAGAAAUCAGGAAAAGAUGUUUAGGGGCAUAGCUUUUAUCAUAUUUGACCUUUUUUAAUUUAGAAGUAUUCAAAAAGUACCAGUGGAAACGUUCGUUCAGAGAAUCAGAUCUGCGUGCUAAUUCCAGUCAAAUAUUCAAGCGGCUCAAUCCUCACGCAGCGUGAAUAAUUAUUGUCCAAAUUGAAAAUAUAUAUUAUAAAAAAAACUAUAUUAAUAGCCAAGGUACUGGUUAACAUGGCUGCCAGAAAGUUUUUACAUCAUUAACAGAUCCAAUUAAGUUAGCUUAAUUUUUUAUAUAUAUUUUUAAUAUUUUAAAAAAGUAUAAUAUUAACCUUGGACGUUUCAUGUACUACUAUAAUAUAUAUAUAUAUAUAUAUAUAUAUAUAUAUAUAUAUAAUUCUUGAUUUAAAUACUAGCCAUCCUUCAGCCGCCGCCGCCGCCUAGUUUGUCAUUUCCUGCCACUUGUCAAUUUUAGAAAUAAAUAUUGUUUGUGCAUGAAGGGGGGCUAAUAUACAAAUAGCGAGGGCAGAGAAAAAAUAAAGCUGAAGCAUAGUUUCCACGAGAGAAAUUGCUUCAGUGUAUACUUGACCAGGGAAAAUUCUUUCAACUUUUAUCAUUCAAAGGACCACACAUCUCAUAUGAUAAAAAAAAUUCCACAUGUUUCUGUUAUUAAAUGAGAUGGAAACUUAAUGACAUUCAAGAGCAAAAGAUUUUUUUAAGGAAGCGUUUGGGACGCGGUGCAAACCGCGUUCCCACCAAAUUUGAAUUUUUUUUUUUUACUAAAAUUUAAUACGGUUUGUACUUUUUGGAUCGUUUUAAUGUACUGAUGUCAAAAAUGAUUUUUAAAAAAUGAAAAAAUAUCAUUGGCAUGCAUUUCGGCACGAAAAGUUAUUUGAAAAGCAACCGCUACCACACUGUCAAACACCCUCUAAAUCUAUUUCGCCUGCAUGACAUGAUGACAUUUAGUAAUAACUAGAAAUAGCCCGUGCUACGUCAUGAAUCAACUUUUUUACAUAAAAAAUACAUAAAAAAAUUAAGAUUUAAGAGUGUUCGAUCUUUCUAUAAAAUUAUACCUAAGAGUAUUAGGUAUGUCUGCCACUCCUGACCCAAAAAUUAUAUUUAUAAUAUUAAUAUAAUAAUAUUAAACUUACAUGACCCAAGUUUAAGUGAGUUUGGUUGCAACAUCAAACCCAAAGUCUUGGAUAUUGGUUUGACUGCAAUGUCGUGUUAUAAAAGUGUGAUAAUUAAAAAGAAAAAAAAUUAAUAUUACAGAAUGAAAUUAAAAAAAAAAAUUGAAAAGAAAAAAAAUAAAGCAAAGCAUUAUUCUGAUUAAUAGUGCUUUGUAAUGAGGGGUAUAUUAAAAUCCCCUUAUAAGAUCACAAUAAUCCAAUAAAUAAAACAAAUAAUAAAGUUUAAUUCUUACUCAAAUCGAUAUUAAAAGAUAAAAUUGAAAGAAAAAACUACUUAAGAAAAGAAAUUUUGCAUCAACUUGUUUAACUUGUUAAACCAAUUUAAUCCGUCAAACUCGGGGUUCGUGUCAUGAAAUGAAAAGAAAAAGGUUGAUGCCCUUUAGUUAUAGUUAAUUACAAUAUUUAAAGAUGAAAUUGGAAAAAAAAACCAGUGAAGAAAAAGAAAAAAAAUCUAAAUCAACUAAGUGAACCCACCAAAUCAGGUCAUGGGAUUCGUGUCAUGAUAGUGUGAUAACUAAAUAGAAAAAAAAAGUAACAUUAAUGAACUAAAUUAAACAAAAAAAAAAAAGGAAAAAAACCUAUAGGAAGAAAAAAAUAAUGAAGAAAAAGAAAAAGAAAAUUUGAAUUAACUAGGUUAACCCGUCAAACUUGGGAUCCGUGUCAUGAAAGUUUGAUAACUAAAUAGAAAAAAACAUAAUAUUAACAAACUAAAUUUUAAAAAAUAAUUAAAAAGAAAAAAAGGAAAAAAAAACAAAAUAGUAAACAAAAAAAGAUUAAUUUAAAAGAAAAAAAAACAAAGAAGAAAAAAAGCCUAAAUGAAGAAAAAAAACUAAUGAAGAAAUAGAAAAAAAAAUCUAAUUAAUUGAGUUAACCAUUCAAACCAGGUUAACCUAUCAAACCUGGGAUUUGUGUUAUGAAAGUUUGAUAAAUGAUUAGGAAAAAAAAUAUUACGGGUUAACCCAAAAUUAGCUAAGUUAACCCGUCAAACCCAGAAUUCAUGUCAUGAAAGUUUGAUAACUAAAUAAAAAAAAAUUUAACAUUAACAAACUAAAUUAAAAAAAAAUUAAUUAAAAAUAAAAACAAAAAAAAUAUGGGUUAACCCGUCAAACGCGAAAUCUGUGUUAUGAAAGUUUGAUAAAUAAAUAAAAAAAUUAAACAUUAACAAAAAAAAAUUAAACAAAAAAAAUAUUCAUUAAAAAAAAUAAAAAAUUAACAUUAACAAAAAAAAUUAAACAAAAAAAGUAUUCAUUAAAAAAAAAAGAAAAAAAGGAAAACAAAAAACAAAAAAAAAGAGAAAAGAAAGAAAGAAAGACAGCUCACCUUUUACUCUGGACUACAUUGUACAGUCUACAGUAAAAGACUAAGCAGUUUUAGUUUAUUAGAUAAUAAUGAAUUUUAGUUAUUAGUAGCUUUGUUACCAUGUUUUGAAUUGAAUAUUUUUUAUUACACACAUGCUUUUAUAAUUUGGUUUUGUACAUAAAAAAUCCCAAUUAAAAUUUAAAAAGUUAAUGGAUACAUCUAAUUAAAUAAAUUAAAAAUUAUUUAUGUAAUAAAAAACUCAUUAAACUUGAUCCCUACCCAGUCAAAGUUAAUUAGCCAAACUUGUGACCCAGGUAAUGGACUUAAUUGGGUUAAACAAUUAUUUUUUUUCUUAUCUAAAAUAAACACCUAGAAAAUUUAAAAUUAAUCAAAUAUCGAGAUGAUUGAAAAAAAAAUUCAAACUAAAAUGAAUUGUAUUGCUCAAUUAAUAAUUAACUAAAUAUUAAGUGAUGAAAUUAAAAAAAAUAAAAGAAAAAAUCAAUUAUAAUUAAUAAAAAAGAAGAAAAAAAAACUCGGGCUCUCAAGCUUGGAUGGCUAAAACUCUUGAGUCUCUAAAAAAACGCCCAACAUGCGGGCUUGGAGUAGCCCACAUGCUUAGGCCUUUUCUUUAAUUUUUUUAAAGGGUGAACGACAAGUCAUUUGCCCUUUAAUUUUUUGAAAAACAAUAGGAGACACAUUGUCCGUAUUUAUGAGGAAAACAAUGCAUCGUUUGCCCUAAUCAGAUUUCGAUGACCUUAAAUUGCUGGGAAAUCAGGUGUGGUUGUUUUAGACUAAGAAAAACCUAUUUUCAAUCACAUUUAACCUAAAAAACAAAAGCAAAAACCAUAAACACCUUAUAAAACAUAUUCGUAGCCUUUAACAACCAAAAUAUUGGCUCCAAAACUCACAAUCAAUCUAAAAUCAAAAGAAACCUUCAAGCUCAAAUUUAUCAUUUCAGGUAAGUUUAAGGAAAAACAAUACUUAGAAUAAACUCUCCAUUAAAAGAAACUCAUCAACGCUAAAAUUAUUUUUUUCAUGGUCGAAAUCAAUCUUAAUUGAAACUUUCUUUCUUUACUAUCAUAAUCCAAUCAUUUUCUUUCUUCUCUCUCAAACAAGAGACUAAAAAAUCAAAAUAAAUAAAGUUUGGAAUCAAAAUUGAAUUUCAUAAAUUUUUAGUAACUAAAAGUUUAUAAUUUGAAAAGUUAGAGGGUUAUAAAUAUUUAGCUCAAAGUUUUUUUUUUUUAAAAAAAAAACCACCUAUUUUUUCGUCCCUUUUCAUUUUAUUCUUAUCUGCGAAUGUUUCUUUUCCUUAAUAAAUAUGCUUUAAUUGGCCAUCAAUUUAGGCAUGUAUUUAGAAGAGAGAGAGAGAGAGACUAAAAAAAACUAUAUCAUUAUAGCAAUCUGCAGUGAUCUAUCUCUAACUAAAUAGUGGUGAGAAAAUAAUAUUUUCCCAUGUCUUUUACAGUAUUUAUAAUGUUAAUAUUUUUUUAUUUUGAGACUGUGAAAACACUCACACACACACAUAUAUAUAUAUAUAUAUAUAUAUAUAUAUAUAUAUGUAUGUAUGUAUUUUAAGAUUGAAAUGGAGAUAUAGUGUUGUGUUAAAUCCAUUCUUUAAAAAAAAAUAAAAAUUCCAAAACAUAGUAGGAUUGCUUCGUCCUAUAAUCCAACGUUCAAGAAGCCUUGUGAUGAAACAAAAGGAGUUUAGGCCAGGAUAGCCAGGUGCCUAAGAAAGAAAAAGAAAUCGGAAAUACUAUAACCCCGAAUUGCACAAUAAAAAAUGAGAAACCUCUAUUGUAAAGAAACAAGGAAAAAGGGCUAAAGAUAUUUGUACAAGGCCUGAGUUCAAGCAGAGUCUUACGAGGCAAUGACCGGCCCAAGAUGUGGCGAAGGAAUUUAUGAAAGUUUUUGACGAGUAAAUUAGGCUUGGAGGCUAUUAUUCUUCUUACAUGAGACCCGAGGGCCUAUUAAAACCAACAAAUUCAUGCAAAUUGAGUUAUCAGCCCACGAAUUGCAUAGAAAACCAGGGGUGUGAGUUUUUAUCCAAAUGGUUUGGUUUGGACUAAAAAUAAAAAAUUUAAACAUUAAUUAAAUUAAAAUUUUUAGUAUUAAUGAUAAAUAUAUUCUUCAUGUCAUUUAUUAUAAGAAAGUUACACGUCUUUCUUGCAAACAAUAGAAGAAAUAAAAGGAGUUUUUUUCUACAAAUUUGUUUUAAUUAGAAAAUUAAAACAUUAUUUUGGCAUUUUAUUUUAAAAUUAAAGUUAGCUUAAACUAUAUGAUGAAAAUAUUAAUAAUCAAAAUAUAAAUAUGAUAUGUUAGGAUUUCUUAUAUAUAAUAAGUAUAAUUACAUAUUUAAAUAUAAAUAUGAUAAUAAAUAACUUAAUAUAACUCUGAGUUGUUUACUUAUAUUUAGUAAAUAUCUAUAGUAGAAAACCUUGUUAUUUUAGAAUUUCACAUUUCAAUUUCAAACUUUAUUUUUUUUUUACAUUUUAGUCCUUAGAUGUUAAGAGAAUAGAGAGAAAACCAUCAAAAGUAAAAGAAGGAACAAAUUUAACAAUACAAAGACCUAGUUUAGAUUUUGUCACAUAAAACUUACAUUUGAUCCAUAAAGUUUCAAUUUAUCUAUCAUUUGGUCCCUGUUAUUUUAGAACUUCACAUUUCUGUGUGUUUGAAUCAUUUUAUAUUGCAAAGUCUAAAUUAAUUUGAGCACACAUGAUGUCCAAAUUAAACGAAUAUUUUGUUACUGCUGUUAAUCUUUUCCUCUUUUGUUUUUUUUUUUCGUGAAAAACUUUGGGUCACCAAACUGAAUAUAUAUAUACUUCUCAUGAUGUAGACCGAAUAUAUGGAAGUAAAUGCUUUGGAGUUGUUGAUGAUGGCUUUAAGACGACAUUCUUUUCCAAAAUAAAAUAAAAAAAGAUGGCGCGCGCGCAUACACUCACUUUUAUAUAUUCCUUUUGUUUUCUAUAUGAUCAAGAUACAUAUAUAUGUCUUAAGAUUAGUAUUGUUAUAGAAUCUGUUUUUUUUUUUCUCAACUAUCUAGAAAAAAAAAACAUUUGGUUAGUAAAAUAAUAUUUGCCUUUUGUAUUAGAUCGUAUAAUUAUGUUUUAAAUAUUAAUUCUAUAAAAAUUAAAAUAAUUUUUUUAUUUAUAAAAACCUAUUUUUUAUUUAUUUUACAAGUAAAAUUCAUUUUACACAAUAAAAACUAUCACAACCAAAACACCACUUUAGUUCUACAAAACAGUACUCGCGGCUCACUCCUAUCUCAUAGGAGAAGUGUAAAGGAGAGCAGUAGUUAUAAAAAAUGUUAUCGAACAGAUGAAUUUUAUCCAUUAUCUCAUAUAAAAAUCUUAAGAGAUUAUUUUUCCCGUAGAAUCUGAUUAUGGCGAAAAUCAUGGCAAAACCUGUCAGAAGUGGGAUUUGAACCCACGCCCUCUCACGAGGACCAGAACUUGAGUCUGGCGCCUUAGACCACUCGGCCAUCCUGACACUGCUUGUUAGCUGUAACAAUUUAUUUAUAAUAUUUAUUUAGAUAUGAUUAAAAUAACCAUGGGUCCUUCAAGAGAUCACAUAUGGUCGAAUCAGCCUCUUUUAUUCUUCCAUGUUUCAAUUUACAAAUGAUGAACUGAUGAAGUCCCGAUAUUCACCGAUAUGCUUGGAUGUAGCAAUGAUUUUUCGGAAAACGGGUUGGAUGAAGUGACUCAGCCCAUUAUAAAAUGAAAGCAGCAGGCUCAAUUUAGAAAAAAAAAGAUUAUAAUAAACGAGUUGAUUUGACCAAAUGCUAGAACUUCAAGGGUAACUCGUAAUUUUCAUGUCUAUUCUGUUUUCACAUCUUUUCUAUUCUGGCUUGGAAAUCGACAACAAAAAUGUUAAUGGCUAUUUCUCAAGGAAAUCCAAAAUAAUUAAAAAAAAAAACUAUAAUUAUUCCUUUUCAUUAUAUAUCAAGACACAUGUUAUUGCUUUGGAAUAAUAAAAUAAUUACUUUAUUAUUCCAAAAAACAUUAAACUUCAGGGUGAUAUGAUUUUUUUUUAUGACAUAUAAGUUAUUUUCAUAUUGAAUGAGAGAAAAAAUAUCUUUUUACAUUUUUCAACACAAUCAAAUAACAGGAUUAUUUUUAAAAACAAAAACUUUUAACUUGGCAACCAGAGUUUUUUUUUUUUUUGUAUUUUUAGUUUUUAAAGCACGGGAAAAUAACUCAUUUACUCUUGAAAUUAAAUUUUUUUGAACAAGAACCAUGGUUUUUUGAUGUUUUCAUCAUGGUAUUUUAGUUUACAAUUAAGUUGAUUAAGAUAAAAUUUGAUAUUUUAAUAAGUAUGAAAUAUUAUUUAAAAAUAGAAGUUGUGCACCUGUAAGUGGGACACGCUUGCUUCUUUUGAGCAGCCCCUCCAUCCCUACGUUACAAGAGCGGAGACUUGUGGUGACCAAACAAUCACUUCUAAGAUGAUAUUUGAAUUGUCAUGGGAGCUUCUCCAUUUCUAUGCAAUGUAUGUGGCAAAUGAACUUUUAAUUUGGUGUCAACGGUCUUUUCUUCUAUUUUUUUUUCUUACUUAACUUCUUACUCCUCAAUUUCCAUGCCUAAACCUCUAAUUUUUCAAACUAAUUCUUUGAUUUAUUUUUCCUUCAUAUUUAAUUUAUUUUUUUUUAUUACUAUUUAUUUUAUUUAAAAUAAUUUAUAAUUUUUUUUUAAUUUUAUCAUUCUUCAAAAAAUUUUAUCUGUCAAUUCGGUUCUCAUAUUUUUUAUUACUAUUUAUUUUAUUUGAUGUGGUUUUUAAAAUUUAUUUUUUAUGAUUUUAUCUUGUUUUAGUUUUUUUUUCUUAUUAGAUUUGAUCUUUAUUCUUUGAAUUGCUUUUUUUUUUUACAAAUAUUUUAAAUUAAUUUUUUUAUUUCAUCCUUUAACAUUAAAUAUAUUAGGAAUUAAACUUAUUGAUUGAACAUGCUAAUAAAUUUUUUAUUAAAAAGAUAUUUAGGAGUUGGAUUUGAUUCACAGAAAAGUAUCAUUAUUGUCAUGCAUUAAACUAAUAAUGCUUGUUUAAAAGGAAAAUUAUGUACAGCAGAAACAUCUAUUCAUGGAUGAUAGCAGCUGUGAUGGUGUUAUUCUGGACAAUUCCCUACUAUUAAACAGUGCUUCAGAGAAACUGAUCACCGAUGAGUGCACCCACAAGCUACAGAGAUUGAUAGGAGCACACUUUCGUGAUUCCAAGCACACCUUUAUAAUGACAGCCUCUGUCAAGCACAAGGAACAUAAAUGACCAAUGGGGCAUACAUACAUACAUAUAUAUAUAUAUAUAUAUAUAUAUAUAUAUAUAAAUGCACAUGAUUAAUUUUAAUAUCUGACUUGAUCAGGAUAUUUGUGAGCUGGAACCCAUGCUGUAGCUUGCUGCUAGUUAUUAACUGCUUCUUUCACACAUUAAGAAACAGAAAAUUCAUCCAAGUCUGGUUAAUGAUGAUUUUUAUUUUCUCAUAAAUAGAGUGGUAACAGGCUGAAGUUAGGUUAUAACUAACCUAUUACAGAGAUUUGGUUACAUAAUUUACUCUGCAGUUACGUACAGACGCUUCCAUAUGUGUUCUUCAUCAAGACAGGGCAUAAUACUUGUAGGUGAAACCAACACCAUAGACACUGUUUAAUUAAAACUACAUUACAUAGCAUGACAAUGCCUAUGCUGAGAACCAGCUGAAGAUUACACUUUCACUGGGCCAUGAGCGACUAAUGACUCGUUCUCAAAUCGAAACGAUGAUGGAUUAGUUUUUUUCUCUUCAGCGCUUCUCCUUCUUGAUUCCUCUUGCCCUUUUCCAGCAAUCGCAGCUCCCUUUUUCUCUUUUCUUCUCCGUAUAACAUACUCUUCAGGAAUAAAUACGUCCAUUAAAUGUACCAGAAGAUGAUAAAAAACUUAAUUAGGUAGGUGAUGCGAAGUGUUACACUUGUGCCUGAAUGGGAAGAAAAAUCAUGUAUUUAUAGGGAAAAUGAAGAGGGGAUACCAUGGGCGUCGAUGCCCAUGUUUUUUCUUCAAACAAGCGAACACUUGUUAAUUUUAUGAAGUACAGUUACCUAGGUGAAAAGAUACAUGUUGGUUUCCGGGAGGUUUUUGACCUUAUUGCAUACCGUGUAAGGCAUCGAGGGAGAAAGGGCAAAAGAGCACGUGAAAGGGCUACAGUAGAGACAGGUGUAAGUGAAACUGAUGGUAAUGCAUCCUUUUGUUCUUGUUUCCAGUUCUGUUUUUAUAUUCAGUUCAUGAGUUCUUUCGGUUAAUUUGUCUUCCACGAGAACAUUUGUUGCUCGAGUAAAUUAUUUGUUAGUCCCUAGGUUUUGGAUGCAAUUAUAUUUUAGUCUUUCAUAUUCUAAAAUCUAUAAAUUAGUCUCACCACAGUUGACUCUUAUUGACUGUUUUCUUAUUACUGUUUCUCUAAGCGUUCACUCUAUUAAUUUUUCUUUAAUGUUAGGUAGUGUUUGGUGUUGUAUUUAAUUAAAUUGUGUUUGAAAGUGCCUUUCAAGGUAUAUUUGGGGCAUAAAAACAUAAAUUUGAUUUUUAAAUGUUUUUGAAUAAUUUUAAUAUACUAUAUUAAAAAAGUAUUCAAAUAUAUAUUUUUAAAAACACCUACAACGCGUUACCAAUUUAAUUAUCAAACAAUACAUAAAACAACAACUGUCUUGAAUCUCACAUUAUCCUGCCAAUGAUCCUAGUUGGUUCAAAAUUUAUCAAGAUUAAGAUUUGUAAAGUUGAUCAAUGAAAUUUCAUUUUGUUUGAAACGGCCAGGGGUGAAAAAAAUAAAAUAAAAUUACUCUCCAGUCCCUAGUUUUUAAACUCAAUUGUUAUUUAGUAUCUUAUGUUUGAGAAUACACACACACAUUUUGUGUGUGUGUGUGUGUGUUCUCAAACAUAAUAUAUAUAUAUAUAUAACCUUCAGGUGCAAUUCACAUAAAUUUUAGGAGUAUCGUUUAUUAUAUUCAUGGUUUCUCAUAGACUCCAAAGAGGAAAAGUAGUUCGGUAUAUAUGCCUUUGAAAAUCAGUCUGGGAAUACUGAGUUUGUUCAUCCUCAAAAUAUUCAUCACAGCAGAGCCUCUAAAAUGGCGCCAUGUGUAUGACAAUGAUUCUCUGUCUGUUACCAUUAAUCAUCAAUCAUGCGUUAAGACAGUGAUAAACAUGUUCCCUGCAGCACACCGAUUCAUCAACUCACAACUCUACUCAGUGCAAGAAAGACGUGAAAAAAAAGGAGAAGAAAGAAGAUUAUAAAAAGGUGUCUUAUAAGUCAAAAGCAUUCGAUGGUCGGUUGUAUAAGAUAAUGUAUUUAAUUAUCUUGAAACAUCAUAGAAGGUGGCUUGAUGAAAAUAUUUUGGGAGCAGUUUAUAAAGGCAUAAAAAGUGAAGGAUUAUAUAUACUUUUUGGGAUAUAUUUGAUAUUUCAGAAGAUUUGUUUCCUUCUUUAACUUUUUAAAUUGGAGCUUUCAAAUCUACAUCCGCUAAAACUUACUGAAUAUACAAAAUUGAUUAACUACGAAAAAUAUCUUUCCUCGAUUAAUACAUAAAUUGACAUGAUAAUACACUGGACCAUGAAAAAACAUGAUUAAUUAAUUAAUUAUAUAUAUAAUAUAAAUAUAAAUGAAUCCAUAUUGUUUCUAAUCCAUCCUCAUAUCCUUAAUUUAAUCAAUUUUAUCCUUAUAACAUGAGUGAAUUUUCAAUUUAUCCUUGUACUAACUUUUUUCAUAGAUCUAAAUUAACUAAAUUGGUAAUCAAAAUAUUUAAUAUUAUAUUGAAAGUGGCCUUUGAGUUCCAUGAACUUUCCAGACAUAUGUUUUUUGUCUGAUAAAUAGAAUAUUGUUUUUUUUUUUUAAAAAAAAAAACAAAUUCACACAAGACAAUACCUUUGUUCCCCUUUGAAACCUCGUUCUCCUUCUAUGUCUCUUCGGUGACCCCUUCAUGCACUUGAGUUGUCAUUUUUUAUAUAAUAUUAAGUCAUGUGCAUGACUAAUUAUAUAAAUUUGGGGGAAGAACUUAAAAGAAUGAUAGAUUGGAAAUUUGGUUAUUUUAUAAGGAUAAAACAGGCUCAAUUAAAAUUAUAAUAACAUAUUGAAAACUCAUCCCAUCAUAUAAAAAUAUAUGCUAGAUCUAGUCACUCUUAAAAUAUUCAUAACUCUCAUUUUUUGCUACACAUUAUAUUUUUAUAUAACACAAGAAAAAAUAAACUGAGCUUAAAAUUUGAACCAUAUGAUUAUGGGAUCCAUUGGUGGUUUUGACUAAUCUAGUGGCUUAAAUUUUUUUAAUCUACUCUCAUGGAUGCAUAUUUGUUUUUUUUUCAAAGGAAAAAAAAGCUUUGUCCACCAAACAAGCUAACUCCCUUACAAGAAAAAUAGGAACCUCAUACCGAGUUUGUUAAAUAAUCAAAAGAAAUAAACUUUGAAUCCAACAAAUAUGAAAUAAUAAAUAUUGGGUCCAUACUUAAUCCAAAAUAGGAGUAGUCCCUUGUAACCUUGAAAUCCAAAGCGAUAACAUCGCCUUCAAGCCAUUGAAUAUGCUCCGGAUAAGCCUAAUAAUAGCUUUAUAUAGAUUAAAUAUCAUAUUAUUCUCUUUUUUAGUAUGAUAUAAGAAAAGAAAAUUCAAAAAAGAAAAAAAAAUAGUAGUAUUAGAAGAAGUGUAAGCUAAUGAAAGCAGAGUUCAUUAUAAAAGUAAUGUACUCUGAAUAGAUAAAGAACAUUGUCAUAGUUAACAAAUCCAAUAAAAAAUAAAGGAUGUGUAUUGAUUUCACAUAUCUCAAUAAGACAUGUCCUAAUGACUACUUCAUCUUUCCUAAAUUGACCUACUAGAGGAUUAGACAACUAGUUAUUCAUUUCUAAACUAUUUGGAUGCUAAUUUAGAAUAUUAAUAGAUCCUCAUGCACCCAAACAAUGAAGAAAAUACUUAUUUCAUCAUUAACAAAGGGAUGUACUUCUAUAAGGCCAUAAUUUUCUAAUGAAGAACACCAUAUCCAAAUAUUAAAUAAUGGUUACCAAGAUCUUUAAGGACCAAUUAGGAAAGAAUAUGGUGACGUAUAUAGUUGACAUAUUGAUAAAGAGCCCCACUUUUAAGUAACACCUCAAAGACUAACAAUAUGUUUUCUUUGUUCUUCACCAAUAUUGGAUGAAGCUCAAUUUAUAAAAGUGCAUUAUUGCUAUACAAUGAGGAGAUUUCCUACGAGUUCUAAUCAAUAAUAAAAGGACACAACUUAAUUUUAAAAAUAUUACAACCAUUAUAGAUAAAGCCCUCAUUGGUUGGCCAAAGAAGUUUAGAGACUAACUAGCUAAGUAGCAACCUUGAAUAAGUGUGUAUCUCAAUUUAGGGAGCUUUGCCUUCCAAUUUUAGGACAUUAAAGGAUGUGUCCACUUUUUAGUAGACUAUCAAGUGUGUGAAAGUCUUUGAAAACCUAAAGUCUCACAUUUCUUUUUCAAGAAUUUUAUCUUAACCCAAAAAAAGAAGGAAAAGACUAUUCCUUUAUCUAAGGAUGGUAAAUUUAGUUGUGAGUGAUGUUAUGGUUAGGGAGGAGCACAAAGUUCACAAACCUGUUUAUUUCGUAAACAAAACCUUUCACAAUGUUGAAAUUAGAUACUUGAAAAUUAAAAAUGUGGUUUUGGUGCUAGUUGUUAUGACCCACUACUCCUAAUAUUUUUAUUUUGUUUUAAUUACUAUCAUCACUCUCAUUUUUUUCAAUUGUUAUUUUUUUAUUGGCAAUUGAUUUUUUAAAUAGUUUUUAUAAUCUCAUAAUAUCUUUAAGAUAUUAUUGUAAUUUAUCUUUGAUUUUUUUCCUGAUUAGAUUUAAAUUAGAUUAGUUUUAUUUGCAUUAUGCAUUUAUAAAAAUGAAAAUUAUAUGUACUUAGCAACCAUAAUUAUUUUUAAAGACAAGUAAAAGAAAAUAAAAAGGAUAACCUAUGUGCAUUUGUAUCUAUCUUUUAAUUCUUACUUUAGAAUUAACUUUUUAUUUUAAUCUUUAAUUAGCAUUCACAAAUCUUGUUGACUUAUUAGAUAAUAUAUUUUUUAACUCAUUAUAUUAAACACAUACAUCCUCUUUCCAUUCUUCAUUUACAAGUUUCAUGACAUUAAAAUUGUAUCCAUGAUAUUGGUGCCUUCUUCUUUUAUAUUCAAAAUUAACUUGAAAUUUUAUCUAUAACACAGAGUGAAUAUUACCUAUUAUAUUAAAAAUAAUACGGUUUUUUUUUUUUUUUUUAUUUUUUUAUGAAGCUUCAUUGUUAAGCUUAUCCUUAGAUAAAACAGGUGUCCUUUUAUUUGAAUCCUUAGAUCAAAUAAUAAUCCUAAUAAUUUAUCAAACUCAAAAAUUAAAAUCCAAUUAACUAGAUCACCAAACAAGAAAAAACCAUAAGUAAAAAAAAUUACCUUCUUAUCAUAGAUAAAAUUCAAAAAGUCCAAGAGACUAGCACUAUUAAAACACAUUUCCAAAAAAUAAACUUAAAAAAGGUCACAAUAACACAACAAAUAAGAAAGGGAGUGUUAUUUCAACUUUAUUUAAGAUCUUAGAUCUUCUCCAAACUGAACAAAAUAUAGAAGAUUUCGAUCUACCAAGUCACUCUCUCAACAACUAAAAAAAAAUAAUGAGUUUUUAUUUUUGGUAAGAUAGAAAAAAAUUAUAUUUUUAUUUAUGCUGAAGAGAAACAUAGACCGGGGGGGGGGAUGUGAGAGAUACUAGAUAAAAAACAUUUACAUUGUAUAAAUGACCUUUUAAUAACAGUGACGUAAAACUCUUUUUUAUUCUCAACUUUUUCUCUUCACCUCUCUCUCUCUCUCUCUCUCUCUCUCGCUAAAUAUUUUUAUUAUUUUUUAAAAUAAAAGAAGAGGUAAAAAAGGGUUAGGAGGUGUAGCAUCCAGGCCUAAAAGCGCAUGAUGUUCUUUUAUUUGGGCUAAAUACUAGGCUCUUUUCUUUAUUUCUUUUUCCAAUCUAAAAGAAAUGUUUAACAUGAUAAUUCAUUUAUUCUUUAAUUUUCACUUGAUUCUUGAAUAAUAUUAUAGAUUUUUAUUAGAAUGGUAACAAUUCUUUUUUCAAUUAUUAUGCAUUUAAUAAUAAUAAUAAUAAUAAUAAUAAUAAUAAAUCUCUCAUGAAUAUUCAUUUAAAAUAAAAAAAAAUUGUUUUCAAAAUUCUUAAAUGGAUUUUUGACAUAAUUUUGUCACAUUCGUUAUAUUUUUAACUUUCAACCAUAGACAAAAUAGAACAUAUUAUUUAGAUGUACAUUUAUUAAACUUGUCUUGACGAUGUAUUUUUUUUUAAAAGUGAUUCCAGUUAAAAAAUAUGCUUUCAAUAAAAUAAUUCAGAAAUACAUUAAUUAUAAAAUUAAAUUUAUAUUAGAGAACUACAUGUUUCCUACUUAUUUCAAAUUACUUAAAUUUUUAAUAAUUGUUUAUUUUAAUAAUCAUUGUGUUUUAUUAGAAAAGUGUGCAUCUAAUAAAAAACAACGAAGUUGUUUUUAAAAAGUUAAAAUAUUUUUAUGAAGAUAUUAUCAAUUAAUUUAUGAAAAAUUAUGUAUUAAUACAAUAUGCAUAAUUUUGAUAAGAACUUAUUUAUUAAUAUUGAAUGAUAAUAAUAUAUCUAUAUUUAUUCUAAUUCCUUUCAAUUUUUUUUUAUCAAAUUACGAACCCAUGAUAAAAAAGAUACAUUUUUUAUUGAAAAAAUAUAUUAAUAAGAAAAGAACAAAAAAUAUACUAGAAAUGUUUUUUUCAAUGAGUUUAAAUUAUUUUUUUUCUAAAAAAAAUAAUUUUAUUAUUAUGUAAUUAAAUAAAAACAUUAAAAAGCUCCUCAUUACAAAAGAUUAAAUAUCUUAAUAUGUAUUUUUAUUUCAGCUUCCCAACUUAAUCUAUAAUUUGAAUGAAUAAAUUUUUUAUUAUUUAUUGAAAAAUAUAGUUCUUAAUUUAUGUUUUACGAAAUAAAUAUUAACUUUUCAAUUUACAUUUAAAUUUUUAUGAUAAAAAAGUUAAUAAUAUCUAUACAUUUUUUAGCUGAAAAAAGUUUCGUUCAAUUCAUCAUCGUAGGUGCACCGUCACUAGCAUCCCCUAAAUGACUUGCAUUUAAAUGAAGAACUCGAUAGCCAUGAUGAGCGUCUAAUCAAUCGCUACAUCUCUUAUUCUUGAAGACUUCAAUUCAUAAGAUUAAUAAUAAUAAUAAUUAUUAUUAUUAUGCGAGAAUUAUAUAUAUAUAUAAAAUUGUUUUUUUGUCCAUACCCAACUUCCAUAUGUACUCACCACCAUCUAGGACCCUGACUCUCCAGCUAUAUUUAUAACAGCCCUUUCUCUUUUAGAUGGUGAUCUUGAUAGAAUUUUACCUGAAGCAUUUGGUGACAAUUGUCUUCGUACAUGGGUUUCCGGGUCUUGGUGGCUAAAGUGAAAGACUUCGUCAUGGGGGAGAAGGAGCCCAAGAAAGCUGAAUCUGAGGGAGCCUCUCUGCCUACACAAGUUCAAGAACAUGGACCUGUUAAGGAAGAGAAAGAAGUCCCUUUAAAUGAUUCUGCUAAUGAGAAGAGCUCGGUCCUAGUUACUGAAAGUAUGUCCUCUCCUUAUUCUUCUCCUUCUUUGCUUUCUGGUUCCUCCUGACAUCGAGAGGAUAAGGAAAGUUCGUAAUUUGGUUUUUCAUGAAAGUUGAUGGCUUGCAAUUUUGAAUAUCUCAAACCCGACUUAACAAUUGAAUGUUUCUCUAAACAUGUUAUAACAAGGCCCUUAAUUGUAUGAUUAAAUCUUCGAUGUAUCAGAGGUUGCAGAUCCACCUGCUACUGCAAAAAACUCCAGGGGGUCAAAUGACAGAGGUAUGCGCAGGCUACUAUCUUAAUCAAAAUUGAUAUCUUUCAUAUCAACAGAUAACAAGGACUUGAAUCGUUCAUCAGAUGCUGUGCUUGCGAGGGUUGAAGCGGAGAAAAGAUGUGCUCUACUUAAAGCAUGGGAAGAAAAUGAGAAAGCUAAAGCGGAGAACAAGUAGGAGACCAUCUCUAAUGCUCUGAAUUGUCCAUCUUUUAGUAUUGGCAUAAUGGAUUCCAAAUCUAGCUUAAAAGCAUGCUUGGAAUGAUUCUGCUUCAAUCUGUUUAUCGAACAAGCUACUAGCUCUUAGUUUAACAAGAUUGCACUAUUUACAACUUUGCUUGUGUCUGAAGUUCUCCUGAAUUAGAAUAUUACUGCAUGGAAAGUAAAUUCGAGCCAGGAAUUGACCAGCUCUUUGGUCAUCCAACAUAAAAUAAUGUAUUUGGAAGUCUCCGAGAUUGAGUCUAGGCGUCCAAGAAUUUUAGACAAGGAUUUGUGCAUUGAAGCAGUAUUACAAGUUAAAAUGUUAAACUUGGUUUUAUAAAGCUUUCAGUUCCUACUCGAUGAUGACCUUCAGAGCUUGUUUCUGAGCAAGUUAUACACGCUGAAUUUUAAAUAGGGCUCACAAGAAACUCUCUGCCAUUGGAUCAUGGGAGACAAUCAAGAGAGAGUCUGUGGAGGCAAAAAUAAAGAAGUAUGAGGUAAUAAACUUAAUGAAUUGAAGUAUCAACUGCUUGUUAUAGCAUGACUAAUCCUCCUUUCCACAUAUAAAAACUGUACAGUUCAAAGUAAUUAUGUAGUAUAUAUUCUUGCAAAAAACUAUUUCAGUAGUGUCUUGAUUAACUUGUGAUAUGGUAGGAAAAAGUGGAAAAGAAGAAGGCUGAAUAUGCAGAGAAAAUGAAGAACAAAGUAGCCGAACUCCACAAGGCAGCCGAGGAGAAGAAAGCAAUGAUUGAAGCAAAAAAAGGCGAGGACCGUCUCAAGGUAGAGGAAACUGCAGCGAAAUUCCGAGCAACUGGGUAUACACCAAGGAAGUGUCUAAGAUGUUUUGGCAAAUUCUAAUGAACAAUAGUAAACGGAAGAGAAAAGGCUGCUAGUAUUGGAUUUGCUUGAUUUUUUGGCUUGUUAUUUUAUGCUGUGCUCAAAUAUUGUUGGUUCAGCUGUAAAUGUCUUUUGAUAUUUGUAAAAAACAAUAAAUUGGAGUGCAUGUGUUCCAUUACCCAAGUUCUGACAAGACCCGAGUUUGAAUUUGAUAUUUUCUUUUGUGUGAGUUGAAUCUCAGUGCAUGUGUUAAAUCAUUUGUGUAUCUGUAGUUCUGAAGAAUUUGGUGACACAACAAUUCAAGGUCUUUAAUUUUGUGUAGUGGCUGCAUUUUUCACACAAUACUUGCUAUGGAUCACACCAGCUACUUGCAGCUCAUAUUUUCUGAUAUGACAAAUGUGUCAUCCAUCACCCAAUUUACUUGCUUCUUAGGCUAAAAUUCUCAACCACCCCAGAAUACUUGGUGAAGAAGGGGAGGCAGAGUUUGUAUAUGAAUGAGUUGUCGGAGACUGAAACCUUUUCGAAUUUCAAUUUUUCAGAUAAACUUUUCAUGAUCAAUAUUCGCUACAUUUGUGAGCUGAUAAUAGCUAAUUCCAUUCUACUUGUAUAUUUGACAAGCAUAAUCAAUUAAAUGUGAGGCUAAUAUCAUGUCAACAGGAGAUACGAGGCUAAUAUUACGCCAAUAAUUUUCUUUAUUCCAUUUCCAAGUUAAAUAAGUUAUGAAAAAAAUUCCAAGAAGCAAUACAUGAUGUCCCUAAUGCCUUGAAUCUUUAUAUGAUGCCCACGGGUGCAGAAGAAAAUCUGUGCAAUUACGACUUAUCCGUUUAUUUUGAGAACUUUCAGCAAUCAAUAUAAUCCUAGUACAGACCACGUCUGUGCACAUUGUUUGCAGCAUUUUAUAUAUAUAGAAUGUAAGCAGAGACUCUUGAAUUGUUGGCCUACAAAUUUUGGAAUCAAAUUGAUGCUAACAUGGUAUUUUGUUGUCAUGUAAACACACGGUUUUUGACAGAUAGGCUGCUAGAUAUAGUAAAAAAUCUAUUUGGAGACAGCUGAGUUGUCUACCAAAUAACAAGAGGAUUGCAGUUGUAUUUGUUACCUCCUGUCUGGACUAUCUUUGAAAGACUUGGUCAGGAAAUGUUUCAGAUCUAUCUGUAAUAGCUCACUAUUCUUAGAACGGUACCCUGCAAGUUCCAAGAGAUAUAGACCCUGGAUCACAUUAGCUUAAAUAAGCGGUUCAAGUCUUUUUGUCCAUCCAUUGAACAUUCAUUUUAUUGACCUUUAAUCUGCUAGUUAUAAUACAGGAAAGGUGAAAGGUAAGAGCAGAUUUUCUAAGUUCUGUUUAUCUUAACUUCUGAGAUUAAGAGCCGAACUUUCAGAAUUUGUUCUUAAAACUUUCCCAUUAAAGCUUUUCUAAGCAACCCUUCUGAAAUCAGAUUCUAUACUGCUCAUUUUAGAUUCAUCAGGAAAAGCAUAAUGGGCUUCACUGGGACCUUAGAGAAAUGCAAGGCCUGUGACAAGACUGUUUAUUUCGUCGAAUUGGUGUCUGCUGAUGGAGUUCCUUAUCAUAAGAAGUGCUUCAAAUGCAGCCACUGCAAUGGACUUCUUGUAGUAUGAGUUCUACUCAUUUAUCCUCUUUUCUUCUUCAUGCCUUUUCUUUUGUGGUUAUUGCCUGAGUAAGAAUCAAUGAAAAUACGGUCCUUUACCAGGAUUAUUGAAACUGAACCACCAUGAAAUUUGUCUUAUAGAUGAGUAGCUAUUCCUCGAUUGAUGGAGUUUUAUACUGCAAACCUCAUUACGACCAGCUCUUCAAGGAGACCGGUACUUUUACCAAGAAAUUCCAACCCUGUGAGAUCCGCUUCUCCGUUUUCCUUUCGUUUAAGUUUCUCUUACAUAUUUUUGGAAUUAGAGUUCCAUGGAGAAGGAUGCAGUCCUCCCUAUUUUACCUUCUUUUUUUUUGCUAACAAUGUGUUUCUGCAAUCCUGACUGUUUAGAUGAAGAGAAGAAAAACUGCCUGGUACCAAGAUUCUUUACAAUCGGUUCUUAAUUUUUCAUUACCUUAAUUUGUUUCUAAUGGAAAUUUCUAGUUUGUUUGCUGGAGUUUGAUGCAUGUUUUCACAAUCAUGCAGACAAAGGCCCCAAGCAAACUUUCCUCCAUGUUCAGAGGCACCCAAGACAAAUGUGCUUUCUGUAAAAAAACUGCAUACCCAUUAGAGAAGGUUUCUAAUCCAUCUGUCUCUCUCUCUCUCUCUCACUCACACACACACACUCAAUUCUUAUUUCCCCAUUCAUUAACAUUCAUUCCUCGUCCAUCAUAUAUAUAUUUGCGCAACUCGAUUGGAAAUGCAAAAGACAGAGUAACUCUCAUUGAUAUCUAUAUUGUACCUUAUUCUGGCACCAAUAUAAUCUCAUGCACCAAGAUCAACUCCGGAAAUAGAUUGAGAUCGAUAUUAUAUGAUGGAGUGAGGAUAAAGAAGCUUAUUGCCGUAACCAAAAUUUUGACAGGUGACUGUGGAGGGAGAAUUCUAUCACAAGUCAUGCUUCAGGUGCUCUCAUGGGGGUUGCUAUAUCACUCCUUCAUCUUAUGCAGCUCUUGAUGGUAUCCUAUACUGCAAGGCCCACUUUGCUCAAUUGUUUAAGCAGAAGGGUAGCUACAGUUAUCUCACCAAAACUGCCACAAUGAAGAAAAACGCAGUAAAAUUGCCAGAAGAAAAAUCCGAAGCAGAAGAAAACAAUGAAACAGUACCAGAAGCAAACGCAGAUGCCAACUCUGAUUUAGCCAUUGACAAGGGACACCAUAAUUCAUGAGAAUGCGCAGAGCUACGUCUCAAUGCUGUGUUGUUCCUUUCACGUGCCUCUCUAGGGGACAUUGAGGUUACAAGAGUGGUUGCUCUCCUUGUUCCUACUCAGGCAUGUGUCGACAGAGAAUGGGAACCUGGAAUUUUGUUUCGCCUUGGAAUUCGGAAACUAAAUAGAGACUUCUGUAAUAUUUCUAUAUUUGCAGGUGCAGUUGAUGAACGAAAAUAAAAUUUCACUUCUUUCUCUUUUGUCUUUAAAUUUCUUCAUCAAUAACAAAAAUGGCCCUUGAAGAAAACAAAACCAUAUUAACACGGGAGAAAUCUAGACAUUGAUAAAGAACGGUCGAAGACAUGAGUUUCCUAAAACCCUCCGGAAACCGCAGUCUAUAGGUCAUUGCUCCAACUCUUCGUAUAAUCUUGCAAGGGCCAUAAAAUCUCAGAUUAACCUUGAUAUUUUUCCUUAGUGCUACACUCAAUUGAUUGUAAGCAUGUGAUUUCAAGCACACCAAAUCUCCCACCUAAAACUCUCUUUCUAUAUAUCCUGCCACUUGUUUCAUCAUGUCCCUAGCCUUUUCCAGUUAAAAUUGCAACCAUUGAUCCAAUCUAGCCCUUAAUUUAUUGAAUCACCUUCUUAAAUGUUGCUACUGGAGAAUUAACCUCUACAUUGGGUGAAGGAUAACCAUGCAAUGAUUGAAAAUGGCUCAUUUUAAUGGAUAAAUGAUAGCUAGAAUUAUACCAUCAUUGAGCUAAAGACAACCAUUCAUGUCAUCUGCUUGGAUUAUGCAUGAUCAUACACCUCAGAUAAGUUUUAAGACAUUGAUUAACCCUUUCUGUUUAUCUAUCAUUUUAAGGAUAGAAAGAUGAGUUCACCCCUUAUAACUUAAACAAUUCUUUCCAAAAUAUACUAAUGAAGAUUUUAUCCCUAUCUAUCACAAUAGCCAUAGAUAAACCAUGGAACUCAUGGAACUUGUAGAUGUAAUCUAAAAACAGCUAAGCAAUUUUCUAAGCUGUAAAAGGAUGAGCUACAGCUAAGAAAUAUCUAUAUUUAGUGAAUCUAUCCACAAUAACCGAUAUUGUGUUCUUUCCCCGAUUUUGGCAAGCCUUAAACUAGAUCCGUGGUUCUAUUUUUUCAAAUACCUUUUGAUAAACGUAGUGGUUGAAGCAAUCUAGGAUGUAACACCCUUUCUUUUUUGGCUUGCUUACGCACAUCAUAUUCUUCCAUGAAUUUUCUCACCAAGGCUUUCAUAUAAGGCCAAUAAAACAUAGCCUUGAGACUCUUAUAAGAAAUAUGCACCCCUGUAUGUCAUUUAACAUGCGAGUCAUAUACAAGACUUAUAAUUCUAUAAAGAUUUUUUAAUCCUUUGUAAUCUUCACUUAUAGCUUUAAACCUUAAAAUUGCAUCAAAUCCAUCUCUCAUGUUCUCGAAUUAGAUUAUAAUUCUAUAUAAAAAAAAUUUAAUUCUUUGUAAUCUUCACUUACUCUUGUGAUAUUUAUAAUUAUAUGAAAGUAUAAGUGAUAAUUAAUCACUUGAAUAAUCUUUUGUCAUAUGAGUCAUUAAGUGAAAUGUUUGAUCUUGAACUUCGAAAAAGAUUGUGAAAAUUUUGUUCUGACCCUUCAAAAAAUACUGUGUGAAGUUUUAUAAUCUUAAUCUAAAAAAAAAUAUUAGUAUAAUCAAUAAAGUCUCAUGUAUUAAAAUAAUUAUGGGUUAAUAGUGAAUAUUCGAAUGAAAAUUUAAAAUAAAUGGAGCAAAUGAGUUAAUUGUGAAUAUUUGAAUGAAAAUUUAAAAUAAAUAGAUCAAAUACUUGCCGAGUUAUUAUAAAAAUGAUAUACUUGUAGAAUGAGGAUUCAAUAAGUUCUCACAUAUCGUUAACACAAUCCACCUUCAGUUAGAUCACUUGGAAGAGGAUUGGGAUAUUCUUAAAAAAGAAAAGAAAAGAAGGAUCGUCAUGUUCAUGAAAAAAAUGCUUAUGUAUUGCUUGCUAAUGAUAUUGUAUAAUUGACUCCAUCAAAAUUCAUAAAGAAAAAAGGUGAGAUAAAAAAUGUUUUUUUCUCAUAAUUUUUAGAUUGACUAUGCCUAUCAAUUUAUUUAUAGAAUGGGUUAAUUAAUAGAUAUAAGAUUCAUGGACAAAAUAAUGUAUGAAUUUCAAAUUAUUUUUGUACCUAUUAAUAUAAUUAAUGAAUUAAGUGGUACGCUGAAUUCAUUUAAUAAUUUUUCACAUGAUGCUUUUUAAAAUAACCUAUAUAAUUAUCUGUAAAAAGGAAAUCAAACACCAAUAUGCAUAAAUAUAGAUAUUUUUAGAGUAAAAUAGUAAUUUCGUUUGAAUUCUUACGUAUUCUUAAAAAUAGACGAAGCACAUUAAAACUAUAUAUAUAUAUAUAUAUAUAUAUAUAUAUAUAUAUAUAAGGAUACAAUGGUCAACGUGGUACAUUGACCCGUAAUCCUAGGGAGGAUAGAUAGAUUGUCAUGCCUUCUGUUUUAAGGGUGUCGUGUCGUGUCGUGUCCGGUCACAGACCAUUUGAAUGAUGAAUCAUGUUCAUCCCUCCCUUCAUGGACCAAAAUACCCCCACUCUCUUCACGAUAUUCCCUGACAACCCUCGACUUGUCCCUCUCUUUUUCACUUGCUUCUACUUCAAGUGCCACUAGCUCACAACUGCUACUCCUUUUUUUCAAUCGAACCCCUCCCUUUCUUUUUUCUGCUGCUUUCUUCUUAUAUACUGAAAACUAAAAGAGAGGGAGGGAGGGAGGGAGAAAUGGGUGUAGGCACCAGCAACUUUGUGAUUAGAUGGAUCAACUUUCUCACCAUGGUAAGCUUUGUUUCUUUUCCACUUUCCCUUUUUGUUCAUCUUUAUUUUGAUUUAGGCUUUCGAGUCAGAUUCGAUGCUACACUGUUAACUGGCCCUUCUGUUUUUUAUAUCUUAUUAUUCUUCUGGCGUUGUUGAUUAUUUUGCAAAGGGUGGUUUUGUUUCUGGGAUAUAAUAAGUUGUUCAUUUUUACGAGGGUUAUAAUUUUUUGAAGUUUGCUUCUUUUGGGGGGUCAUUGUAAUUGUUUGAUUUUUGCAGUCAUGUCUGCUACUUUGUUUAAGAUCAGGGUGCUUUUCUAUCUGCUUUCUUCUUUACACUGAUGAUUAUUGUUGCUCUUGGUUAUGCUGGUAACUGGUUGUCCAUGGUAAUUGGUUUAUAACAAGUGUACAUGGUAUCGUGUUAAAGUUUGUUCCAGAAUAACGAGUUUGCUCUCGUUCAGUUUUUUCUAUUUGGCUUAAUUUACUUUCAAUCGAAGUGAAUACUUUUUUUUUGUUUUGUUUAUAAUGUGAGUUUAUGUGUGUUUCAUCCUCUCAUUGCGUAGCUUUUAGCUAUAGCUGUCAUAAUUUUUGGGGUAUGGAUGAGCACACAUCAUGACAGUUGUCGAAGGUCUCUCACUCUCCCAGUGUUGGGCCUUGGUGCUGUCAUCUUUGUAAUGUAAGUUCAAAUUUUCUAUUGUCAGCCUUCUUAUAACUCUUAUGCAUUUACCUUUAACAGCUACUGAUACAACCUUUUGUUGAUGUUUAGAUCAAUAAUUGGGUUCUUGGGCGCCUUGAAGAGCAACUCCAUACUGUUGUGGAUUGUAUCCUUACUAAAUGACCAAUCUUUUAUAUUUAUUUGCUUGAAUAUUGGUCUGCGCUCUUCAUUUUUUUUGUUUUAUUUGUUGGGCAUCCCUUAACUACUAUUCACUUUCAGUAUCUGGUUAUGCUGUGUAUCAUUUUGGUGGCAAUUCUGGUUUUCACAGUAUUAGCGUAAGUGUGUUGUUUUUCUGGCUUAAUUUUGAUUAUAGCGCACAAGCUCAUGUAUUUUCCCCUUUUUUGAGGUAGAUAACAAACUAUGCAGCAACAUUUCAGGUUUGAAGUUUGAACUUGACAAUGUCUGUCAAUAGUUUGUUGUCUUUUCUAGUUUUCUCAUUGAUUUGCUUAUUAAACAUGAUUCUUGCUCAUUUAUCCUAGUACUUCUGUUGCUACUGUCUUCAAAGUUUUGUCUUCGAAAUAAGGUCAUUUUUUCUAUGCAUUAUGCCAUGAGGUUUAGGUAUACAUCAAUUUCAAACAGAUAAGAUAGAUUGAUUGAUUGGGCCAAAUUGACUAGAACUUAUGCGCUCCCACCAUGUUUAAGCUGCUUUUGUAUUCUGCUAAGAACCAAUAUUAAGUGUGGUGAGCCACAUUUGUUAGAAAAAUGAGAUUAUUUUUUUGGCUCUAGUGGAUACUUAAUUUUUAGGUUGAGGUCCAAGAUCCUUGAUUUAAUUACAUGCUAUCUCAGCUCCAAUGGUCUAACUUAUUGAAAUGGCCAGAUUUUGAGUUGAGCUUGGAGAUAAUGUUGAGGGUAAAUGUGCUGGUAUUUGGUGGAGUUAAAUUUGCAGUUAUCACAUGGGAUUAAGUCUAGCAUACAAUGCAUCAGUAGGAAAGUGAAAAACUUGGAAUAUAUAGCUAGAGAAGUGUUAGCCAUACUAGUUAAAGAUGCAAAGAAGGAUGGAUUGAAAGAGAAUGAGAUAAAGGAAAUCUCUUGUAUUUGAACCCUUUUCAAAUAAUCUCUGAUUUUGGUGCAACCAGGCUGCUGUUUUAUGUUAAUUUAAAAGAAAAAUAUCUCUCUCUUCAUUGGCAUUUUGUCUCUCAUUAAAAGUAAGUCUAAUACAUCUCAUUUUGUCCUCUGUGUUGUUCAAUUAAUUACCAUGAUCUCUACAAUGCUAAUAGAUACACCUCAACAAAAAAUUAAAAAACAGAAGAAGAAGCGACGUGAAGGGUAACCGGUGGCCAUAUUGUAAACUCGUGACAUAGCAAGAAUGAUGCUUCCAAUUCUAUCAACUAAGUAACUAGGAGUUUUCAUCAAUCUUUUCCACUUUUAUGUUACCAUAUUGUUUCAAAACCUUCAACUUUUUCUCUCAACGUGUUUAGCAUUUUUCUUUUGAGUUUGGAAAUCAUACUUAUAAUGCUCCUUGAUUUUGUGAUUUUUCCUGUAGGUUUAUUAUAACUAAUAAUGGAUCCGGUCAUAGUGUCCCUGGUUUGAGGUAAGAAACUUGUAAUCUAGGAAUCAAGUAACUAUGCUUAUAUAUUUUGUUCUGCUUUUGGGUAUCCGUUCUUCAAAUCCGUUGUUCUUCAUCUUGACCCACCAGUCCCUCAACCUCUCUCUCUCUUGCAGUUGGGUCAGAUGUUAGUCUUUCAACAAAAUGCUUCAGAUGAUUAUUUUUGUGAUGAUAAUUGAGCUAUAAUAGCCACUUUCUUUAUUGAUUCUCAUAGACUUUGUUAGCUGGGGUUGUUAUGGUGCAGCUACUAAUACUUUCUUGUCUGGCUAGAUACAAGGAGUAUCAACUUCAGGAUUACAGCUCAUGGUUUCUUAAACAGGUAAAGACUUUGCCUUCUAUGCUAUUUGUUAAAAAAGAUGCUACUUUAAGAUUCAGAUUCUAUACUAACUUGAAAGUUUCAUGCAAUUAUGCCUAAUCCUGGUCUUUGCUUCAGUUGAACAACACCAAGAACUGGAACCGAUUGAAGAGUUGUCUUGUGAAAACAGAUGACUGCAAUAACCUACCAAAAAAAUAUAAGGUCCUGUUUUUUUACCUCAAAAUCUUAUUACUCAUCCAUUUUUUUUCAUAACUCUGAAUGUUUAUUGAUUUCUAGAUUGAUAUUGAUGUUUUUAAACCUGUUGAUUUUAGACUAUUAAGCAGUUCAAGUCAGCCAAACUAACAGCCAUUGAAGCUGGUUGCUGCCGACCACCAUCCGUGUAGGUGUCUUUUUCUGACCUCACUCUCUGAUCAAACAUUCAAGUGAAGUUUUUCUAUUCACGACAAGGAAAUGUGAAGUCUAUUAUUACCUUACUACAAAGAUAUACAUUCUGGCUCGGUGAAAUAUUUGAGUAAUGCAUUUUCAGUCUACACAUCACAGUUACGCAUAAUAUUUGAACAGUGUCACCAAGGUUACCCUUUUUAACAUACUCUGUAGGUGCGGUUAUCCUGCUGUUAAUGCUUCAUACUACGACUUGAGCUUUCAUCCGAUUAGCUCCAAUAAAGACUGCAAACUUUACAAAAAUUCCCGGGCUACCAAAUGCUACAAUUGUAAUUCCUGCAAGUAAGGAUCAUUACUUUUUCAACGCGCCUUUUCAGUUCUGUUAAUACUUUCCUUUUUCUUCUGGUGUACUAUUCUUGUGCAAUCGGUUCUUACUUUUCAGGGCAGGAGUUGCACAAUAUAUGAAAACUGAGUGGAGAUUGGUUGCCAUCUUUAAUGUCAUUCUGUUUGUUGUUCUGGUAAGCUUGUUGCUAUUUCACUUGAAUCUUGUCAUUCCCGGAUGUUCUAACUGCUCUUCUUCUCUGUUGUGAAUGCCAGUCAAUGAUCUAUUUCGUCGGGUGUUGUGCCAGACGAAGUGCAGCCAGGAGUCACUCUAAAGCUUGAAAAAAAAAAGAUGAGAGAAAAACAGAACCGGUUUCUUUGGAAUUUCUAUUAUAUCUCUCUCUAUCAUUUGUUUACCGCAUGUGUAUAUCUCCGUUUGUCAGUUGCUCUUUGAACAUUUGUCAAAUUAGCGAUCAUUUUUCUCAGUUUGAAUGAGACUGAUGGUUUUAUUUCAAGUGAAUGGAUUCUUUCAAUGCGAAAAAGCAAGCCUAGGCCACGACCAAAAAGCUACUGGUCCCAAAUAUGAAAUCAAAUCAAUCCCAUGAAAGUGUAAAUUAAUGGAUCCCUUUUUCAAAAACCUUAAGCCUAUCGAAGCCUGAUAAGUGAAACUGAAUGUCUGAAGGGCAAAAUCCUAUAAUAAGAAUGGUCAUGUUCAAUCCAGCAUUGCCCGAGGAAUCCCUUAGAAGCACUGUUCACUCGAUCCAAUUCCAAAUGCUUCCGGGAAGAUUGAUCACCCCGUUCUUUCAGAUAACUUAUUAUUCUAUUCUACCCUUGGCCUAUUUCCUUUCUCUUAUGCGAAAUGGAAUUCUUGAAUUCUUUAUAUGAUAAUGAUAAUUUUCCAAUAAUUACAACCACUUCAAAAUAUUCAUUUAUUAUUAUAUAUUUAGUAUAAAUAUCUUGAAACUUUUGAACUUCACUCAUGAUGAUUUUUGAGGUAACCAUGCUUUGAACUUUUUCAUAUCUGCAACUUCAACUUUGAAUAUUUUGUCCAAAGCUUUUCAAGAUGUUUUUUGUACUCUUGAUCGAACUAUACAUACCAUAUUAAAUAUUAUUUACUAUAUUUAAGAUGUAAGUAUUGCAUACAAAAUCAAUAUGAUUCUAGAUGUUCAAAGCUACUAUAAUAAUAGAAUUGAAUUCAUUAUUUGAAAAUUUUAGUGCUUUUUCCAACUAGAAUUUUCUCAAGUUCAAAAUGGUCAAAUAAAAAUAAUAUUUUUUUGUAAUAUAUUAAGAUCAUGAUAAAUUUGCAAUCAUAACAAAAGACUAACAUGCUUAUUGAGCAAUUAUAUAUAAAAUUGUUGUAUUCCAAACAUGCAGACUAAUCAUACAUAGAAUUAUACAUAAGAGAAUAGAACUAACUCCUAACAUAAAUUCUUAGCAUUUAUGGAAAGUAUACUUAAAACAAAAUUAAUAAAAGAUAUUAACUUAUUGAAGAACUUACUAUAUAACCAAUUUGAAAUUUGUUGUUAUUGUUAAGAAUCAAUCCCUUAUAAAUAAGACCUUAUUGCUUUUCAUUUGAUGCAAAAAGAUUACAAUAAGCCUGUGGAAUUUCAACAAUAUCACUUUGUUUAUGUGCAUUCCUAAACAAGGUCCAAUUAACGCAAAGAAAUAUAUACUCAAAUAAAAAAUAAAUAAAAAGUCAGAGUAUAAAAUAGAGUGAAACUAGAAAUUCAAGUAAAGAAGAGUUGUAAAUUAUGUAGAUUUUAUGAUGAAAAAAUUAACCUUAAAAUUUUUUUCUUCAACCUGUUUUAUAGAUGAUUUUGGAAUCAAAACUAAUAUAUGAUUAAUUAUGAUAAUUAUCAAAAUAAAUUCCCUCCAUUUAUCAAUUUCGAUGUUUUUUGAUCUAAAAAGACUGUUUAGGUCUAGAUAAAACUCUUUAAGAAAAAAAAAAAACUAAUCAGAUUCUAUCAUUAAUAAGCUAGACUAGACAAAAUAGUGGGCUGUUAAAUUAUUAAUUUUUUAUGAAAUAAACAAAUAUAAAUCUAAAUCCAAGCUCAAAAUAAUUUGGUAAAAAAAUAUUUUUUUGUAGUCUGAAAAAUUAAUUUACAAAGAAUUUAAAUCUAACUUAGCAAGAACCGUGCAACAACUGGUUAAUUUUCAUUGGAUUGUUAGGCUUAGCAAACUCCAUCGAUUGGGGAGGACAUGUCUAUAGACCUCCAAAUAAACGAAGUCCGCCAAUGGGCUCCGGCAAAAAAAACAAUUUUUAAAGACAUGAAUCUCGUUGCAUUAUGUACAGAUAUUAUGGUUAUGGCUAUGCUUUUCAACCUUAUUAUUGUAUAUUUUUUUUGGAGGUCCAGGUGGGUACACAGGAAAUUGAUGCGUGUAGCAUCUUAGAUUAAUAAUGUACUUGAAAGUGAUUGGAAAUAUGAUCGUAUCUGUAUUUUUUAAAAAAAUAUUAUUUUUUUUAAAAUUAAUUUUUUUAAGUAUAUUUUAGAACGUUUUGAUGCGUUGAUUUUAAAAAUAAUUUUUAAAAAAAUAAAAAAAUUAUUUUGAUGCAUUUCAACAUAAAAAAAACUUUAAAAAACAAUUACAACCAUACUCCUAAAUAAUCCCUUCAACUUCAUAUAAUCAAAUUUGAUGAAUAAUAAUUUUUUUGGGGGGUUUAUGAAUACAUUUAUUGAUAGAUUAAAGCCUAUAAUAUAUGUAUUUGGGGUCACCUAUUUCAAAACAUUUGAUGAAUAUUAACUCUCUCUCUCUCUCUCUUUUUCAUUUUUAUUAGAAGAUUCUCCGUUCAUCUUUACAAAAGAAAAGGUUCCGUUAAUCUAAAUUAGCAAUCGAAUCCACAAUGAAUUUUAAAUUUAUUAAAAAAAAAAUUGUUUCGAGUGGUCAACGUUGGUCAAUAGAAAAAAAAAGUUUUUGAAACAAGGGGACUAAUUAAUUGAUUUUUGGAAACUAUAGAGACCAAUUUAUAAUUUACAUUUGUCUUUGUGGGGGAAAAAUCAUGACUAUAAAAGCCAAAACCCAUCUUCUCUUAAACCCUACAAAUAAGUGCUCACCAAACCCUUUCAGUUUGGCAUUUCCACUUCCCUUUCGCCAUCAUGUUCCAAUCACUCAUCCACCGCUCCAAACCCUUUUCGGAACAGCUCCGGACCCGAAUCUUCAUUCGACUAAUGGGUGGUGGACCACGAACCUUCCCUGGAGGUCUAAACAAAUGGCAAUGGAAACGCCUCCACGAGAAAAAAGCCAAAGAAAAAGAGAAACGUCUCCUUGACCAAGAAAAACAACUCUACCAAGCCCGGAUGCGUUCCCACAUCCGCUCCAAACUCGCCGGCCAACCCGACCCGGACCUGAACCCGGACCCAAGUGAGUUCAAUCCCAUGAGCCCCAAAGAGCACAUCAAAGCCCUCGCUGAUCGGUUCAUGAAAGAAGGAGCUGAAGAUUUGUGGAACGAAAUGGAUGGGCCAUUGAAAGCCCCAUCAGAUGAACGGCCAGGAUUUGUUGGGACUAAUCAACGGCCAGGAUCGAUUAAUUCGCCAUUAGAUUUGAGAAAAUUAAUGUCAGAAGGGCGCAAUGUAUCGCGGCAUCGCGAAGAAAACGGGUUUCAUUAUGUGAAAAAUAGAGAUUAUUCCACGCGUAGAGAUUUAGAUUUUGGGUCCAGUGGUGUUUCUGUUAAGCCUUUAGUGCGGAAAGAGAGGAAGUUUAGGAGAAAUGAGAGUUCUUCGAGUGAUGAUGAUGAAGAUUAUGGGUUUGUUAAUGACAAAGUGAUGAAUUUUGGGAGAGAUUCAGGGAAUGAGCGAGGGGCCGUGAGUAAUUCGAGGAAUGUGAGUGAAUUUAUGAAGAAUAAGGGUUUUGAAACACAAAAACAGAGGAGGUUUGGGAGAAAUGAGAGUGAUGAUUUGGGGGGUGGGGAAGAGAGGAGAGGGAGGAGUGCGAAGGAGAUUGGGAGUAGAGAUGCUUUAGGGAAGUAUGAUGUGAAGAAGACAAGAAGGGUUCCAUUAAAGGAGCUUGAGAAUGAUUUUGCGAGUGAAGUGGAGUUGAUUAGGUAUGAGCUAGCGAGGAAGAAGAAGUUGGCCGGAAAUGACGGGGAUAACGAGGACGAGGAUUCAAUUCUUAGCGAUAAACGGUAAGGUUUCUCUUGGUUUUAAAUGGUGUCAUAUGGCAGUAACUACCAAGGUAAUCUCAGCAUUCAUUGGAAAAUGUGCAUAAUUUUUGUCUCGUUUGAAAAGAAUGGGAAAAGUAAAGGGAAGAACUUUGCAUGUUCUGGAGAGUCUAGGGUAGAGUAAAGGCAGAGGUAUUGGAGUAAUGUGUAAUACUGUAAUGUAAUGAUCUUGUGUUUUAUUUGUUAAUUGGUGAUUUUGUGCUGUAUAUAUUUUUGCAGAUUUGAUGAAUGUGGUCUGUCUCCAUCGACUGUCAAAGCACUUACAGCAGCUGGUUAUGUUCAAAUGACCAGGGUACAGGAGGCUACUCUUUCUGUCUGCCUUGAGGGUAUACCAACUGUGUUUUAUGUUUCAUCUUCAGUUAUGAGUGCUUUUGGCAACUAUUCAGUCUGCUAGCUCAAAAUUCAGGAUAGUUCAAUACUGUUAGUGUGCGCAUGCUUGUCAACUUUUUCAUUUUUGGCGUGUGCGAGGCCACGAGUGUGUUUGGCUGCUUGUAGCAUAUCUCAUGUUGUUAUCCUGAAGAAAUGCUCUCUUUGCUCCAUUUUGAUUAUCCAUAAUUUUUUCUCAAACAAGUCAAGCCAUGCUUCAUUUAUUACUAUACCUUUAAUAUACAUGUUGAGAAUAAUUUCUGUUGAAAAAUGAUCAUACUUACACAUUGUAAAGUUUGAAUAAUGGUUUUCACUUCAAUUCGGAGCAGGUAAGGAUGCUAUGGUCAAAGCCAAAACUGGCAAAGGAAAAAGUGCAGCUUUUUUGGUAAACUACAAGUCUCUUGUCAUUCCUGUAAAUUAAUUUGUGCUAUUUUAGCUUCUUUCCUUCAGUGCCAUUGUAAAACACAAACAGCUUCCUGCAAUUGAAGCAGUUUUGAAGGCAAGAAGUAGCAAUGCCAAGCUACGAGUUUCCCCGAUAUAUGUUCUUAUUCUCUGCCCCACAAGAGAGCUAGCAAGUCAGAUAGCAGCAGAAGCAAAUGCUAUACUGAAGUACCAUGAUGGAAUAGUUAUGCAAACACUAGUUGGAGGAACACGUUUCAAAGAUGAUCAGAGAUGCCUUGAAUCUGAUCCUUGUCAGGUUUGAUUGUGUGCUAUUGUGAUUUUUGCGAGUUUAACUUCGACUAAUUUCAUGGCAUGUGCAUGGAAAAGGAGAAAGGCAAAGAAAUAAAUAUGUAGUUGCUAUUCCUGUGUUUCAGGAUUAAAACAUGUAGAUCACUUUCUGGUGCUAACGUUUUCCAGAUACUUGUUGCUACUCCUGGUCGGCUGCUGGAUCACAUUGAGAAUAAAAGUGGUUUAUCCAUGCAUUUGAAGGGAUUGAAGAUGCUUAUACUUGAUGAGGCUGAUCACCUUCUUGAUCUUGGGUUCCGGAAGGAUGUGGAGAAAAUUGUAGACUGCUUGCCCCGUCAGAGACAGUCCUUGCUUUUCUCUGCUACAAUUCCAAAAGAGGUUAAAUUUUUCCUCAUCUCUUUGUUGAUGGGUCAAACAAGCAGCACUAUUGUGUCACAUGACUUCAUUCUGAUUUUAAUCAUGCUUAUGCAGGUUCAUCGAAUUUCUCAGCUUGUAUUGAAAAGGGAACAUGAUUUUGUUAAUACUGUAGGUUGCAUGGAAACUCCUGCUAAGGUAUACCUUAAAUCAAGAAACUGUUAUGGUAAAAUUACAAAUCAGGGAAUGACAGAUGAUGAUUACCUGAUGUUGUUACAAAUUAUCAUGUUACCUAUAAAACAAUGCCCACAGUUACAAAUUAUCAUAUUACCUAUAAAACAAUGCCCACAGUUUGUCUUAGGCUGAACAUUCUAUCACUGGCUUAACGACUAUGGAUGUUUUUAGAUGUCUAAUCACUAUAAGUAAAAUCAUGCUGACUAUUUGGCAUUUGAUUUCGUGAUUGUUUCUAAAUUGAGAAGCAAAAAGCAUCAAUCCUUGUUUCUGCUCCUACAGAUCAAGCAGUCUUUUCUUGUCUCUCCACACGAAUUGCAUUUUCAGGUAGUGCAUUAUCUUCUGAAGGAACAUAUCCAGAAGGCACCUGAUUACAAGGUAAGAUUCUGUAGUUUUUGGAUUUUGUUUAUUUGCAAAGUGGAAUGUGUGUGGUUGAGUCCUGGACAUUUAACUUGCUCCAGGUCAUUGUUUUCUGUACAACUGGGAUGGUAAAAUCACUCAUGUAUCUACUUCUCCGGGAAAUGAAAAUGAAUGUAAGGGAGAUGCAUUCUAGAAAGCCUCAACUCUAUCAAACUCGUGUCUCUGAUGAAUUCCAGGAAUCAAAUCGUUUGAUUCUUGUUACAUCUGAUGUUUCUGCUCGUGGAAUGAAUUAUCCUGAUGUUACUUUGGUCAUUCAGGUACCAACAACUCUUGAGAAAGUUAUAUAUUCAUAUUCUGCUUGUAUAAAUUGCUGAUCAUCAAAUCAUCUAUGCCCCAAGAGGCAGUAUCUCUCCAACACCCAGUAUUAUGUAUAUGUUUUCCCAGUACUGUAAAAUAAUGCAUCAAUUUUAACAAUAAUCAGGUGGGGAUUCCUUGUGAUCGCGAACAAUAUAUAGAUCGGCUUGGAAGAAUAGGACAUGAAGGGAAAGAUGGAGGAGGGAUCUUAUUGCUCGCACCGUGGGAAGAAUAUUUCCUGGAUGAGUUAAAAGACCUGCCACUUGAUAAGUUUCCUUUACCAAAAAUGGAUUCAGAAACUAAGCUUAAGGCACUUCCCUAACUUAUUACCUGCUCUAAUUGCUUCUUUUGUGCUUCUUGUUUUUAUUCAGCAUUCUAAGAGAUUGUAGUUAUGGUUUGAUAUUAAAAGAAAUGAAACUGAACCUAGAGAAUAAGUAUGCAAAGGGCAUGUGUGGAAUUCACAAUUAACAUUCUGAAGCUCUAGGAUUCUUUAUGUUAAACAAGAUUUUUAGUGAUGAAUUCUUUAUGUUGCAGAACUGUGGAAUUAGCAUCAUUUGAUGAUCCUUGAUUGUAUCAGAAAAGGCACAGCCGUGGUCCUGAUAUAGACAGUACCUAAAAUGUAGUCAGCCUCAAUUUGAAGUGCAAAUAUAAUGCUUUCCGCCCUGAAACAUCAAAAUGCAUGCAUUCUAGAGUUGUAGUCCCUCUUAUCUAUUUGUUAUCAGGGCAUGCAAUUUUGCAGGUUUUAUAUGUGUGACUUUUUGCAGAUGGAGGAGUCCAUGUCAAAGAUUGAUAGUAGUGUCAAAGAAGGAGCAUAUCAUGCUUGGCUAGACUAUUAUAACCCCAUCAGAGAAAUUGGAAGGGACAAAACCUCGCUUGUUGAUCUAGCCAACCGAUUUUCCGAGUCAAUAGGCUUACAAAAACCACCUUCCCUCUGCAGAAAAACAGCUUUAAAGAUGGGUUUGAAAGACAUCCCUGGUAUCCGGAUCCGAAGGUAGCACUUACUGGGAGCAUUAAUACAUGCAAGCUGCUGGUUAGUAUUGCUGAGGUUAAAAAAGGAUCAUGAAAUUGUGCUGAAAGACCAGGUUCAACUUUUAUUCCACCUGAAAACUGGUAUAUGUGCUAGGUCUAGCUCCUGCCUUCAAUCAUCAUGCUAUCGCGUCUUCUAAGCUUUGUAAUUGCGCUUUCGAUGGGUUAUUCUAUUGCAUCAUCCAGUGCAGUGCACUCAUGAUCUGGAUUUUGUUUGAUAGUGGGCUGAGAACGACAAUGCACUCAGAUACACGCACCCCUGUCACGCUUUAUAUUGUUUUUUAGUAAUAUCAUUAUUGCUGUUAUUAGUAUUUGUCGAGGAUCUUUAAGUUGCGUUUUUCUCAAGUACGUUUUCCUCUCUUUUUUUUUUUUUUUGUGGGGGGGUUUCGGGGGGGAUAAGCAAUGGGCAUAGGCCUCCCCCAUCCUUUAAUCCCUACCCUAUCUGUCUAUAAGCGUAUAGGAUUCUAAGUGAGAACUCGAAAUCAUAACAGCUGGGGUGCCCUUUGAAGCCCUUGGUUUCACUUUUAAACAUGAAUGCACAUUGAGGGAGAUGAGAAUUACCACUGAACUUGUGAUUUGAUCUCAGGAAGAUACGUAGGAGCUUCAAAUGCAAAUUGAUCGCCUAAGAAUGUAUGUCUAAGCAGAUGUAGAUAUGUUUUAAAGAGUUGCGAAAGGUGUUGGAUCAUUAAACGACUAAACCCGUAUGUCUUGCGUUGUUGCUGUCGCCCCCCUCUAAACACACGUGAUGGUAAAGAAGGAAGGACAGUAGCAACAGCAACUGCUAGACAGAUUAAAGAGCAAAAAUAGUUAAACACUGUUAGUAGUCAGUUGAGAAUUAGUUAGAAGGCGGAAGAGUUCGUUCGUUAACUUGAAGUGUAUAAAUGAUAUAAAAGGGAUUUCAUGGUUCUCUAGUAAUAAGAAUACAAUCAUUCCUUCUCUGCUCUCCUCUUUCGUUCCUCAUCUCAAUUCUUUCCUUGUUAAGCUAUGAGCUAGUACCUUAACAAUUAGUACUAAAGCCCAUCUUAUAAAGUGAAAGACGAUGAAAAACAUUGCAGAAGGUUGAAUGAAAGAUUGCAAGGCCCUCACCAAGAAUUUCAAGAAUCAAUGGUGAAGAGAAAUUGGAGCCAACUCUAAAGGAAUUAAAAUAUCUUAUGCAUGCUUUGAACUCUUCACUUCCUAAAUCUUACUAUAUUUUUCAUUUUUGUUUGUGAAUUAAAGAAAGAUAUUAAAUCUAUGUUGAAGAUACUUAAAUUAAUAGCACUAAUAACAGCCUUUGAGCAAGCCAAAUAACAGGAAUAGUCAAAUAAUGUUGUUGCAAGGAAAAACAAGUUCGUGCCAAUAAUUAAUUUUAAAAUUCACGUGGGGAGGCCAAUAUGUAAUCUUACAGUUAAACCUCUAAAUCAACACAAGAAUGAAAGUCAAUAAAAAUAGAAAAAUGUUUAUGAGACCUUGUAUGAACAAAGGCAUAGAUCAGGGCAGUGUUUCAAAUAUAGAAAUAAAUGUGUACCUGAACAUCGAUAUAAUGCUAAAGGAUUGCACAUGAUUAAAAGUAAUAAGGAUGAAGGUGAAGAAUUUUGGGAUGCUGAGAUAGGGAAUAACAAUGAAAGUAAAACAAAGAAUAAUAAGAUUAAGGAGUUUGGUUUGUCACUAAAUAUAUUUGUUGACAAUUAUGCUCAUAACACUAUCAGGAUUAGAGAAAGCUGCCAAAAAAAUGAGUGGAUUAUUCUAAUUGAUAAUGAAAUCACAUAUAGCUUUAUCGAUGAAUAGAUUAUUAAGUAUUUUAUUAGUAGUGACAAUAACAAAUGGUAGUGUCAUUUUGUAUGACUCUUAUACUCUUGAUUUUAAAUGGCUUAUGCAAAACUACGAAAUUGUAAAGACCUGAGGAUUCUAAAACUAGGAAGAUGUGAUAUUGUGCCGAGGAUAGAUUGGUUAAGAGUGUAUUCCCUAAUUUUAUUUGAAUUUACUAAGACGAAGACAAUUUUUAAAAAAGAAGGAUAAAUGAUAAAGCUAAAAGAAAUUAUGGAUAGAGGUGCAGUUAAGUACAUUACAACAAUAAAGAAAGUUGAGAAAAGUUAAAAAUAAUAAUAAUAGGGUUUAUGAGAUAGUUUUUCUUAGUAGAAGUAAUGGAAGAACCAAAGAAUGUCAUGGCCAGUUUUGAAAUUGGAAGGCUUCUAGAAGUAAUGGAAGAACUAAAGAUUACACAGUUUUGAAAAAAACCAAGCCAAACCAGUUUGAACCGGUUUUUAUUCUAAAAAAACCAAAUCGAACUGAAACUGACCGGUUCGAGCUGGUUUCAAUUUUUUUUAAAAAAAUUCGGUUUAAUUACUUUUUUUUAAUAAAAACUAAAUUGAACUGAAAAUGAUCACCUCUAAUUCGAGGAACCUAAAUAUCUUUCAUCAACUAGGAAGUUCGACUACAGAGUUCCCAUAAAACUAGAGGUUAAACUUGUCAAUUAUUGGCCCUACAAAAGUACUUUUGUUCAAAAAAGAGAAAUUCAAAAACUAGUCAAAAAGACGUUGGAAAGUGGCAUAAUUCAGCAAAAUAUGAGUUAUUUGGCACUAUUGGUAAAGAAAAAUGAUAAUACAUGGAGUUUUUGUGUUAUAUAGAUAGUUGAAAGAAGUAAAAAUAAAAAAAAAAGUUUCUAAUUACAGUGAUAGAUGAUUUGCUGGAUGAGUUGUAAGGUUAGAUUUUUAUAAGGAUUAAAUACAUGUAUAUUUAUUUUCUCAUUUGAACUCAUAAUUUAAGACAAAACCCAACAUCAUAGUAUAUAUACAUCAUAUAUGCAAACAUUAGUCAUGUAAAAUUAAGCUAAAAGAAUAUGUAUUAAAAUCUAGAUAGAAGCAUGCAGUUGAUUUAUUCAGUUGGAUAUUAUGAAAUUUUUAAACCAAUUAAGUGAGUUGAAUUUUUUGAAUUAUAAAAAGAAUCAACUAAAUUAAAUUAAUAUUUACAUUAAAAACAUAUAUGGUUUAACCAAUUUAUAAUUGUUAAGUUUAGAAAAUUAUUUUGGAUGUUGAUUUAGAUUUUUUUAAAAAAAAAACAGGUGUUUAUAAAGUGUUAAAAGCUCAUUAGACCUCUUAGAAAGUGAAAGCAAAAGGAAAAAUAUAUAUGAAGUAAUUUAUGAACUAUUUAGUUUUUUUUUUUUUUAUAUAUAUAUAAAAUAAUUUUCAUUUGUAAAUGUAAUAGAAUCUCCAUACAAAAUAACCAAAUAAAAUUAAUACUUACAUUUUUUAAUAUAAAAACUUUGUUUUCUUCUAAUAUAUAUACUUUUACUUCUUGAGAGAGCUAAACAAUUAUCAUGUGGAUCGCAUUGCAACAUGAUUAUUAUCUUAUUGAUGAUUAUAGGUGAUGAAGUUGUUGAAAACUUAUCAAAUAUUAUGAUUUUCAUAAGAUUGUAAUGGGUUGAAAGGCAUAAGGAGGUUGAAAUUGAAUAAAUAGACACUUGCAAAACAAGUUCUUUAGAAAGGAUGAUGAUUUUUUAUGUCUAAGUUAGUUUAGGUAGGAGUUUGGAGUCUUGUGAGAUAAUGUAAGCAAUAAUCUAAUUACAAAGGAUAUUCAGGUUCAAACAAAUAAAAGAAGAUGAUAUUUUUCUUCUCUCAUAAGAUAACUUGUUUUGGAGUUUAAGGUAAUUUAUAUAACUUUAAAUCCAUGAUAGUGUGUUUAUACAAGGUUAAGAUAAUCAAUAUGCUUGUCACCUAUAGUUUUGAACUACUUUAAGACAAUGCUCUAGAGUGAUAAUGAAUUACUGUAAAAGUUUUUUUUAAUUUUUAAUUUUAUUGUUUAUGUAUUACUAAUGAUAAUAACAAGACCAAAUUUUAUGAAAUAAGUGAUCAAGAGACUUAUAUUUAUUUAUUGCAUAUAUGUUUUGUCGGUUGGUGGUGAGUAAACUAAGUUUGACUAAGAAUAGUGCAUUUAGAUGCGACAAUCAGCGUUAGUUCUAUUAUGGGUUUGGUUUUCAUAAAAUCUUAGUAAGUUCUAUAUCCAAGAGUAUUGUCUUGUUGAGUUAUGUGGAUACCAUAGAUAUAAUUUGCUUUAGAUUUGUUAGGCUAUUAAAGUUUCUAAGAGCCAAAAUCAUAACCCUUGUUUUAGGAGAGCAUUUGGCCAUAUAAUAUGCCCGAACCCGAAUAAUGCAAACUUUAUUUGAGAUGGACUUCGUAGCCUAUCAUGACUUUAUUUGCUCAUGCCUCUCGUGGGUUUAAUUUCAAACAUUGGCGCAUAAUUCAUGUGUGAGUAUAAACUCAAGGCCAUUACUUACUAUAUUGCUUGCAAUAUUAUUCACUUCUUGGCUGUUAUCUUUCAAAACCAAGAAGCUAAGACCAUGGUGUUCAAAAAAGAAAGAAAGAAAGAAAGAAACUAGGAUCAUGUGUGAGCUUUUCUAUUAAUGUCAAAGAUGACGGUUCAAUUCUACGGUAAUUAUAUUUCCGUAGAAAUAAGAAAGUCAAAAGAAUGCGAUAUUUAAAUAAUAAUUAUGAUGGUAACUUGUGAACAUCACCUGCAAAGUAAUGUGAUCGACACCAUAAAACAAAUACGAUACAACAGUGGUCAAAGUCAACAUAUUAUUUGGGUUGAACUAUAUUCUAGCCCUUGCAAAUUCAACAAUGUUCCACUUUGAUCCCUAUGUAUUAUAUUUUUUUUAUAUUAAACCUACAAUUUCUGAGAAAUUUUAACGUAGCAUCUUACAUACAGUAAGGCCAGUGACACAAAAUGAUCAUUUUUUCCCCAACUGUUUCUUUAUAAUUUUAUUUUAUUAUCUUUUCCUCCCAAAACCUUAUUAUAUGAUAGUAAUCCACAGAAAAACACUUACAAUUCCAAAUAAAUAAAUAAAGGAUCCCAUUGUUUUUUUUAUUAAUUAUUUAUAUGGACUAAAGUAUAUAUUAUUUACACAUUAGUUUACUAUAAUAAUUAUGUUUCCAAAUUCCAACCGCUUUAUAUAAUCAAACAAACAAACAACUUGCAUAUAUUCUGGGAUGGUGACAUUGAAAAGCCCUUUCACAAAUUUGACACCAUCAAUUAUUUGACUCUGGCUCCAGGGAAGUCUUCACUCUCCUUUCAGAAUUCAAAGUAUAUAAUGCAUUGAAAUAAUGGCAAAUUAACUCCAAUUAAAAAUAAAUAAAUAAAACAAACCUUAUCUAUCUCUCUGGCAUCUUUUACAUUAAUCAAAGACAAGAAGAAUGUGACUGCGAGGACCACUAGACUCUGAAAACACGAAGUUAGCAUCUUCUUUCAAGAAAUUCUGAUAUUAACACUAUAAUAAAGAGGCUUGCUUUUAAUAAAGAUGGUUAGCUAAAUAAGCUUGGCCGAAGUCUAUCUUUUUGCCCCUUUCUUCUUGUUCUACCAGGUAUGGUUAAAAAAGCUACUGCAUGCAUGCAUCACAAAUCAAGCACCAAAAUAGUACACCACCGGAUGAUAUUGGAUAACACCGAUGAAAUAUUUUAUCUAUAUUUAAAUAUUGAUUUUAUCAACAAAAAAACAUAUUGAUAAAAUCACAAAUUAAAAGUUUUUAUCAAAAAAUAUAUUUGUCAUUAUUUUAUAUGUUGUUGGUCAUUCUUUAAGUAGAAUAAUCACUGAUGGAUUUACAAAAAAAAAUAAAUACACGCGAAACAAAAAACUUAUUAAUAUUCAUUUCUUUGGUAAAUUCAUCAGUGAUUAUGGUAUAUUACUGACAAAAGAAACUAUUGAUAAUUUCAUCGGUAAUAAUAUGCAUAUUACUGAUGGAAUUAAGUCUUUAAAGAAUUACAUCUAACUUAAUUUUUUUAAACUCUCUAGAAUAUUUUGAUGGAUUUAGUUCAUUGGCUAUUCGAUCUAUAAUAAUCGGUGGCAAAGUCCUGUAGUUUUUUUAUUUUCAACUCUCUGGAACUCUCUGAGGGACUUAGCCAGUCAUUCAGUUGGUGAUGUAAAUUCCAUCGGUAAUUCUCGCAGUAUAUUCUUUUAAUAUUAAAAAAGCUGGAGGAGAAGGAGGCGAAUCUUCAUCGAAACCAAAAGGAUAACAAGGUUGACCAUAUGUACUAACAACGAUUGACAACAACUGUUCAAGGACACUCACUUUAUCCCUUAGGUCGUUCGUCUUGGAUCUAAGUUUGGGUCCUCUCAAUACUAAUUAGUCGGGUCUUUUGAACUUCAACCUUUGCUUAUACAAUCGCCUAGAUAACUAGAGAUUGUUGGCUCGAACUCGAUUGUGAGGAACCAAUAAAAUUACAUUAGUUCAUUGAAAUUAAUUAGUCAAAUAUUAUCCAAUGUUUUUUAUUGUUUUUAUGGUGCAGAAAAAGAAAAUAAACUUACAUGUUGUGGUCGGGCUUUCACCGAGCAAUAUACUUUUUAGUGUAUACAUUCUGCUUAGAACGGACAUCCCCUUUGCAAGUUGGUCUCGCACUCGAUGAGCCUGCAUUGAGAGAGGAUGCUUGUAUCUAAAGUGUCUAGUCAUGGCUGUCACCUAAUGAUUUAUGGUCAUUAGAAGCGUUGCCAGAAGAACUGGCAGCACUCCUAUAUGUAUUACUCUCUAAUGACCUUCUAUUCGUUAAAUGAACAUUAAAUGAAUGGUUAUAACGUUAUUAUUAUAUUUUAUUUUAAAAAAAAUUAAGUAGCACCUCUUUUAUAUGUGAGACUAUUCAAAAUUUUAUUACCUGUAAAUACACCAAUAAAUGAAGUUAUAAAUAAAUAAAUUUUAUUUAUGACUAUUAUUUAUCUUAAAAAACAUUUUAAAAAUUCAAUUAAUAUCUUAACUUCCUAAUAUAUUUUACAAUUAUUCCACGUUAUUGCUAUCCAUUAAGAAAAAAAAAGAAGACACAUGUGUGAUAGCAUCCACAGAGAAUAGAUAAGGAUGCAAGCUCAUAAUAAAAAUAGCACAUUUAAAGCAUCCAAACAUAAUCAAACUUUGCAUAAACAACUAAAAUCCAACAAUAUUUCUCUCUAAUUAUUACAAAGCAAACUUUCUCCGUCCGAAUCAUAGAGUUCCCAACCAUGUUAUUUCAUCUCAAGUAAUAAACAAACACGUACACACUUCUCUCUUUUUUUGUUUAUGGUCAUUGACUUUUUUGUCCCUGUCCCAUAUUAUAUGAGUGGGAAAAACAGUAAUUGAAACUCUAUAACAUAAUUUCAUUAAAUAGCAGACUAAGUGAGUGAAAAGGGGUUUUUCUUCUGAAACUAGGAAUUUUGAUUUUUUUAUUUAUUUUUUUACUAACAAAAUUACCAAAAAAACAAUUAAAUAUUUAUUAGUUUUAAAAUUCAUUGUUAAUUUCACGGGUAGCUGAAACGGGGAUUUUUUUAAUAAAUCUCGAAACUUCCUAAAACCCCCUAAAAUUCUCGAAUGAAAUUUUAUUUCGUCAGCGACAUGUAAUUGUCAGCAGCAAGGUACUACCGCCCCCGGUGCUACGAAUUCCAGGGAAAUGACAUCCUUUUUUACAUCAUCGCACGUCAUCCUCACCAAUUUCAAACUCCCUUUUUUUCAGUCACAUUUUUAAUUAUUUCAUAAAGCCUUUUUAAAUCAUGUAAAAGGAAAAUCCGUCUCUCCUUCGUGACUCAUAAACAACUGAAAUUAUAACGAGGAAAUCCUGUCAGCUGAUGUGGCCUUUGACUUUCGGGCAUAAAAUAUUUGGACUCCCCGAGCAAAAAAAGCUCUCUCUCUCUCUCAAGUGAUGAUCCCUUCAUUUUAUACAUUUGGUCAAAUCAAACCCCUUUCUCUGAAUCAAACUAAUUAACCCGUCAAUUUCCAAUUAAAGACAAAUUGAGAUCGUUUUACCUCUUUUUUUUUAAUGGAAAUCAUGUUUCCCAUGAAUCAACGCCGAAAAUGUGAUGCUCCUCUUGGCACUGUUGACUAGCUGGCUAUAUAUCAUCAUUUUCUGCCUCCAGACAUAACCAAAAGCUCCGCUCAUCUCAUCAUUGUUUUUUGUCUACACGAGCUUGUCAUUUGCUUCUCGUCACUGAAGCAGUCUUUGUUAUAUAUUUCAAAAUAAAUCACUGGGUAGGAAGAGCUAGUUAGAUUCAUUAUAUCAAUAAUUGAUAUAAUCUUAAAAAACUCAAUGUUUGAUAUUAAUAUUAAGAGAUGGGAUAGCAGUGCUAAAGCAACAACAACAUAAUUAACAUUGAGGUUUCUCUAAGAGGAAACAAAAGGUUCCCUUAAGGCAAAAUCAAUCGGUGUUGUCGCCAGAAGAAGUGCAUUAAACUCUUUGGUAAAAUCCAGCCAUAUUGGCACUGCCCAACAAAUGCCUCGGCGGAGGGAGAAAGGAAAAGGAAAAAACACAGGAUCCCAGUGUUUGAGUGUGCCUACCAGAUAUAUUACAGGUUGCAAUAAACCUGCCGGAAAAUCCUAAUUAUGCAGUAGGCAUCUUUUAAUGUCGAAUUAUCAAUAACUCAGAAGCAAGAACAUGUGAUGAAGCUAGGCACCGGAGUACAGAGAACGUGUGAGCCACUUGUCACGGUAGUCAUGUGGCACGCGCACGUGUCUCUCAACCUACCUCAAGUCUUCACCAAUAAGGAAUUGCAGACACGGCUAAAGCUUGGCUUAAUUAUCAGAACAUGAGAAUAAGAAGAGAGAUCCCAACUCAUGUAAAGUCAACGUUCUUCACCAGAACAGUGUUUCAAAGUAGCACUCAAAAGGGUUUCGAAGGACCAAACUAGCCUCUAUAAUUUCCUACUUCGUGUAACCUGAGGCUGUAAUGACAAAAGAAAAACGUUGCUAUAUAUGUACAAUUUGAAUGACUUCAAAGAGUAAACAGCUUACCAUUCUUGAGGUAUUCGCAAUGACUACGAACAAAAAGGGUUUAAUUUAAAAGAGUGCAUAGUUUAUAUGUUGUAAUUAGUGCUUGUAAGUGGUCAGUGUUCCAAAAAAACAAGAAAUAAACAUAGAAAGGAUGAAGAUGUUUUGGUUAAGAUGGAAAAUAAAUUUGUUAGUUUUUAAAAUAUAUAGUUUUAGAAUGAAUUUGAAUAAUUUUAAAAUAGAAAGUAUAAAAAUAUUUUAUCUGUCUUUACUCUCUUUAUAUUUAUCUUGAGAAAAUAAAGAACGUUAUCGAUAAUAUAUAGAUAUUUUGAUAAAUAAAAUUAGUUUAAGAUUAUAUGAUUUAAAAAAAAAAAAAAAACUAUACUCACCAAUAAACCGAGCAAUGAGACAAGUUGUGGAAUAGAUAUGUGCAUGUAGAUUAGAUCCUAAUAUAAAGAUAAAAAUAUUUCUAUUGAAUUUAAUUAGUAGUAGUUGUUCUUCCAGUGAUGUGACAUUUAAAGCAUUACCUAGUAAAGGGCAUUCAUGCCAUUCGAAAGAAGAUUAGUAGAGAGUUUUGGCUGUAUCUUCACCACAGGUGCUUGAUCCCAUAAGACUUCACACCUCUCCCUCCCUCUCUGGCUAUUUAGUACAUAAGCUCUAAUAUUUCAACUGGCUGCUGCUAAUUUUCUGCUAUAUAUCACCUCUUCUGCUGUAUUCUCCUCAUCAAAACCAUGAGGAUUCCAAAUCCAAGACUCUUAUUUCUUUUCUUGAUGAUCAUCCUUGCUAUUAGCCAGCUCUCAAGUUGCCGCUACCUCCACAUAAAUAUAGGAGAUCAAACAAACCAAACAGUUGAAACAGAUGUCUCUACUCAGUUUUCAUGGCAUUUCACUGCAAAAGCUCCUGAAGGAUCCGACAAAGAUGAGAUCGAUGACCCAGUUUUUGGAGCUUCGUUUAGAACAGUUCCAGGUGGGCCAAACCCACUUCACAACUGAUUAGAGUCUUGUGGUUAGUUAAUUAGUCUUAUUUUUGUAUUCAGUCGUAUAGAUAUCUUUUUUGCAGUUUAUAUUGCUCAUCUUUUUGCUUCUUUUUUUCUCUCUUCGCUUCAAAUAUGUAUAAUUGAAUACAGAUGAAAAGGAUUGAAAAUCUGACACCAAGUGUUUUUCUAUGCAGUUGUGAUUUUACUUGAUUGAAUUGUAGAAAUUAUGAUGAAGUAUUUCGUACAUGAAGAAAUCUUCGGAUAGUUUCGUGUUAAUUUCUCUGCUUUCUUUCGUGUUCUUCUACAUCUACCAGUAUCAAGCUACAGCAAAAUUUUAGGAGAUGAGAAAGGUAAAAAAAUAAUAAUUGUGAAAUGGGGAGUGAAUGCCUAUAAACUAUAGAUAAAGUACAAGGAACGGCCUAGUAAGUUGGCUGUAGUCACCGACUAUAUGUGUGAAAACCUGCAAGAUCCUGUGCUGGCUUACAGAAGAAGUCAAACCAUAAGUAGCAGCUAAUAUAAAACAACAAUUGGCCAACUGAUUUUGGAUUCACUAUUACUUUAUUGCUAUUACAGCCUCGAGAGUGGGGAAAUCUUUCCAUACAUGAAUAAAAGAGAGCAAAGAAGAACAAAGCAAUAUUUAGGGUUCAUAUGAGUGCGCAUGCUAAGUGUUUUACGCUCAAGAAGUCAACCUUCCAUUAUAUUUUGCAAGGAUUCCGAGAUGUAUCUUCCGUUACUAAAAAUGAAGGAUUUUAACGCAUAUGCAAACUGCCACCUGUGGAAUUUAUUUCUCCACUUUAUAUAAGAAUAGAUAAGAGGUAGCAUAAGGCCAAAAGUUAGCGUUGGCAAGUAGUCGAGCAAAGCAUGCAGAAGCGAAACCACCAUGGAGACAGAUCAGAAUGAUCGAACCACUUGCAUGGGUCCCUGAAAAUAAGAGAAGGAUAUAUCAUAACGUAUGGUACACCACUUUAAUUUCCCGGCCAUUAAUAUAUCUUCGAGAAUAGAUUUAUGAGAUCGCGUUAAUCAUCAAGAAAAGUUGCUUCUGCUUUCUUACGAAAGGAUUUUGUAGAAGAGAUGCCAAAUACAAUAUGACUCUUUUUUUGGCUUAAGCAAGAAAGUGAUUUUUUUUUUUUUUGUGUGUGGGUGUUUAAGCAAUACAUAUAAUGUGUUUGUGCUUGUAAACGUGAGAAACGGCAAGGACGAAUCAGACAAGGCUUGAUUACAAUUUAAGUCAUUUCCGAUUAAAUGCAAUAAUCUAUAACUCACAUAUAGAAUUCAAGCUUGUUUUAAAUAGCCAAAUAUGACGCCUGGGAACAUCUGCAUAGUGCUUGGUUGGUGUACUUGUUUUUCAGCUUAAACACGGUUUAUACGGUCCAAGUUUAAAGACAGAAAUUUCGUUGGCACACAGACCCACCAUAGGUCCAUAGUGGGUUACCAACGAAGGGCCUGGCACCAAGGCAAGUAGGCGACUAUGGACUAUAAAGCACCAUCUAGAGGUUGCCAAUCACAAGCCUUUUUUUAAGGCCCUGGCACAAGAAGGGCCAGGAGCUUAGGCUCACCACCUAAAUUCAGCACGUCAAUAGUCCAUUAGGCCCAAUUUGUUAUUCUAAUCAUAAUAUCCAUGUCGACCUCUUUACGAAUAUUUCACCCAAAAAAAGAAGAAAUCUUGAGCAUUUAGAUUUUAGAACCCUUGUCCAAACAAGAAAGGAAAGAUACCAGAAUAACGAACUUUGCAAAUUAUCCUCCACUAUAUAAUGGGUGUUGUGUCCAACGUGAACAACGCAACACUGUUUUAUGGGCAAAAUCACAAUGGAAUAAAAAUAUCAGACCAACAACUGGUAUUUAGAUGAUGAAAGUACAUAAAAUUCUGACGGGCCCGACACACUGAUAUGAACUCCAGAGCACAAAGGCAUCCGGCAACUUUGCAUAAGAGUAUAGUGCACCUCAGCUAUAAAUGAUCAUCUCAGAGACUCAACAACAGAACAUUCUAGCCCCCAAAGUAUCAAGAACCAAGGUUUUUAAAAAGUUCUGGAAGAUGUGCAUUGGUGAGCUUAGUUCUCUUGCUGAUCUCAUGCUUCUUCUUCUUGGCCUUUUGCUUAGUGGAAAUGCCCUGCACCUGAGCUGCAGCCCUCCUCUUUGCAGUAUUGGUCGCAGGUUUCAUCCCAUUCUUCUGGAGAUCCUUCUCAAUGUCAAGCAUAUCGCGAGGCAACUCAAUCCCUCGAAAAAGCUGUUUAAGGUCAUCAUCCACCUUAAUGACCAUCCUAGGGUCAUUUGGGUAGGCAAUAUCCUCCUGCGAAUCGAAGUUCGACAGCAGCCAAAUCUGGCCUACAGCUUUCAAAGCCUAGAGUACAAGUACAAUUUUGUUCAAAUAUCUGCUUAGCACACUGAGUUAACAUCAAUAUUCAUCAUACAGACAGACAAGAGAGGAUGCGGUGCUCAAAAAACUAAUUCAGGCUCUACUAAUUUUCAAGAGGAAAAAUUGUGCCAAUCCGAGCCACACCUUUAAGCUUGUUUGGGAUCAGCUCAAAAUCCUUAUGGUCAGACCAAGUUCUUCUCUACUGGGCUUAUCUAUCAAACAAGCCCAACUAAAUAACCAUGUGAACUUUUUGAAGAUUUUGCUACCAUCAAAUUGAGGAAAAGAGCUCUCAAUUGUUCCCUACUAGCCUCAGCAACAAGCAAGGACCACAAAAGGCAAUACUAUAUAACCCACCAAUAUUUCCAGUACAAGGUUACAGAUUUCAUUUAGUUUUCAUUUAUGCAGACAACCUUCAAAAGUUAUGGAAAAAGCAUUGCAUAUGUGCCUUCUCUAUAAGGAUCAUGUAAAUAUAUGCAUAAACCAACCAAAAUAAAAAAACAAAUUGUUCAGCAAAUAGAGAUACCUGCAAGUCAUCCAUCACAGUUGGGUAUGCAUCCUUGAGGUCAAUGACAGCGAUGCCCUCUGGAAAUUUCCGUAUCAAGACAAGGAGUUGACUCUUGUCCUUCAAAUCAUGCUUGGACUAUAGACAAUCAAAACCCAGAAUGUCAUCCUCCAUUAGAGAGGAAAAGGAAGGCAGUUAUUAAAUCAGUAACAAUGAUUUAAUUACUGAUCCAAAAGUGUGCCAAUCUAUCAGGGUUUGCAGGUGCAUAAUACUGAGAGUCACCUUGUAAGAGAAGCGUUUCCCAUCAUAGUGCACUUUCGGGUUGUUCCUCAAACUGUCAAACACGGCUUUGUUGGAAUUCAUAUCAACGUAACAGUGGCCAUUUAUUUGUUCUGGAGUAAAGGCUUGCCUUGUCUGCAAGCAAGCAAAAAUAGAGAAGUCAUAAGGAAGGUGAACCUUCACAACUCCUCUCAAAACAGGACUAAAAUACCUUAUCAUGAGAUUUGAGAUUUAACAAGGAAGAUCAGACGGGAGAGAAAAAUGAAAGCAGAGAAGUGAGAAACAUAAUUCCUGCCACUAUGAUGCGUGACGGGCAAUUUUCUUUUCCUGGAGCAUGAUGCAUGAAAAGGAGCCAAAAUGAAGGGGGUGGAACAACCUAACUCGUGGUGCAGGAUAAGCUAUGAAGACAUGAUCCUCUAAAAUCUAAAAUAUCAGUAAUUUCAAAAGAUUAACCAAAAAUUAAAGCAGGGGAACUUGUCAAACAGUACAAAAAGCUUCACUUGCCUUUUCAUGACAUCUAAAAUCUCACAAGAGAGCUGGACAGAGAAAGUGCAAAAUACAGCAUGUCAUAUGUUAAUAAAAUGGUGUUCUAAAAGUGCCUGAAAAAUAGAGCAGCACAAUCCUAGGACAUGGUCCAAAAAAAAGCACCAACAUGAAUAGGAAAAUAAAACUUUCACCCCCUCUCAUCAAGUAAUGCAACUUUUAACACCUAUUCUUUAUCCUAGCUUCUUUCUUAGGCAGCCAACAUCCGCCCAGGAGCCUUAACCUUUCACUCCCAGACAUAAUCCACUCAGCAGUGAAGACCAUCAACUAUAUCUCCCCCAACAACCAAACAUUGUAGAAUAAAUGACCAAUUAAAUCCCCAUGUCUCAUUUAAAUCAUCUAUCAUCCAGGUCCAUGAAAGUAAAUACCAGAAAACAUUAUUUUAAAGUCUUGCAAAGUUAUUCCAACACUCUGCACUAUUUUUUUAACCAAUUUCUUCCACAAAAGCACCAUAGUUCACAUUAACAGAAUUCGUUCGCAACUAAUAUUUGCAUACAUUCCAUGUUUUGCAAUGAUCAUAGGCAAUCACAUACUCAAAAAUUCGAAAAUACCAAACACCCCCAGCUUUUUUUUUAAUACAAGGCAGAUGAUUCAUUAUCUUGAUUGACCCAAUAACUUACAUUCACCUAAUCCUUAUCUUAAAUUUUGCUAUGCAAACAAUGUUCAAUAAGACCACACGAACGUCAUGCAGGACGCUGAAAGGAAAUCAAAACAACAGUUAAGAAUUCAAGAUUACCUCUAGAAGCAGGUCUAUGACACGCUUGAUUUGAGCCCCGGCAGGGGCUUUUCGAAUGCUAUUAAUAUGCUGAAGCCUCUCCGUAUCAUUAGAAAAUUUGACAGCAGGAGCAGGAGUCCUCGCACUGGUCGGUGGCGAUGGAGCUACGGCAACCGUUUUUUGAGUCAGACUGGAUUUAGACGGCCUUGAUUUCGCAAUACUUGUGAGCGUAGACUGACACUUCUCUUGCUGCUUCUUGAAUCGAUCUAAUUGUUCUUGCAGCGCCAUCUAAACAUAAUUUUUAAAAAAAAAAAUGCUUCGAUAUCAGAAUUUCUAUGAAUUAGUCUUAUAAUAACAAUCUCUUUUAUGCAGUUUUCUUAAUAUAAGAAUAUGAUUAAACACAGUCGAUUGGAGAAAAAGCCAAACGCAAACCCUAACUCUUUUUAUUUUGAAUCAAUUGGGAUGGAUUCAUCUUAAGAUUUACAGGAAAUCGAUGAUGGUUUUGGAAUUUAGAAGUAAGCGUGUUUGGAUUGCAAUACAGGGGAGAGGGAGGUAGAGAGAGAACCUUUGCGUUUUGCAGUGCUAAACUCGGCGUUUCGAGAUGCUUUUCUCUCUCCCUCUACCUGCUGCUGCUUCUUGGAAAAAAGAAUCCAAUUGGAAAACGAGUGCUGCUAAAAGACGGAGAGAGAAACUUCAUGUAUAUAUAAUUGCUACUCUGAAUUCCUAAAAUGCCCCUCUCUCGUGUAAAACUUACAACUACUACUCGGCCAUGGAAGGGGGGCCCAGUAAACUAUAUAUUUCUCUUGACUGGAUGGGUGCAUUUUAUGAAACCCAGAAGAAAUAUGAUAUAUUUAUUGGGCUGAUCUCCGGCCACAUGGGAGUGGCCUUUUGUCUAUAGUUUUAGCAUGGAUUCAAUGUGCUUUCAACCGUAUUAACACAAGUUUUUUUAUUUUAUUUUAUUAUUAUUAUUUACAACCAAAUUAUAAAUUCACGGUUCUCUUUCAUCUUUCCCUAAACUAGUGUUGAGAUUAUGUGAUUCUUAAGCAAUAACAGAAGAAUUCAUUCCCAACUUCUCCUCUCUUCUUCUUCUGCUACUUCUUCUCCGCUUCUUCUUCUAUCUCCCUGGGCACUUGCUAAGCUACACCUUCACAAUUGGUAUCAGAUCCAAAUUCAAGGCCAUUAACUAGCAGCAAUCACUCAAAAUCUUACAAUAAUGGUAGAAAAUAACAAGUUAAAGGCUGUUGAGGAACCCUACAGGAAGCUGGAUGAAAAGCUACAGAACAACCACUAAGAAUGGCAAGAAUUUGUGGUUAAAAACAAAGAACAAUGGUUAGAGAAAGAUAGAAAGAUCGAUCAGAUGAAUCUGCAUUGAAUCUUUGAUGACCACUCAAUUUCAAACCUUAUUUGGCUAGUCAAAUGGUAGGAAUAGAAGUAGGUGCUAACUCAAAAGGUAUUUUGGCGACACCAAACAUAAGAAAGGAUGCAGUAACUAAUACAUCUCACGAAGAAAUUGUAUCUAGAUUUAGAAGUCAGAAUCAUGGUGAUAGUUUGAUAGGUCAGGAGUAAAGUAAGAUGAGGAACAUUCCAACACUGUCAAUGGUUGAUUUACCAAUGUUACGGGGAGAUGAUCCUUGGAGCUAGUUAAGAAAAUACAUGAAAUAUUUCAAGUUCAAUCUAGUUCAUACACAACAAUGAAUAUAUAAUUAGCUUUAUCUUAUCUCGAUGGCAAGGCAAAAGUAUGGUAUAAAGGGUUUGUGCAUGGAAAUAAGCACUUGGUUAAUUGAGAUAAAUUCUCCCAAGUCAUUUAUAAAAGAUUUGGUAGUAAAGAUAAUAUAGUAUAAGAGUUCAAUUAGCUUUUGCAGCAAAGAAGUGUGAAAGAAUAUGUGGAAAAGUUUGAGAAGCUAAAGUAUUUUAUGAAUGUUUUGAUCCUUUCAUUGCUUGAAAUAUACUAGAUAUCAUGCCCGCGCGAUGUCGCGUGCUUGUAGCAUGCUUGUACGUUGUCAUAGGUUUGUGGAAAAAAUAAAAAAUAAAAAGAUUACAUGGAGAAAAACUACUGCAAUCCACAAUGUUUUCAACAAAAAAAACUACAAAGCUAAACCAGCUUAAUAUUUAAAAAAUAAAAUAAACAAAGAAAAUUUUGAAAAAAAUCAUAAAAAAAAAAAACAAAAGGAAAAAAAAUCAUGCAGGAAAAUACUGAAGCAAUCUAUAGUACUUCAUUAGGAAAUCUACAAUUGUAAUUCUUAACCAACUGAAUAUUAAAAAUAAUAAAAUCAAUAAAGAUAAUUUUGAAAAAAUUCAUAACAAAAAAAAAAUCAUGUGGUGGAACACUGUAGCAAUCCACAAUGUUUUAAAAAAAAACACGAAGUUAAAUUCUCAAUCAACUUAAUAUGAAAAAAAUAAAAUCGAUAAAGACAAUUCUGGAAAAAAAAAAAACAAAAAAAAUCAUUUAAAAAGGGGAAAAAAAAGCCAUGUGAGGAAACACUGUAUCAAUCUACAGUGUUUUAAGGAAAAAAACUAUAAAGUUAAAUUCUCAACCAACUCGAUAUUAAAAAAAAAUCAACAAAAACAAUUAUGAAAAAAAACAAAAAAAGAGAAAAUAAUGGAAAAAAGAAGAAGACAAUUUUGAGGGAAAAAAAGCAAAAAAAAAUGAAAAAAAAAACAUCGGGGAAAGUUAAAGCUAAAUUCUCAACCAGCUUCAAUAUAAAAAAAAUAUCGACAAAGAUAAUUCAAAAAAAAAAACAUGUGGAUAAACAUUGUAGCAAAACAAAAACCAUAUGGGAAAACAUUAUAACAAUCCAUGGUGUUUUAAAGAAAAACACUACGAAGCAAAAUUCUCAACCAGCUCAAUAUGAAAAAAAAAAAUUGACAAAGACCAUUUAAAAAAAAAUUCAUAUAAAAAAAACCAUAUAUAAAAACAAUGUAGUAAUCCAUAAUGUUUUAAAAAGAAAAACUACAAAAUUAAAUUUUCAACUAGUUCAAUAUUAAAAAAAAUCAACAAAGAUAAUUUUUAAAAAAACAAAAAUAAAAGAAAAGGAUAAAUUUGAGAGAGAGAAAAAACAUGUAAAAUCCAAAAAAAAGAGAAAAAACAAAAAAAAUACAGGGAAAGACAAAAAAAUAAAAAUAAAAAGACAACAUAAAAAAAUGAAAAAAUGAAAAAAAAAACAAAAAAAAUAUGUGAAAAAAGCUACAUUAUUUUCUCGUUUUAUUAGAGUAUUUGGUAAUUUGUCUUGGGUUUCGCUGGAUAUUGAUUGAGGGUUAAGCUAUUUAGCAUUUAAAGCAACGUUCCCCUCCCCUGUCUCAGCUCAAUUUCAAUUCUUAAAAACUAACCAUUUGUUCUUGCUUUUGAUAACUUGUAGUUGUAAUCUGAAUUGGAGAAGAUAUUUAUAUAAAAAGAGCUCAUGCUUUUCAUUAAAGCUUGAUUAACAUAUACUCUUUGUGCCAAUGCUUGGUUUGGUUGCUAGUAGAAUUCUUCAAGAAACAAAGAAAAUAUGCAGAUGUGGCUCAUUGUUUCUAGUAUUAAUUAGUACAACAAAAAUAAAAGGUAUGGGAAAGCUAUAAUAUUUUUUUAUGUUUUUUUAGAGUAUUGUUAAUUAUAAUAAUAAUAAAAAAAAGGCAUCCAUAGAUUCAAUCCUUCCUUCAAUAGUGACAGACCAGCAGGUAAUUAUGUUAAAAAAAUAAUAAAAUUAACAUCACCCACAGCAUGGCACAACAUAAAUGAAUUAUAUAUCCAGUGCUUUAUUCUAAAUUAAGUUGGGGGGUACUGUUCUUGGAGUGACCCAUUCUUGUAAGAUAUUUCUUUAGCUUUUCUAGAUGCAGAAAGUCGUGAAGAUAAUCUGUGGUUUAUAUAUGUUUUAGCUUGGACCCUUAGACUGAUAAAUAUUAAAGAAAUUAACCUAUGCUGAUAUUUGAUGAUACCUCUGAUGCGAUAGCAUAUUCAAGAAGAUAUUUUAGCGAUGAGGACUUCUGCGUGGAAUAGUAUUUGCCUUCUCCAUUCCUUCACCGCACAUCCAUUGCAUCUGCCUUGUAAUUUUGUUGGAGAAAACUUUAAUUGAUGUCAUAAUAUAAGAUGGUGCAAUAUAUUUUUUAUUUAAAAAUAUAUUAAAAUAAUAUUUUUUAUAUUAACAGGUCAAAAUAAUUUCAUUAAAAAAUUAUUAAUUUAAAAUAAAAAAAUAAAAAGAUCAGACCAUCCAAGGCUAAACAAUUAAUAUGGUGAUCUUACUGGAGCUGGUGAGGAAAUUGGAAAAAAAAAAAAACUGGAAUAAGAAAAUUUUGUUUUACUUGUCAAUAGUAACGAAUUCGGUCACUGAAAAAUAUGCGGCAACUCGGUCAUCAAAUUAAAGUUAACUCAUAGACAUGUUACUAAACAUCUCUUUAUUUCACUCUUACUUUUAUUACAGUAACAGGCAGGAACGAAACACACAGACUUGUGUGUUUUGUCCUUUUAGGAGGAAAACAAAAAACAUUACGUAAUACAUAAUACACGGACCUCAUUUCACCAGAUUUUAGAGGCACCACAUAGUAUUAUUAUACAUCAAUUCGUCAACUAUGUUCUUAGCUUCUUACUUACUCUGCGCUCUUUUCUUCAACCAUCUCCAAGGGGAAAUGAGGAGACCCCCGAGGGCAAAAGAUAACCCUAUAGUUGGUCCCGCCAGGGCAUGUAAAUGUACUUGAAGGGUCAUCCUGGGGAUAGCUGUAAGAAGUAGGGCACCUAUCCUUAAAAAACCUUGAGAAAUUGGUAGGGCCACAGCUCCCCUGCCCAUUAGUGCAGCAGUAUUCGUUGGUUUUGAACACGGAACAUGGGUUAUUACACCCACCAGGAGCCCUCAAUUCAUUAGGACAUUGCCCAUUAAUAUCUGCUGUGCAAAGAAGCGCCUGACACUUCCCUGAGCCACCGCCUGAUGUUGGACUGAAUUCUAUAGGGAUAUUAAAUCCAUCAACAAGCGAUAUAUCAUAAAAAUCCAAGUUACCAAACUGAUUCAAUGCAUAUUCAGCUAGAGUGUUGGGAGGGACACCCCAGCCUUUGCACUCUAGGCCACCGGUACAAUCCCCAGUUUGGCAACGACCCUGACCACCACCAUCGAAGUUACAAUUUGUCCGGCCCCAAAUACGAGCCAUGGACGUGCCAGCAGGAACAUUAAGAUUCCAAGUUUGGCCACGUUCUAGACGGCGUCCACCACCAGGUGAGGCUGCGGCCCACACAGUGUAAGGACAACUAUUUCGGAUUUCAAAGGUGGCUGCAUUAGUAGAGAUGAAGAGAAGGCUAAAGAUCAGGAGGGAGGAGGUCAGAAAUUUGGUUAAGUGGCUCAUGGUUGAUUACUGGAUACUAGCUUAUGUGAAUCUGUGAUUUGAUUCAUGGUGUCAUUUAUGGUCUUUAUAUAGGGGAGGGGCGGCUUUUGGAUUCCUGUACAUUAUGGCAAGUGCACAGUAUUAAAUUUA
rnacentral:lncRNA from 1 species